GUAACCUCUCUUUUUUUAGGGUCAUAUUUCUGCAGAACAACAGCUUUCAUGGCGAAAUCUCACCACAUAUUGGCAACUUGUUUCGGCUACAUGUUCUUGUUCUUAGUAACAACUCAUUUGGUGGGUCAAUACCCUCCAAUCUUUCCCGUUGCUUGAACCUCGAGAUCCUAAAUCUCAUAGAUAAUCAACUUGUGGGAGGAAUUCAUUCUAAUCUUGGUUCUUUAACAAGACUUAAAGGCUUGGGCUUGUCUUCGAACAGUCUUGUAGGUCCUAUUCCUGGUUCGAUUGGAAACCUCUCAUUGCUACAACAGCUCUCCCUGGCAGAAAAUGCGUUAAGCGGAGAAAUACCUGAGGAAUUGUGCAGACUCAAGAGAUUGAUAUUCUUCCAACUAUCUUCCAACAAACUAUCCGGUGACGUUCCAGCAGGGAUUUUAAACAUCUCUGACAUUAUUAUAUUCAUUGUUAGUCACAACCAAUUGUGGGGAAGCUUUCUUAAUGAUGUUGGCACCACUUCUCCUUCUCUCCAUCUACUUGGCGCCAGCGGUAAUUUGUUCACCGGGAUGAUUCCGUCAACGUUAACGAAUGCCACAGGUCUUGAAAACCUUUUCCUUGAGAACAACAAUUUCCAUGGGCCAAUACCCAAAGAUCUGCGUAGGCUAAAGGGCCUUCGCAAUAUUGUAUUCUGAUAACCACUUGCAAGAUGACUUGAGUUUUAUUUCUUCUUUAGUUAAUUGUUCCAACUUAAAAACACUCGGAAUGCAAGGGAACUUGAUUCACGGAUCUUUGCCGAAAUCCUUCUGCAAUCUCUCCACCAGCGUUAAGGGAAUAGAUAUGUCAAACAAUCGGAUCCAAGGAUCUAUUCCUUUAGCCCUCAAAAAUCUUUUCAACUUGUCUGCGUUGGCUUUAUUGAAUAAUUUUAUAAUCGAUCGCAUUCCUGACUCCAUCGGAGCACUUUCCAACUUGCAGGAACUUGGUUUAAGAGGGAACAUGUUGACUGGAGAGAUACCGUCUUCGAUUGGUAACAUUACGUCAUUAAAGCUCCUUGACCUUUCCUCCAACAUUUUCCAAGGCUACAUACCACAAAGUCUCGGUAGCUGCAAGCAACUAAUUGGUCUUGAUCUUUCCAACAAUAACCUAAUUGGCUCAAUUCCUGCUGAAAUCGUGGGUCUUUCUUCCUUGUCGAUCGUCCUUAGUUUAGCAAAUAAUAAUUUAAGUGGAUCUCUUCCAUUGCAAGUUGGAUCUUUGAAGAAUCUUGGCGAAUUAGAUCUGUCUUACAACAGACUGACCGGCUUAAUUCCGGCGUCCAUCAGUGAGUGCUUGGUAUUGGAACGACUUCACUUAGAAGCUAAUUCUUUUCAUGGUCAAAUCCCCGAAGCUUUAUGUCCAUUACGGGGUCUACAAGAGCUGGACCUUUCCAAUAAUAAUUUUUCUGGUCCAAUCCCGAGCUUUCUCGCAGAGCUCUCACAACUCAUGUAUUUGAAUUUGUCCUUCAAUCAACUAGGAGGAGAAGUUCUGGAGGGUGGAGUUUUUCUUAAUGCAAGUUCUGUAUCGAUUUAUGGAAAUACGGAACUCUGUGGAGGUGUUCCCGGUCUGAAGCUUCCUCUUUGCAAAUCACCAAGCUCUAAGAAGGUUUCUUCAACCAAGGCUAGAGUAAUAUAUGUGGUAGCUGGCAGUUUGUUAUGUUUAGCUUUGUUGCUUCUAUGUCUGUCUAUCUCCUACUGCAAAAAGAAGCAGACGACAGCCAAUGCCUCCACUUCAUUAUCUUUUGAGAACCAAUUCUUGAGGAUUUCUUAUGAAGAACUCCUGAGAGCGACUAAUAGAUUCUCUGAAACCAAUUUGAUUGGUAAAGGGAGAUACGGCACGGUUUAUAAGGGGAUUCUUGAUGGCGGUGUCACGGUGGCGACGAAGGUGCUCAAUCUAAUGCAAAGAGGUGCUUCGAGGAGCUUUAUCUCCGAAUGUCAAACUCUAGGAACCAUUAGACACCGAAACCUCGUGAAGAUACUAAGUGUCUACUCGAGUGUGGAUUUUCAUGGAAAUGACUUCAAAGCUCUAAUAUAUGAGUUCAUGGCUAAUGAGAGCUUGGAGGAGUGGCUGCACCCUAGCACUAUAGGACGAGAUGAUGAGCAUGGCGAAUCGAGAAAUGUGAGACUAGUGCAGAGGUUACGCAUUGCCAUUGACAUAGCUACUGCAAUCGAAUAUCUCCACAAGAGUUGUUAUUCAACAAUCGUUCACGGAGAUUUGAAGCCAAGUAAUGUGCUUCUGGACAACAACAUGGUGGCUCGAGUUGGAGAUUUCGGGCUUGCAAAGAUUAUUUCAAUGGUGUCUGCUGAAGCCACGAGAAUUCAGGACCAAGGUAGUUCAACUUCAACUGCAGUCAGAGGAUCCAUUGGUUAUGUGUCUCUUGGUAUGAAUCUAUCAUAUUUUCUUGAUUAGUUUUUCAUUGAACAAACAAGAUCCUUGGUAUUAUGUUAUGCUUCGUAUGCUCUAACACCUCUUUCUCACAACAUUAUUUCCUAUUUUUUUUAAUUAAUAGCUUCAAUUGAAAAAGGAAAUACAUAUGUUUGUGUACGAAAAGAUUUAUAGUAGCAUUUUGUAAUCGUAUUGAAAUUAAGACAAGAAUAAAUCAUCUUAAAUUUGAUCAUUGAAUGGAGAUUUUUUUAUUUUUUUUUAUAAUCAAAACUUGUGAAUUCGUACCAAUAAAUAGAUUAAGCAUAUUGUGUUCUAUCAUGUUUACAUAUUCUUUCUAUAAUUUGUAAUCUAUCUCAUGCCAUGUUGAUGCCGUGAAAAUGGAUUGUGUCUAAUAUUGUCAUAAGGUCACAAUAUGAGAAAUUGAUGAGAACUUGUGAUUCACUUUUGGUAAGCCAUGACUUAAGGUCUUGAUAGUAAGUAAUUGACCCCUCAUGGUGGACCCUUUCCUUUUGACUUGACCUAUAAUUCCAUAUUUCUAAAAUUUGUUUAGAUGACAUGACAUUUAAGUCUGAAUCCGCCCAAGGUCUUAAACCUAUAAAUGCACAAUAAUAUCACACAACAUACACUAAUUCACAGCAUGAUGGACUCCAUCCAACUUUCACUCCCCUAAACUUCUUGUUUAGAGCAUAUUUAGACAAAUUUACGCAUUAAACAAGUAUAAAUCCAUUAGAAAUAACAAAUCACUUAAAGUCUCUUCUGAUAUAGCUAGUAUAAGUACCUAGAGGGGGGUGAAUAGGUAUAUAAAGGAUUUUUCUCAAUAAUUGCACAAUACUAGACAGUUGAUAGAUUUGAGACAAACGAUAAUCAAAGUAAGACUGAGAGAAGAGAAAAUUGAACACGCGAUUUAUAGUGGUUCGGCUUAUGUCAAGCCUACAUCCACUCUUAUGCACUGACAGCCUAUUGGCUAGAUUCCACUAUGAACAAAGAGAUGUUACAGUGUUGUUCUCCCUUGCUUUCACGGUGUAGAUGAUCUACCACACUCGCUCAAGGUAUCACUAAGUAUGAACACUCUUUGUGAGUACAAUUUUGCUCAAAAUGUAUCGACUGAUAAUCAAGGUGCUUCAGACUCUAGAAUUUCUCUAUCGAUCAUACACUAAAGUAACUAGAACGUCUUCCUUUUAUACUCCUUUAUGCCAUCAUACCCGUUGGCACUUACCAAAGGAAUUCCUCCAAUCUACCCGUUGGAUGGAAUCAAUUAAAAAGAUCAUUCGAGCUAUUAAAGGAACCUGACGAUAGCCCAUCAAUCAUGUUCGCCCAUACAAUCAGGAUCUUGAUUUCCAAGAAUAGAACAUUCCAAGAAUAUUUCGUCGAUCAUCGAAUCUUCAAACGAUCUUGAUUACGAAUAAAAGAAUCCGUUAUAUUUAUCCAGCCAAGAGAUCUUCUCCAGAGGAUAGGACUAAAUCAUCAACCAAAUACUUCGGCUCUGGAUUGCCUUCGUCAUUGGAUUAGAAAAACUGUCAAUGAGAAUAGUCUCGAGUCUUUAGUGUUGAGUGUUGAGUCUUGAGUCUGGUGAUCUGAAAGUCUUCAUACUCAAAAUAGAAGAUCUGUACUUAUCCAAACUAGACUGAUAGAAACGUUUUGUCAGCUUCAAAAUAUUCUGGAAAGAUUUCUCCAACAAUCUCCCCCUUUUUGAUGGUGACAAAACUUUCCUGUAGAUUUGAACAACUUUGACCUGCAAAACAUUACUCAAGCAAUAUGGCUAUCUCAUAAAGAUUAAUAAAUCAACCAGACUCUGCAUCCACAAAAAAUCGGUUAGCUUUUCAUGAGUAAGACCAUAUAACAACACUUGAUAUAAAUGCAAACAGUCAAACAUCAAAAUCCACACAAGUCAGUCAAAUUCAAGUUCACACCCAAGUCAUACUCAAAUAUUCAAACACGUCAAAGUUUAAAGAGUUUAAGAGUUCAAAUUGCAAUUCUCCCCCCUUUUGUCAUCAUUAAAAAUGUGAGAGAAGAGUCAAGUCUGCUUGGGAACGCACACAAUCUGGAAAUCUCCCAUCGACUUGACGAUGCCUUCCAGCCUCUUCAAGUCUUCCCGUAGAUGAGCCACCUCUUCUCCUUUGGCAUUGGCUUGAAUUUGAAGAGCGAGGUCUUUCAUUUGAUCUCCCAGGGUAACAGAAGAUGCUUUUCCAGCAUUCUUCAUGACUUGAAGUUCACAUUCCAGAGCAUAGAUUUGACCCUGCAUUUCCAGAAGAACAUCAAGGAUACGAUGAAAAUCUGUGGUAUUGUCCGUUUGUGUGCUCGCAUUUGCUCUUUCGGAUGGAGUGAAGGUAGACGAUGGAACUUCUGUGGAAUCGAGCAGAUUUGGAGUUGACGUAUCAUGUCCUUCCUCAAGCAUUUGAGCAGCCUGAAAGUCUUCUGGAUUUGCUAGUGAGCAACUCACACCUUCACUGAUACCAGUCCUUCCUUGCUCGCCAUCUCCCCCUGUCUCUAAGACCUCAAUUGGGGAAGAGUGAUGGUCAUGCUCAUCUGCGCCUUGAUUUCCUUCCUCUGCAGCUUCAUCUGCAGACUUUUCUUUUUCUGCUUCUCCUUCUGCUUCGGCUUCUUUUUCUUCAUCUUCUUUUUCUUUCUCUUGUUGCUCCUCUGCUUCUCUGUUCUUUGCUUGUCCCUCUUCUUCUCUCUGUUCUUUUUCUUAUGCUUCUUUUCCUUUCUUCUGAUGUUCUAUUGAUUCAGGUACAGAAUGUCUGGUUCUUAUCAAUGCAGAGAUAGUGAAAUCUUCCUCCUCAUCUUCAUCCUCCAAGAUAAGAGUUCUUCUCUUUUUGGAUGGAGCACCCAUGGGCUCCUUCCCUUUUCUCUUUGAUGCAGAAGAUACUGGAGUCUUCACUUUGAACUUCUCCAUUGCCUUACUAAGCUCUUUCAGAUGCAUUUUAGUCAGCAUUUUCAAACCCACCACCAUUUUGUCGCAUGGUCGAACACAAAGAGUAUGCAGAGGUUCAAUGUUCAAGUGUCUGAAGAUCUUGGUCACAAGACCAGAAUAAGGCAAUUGGCCCUUGUCCUUCACCAUUGCUCUGUACAUGCGAAAGAGAAUGGUGUGAGGUAGAGAGAACUUUUUCCCUGAAUUGAUCGCAUACAUUAAUUUUGCCUCGGAAUUAGACACGUCAGUCUUUGAUGUAGACUUUGGCCUGAUGCAGUUGAUCACAAUUUUGUGAAGCAAGAUAUUGAUGCCAUGCAUUCUUGAAUAUGUAACUCUUCCUUCUGUACUCCUGUCUUUGACAAGUUCCACAGUGGUACGAGCGAUUGAAACCUUGAUCGGUUUAUAUCGUCCUCUUUCGACUCCAAUUAUGUCUGCCAACAUGUCCACAUCCACCUCAUAGACUUGGUCUCAAACACUGAAUGAUAUUCUAUUCGCAUCCAAAAAGCUAAGAUUCGAAUAGAAGUAUGCUAUUAAUUGCGCAUAACCGCCUGUGGUAUCGGAGCAGAAUUGCUCAAGUUGAAGCAGAUUUAACUUCUCCCUUAAGUUCACAUUAAUGGCAUCCAAGAAAUCGAAAUCAACACUCCUAGGGUUUAUCACCCCUCGUUUCCACAGUCUGAAGAACAGAUUCUCCUAUUCCUUCGAUUUAAAUAAAUCCAUCCUUUUUGCCUUCACCUUCAUAGCAACACCCAUUCUAGGUUGAAAUUCACUGAACAUUUUAUCAUCAUCGUUCCCGUCAGUCGGAUUCAGUCCCGAUACACGAGGGUCACUUGGAAUAUUCGCAAGUGCUUCCUCAGCCUUUCCUUUGGGAGCAAUUCCCAAAUCCUCCAUUCGUCACAAAAAUAUAUACUCAUUCCCAUAAUUCUUAUCUUUAAGGAAAUCAUCUAUAUAGUUCAGCAGAGUCCAAAUGCUCUUCAACGCACGAUAGAGCUUGUAAAUAAAAGAGGGUUUUUGGACUCUUACAGGGUCUGCGUCCUCGAUUAUUUCUUCCUCCGGUUGAUGACUCACAUCUUGUGGGGUAGAUGAUGAAGAGUGACGUGGUGGAGAGUGAAUUGGGCUCUGUUGCUAACUCGGUAAAUCUUCCUCUUCGGUGAGAUCGAAAUGGGUAGGUCCCUCCUUCAUUCUCUGCGGUCCCCUGUUCGCGAUUCUUGAAGACUUUCUCGAGGAAGACAUCCUUUCUUGUCGAUGAAAGAUUCCUUUACUCGCUUUCCCAAGAAAAGAUGACAACUUUCUCGAAGAUAAACACAAAGUAGAAACAGGAUCGGGAGGAGAAUGCUUUUUAGGGUUUUGAAGAUUGAGCGAGGAAAACUGUAUAUAUAUAUAACUUAGUUUAAAAAGGAAAAACCAAUCGGCACAAAGGAAAAUGAACAGACGCCUCUUUUAAGGUCAAUAACUGCCAAAUAGAAGUUAAUCUUUUUUUGAAAAGACAAGAUUCAGUUUUUCACGGAAAUUAUAAAUUAACUGAACUAAUGAUCGUACCUUUUCGAGAUUGAAUAAAAUAACAGCUUACAGUCUAUAGCCAUGAAUGUCUGAGUCUGAGGGUUGGAGAGUCUCUAGACUUUAACUUCCUCAAGCUUCAAAAUGUUGAGUCUGGAACGAAUGAAAUCGAAUUGAUUUUUCUCCAAAGGCUUUGUGAAUAUAUCCGCUAGUUGAUUUUUUGAAUCAACAAAUUGAAUUGAGAUUUCUCCAUUUUGAACAUGAUCUCUAAUGAAGUGAUGGCGAAUCUCUAUAUGCUUUGCUAUUGAGUGAAGAAUUGGAUUUUUAGUGAGAUUGAUUGCGCUAGUGUUGUCACAUCUAAUCUCUGUGCAUGAGUCUUCAAUUCCAAAGUCUUGUAGCUGUUGUUUUAUCCACAGAAUUUGCGAACAGCAACUUCCAAGUGCUACAUACUCUACUUCUGUUGUUGAAAGAACCACAGUGCUUUGUUUCCUUGAAAACCAAGACACUGUCCUGCUUCCAAGCAACUGGCAAGUUCCCAAAGUGCUUUUUCUAUCAACUCUGCAACCGGCCAGAUCUGCGUCUGAAUAUCCUUGAAGAUUAAAGUCUCCAUUCUUAGGAUACCAAAGACCGAUGCUUGAAGAUGAAGCAACAUAUUUAAUAAUACGUUUCACAGCACUGAGAUGGGAUUCUCUAGGAUCUGAUUGAAACCUAGCACAGAUACAAACACUCAACAAAAUGUCAGGUCUAGAGGCAGUAAGAUAAAGAAGUGAACCAAUGAUACUCCUGUACAGCUUUUGAUCAACUUUCUUCCCUUCUUCAUCUUUGUCUAUCUUCAAAGAACUUGACAUUGGUAUGUCGGUCUUUUUGCACUUUUCCAGUCCAAACAUUUUGACAAGAUCAUUAGCAUAUUUUUCUUGAUAAAUAAAAGUUCCUUCCUUCAAUUGUUUUAUUAGUCUGUCGUACCAAGCUCGAGGUGCUUGCUUUAAACCAUACAAAACCUUUUUCAGUCUGAAAACUGAGUCUGGCUUCUUUGGGUCUUCAAACCCUGGUGGUUGUUCCACAUAAACUUCCUCAUGGAUAAAUCCAUUUAGGAAGGCGCUUUUGACGUCCAUUUGGAAUAACCUGAAAUUUUUAUAAUAAGCAAACGCAAGUAAUAGCCGAAUAACUUCUAACCUUGCUACUGGUGCGUAAGUCUCAUCAUAGUCUAUUCCUUCUUCUUGCGUAUAUCCCUUGGCCACGAGUCUUACUUUGUUUCGUACGACUCUUCCUUUCUCAUUCAUCUUGUUUCUGAACACCCAUUUAGCUCCAAUAACAGUUUUACCUUUUGGUUUUGAUGUCAAUUCCCAGACAUCAUUAAUGUUGAACUGUCUAAGCUCUUCUUACAUAGCUUCAAUCCAGCUUUCAUCAGAUAAAGCUUCUUCUAUGCUCUUUGGUUCAAUUUCAGAAACGAGAGCCACAGCACUAGACUCUUCUCGCCUUUUGGAUCUGGUGCGAAUUCCUUCAUUAAUUUCGCCGAUAAUGAGAUCUUUAGGAUGACUGGACUUAUGCUUCCAGUUACUUGUUGAUUUGUCUAGUAGAUGAUCUCUUUCUUUAUUUGAAUCUUCACGAACAGCUUGAUGCUGGUCUUCCAAAGUCUGAGAUGCUUCUUGAGUUGUAAGCUUUAGAGGGUCUGGAGCAGGUUCAGACUCUUCAUGAUGAGUCUGACUGGAUUCAUCUUGCGUAGAGUCUUGAAAUUUGACAUUCAUUGACUCCUCCACAGACUAGCUCUUCUUGUUAUAGACUCUGUAGGCUUUGCUUGAUGUAGAAUAUCCAAGGAAGAUGCCUUCAUCUGAUCUUUCUUCAAACUUACCAACUCGAUCUUUUGCAUUUUUCAAUAUAAAGCAUUUGCAACCGAAUACAUGAAAGUAUGAAACAAUAGGCUUCUUAUCUUUGAAUAACUCAUAAGGGGUUUUCUCUAGAAUAGGUCUUAAGAAGACUCUAUUGAUGAUAUAGCAUGCUGUUGAAACAGCUUCAGCCCAAAAUCGUGAAGAAAUCUUACUUUCAAUUAAAAGAGUUCUAGCCAUUUCUUGAAGAGAUCUAUUCUUUCUUUCCACAACUCCAUUUUGCUGAGGAGUAUAUGGAGAAGAGAACACAUGCUUAAAGCCAGAUUCAUCACAAAAUUUUGUAAAAUCUUGAUUUUCAAAUUCACCUCCAUGAUCUGUUCUUAUUCUUGAGAUAACACAUCAUUUUUCAUUUUGAACCUUUUUAGCAAAUUUUUCAAAAUACGAGAAGGUUUCAGACUUACUUGCAAGGAAGUAUACCCAAGUAAAACGGGAGUAAUCGUCCACAAUUAGUAGGCAAUAUUUCUUACCUCCAAUGCUCUGGGUUCUGGUUGGUCCGAAGAUAUCCAUAUGCAGCAACUGUAGUACAUGAUUAGUAGAGAUAUGAUUUAUUUGUUUAAAUGAAUUUCUUACCUGCUUUCCCAGAAUACAUGGAGUGCAUGGAUCAGUCUUUUGGUAUGGUAAUUUAGGUAGACUCGAACAAGCUGCUUUGAUGAGAUUUUGGCUAAUUGCUUCAUGNNNNNNNNNNNNNNNNNNNNNNNNNNNNNNNNNNNNNNNNNNNNNNNNNNNNNNNNNNNNNNNNNNNNNNNNNNNNNNNNNNNNNNNNNNNNNNNNNNNNUCUGUGCCAUAAGCUUGCUUCGUCUUGAAUUGAGAUUAGACAUUGCGAUUCAUUUGGUUUCACAUCUAGAAGAUAGAUAUUUCCAUGUCUUUGACCCAUGAAAGACUGAGUAGAGUCUUUACUGAUUCCAGAACAUGUUCCUUCUUGAAAGAAGAUCUUAAAACCAGUAUCACAUAAUUGACUAAUGCUGAGAAGAUUGUAAUUGAGUCCUUCCACUAGGGAAACAUUGCUUAUUGUGAGAUUUCCAAUUUUCACAGUUCCAAAUCCCACAAUACUUCCUUUGUUGUUUUCCCCAAAUAAAACUUUUCCACCAUUUACUUGAACAAGCUUUAUGAAGCAUUUUGAGUCUCCUGUCAUGUGUCUUGAGCAUCCACUGUCAAGAUACCACUUCACCUUUUUCUUGACGGAGACCUGCAUUUAAAAUAAAGUCCCAAGCUUUCUUUGGUACCCAAACUUUCUUGGGUCCUUUGGUGUUAGUAAGAUAAGCAGUAUUAGCCAAUACUUUCUUAACAGGUUUCCAAACUAUAGGACACUCUUUUUCAAAGUGAUCCGGACUGUUGCACUUUGAACAUCUGAGAGCAUUUCGACCUACAGACUUUACAAAAACUUUCUUGAAAUGAUUUUUGUAAGCCUCUCUCGGGGGUCUUUUCUUAAUUUUUUCUUUUACUUUAGGAAAAUCAAUUAAGGGAAUUGUUUCUGCUGUCAUACCUAGACCGGACUUAUUGAAGUAAGGUCUUUGAGCUGAAAGAAUUUUUUUUCAAGUUUUUCGGACCCUAUUGAAAAUUUCUUUGAAAUAUUUGAUAAGUCAGUUUUUAAAAGAGCAUUUUCUUUCAAAAGAUUAUCUUCAUUUUCUUUAAGAGUGGAAACAAUCAAGUCUAGACUUUUAACUCUUUCUUCUAAAACGUUUUCCUUUUGUUUUAGAGCUGAGUUUUCAUUUUUAAGUUCGGAAAUUCUUUUGAGAGAAGUCUUAAGACUAAGACACAGUUCAUCAAUGUAUUUAGAAACUUUGAUAGGAAUUUUAAAAUUACUUGCCUCAAAUUCACUGUCUGAGUCUGAUCCAGAGUCUGAGUCUAAUUGUGCCAUCAGACAUAGGUUGGCAUAUUCAUUAUCACUUUCUUCACACUCUGUAUCACUCCAGGUUUCGACUUUGAGAGCUUUUCAAAAUUUUUCAGCUUUUCCUUUCUUCUUCUUCAAAAGAGGACAGUUGGAUCUGAUGUGUCCCUUCUUUUUACAUUCAAAGCAAACGACAUCUUUGUUUGGUUCCUCAUCAUCAACAGACUUGGUCUACUGUCUUUGGAAGCUUUGUUUUUUUGAGUUGAUCCUUCUUCCUUUUCUAUUCAGUUUUCUGAAUCUUCUUAUCAUGAGAGCAAACUCCUCAUCGUCCAUAUCAUCUUCAGAAUCUGUAUCAUCAGAAUUAUCAUUUGAUUUUAAUGCAAUGGAUUUCUUACCUUUUGGAUCUUCAUCUUCAUUGAUCCGUUCCACUUCAUAAGACUGAAGAGUUCCAAUCAGCUCGUCGACAGAUAGUGGCAUAAUUCUUUGCGUCUCUCUAAUUGAAGUCUUUAUGUGAUUCCAAUCCUUGGAGAGUCCACGCAGUAGCUUGUUUACCUUCAUGGGAUCAGAAAUUGUUUGUCCUUGAUUUUCAAGACCAUUGACAAUAUCUGUAAAACGGCUAAACAUGUCAGUUAUAGAUUCUCCUGGUUUCAUUUUAAAGGCUUCAUAUUGACCGAGGAGAAUGUUAAUUCUGGUUUCCUUCACUCGAUCUGUUCCUUCAUAGGUGAUAUGCAAUCUGUCCCAAACUUCUUUUGCUGUAACACAAGAAGAUAUUCUGUUCUAUUCAGUUGGUGACAAAGCACAAUAUAAAGAGUAAAUUGCUUUUGCAUCGAGUGCUUGUCUCUUGAUUAUCUCUUCCUGAGUCAUUCCGCUAGUCUCAACAGUUUCUUUCCCUCUUUCAGAGAUUGAUGUAGCUGUAGGAGUAAUUCCUUUUUCUACAACGUCCCAUUCUAGAGGAUCCUUUGAUCGUAGGAAAGCUUUCAUCUUGUUCUUUCAGAUGUUGUAAUCCUUUCCAUCAAAGUAGGAUGGUCUGGUAUUGCUUUGCCCUUCCAUCAGCCCUGGUGCUAACAUACUAGCCAUGGAUCUUUUACUCUGAAGCAAAACACUUCAAAUAAAGUGAGUACACGAGCUCUGAUACCAAUUGAUAUAGCUAGUAUAAGUACCUAGAAGGGGGUGAAUAGGUAUAUAAAUGAUUUUUCUCAAUAAUUGCACAAUACUAGACAGUUGAUAGAUUUGAGACAAACGAUAAUCAAAGUAAGACUGAGAGAAGAGAAAAUUGAAUACGCGGUUUAUAGUGGUUUGGCUUAUGUCAAGCCUACGUCCACUCUUAUGCACUGACAGCCUAUUGGCUGGAUUCCACUAUGAACAAAGAGAUGUUACAGUGUUGUUCUCCCUUGUUUUCACAGUGUAGAUGAUCUACCACACUCGUUCAAGGCAUCACUAAGUAUGAACACUCUUUGUGAGUACAAUUUUGCUCAAAAUGUAUCGACUGAUAAUCAAGGUGCUUCAGACUCUGGAAUUUCUCUAUUGAUCAUAUACUAAAGUAACUAGAACGUCUUCCUUUUAUACUCCUUUAUGCCAUCAUACCCGUUGGCACCUACCAAAGGAAUUCCUCCAAUCUACCCGUUGGACGGAAUCAAUUAAGAAGAUCAUUCGAGCUAUUAAAGGAACCUGAUGAUAGCCCAUCAAUCAUGUUCGCCCAUACAAUCAGGAUCUUGGUUUCCAAGAAUAGAACCUUCCAAGAAUAUUUCAUCGAUCAUCGGAUCUUCAAACGAUCUUGAUUACAAAUAAAAGAAUCCGUUAUAUUUAUCCAACCAAGAGAUCUUCUCCAGAGGAUAAGACUAAAUCCUCAACCAAAUACUUCGGCUCUGGAUUGCGUUCGCCGCUGGAUUAGAAAAACUGUCAAUGAGAAUAGUCUCGAGUCUUGAGUGUUGAGUAUUGAGUCUUGAGUCUGGUGAUCUGAAAGUUUUCAGACUCAAAAUAGAAGAUCUGUACUUAUCCAAACUAGACUGAUAGAAACGUUUUGUCAGCUUCAAAAUAUUCUGGAAAGAUUUCUCCAACAUCUUCUUCUUCCCUAGUCUUCUAAGCAUUUUCUUCUAUUAUUUCUUGUAGAAAAGAAAUAGUGUGGUAUAGGCAUCAAACUGAAUCCGGAUCAUGAAAAUGAUGAGCCUCGUGUGCAUUUCAUGUGUGUCCAGUCAAAACCAGCGGUUCAAAUUUACUUAAUACAUGUACUAAGUGCACUAAAUAGUUUUCGCCGAGGCCUUCAUUGCAUAAAUUUUCUUAUUUUUUCUGUUUUCCCCCUCUACCCUAUUAGAGGAAAAAGUCACUCUUGAUGUUUAGGCAAUUUUUUUAAGCCAACAUGUGACAAUUGUGGGUGCACUUAGUAGUUUUGGAGAAAGAAGAGUUCAUAUAUUGUUAACUGGUAUUUGGUGCACUUUUUACAUCCUAAAAUCUCAUUUCUCUACAGUCGAUGCAUUCCAACUUUUGUGACAAUUUUUACCACUUUAGCAUCCGACAAGUGAUAAACAUCGGCCAUCACCAAUAAACUGAACGAAAGUCAAAUAAAGAGAUAUGAAAGAAAAAAACCAGUAGAGGGUUUUAUGACCAUCUACCUUGCUCUGACGGAGGAUCACUUGGCCUCUGCCAUGCAUAGCGAGCCGGACUGUGGAGUGAGGGCUUGCAAGCCAUCACUCUAUGUUGUGCGCAACUGGCGAGAGCCCUCACAACUGUCCUUGGCAAGCUCUUGCAAAUGGACAUCAAGCAAAAUCCCAUGUGACUUAGGAACUUUUUCUAAACAAUUAACUUCAAUAAAAAGUGUAUAUUCGUUUCUAUUAAUGUCUUAAUGAAAUUUUCAGAGUAUGGCAUGGGACACAAGGUUUCCAUACUGGGGAUACAUAUAGUUACGGCAUUCUAUUAUUGGAGAUGUUCAUUGGAAAGAGACCCACUGAGGAGGCCUUUGGGCACAAUCUUAACCUCCACAACUUCGUCCGAAUGGCUCUCUCGGAUCGAGCAAUGGACAUCAUAGACUUAAGGCUUUGGAGUGAAGCUGGCAAUCGACAACAAGAGAUCAAGAUCAGAGAUUGCAUUAUCUCUGUAUUUGAAGUUGGACUCGCAUUUUCGAUGGAAUCACCAUUAGAUCGGAUGGACAUGACCGAGGCUAUAAGGAAAUUACACUUGAUCAAGGUGAGUUCCGAAACCAAAGAGAGGAGGAUAGGUAUGUAGCUAAGUCAGUUUUCUCAUUUCAUCUGGGAACUCUUUCACUAUUAGAGAAAUUUGUCGUGCAAAGGCAAUGCUAGCAAAUUGACAUGAAUGUUUCUCUAACUAGUCUACCUACCCAUACCUAUUGUGUGUGUUUUUUAUGAUGACACCAAUAUCUAUAUUUUAAAAUCAUAGAAAAUGGAUGUAUGGAUUUAUAGUUGUCACGUUCUACCUUUUUUGGAUGGAGAGGAAAAGACAUAAGUUUAAGUAUAUUGCUUAAGAGGCGGGCCUAUAGCCCUUAGUUAGGCAUAGGCUCUCCCAAGCCCAUGCCCUGCCCAACAUUGGGGUGUUUAAUUUUAGUUUCAAUUAAAGCUAUAAGAAUUUUCUAAUGAUGAGUCACCACUUGCCUAUUGGCAUCAGUUAGAAACCAAGUGAGACAUGGGAGUAUACUCUACUUUCUAUGCAACUAGAGAAUUUAGGAGUGAUGACUUGGUUACACUAAUUAAUCAAUCAGUGCCCUCGCGCAGUACAUAAUUUUGUUCAUUUUGUCAGGCAGUUUGGAUUGAUUUUAAACCUAUCCCACUAAUAUAUGAGAUGGUCAUGCGGGUAUACAAUAAUUAAAAUAACAAUUAACAACCAAAGAAGUAUAAAAUAAAUUGCCAAGAAAAGUUAGAAUCUAACUCUAAGUAGGCUAUAAGGAAACCAACUUCAACAUAUCAGAAGUGCACAACCAAUUGGCAAUUGAAAUAGUAAUGCGCAAAUAACGACCAAGCAUUCGUCUUAUAGAACAUUCAAAUCUUGGGCUAAAGGUCUAAGAGGUCAUUCAAUUUUGAGCACAAUUUUUAUCAAAGAUUUCACACAUUUUAAAAAGAAACUACUCAAAAACUGAUUUUUAAACUUUUCCCAAAGAUUUCUGAUUUUUCUAAAUAUUGUAUGAAUUUUUAAAAAAAAUAUAAAUUUAAUAUAAUAUAAUAUACUAAUCCAACCGGGCUUGUCGGCCCGGGUUCACUGUUGGACUCGGCUCAGCUAUUGAGCCCAGUCCGGUGAAACCCAAAACAAAAUAAAUAUAAAAACUAAGCGCAACCCACAAUGAAAUAAACGUAAGUCGAAGCCUCAUUAGACCCACUGAAACCAUAUCAAUGCUCAAGCCCAGCCAUUUGAUCCGAAUUUUUGUUUCUUUUUUUUAUUUUUGAUUUUUUAAGUUUCCUUAUUUUAUUCUUUUAUUUCUUCCCUUCUUCUCCACGUCGUCUUAUUCACGACGACCCCUUCUCGAGCGAUGUCCUUCACCCGAAGCUCCGAAUUUCUUAGACAAGCCUCGAGCCAAAGCUCAAGGUGCCGCCGAGCCACCACCCUUCUUCAGUCGUCUACUCCGACCGCCACUCGUUGGCCGACCUCCCUGCUGCCGGCCGAGGACCACACCACUCGGCCGGAACCAACACAACAGGAAAAACGACAGGGCCAAAGCGAACCAAGCCACGGGUGGCCCCCGAACAACGUCAAGCUCGAAAUCGCAGCAAAACGAUAAGAUUAACAACACGCGAGAACGUCGAUUCAGCCCCGAACCAAGAACACGAAAGCUGAUCUAACUUAAGCAUUUCAUCGAGCAGUUAGAGCGCACUGUCUAAAACGACAGGAAAACGAAGCGGCCGACCUCAAAUCGCGCCAGGACUUAUGACAAUCAACAUACAAGAACACAGAGACGACACAUGGACGACGUGGGCCGGAGCUCGCGUGAGCCGAACGGCCGCGAGCUCCGGUCUGGCAUGCCCAAAAACAGGGCAAAAAUAGGGUCAGGCUUACUGGAAUUUUAGCGCGAGAAAGGAGGCACGGCGGCGUGUCGUCGGCCACGAUUCAGGUGCGUUGGCCGGCGGUCUCUCCCUCCAACUCUCCUCCCUCGCUUGAACUCUCACUCGCUGCUCUCUCUUUCUCGGAUCUCUCUCUUCUCUCCCCCCAAAAAAUCCCCUCUCCUUCUCUCCCUUUUAAGCUCUCUAGCCGGCGUGCAUGGCGUCGUGCCAUGCCAGCUGUCGCUACCGGUCUGCCCCGACCACCAACUCCAGUACGACGCUUGCCCUUGUCUCCUCUGCCUCUGUCGCGUCCACCGUCCUUUCCUCCGGUCUCUGUUCACUGCGGAAGCGUGAAGGAAAAGGGAAAAGGAAGGAGAUGGGGGCCGGGCCAGGAAAUGAGGAGUGGGCCGGCCCAGGUGGAGAGAAGAGAAAAAGGGGCCGAGCAGGCCCAGCCUUGUCCCGGCUCCGCUCUCCCAUUUUUUUUUUUGGAUCAAUAAUUUUAAUUUUAAUUUUUUAAAUAAAUUUUAGUACUGGUAAUGCGAAUGCUCUUAAUACCUAUAUGCUAUGCAAUUUAAUAAAAUUUAUUUUUGCUAAGGGUUAAAAAUUAAUUCCUAAUUUUCCAAUAUAAUUAAUAAAUAAUUAAACAGAUUGCCAAAAUUUAAGUGUCAACAAUAAUCUAUCUAUUUCCACCAAGUAACUAUGUAAAAUUAUGAUGAGUUUGCUUAUUUGUACGGUUCUCUUUAUUUUCAAUGACACUAGGACCGAUGCGUUGUUUAAUUAUCAUGGCUAGGCCAUUGCCCUUGUUUGCCCACCCCCCCAAAAAAAAAAGAAAAUCUUGAUCUUCUCUAUGCUUUUGCGCAUGUGCAGUACAAUACGACCUCACCGUGAGCUUGAGGUCACUGGCUCAAGGCUAACUCUUAACGUUGCACUUAAGUGUGAGCCCACGAUCAAAUCCAAAGAGCACGAAGAGGGAGGCAACCUCAUCGUGAAAUCAUGAGCUCAAGCCCAACUCUCGAUGUCCCGGUCGAGCGAGAGCUCACUAUUCAUUGGAAGCGAAGCUUGAUCGAACUUGGGAGACAUUGCUAACGAAAUUCUAUUGUGGUCAUGUUGCCGACACUAGUAGCCACUAGAGAUAUAGAUUUAACAAACACAUAAAUUAGACAAGAUCAAAAAGGAAACAUCGACACAUAUUUUGUUGCACUCCUCAGUGUGCUGAUCAUACUGUCUAGUAAUACUUGUCGAGUCUUCUCACUCAACCAUCCCUCUCUCUUUCUUCACCAUUAGCCACUGUCUCCGGCCAUUGUGGCCACUUGUCAUCACCGGCGCCUUCUUCACAUCUUGAUUAUUUUGAAGAUAAUUUUCAUUAGAAAAAAUCAUCUUCUAAUUCAGAAUCUUUCUUUCGAAUUUAAAUUACAAAACUUCGAUCACCCCAUUGCCAGAGCCAGUUUACGCAAGGGUUGGCCAUGGCCUCGACAUCCCGAGCCUAUUUUCUCUUUAAGCCAUAGGCGGGGACCGCAAAGUCAUCAUGUUCGACUUUUCAACCGAAUAAUCGACGCAAUUGGUCAUCGUUCUAUAGCUUCUUGAGAUACAUUAUUGUCAAAGAUCCUACACCUCUGAAUCUUCAUUUGCGAGAUGGUUGUCUACAAACAUGGUGUUCCCAUUAUCUUUCCACUCCGAUACCAAUCCACGUAGUGGAAAAACUCGCAAUUUGCUACACGAGCAAGUAACUCGCAAACGCACAGGUGAAGCAUACACGCGUGACACAUAUAGAGAGAAAUUUAUCAUUUUUUUUUCGUAUUAAGUUAAAUUACAAGAGAAACAUAAUCUAUACUCGUAUUAGAAAACCUUAUGAAUUUCUAAGUAUAAAACAUAAUAUAGAUAUACUAAUAAGAAAAUCUAUACUGCUGAAUAUUAAAUAUCUAAAUUAAUAACUACUAAAAGUUGAAACAAAUCACCCAAUAUCCCAACGUAAUUUCUAAAAUAAAAAGAUAAGAAAAUAUGUGUCUCGUCUCAUUAUUAUUGUCAUCGUCCCAUCACAAACUGUUUUCCACGGUUUAAGAAGGGCAAGACAAAAUAGCCGAGGCUAUUGGGCCGACAAGUCAGUUGAAAGACAUUGUGCAAAGCAUAUGUCGACCUAUCAGAAACCUUUUCGAGUUCCACCUUAUCACCUCAAACACAAGAGGCUAUUAUAUCCGCCUACCUGGCAAUAGCUAUUUUCGAAUAAAUGAUGGGGCAUCUACCUACACCUCCCAAGGCCCCCCAACUUUCUAGAUGAAAUCUUUUUCUUCCCCACUUCGGAGGGAAUACUCUCGAGAUUUUACAUUACAUAGUUCAAACGAAACAGUUUAAGGACAUAUCUUAGGAAAAGAGCGUUGACUGAAAAAAAAAAAAAAAGAGUGAGAAAAACGUGACAAAUCAAACCGCGGAAAUUCCUCCGGGGAUGUCGCUCUUCACCAUAUCUCCAUCCUUGUGGAAAACGUUGACUUUUCUGUAUUCCCAGGAGACCCAACUUUCUUGUUUAGACCGUUUCUUCUCUUAAUGAUUAUUUAUAUUUCUAAACCUUUUGAACCCCUGAAUUUAAUUGGCUUGAGCCACGAAUUUACCCUAUCUGUUUAAUAAGAUAGUUAUGUCGUUGGAAUUUGAUAACAGAUUUGAUGUAAAAUGUUGCUUUUGAUCCCCGAUAAUCUUGCAAAUAGACAAACUAGAGGUCUCCUGCCUCCAAUAUUUCGUCUUUUGCGUUAUGUUGGAUACAUUGAGCAAUUGAACCAAUUCAAUUUAUGAACCAAACUGAAUUGGCCUUACUUGAUCGGUUCCGCAUCUAAUCACUUGGAGAUUGGGUAGUUUUUGUUUCCAAACAAUCCCUAGUUCCAAAACACCGGAACCAGAAACCGAACAUAAUAAGAUCUAGAUAUUUUUAUCUAAAUCUAUCUAUCUUGAAGCUAAUCUAAAUUCUAGCAUAAGACCGUUAUGUUUUUUCUUUCCUUUUUUUUCCAUGUAGAGAGGAACCGUCUUUAAUAAGUAAGUUCAGAAUCCAUGAAAUACUAAUCUCAACAAUCGAAUAAGACAUGGGUCAAAACACUAGAUGCAUGAUCUAGAGAUGGAAUUAUUUACGUUGGUAACUUACAAUGUCGGACUAACAUCUGGCUUUGUUGGUAGACAAAAACAAAGAACUAAUGCCUUGUUCUUAACAUGUCUAUUCUAUAGUAGCUAAGCCAAGAUGAGCAAUUGCAUCUAAUCUUUUGUGCAAUGAAUUGUAAUAUUAUUCCCGAAAUUGCGGGUCUUCGUUGGCUGUGCGCCCAUAAAGCAAGCGGUGGAAUAUAUGUUGAGUGAAUUUUGGGGGGCAGAACCGACAAAGACCCACAUUUUCAGGAAUAGUUAUUUCGUACAUAGCAAACACUUGGAAUAUAAAAACUUUUCACAAGUGGCUUUAAUCACCAUGCGAGCAUCAGCUCCUUAGUCAGCUUAUUACCUAUAUGCGCACUCGCACGAUAAUCAAGGCCGCUUUGAUAAACGCCAAUUACCAUCCGAAAUUUAUGACAUCAUUACCCUUAAUGGAUGGUUGUUCCGCUAGUUCACUUUAGCUGGCUAAAUACGAUCAAGCCUCUAAGUCAUACAAAAAAUAUGCAUACCUAUCCUUUUCUUUUUUGAUCUGACCCUUACACAUUUAUCUAUAUCUAUAUAAAUAAAACCAAAACACCAUUUGUCUCAAUUUUAGAUUUUCUAGACUGUCAUUCAAUUUCUUUCUCUCAUACCCUUCUGUUUCAGAAAUAACCAUCCAUUUUUUGUAUCUCUUCACAAUAUUAGAUUUCUUAGUUACCCUUGUUUCUGUUAUUGUAUAUUUACCCAUUUCAUAUAUAACUACUCAAUCUCUUUCCAUGCAUAUUAUCUCAUUAUUUGCUCACGCGUGAUGCAUGCCUAACAUGACAAUAGCGAUGAUAACAUGGAUGAAUGACUAUAUACGUUCAAGCGAAGUGAUUGCAUUUAUUGUAAUUUGAAGAUAUUUUCAAAUGGACAAUAUACAUUCUCAUGGCGAAAUAGAUGAUAGUGUUUCAACGGUGGUGAUACAUUCUUAUAAACAAAACACAUGCAUCCUUAGUCAGUGCCUAAAUCAUAGGUGAGAUGAUCAAGUAGAUCGAGCUUCUCAACCAUCAUAAAGUAAACUUCGAGUCUAUAUCAGCUAUGUCACCAAUAUUUAUAUUCUCUUUUCAAGUUUAUAAAAAGUGUAGGUCUAAUCAUGGAUUUGGCGACCUGCAUGUGCAUCAACAAAACCUACUCAUUUGGGUUUGGGGAAGGCCCCUAGAAGUUCAAACCAAGCCUACUCAACAAUUAGGUCUAAUUGUAAAAUUUUUUCUAAUGUGUGCUAAUAUUAAUUAAUAUUGUAAUUUAUCAUUUUAUGGAAUUGGUAUAAUCACGUAAGAUAUAAGGUUUCUUAAUUACUUUAAUAUGAGACAAGUUAGUGUGGGCUGAGUAAGGCUCGACUUAUGAUGAGAUGACAUGUGGUUUAAAACUCUAUAAAUAGUGUUUAAGUCUCUCUUCUAACCUUGAAGCAUUAAUAUCCUCACAUAAGAAGCGUUUACAAAACAUUAAGGGUGAUAGAUAGUCUCAUUGACCCAGUGAUAUAGAAGGCAAUAGAGGAAAAGAACGGUGAAUUUCAAAUUAGGUACGCAAAUCUCUUUACUUGAUUAUACGUGUUUUUUUAUUUUACUUAUGGAGAUCUUGGGGUGCCAUUUUCACAUAUUAUACUAAAUAAAUGUAAUACUUACAUUUAAACCCCUCUCUCUAUAUAUUAUUAUAUAGAGUUCAUGUGAAUGAGUGGUGUCGCGACCUACCCUCGGGGGGGAGGGAACAAGUUUAGGGGUAUUGCCUAAAAGACGGGCCUAAGGCCCAUGAUUAGGCGCCGCUUCUCCCAAGCCCAUACCCCGCGUGACAUUGGGAUAUUUUCUAGGAAUUUUGCACAAAAGGAGUCGCCACUAGCCUAUUGGGGUUAGCUAGAAACCAAGUGAGGCAUGGGAGCGUGCCUCACUUCCUACGCAACCAGAGAAUUUAGAUUCGGGGACUUGAUUACACUAAUUAACUAAUUAGUGCCCUUUCGAUACCUAAUCUUGUUCAUUUUAACAAAAUAAUUUUUGGCAGGCAGUUUAAAUUGAUUUUAUGCUUAUCCACUAACAUAUAAUGCGAUCAUGCAAGUGCGUAAUCAUUAAAGUAAAAAUCAAGAUCUUAAUUGCAAUAAGUUAACACAUGCCACUAAGCAAUUGCAAACAUAAUUAAACAGGUAAAUUAAAUACGCAAUAUAAUCAAUAUACUUGCAAUUAAAGGCCUAAAUACACUAUAAAUGCAAUACAUGGUCAUUUCUAAUCAGAACCUACCCUUUUGGACUUUCAAAAAAAAAAAUUUAAUUUUUUUUUAAUUUUUUUAAUUUUUUUAAAAAUAUUAUUUUAAUAUUAUAAUAAUAUAAUAUAUUUGAAACGAACUAGGUCGGAUCCCCAGGUUGGGUCCGACCCCGUUCAGUGAACAGGGCCCGAGCCCGGACCGGAUCGGGCCAAGCGGCUCGAAACAAGCAGAAACCAGCCGGACUAGGCCUGAUGUGUAGGCUCAGUCCAGUUUAAUUUUUUUUUAAAACAAAGCCCAUAAGCCCACUACUUAAAACAGCCUAAACCAAGCCCUAACAUUCAGCCCAAAUUACUCAAAACCUUACCCGAUGGGGGUUUCGCCCGACCCGGUCAAGACACGGUUUGCGCCUCCUCUCUCCAGGGCUUCUUUGCGGCGGAGGCACGACGACGCGGUGCUGGAAGUUGGUCACGGCGGCGCGGCAAGGCGGCCGAGGUGCGGUGGCCGGCACGGGUUGCUGGUGUCGAGCAGGGACGGUGCCAAUGGCGGUGGCAUCGCGGCUGGGCAGGGGCGGGCUAUUGCGUUGCGGAGCAGAUGCAGUGGCGACCGGCUCUGGCGUCGCGGGAGGGUGCUCGUGUAGAGGUGCUGCCGCGGAAAUCCGGCAGAGGGGACCGGCAGAAGCUCGGGUGGCGUCAGGGACGGAGGGCGGCGGCAGCUCGAACUGCGUCUGGCGCCGGGCGAAGGUGGCGUGAGCGUUUGAUCGUCACAGUUGCAGCAAGGGGUCGCGGAAGCUCGGGCUGCAGUCGAGUCGGGGCGUAGCGGUGGUGGCGCGGUGCUUGCGAACGAGCAACUCUGCCAUGAGGCGGCCGGCACAGCGAAUGCUUCGAACGACCGCGAGGCGAAGCCGCCUCUCUCUCUCUCUCUCUCUCUCUCUCUCUCUCUCUCUCUCUCUCUCUCUCUCUCUCUCUCUCUCUCUCUCUCUGUUUCUGGGUUGCUCUUCUGUUGAGCUCUCUCUCGAGGCGCGAUGGUCGUCGCAGCUGUGGGUGCUGCAGCGGCGUCAUGGCUUCGAGCUGCUAGUGGUCACUACGGCGUCAGCGACGGAGACGGUUGCAGCAAGUUGCUACUGCGGCGUUAGAUUGCAGGUGGAGGCGGGCGAGCGACGGCACGGGUUGUAGCGAGGUGGCUCGGCUGGCGUCGAGUUGAGGUGGCGAGGAGGGCAGCGGCUCGUACGGCGUCAGGCAGCGCCGCCGCUGCCCUCCUCCCCUCCAUUUCUUCAAAUCUAGAUUCUGGGGAAGACAACAGCGAGCCGCAUCGAUUGGGCAGCUCGUUGGCGACAGUGGUGGCGGUAUAGCUCUCUUUUCUCAAGCUCUCUCUCCCUCUGCCGAGAACUCCCCCAUCCCUUCGUUCUCUCUUUCCUUUUCUUUUUCUUUUUUUUAGAAACUCCCCCCUCUCCAAAACCCUAGCUACUGAGAGAAGAAUACCCUGGGCGCGGGCUGGGCUACACUGGAAAGAAGAGUGGGCCGGCCUUGCACGAGAGAAAGAAAAGGAAUAGGGGGCGGUGGGCCAGUUUGAGGCUGGAUCCAGCCCAAUCCGCCCUCUAAGUAAUUUUUCAUUCAUUUUCUUUCAAUUUUCUAUUUUCUUUUGUUGUUGUUUUGCUCUUUUUUUUUCUUUUUCUCUAAUAAUUUUUUUGUACUUGAAAAUAAAAAUUAGGUGUAAACAGCUGCCCCUCUUUGAAUGUUGUCUCGAAGAGGUUGCAUUUAAAGACAAAAGACACCUAAAUUAUUUAUGUGGUAGCGAGACCCUGAGUGCAUAGGCACACGUUAGGUCGACAGAAAGGAUUUAUAACUAUGAAAGCACGUCUUGUCAAUAAGAUAAAGAAAGACUCCGGGAUACAAAGUUCUCUGGGUCAUAAGAAGUGAUGAAGACUCUAGGAUACAAAGCUCUCCGGGUCAUAAGAAGGGAGGAAGAUUCUAGGAUACAAAGCUCUUCGGGUCAUGAGAAAUGAGGAAGACUCCAGGAUACAAGGCUCUCCGGGUCAUAAGAAGGGAUGAAGACUCCAGGAUACAAAGCUCUCCGGGUCAUAAGAAGUGAUGAAGACUCCAGGAUACAAAGAUCUCCGGGUCAUAAGAAUGGAGGAAAACUCCAGGAUACAAAGCUCUCCGGGUCAUGAGAAAUGAGGAAGACUCCAGGAUACAAGGCUCUCCAGGUCAUGAGAAGUGAUGAAGACUCCAGGAUACAAAGCUCUCCGGGUCAUAAGAAGUGAUGAAGACUCCAGGAUACAAAGCUCUCCGGGUCAUAAGAAAGGAGGAAGACUCCAGGAUACAAAGCUCUCCGAUUCAUGAGAAAUGAGGAAGACUCUAGGAUACAAGGCUCUCCGAGUCAUAAGAAGUGAUGAAGACUCCAGGAUACAAGGCUCUCCGGGUCAUAAGAAGGGAGGAAGACUCCAGGAUACAAAGCUCUCCAGGUCAUGAGAAAUGAGGAAGACUCUAGGAUACAAGGCUCUCCGGGUCAUAAGAAGGGAUGAAGACUCCAGGAUACAAAGCUCUCCGGGUCAUAAGAAGUGAUGAAGACUCUAGGAUACAAAGCUCUCCGGGUCAUAAGAAGUGAUGAAGACUCCAGGAUACAAAACUCUCCGGGUCAUAAGAAGGGAGGAAAACUCCAGGAUACAAAGCUCUCUGGGUCAUGAGAAAUGAGGAAGACUCCAGGAUACAAAGCUCUCCAGGUCAUGAGAAGUGAUGAAGACUCCAGGAUACAAAGCUCUCCAGGUCAUGAGAAGUGAUGAAGACUCCAGGAUACAAAGCUCUCCGGGUCAUAAGAAGUGAUGAAGACUCCAGGAUACAAAGCUCUCCGGUUCAUAAGAAAUGAGAAAGACUCCAAGAUACAAGGCUCUCCGGGUCAUAAGAAAUGAGAAAGACUCCAGGAUACAAAGCUCUCCGGGUCAUGAGAAAUGAGGAAGACUCCAGGAUACAAGGCUCUCCGGGUCAUGAGAAGUGAUGAAGACUCCAGGAUACAAAGCUCUUCGGGUCAUAAGAAGGCAGGAAAACUCCAGGAUACAAGGCUCUCCGGGUCAUGAUAAAUGAGGAAGACUCCAGGAUACAAGGCUCUCCGGAUCAUAAGAAGGGAGGAAACCUCCAGGAUACAAGGCUCUUCAGGUCAUAAGAAGUGAUCAAGACUCCAAGAUACAAAGCUCUCCGGGUCAUAGGAAGGGAGGAAAACUCCAGGAUACAAGGCUCUCCAGGUCAUAAGAAGUGAUGAAGACUCCAGGAUACAAAGCUCUCCGGGUCAUAAGAAAGGAGGAAGACUCGAGGAUACAAAGCUCUUCGGGUCAUGAGAAAUGAGGAAGACUCCAGGAUACAAGGCUUUCCGGGUCAUAAGAAGUGAUGAAGACUCCAGGAUACAAAGCUCUCCGGGUCAUAAGAAGGGAGGAAAUGACUGAGGUCUCAUUGUGUAAAAACGAGUUUUGACCGGGUAUGAUAGUCUCACCAUGUACAAACGGGUUUUGAUUAGGAGGCAAACAAGCGUGGUUUACGGAUGAACCCACCAAUCUUGGAGAUGAUAUGAUUUAAGGUUAACCAUAAGCCUUUGGAGACGACAUGGUUUAAGGCUGACCAUAAACCUUUGGUUUUUAGGGAAGCACCCGCUAACCCCUUAGAAAACUGCAUGGCUUCACCGAUGAAUCUUGUCAAACUCAACUUGAGCAAAUGUCAUUAGAGAUGUCAUCAAGAGACAUAUUGGCAAAUUGCAGCAAUAGUUGAAUAAAAUAAUCAAGCUAAGUCCGACUGCUUUAGAAAAACAUUCGAUGUUCAUCAACCUCAUGUGACGCAAAAUUGUCAUCUUGCUCAUGGAUAUAUCAUUAAUCAUCAAAUUCUCUAGGAGACAAGUUCUUAUCAGAACGGCUAUGACUCGAGAAAAAGGUUCAUUAAGCAUGCCAAACUAGAGCUUCUUAGUUAGAAAGGGUUUCUCGCGCACUCUCAAUGAAAUGGCUACUUGAUCCCAUCCAUUCAUGUGGGAGAUAAUUGGUUGUUGAAGGUAUCUCACAUAACCUACGUCGAAGGCUUCCGGAAACAUUCGCAAUGAGCACAAUCUGAUCGAUCAAAAAUGUCUUUUGAAAGGACGGCAAUAUAGGCUCAGUUAGGGCUUACACAAAGAAAUUAUUGCUUAAAGCAAUGGAUAUCAGUGUUUGGGUAGAGAAGGAAAUGCUCUUCUUCACUUUGGGAUAAGUUGAGAUCUAAUGAGAAUUCAUUUGAGGCUAUCAACAGAAGAUUGAUGCAAGUGAAAGUAAUAGAAUCUUUCUCAACCUUUCGCUUUACAACACGACCGUAACCUCCUAUGUUGCCCCAAUAUAGGGUCGUCCUCAACAGGGGUACUUUGAAUGAUCAUCUUUAUUCUGCCCAAAGGGGUAGGAAGAGAUUAGUGCAAUGCUUGGGAUUGAUGAAGGAAACACCUUUAUCAUUUUGAUCUUUGCGCUCAAUGCGAAUGAAUCAAUCGUUCUAAGAGAAUGUCGUUUUUCACUAAACUCUCAAAAGUGUUUGAAGGACGUGUUUGGAAAUGGGCUUGUCUUUCUUCAUCCUAAGCACUUCUUGUUUGGCAUGGUUAAUGUCUCAAUCUCACUCUGUCAAGAUCAUCUGAGUAGAUCAAUCUCCAUAAGGAAAUUUGAUUUUAAAUGAAUAACCCAAAACCAAAAAAAAAAAAUUUGAAAUAAAAAUGAUGCUCAAAAAGUUUGAAGAAAUUUUUUGUUUUCAAUUUUUCAUUUUUGUGCUUAUUUCUAGGAAAGCGCCAAAGGAUCUUUUUGUAAUGGAAAUUCUCUUUCUUUUUUCUUUACCUUUUUUUUUUACUAAAAAAAAAUUGAGAAGAAUGGCACUUACCUGUUGUGUGGUGACCCGGUAAACCUGUAAAGAAUAUGAAAGAAUAUGUUAGUGUAAAAAUUUUUAGGGAAUGAAAUGUUGGAAACGAUACAUUAUUACCCUUCAUUUGCUUUCAUCUUUUGGGCACUAACAUCUCUUGGAUUCACAUUCGUGGAUAUUUGAUAACUUGACAAUACCAUUCCCUUGCAUCCGCCUUUAAGUGCUUGAUGUCUUCCUGAUUCCUUGGUGGAAGGCGCUGCUUCUAUGGUCAAGGUGCAACUUUUUUUAUAUAUCACCCUGUAAGAAGAGAUGAAACAAGUUAUCUCCAUUCUUAGUUAGGUUCAAAUGAGGAACGAUACAUCCUUUCUGAUGAAUUUGGCAACGUUGUUCCAGCACACUUCAUUGAUGGAUGAAUGAGAGAUUUUUCUUUAAAUCAAACGUUGUUCUCCCACUCUUUAUAUGACAAACCUGUGUUCCGUUCGAGUCUGUCCUAUACCAAAGAAAAUGAUAUGUCAUUUUUUAUACUAAAGAGAAAUCAAGUUUAGGAACAAGUUAUAUCCUUUACAAAGUCAAGUGAUCAACAUCCCAAUGUAUCUCUCAUGGAGGAAGGAAUAAUAUUGCACCUCCGUUUCAUUUGAAUCCUUCUUUGUUUAAGAUGAACAGGACUUAAUAAUGCUCCAUCGCAUUUGUUGAAACAUUACAAAACUUGGUACUCUUUAUGUCUCCUUGACAAUGAAAAGAAAAUCAAGUCAGAAACGGUAUCAGAAAUGAAUAAUUGAAAUCGAUACAGUUUACUCUUCCUUUGAAUUUGUCCUUUUGGAUAUUUGACAACUCCUUUCAUUUGUCUCAUCAUGUAAAGUGAACGAGAUCAAUGUGUUGUUUUGGCAUCUAAGGCAUUUGCGAAUAACAAAACUUCUCAGAAUGGAAUUCAACUUCGUUCCACCUCUAUGGAAAAUUGGUGCCGAUGAAACCUUAACGCAUGCUUGCUCUUCGAGUUCGAUGAGCCCAAGAAAACGCCUACGUGAAGAGAGGGCAUUAAUCAACGUUUUCUUGAAAUUCAUUUUGGAAGGUAAACAUAUAGGUUCACUUAAAACACUUCUGAUUUUUUGAUUUUUUUUUUUUUGCUUUUUUUUGUUUUUUUUUUUGUUUUUUAAAUAAUGAUGAUGAUUUGCAUGAAACUGAAUUCCAUCAUUAAAAAUGAGUCGCAUGAUUUACAAAGGCAUUAAUUGGAUUGACAAUCAAAACUCAAAACGGAAAACACGACUCUUAACAAGAGUAAAGACAAUAAUAAAAUACGAAAAACUCUUGCUCAAAUGAAAGUAAAAAUCAACUCUUGUCCUAGUUCUUGAUUCACUUCUCUAUGUGGUCAAACACGAGAAUGUCAUGGAGCAUUACACACAACCUGCAAAAAGAUGACAAUGUCAGUACAUGAAUGAGAGAAAAUGAUAUCUUAAUGAGGUUGCUUUUUACAAUAAAAUCGAGGCGACGAUACAUGCCCCACAAUCCUUAUUAUGGGAUUUUAGUAUUUCUCCAAGAUUUUAUCAUAAGGGAAGACAUCAUUAAAAUUAUCAAUACAUGGCCGUCAAUCGAAUACCCACUUUGAUUCCAAAAGUUUCGUAUGCAAAAGUGUCAUUGAUUUUUGAAAGAUUGAUUUGUGAUUUUACUCUUAGAAAAAUGAAGUGAUUUUUAUUUUAAGGAAUUUGUACACAAAAUGAUUUGCAUUAUAGUCUCAAAAUGUGAGAAUGAGAAAGUAUGAUAAAACAUGCAAUUUCAAUUUUUGUGCACCAAUAUAAAAUCACAAAUUGAAAUUUUUUUCCUUCCUUUUUUUUUUCGAAAUGAUUUUUGAGCCCAUAACUAGAAAUUUAAACAAAACCAUGUGUUCAAUAGAGCCAAAUCAAAAUGUUUAGAACUUGCAUUCAAAUGCUCACUUGUCAAAAGUGAUUGCCAAUUUUUCAAUCAUAAGCUUGCAUCACCGAGGGCAUCCGAUUGAUUUCCGCGAAUUUCAAGAUGAAAAUGCAAUACAAAAUGAACAAAUAAAAAUGGAAAUGAUACUUACAAUGGGUGCCAACCUUUGUCUCAUGCUUUUUUUUUUAUUAAAAUUACAUAGACAUGCACAUGGAAUGUGGUUCGAUUUCUAUUCUAUACGGCUCAAAAUAAAGCCACAAUAUCACAGGACUGAACCAACAAGCUUGUGGCUAGGUCGUGUUACCCAUGAUUCCGGCUUUGUCAAAGGAUUGACCCCAUGUCGCAUGCUCGCAGACUAGGGUGGGGACCUCUGACAUCAAGAAAGAAAUUUCGGGGUUAAGUGGGCGACUCGUACUACGUGCUUGUAGUCGGAGUGGUAUCCACCUCAACACCAUCCUAAAUGAUCCUAUGCAGCUUAGGUCCGGCGGCAGGUAGUGUGUGCUAUAGUGUAGUGCAAUACAGGGAACUCAUGCAUGACAAUUUAAAAACAAUCAGCACUUCAAACAUAAAUAAACCAUUCACUCUUGCACCCCCUACAAAACAAAGGUUAGAAAUCACCACCCCUUAUAACUCCCAUAAACAAUCAACAUUCGACAUGUUAAGGAUGCACAUAAUAUCUUCGCUGCUAAACAAAAAUAUUUUUGAACAAGAUUAAUUUUGGCCUAAGUCAUCUAAGGUCUAAAACCAUGUCCCCAGCGGAGUCGCCAAGCUGUCGCGACCUAACCUCGGGGGGGGGGGGGGGGGAAGGGAACAGGUUUAGGGGUAUUUCCUAAAAGACGGGCCUAAGGCCCAUGAUUAGGCGCCGCUUCUCCCAAGCCCAUACCCGCGUGACAUUGGGAUAUUUUCUCGGAAUUUUGCACAAAAGGAGUCGCCACUAGCCUAUUGGGGUCAGCUAGAAACCAAGUGAGGCAUGGAGCGUGUCUCACUUCCUACGCAACUAGAGAAUUUAGAUUCGGAGACUUGAUUACACUAAUUAACCAAUUAGUGCCCUUUCGAUACCUAAUCUUGUUCAUUUUAACAAAAUAAUUUUUGGCAGGCAGUUUAAAUUGAUUUUAUGCUUAUCCACUAAUAUAUAAUGUGAUCAUGCGGGUGCGUAAUCAUUAAAGUAACAAUCAAGAUCUUAAUUGCAGUAAGUUAACACAUGCCACUAAGCAAUUGCAAACAUAAUUAAACAGGUAAAUUAAAUACGCAAUAUAAUCAAUAUACUUGCAAUUAAGGCCUAAAUACACUAUAAAUGCAAUACAUGGUCAUUUCUAAUCAGAACCUACACUUUUGGAUUUUCGAAAUUUUUUAAUUUUUUUUAAUUUUUUAAAUAUUUUUAUUUUAAAAAAAUAUUAUAAUAUUAUAAUAAUAUAAUAUAUUUGAAAUGAACCGGGUCGGAUCCCCGGGUUGGGUCCGACCCCGUUCGGUGAACAGGGCCCGAGCCCGAAUCGGAUUGGGCCAGGCGGCCCGAAAAAAGCAGAAACCAGCCGGACUGGGCCUGAUGUGUAGGCCCAGUCUGGUUAAUUUUUUUUAAAACAAAGCCCAUAAGCCCACUACUUAAAAUAGCCUAAACCAAGCCCUAACAUUCAGCCCAAAUUACUCAACACCCUACCCGAUGGGGGUUUCACCCGACCUAGUCAAGACCCAGUUUGUGCCUCCUCUCUCCAAGGCUUCUUCGCGGCGGAGGCACGACGACGUGGUGCCAGAAUUUGGUCAUGGCGGCGCGGCAGGGCGGUCGAGGUGCGGUGGCUGGCACGGGUUGCUGGUGUCGAGCAGAGACGGUGGCAGCUGCGGUGGGGUCGCGGUUGGGCAGGGGCAGGCUGUUGCGUUGCGGAGCAGACGCAGUGGCGAUCGGCUCUGGCGUCACGGGAGGGUGCUCGUGCAGAGGUGCUUCCGUGGCAAUCCGGUAGAGGUGAGCGGUGGAAGCUCAAGUGGCGUCGGCGGCGGCAGCGGUGGUGGCGCGGUGCUUGCGGACGAGCGGCUCUACCGCGAGGCGGCUGGCACGGCGAAUGCUUCGAACGACUACGGGGCGGAGCCGCCUCUCUCUCUCUCUCUCUCUCUCUCUCUCUCUCUCUCUGUUUCUGGGUUGCUCUUUUGUUGAGCUCUCUCUCGAGCGUGAUGGUCAUCGCGGCUGUGGGUGCUGCAGCGGCAUCACGGCUUCGAGCUGCUGGUGGUCACUGUGGCGUCAGUGACGGAGCCGGUUGCAGCAGGUUGCUGCGGCGGCGUUGGAUUGCAGGUGGAGGCGGGCGAGCGACAGCACGGGCUGUAGCAAGUAGCAAGGUGGCUCGGCUGGUGUUGGGUUGAGGCGGCAAGGAGGGCAACGGCUCGAACGUCGUCAGGCAGCGCCGCCACUACCCUCCUCCCCUCCAUUUCUUUAGAUCUGGAUUCUGGGGAAGACAGCGGCGAACGGAAUCGAUUGGGCAACUCGUUGGCGACAGUGGUGGCGGUAUAGCUCUCUUUUCUCGAGCUCUCUCUCCCUCUACCGAGAACUCCCCCCGCCCCUCCCUCUAUUCUCUCUUUCCUUUUAUUUUUCUUUUUUUUUAGAAACUCCCCCCCUCUCCAAAACCCUAGCUAUUGAGAGAAGAAGAACCUGGGUGUGGGCUGGGCUAAACUGGAAAGAAGAGUGGGCCGGCCUUGCGCGAGAGAAAGAAAAGGAAUAGGGGGCGGUGGGCCGGUUUGAGGCUGGAUCCGGCCCGAUCCGCCCUCUAAGUAAUUUUUCAUUCAUUUUUUUUCUAUUUUCUAUUUUCUUUUUCUUUUUCUUUUGUUGUUAUUUUGCUCUUUUCUUUUCUUUUUCUCUAAUAAUUUUUUUGUACUUGAAAGCAAAAAUUAGGUGUCAACAAGUGGUUUGCAGUAUUGCCAUCUCUAAGAGAGGAUGGGACCCUAAUUGACAUGGGGAUUGGGAGUAGACCCCCUUUAUCCCCUCCAUCCUAGGACGAGGAGCUACUCAACUAGACAAUAAUGUUAGGACUAUUACAAUUGCAUGAACAUUUUCUUAAUUAAACGAUGCAAUAACACAUUUGGAGAUAAAUCAAUGGAAAAUUAAAGCGGGAGGACCCAAAAUAAGGUUAUAUGCUUCGUUCAAUCCGCCAAUGGAAACUGUAUGAAUCCGUUGAUAAAGUGGAUUUAAUGCAUAUUUUUAGUACACUUAGCAUUUCUCUAGCCUCAAUAACUAUGCACCACAAUUUCAAUUACCGACUAUUGCUAUGUCAAAGCAUAUAAUAUCUUCGGAAGUUAUCAAAAUUUCUAAUGAUAACCCAAAAUAUUCAUCACCCUCGCAUAUUCAAUAUUUUCCAAACUCGCUCACAUGCAAACAUGAGUUGGAAAAGUCAAGAAUGCAUCAGCUUGACUAGUUGAGCCUGAUGUUUCGGCUUUUAUUGCGUGACUCAUGAUAGACUUGGACUUGAAACCAAUUUCGAAGGCCAAUAGAAAACAAUCAAGAGUAGGGAUUUACCCAAGAGACAACAUAUGUAAAAAAAAAUUGUGUGGAAAGAGAGAAAAUAAUUACAUGAAGGCAAUACUCGUUCAUCAAUCAAUUUGGCCGACAACUCUAGUCAUCGCAGCCUAUUUUUGAACAUUUGACUUUUCCAUGCACAGAUUACUCCACAUGAUCACCCUAUAAAUACCCUUUUAGCUUUUGCUUUUCUCUUCAUCAAUCAACUGAGAUCCUUCCUUCGCCAAUUUUCUUUUGGUCUCUCACAAUAUGAGUUCCCGUAUGACAAUCCCUCUGCGUCUUAUUUUUCUCGUCGCGUUAACCCUAGCAUUGAUCCCUCUGUCCAUCGCCCAAGACUCGCCCCAAGACUAUGUCGCCGCCCACAAUGCGGCUCGCUCUCAGGUUGGUGUGGGCCCGAUGGCGUGGGACGAAAGCGUCGCUGGCUAUGCCAGGGAUUACGCCAACAAGCAUGCCAGCGACUGCACGCAACUCAUUCAUUCAGGCGGACCCUAUGGGGAGAACCUUGCGUGGGCUUCCCCCGAUCUUACUGGCACAGGAGCGGUGAACAUGUGGGUCGGAGAAAAGCCUGACUACGACUACAAUUCCAAUUCAUGCGCACCAGGUAAGGUCUGUGGGCAUUACACUCAAGUGGUGUGGCGCAACUCUGUUCGGCUUGGAUGCGCAAAGGCUCAAUGCGCGACGGGCGGUACUUUGGUCACUUAUAACUACGAUCCUCCUGGGAAUGUUGAUGGCCAGAAGCCUUAUUAAAUUAUGAAAAAUUAUAUGUGGAAUGAUGAACUAUUAUGUCAAAAUAAUGCCUCCUUAGGAUGAGGCAAGAGCUUUUAAACAACAUCAUAUGAAUGAUGAAGGUAAAUCUCUUUACUAAAGAGAAAGUUAACCUCUUAGUAAUUAUAUUUUUCUUUUUUUCUUUUGCAAUUUCUAUUUUUCAAGUGAAGGAAUUUCGAUCAUUGAUCUAACCUCCUCAGCUCCAUGCUCUCGAGCACAUCACUAUCCCUUUGAGGCCUCAUUACACUGUGAAAGAGAAGCUAAGCAUGAUCUCUAUUACGCAUUUCACCCUUCAGUUCAUUGUAUUUGCCGUUCUAUUGAUUGUAUGUAGUACAUAGCAAUGGCUGUCUUGACCAUAUAAGGAUACUUUCUAGUCAAUAAGCUAAUCAUUCAUAGCAAAGAACAUUAAGAUAUGGACCAAUAUUAUUUAAUAAUAUGGACUUGGUGGUACAUUCGUCGAUGAAUUUUAUGUAUUGAUGAAUUGAACUCCUUUAGUUGACCAAGUAUAUAUUUCAAUCCGUAUCGCAGCCUUGUACUCUAGAAAGGUCAUAGACUCGUCACAGUUGGAAAAUUCGUCCCCGAGGAUUUUAUGUACUUAGAUAUAACCAUCUAAGAUAAAUUUUCAUGCUGUAUCAAAUUAUGAUGUUUAAAAAAUUAAGACACAAGAACACGCCAAAAUUUGCGGUCAAUGAAAUCUGAUUUAUAAGUUUUACACUUGUGCAGUCAAUUGUUGGAAUCGAUAUUAGGUUGUUGUAUAUGACUAAGUGGAUAAAAUGAUUAACCUAUAAUUUGGGAAAGUAUUGCGAAAGCUGUAGAAAUCUUGACUAUUGGGAUGGCAUAAUACAAGUCUGAAACUUUCACCUGAAGAAUAGAAAGACAAAAAAAGAAAGAAUUCAAGUCCGAACCCAUUAACAAAUACUGGUGGAUGGUGACAACUUUUAUUCGUUUCAUUGGAAAGCAUGGUUCUUACAUUCAUCAGCAGAACUGCAUGCAUGUUAAAAAAUUAAUAAUCAUCUUUGUCUAUCGUAUUUUAACAUUAUAUUCAAUCUGCUUCAAUGGAAUUUUUUGAUGUAAAAUAAUUGAUAAAUUUUUUGAUUUAAAUUACGAGAGAACAUAAUUUAUAUUUAUGUCUAAAAAACCCUAAUGAAAUUCCAAGUUUAAGACAGGAUAUAGAUAAACUAAUAAGAAACUACUAAAUAUUAUAUAUCUAAGUGGAUAACUACUAAAAAAUUGAAACAAAUCCCCCAAUAUCCUAACGUAGUUAUUAAAAUAAAAAGACAAGGAAAUGAAGUCUACCACUGGCUACCUCUAUGACGACCAUCAUGUCCCUCCCUCCAAUUGACAACCUCUUACAACCUCAACCCAGGCUGAUACCAUAGAUCGAGCAAGAACUACCUCUUCCUCCCGCCAUGCAUGUAAUAACCUUCCUUUUUUAGAAGACAGAAUCGACCACUUUCUAAAUUAACCCUCUCAAUCAAUGAGACAACUUAUUACUAGUUAUCUUUUUAUAUGCCUACCAGGGUUGUCCGCUAGGCGAGACUUUGGACAAAGCUCAAGUUAUUAGAUCAUUAUUCAUACGAUGCCCUAACUUUUAGAUGUGCUAAUUUUAUAUGCAAAACGUUUGAUAUGGACCAAAAAUAUUAAUGCAAAACAUUUGAAUGUUUCAUAUGUACACAUCUAACUGCCUCACGUGUUAUUCAAGCAGUGGUUGCUUGAUAAUCACCAUCAUCGAUGUACGUAAUUAGGUCCAAUCUCUCAGGAUGGUUGAAUAAAGCAUGGACUUCAUGUUAAACAUUUGUGACCAAAUAUUUUGGUUACGUUAGGUUUGUGUUGAGAAAACUCCUAUCUGGUUUUGAUAUUGACAAAACUUUCCUAUUCUUGUUCUUAUUCUGAAGAAGACUAGACUUCUGUGUUAUAUCGUGAAAUGUUAUCAAAGUCUAUUUUACUCUAGAAGUCUUUCCCACUCUGACGAGAUCCAAAUUGAAACCAAGUCCAGAAUGAAGAUAUAAUUAGAUUCAGGAUUAUUGAUCUUUCGAUAAUGAUUCGGUACAUACGAGAUUUAUCCUUAAUAUCUGGCUUUAUGGCAAAGAAUCUCACUUACCUUUUAUAAAUAUAUUGAUGGAAUCAAUCACGAAUUGAUGAAAUCAAUCUCGAAGAUAAGUUUCUUUUUGGGAAGCAUCUAUUUAUGGAAAUCUAGAUUUUGAUUGUUUGAGCGACCAAAAUCAUCGGAUUUUCAUUUCAAUCUUCAAAUGGCUACAAGAUUUCCUUAAUUGAUUAUGUUCAACGGAUUGAUUGAAAGAAAUUCCUCUAGAGAAUGAUAACGGUUAGAAAGGCAUAGAGAAGUAUUUAAGGAGGUCAUUCAGUCCAUUUGGGGUAGAGCGUGAAAAUUGAAAUUCCAAAGUUUGAGCCAUUUCCAAUCACUUGUUCUUUAUCGACAGUGCUUACAAAUUGUGUUCAAGAAAGAAAAACACAAGAGGAGUGACUUAGUGAGAGAAAAAGAAAUCCUUUACUAAGUGUUCGUACUCAAAUCGUUGUAUUUCUCUAUUGAUACCUUAGUGAAUUCCAGCCAGAAAGCUGUUACCGUGUAAGAGUGGACGUAGGCUUGAUUUAAGCCGAACCAUUAUAAAUCUCGUAUUCAAUUUCUCUUCCCUUAACUCUUUUGAUUUGUUUAUCGCAAUCUUUUUCUUAAUUCCACGAAUUUCUAAACCAUCUUAAUUGAGUCUAAACUUACUUCAGAAGUGUCACUUUUAGUUGGACUUUACUUGCAAAAUAACUUAUUAUGCAUUUAUUUGUUUAAUUUGUUUUUACAUCUAUUCACCCCCCUCUAGGUAGUUAUAUUAGCAUUUUCAAGUUGCACUUUGUAUUCUCUGGGCCUCACACAAUGGGAACACGGGUGAAAAUCUAGAGUUUUCGAUACUCGGUCAUCAAAUUUGAAAAUAGCCGCAAAAAAAAAAAAAUGAGACCGUUAUAAUGCAUUGUAAAAUUACAAAUAUAGGGAGGAAAAACCAAUACUUUGCAUAGUUAUCUUAAAUUUCAGGUGUAAAGUUCAUGGUUUUUAAAUACUCAUGAGUCAUGAAAAAAACGUACAUAGAUUAAAGGAGAAUUUAUAAAAUCUUUUCAAACUAAGGGGAUAGAGGGGGAUGUAUUUGUCCCCCAACUAUCAAUCGGUUUAUGUUAUCUCAAGUUCUUACAUCAGUGGUUAAUGGAAAAUCAGAUAAAGUUCUAAGGACAUAACAAAGUGAAAGUUUAGGGUCGACGUUUCAAAGUUCAUAACAAAAUGCAUGUCACUUCCAAAGUUUAAAGGGUUGAGAUAAUUUUUCCUUAAUUAAAAACAGAGAUAAAGGAUGUAAAGCAGAUAAUGAAAUUGUAAGGGGAAAAACUAUAAAAUGAACAUGGCAUCGAUACUAAAUUGAGCCAUAUUAUUGAAAAUGGUCGGUUCCAUGUUUGUAGGACUCAUCAAAUUUGAUGAUUUAACCAUUGUGUGAUUUCGUAGAGUCUAUCAUGUGCGCGCAGAUGUCAAAAUGAAUUGACAUAAUAGGGACCGUACUGAAGAAACUCCGGAACGAAACCCUGAUCCACACGUUGAAGUUGUCCUCCUUGCCAAGCUUACUGCAUGAGCCUUCUCUCUCUUGGGCGUGUGGCUUCCUUUAGAAGCUGAGGACCGACUUUCCUGUCCACACGCAGUACGUCGGCGGAUCCCAGGGCUUUGCGAUUCGGACAGCCAGUGUCCUAAUUUCUCGCUCUCUGCAACUGCUUCCUCGGAAGCGACAAGCUCGUAACUCACAAUUCUUUGUCUCGGUCGUGCGAGUUUUCUUCCUUUACAGAGAAGAAGACGCGUUGCAUACGUUCUCAAAACUUGAUUACCUAUGGUUUCACCUAUGAAGUAAUUAUUUUAGAUUGAGCUUCAUGAGAGUAAUUUAUCAGAUCUUUUUGUGGUGGGAAAACAACCAAGCUAGGGUUUAAUUUUUCGAUUGAGCAUAUGAACGUAAGAAAAGGCAAAAAGUACAUAAAAAGUCCUAAACUUAUGACAUUAAUACUAAUUCAGUCAUAAACCUUUUAAUUUGAUCAAUUUAGUUCUAAAUGUUUCCACAUUUGUACAAAUUCAACUCUUUUGGCCAAUUUUGAUUGGCCUAUGCUACAGUGGAUGUCAGCCGGUGUCGGCUGUCCGAUCAACACUAUUGUGAUAACUUUUAAUAAUUGUUAAUUUUUCGAAUUUUUCUAUUAAUUUUUUCUUUUUCUUUUCUUUUUCUUUUUUUUUUCUUCUUCCUCCUUGCAUUUCUUCUCCCUAUAGUGGCCAACUAGGCUCUGACGAGCCUCACCAACCAGUGGGUGAUGGCUACAAAGCCUUCACCCGCCACUAGGCAAUGGCAACAAAGCCCUCCUUGGUCGCCUCAUUGUGGACCUUGGGCAAGGCUGGAUGAGGCUCGCAACCCUCGUGACAGUAGGUGAGGGCUUCGCAGGCCUUGCCUAGUGGCUGGCGAGCCUUGCCAGAGCCUUGCCAACCACCGCAGGGAGAAGGAGCCUAAAGAGGAAGAAGAGAAAAAAAAUUAAUAAAAAAUUUUAUUUAAAAUUUGUCUUGUAUGGUCGGUGUUGGUUGGCAUCUACAUUAACGCCAGCCAGCCAAAAUUAGCCAGAAAGAUUAAAUUGGUAUCAAAGUGAAAAAUUUUAUGACUAAAUUUAUCAAAUUGAAAUGUUUAAAAUUGAAUUGGUACCAAUGUCAUAGAUUUAAAACUUUUUUGGUACUUUUCUCCCUUGACCAUAAUUGACCUGGGGAUUGGGACUAGACGCCCCUUAUUUCUUGCAUCGUAAGGCAAGGGGCGAGCUUGACUAGCUCGUAGUUGCAUCAAAAGUAUUUUAAAAAGAAGGAUGCGAUAUUCCACUUGGAGAUAAUUUGAAUGGGAAAUAAAAGUGUGAGGACUCAAAACAAGCUUGUAGGUUUCAUUGAGUUGACCAAUGGAAACUCGACGAAUCAUUGAAUAAAGAAGAAUUAAUGCAUAUUCUUAAUACAUUUAGCAUUUCUCUAACCUCAAUAAAUAAAUAAAAAAGGCACCUUAUGAUAUUUUCCGAAGUUAUUAUCAAAUUUCUAAUCAUAAUGAAAAUAAAUAUCUUACUCAUGCAUCUAAUAUUUUUGGAACUCGCUUUCGUGGAAACAUAAGUUAAAAAAACAAAAUUGAAAUUGCAUCAGGCUUGACUACUUAAGCAUGAUGUUUCAGGUUUUGGUGCUUGGCUUAUCAUUGACGUGGACUUUAAACCAAUUUCGUAUGAAAAGCCAAAAGAAACUAUGAAAAGUAAGGGAGAAAACUUUAACCCAGGACACGGCAAAUGUAAAAGGAAUCCUGUGGAAAGAGAGAAAGGAGAUCCAAGAUGACUUUUGCUUUUCUCAUGUUCAUGUAAAAGAAUCAAUGGAGCCACUCUUUGUCAAGAAUAUGAAAGCUUCGUUCUAUAUCUAAAAUUUAAAUAAUAAAGAAUAAAAUAUCAGAAAACGAGUGUUGAGAGCGCACAACAGCAAAUGCCAAUGCAUUUUUUAUAAAUACGAGCGAACAUUUUAAGAAAAUAAUAUCAGCAACACUAUUUUUUGUGAAUUGAAUGCUCCAGACAACAAAUUAUUUUAAAGGAAAAAGCCACAAAAAAAUCUCAAAUUAUAGCUAUUGUGGCACAUUUAUCCUAAACUUGUUAUAUCCACUCAAGAUUGAACAAGAAAAGUAAAAAAAAAAAAAGACACAAAAUAAUAAUUUUAAAACGAAAGAAGAUUGUGCAAACGUCUUCCGUUGAGAAUAUAACGAUAAGAGGGCAAAGAGAGAGAAAGAGACAGUGUAUCAAAGUGAAUAUUACGAGCCCAUUUUGACAGUCACGGGCUCCGUGUGCCUGGCCUAGCCCGUUCCUUAGCUAAUAUUAACCAGGAAAGGGAAAUUAAUAUUGUUUUUAAGAAAAAACUUAGUUGAUGGAGAAAUAUUUUUUUAUGAAAUUCUUUUUCAAGGAAAAUGACUGGUUCUCAACAGUGUAUAUAAAAGUGAGAUGGAAAAGGAUGUUGAAAUCUUACUUUUAAAAUUUAUUCUCUCCACUGUAACUAUAUUUUGUUCCAAAUAUAAGAUACUAAAUUCAUAUUGAAAUGCUUGCAUAUUGUAAUAACAAUAUGCCACAUUAUUUAUCUUACGAAAUAUAUAAAAUAGUCUUAGUGUGUUUAAAAUAAUAAUAACAAUAUUUGAUUAUAUUGCCACACUUUGCACCAUAUUGUUCCCUAGGCUUCAACGUAGAGUGUACGUUUUUUGAAACCUCAUAGAACAUACAUAUAUCUUCAAGAUAGACGAUGUAAAAUUGAGGACCAUAGAAUAUUCUUAUAAGUCUACAGUACUUCCCUUAAUGGAAUCAGUCAAUAAUUGAUUCGUCGCAAGACGGAGGUAUUAAAUGUAGGCAACAAUAAAGGUAGAUCACUGGAGGAGAUGGGGAAACUACUCUUUCUUAUGCUCAACUUUGCCCUCUUGUGGUGGUGGAGCUCAAUCCCUAGCCCCAAAUAGGUUAGCCACCUUAACGAAUCAUGAAAUCCACUUAACUCUCCGAAGUGUCCACCAUAGACCUUAAAACCAAAAUAAAUUGGACUAACUCAUUUCAUACAUGUGUCACGGUCUCGAAUUUUCCCAUGCGCCAAAGAUCGUGUAUGAUAAAAGAAGAUCGAGCCAAAUCUCCUAGAGCUUUCAGAACAUUACUAGGGAUUAGCGAUACGGUAAUUGUACCAACUUGUAGAGUUUUCUUGUCAUAAUUGUCGGUAGUUGGUAAAUGGAUAGCUGCAAUUUGUUCCGUUAGAUCGAAAGGGCAUCAAUGGUUGUAUUGAGAGAGUUUCUAGUAUAAGAAGGGGUGUCUUCCCCCUAAUUUGUAACCAUCCAAACACUUCAAAGUAGAUAAACAUUAUCCCCUAGAGUUUCUCUCUCUAAAAACUUUAUCUCUAUAUGAUCUUGGUGAAUGAGUGAUUGAUUUAAGGAAGCCUAAGUCACUGCACAAGUCUGAUCCAAACAAUUGACUUGUGACACAUGGCUCUUGUUCCACUACUUUCUAUAAAUCAAAGAAAUUAUAUAACAUUUUUAUUCAUUAUUCAAUAUAUGGAUUCACUUUUAUUUCUUCAGCAUUUACAUGAUUUAAGUAGAUAUGAGGUACUUUUCAAAUGUUCGCUAAACAUUAUAUCUAUGUGGUGCAACCAUGAAAUCAAUCUGUCUUAUCCCAAAUCGUGUAGAUAAUUCUUAUUAUCACAAUUUUGUAAUGUCUCCUAUAGAUAUUCACGUGUCACUAGGUGUCAAAAUUUCAGCCUGCAAAGACAAUUAGUGAGUUAACCUCAAUGUUGAGUGAGCAAAUUAUCGACCAAUCGUGUAAUUGCCCACCUCUUCUUGGGAUUAUAUGUGCUAAUAAUAGUAAAUCACAUAUGAUUUUGGUCAUUUCCUUACAUGACACAUUCAAUGCUAUGUUCAGGUCUCCAUUGACUUCCCAAUCCUCACGUAAUCGAUGGGGAAUAUGAGGCACCCGAUUUGUUUAGUCUUCAGUCUUCAUCUCCAUGGCCUUUGCUUGACUUUUCUCGAGUGGCCUUCUUGUGAGUUUUCGAUUGGACUCAUUCCCUUAGGAGAGGGGGUCCGUGAAAAUCUCACUUAUUUACUCUCUCAUCCCAUUUUUAAACUCUGAUUACCUAAUUGGGUCGAUGGCUAGUGGCUAGAUCGCACACUUACCGUGGUUUAAUGACGUUUACAUUUGAAAUGGAGGUGAAAUAUACUGAAGCGACUAAAUUGCCGGAAGAAAAAAACUGACAUCACUGGAUCGUUCUUUUUGAGGUGCGGCACGGUCAAGUUCUGCAUCCAAACAUUGCGGAGUCGGAUCAAUAAUGGUGAAACUACAAUUUCAGGCUAUUCAUGUCUGUGGACACCAAGUACGCAAUGCCCGAUUGAACUGGAAAGAUCAAGUUUGUACUAUCUAGGCCCACUGAUCGGUCGCGCGUUAUCCAGACCUUUUUCCUCAGCCACGUUGCCAAAAGGAGCAAGGGAAGCGAAGGUGGACGGAGGCAAAAAUUAAAUGCCUUUACCUAAUAACAUGACUGGAGAUUUUAAUAGAACAAGAGGCCAUCACGCCACCACCUCUCUCUCUCACUCCCCACCUACACACCUUCAACCAUCAUCCCUCGGGUCUCCAUAAUUAGUAAAAUGGGACUUCAAUAAUCAAUUUACGGAAAAUCAUUAAAAAAAAAGGUAAUCUAUUAAUCGAAACAUUCAUAUUUAGAGUGAAAAUAUUUUUUUCAAUGCAUUUUUUUUAUAAAUACGUGCAACCAUUUUAAGAAAAUAAUAUCUGCAGCGUCGUUUUUUGCGAACUAAAUGCCCCGGACAAUAGAUUAUUUUAAAGAAAAAAGUUACAAAAAAGCCCAAAUUAUAUCUACUGUGAUAUAUUUAUCCUAAACUUGUUACAUCCACUCAAGAUUGAACAUGAAAAGUAAAAAAAAAAAAAGAGAGGAAAAAACAGACACAAAAAUAAUAAUUUUAAAACGAAAGAAGACUGUACAAACGUCUUCCAUGGAGGAUAUGGCGAUAAGAGGACAAAGAGAGAAAGAGACAGAUAGAUAGUGUAUCAAAGUGAAAAUAUUACGAGGCCGUUUGGUAGUCACGGGCUGGGUGUGGCUGGCCUAGCCCGUUCCUUAGCUAAUAUCUAACCAGAAAAGGGAAAUUAAUAUCACUUUUGAGAAAAAAAAAAUUAGUUGAUGGAGAAAUAUUUUUUAUAAAAAAAAAAAAAUUGUUUUCAAGGAAAAUGACUGGUUCUCAACAGUGUAUUUAAAAGUGAGAUGGAAAAAGGUUUUCAACGUUCAAAUAUUUUGAAAUUAUCGUCUCCAUUCUAACUACAUUUUGUUCCACAUAUAAGAUACUUAAUUCAUAUUGAAAUGCUUGCAUAUUGUAAUAAAAAUAUGCCACAUCAUUUAUUUUACGAAAUAUAUAAAAUAGUCUUAGUGCAUUUAAAAUAAUAAUAACAAUAUUUGAUUAUAUUGCCACGCUUUGCACCCUAUUGUUCCAUGGGCUUCAAACCGUAGGGUGUACAUUUUUUGAAACCUCAGAGAACACACGUAUAUCUUCAAGAUAGACCACGUAAAAUUGAGGACCACAGAACGUUCUUGUAAGUCUACAGUACUUCCCUCAGCGGAAUUAGUCAAUACUCGAUUUGUGCGCAAGACGGAGGUGUUAAAUGCAGGUUAGACUGAAAGUGGAUCACCGGAGGAGAUGGGGAAACUACUCUUUCUUAUGCUCAACUUUGCCCUCUUGUGGUGGUGGAGCUCAAUCCCUCACCUUGGCGCUUGCUCGCAAGACCAAACGGAUCGGCUUGCGUUAGCAUCCUUCAGAAAUGCUAUAGACGAAGAUCCAUUUAGAGUCUUGAGCUCUUGGAAUGAUUCUAUCAAUCAUUGUGAGUGGCAAGGUGUUUUGUGCAGCAAAAGGCAUCCCGGGAGGGUCAUGUCCUUGAUCUUGAGAUCACAAGGCUUGGGAGGCUUCUUAUCUCCUCACAUAGGUAACCUCUCUUUCCUCAAGAUCAUGGUUUUACAAAACAAUAGCUUUGGCGGUGAAAUCCCAUCACAGAUCGGCAACUUGUUUCGGCUCCGCAAUCUUGACCUUAGUAACAACUCUUUUGGUGGGUCAAUACCCUCCAAUCUUUCCUGCUGCUCAAACCUCGAGUCCUUGAAUCUUGUAGAUAACCGACUUGUGGGGGGAAUUUAUUCCAAUCUUGGUUCUUUACCAAGGCUUAAAUUCUUGCGCUUGUCUAAGAACAAUCUUGUAGGUCCUAUUCCUCCUUUGAUUGGAAACCUCUCGCUGCUACAACACCUCUCUUUGGCAGAAAAUGCGUUUCAAGGAGAAAUACCUGAGGAACUGUCCAGACUUGAGAGGUUGAUAUAUUUUCAACUAUCAUCGAACAAAUUAACCGGCGAGAUUCCACUAGGGAUUUUUAACAUCUCUAGCAUUAAUUACUUCUAUGUUGGUUGGAACCAGUUGCGGGGAAGCUUUCCUUCUGAUAUUGGCACCACUCUUCCUUCUCUUUAUUACCUUGGAGGGCUCAAUAACAUGUUCACCGGGAUAAUUCCGUCAUCUUUGACGAAUACCACCAGUCUUCAGGGACUUUACCUUGCUAACAAUAAUUUCCGUGGGCCAAUACCGAAAAAUCUGGGAAGGCUAAAGGGCCUUUACGUGAUUGCAUUGGGUUUAAACCAGUUGCAGGAUGACUUGAGUUUUAUUUCUUCUUUAGCUAAUUGUUCCAACUUAGAAAUUCUCUCGGUGGAAGAGAACUCGAUUCACGGAUCAUUGCCAACAUCCAUCUCCAAUCUCUCCACCAGCAUUAAGCAAAUUUCAAUGUCAAACAAUCUGAUCCAUGGAACUAUUCCUUCAGCCUUUGGAAAUCUCUUCAACUUGUCGUAUUUGAGUUUAAAGAAUAAUUCUCUGACCGAUAGCCUUCCUGAUUCUAUUGGAGCACUUUACAACUUGCGGGUACUUUUUUUGAGCAGAAACAUGUUUACUGGAGAGAUACCGCCUUCGAUUGGUAAUAUGACAUCUUUAAAUAGGCUUUUCCUUCAAGACAACAAUUUCCAAGGCUCAAUACCGCAAAGUCUUGGCAAUUGCACGCAACUAAUCGAGCUAGAGCUUUCAAACAACAAUCUAAGUGGCUCAAUUCCAGUCGAAAUUGUGAGCCUUUAUUCCUUGUCAAUCCUCUUCAGUUUAGCGCAUAAUAAUCUUAGUGGAUCUCUUCCAUAUCAAGUUGGGUCUUUAAGGAGUCUCGAAGAAUUAGAUCUAUCUUACAAUAGAUUGACCAGCUUAAUUCCAGCCUCCAUCAGUGGAUGCUUGAGAUUGGCACGGCUUCGCUUAGAAGCUAAUUCUUUUCAUGGUCAAAUCCCUCAAGUUUUAAGUCCAUUACGACGCCUAGAAGUGCUGGAUCUUUCAAAUAACAAUUUUUCUGGUCCAAUCCCGAGCUUUCUUACAGAGUUCUUAUUGCUUAAAUACUUCAUUAUGUCAUUCAAUGAACUAGAAGGACAAGUUCCGGAGAGCGGAGUUUUUCUCAAUGCAAGUGUUGUAUCAGUUUCUGGAAAUAGGGAACUUUGUGGAGGUGUUCCAACUCUGAAGCUUCCUCUUUGUAAAUUACCAAGCUCUAGCAAGUCUUCUACAAUCAAGGCCAUAAUAACAUCUGUGGUCACUAUCAGCUUGUUAUGUUUAGCUUUGUUGUUCCUGUCUAUUUUCUGUUACUGCAAAAAGAAGCAGACAAGAACCACUGCUUGGAUGUCAUCAUCUUUCAAGAACCAAUUCAUGAGGAUUUCUUAUGAUGAACUCCUGAGAGCUACUAAUAGAUUCUCAGAGACCAAUUUAAUUGGUAAAGGGAGAUAUGGCACAGUUUAUAUGGGGAUUCUUGAGGGCAUUGCCAUUGUGGCAGUAAAGGUACUCAAUUUAACACAAAGAGGUGCUGCAAGGAGCUUCGUCUCAGAAUGUCGAACUCUAGGAACCAUUAGACACCGAAACCUUGUGAAGAUACUAAGCGUUUGUUCAAGCGUGGACAUUCGUGGCAAUGACUUCAAAGCUCUAAUAUAUGAGUUCAUGGCUAACGGGAGUUUGGAGGAGUGGUUGCACCUUGGGACUAUAGUGCGAGAUGAUGAGCAUGGCAAAUCGAGAAAUCUAAGACUAGUGCAAAGGUUAAACAUUGCCAUCGACAUAGCUAUGGCGAUCGAAUAUCUCCAUAAGGGUUGCUCUCCGGCAAUCGUCCAUGGAGAUUUGAAGCCGAGUAAUGUGCUUUUGGAUGAUGACAUGGUGGCUCGAGUUGGAGAUUUCGGGCUUGCAAAGAUCAUUUCAACGGUGUCAUCCGAAACCACAGGAGUUCAGGACCAGGGUAGUUCAACUUCGACUUUAGUUAGAGGAUCCAUUGGCUAUGUGGCCCCUGGUAUGAAUCUGCCAUAUUUUCUCAAUUAGUUUUUGGUUGGUUGUGAUAGUGAUAUCAGAGAGGGUUAAAAAUUUGAAUAAACAAUGAUCCAUGAUGUCUUGUAAUGCUUCCUAUGCUCUAACACCUCUUUCUCACAACAUAAUUUCCUCUUUUUUUCAAUUAUUUUCUUCAGCAGAAAAAGAAAAUACAUAAAUAUUUGUAUAUGAACAGACUAAUAUUAGUAUGUCGUAAUUAUAUUUGAAAUUAAGAUGAGGAUAAACCGUCGUAGAAUUGAUCAAUAAUUGGAAAUAUUUAUUGUCAACACUUGUGAAUCCGGGCCACUAAAUGUACAAAGCAUAUUUUAUCAUAUCAUAUUCGCAUUUUUUUUCUAUGAUUCAUAUUUUAUCUCAUACCAUGUUCAUGUUGUGAAAACAUACAGUGGCUAAUAUUGUCGUAAAUUACUAUAUGAGAAAUUGACGAGAACUUGUGCUCUUUUAGUAUGCCAUGACUUAAGGUCUUGACAAUAAGUAAUUGACCCCUCACAGGGGAACCUUUCUUCUUGAGGCGACCUAUAAUUCUAUAUUCGUAAUAUAUGUUUAGAUCAUGCGGCAUUUAAAGCAGAAAUUCUUGGGGAUCUCAAACUCAUAAAUGCAUGAUAAUAUCAUACAACAUACACUAAUUGACUACCCGAUGGGUUCUAUCCAACUGUAAUUCUCCCUAAACGUCUUGUUUAGAGCAUGUCAAAACAAACUCAUGCAUUUACAAGUAUUAAUCCAUCACGUCAACAAAUCUCUCCAAGUCUCUUCUCCCCCCUCCCCCCCAAUGUUCUUUUCUUUGCCUCGUGUGGUAUAGGUAUUAAAUUGAAUUCAGAUCAGAAAAAUGAUGAGCCUCAUGUGUAUUUCAUGUGUAACCAGUUAAAAACUGGUGGCUCAAAUUUAGUUAAUAGAUGUACUAAAUGCACUAAAUAAUUUCCACCAAGGCCUUCGCCACAUAUAUAAUCUUCUUUUUUUCCCCCACCUACUAAAUGACAAAGUCCCUCUUGAUGUUCAGGCAAUUUGUUCAGCAAAAUGUGACAACUUUGGGUGCACUACUUUUUGGACUAGAAGAGCUCUGCGUUGCUGACUGAUCUUUGGUGCACUUUACAAAUCCUAAAGUCUUAUCUUUCUGCGGUUGAUGCAUCUGACUUUUGCAACAAUUUUUACCACUUUGGCAUACGAUAGGUGCUAAGCAUCAGCUAUAGCCAAUAAACUAAACGAAAAUCAAACAAAAAGAUAUGAAAGAGAAAAAACCAGUGGGGCAUUUUGGGACCCUUUCCUUGCACUCUACCAUGCACAGCGAGCCCGUACGUGAAGUCAGUGAGGACUUGCGUGCCAUCACUCUAUUUGGGCGUGACUGGCGCAAGCCCUCAAAACUGUCUUAGGCAAGCUCCUGCGCAUUGACAUCGAGCAAAACCCCAUGAGAUUUAGGAACUUUUUUUUUCAUACAAUUAUCUUCAAGAAAAAGUGUAUAUUCAUUCUUAUUUAAUGCUAUGAUGUAAUUUUCAGAGUAUGGCAUCAGACACCAAGUUUCUACACUUGGGGAUGCAUACAGUUACAGCAUUCUAUUAUUGGAGAUGUUCAUUGGAAAGAGACCCACUAAAGAGGCCUUUGGGUAUUGUCUUAACCUUCAUAGCUUUGUCCAAAUGGCUCUUCUUGAUUGAGUGAUGGACAUUGUAGACUCAAGGCUUUGGAGUGAAGCCGGUGAUCGACAGCAGGGGAUGAGGAUCAAAGAUUGCAUAAUCUCCAUUUUUGAAGUUGGAGUCGCAUGCUCGAUAGAAUCACCACUGGAUCGAAUGGACAUGACUGAGGCGAUUAGGAAAUUAUACUCGAUCAAGGCAAGUUAUGAAAUCAAAGAGAGGACAGGUAUGUAGCUAAGUUAAUUUUCUUGUUGCACCUUGGAAUUUUUUCACUAGCAGAGAAAAUCAUGUAAAGGCAAUGCUAGCAAAUUCACAUGAAUGUCUCCCUAACUAGGCUGCCUACCCAUACCCUUUAUGUAUAUUUUUAAUAAUUACACCCAUACUUAUAUUUAAAAUUGUAGAAAGUGGAUCAAUGGAGUUGGAGUCUACCUAUUUCCAUUAAGUAACCACGUAAAAAUUGAUGAAUUUGCUUAUUUGCAUGAUUCUCUUGAUAUCUAAUGCCGUUGUUUACCAAAGCAUCGAUGCAUUGCUUAAUUACUUGAAUUAUCUGAUUAAUUCAUUUUAUGCACUUUAACCCGGGUUACCAUUUCAAUUAUAUGAAUAAAUGAUGGAUUAAUAAUUUUGAGAGGUUUUCAAGUUGGUCGAGACUGAAUAUCAAACUAUACAGAUCCUUUAGCUUGUGAUAUUAAAUCCUAGAGUGUAAUAGAUGUGUGGAGAAACUAGCAAAUCCACGGAUUCCAUAAAAUUGACAAAAAUAAAUUUGGAACCAAAAUCCUAUUCGAUAGACUAUAUGUGAUAGGUGUCGGACUCCAAUAAACCUACAUUAUUUUUUAUUUUUUUUAAAAGGCACUCAACUUUACAAAUGCUUAGACAUAAAUUAUAAAUAGAGCAGACUCGUUAAACUCAGCCAGACCUAUUUAUUAUAUAAUGUCUCUAUAUUCAGUCGAACCCUCAAAAACAAUACCGAGCCUCAAAAUCCAUACCCAACUAUGUAACCAACUUAAAUAUGUUCAUAAGAAUAUGUGUUGGUCAAGUUAAAUUUAUUAUCAAAUUAAAAAUGAAAAAUUACAAAAAUUAUCAAUAUGAUGGAAAAAAAAAUGAAAAAACCAAUAUGAACUCUAUCAAAUAGACAAGCUAAAANNNNNNNNNNNNNNNNNNNNNNNNNNNNNNNNNNNNNNNNNNNNNNNNNNNNNNNNNNNNNNNNNNNNNNNNNNNNNNNNNNNNNNNNNNNNNNNNNNNNUUCCGCGAAUCAAACCUUUCGUUUAGGAGUGAGCUGUCAUCUCCGCGAAUCAAACCAUUCGUCGAGCGUAGCCAUGGCUGGGCCAUUGCCCUCGCGCCUCCCCACGGUAUGUCAAUCAAAUCCAAAGAGGACGAAGAGGGGGGCAGCUCACGUAAGAUCAUUAGCUCAAGGCCGACUCUCAGUGUUGCAGUUGAGCGCGAUGUCACUAUCAAUUGGAAAAAAAAUGCUUGAUCGAAUUUGAGCGAUGUUACCAACGGAAUUCUGCUGUGGCCAUGUUGCUGACACCGGCGGCCACCGUGUGUGACCCCUACCUCCUAUGCAGGCGACGAAGUCUCAAUGGACAGGCCAGAUAUGGAGGAGGCAUCAUCAGAUCUAGAGACGACUUGUGACCUCAGCAGUGUCGGCAAUUUAAUUGUAGAUGACGAGAGGAGCUCCAUGCGAGGUUUUGAGACCUGCCAAAGGCAUGAACUUCACGUUCAGUCGAGCUCUGCACCCAUAAAGGAGAGAGGGAGAGUGACAGCUGCGAAAGCAGGAACGACAAAACGACAUUGAAGCGAUAGGGGAGAGAGAGCGAACGGAAGGUGACACGAUCUCUCUUGACACAAGCUGUGCUUUUUUACGAGUUCGGAAUCAAUAGUCAAAUCAAUGAUAUGAAACAAUUUCAGACUUAAUGGCUAAAUUAAAUAUUUGAAAUGUUUUUCAGAUGUAAGGUCACAUUAAGUUUUGAAACGGUUUCAAAACUUAACGGUGACCUAAUAAUCUAAAACGAUUUCAGAAUAAAUGGGCAAUUUAAUGAUCUAAAACAGUUUCAGAUUAAUAAAUAAUUAAUACUCUGAAACAGUUUUAGAACUACUGCCAUGAGGACAUUAGACAUUCGUGUUCAAAACCCAAAGAAACUUCUCAACCAAAUUUUGGAGCACGGUAUAAGGUUAAUAUGAUUAGUCCUUUUAGCUCUUCAAAGCAUUUUUAUUAAAAUGCAUGUAAAUGCUAUGGAAACACGUGUAUAAGUGUUUUCACUUCUGCUGCGAUCAAACAUUUGAUCUUAAUUUACUUAUGCACGUAUGCUUGUUUAUCGAAACAAACACCAACAGAUUUAUUGGCACGAAAGAACACAUUCGGAUCAAAUACAAAUCCUCGGGACAAACGAAGGAGUUUUCACGUAAUCUCUUUGACGUGUACCCUCGUUCAUUUUUUUUUUCUCUUCCUCUUUCUUUUUUCGGUUUGAACACAUACAUUUUGUUUUGUUGAUUAAGAGUGUACACAAACCACUUUUGUCAUCUAGUUGUUGGAAUUCUCAUCAAUGCUCCAUCCUUUGUCUUCUGUAUCAUGUAGAUGUUCCUUUGGAAAGCUGGCAAGAUCGUACUUUGGCCCUAUUGAUAAUAGCUGCCGUGGCUUCCUUGGUACUUCGAAUAAAGACACAGGUGAGACUGGCCUGCUCACAAUAUGAGUGUUGGUGAUGCGAUAUUGAGAUUUGUCUUAGUUUCUUUCUGGUUGCUUUAGCUUGAUUUUUAUUUUAUUUUUUUGGUUUGUUGCCAAUCCUUGCCCAAAUUGACAGCGAAAGGUAAUUAACAUCAAAAGAAGGAUAUGAAAGCUUUGCUGAAGGUAUUCGUUGCUUGGUGCAUAUAAUGGUCUUUAUCAAGAAUAUUUUACUGUAUAUCCCAGCACAAAGAGUCAUUGGUAUCGAUCCCAUUAUCUUCUCGGGAGACCCGUAAUUGACCCUGGUUUCAAUUGACGCUUCAAGGAAAUGCUCUAGUCUAAUGCUCUUNNNNNNNNNNNNNNNNNNNNNNNNNNNNNNNNNNNNNNNNNNNNNNNNNNNNNNNNNNNNNNNNNNNNNNNNNNNNNNNNNNNNNNNNNNNNNNNNNNNNNNNNNNNNNNNNNNNNNNNNNNNNNNNNNNNNNNNNNNNNNNNNNNNNNNNNNNNNNNNNNNNNNNNNNNNNNNNNNNNNNNNNNNNNNNNNNNNNNNNNNNNNNNNNNNNNNNNNNNNNNNNNNNNNNNNNNNNNNNNNNNNNNNUUGGCAAGUACGGACAAUAUAAGUUCCUACCCAGAUGUACCCCUUGAAUGUUUACAACUAAUCAUUUAUUCAUUUUUCGUCAAAGCAAUUGAACACAAGUAUCUCCUAUCCGAACACCGGUGCCUAAGCCUCAUCUGACAUGUGAAUUCAUUUGCUUUUUUUUUUUUUUCAUGAAUCAUAUGGUUUUUUUUUUUUUGCUUGAUAUUACAAAACUUUAAUAACUUUUUAUUUAAUGAUCGAUUAUGCAAUCUAUUCCGUGUGUUUCUUUUAGGGCAUUAAGGAAGGAUGGUAUGAUGGUGGAGGCAUUGCUUUUGCUGUUAUUCUCGUCAUUGUAGGUAGGGUUGAGUUAGAUUACAAGACUUGUUUGUAUUGGAAUUUUGUUAACGCAUGUAUUAAGAUUUGAAAUCUUUCAUUUAGUAUCUAUUCACUUUUAAAAAUUUCAAGUAUUGCUUCAUGCCGACGAUGGAAAUGUUUUUGCUGAUUGAUCAGAUGAUAAAUUAUAUUCUCAGAAGCAACUUAUCAUGCCACAUGAUUCCUUCUGAUUAUUCAGAUCGCAACUUAUAUGCUCAGGAGACAUGUUAUGAUGCCGCAUGUUUUAACUUCUUCUGAUAAGGUUGCAGAAUAAUAACAUAAUAAAAGACAAUCAAUGUUUUAAUUUGCGGUGAAUAAUUUACUUCUUCCACUAUGGAUGCUCCACUAUGGAUGCUGUUGACUGCUGUAAGAUGCAAUGACAUAGAAAUUAUUCGUGAUGGGUGGUUUGUUAAUUGGGAUUUGAUUCUUGCCUGCAGCUAUAAGCGAUCACAGACGGUCCCUGCAUUUUCAAGACUUAAAUGGGAAGAAAACAGAUAUACGCUUGGAAGUGGGUACUUUAUAUGAGAUGUGUGAGUUACAUUCUUCUCUUUCCUGUAUGCAUAUGGAUGAAAAUGUUGUAUGUUUAUAGAUGUCAAGGUGGCAGAAGAAUAGAAGUUUCAAUAAAUGAUGCCAUUGUUGGUGAUGUUGCUCUCCUUAAGAUCGGUGACCAGGCAAGUAACUAAAACCAGUUCUGCAUUUGGUACCCUCCUCAUGAGGACAGUGAAUAUGUUCUUACAUUUGAUGUUCACUUUUGUCUCCAGGUUCCUGCAGACAGAGUCUUGAUUUCUGGUCAUUCCCUGGCGAUUGACAAAUCUAGCAUGAAUGGAGAGUGCAAAAUUGUNNNNNNNNNNNNNNNNNNNNNNNNNNNNNNNNNNNNNNNNNNNNNNNNNNNNNNNNNNNNNNNNNNNNNNNNNNNNNNNNNNNNNNNNNNNNNNNNNNNNNNNNNNNNNNNNNNNNNNNNNNNNNNNNNNNNNNNNNNNNNNNNNNNNNNNNNNNNNNNNNNNNNNNNNNNNNNNNNNNNNNNNNNNNNNNNNNNNNNNNNNNNNNNNNNNNNNNNNNNNNNNNNNNNNNNNNNNNNNNNNNNNNNNNNNNNNNNNNNNNNNNNNNNNNNNNNNNNNNNNNNNNNNNNNNNNNNNNNNNNNNNNNNNNNNNNNNNNNNNNNNNNNNNNNNNNNNNNNNNNNNNNNNUAAAGGAGCAUGACUCUUUUAAUCUCAACUAAACUCUGUUCUGAGAUAGAGGGUGGCCCCUAAAAAGAUUUCAGAAAGUACUGGAGAUAUUUAAAAAUAUACAGUUUAUUCUGUCCUUGAGGCCUCGUUAGGAGGAGGUGAGUCAAAUUUGAAUUGAAUGGAUGGCUCUGUCCCUUUGAACGUGCACUUAUACGCUUUGCUCUGGCUGUCCUGACUACCUGCGUGUUUCUCAAUGGAUUUCUAGCAGUAGGGUUGUCUCUGAUAUCAGAAUUAGUUUGCCAAAAAUGGUGCUUCCUGAGAUGGGAGUUUACUCUAUCCCAAGUCUGUCUUUAUCACAAAUCAAGGCUUAUUUCCAUCUGUCUUCUGCCUCACUUUUCUGUUUUUGCCUCUCAGGUGAUGAGUGUGGGUAGUAUUUCGGAAGAUACUGGGGAAGAGACACUCUUGCAGGUUAGUUUCUCUAAACUCUUUUUAUUUUUUUCCCUGUUUUUGGAAGUUAUGGAUUUUGGUUGUCAUACCGAUUUCUUCGCUUUUAUAUUAGGUGGGUAUACAUCUUUCAUUGCUGGACUGCAUGCAGCUGUUGCUGUUUUGGCUGCUCUUUUAGCAAGGUAACUAUUAUUGUAAGGUAAACAAAAACUGCAAUUUUAUUUUAUUAAUUCCUCUAUCUCUGAAGUCCUUCCACAUACUGAAACCGUAAUAGAUCUUACAAACUCAACCUUUGUGCAGAUUUUUUACUGGAUAUACGAAAAAUCCAAAUGGCACCAUUCAGUUUAGGCUGGGAAGACUAUCGCUAGCAUUAUUGUAGAUGGAGUGAUCGAAAAAAUCACUGCAGCAGUAAGUUUAUUUCUGAUGGAAUAGUUUUUGUAAAUUAAUUUUAGGUAGCUCGUCAGUAACUUUUGAGCCUUCCAGGUUACCGUUGUAGCAGUUGCAGUACCUAAGGGCCUUCCUUUAGCUGCUAAACUGACGUAAGUUUGUCCACUAUGAAGAACAGACUUCUUAAUACGACAUUUAUAUUGGUGAUGUCCUGUCCAUGUUUCUGUUGCUUUUUAUCUCAUUGGUUUUUUUAGAAUUUGAUAUAGCUGGAUAGUAUUUCUUUCCUGUAAUCAUCUGCUGGCCUUUAAACGGAUUUAUGUGGAAGUGUACAAUGUUCAUACUCUCACUUUGUACCUUUGAUGCAAUGAGCAGACUAGCUUACUCGAUGAGAAAAAUGAUGGUGGAAAAAGCUAUGGUAUGUAGAUUUUCUACUCCUUACGGCGACCUUCAUCUGAAUCUUUUAUAGCAGUAAAAUGGAAUUCCUAAAAACCAACAGUAAAAAUUUCAGGUGCAAUGGCUUUCUGAAUGCCCGACUAUGGGAUUUGCCACAACUAUCUGUAGUCAUAAAGCUGGAACCUUGACUUUAAAUCAGGUACGUUAUUUUACAGGUUGCUUUAGCUGAUCUAAGCAUGGUGUCAAGAACUCCUUAUUUGCCAUUUAUCUGAGUGCAAGUAGAUUUGAACUCUUAAAGAGCUUUGCAGCUAUUGUAGCAGUGAAACAUGCGCGUGCUCACACAGACAUCAUAUGAGGAUGUUGUCGAUAACAUCAUUUUUGAGACAAUAGCCAGGGAAUGACCUUGACUAAAGGAGUUGUGGUUCUGGAGGAAACUUUGAGACUCUUUAUAACGUGAAGAAAAUGUCCUUCCUGUGACAGAUGACAGUUGUCAAGGCUUAUACUGGUGGAAGAAAAGUUGACCCUCCGGACAGCACCUCAAAGUUAUCAACUUCUCUUAUUUCUCUACUGAUUGAAGCCAUUGCUCAGAAUUAUGCGCCUAAGGUGGGUUUGCAACUGUUGGUAUUAGUGGAAGCGUGUGCUUGAUAUGUGAGUAAUAUAUCAAGGGAGCAAGGGAACUAAGAACAAUGUGUGUAAGAAUUGAUUGGGCAAAGAAGCAACAAGAAUGUUUUGUAAGAGAGUAGCAGCAAGGGAGCCCAAAGGAACAAAAGGAAGGCCUUUAUUAUUUGAUGAGAACUACAAAGAGAAGAGGGAAGGAGCUGAACUUGUUGGUCUGCUACGCUCCACACCUUGCUAUUUAUAAGCAAGGUUCACCGACUUAUGGCCCACAAUUUAUAACUUUUAGUAGAUUUUUAAUCCUACAAUUUUUUACUUCAACAACCGACUCCUCAAGGAAAACAUCUCUGCCAUUUGCAGAGAUAAUUUUAUGGACUCUUCCACUCAAAUUUAGUAGACUCCAGAUUCUUCUUGCGGGCCAAGCACUAGAUUAUUUUGGAUUUUUUCAUAUUUCUCUAGCAAAUACCCUAUGCUAGAAAACUCUAGGAAUUGGAUCAGCAUUUUAACAGCAACAUCAGUAAUGGCUGUUUAAUAAUGGCGACCAGUGAUAACUUCAUGUGUUUUUACUUCUUUAGACAGUGUGAGAUGUAGAGCUGUCUGCUUUGCCAACUGAAAAGGCCAUUCUACAGUGGGGGAUCAAGGUUCUUGCUUAAGUUUUAUAUCGCUUACUUAUGCUCUUCACUCCUAUCUCUAGUUCAUCUAUUUGUUUGACGAGUGAUGUCAUUAGACUACUCACGAUGCCUCAUUUGCAGCUGGAGAUGGAAAUUGAAGUUGUUCGGUCAAGUUCCUCUAUAAUUCAUGUUUUCCCUUUCAAUUCUGAGAAAAAACGAGGUGGAGUUGUUGUAAAGCUGAUAUAUUUCUCAUUCCUUAGUUUUAUUGAUCACAUGUGCAUUAUUGAUCACAUGUGCACUGCUGAAGAGGACAUUUGCUACAAUAUGCACAUUGUAUCUUAUUGUUAUUUAGAGUGUGAAUCUUGUCAUGUGGAUUGGCACAGAUAAAAAGAUCUAGUCAUGCAGACAGUAUCUGUGUCAUUGCAAUACCUUUUGAGAUUGUACCGAGCUGCUAUAACAGUAACUAAAGUUUUGGGAAAGUUGCUUUUGUACAUGAAACUAACUCCCAGACAGUCAGGACACUGUUGUUUUUGCUCUUCAACAGCUUUACUUUUAAGGCAGUAUUAGUGCGGUGCUUUUCUUUGUGCUUACGUUGUAAGCAGGUCUUAACAACAAAGGAGUUAAGAUUCUAAGGCACAGUAAAAUGGUGGAAUACCCACUUGAUUGAAAAAGAAGGUGGUACAAAACUCAGCAGUUUGGGCAAGGUAACCAAGGUUUUUUAAACUUCAAAUCACGAUUUUACUUAGUGAUGGCUUGGUUUGGGGUGUCUGAAGGACUAUAUUGCGGUUGAAUCUGGAUUAGUAAGUUCUUUGAAACUUCUAAAGUACUUAUCAUUUGAAAGUAAAUAGUUAGAGGUUUGCUGAGCUUAAAUUUCCAAAGAUUAUAUCUGCAGAUUUAAUGAUAUUGACAAGUUCUCAUAGUACAAUCAUCUGAUUUUGUCAUGUUGGAUGCAAUCCCAUUAAUAUGCUAAAAUAAUAAGAUCUGGAUAUUAGUCCUUAAGUUUUGGAUUGAACAGUAGUUGGAUCCUAUAUUAGAUUUGAGAUUUUGCUAGCCAUCACUAUGGGGCAAAGCCAUGCAUCCUUUCUAUAUGAUAGCCGUGUAAAGGCCAUUUACUGUUGGGUUCAUGAAUCAUUUAUUUCUUUCUCUUAAACUACUCUUUGGUGGUUUGAACAAAAAAAAGAAUUUGCUGUUUAAGAAAAUUAAGUUUUGGUCUUGGCUGGUACUUGCUUACGAUGCACACCUAUAGUGUGCACAGUUAUUGGGUUGAGUUACCACAAUGUUAAAUCUCCUGCAGAUUUAUACUACAAUUGUACUGUGAUGCAAUGUAAAUCCAUCGUUAAUGAUUGUUUUUAAACUUUCAAGCACAGCAAGACUCAGAGGUUUGCAUGCACCAGAAAGGAGCUGCUGAAAUAGUUUUGGCUUUUUGUACAAAGUACAAGGAUGCAAAUGGUCAAGUGGUAGCAAUGGAUAAAGAUCAGGUUUGGGAAAUAAUUGGCUAUUAUAGCAAUUCAAUAGCUGCUAGCUUUUUCCUUGCCGAAAUCUUUCACAGUGCUAUUAUAGUUUGAAAUAAUUUUGACAAAUCUACAUUUCAUAAAUGCCAUGUUUUUUCUGUGACAGCAGAGCACAUAUUCUGGUAUUGCACUUAUGUUCUUCGUGGGAUUAUGCCUUGACAUUUUCCUGAUCCAAAUUUGACCAUUUAGUUUUGGAAGUUUUGCGCAUUACACAUUAUAUUCCAUGGAGGCAGAUCUUGAAUCCUCUGUACUACUCUUUCCUACGCAACCAUUCUUGAAUACCUUGUAUUAUGUAUGUAUUUCACAUUUGUUGCUUUUAUAUUCAUGGUUACACUUAUAUCCAUGAUUAGGCUUUUUGCAUAGUCUCAGAGUCAGGGUGGUAAAUUGUUUUCUUCAUGUUUUCUUGCCUUGUUACAAGUCAUUAAUGAUAUUGAUGGAAGAUCGUUAAGUGAGUUUCCUCUUGUUUUGCAGAAGAUGUACUUCAGAAAGGCUAUUGAAGAUAUGGCUACUGAUAGUCUUCCCUGUGUUGCCAUUGCAUAUAGAUCAUAUGACAUAAAAGACAUUCCUCUAGAUAAAGAACAGUAAACCAAGUGGGCAUUACCAUAGGAUGAGCUUAUCUUACCGACUAUUGUGGGCAUAAAGGUAAUUCUUGUCUAGCAGUGAACAAGAUAUUAAGUGAAAAGGACAUCAUUGAUUUCUAUUUGUUCUUAUUUCUGGCUAUGAAAGGUUCCCUGCAAGAUGAUAUGACUCUAGGAAUGCUUAAAUUUUUGGAGGUUUUCUAACAUUCAGAGAAAACUUCUGCUUUGGAAAAUUCAGUUCUAUUCCAUGACUUUGAAGAGUUCUUGUUGGGGACCUAAUGAAAUUUAAUGUGUUCGUUAUUUCAUCGACACCAGCUGGUUGAUCCAACUUUUUAAAUAACUUUUGCUGGAAUCCAUAGAACUCUGUCUCAGUACAAGUGGCUGGCAAGUGAAGGAAGAAAAUGUUUUUUUACAUUUGGCCGGAUGCGCUGUUAAUCAUUUGCUGUACUUACUCUUAAUAUGUAUGCAGUUUAAUCGUAAGAAUGAUGAAUUCUCUUGCACACGCAUACCAUGCAGGAUCCUUGUCGUCCUGAAGUAAAAGAUGCCAUGAAACUAUGCCAAAUUGCUAGAGUUAAGGUAUGUUAAUAUUAUUUUAUCAUUUUUUUCAGUUGGUUUAUUUGGGGAUAUGAUCCUUCAUCCUUCUGCUGCUUCUUUUUUAAUUACUUCAGGAACUCAAAAUUUGAGUUUCUCAUCAUUUGCAUCCUUUUAGGUGGUCAUAUUGGAUAUUUAUGUUGGUUCGAUGCUUUUCUUUGGAAAAUGGAUUGACCAUAAUUCAUUGUUGUAUAAUGAAGUUGAUAUGAAGGGUAAGACAUAGAGAUUCUGUUUACGAUUGCGAUUGAGAAGUACAUUGUCAUUUAGUCAUUUCAGUAAAGGGUGCUUUCAAGAUAUUUUCUUAGGAUGCUAAUCAUUGAUGCUGGAUUCCAAAUAGUAAUUUGCGGCAGCAUUACAGAUUGAGGAUAGGUACUUAUCUAGACGUGACCUCAGUAUGUGAUUAAAUCUUAUUUUGUGAUAGGUACAAAUGGUUACUGUUGACCAUCUCCAAAUUGCCAAAGCAAUUGCUUUGGAAUGCGGGAUACUAGAUCCAGAAGCAGAUGCUAUUGCGCCAAACCUUAUUAAAGGAAAAACUUUCCGUUCCUUAAGUGCUGAGGAAAGAGAAGAAGUUGCUGAGAAGAUAUCAGUAUGGAAUUGCUUCUCUUCUGUGUAAUUAAUCAUGUCUUCUAUUUGAAGGUGUGCUUAUAGUCUUUAUGAGAUUUGCAACAGGAUAUGGGAAGAUCAUCUCCUAACAAGAAGCUGCUGGUUUUUCAAGCAUUGGGAAAGCGAGGAAACGUUGUAGCUGUAACUGGGGAUGGCACUAAUGGUUUUUCGGAGGGUUCCUUUAAUAAUGUCCUAAUAAUGUUAUCACCUUUUCUAUUAAUUCAUGACUUCUGUCAUUCUAGCGUCUAUUCAGCAGAUAUAGCAGACAGAUGCCUUGAAAUCCUUCUAAUAGAACUGGUUCAUAGUCUUGAAGUCCCUGGAUGCCUCAUGGUAUCUUUCUGUGCUAAGAUGAAUUGCAAUACGUUGGUAAAUUUGGUUGUAGCCUUCAAGUCGCUUCAUGUCUGGAAGUUGUCUUGUUCUUAUAUUUACUACAAGGUAAAUAGAUUGCAAGGUGUUAAAAUAAUGUGGGAUCUUAGUUUGCCAUGUUUUUAGAAAAAUUUUCAUCAUCAUGAAUGGCUCUCGAGUGUUCAUUUUUUUGGUCUGCUUAUACCCAUGCACUUCUGUUGUGCCUUGACUUUGAACUCUUUUCAACCAAUAAUUUUGUUGCUUGGAUAUCUCUUUUAUCUUGGAGUUCAGGCAGAUAUUGGCCUUGCAAUGGUAUUCAAGGGAUGGUAGUUGCAAAAGAGUUUUCAAACAUUAUAAUGGGUAGUCUGCCUGAAUUUCUAAAGCGGAAUUCAGCAUCCUCAUGACAGACUUUAUUGUUUGAUUGAAUUUUUCUGGAAAGUGGUGUCAACUAAUGGUAAUGAGUUAUAGUGGAGCUUCAGUACAUUAGUUACUUGGAGAGUUCUCUCUCUGGAAAGUUGUCUACUUUUUUUACUAGAUGGUACUGUGCAUAUUUACUUGACUCAGAUACGUAGUCCAGAUUCCUCAAACAAGUACUUCACAAUACUAAAACUUCACCUGCAAAUUUGGAAAAUAUUCAGAUUUGGAAAAUAGAAUUGGGCGGUGGCAAAUCUUUUUUGACUUGCUAAUUAGUUGAUUAUUUGAUUUCACAUUGUCAACUUAAUUGUGGGUUACGAUUUUGAAUCUGGGUGCGUUUGGUUGAUUAAUCCUUAGAAAGUGUAGAGAUGGUUGACAGACCUCAAUUUAUCUGGUGGGGAACAUUUGUAUAUGCAAAUAUUCAGAAAUUUAUUCAGUGUCAGCUACACUUAAAGUUGCAGCUCUUAUCUUUAACGUUGUUGCUGCAUGCAGGUACUCGUUCUCUCUCUCUCUCUAGCAUGGGUGUGCGUGCGCCCACGUGUGGGUGCCCCUACCCAUUUCUGCUUCUCUUUGCUCACUCUACUUCUCAACCUUUCUCUUUGCUUGCAGCUUCUAUGGGUUAAUCUUAUCAUUUCGAACACCCCUGGUGCAGUAGCACUGGCUACCGAGACUCCAACUGACCACCUUAUGCAUAGGCCUCCGGUUGGUAGGAGGUAAGAGUUCCUGGAUGUUAUUAUUGGGUGCAACAUAUGUGAAAAAUUUUGGUCACAAGCUUCGAGAUCCUGUUUUUUUCUUGUCAACUCAAAUCCUCGGUUUCUUUAGAUGUGUAUUGGGAUUUCUUCACUUGCCGAAACCUGUCGUUUAUCCUUACCCUUCGAGCAUGCACUGGUAGGGUGAUUUUCUCAAUUGCAGAGAACCUCUCAUCACAAGUAUCAUGUGGAGGAAUUUAUUGAUACAGGCAUAGCCACUAACACUUUAUACGAAAGGGUUUUUGCUGGCUUCUUGCUCCUAACAGUGGAGUUUUGGGUCUUUAGCCUGCCUAUCAAAUGAGUGUCCUGCCCGUUCUCAAUUUCCGUGGUAUAAGCUUUUACUGAAAUUGGAGUAUGGUAGGAACGGUCAUGCUCACAAAGUGAAGGAUACCCUCAUCUUUGUCUUUUGCCAAGUAAGUUUGGUUCCUUACAGUCAAACAAGACUGCGAUAAUAUUGGGUGGGUCUUACCCUCCACGUAAGCUUAGGGUAAGACCAUUCAGCGAUCAACACGUGGCUCCACAUAGGCGACAGCGUCAGAGGUUUAAAAUUUGGGCGCGCCGCUCUUGGGGCCCACCACUCUGACGCUCUCUCUCCUCUACGACCUCUAUGACCUGUCGACUCGUCCUCUCUCUCCUCUCUCUCUCUCUUUCCCCGUUCUCCCCGUUCUCCGUUCCGUUUUGCGAGAGAACAAAAGUCGCAGGUGCUUCUCUCCGAAUGCUCUUCCCUCUCCUCUGCUCUCUCUCCUCCGCUGGUUGCCUGCGACGUCGAUGCCGACGCCCUUUCCACCUCCACCGACGCCUCUGCUCUCCUCCGCUAGUUGCCCGCGACGCGGACGCGGAUGCCUCUGCUCUCUCUCCUCCGCUAGUUGCCUGCGAUGUCAAUGCCGACGCCCUUUCCACCUCCGCUGAUGCCUCUGCUCUCCUUCGCUGGUUGCCCACAACAUCGACGCCGAUGCCUCUGCUCUCUCCUCCGCUGGUUGCCUGCGAUGCCGAUGCCAACACCCUUUCCACCUCCACCGACGCCUCUGCUCUCUCUCCUCUGCUGGUUGCCCGCGAUGCGGACGCCGACGCUCUCUCUCCUCCGCUGGUUGCCCGUGACACUAACGCCGACACCCUUUCCCCCUCCGCCGACGCCUCUACUCUCUCUCCUCCGCUGGUUGCCCGCGACGCCGACGCCCUUCUGCCGGUUGCCUCCAUCGCCCCCGACUCCGACUCCGACGCCGAUGCCAACGCAGCCUCCGCCUCCGCCCUUGAACCCGAUUCUGACGCCGACGCCUCUUCGCCUCUGCCUCCGCCGCCCCCGACGCCGACGCCCCUCCGCCGGUUGCCUCCGUCGCCCCCGACUCCGACGCCCCUCAAGCCGGUUGCCUCCGUUGCCCCCGACUCCGACGCCGACGCCCCUCCACCUCCGCCCUCAGGCCCCUUCCCUUCCUCUCCCCCGUCGCCAAUUCCAUCGCGUCUCGUUGUUCUAGGUGAGCGCCGCUUCUGAUUCCUUUCCCCACUCGCUUGCUCGCGAUCGACCGGCCUGAAAGUGAAUGUGCUUUUUCGAGAGAUUCGAACUGUCUAUCGAGUGAACGUACCUCUAGGUGUCAGCGGAGGUUGGUGCUGCUCGGUGCGCAAUGUUUGACAGAGCGGCGGCGGCUUUAGGUUCAGACUAUGCCGCGAUAUGCAUUUUGUUUUUUGAAAAUUUAGUGUGGACUUAGGAAUGCUUGUGAAAUUUGAAUACGUGACGGCAGCUGUAAUGUAUGAUGGCUUGUGCCGACUUGAUUGGGCUUGAAUGACGGUUUCGAUAUUAAGCCUAUGUUAGCAUCGGGCAGUGAUUGAAAUCGUACAUGAGCUUGUCUAUUGUAGUUGCUGCCAAAAUGUUCGCGUGAGAUUGUGAGGAACCUAUCUAUUGUUCACGCUUGCUUGAUGUUUAAGGCAUUUAAUUGAUGGUUUCGCUCAACGAGAUGGCGAUGAGAAGUGUCUGUAACUGAGUGUUAAGUCAUCUGUCCCUUUGCCUUCGGUCUUUUAUUUAGUGGUGAUUAAACAAUGAUGAACUUGGAGAAGAUGAAAGAUGUUCAGGGAAUCAGUCAGCUGUUUCUGAUGUGCACAUGCAUGUGCGGACGUGAGUGUUUCCAUGUGUUUUGGGCAAGCAGUCAGCAGCUUCUUGCUUUUUUUUUUUUUUUUAUGGUUUGGGCAAAUAUUCUGGAGAGAGAAGUGGUUUUUGAUAGGGUGCGGGAGUACAUACUGUUACUUUAGUAUUGUUUCAGAUAUGGAGCUUUAACUUAAUCCUAGAAAGUUGCUCGAAUGGAAAAUUUGAUAUUCCUCAAUGCUUAGAAUAUGCCACUGCUUAUCUUUGACUCUACUUGAGUGGGGACCUGAAUGAUGAGUCCAGGUGGGCUUCAGGAGUUUAGAUAAAAAGUGGUAUUGGCAUUCAAAAUGAAAAUGGCACUUUUAGGAUUGUAGUCUUGCACUCGUGUAGCUACCUCGAUCUAACUAUUAGCCUGAUUGGGUGAUUUUUCUUGUAUUUCUUAUAAAUUGAUUUGAUUUAUCUACUUGCUUAUAUAUUCAGGAUCCUUAAAGUUUCCACUGAAGAACUGUGCCAUCGUUUUGAUGAAGAGAUACUUGAAAGUGCUAGGCAACCUUCAGUCUACCCUAGGAAUUUUGUAGAGUUUUGCUCAUACAAGGCAAUGAAUGCGGCAACAAAAGCUCCUGAUUCCUCUUCGCCUGAUGUAGCAUGAGUAAUAGGUAGAGAUGGUUGGUGACAAAGCUGGAGGCAUUUGUUCAUCUAGUUUUAUUAAGUGACUGUUUUUCACGUGGAAUUUAGUACCAAUGUCUCUCAUUAUUAGCCCAUGCAUAUUAGUAGUAGGAUUAUGUCAUUUUACUCAUAAACGAUAAUGAUUGGGAUAUUUUAUUCCCUUAGAAUAUAUAGUUAAUUAAGAUACUUAACUCUGUCAUUGAUGGGAAGGUGAAUAUGUGAAAUCAAACUCCAUUGCAGCUUAUAUUCAUUCAUAAUCUGUUUUUGUUCCGUGGUUUCUAUAGCUAGUUUUGUCAUGCAAAUAUAUGUCAAAACUAAAAGAACACGGUUGAUCAAGAAACUUGCAAAAAUAUAGGAAGAUCAUGGUCUUGUAGUAGAAGUUACUGAUUUGAUGCAAGAAAUUGGGGUUAACUAGAAGUCGACUUCUAUUGUUAACGUUCUUGUGAUUAGUUUUUCCUUGUCCAGCAUUCCUAUUUUGCUGGUUCGUUUGUGCUUAGAUCGCCAGGAUUAUGUCUGUGCACAGCACAUAUCCUUUUCAGGAAGAUCAGCCCCAGAAUGUUUGAUGCAAUUCCUUCCAAAGAGAAAAAAAAGUGUAAAGAAGGUGGAAGCAUUGUGGAAGAAGCUCCAGCUGAUAUUUUGUCACUUGUCGAGUUGAUAAGCUUUCCUGGCAAUUGCCUCCGGUGCUGAAACAAAUAUGGUAGUGAAGUGCCCCUUAUUAAUACCCCAUGUCUUAGGUAAACAAACAGAAACAUAUAAAUCUGUGGUGAUUAUUCUCCACACAAAACUGUUGCUGGCACUCUUACUGAAACUCUGGCUGCCACCUCUCGGUGGGGGAAUGAAAUAAGUAGCAAAGAUGUUGAGCAAAUGUGUAGAGAUGAAUCACUCAAUAAGCACGCUGCACUCUUGCAAUAUCUUGAGAAGAAACUUGCUCUUGUAAGUUAUGAGAUUGAACAAACUUAUGCUAUAAAAUUCUGCUCCAUUUCCUUAAUUAUUUAUCACAUUUUCCAUUUAUUUUUUCCUCUUCUUUCCAGGCUAAAGGGAAGGUCAAAAGGGCUGAGAAAGCUCUAGCAAAAGUGCAGGAGAAUCUUAGACCAGCAGACCUUCCAGUUGAUCUGGAAACCAUAAGUGAUGAGGAGAGAUCUUUACUACGUAAGAUUGGUCUGAGUAUGAAGCCCUUCCUGCUUAUCGGUAAGAAUAGCAGACCUUCCACUUGAUGCCUGAAUUUGGAUGAUUUCUGUCCGAAUUCAGCAAUUAUAUCUCUGCCAUCAAAGAACUAUACUCGUGUCUCAUCCGUGCCCAAUGGGAAAUCUGAAUACUAAGAAGCAUGCGGUAGAUGUAAUGAUUUUCAUAGGUGUUCAAGAGCGUAUGAGAAUUACUAAAUCAAAUUUUUAUUCUUUCUGUGGGUAGGUCAAACUCUUUCGGGUGCAAGGCAUUCAUGUUUUUGCAGGGCUUGUGAUUAUUAUGCCCUUGACAAUAGUCUAUCGAGCUUCUCUGUGAGUAGUAGAUAGUGGAUGCCCAGGUUGGACUUUUAUCUUGCAUAUGCAAUUUAGAUGACUCUGAGUUUGCAAGAUCAAGGAGUACCCGGAAGCCUGCAAGAAGGAUGGCAAAAAUUUUUAUGGCGACAAAGUUAGUUCGUAGGUGUUCCCUGGCUUCGGCGUAGAUAAAUUUGAAGUAAUCUUUUUGAUACAUGUCGAUCUGAUAUCAUUUUCUUGACUUUCGGUUAGGUAAUGUUUCUGAAGUGUCGUUACCUCUGGCCUCCAUUGGCAUUAGCUAGCACAUGCUGGCAAGUUGUUAUGUAUCUUUGGUGGCUGAAUGACUCCAUAUGCUCAGUUAGACCUAGCAUUGAGUAAAUUUUAUAUUUUUGCCAUCUUUCUUCUAACGCAUUUGUAGUUCUUGAAAAUUGACUUGCAGGAGAAGUCAUCUACGAUGGAGUUAAAGCCUCACAAUAUAAAAUUCAAGAUAAGACUUGAUAAAGGGACAUCAUUGCCACCCCCCGAGUUUGGAAAGGGUAAAACUGUGGAGGUCAGCAGUGAUGAAAAAGUUUAUGAGGGUUCUUGGUUUUCUGCAAUUGUCAUCAACUAUAUAGGAAAUGACAAGUAUCUGGUCGAAUACCUAACCUUGAAAACAGAUGACGAAACUUAACCUUUGAGGGAAGAAAAAUAUUCACGGUAUAUCAGGCCCUACCCUCCUCAUCUUCCAGCCAGGCGUUUCAAGCCUCAGUAUGUUGGUACAAUUACGGAUGGUGGGUCGGUGUAAUUUCCAAAGUUCUAAAAGGCUCUCAGUAUGUUGUCCACUUCAGCACAUCCAAUGAAGAACUAAUUUUCAAUGAGUCUAAUCUGAGGCUUCACCAGGACUGGAAUGACGGCAAGUGGGUCAUUGCUUCCCGGGUAAGAACUACGGUAGCUUCUAAUUUUGUGAUGAAUUGUUUUGGUGGAGUUCUGUCAUUUAGGUUCAUGCUUUUGUUUCAUUCCUGGCCGAACUUCCCCCAUGCCUUGUUGUGAUUUUGAUUGGUUGCAUGGAGAAUGCUAUACAUAAGGAGUUCUUGAUGGUGUCAAAUUUGUGAUUUUGCAAGUUUAGAGGAACACUUAAUCAGUCAAACCAUAUUUCAAUUACUUUGAUGCAAAUUGGUGCCAGUCAAUGAUGUCUGAUGAACUAGAGAUUAUUUCACAUGGCAGUUAUACUAUGUUUUACCGAUCUGAGUUUAUAACUCUUUGAAUUCAAAUACCAUAUUCCUUUAUUUAAUUGUAACACUUAAUCGGUUGACUUGCUUCUCUAGGACAAUCAUGUAGCUAAUGGGUUCUUGAAAAGAGACUCGUUGCAAAUGCAGUGCCAUCCCAUGUUAUCGGUUAAUUUUCUUGCUUUCCCCUAUGUUGAAGUGAUCAAAUAUUUUUUGCUGGAAGAGUGAACUAUGAAGCUUAUAUGUAUGGACUCCGGGUCAUGCAGUAGAAAGUCACACCUGUCAAUAAGCAUCAUGCUCGAUAAAUGCUUUAUCAUAAUGUUAUCCACAGAAACUCUAGCUUUCUUCUUGUGCAUACAAUAAAUUAUGGUGUAUUUGUUUGGUGGAUAUGAGAAAUUAUUUAACAUCUAAACCUCCAUGAUCCUAUGCAAUCAAGCCUUCUUAAUGAGUCUUUAGAGGAUAAAAAUCUCUCAGAAAAUUCCCAAUUCAGGUACCAUCUCUGAAUUGUUGUGGGUAAUUGGCUGUGCAUCUUGAAAUAUCACAAUAAUGUGCUAUAGAAUUGGUUGACCAUGCCUUCGAUAUUUGAACGUAGGCUGCUUCUAAAACAAUUGGUCAGGUUGGAAGUUAUCUAGUGACCUGCUUCUUGGAGUACUUUAAAUAUGAAUUCGAGAAUGAGAAAAACAUGCUAGAAGGUGCACCUGUUGAGAAGGCAGCAGAAGUUCUUACACAGAGAAUCAUUAAACUUGUACUUGCAGAACUUUGUCAUUUUUCUUCUUUUCGGAUCAUCAUUCAGAUGUGACUCGAUCUAUUUUCUGCAGAAUAUUAUCUUCAUUCCAAAGCAUUACUCAAGGAUUACCUCAAAAGGACUUGCAGAGCUGUCAUGCCUCAGCAUUCAGGCCUGAUUGUGUUGAACAUUUUUUUUUUUUAAUAUUCUAUAUCAAUGUCAAUCUUUAUGAAUUGUUGCCUAGACCUCUCAUUUAACCUGAGCAGCCUCCCUGCCUUCAAUUCCUGAUUGGGGUAUGGUUGCUGGACUAGGAUACAAGUUCCAAAUUAGUGGAAAAGAGUUUUUGGUGCAUUGAAAGCCAAAGGCUUGUCAUGAAUUGGUGGAGAUCCAUGCUUACUCUAUACUCAAAACAUAGAGAAAUUUAAUGAAUUUAUUAGUUGCUUUUUACUAGAUAAGCACUAAGUUAUCCCUGCUGACAUGUUUACAGGGGCUCCAUUUCCGAGCAAUUUCAAAGAUGUUGUCAAAACCAUUUUCAAGUGCUUGUUCCGUGUCUACGCCCAUAUCUACCAUUCACAUUUUCAGAAAAUCGUGAACUUGAAGGAAGAAGUUCAUCUAAAUACUUGCUUCAAACAUUUCGUUCUCUUCACAUGGGUAAGUAAGCAUAGCUACUAAGCUUUGCAGAUAUGACUUACCCAAUGAUUCUAUCAUACUUUUUAGAUUGGCUUUGAUAUGUUCUUAGUCUUAUUAAGUUUGGGUCAAGGAAAUACUUUCAAUUACUAUAUUAAUGAGUCACAAGCAGUAGUUUAGUUAGGUUAUUAGCUUUACAACGAGAGUCUAGUACAAAAAAGACUUGUGAUGGCAAGUAUUGAUUGUCUUUAAUUUGAUGUAGGAAUUUCGGUUGAUUAACAAAGAGGAGCUUGCGCCGCUUAAUGAACUCGUUCAAUUGUGGUGGUGGGGGGGGGGGGGGGGGGGGGGGGGGGGGGGGCGUGAGUUCCUAUCCCAUGUAUUCUCUUGUUUCCCUUUUCCCCCUUCUUUUGGAUAACUAGAUUGAGAUUUUUUGGCGAACUUUUUUUCGUCGUUUGUGAAUGAGAUAUCUUGAUUCAGUUCAUCGCCUUAUCUUUAGUGUGUUUAUAUAUGUUGAUUUGGUGUAAAUUCUGUACAUCAAACAAGAAAACUCUUGGUCUCCCAAUGUCAUUUAGUGCAAUUUUAGAGCAUGCAAUGAAUCUUGUGAUCCUUCUGUAGAAAGAAGUUCGUCCAUUCAAGACGUUUGAGGGACUUGCAAGAGAAGCCCUUGCUUGUUUGUUGAUAGAAAAUGCUUGAAACAACAUGUCAGUUUGCAAUUCUCUGCAGCAUAAUAAGAAUUGAUUUCUACAGAUUUGGUACUCCUGUACUUUGAAAAUUUUCCAUCUGAAUCAUCUCUCAAAACUUGUAACGUUCGGUAACAUAAUCACAAGUUGGCAUUGAAUACGAAAAGUAUUUGCUGACCGCAAUCUCGUUCUAAGACCAGAAUUCCCCGGGAUUUGAUGCUAGUGGUCAUUGAGACUGUAGCAAAGACAAAAAACUGUUAGUCUCGUAAGAAACUACUCCGGCUAUUCAAGUCAUUUCUCGCGCCCUAUAGAUCUAUGCUUGAAAGUAUGCAUCGCAUUUGCCUGUUUCAUGCCGACUUCAUAUAUAUAUAACCUGAAACCUGAUGUUGUUGAUAAGCAUGGUACAGGAACUAUGAGUGAAAUAACAGCCUUGCAUUCGAAUAUGGGAUGUAACUAAACCGGAUUUUGACAACCCAAAGUGAAAAAUUACAAAUAAAGAUACAGAAGGGAGAUCUUUCAUUGUGUAAUUUGAAGUAUUACAAGGUCUUCUGUGCCACACAAUCGAAUUCACUAUAAUUUAACUUCAUGAGAUUUCUCCAAUCCCCUAAAUAGAAAAGUCUCCUAUCAUUUUGUUUCUUUUUUUGCCACCAUGGGCUCAUAAUCUUUCUUUCAAUGGUAUUCUGUAAAUUUUCUUCUGAAUAAAUUAUUCACCAGAAUCCCUUGAGCGCCUUAAAUUCAGUAGCUCAGUGACGCUAAUGUAAUACCAGCCAGCCUGAGCACUAGGCCAAGGAACUUUCUGAUUUAGCCGUGGCAUCUUUGGCUGACGAGAUUUCUUGAACCUUGACAGCAUGCGUUCAUCUCUCUUAUGCACCCAAAAUUGCAUCACGGAGAAAGGAGACACUUCACCUUUUAGCCUUACUUCCUUCAUCUCCAUUUUAAAUCCAACAUAUCAUGCAUCAAUUAAGGGUUCUGCAUGGAAGCAGUAAAUUGCUUACCGCAACAGAACCUGAUACUAAGCCACCUCCAGGAUCAUUUUCCAACAAAACCCAGCAUUUAAUAGGAGAUGCUUUAAAGUGACCAAGGCUGCGAGUACGGGCAAACAAGUAACCAAUUAGAAUGAUAAUCUUAGUAUCAAGGAAAGAAAUAAUUGGCAUGGGAUACCAAGAGGGUACCAGCCAUGGACUUUGCAGACUCAAAGCAUAACAAGAAUGUGGCUAAACGCUUUAUGAAUGCUGUAGCCUUCUGCAUGUCAAGUGAGUGCCUAUCAUUGCACAGCAUCAUCUUUAGAGCUUCAGCUAGCACCUCACCCUGAUCUCUGCUUGAGACAUCAGAUAUCAAUGAGUAACCAUACAAAGGGAGAAAGACACUAUUGCCAAUCUGGUUUGUUCAUUAUAACAAAGUCAAUAAUUCUUGCAUGACUUUUUCUGUCAUUGCCAAACAUCUAGGACUGCGGUUAUAAAGAAAAUCAUGUGAACAAAAGUGCAUGAGCAGAUGAGUCCAGAAAACCAGCUUGACAGCAAGGAUAUGAUCUCUGCUUCAGACAUCAGAUAUUAAUUACAAUUAAAAGUGUUGUGGUCAUGAGAAAUAGAUCACUAUUUCAUCUCCGAACAAAGUCAUCUGCAUUUAGAGCUAUGGUUUAUAAUAAAAUCUGGUAACUAAAAGUGCAUGAGCACAUGACCUCAAAAAACAAACUUGACAGCAAGGUACUGAGCACCCAACAUAGAAGUGCUAACCUUCCAGGCCUCUAUUCAAGUAUGAGGUUGUAUAGCUGAACAAAAAAAUCUUGCAAAUCAACGUUCAAAGCAUCGAGAUUGUUCCUCAUUACUUUAAAAGCAAUGAUGCAACAGCAAAGUCUUUCCGAGACGGUACGCAUUUUCCUGAACUGUCUGAUUUUCCACAAGAACAUGCAAGCUUUUUAAGGUAAUUCAUGAGAUCUCCAAUAUAAUCCAAGUCAAUCAGGUGAGAAAAUUUUCCUAGACCAUGGUCUAAGGAGUGGGUGAGCCUUAGUCACAUGAGUUGUACCAGUAUCUCCAUUAGGUCUGUAAAACAAACAGAAAUAAUGAAGUGAUCACAGUAUCCCGUUAGAUACCAUUCACAAAGACAAUUUCUAACUCAACUUUAUGCACAUAUUUUAGGUUGAUUAUAGAGAAAGAUUAAAUCAACACAGCAAAUGGACAGCAUCACUUAUAAUUAAGAACCACACCUUAAAUUGGUCCUAUGAAUUUUUUCAAGUCAAUCUGAAGACCUGACCAAUAUUGAAACCCCAGUUUCAGUGUCUAAUAAAACAUUUGCUUUGACACGGUACUACGCACCAAGACCAAUAUGCCCUACCAUGUUCAAAUAUUUCACUAUAGUGUCAAAACCAUACAAAAUGACACAUGAAAUCACCUGGACACAAUUGACUGCAUAGUAUGCUUCAGAAUACGAAAAUAUAUCUCAAAUACGGCAGAAAGUGUCUCUGACUGCAUCCUUCGGCGCUCCAUAAUAUCUGGAUCGAAGCUAGCUGCUUUAUAAUCAGCAGCAACCUGUUUACACCACCAAGCACCUCAAUUUUAUGAUAUGAAAUUAAAAAAUCAGAGAAAGUAGGCAGUUGUUGCAUAAGAAUCCCUACCUCUUCCCUCACUAUCACAAUAUUAGUAGUCAACUAUGAGAAGAAUGUGAAAUCGACUUAACAAGAGAACGUUGCAGGAAGAAAUGCUGAUUUUCUAAUUUAGUACACCUAUGCCUUUUUCUAUAAGGGCCCUCGGAAGUGGAGAUCCUCAAGUAACAGAACCGUAGUAAUAUUGCAACAGCAAGCACAGCUGCAGUUUUCGAUUUUACCAGUGUGAAUUAGGUGUUAAGGAAGACGAGGGCAAUCUUAACUCCUAUUUCCACCAAAGAACAAUUCAUCUUCUUGUCGUGGAAUAUGCCUUGAGUUUUGCUCAACUGCAGGUAAAUAAAAUCUGGAAUAGUGGGCUGAACAAGAAGGUGAAGUAUGUACAAGGAUCAGUUUCUACUGAUCCUCAACAUGGCAAUACUUAUUAAGCAUGGCUGUAAUUGAGUUCACUUGGGGUAAUACCCGUAAGCAAUUUUGUAACAUCCAGUACAGUAAGACAAAGUAAAACAUCAAUCAAGGCUUAUUUACAAGUGACUUGGCAAUGAUGAGCUUCCUAGGUGAAGGCUUGGUUUGAAGCACGGCGCUUUCAUGAUUCUGAUCUGGAAGUACAAAGACCAUGAUAAGACCGGAUAACCUGAAAUAGCAGAUAGCAUUCUUUAUUAAAAUGUGUUUAACUAAUUGAACACAGUGCUUCAUAUUUGAUGAGGAGAUAGAUUCACAACCUUAUUCUGGUCAAGAUCCCAGCAUUUAACUUGUUUGUCAUCACCAGCAGAGACAUAUAAGUAUGCUUACUACUCACUGCAAGGCCUGUAAUUUGAAUAAGGUAUAGAGUUGGAGCUGUCAGAAUCUGAAAAGUAGCUAGCCAAAACAAGUUCAAACUGCUAAUCAUUUAUUAUGUCAAGCACUCACCCCUAAUCUGUUCAAUAUGUCCUGUCAGCGUUAGCUUCAGCCUUCCGCUUGCUAGAUCCCAUAUCUAGGAAAAGAAUAUCAAUAUAGAAUGCUUAAAUGGGCAGAUUUCACAAAAAAGGGAAGUUGAUGAAGAAAGCAUAUGGUCAACCAGAAUGCAUGCAAAGAAGAGAAAAAGAGUCAACUUAAGACCCCCUCUGGUUGGGGGCAUUUAAAAUUCAUCUCUACAAUGUCAACGCUCAUCUAUUUCAAAAAUUUUAAUAGCAAUUUCCAUCUCAAAUUGUACUUUAUACAAUUAAAUCACAGAGAUCAUGCAAUUCGAAAUAACAUUAGAAUUAAGGAUACAACUUCAAAAAAGUUUUAGAACAAAAUGCUGCCAUAGAAAAGAGUGAUCAACUUUCUGGCGACUCAAUGAUUCUAACAAUCAUCUUGUUCAACUAACCAAAAGAACUAGAAAGUGAGCAUCUAUGAUUAGCAAAUUUUACCAACAAAAGAAGACCAGGAAUCAUCAAAAAGCACAAUUGUAAAAGCUUAAUACCUUAAUUGUCCGAUCUGCAGAGCCAGUGCAGAAUCAUUGAUUGCUAGGAUCAAAUGCAAUAGAUCUCACCCAUCCCAAAUGCCCACUUAUGACCUUGCACAUACAAAAAGGAGAAAACAAAACACAUAACAAUCCAAGUAAGCGAGCAAAUAACUGCAGAUACGAUAACAUGGACAAGACACAGCUGUAUGAUAAAUUCAAAUGUAUAAUUAUCACAUGACACCAUAACUAUUACUGAAACAAAACAAGAACUUUCUUCUAGCUGCCAGAAAAAUUAGGCCACAAUUCUCACCCUGUAGUUCUUCCAUGGAGGAUGCCACACAGGACGUGGCCACCUGCUUGGAAUUCUUUCCAUAAUGGCUGAGGUAGACAAAUUCCUAAAAACAGAGUGAGAGCAUGAGGCCAAACCAGAUUAAGUACCUUAGAGCAGAACUUAAGAUGACUCGGUGAUCCUUGAAUGCAUGAGUCGAAUUAUGAGAAUCCAUGAAACAGCUUUUUAGAAACCAUUAAGAAAUGUUCUGAUGUUACUUCAGUGGACUGUGCAAAUAGAUGCAUGUCAACGUAUUAAAAAAGUAAUAGUAAUAUAAAAGUCCUAUUUUGACCAAAAAUAUAGGAUACAUAGCCUAUCAUUGCCAAUAGCAUACAUUACUCAAGAAACUCAGAAAUGGGGAUUCCGCCCUAUAGCCAUAAGAGAUAAUCACGUGAAAACAGGAGCGACUCUGGCAUCCCCUUAACCGUAGCAAGAGCACGGUCCUCAAUCAAGAAGCAAUAUAGGUCAAGACAAAUAAUUGAUGAAUAUGUCGUUGUGUAAUAAAACACUUGCAGCUUUCUUAUAUGGUGUUAUAGUUAAGAUGGUUUUCAAACUUAUCAAUUGAUGAAGUUGCAUAAAGAGGUGUGAUCUGUAAUAGCCAAGACAAAUAAUUUGUUCAUACCGCAAUAGGAACAACGUUGAUGUAGUAGUCAACCAAGGUCGUUGCCAUCGACCUGCAAUGUAGUGGGCAAAAAUUUAUCAGUAAUCCACGUUUUGCAUAAGCAUGUUCUAGUAAAGAAAGAACCUUCGGACAUACGGGAGUCGCCAAUGGGGUGCCUAUCAGUGGGGCUUGGGAAGGCUACGGCAGGAGACGACGGCGUUGGCGGCCUCCAUGUUCAGGAGCGGGGGGCGCUUCGCAGAGGAAAGAGAGAGGGAGAGAGCGAGCAGAGUGACCUUCGUUCGCGGAGAGGGAGGCCAAAACGCGAGCAGGGGUUCGUUGGCGUCGGGGUUGCCGGCAAGGGCACUCCACAGAGGAAAGAGGACAGAGCAGAGUAGAGGUUGUGAGAGGGAGGUGAAGGGGCGUCGGUGACGGUGUCGGAGUCGGGGGUGACGGCGGAGGCAGAAGAGUCGAGGGCACCGCGGAGGAGAGAGAGCGUCAGCAUCGGCAGAGGUGGAAAGGGCAUCGGCGUCGAGGCAACAGGUGAAGGAAGAGGAAUAGAGGCGUUGGAUCGGGAUCGCAGGCAACCCAGCAGAGAAGAAGAGAGUAGAUUGCGUCGGCGGGAGUUGGAAAAGGGCGCCGGCUUUUGGCGUCCCCGGGGAACCAGGGGGAGGAGAGCAGAGGCCAACAGCGGAGGGUGGAAAGGGGCGUUGGGGUUUUGGCGCGCCAGGCAACUGGGGGAGGNNNNNNNNNNNNNNNNNNNNNNNNNNNNNNNNNNNNNNNNNNNNNNNNNNNNNNNNNNNNNNNNNNNNNNNNNNNNNNNNNNNNNNNNNNNNNNNNNNNNNNNNNNNNNNNNNNNNNNNNNNNNNNNNNNNNNNNNNNNNNNNNNNNNNNNNNNNNNNNNNNNNNNNNNNNNNNNNNNNNNNNNNNNNNNNNNNNNNNNNNNNNNNNNNNNNNNNNNNNNNNNNNNNNNNNNNNNNNNNNNNNNNNNNNNNNNNNNNNNNNNNNNNNNNNNNNNNNNNNNNNNNNNNNNNNNNNNNNNNNNNNNNNNNNNNNNNNNNNNNNNNNNNNNNNNNNNNNNNNNNNNNNNNNNNNNNNNNNNNNNNNNNNNNNNNNNNNNNNNNNNNNNNNNNNNNNNNNNNNNNNNNNNNNNNNNNNNNNNNNNNNNNNNNNNNNNNNNNNNNNNNNNNNNNNNNNNNNNNNNNNNNNNNNNNNNNNNNNNNNNNNNNNNNNNNNNNNNNNNNNNNNNNNNNNNNNNNNNNNNNNNNNNNNNNNNNNNNNNNNNNNNNNNNNNNNNNNNNNNNNNNNNNNNNNNNNNNNNNNNNNNNNNNNNNNNNNNNNNNNNNNNNNNNNNNNNNNNNNNNNNNNNNNNNNNNNNNNNNNNNNNNNNNNNNNNNNNNNNNNNNNNNNNNNNNNNNNNNNNNNNNNNNNNNNNNNNNNNNNNNNNNNNNNNNNNNNNNNNNNNNNNNNNNNNNNNNNNNNNNNNNNNNNNNNNNNNNNNNNNNNNNNNNNNNNNNNNNNNNNNNNNNNNNNNNNNNNNNNNNNNNNNNNNNNNNNNNNNNNNNNNNNNNNNNNNNNNNNNNNNNNNNNNNNNNNNNNNNNNNNNNNNNNNNNNNNNNNNNNNNNNNNNNNNNNNNNNNNNNNNNNNNNNNNNNNNNNNNNNNNNNNNNNNNNNNNNNNNNNNNNNNNNNNNNNNNNNNNNNNNNNNNNNNNNNNNNNNNNNNNNNNNNNNNNNNNNNNNNNNNNNNNNNNNNNNNNNNNNNNNNNNNNNNNNNNNNNNNNNNNNNNNNNNNNNNNNNNNNNNNNNNNNNNNNNNNNNNNNNNNNNNNNNNNNNNNNNNNNNNNNNNNNNNNNNNNNNNNNNNNNNNNNNNNNNNNNNNNNNNNNNNNNNNNNNNNNNNNNNNNNNNNNNNNNNNNNNNNNNNNNNNNNNNNNNNNNNNNNNNNNNNNNNNNNNNNNNNNNNNNNNNNNNNNNNNNNNNNNNNNNNNNNNNNNNNNNNNNNNNNNNNNNNNNNNNNNNNNNNNNNNNNNNNNNNNNNNNNNNNNNNNNNNNNNNNNNNNNNNNNNNNNNNNNNNNNNNNNNNNNNNNNNNNNNNNNNNNNNNNNNNNNNNNNNNNNNNNNNNNNNNNNNNNNNNNNNNNNNNNNNNNNNNNNNNNNNNNNNNNNNNNNNNNNNNNNNNNNNNNNNNNNNNNNNNNNNNNNNNNNNNNNNNNNNNNNNNNNNNNNNNNNNNNNNNNNNNNNNNNNNNNNNNNNNNNNNNNNNNNNNNNNNNNNNNNNNNNNNNNNNNNNNNNNNNNNNNNNNNNNNNNNNNNNNNNNNNNNNNNNNNNNNNNNNNNNNNNNNNNNNNNNNNNNNNNNNNNNNNNNNNNNNNNNNNNNNNNNNNNNNNNNNNNNNNNNNNNNNNNNNNNNNNNNNNNNNNNNNNNNNNNNNNNNNNNNNNNNNNNNNNNNNNNNNNNNNNNNNNNNNNNNNNNNNNNNNNNNNNNNNNNNNNNNNNNNNNNNNNNNNNNNNNNNNNNNNNNNNNNNNNNNNNNNNNNNNNNNNNNNNNNNNNNNNNNNNNNNNNNNNNNNNNNNNNNNNNNNNNNNNNNNNNNNNNNNNNNNNNNNNNNNNNNNNNNNNNNNNNNNNNNNNNNNNNNNNNNNNNNNNNNNNNNNNNNNNNNNNNNNNNNNNNNNNNNNNNNNNNNNNNNNNNNNNNNNNNNNNNNNNNNNNNNNNNNNNNNNNNNNNNNNNNNNNNNNNNNNNNNNNNNNNNNNNNNNNNNNNNNNNNNNNNNNNNNNNNNNNNNNNNNNNNNNNNNNNNNNNNNNNNNNNNNNNNNNNNNNNNNNNNNNNNNNNNNNNNNNNNNNNNNNNNNNNNNNNNNNNNNNNNNNNNNNNNNNNNNNNNNNNNNNNNNNNNNNNNNNNNNNNNNNNNNNNNNNNNNNNNNNNNNNNNNNNNNNNNNNNNNNNNNNNNNNNNNNNNNNNNNNNNNNNNNNNNNNNNNNNNNNNNNNNNNNNNNNNNNNNNNNNNNNNNNNNNNNNNNNNNNNNNNNNNNNNNNNNNNNNNNNNNNNNNNNNNNNNNNNNNNNNNNNNNNNNNNNNNNNNNNNNNNNNNNNNNNNNNNNNNNNNNNNNNNNNNNNNNNNNNNNNNNNNNNNNNNNNNNNNNNNNNNNNNNNNNNNNNNNNNNNNNNNNNNNNNNNNNNNNNNNNNNNNNNNNNNNNNNNNNNNNNNNNNNNNNNNNNNNNNNNNNNNNNNNNNNNNNNNNNNNNNNNNNNNNNNNNNNNNNNNNNNNNNNNNNNNNNNNNNNNNNNNNNNNNNNNNNNNNNNNNNNNNNNNNNNNNNNNNNNNNNNNNNNNNNNNNNNNNNNNNNNNNNNNNNNNNNNNNNNNNNNNNNNNNNNNNNNNNNNNNNNNNNNNNNNNNNNNNNNNNNNNNNNNNNNNNNNNNNNNNNNNNNNNNNNNNNNNNNNNNNNNNNNNNNNNNNNNNNNNNNNNNNNNNNNNNNNNNNNNNNNNNNNNNNNNNNNNNNNNNNNNNNNNNNNNNNNNNNNNNNNNNNNNNNNNNNNNNNNNNNNNNNNNNNNNNNNNNNNNNNNNNNNNNNNNNNNNNNNNNNNNNNNNNNNNNNNNNNNNNNNNNNNNNNNNNNNNNNNNNNNNNNNNNNNNNNNNNNNNNNNNNNNNNNNNNNNNNNNNNNNNNNNNNNNNNNNNNNNNNNNNNNNNNNNNNNNNNNNNNNNNNNNNNNNNNNNNNNNNNNNNNNNNNNNNNNNNNNNNNNNNNNNNNNNNNNNNNNNNNNNNNNNNNNNNNNNNNNNNNNNNNNNNNNNNNNNNNNNNNNNNNNNNNNNNNNNNNNNNNNNNNNNNNNNNNNNNNNNNNNNNNNNNNNNNNNNNNNNNNNNNNNNNNNNNNNNNNNNNNNNNNNNNNNNNNNNNNNNNNNNNNNNNNNNNNNNNNNNNNNNNNNNNNNNNNNNNNNNNNNNNNNNNNNNNNNNNNNNNNNNNNNNNNNNNNNNNNNNNNNNNNNNNNNNNNNNNNNNNNNNNNNNNNNNNNNNNNNNNNNNNNNNNNNNNNNNNNNNNNNNNNNNNNNNNNNNNNNNNNNNNNNNNNNNNNNNNNNNNNNNNNNNNNNNNNNNNNNNNNNNNNNNNNNNNNNNNNNNNNNNNNNNNNNNNNNNNNNNNNNNNNNNNNNNNNNNNNNNNNNNNNNNNNNNNNNNNNNNNNNNNNNNNNNNNNNNNNNNNNNNNNNNNNNNNNNNNNNNNNNNNNNNNNNNNNNNNNNNNNNNNNNNNNNNNNNNNNNNNNNNNNNNNNNNNNNNNNNNNNNNNNNNNNNNNNNNNNNNNNNNNNNNNNNNNNNNNNNNNNNNNNNNNNNNNNNNNNNNNNNNNNNNNNNNNNNNNNNNNNNNNNNNNNNNNNNNNNNNNNNNNNNNNNNNNNNNNNNNNNNNNNNNNNNNNNNNNNNNNNNNNNNNNNNNNNNNNNNNNNNNNNNNNNNNNNNNNNNNNNNNNNNNNNNNNNNNNNNNNNNNNNNNNNNNNNNNNNNNNNNNNNNNNNNNNNNNNNNNNNNNNNNNNNNNNNNNNNNNNNNNNNNNNNNNNNNNNNNNNNNNNNNNNNNNNNNNNNNNNNNNNNNNNNNNNNNNNNNNNNNNNNNNNNNNNNNNNNNNNNNNNNNNNNNNNNNNNNNNNNNNNNNNNNNNNNNNNNNNNNNNNNNNNNNNNNNNNNNNNNNNNNNNNNNNNNNNNNNNNNNNNNNNNNNNNNNNNNNNNNNNNNNNNNNNNNNNNNNNNNNNNNNNNNNNNNNNNNNNNNNNNNNNNNNNNNNNNNNNNNNNNNNNNNNNNNNNNNNNNNNNNNNNNNNNNNNNNNNNNNNNNNNNNNNNNNNNNNNNNNNNNNNNNNNNNNNNNNNNNNNNNNNNNNNNNNNNNNNNNNNNNNNNNNNNNNNNNNNNNNNNNNNNNNNNNNNNNNNNNNNNNNNNNNNNNNNNNNNNNNNNNNNNNNNNNNNNNNNNNNNNNNNNNNNNNNNNNNNNNNNNNNNNNNNNNNNNNNNNNNNNNNNNNNNNNNNNNNNNNNNNNNNNNNNNNNNNNNNNNNNNNNNNNNNNNNNNNNNNNNNNNNNNNNNNNNNNNNNNNNNNNNNNNNNNNNNNNNNNNNNNNNNNNNNNNNNNNNNNNNNNNNNNNNNNNNNNNNNNNNNNNNNNNNNNNNNNNNNNNNNNNNNNNNNNNNNNNNNNNNNNNNNNNNNNNNNNNNNNNNNNNNNNNNNNNNNNNNNNNNNNNNNNNNNNNNNNNNNNNNNNNNNNNNNNNNNNNNNNNNNNNNNNNNNNNNNNNNNNNNNNNNNNNNNNNNNNNNNNNNNNNNNNNNNNNNNNNNNNNNNNNNNNNNNNNNNNNNNNNNNNNNNNNNNNNNNNNNNNNNNNNNNNNNNNNNNNNNNNNNNNNNNNNNNNNNNNNNNNNNNNNNNNNNNNNNNNNNNNNNNNNNNNNNNNNNNNNNNNNNNNNNNNNNNNNNNNNNNNNNNNNNNNNNNNNNNNNNNNNNNNNNNNNNNNNNNNNNNNNNNNNNNNNNNNNNNNNNNNNNNNNNNNNNNNNNNNNNNNNNNNNNNNNNNNNNNNNNNNNNNNNNNNNNNNNNNNNNNNNNNNNNNNNNNNNNNNNNNNNNNNNNNNNNNNNNNNNNNNNNNNNNNNNNNNNNNNNNNNNNNNNNNNNNNNNNNNNNNNNNNNNNNNNNNNNNNNNNNNNNNNNNNNNNNNNNNNNNNNNNNNNNNNNNNNNNNNNNNNNNNNNNNNNNNNNNNNNNNNNNNNNNNNNNNNNNNNNNNNNNNNNNNNNNNNNNNNNNNNNNNNNNNNNNNNNNNNNNNNNNNNNNNNNNNNNNNNNNNNNNNNNNNNNNNNNNNNNNNNNNNNNNNNNNNNNNNNNNNNNNNNNNNNNNNNNNNNNNNNNNNNNNNNNNNNNNNNNNNNNNNNNNNNNNNNNNNNNNNNNNNNNNNNNNNNNNNNNNNNNNNNNNNNNNNNNNNNNNNNNNNNNNNNNNNNNNNNNNNNNNNNNNNNNNNNNNNNNNNNNNNNNNNNNNNNNNNNNNNNNNNNNNNNNNNNNNNNNNNNNNNNNNNNNNNNNNNNNNNNNNNNNNNNNNNNNNNNNNNNNNNNNNNNNNNNNNNNNNNNNNNNNNNNNNNNNNNNNNNNNNNNNNNNNNNNNNNNNNNNNNNNNNNNNNNNNNNNNNNNNNNNNNNNNNNNNNNNNNNNNNNNNNNNNNNNNNNNNNNNNNNNNNNNNNNNNNNNNNNNNNNNNNNNNNNNNNNNNNNNNNNNNNNNNNNNNNNNNNNNNNNNNNNNNNNNNNNNNNNNNNNNNNNNNNNNNNNNNNNNNNNNNNNNNNNNNNNNNNNNNNNNNNNNNNNNNNNNNNNNNNNNNNNNNNNNNNNNNNNNNNNNNNNNNNNNNNNNNNNNNNNNNNNNNNNNNNNNNNNNNNNNNNNNNNNNNNNNNNNNNNNNNNNNNNNNNNNNNNNNNNNNNNNNNNNNNNNNNNNNNNNNNNNNNNNNNNNNNNNNNNNNNNNNNNNNNNNNNNNNNNNNNNNNNNNNNNNNNNNNNNNNNNNNNNNNNNNNNNNNNNNNNNNNNNNNNNNNNNNNNNNNNNNNNNNNNNNNNNNNNNNNNNNNNNNNNNNNNNNNNNNNNNNNNNNNNNNNNNNNNNNNNNNNNNNNNNNNNNNNNNNNNNNNNNNNNNNNNNNNNNNNNNNNNNNNNNNNNNNNNNNNNNNNNNNNNNNNNNNNNNNNNNNNNNNNNNNNNNNNNNNNNNNNNNNNNNNNNNNNNNNNNNNNNNNNNNNNNNNNNNNNNNNNNNNNNNNNNNNNNNNNNNNNNNNNNNNNNNNNNNNNNNNNNNNNNNNNNNNNNNNNNNNNNNNNNNNNNNNNNNCCUAAUCAACGAGUAGAGAAUAGGGAUAGCAAGGCACAACAAAUAAUUUCCAAAAACAGCACAUUUAUUUAUCCACUUGUUAAUCCUAUGAAGUUUGAUAUUUACAAGUCUACCUCAAAAGACAACUUCCUAUUGACCUAUAGGCAAAAAAGGUCUGAAAGGGUGGGGGUUAGCUUAAGCUCUUCAAGGGUAGUAGUCGUGAAAUUUUCGGGGGUCACAGUCAGGUCCAUCCUCGGGGAGGAACUCCACCUCGGGUUCAUAGUCAAGGGGGUACUCCUCUGCCUUUGACUCAGACUUCGAAUCCACAAUGACACCAUCAGGGAUGUCAAUGUCCAUGAGGUCCCAGUCUUGUGUCCCCACACUCUCGACAAGUGGUCCAUCAAAACUAUGAGGUAGACCGGUAUGAACACCAUCCUCCUUAACAAACCAUGCCUUGAACCUGUGGGCACCUAGGCAAUCAACCCCUCAUCUCCCCAAUGGUCGUAACCACUAGCUUAUGGACACUGUUGGUCCCCGGAACGGGGUCAUAUGCGAGUCCUUGUGCAUGGGGACCCCAAAACAUACAGGUAGCACUCCAUACUAAGGAUCUGAAAAAUAAUCAACAACAAAAGGGUGAGAUAAAAAUCUCAACGAGUUAGCAGCCUAAGCCUUGACGAGGACGCAAAUUCAUCUCGGAGGUAGCUUAAACGCGCACGAUAUACAAACUUACACCGCCUUGACACACCCAUGCACAUUAUUACAUCACAUAUGGCAAUAUCAUUGCAACAAGCAUAAAUAAUAAUUAUAACACAUUCCAUAAUAUCCAGGCACACUGCCAAACACACGUAUUUUGAUUAUAUGACCCUUUGAGCCACAGCCAACACAAGAGUCAGCGGUCUUCUGGCAUGACCAGGCAUUGUCCCGUCCCAUUGGGCAUGGCAUCGUCUAGAACCCCCCUUAGACGGCAUUUCCUAAGGAACAUCAAUAUGUCCUUAAUUGCGACUCAACAUCCCAACCCCUAUCAGGCAUUUGAUAAACAUCGGGCAUCACCCCCAAACUCCCGUUGGGUGAUGAGUUCUAUUAAGUGAUCACUUAAGCAUGCCAACAUUCAAGCCAAUUUUAUUUGCCAUCAAUCAGCCCAACGUAAAAGAAUACGUGCUCAAAUAACAAGUUUCACAAUUUUUACUCUUAAAAUUACGGUAAAAUAUUUACAUGUGGUCAUGUACUUAAAAUCAACCCGCUAAAUUUUACAUGUUUUCAUUUUAAAACCCCAUUGUCCCAUUUAACAUGUAAAAUAUGGCAUCCAAACAUGACACCUCAAAGUUUGCUAUUUUUUUACCGAGAAACUCUCUUUGGAAAAAAAAAAUAGCAUUUAAGAUGCAUGAGUUGAGCAAUCAAACAUCAUGACAUCACAAGCUCAAACAAUCAAAAUUAAGUAUAAAUUCAUCCAAUAAAACGAGUAUAAAAUUCUACUUAAUGACUAAUCUGUCAUUAAUUUUCUCUAAUCGCGAUUAAUUAAGCUAAUUGCGAUUAAUUAGGCUACCCACGGUUAAUCAAACUAACCAUGCUUUAUUAAUCUAACCGCGAUAAUUAAACUAACUAUGAUUAAUUAAGACUAACCAUCAUUGAUUAAUCUAACUGUAAUCAACUAAACUUAUAGCACUUAACUUUAAUAUGAACCAUCCUUAAUUAUAAUUAAGGCUAAACCAUACUUAUUUAUCAUUAAACACCAUUAGUCUAAACUAAACCUACCCCUAAACGCAAUGAACUACCUAAUCAAGAAUUAGGAGUUCACUCAUGAUUUUCUGAUGGCAACGGAUUCAUAGCGACGGCGGUGUGACGGUGUUGACACCUAAAUUUUUGCACAAUUUUUGGGUUAAUUUUUACUAAAAUAAAAAAAAAAACACAUGGCAUAUAGUUUAGAAGCAUUUUAUUUUCGUUUUUUUAUUUUAUUUUAGGCUGCCGGUGAAGGGAAGAUUUUUCACAUAUUCUGUUCAAACUUUUCAUAUUUUUAGGCAAUAUACACCAAAGGGUGUAUUUUCGAGCAAAAAGGAAAAUUUUGGAUAGAAUAUGUGGAAACUACAAAAGGGGAGUAUUGCGCGAGGUGGGUAUAUUUCAACGAUAUAUUUAGGGGUAUCAUGCGUGAACAAAAAGGAAAAAAUAUAUACCGUAGAGAUACAUUUUUUAGACCUAUAUAAAUACCUCGCGUGCAAUUUGUUUGAGGAGGCCACACAAUUGAGAAUACCCGGCCACAGAUUCGUGAAAUAAGAAAUCACGUAGGAGAGAGGGAGAGAUUUCGGCCAGCUUUCAGCGGAGACAACUCUCCACGCCAGCGCCCUCUCCGCGACCAGACCAGUGGUCGCACCUCCGACGCGAUUGCCUCUCACCACUUCUAGCAACUUCACAACAAAGUAGCCAGUCGCGGCUUCAAAUUGUCCCCUUCGGUCUCGCUGUGCCCCAACGGUAGCCGUGACAUGUCUUUGCCACUGCUCUCCAUCGCUCGCAUCUCCAACUAGCAAGCACCGUCAUAAUGUCAUCAAUAAGUUGACUCAUCCAAGUUAAAAGUUGAAGACCGUGAGUUCAAGGGGUGGAUUUUGUUCCCUACUAUCAAAACUGUCGACCAAGGUUGAGAAUUCCAAGUCAAGGAAACCCAUCACGUGAUCUUGCAGAGGAUAAAAGACAACAAAGAGGGAGGUGGCUCUUGGAUGAUCUGCCAAUCGAGGACACGCCUGUUACCUCUCUUCAUCACCAGCUGUUCAAUCCGAGUCUUCGCAAUGGCUGGUCAUCAUCUCUAUCCUUGGACGCGAACUUGCUCGACUGUGACUAUCCUUGGCGUGUCGCCUCUGCUGCCCCCGCCGUGUUCAAAUAGACCGUGACGACCCGUUGCCGCUUUGAUCUGUGCCACGCCCAACGACGAGUUGCUGUCCAUUCGAGCUGUAAAGCCACCGUUCCCAUUCGCAUCCAAACUAAGUCGAUCCCGAGGUUCUUAUUUUUGCAGGUUCGUUGACCGUGAGCCUACGGUCAUCCUUUACCAAGAGAUCCCACCAUCACCCACAACGCACCAUCAUCAAUCUGAUGUCAACUGGGUGAGACUCAGUGAGAAUUGCGAAACGUGGAGAACAAGAGCUAAAGAAAAGAACAGAAAUCCUUCCGAAAAUCGUGCGCGAUCCACGCUGGGAUAAAUGCCACAGGCGGCCUUCUCUACAGCUCAAGAAAUUUCUGUUUUGCAGGUUUCCUUAAAACCCCACCGAGCUCACUCCUUGCCGUGACGACUCUUACGUGAAGCGUCGUCCCCGUUCGCAGUCGAAAAACCGGUCGCGAUCUCGGUUCGAUUGCACUUGGUCCAAAUUUGGGAAGGAUAUCAUCAAAUUAGGUAAGAUGCACAUCUCUCGUAUAUUUGGAUAUUUUAUUGCUUAAUAUAUGUCUAUUUAUAUCCAGUUUGAUAUCCGUGAGUGAUAGACAUAACUUUCAAUUAGGAUUUAUCCCUAAUUCGCAACCGCACUAUGAUUUUUUAUUAUUUCAUCUAUAAGCUUUAGAUGAAAUAAUUAAUCAAGUGGGAAUUAAAUUGAUAUUUUGAUCUUUAAGACUUAAGAUCAAUUUAUCGGUUUUACUAGCAAAAUAUUAUCCCUUGAUCUGAAUGAUGUAUGACAUUUUUUGGGUAAUUUUAAAUGGACUUGAUUGCUUUAUUUAUCUUGAAAUAUGCCUGAAUUAGAAUAUUGCAUGUUUAGGCUAAGCAUUCUAUUUAUCAUGAAUUUUCAAAAAUUAAUUAAAAAAAAUGUGUCAUAUGCACGUCAUUAGGGUUAGAUUCAUUGAAAUGCGUGUCAUUUAGUAUUGUUGCUAGGCCCAUUCAACUAGAAGUUACAUGUCAUUAGAGUUAGGUUAUCUAGUUAAUAUUGCAUUGCAUAUUGCAUAAUUUUCAUUAAAUAAGUGAAAACAAAAAAAAAAGAGAAUUUGCGUGUUAAUUAGAAACCAUAUCCAAGGUUGUUGAUGUGGAUUUUGAAUUAACAUUGCAGAUGCUUUCGUUGCUACGAGGUAAGUCCUGCAUUUUCUAUUUGCUUUAUUGGGUGUUAAAUUGAUGGAUUACGCACCCGCAUGACCACCUCACAUGUUAGGAAAAUAGAUUUAAAAUCAAUCCAAACUGCUUGCCAAACAUUUUUCAAAAUAAAAAGAAAGGUACCGAAAGGGCGUUAGAGAAAUUUAGCGUAACCAAGUCCCCGUACCCAAAUCUCUGGUUCGUAGAAGUAAAGUAAAUCUCCCAUUACUUUACUUGGGUUUCUAAUCGACCCACCAAAAAUAGAUUAGUGGCGACUCCUAAUUAAAAAUCAAUUGCAUGUUAAAAAACUUGAACCUAAAGUCGCGAAUUGGUAUGGGCUUGGGAGAGCCCGAGUUAAGUCUAGGCUUAACAAUCCAUUAGCCAAACCCUAGGUGGUUCAAACGUGAAAAAAUUGGUCGCGAUAGCUUGGCGACUCCGCUGGGGACUUGAGUUGAAACUCUUAGUGGACUUAGGCCAAUUUUAUUUUUUGGAAAAAUGUUUUUGUUUGGCAGCGAGGAUCCCAGGUAUGUCCCUAACAUUUAAGGUGUUAAAUGUUUUUGCAGAUGAGGAGAUAUAAGGGGAGUAGUCUUUGCUAACUCUUGUCUUGCAGGUUGGAGUUGGGGAUGAAUGUUUUAAAUUCAAGCUAUUGAAGUGUUGUUUGUUUUAAUUGUUGUGCAUGCCCUGCAUUUAGCACUACACUUUUGCACACACAACCUGCCGCCGGACCUGGGCCGCACUAGGAUAUUUAGGAUGGUAUUGAGUUGGAUACGACUUCGACCGCGAGGCCGCGUAGUAGAGGUUGCCCAACUCAAUCCCGAAAGUUUUUCUUGGUGUUAAGAAUGUUUACCUCUGCCCGCGAGGCUACGUCGCAUUGGGGUAUCAUUCUUAACUGAGCCGGAGUUAGGAGGACUUGACUUAGUAUGCGAGGCUGCAACUAAGUCAGCCCACCCUUUUAACUCCACCUUGUUUAGUCUUUCUAGUUAGAAAUCGAACCUCACACUUCAUGCGCUUGUCUAUGUGAUUGCCGUCGUUUUACCUUGGUGAAGUAAGUCUUCUAUUCUUAUACCAUGCAAUUUAUUUUGUAAUGUUUUUGGUCGGUCCAUGACAAUUCAGGUCAAUCAUUAAUUUAACUUCUUUAGAGAUGAAAUGAGAAAAUUGCCAUGCAAUAAAUCAUUUGGAAAAUAAAAAACUUUGGAGAAUUUGUUUUCAAUUCAUGUCUAGAAAAAUUGAUCUUGCUAAGGUAUCCACUUUUCUAGCUCUCUUUAGGAAAUUCUCUUCUUGUAAGAACUUUUCAUAAAAAAGAAAAAAGGAAAAAAAGUUGAUAGAUCAUUGUCAUGGAUUGAUUCGCUAUUUGCACCUCAUACUUAUGCAUUUUCAUCCAUUUAAAUUAGGUGAUAACGGAUUCUCCACGCUCGCCUAUUAUCACACGAUUAAGAGCAAGAAUGGCCAACCAAAGCGAGAUGCGCGAUCGCAUGUCCUCCGUGGAAGGCCAACUCCAACAGUUAGCUGCCUCUAUGGAGCUUAUAACAGCUCAACUUCAAUCCCUCCAAGUGAAUCUGGCUCCUGCACCUGCUCUCCCUGAGAUAGUCGUCCCGAAGCUGGCAAACAAGGCCCUAAUAGGUGAGGAUGACAUGCUAGGGCUCGAAGAUGAUCCAUUCCAGAUCAAUGUGGAAAAUGCUAAGCUUGUCAACAUCCCUAAGACGGAGCAGGAUGAACGCUUUGCGAAAUUGGAAGAAAAGUUGAAACAAUUUCAAGAGUCACAAAGUUCACUCCCGUUUGACUUAUCCGUGUACGAGAAAGUCAAGAUGCCAAAGAAAUUCAAAAUGCCGGAUUUUGAGAAAUACGAUGGUACUUCCUGCCCAAAAGCUCAUUUGCAGAUGUACCACGUACACAUGGCUCAAUAUGUCAAGAACGAGCCUCUCAUGAUCCAAUCAUUCCAUGCAAGUUUGACUGGGCCUGCACUGAAUUGGUAUGUCAUGAAGAAUGUGAACCUUCUCAACACUUGGAAUGAAGUGGCUGACGCAUUUCUCAAGCAAUACAAAUUCAACAUGGAUAUUGCACCUUCCCGAGAGGAUCUUGAGAGGAUGGAGAAGAAGAAGAGCAAGUCGUUCAAAGAGUAUGCCGUGAGAUGGCGAAAUCUGGCAGCUCAAAUCACCCCCGAGCCUACUGACAAGGAGUUAAUGAAGUUGUUUAUCAAAACUCUCCCAUCUGAGUUUCGUAUACGGAUGGCCAGCAUGUACGUUGAAAACUUCAAUCAGCUUAUUCCUGUGGGGGAACAAAUCGAGAUGGGGAUAAGGGAAGGCUGGUUUACUGAGCCAUCGAGUAGAAGAUUCUUUGCCAAGAAGGAUAAAGAGCCUGCUGAAGAUGUGAAUAUGGCUUAUAGCCAAGAAAGUACCAAUCAUGCCCCGACUAUCCAGAUGAAUCAAAGGCAACAAGCUGCCCAAGCAAGAAGACAGUUCACCCCUCUCCCUGGAUCUCCAUCCCAAGUGUUGGCAAUCCUAAGAAAGAAAGGUUUGCUUACUAAUGAGCCGAAGCGUCCUAAUCGUGAAAGCACCCGAGGCUACGACCCGAUGAAGAAGUGUGAUUACCAUAGCGGCGAGUUGGGGCAUUCAACUGAUGAAUGUUUCACUCUCAAGCAUAAGAUCCAAGACCUCCUGGACACGAAGGCCUUCUCAUUUCAAACUACUCGGCCGAACGUCCAAAAGAAUCCACUACCAGAGCAUGAGGGUACGGUCAAUGCUAUUCUGGAUCCAGACGUUGAAGUCGAAUCAAGUUACCACUCAUUGGAGUUGGUGUCCACCAUACAUGCACCUCGAGACUCACCACCCACUCCUGAAGUUUCAAAUGUUGCCCUUAUGAUGGGAAGGGUGACGAUUGGGAAUGGUUUUGUUCCUGGUAGUGGCCUUGAAAGAAAUGGUCAGGACAUUCGAAGUCCCAAUGAAGCCCCUCAGAGGUCUCGUGUUGCUAGAUUAGGGUACCAUGGAAGAGGUGGGGAAAGUUCUGGAGGACGAAGACAUGAAAGGCGGAACCCGUCACCUGACCACGAGAGAGGAAGGCAAAACCCAUCACACUCGAACAUUCGUGAGACAUUCCCUAGCCCCCCAGUAAUGAUGCAGGAUGAAGCAGAAAUAAUAGACACCCUAGGGCAGCCAAGCGGAAAAUUCGACUAUCUGGUGAAGUAUACGGCUCCUCCUAGUUUCUACAUUGAUCCCCGCAGCAUUGUCCCAGAUGGAUGGGGUGGCAUGGAUGAUCCAACACCCUCGGAAACAGAGAACCCCGAUGAUGCAUUGGAAGGGAUCACUAGUCUCUUCGAUGACGUCUUCAGGGGGACCAUUAACAAAGAACCUCUGAAGGAGAUGGGCCUUGGCCCACAAGAGUAACUCAUUUACUGCUUUCUCACAUUCCCCUGCGCGGGAAUUUUUUAUCGUUUUCUAGGGCUUGUUUUCUAUUUCUUCUUUUUCGCUUUCUUUUAAGGCUUGAAAAUCACAUUCAAUAAAUGUAAUUGAUCGAUGAAUAUCAAUAAAAUUGCAAGUUUUAUUUUGAGGGCAUGAUGAGGUAUACCAAACCAGCCCGGUGAUGAUAUCCAGCCAACAAUAAAAAGAAAAUAUCAUCCAUGGAGAAAUUCUGAGGCCUAGGCUUCAUCAUGCUUUCUCAUGUCAAAAUACUUCAAAAAAGACUCUUCCAGUUGCUUUUUAAAAAAAAAAUUCAAAAAAAAUCUUUCAAAAAAAAUAAAAAUAAAAAAUGAUUUACCCCGUUUGUCUAUUUGACCAAUCUACAUUCUGUUUCAGAGACAGUCUUAUAGCAUGGAAAGGUAUGAAGAGGAUCCAAUCCAAUUCCAUAUUCUGGGGGCAAGUUUGUUCCAAACUGCAGCCACCCAUAUGUGGUGAAGAAGGUACUUCCUGGAAGUGCUUUGAUCUUGGCGGAAAUGGACGGUCGUGAGUUUUCUACUCCAGUCAAUGCUGAUGCUGUCAAGAAGUAUUAUCCGUGAUAGAAUUUCCCAUGUCUUGUCUUGAAUUGCAUGAAUAAUAUGCUUCAAUCAGUUGAAUAGUUCAAAUUUGUCAUAAAUCUUGCAUUUUUCUUCCUUGAUGAAUUGUGUGAGAUAAAUUGAAUGUGUCGAAUGAGAUACCUGGGAAUGAUGAAAGGCAAGCCUUGUUCCAUACACUAUCCCAUACACUAAUCAUCGGUGAGUUGUGUGAAGAAAUUCCAUGCCCACAAGGACAAGGGUGAUCUCGCAAAGGGUACACUAACCAAGGUGACAAGAGGCAAUUUCUUCUUCUACUCGAAACACUACAGGUAUACCCAUUGUUUAGCCCUUUGAGCCCACACAAUAAAGAGUUUUUAAAUCAUCCCUGUCAAGGAUCAUCUCACAUUGGGACAAAGUUUGGAAUGAAUGAUAGGAAUUUUCUUACUCACACUUGCAUCAAUCUUCGAGUAUUGCUUUCGCGUUGUAACUCGUAUGAUAGUUUAAAGUGCCUUAGGAUGAUGAAGAGCAGUCAUUUCUCUAUCCUACACACUUUUAUCCAUUGCAUAGCCCACUUGAGCCUAUGAAUUUAUUUCAUAUUAAACCCAGUUGGUGAUCAUCCCCCACACUGGGGUAAGACAAAAACACUCAAGUAGCAUGAACUAGAAUACCGACAAAAAUGGAGAUUUUGUUCACAAAAAUGCAAAAAUAGGGCAUGAAAGAAGCAUUGUGCCUGGUAAAAGCAAGGCCGAUGCCCAAAAGAAAAAAAAAACUCAAAUGCUGUUGCAAUCAAUGAGUGCAAAAAAAAUAAAAAAAUCUCUCUGACAAUGGAGAAGGAAAGUGGUGGAAAUAUCAAGAUGAUCACCAACUUUGACCCUUUAAACACUUUUUGAGCCUAAUGAUCCUUUCAUUUCAUAACCCAUGAACCAAGCCUACGUUACGUCCCUUGCAAAGUCUCUUUAGAUUAGGGCACUUGAAUUAACGUAAGAGUUCAUAUGCUUGAAAGCAUCGCUUGAAGAAGUGCGAGUAAGAUAAUUAAUGCCUCAUUUCUUGACUUGAAAAUCCCAAGACAGUUACGAAAUGUCAUUUUUCAAAUAACCUUGACUCAAAAGAGUCCCCUUUGUUAAGCCGUUGACUAAGCCCACAUUACGGUCCCUUUUAAAGACCUCUCAGAUUGGUGAAAUCGCACCACUUGCAAGAUUGAUCAGACCCUUGUUUGGCAUGACGAUAGUGAGAUAGAGUGAUUGACAAAAUCCUGCAUCAAAGGUCAGGAUGAAAUUGCCAUUUUAAUGAGGAUGAGAGAAAAAGUCCUUUCAGACCAAAGGAUACCUCAUUUGACACAUUCAUGACACUCAUGGUGUAAGAUUAAUGAAAAUUAUCAUGAACCUCCAUUAUAUUGAUGCAUGUUUAUGAUUACAAAUGCAUGUUGCUUCUCCUACAACCAUGUUUUGCAGGAGAUGUAUCCCCGAAGAUCAGAGAUGUUACCAGGUAAGUAUAUCUCUAUCCAUACCUUGAAUAUUUGUCAUUGCACAGGUAUUCUCUUUUAAGCAUACCGACACUUAAUUGAGUUGUCCCCCAAAGAUUUCUCUCCAGAUUCAAUCUGAUUAAGGCGACCGAAGAAUGGUUCGGGUCCUGGUCAAAUGAUUUCUGUCGCAAAGCUAGGCGACCGAAGAUUGGUUUGGGUCCUAGCCAAGCAAAACCUCAGUUUAGGCAACCGUAGAAUGGUACGGGUCCUAGACAAUAUUUAUUGCUCUAACAGGCGACCGUAGAAUGGUACGGGUCCUGGAAAAGCAAUUUCCUCACUCAGGCGACCGUAGAAUGGUACGGGUCCUGGAAAAAUAAUUUUCUUCGUCAAGGCGACCGUAGAAUGGUACCGGUCCUAGACAAAACCUUUCUGCUAUACUGGGCGACCGUAGAAUGGUACAGGUCCUGGGAAAGCAGUACAGAACCUUUCUGCCGUAUUGGGCGACCGUAAAAUGGUACGGGUCCUGAGAAAGCAGCUCCUUUCUGCCAUACUAGGCGACCGUAGAAUGGUACGGGUUCUGGGAAAGCAGUUUCUUCACAAAGUCAUGUUACUAUUUUAGGCGACCGUAGAAUGGUACGGGUCCUGGACAGGUAACACUCACUACCUCGAAUUACUCUAUUCUCCUCGAAAGUAAGUUAUUCCAGGAAGGUUCAUCUAUCAUUUGCAUUAGUAUUUUCAUACAUCAUAUAAUUUGCAUUAAAAAAUGGAAUUCAUUUUCCAACAAAAAAUCAUUUAUUGCAUGUGCAUGACCAAAAUUUAGGUUUCAAUUUGUCUUUGAAGGCAACCUCUUCGAGCUCACCUUCAAAGAGGGGCAGCUGUUGACACCUAAAUUUUUGCACAAUUUUUGGGUUAAUUUUUACUAAAAUAAAAAAUAAAAAAACACAUGGCAUAUAGUUUAGAAGCAUUUUAUUUUCGUUUUUUAUUUUAGGCUGCCGGUGAAGGGAAGAUUUUUCACAUAUUCUGUUCAAACUUUUCAUAUUUUUAGGCAAUAUACACCAAAGGGUGUAUUUUCGAGCAAAAAGGAAAAUUUUGGAUAGAAUAUGUGGAAACUACAAAAGGGGAGUAUUGCGCGAGGUGGGUAUAUUUCAACGAUAUAUUUAGGGGUAUCAUGCGUGAACAAAAAGGAAAAAAUAUAUACCGUAGAGAUACAUUUUUUAGACCUAUAUAAAUACCUCGCGUGCAAUUUGUUUGAGGAGGCCACACAAUUGAGAAUACCCGGCCACAGAUUCGUGAAAUAAGAAAUCACGUAGGAGAGAGGGAGAGAUUUCGGCCAGCUUUCAGCGGAGACAACUCUCCACGCCAGCGCCCUCUCCGCGACCAGACCAGUGGUCGCACCUCCGACGCGAUUGCCUCUCACCACUUCUAGCAACUUCACAACAAAGUAGCCAGUCGCGGCUUCAAAUUGUCCCCUUCGGUCUCGCUGUGCCCCAACAGUAGCCGUGACAUGUCUUUGCCACUGCUCUCCAUCGCUCGCAUCUCCAACUAGCAAGCACCGUCAUAAUGUCAUCAAUAAGUUGACUCAUCCAAGUUAAAAGUUGAAGACCGUGAGUUCAAGGGGUGGAUUUUGUUCCCUACUAUCAAAACUGUCGACCAAGGUUGAGAAUUCCAAGUCAAGGAAACCCAUCACGUGAUCUUGCAGAGGAUAAAAGACAACAAAGAGGGAGGUGGCUCUUGGAUGAUCUGCCAAUCGAGGACACGCCUGUUACCUCUCUUCAUCACCAGCUGUUCAAUCCGAGUCUUCGCAAUGGCUGGUCAUCAUCUCUAUCCUUUGGACGCGAACUUGCUCGACUGUGACUAUCCUUGGCGUGUCGCCUCUGCUGCCCCCGCCGUGUUCAAAUAGACCGUGACGACCCGUUGCCGCUUUGAUCUGUGCCACGCCCAACGACGAGUUGCUGUCCAUUCGAGCUGUAAAGCCACCGUUCCCAUUCGCAUCCAAACUAAGUCGAUCCCGAGGUUCUUAUUUUUGCAGGUUCGUUGACCGUGAGCCUACGGUCAUCCUUUACCAAGAGAUCCCACCAUCACCCACAACGCACCAUCAUCAAUCUGAUGUCAACUGGGUGAGACUCAGUGAGAAUUGCGAAACGUGGAGAACAAGAGCUAAAGAAAAGAACAGAAAUCCUUCCGAAAAUCGUGCGCGAUCCACGCUGGGAUAAAUGCCACAGGCGGCCUUCUCUACAGCUCAAGAAAUUUCUGUUUUGCAGGUUUCCUUAAAACCCCACCGAGCUCACUCCUUGCCGUGACGACUCUUACGUGAAGCGUCGUCCCCGUUCGCAGUCGAAAAACCGGUCGCGAUCUCGGUUCGAUUGCACUUGGUCCAAAUUUGGGAAGGAUAUCAUCAAAUUAGGUAAGAUGCACAUCUCUCGUAUAUUNNNNNNNNNNNNNNNNNNNNNNNNNNNNNNNNNNNNNNNNNNNNNNNNNNNNNNNNNNNNNNNNNNNNNNNNNNNNNNNNNNNNNNNNNNNNNNNNNNNNGGUGGACUCUUGAGUUGCCCAUUUGGAUCCUCUUUAGUUGACCUGCAGGAGUGCAAGCUUGAAACUCGAAGUGGAUUUACAACGUCUGGCUGGGGAAACCAAUGGAAACAAACUGACACUUGUCCUCCAAAGAGAACGCCUCCUUAGGCAGUGUGCCAUCUAGCACACUCGUCCAUCGACCCACGGCCGCGCCUGCUUUCAACCGCCGAAGCUCCGGUAGGCCCCAGCCCCGUUCUUGUGCCCUGUUUUGGCCGCGCCGGGCCGGAGCUCACGGUCGUCCAGCUCACUCGAGCUCCGGCCCCGACCUUCCUUUGUUUGCUGGGUGCGUCCUGGAUUGUUUGUCGAGGGUUGCGGCUCGGGUUUGAGCCUCGGUUGAGUGGCAUGUUCCAUGGCGCAUUCCACCCGCUCGACGAAACGCCUGAACUAGAUCUAGCUUUCGCGUCUUUGUUUCGGGCCAGCGUUGAUUUGUCCGGGCAUUGUCUCGUCCGAUCGAGGCAUCCCGGCGAAGCAGGGCUUCUGGGCGUCGGCCCGUCUGGUUGGUUCGAUGCGUACGCUCCGUCCCCUCCGCCAUCGUCGAACAAAGCAAAGGAGGAGGGGGCCCGUUUCGGUUAUCCCAUGAGAUCCCGCCACGGCCACACCCUCGCACCCUCGGCCACCGUCUCGAUGUGCCGGGACGUAUUUUGGCUGGCCGCCCAGACUCGGAGCCCCGGCACGCCCUCGGCUGAGCCGAGACGAGCGGCGACGCUCGGCGCCGUGGCGUUUGUUGCGGCCAAGGAGGGCCCAGUCGGGUCGGAACGCGGAUCCUGUUGACCCGGUUGGCCCUGGUUCUACGCUAGGGUUUGUUUGGUCCCGGGUUGGGCUAUAUUUUAUUAUUUGCGUUUCUUUGCAGGUGGGCAUGUUGGGCCUCUUCGCUAAAGCCCAGUUCAGCAGAAGACCUGGGCUGCGCGCUCAGGCUAGCCUCGAUCGGGUCAAACGCGGGGGUCCGAUCUGGAUCCGUUUUAGAUGAUAUAAUAUAAUGUUAUAUUAUUAUUUUAAUAUAAUAAUAAUAAUAAUCAAAAUUCAAAAAUAUAAAAUAAUAAAAAAUGAAUUGCAUUUUCUGAAAAAUCAGAAAAAGCCUAAAAGAUGGUUUUAUUCACCAUGUUAGCAUAUAAGCGUAGUUACUUAAAAUCUCGACACGUUUUUUUUUUUUUUUUUUUGGUCAGUCCUACUCUAUUCCAACUCUACACUUACUCUCAGACUUUGCCCUAACCUCUUGCAGGCGUGGGGAGUCGAAACCCACUCUUGAAACUUAUGCGUCCCCACCCCAUCCCAUCCCCCCUGAGAAGGUGGGGAUUUGAACUCCUCACCUCCCCCUUCCAUGUUGGAAGGGUGGCCACUGGGGUGAAUCCCAGUGGUUUCUCGACAACGUUGGUACUUGUGUUAUUUUUACCAAUGUGUUGGGUCUAUAAAAAUGCAUAAAUACUAUUAAAAAAAAGCACUUAUGACUUACGACCCUUAAAAACCGAGCUUCCGAAGGAAGAAAUUGAAUCUAGUUCUUCAUGAUACAAGUCAGCAACACACACCUAUAUCCAGCACAUAUUGAGCAGCAAUUCUCCAUGAAACAAGCUUAAAUCAAGCUGGAACUUGUUGAUUCUCACCUCAAUUGAUGAACUAAUUCGUCAUACCAAAAGCAUCAUCUUCUUGCAUAAACAUGACAAAAUCAAGCCUCAUCUCCAUGGAAACCCCAAAAUCAUCUUCUCGAUUUGUCCAUCUUUCCUCCGUCCCCUUCUUUCUAUUUUUCUUUUUUCCUUUUUCUUCUCUCCCUUGUCUUGCUUGUCUCCACUACAACAAGGAGACACCUUAACGAGUCAGUAAAUCCAAUUUUUUAUCCAGGUGCCCAAGAUAGACUUUAAAACCAAGAUAUAAUGGACUAACGUAUUUAGAUGCUUCAUUCGCUACUUUCUAGAAAUCAAAGAAACCAUGUAAAAUUGUUAUUCAAUAUUCAAUUUAUGGAUCCAUUUUUAUUUCUUGAGCAUUUACAUAAUUUACAUAAAUAUGAGGUACUUUUCAAAUGUUCGCUAAACAUUAUAUUUACAUGGAAUCAUUGAAUCAACCCGUCUUAUCCCAAGUUGCAAAAAAUAUUCCUUAUUGACAUAACCUCAUAAUGUCUCAUAUCAAUGUCGACAUGUCACUAGGUGUCAAAAUUUCACCCUGCAAACACUAUUAGUGAGUUACCCUCAAUGUUGAGCAAACAAUCGACUGAACAAGUAAUUGCCCACCUCUUCUUGGUCGGCCACUUUUUUGGAAUCAAAGAAAGCAUAUACAGUAUUAGUUAUUAAUUUUAUAGGUACACUUUUAAUUCUCGGUCACUUACUUGAUUUUCAUAAUUAUGAGCUAUUUAUCAAGAUUCAAGAGAUGACUAUCAUGAUGUAGCACUUUUUCCAUUGUGGCAUUUAAUUUUAGGUGUAAGCAAUAAAGACCGAAAGCCCAAAUUGGACAGGCUAGAAUAGGCCCUGAUGGGAUUUCGGGCUCCCGCUUUUUUUAAGGCCAGUCCGAGCCUUCGGGCUUGAGAUGCUCAAGCCUGAAAUGGUCCAUCUCCAAAUUAAUUUUUUAAAAAUAGAAUAUGCAAUAAAGGUAUAAAAUCUAAAAACUUUAGAAAGUUCGUUGUUUAUGUUCAAAAUAGUUUAAUAAAGUCAUGAACAAGUUCAAAAUAAUUAGAUAAUAAAGUGAUUUUUAAGGUGAAAAGUAUAUAGUUAUUUAUUUAUUUUAAGUCCAAAAAAAAAAUUUGGCUAGGCCUGAGGGGAUGUUUGAGAGGACAUUUGUUACAACAUUGAAAAGAAAGAUAACAAUAUAAGAAGUUAAAUUUUCAUUCAUUGAUCCUACCCUUUUUAUGUUUAUUUCCCAUUAUAAUAUCAUGUUUUUAGAUUGAUUACCAACUUCACACCUAUUUGAUGACAUGGCCCAAGCCACGCAGCCACCGUGUCAUUUAGAAAGAAAUUUACAAGUAACAUAAUACUUGUCUCACUAUGCCCAAUAAAACAUUGCAUUUCUAGACACUUUAUAAGUUAGGGCAACAUUUCGAAAUGCAAUGGGUGUUCAUGCCAAUCUGGUGCAUCAUAGUUCUCAACUGGGGUGGUUAAUUUUCACGUGAGACUAAUGGACAUACUCCCCUGGUGAUCGUAUUGGCCAAGAACUCUUGAAUUUUCUUGAUUGGAAUAUUUCUAAUAAUUAGGUUCAACAGUGUCUUAAAAUUGUUAAUUAUCCUAUAGAUUUCACCCCAAAAGCCUUUUUUUAUGCAUCGUUUGCAAAAGCUCUUGAAGAAGAAUCCACUCCAAUGGAAAAAGAGAGCAUACUGGUGCAGUUGUGGUGCUAAAGGAGAAAUUGAUGCAUCUUCCCCCACUGUCAAUUCCUUUUGAUGGCAAGUGAAUCUUGCAAAUUGAUGAUAGUGAAAAGUUUUGGACAGUAAUUUUGCUCGAAGGAGUCAAGGAAAGAGAUACAUCUGUGAACAAAAGAGUGGACGGUUUUCACCUGUUGAACUUCACUACCACUCUACAUUCAAAGAAACUUUAGCCAUCAAAUAUGAAAUAAAGGAAUUUGAAUUCAAUAUGAUUGGUUAUCAUUUCUUUGUCAAAGAAAAAAAGAAAAAGAAAUCUGUCCUUUCCCCAUCCCAAAUGAAGUUUAAAGCCAAACUAGUUUCUCAUCCUCAACUUAUUUGAUGGGUAGAAUAAUUUUUCAAAUAUUCUUUUGAAACCAAACCCAUCAAAGGAGAGAAGAACCCCCUUGUAAAUCUUCUUUGAAGACCCAAAGACUUCUCAUCCUUUUACAUGUUCACUUUUGACCGAUUGCAAAUUGAUACCGUAAAAGAAGGGUGAAAAGAAACCCAUCAGGGUAAUAUGCCCAAUGUCCUCCUUGAAAACCACAAUACUUUCCUCGUCAGAUGACAAUUUUCCACAUGUAAUAAUGAUAAAUGCUAAACAUGUUGUAAGUGUGAAUGCAUUGAAAAUUUGGCCUCCUUCCUUCGUUAGAAAUCUGGCUCAUUCACAAAAAUAGAGUGUUUGUAGAUAGAUUGUAGUUAGAAUUUAUGUAGUACAUAAAACCUUGUAAGGAGCACUUCUAUCUAAUUUUUCCCCUAAUAAAAUACAAUCUCACAAACUUGUCCCUUGAAGAGGAUAUUUGUACUUUGCAAGUAUAGCCAGGCGUGUUUUCAAUUAAAUGAGAUCGAUUGAAAACACUAGAUCUCAUAAUGAGCUAGGGCAACAAUGACAAGAACAAUGUAAAACGCGGUUGAUGGAAUGUUUAGUCUUCAUCUCCAUGUACUUCUCAAUCCCUCCCAUAAUUGACGGAAAACUGACGGAAAACAUGAGGGACCGAUUCGUCCAAUCUUUGGCCUUCAGUUUGCCAAUUUGUCCUUUUUUUUUGGGUUUUGUCCUCCCUUCUUCUUUCUUAUCACCUUAAAUAUUGAUUUCUCUCUCCUAAACUUUUUAUGGUGUUUUCUAUUGCACAAUACUAUGCUAAUAUAAUAUUAGUGUACAAAGCCACAUAGCAAACUACGGGUGGACAAUAAAUCAUAUUUAAUGCAUCUUCCCUCAUUGCCAGAUCUUUCUGAGGGCAAGUGAAUCUUGCGAAUUGAUGAUAGUGAAAAGUAUUGGAUAAUAAUUUUGCUCGAAGAAGUCAAGGAAAGAGAUACAUCUGUGAAUAUAAGAGCAGACGGUUUUCACCUGUUGAACUUCACUACCACUCAACGUUCAAAGAACAUUAGCCAUCAAAUAUGAAAUAAAGGAAUUCGAGUUCAAUAAAAUUGGUAUUCAUUUCUUUGUCUGAAAAAAAAAAGGCCAUCCUUUCCCCAUCCCAAAUGAAGUUUAAACCCAAAAUAGUUUCUUAUCCUCAACUUGUUUGAUGGUUAGAAUGGUUUUCAAAGUACUCUUUUGAAAUCAAACACAUUAAAGAAGGAAAAACAUCUUCAUAUAUCUUCUUUCAAGAAUUAAAGACUUCUCAUCCUUUUAUAGGUUCGCUUUUGACCAAUUGCGAAUUAAUACCGUGAGGGAAGGGUGAAAGAACUCCAUUAGAGAGAUUAGCCCAAUGUCCUUAUUGAAAACCACAAUACUUUCCUUGUCAGACAACAUUUUUCUACAUGUAAUAACAAUAAAUACUAAACAUAUUGUAAAUGUGAAUGCAUUGAAAAUUUGGGCUUCAUUCCUUCAUUAGAACUUUGGCUCCUACGUAGUAGUACAAUGUUUGUAGACAGAUUAUAGCUAGAAUUUCGGUAGUACAUAACGCCUUGUAAGGAGCAGUUCUAUCUUAGUUUUGCUCUAAUAGAUAGAAUCUCAUGAACUUGUCGCUUGAAGAGAAUAAUUGUACUUUGCAAGUAUAGCUAGGUGUGUUUUCAAUAAAAUACACCAAAUGUUAUAAUGAGCUAGGGCCAGCAAUGAAAAGAACAUGAUAAAACGCAUUUGAUGGAACAUGAGGCACCAAUUCGUGAGGAGUUAAGGUAUACGAAAGUUAUGACAAUUAAGUGGUUGAAAAAAAAGUUUAUGACACUAAAGUAAUCAUUUGGUACUUGGAGUUUUCUUUUCCAACAAAGUUUGUUAAAAAGGGAAAAGAGAGGGGCAACUUUAAUAAAAUGAGAUAUAGUUUUCUAUACCCUCGUCUUCCUUCUCAAGAUUACACGGAAGUCAUCUCAAGCAUUAUUACAAUCUGCCAUUAAAGUUUUGCUGGAGAAUCGUUGAAGCUAACCAAAUAGUUUUUAACUUGUCAUACCAAAAUAUGACAAAAUAUAUUGUAAUUACACAUUUCUUACAUUGAUCUUCAUUAUUUCACCCACUGUUAUUUUAUUUUUAUUAAUUUUGAUUUCACUAGAGUCAAAAUUCUCGCUGAAAUAAAAUCCAUGAAGAUGGAGAUUUGUCAAUGUAACCUCCAGAGAUUAAUUUCAUUUGACUUUUGCACGCUUAAUAGAUUGUUGGACCCCUUCUAUCAUGUAGUAGUUGCAUGUAGAUUGUCUUCAAAACUAAAAUUUGUUUGAUCAUCUUUAUAAAGUUCGAAUAUGUUCAAUUCCUUUAUGGCCCCUUUACUUAUUGUGCUUGCAUUCAAAAGAAGUUUAGAGCAUACUUCAGUGUCAGCUUGAGACGAGCUUGAGAGGAGAUCUGUUUCAACAUCGGAAUAUAAAAUAUAAAAUAAAGGAAUUUGGAUUCAAAAUGAUUGAUUAUCAUUUCUUUGUCAAAAAAGUUAAGAAAGCCGUCCUUUCCCCAUCCCAAAUGAAGUUUAAAGCCAAACUGGUUUCUUUUCCUCAACUUGUUUGAUGGCUAGAAUAGUUUUCCAAAUACUCUUUUGAAACCAAACCCAUUAAAGGAGAGAAGAACAUCCUUGUAAAUCUUCUUUCAAGAAUCAAAGACUUCUCAUCUUUUUACAUGUUCACUUUUGACCGAUUGCGAAUUGAUACUGUAAGGCAAGGGUGAAAAGAACCCUAUAAGGGUGAUAUGCCCAAUGUCUUCCUUGAAAACCACAAUAUUUUCCUCAUCAGAUGACAUUUUUCUACACGUAAUAAUAAUAAAUGCUAAACAUAUUGUAAGUGUGAAUGCAUUGAAAAUUUGGGCCUCCUUCCUUCGUUAGAACCCUAGCUCCUUCACAAAAGUAGAAUGUUUAUAGAUAGAUUGUAGCUAGAAUUUCUAUAGUACAUAACACCUUGUAAGGAGCACUUCUAUCUAAUUUUUCCCCCGAUAAAUACAAUCCCAUGAACUUGUGGCUUGAAGAGAAUAUUUAUACUCUGCAAGUAUAGCCAGCCGUCUUUUCAAUUGAAUAAGUUUGAUUGAAUACACUGGAUGUCAUAAUGAGCUAGGGUAGCAAAGACAAGAACAACAUAAAAUGCAUUUGACGGAAUGUUCAGUUUUCGUCUCCAUGGACUUCUCAAUCCUUCCGUAAUUGACGGAAAACAUGAGGCACCAAUUUGUCAAGUCUUCGGCCUUCAGUCUACCAAUUUGUCCUUCUUUUGGUUUUUUCCUCCCUUUCUUCUUUCUUAUUACCUUUAAUAUUACUUUCUCUCUCCUCAACUUUUUAUGGUGUUUAUUAUUGCACAAUACUAUCCUCUAUAUUAAUAUUAGUGUACAAAACCACAUAGCAAACUACGAGUGGACAAUAAAUCAUAUUUGAUGCAUCUUCCCUAACUGUGAGUUCCUUUUGAUGGCAAGCGAAUCUUGUGAAUUGAUCAUAGUGAAAAGUAUAGGAUAGUAAUUUUGCUUGACGAAGUCCAGGAAAGAGAUACAUUUGUGAACAUAAGAGUGGAUGGUUUUCACUUGCCAAACUUCACUACCACUCUACAUUCAAAGAACUUUAGCCAUCAAAUAUGAAAUAAAGGAGUUUGAGUUCAAUAUAAUUGCCUAUCAUUUCUUUGUCAAAAAAAAAAAAAAGGCCGUCCUUUCCCCAUCCCAAAUGAAGUUUAAACCCAAAAUAGUUUCUCAUCCUCAACUUGUUUGAUGGUUAGAAUGGUUUUCAAAGUACUCUUUUGAAACCAAACACAUUAAAGAAGAAAAAAAAUCUUCGUAUAUCUUCUUUCAAGAACCAAAGACUUCUUAUCCUUUUACAUGUUCACUUUUGACCAAUUGCGAAUUAGUACGAUGAGGGAAGGGUGAAAAAAAGUCCAUUAGAGAGAUUAGCCCAAUGUCCUUACUAAAAACACCAUACUUUCCUUGUCAAACAACAUUUUUCUACAUGUAAUAACAAUAAAUACUAAACAUAUUGUAAGUGUGAAUGCAUUGAAAAUUUGGGCCUCCUUCCUUUGUUAGAACUUUGGCUCCUCCACAGUAGUACCAUGUUUGUAGAUAGAGAAUUUUGUUAGUACAUAACACCUUGUAAGGAGCAGUUCUAUCUUAAUUUUUCCCUACUAGAUAGAAUCUCACGAACUUGUCACUUGAAGAGAAUAUUUGUACUUUGCAAGUAUAGCCGGGCAUGUUUUCAAUUAAAUACACUAGAUGUAAUAAUGAGCUGGGGCAGCAAUGGAAAGAAGAUGAUAAAACGCAUUUGAUGGAACAUGAGGCACCGUUUUCGUGAGGAGUUAAGGUAUACGAAAGUUAUGACACUUAAGUGGUCGAAAAAAAGUUUAUGACACUAAAGUAAUCGUUGUACCAAAGUUUUUGUACUUCUAGUGUUCUUUUCCAACAAAGUUUGUUAAAAAUGGAAAAGAGAGGGGCAACUUUAAUAAUUGAGAUAUAGUUUCCUAUUCCCUCGUCAUUCCUUCUCAAGAUUACACGAAAGUCCUCUCAAGCAUUAUUACAAGCUGCCAUUGAAGUUUUGCUGGAGAAUCGUUGAAGCUAAUCGAAUGGUUUUUAACUUGUCAUACCAAAAGAUAUUGUAAUUACACAUUUCUCACAUUAAUCUUCAUUAUUUCUCCCACGGUUAUUUUAUUUUUAUUAAUUUUGAUUUCACUAGAGUCAAAAUUCUCACUGAAAUAAAAUCCAUGAAGAUGGAGAUUUGUCGAUGUAACCUUCAGAGAUUAAUUUCAUCUGACUUUUGUAUGCUUAAUAGAUCGUUGGACCCCUUCCAUCAUUUAGUAGUUGCAUGUAGAUCGCCUUCAAAGCUAAAAUUUGUUUUAUCAUCCUUAUAAAGUUCGAAUAUGUUCAAUUCCUUUAUGGCCCCUUUAAUUCUUGUGAUUGCAUUCAAAAGAUGUUCACAGCAUACUUCAGUGUCAGCUUGAGACGAGCUCGAGAGGAGAUCUGUAUAACAUUGGAAAGAAAGAUAAACAGAAUACGAAGCUAAUUUCUUUUAUUUGAUCUUACUCUGUUUAUUUCUUAUUUCCUUUCUCACAAUCUCUUCCACAUCAUCCUUAUCUUAAAUGGAGUCCAAAACUUAAGUUACAUAUUGGUGAAGCAAAUUGACCUCAAAUAAGAUAUUUCAAAUCUAAUUCAUAUUUAUGUUUUUGAUCAUAAUAAGUGCGACAUUUUAAAACUAAGCUAUAUUGUCGCGAAAAGGGAUCUUUUGCAGAUUUUGUGAAGAUUAUUCUGAACAACUUAUCUUGAACCAAAAUAGAAGAAAUGAACAAGUAACACUAUUUAAUAGUCACUAAAGUAGCAUGCGCAUAAUUUGAGAGGGGACACAUUGAUUACGCAUUUGAUGGAAUGUUCGGUGAUCGUCUCCAUGUGCUUGUUAGUCCUCACGUAAUUGAUGGGUUACUAAUUGACUAAACAAGUUGAUCACUGUUUAACAAAAAGUGAUAGGAUAUGAUGGAGAAAAACCACUUUUUCUGUAAUUUUUUUGAAAAAAAAUCAAAUGUCAAUUAAAACUAUGUACACACACAUAUAUAUGUUGGGGCAACAUUUUAAAAUGCACUGGAUUCAUGUCAAUCUAAUGCAUCAUAGUUCUAAACUGGGGUUGUAAAAUUCCAUGUGGGAUUUACAUAAUCUAAACUUAAUUAGACUCAUAUGAGUUCAAUGGACAUACUACCUUAGUGAUCCUAUUGGCCAAGAAGUCUGAGAGUUUCUUGAUUAGAAUAUUUCUCAUAGGCAAGUUCAACAAUUUCUUGGGAUUGUCAAUUAUCUUAGAGAUUUUGUACCAAAAGCCUCUAAAUUUAUGCAUGCAUUGCAAUAAGCUCUUAAAGAGGAAUCCACUCCCAUGGGAAAGAGAUCAUACCAGUGCAAUUGAGGUGUCAAAGGAGAAGUUGUUGUAUCUUCCCCCAUUGCAAUUUCCUUCUGAUGGCAAGCGAAUCUUGGGAUCUGAUGAUAGUGAAAGUAUUGGAUUGUAGUUCUACUUGAAGGAAUUGAUGAAAGAGAUAUAUCUAUGAACAUAAGAGGGGAUGGUUUUCACCCGCCGAACUUCACUACCACUCUAUAUUGAAAGGAACCGUAGCCAUUAAUUAUGAAAUUACGGAAAUAAAAUUCCAUCUUAUUGUUUAGCAUUUCUUUGUCAAAAUAAGAAGCCAUCCUUUCCCCAUAUGAUGAAGUUUAAAGCCAAAAUAGUUUCUUAUUGUCACGCCCCGACCCUCAGACACGCACACAUCCCUUUCUUUUGGUCGAUUUUAAAAUGCGAUAUCCCAUGACUAUGUAUCGCCAACCCUUUCAUUUUUAAUAGCACAUGCGGAAGCGGUUAUAAUUCCCCAGACAAUAAAGUAAUAGGAUAGAAAAGCAGGCCAUAUAUUUUUCUUAAUGAAAAUUCACAACUACAUCUUUUUACAUGCAUCUCAUAGUAUUCUACAAUACUAUAUAUACGCAACUCUGGUCUAACACCUAUUCACAUACAAACAAGGUCUGACAAGACAGGACGGGAUCUCAGUCCUCAUCCGGCUCGUACUUGGGGUUAUCUUCGAGGUCCUCCUCCACGUACUCCUCUUUGGGUUCCUCAACAGGGAUCUCCUCAUCAGAUUCAUGCUCCUUAGGCUCCUCAUCUAGGUCCUAAAAUGGUUAUUCAAUAACCACUGAGACAACGUCUCAGCAAGUUCUACCCCCUAAGACCCGAUUAGUAAACUAAUACACCUUAGGGCUGCCUAUGCACAACAUGAGUCAGAGGACUUACCUUGGCCUCAAAUUCCACCUGCAUAUUAGCAUAGAUCAAAUAGGCACCCAAGCAAUCACAUCAUAGAUCGAAGCAUCGAUCUAAUUGACUUAAUCGAUUACACGCCAACAAGACCACUCACGGUCAUUUCCAUUCAAUCAAUCAAUUCGCAACAUCAAAUCAAGACAAUGAUCAAUCACAUUGAAUCACACUCAGAUCGAAUCAUUGAUCAAUCGACCUAGUCGAUUACAUGUCAUCCAAAUUAUCUCUUGAUCAACCCUUUAUCAUACCGUACUGUCUCAAGAUGAUCUAUAGGAUUAUCGAGCCGGUAUAUCAUACCGUACUGUCUCAAGAUAAUCUGUAGAGUCACCAAGCCGGUAGAUCAUACCGUCCUGUCUCAAGAUGCUCCGUGGAGUCAUCGAGCCGGUAUACACACAAUCUAUCAUAUCGUACUCUCUCCAGAUGCUCCGUAGAGUCAUCGAGCCGGUAGAUCAUACUGUCUUGUCUCAAGAUGCUCUGUGGAGUCAUCGAGCCGGUAUACACACAAUUUAUCAUACCGUACUGUCUUCAGAUGCUCCGUAGAGUCAUCGAGCCGGUAUACAUGCCAUUCCAAGCAAACAAUCAAAUAACCGAUUUUAUCAUUUCCGAUAAAAUGUCGUGUGUGGUACACGAUCGGCCCUACCCAAAAUAUAAUAAUUUCCUUUUUUAUAAAUCCUACCAUUUUCUGUAGUCCACUAAAACAUUUUUGGCAUCAUUAACUGAUGCCCGGAUAAUUUCCAAUUAAUUUUCCAAGAUUAUUUAAAUUAGGGAAUAAAUCCUAAAUUCACAAAUAAAUCAUUUCCGCACAAAAUAAAGCUCAAUUAAAUAAACGGACUACACCACGACAAUCAGCAUAAAAUUCCGGUCACUGGCCAUCCAAGUUGAAUUUUCGGAAAAUAAAUAAAUAAUUAAUUUAAUUCCAAAAAAUAAAUAAAUAAACACAAUAAUUCCAAUUUAUCACAAUAUGAAGCUCAAUUAAAUAAACGGUCUGCACCACGAUCAUCAGCAUAAAAUCCCGGUCACUAGCCAUCCCAGUUGAAUUUCCGGGAAAUAAAUAAAUAAAUAAAUAAUUAAUAAUUAAUUUCAAAAAUUAAUAUUUAAUUCCUAAAAAUUCCACCUAGGCCCGAAUCGCCUAAUUAACACCCGAUAAGGGACGGAAAAAAUCCCAAGAAGCAUCCAAUAAAUACUACAGGCAAUUCUCUAUCUAAUUACACUAAUCACACAACUAAUUGCAAAGCAAUUAACUAAUAAUCACUAAUUAAUUCUAAUCUAACAACCUAAUUACACUUAAUUAACACUAAUCAACCUUUAAGUAUAAUUAGCGCACUAAGAAGGCAUUAGUGAGUAAAACUCACUCAAAACGAUGGGCUCGACGCGAGGAUCGACUUUCCUCAAAGCGGGCCGAGCAUCCGAGCUCGAGAAGGCGGCCAAAACGGGCCAAACAGUUGCUAUAAUACCCAUUUUCUGCACUCUCUGUGCGCUGCUAGUUGGGGCCGUUCCGGGGUCGAUUGAGGCGGCCAAGGGCAGCUAGGGUCGGGUGGAGCUCCGGCGGGUCGACGUGGCGGCGCAUGGUGGCCGGAGAUGGCUGAAUCGUGGCCUGAGCUGGCCAAAACGGAGCUGAACAGAGGCGGUUGGGAGCUGGGGUUGCACGGCGGGGCGGUGAGAGGCGCGGCCAAGCACGGCUGCACGCGCGCUCGUGCGGGGACGGGCGACCGACGACAACCGUAGCUCCGGUCCAUCAACGCCAGCUGCUGCUCCAACUUCGGUGUCCUCCCAAAUCUGGGACCCCGAGCAGCGAACGGAGGGGAAGACAGAGGUGCCAAUGGCGGCUGGGAUGGGUGAGGGAGAGGUGGAGACGAACGACAGAGCGGUGGAGCUGGUGAUGCGCCGGCGAGGACGGCUUGCGGCGUGAGGCGGGGUGGAGUAGCGACGGCAAGCUGCUGUCUCUAUUUUCUGCUUCUACUCGCUCGAACCACCCGAGAAGGAGAGGAAGAGAGAUGUCGAGUGGAUGAGGGAGAGAGAUAAGGAUAAGAGAGAGAGAGAGAGGAUAAGUUUGAAAAGUCAAAAAGGUGGGGAAGCAAAGUUGGAACCGGCAGAGGGAGUCGGUGGGGGGUUUCGCACGAUGGGAAAGAAAAGAGAGGGAGAAGAGAGAAAAAGAAAAAGAAAAAGAAAGAAGGAAAGAGAGAGAGAAAAGAGAAAAAGGAGUGUUUGGCUAAAAAGGGAAAAGAAAUGGGAAUAUCACAAAAAUAAAAGGAUUUCCUCAAAUAGAAAAUCCUAAUCCCAAUUUCUUUUAAAUAAGCUCAUAGAUUCUCAAAAGGAUUUUCCAACUUAGAGUUCUUGAUCCCCACUUGCAAUUGCAUCCAAUUUCCCUCUUGAAUUUCUCUCAAAUGACUCUCAAAAUCAAUUGAUAUCUUACUUAUCAAAUUGAUUAUUUUCUUUAUCCAAGAAUCCCUCAUACUCCUCAAUUUCACAAUCCUCGGCUUCAACUUAACGAAAACGGCCCAUUUAUCCAGUCGAAAUUAGAACCCGAAAAUCUGGAUGUCACACUUAUCCUCAAUUUGUUCAAUGGUUAUUAUGAUUUUCAAAAUACUCUUUUGAAAUCAAGCACACUAAAGUAGAGAAGAACAUCCUUGUAGAUCUUCUUUCAAGACACAAAGACUUCUCAUCCUUGCACAUAUUCACAUUUGACUGAUUGUGAAUAAGUACCAUGAAGGAAGGGUGAAACGAACUCCAUGAGGGUGAUAUGCCCAAUGUCCUCCUUAAAAAUCACGAUACUUUCGUCAUUUGAUGACAUUUUUCUACAUGUAAUAAUAGUAGAUGCUAAACAUAUUGUAAGUGUGAAUGCAUUGAAAAUUUGGGCCUCUUUCCUUUGUUGGAACUUUGGCUUAUUCAUAGUAGUAGCGUGUUUGUAGGUAGAUUGUAGCUAGAAUUUCAGUAGUACAUAACACCUUGUAAGGAGCACUUUCUAUCUAAUUUUUCCCCUAAUAGAUAAAAUCUCAUGAACUUGCCGCUUGAAGAGAAUAUUUGUGAUUUGUAAGUAUAGUUGGGUGUGUUUUCAAUUGAAUGAGAUCGAUUGAAGACACUGGAUGUAAUAAUGAGUUGGGGCCCAAUGAGAAGAACGUAAUAAAAUGCAUUCGAUGGAAUGUUCAGUCUUUGUCUCCUUGGACUUCUCAAUCCUCCCGUAGUUGACAGGGAACACGAAGCACUCAUUUGUCCUUUAUUUGGUUUUGUCCUCCCUUUCUUCUUUGUUAUUGCUCUCAACUUUUUUAUGGUGUUUCCCAUUAGAUGAUGCUAUACUAUAUGUUAAUAUUAGUAUACUAAACCGCACAGCAGACUAUGAGUGUACUAUAAGUCAUAUUCGAUAACUAAUAACAAUAUGUCACGUCAAAUUCAUAAAACAAUUUUAGUAUCUGACAUUUCUUUGUUUUUAUUUUUAUGGUAAAAUUGAAAGCUAGCAAGACACUAAAAUAAGAGUAGCACUACAUGUACUAAGACUUUACUUGAGUUUCUCGGUAAAUGAAAUGGUGCACUAUGUGCUGUACAGCAUGUCGUCAAAUAAGAGUGGGAUCGGCGUUAGUUUGUAAAAAGGGGAAAAGUGAUAAAUGGGGCAAGUUCUAUUAAAGGAAAUUUUCUGGAAAAAAAAUAAAAGGAAAUUUUGCCAGCCCUCUAAUAUUUCGUGCAAUCUGUAAUAUGCUUUAUUGGCUAUACUUAUUGGCCAUACUGAUAAUGAAAAUGCCUGUAUAACCCUUAACAUCAGCUACAUGAGGCAAGGUGACGUUUGAAUAAAAGGGAAAGUCGGAAGAAGGGAAAUAUUCCCAAACCUCCGCUCUGUUCUCCUUGAUUUCUUAGAAAUCUUUCUCUUCUAGGUCUAGUGACAUUGGAAGGAUAAAAUUGCAAUUUUGAUCGUAUAAGAUGAGUUGGUUCAACAAGUCUGCUCUCUAUUUGUUAUUCAAAUCCUACGUAUGAGAAAGCUUUUCCGAGGCCAUGAAGCCUUUGGUUGAAGACUAAUGAUAUUUUGGAGAGCAUCAAGCAGUUCCAUUUAAGGACUAAAAGAGGAAAGGGCAUGCAUCCUAGGAUAACAUACAUGCCCCAAAUUUCAUUAGUCUUCCUCUUGUUUUAUGGUUAUAUGCAUUGUUAGCUUAUUCCAUUUCUCUUUUUUUAUUUUUCCUAUGGGGUAAUUUUCGUCAAUUACAUGCUAUUUCUGUUGAAAUAAGUUAGAUGUCCCUAUCCUAUUCCUCUUCCCAAUCGUUAUUAAAUUGAUGGGAAAUAUGAGGCACCAAUUAUUAAGUUGUGGCUUGAGUUUGAAGUAGGUACGAGACCCAACUCAUUUAAAGGAUUUUGAUUUGUUCAAAAUAUGGUGUUCCUUUUUAAUCAGUAUCAUAUUUUGAUUUGUUGGGCGGUGCUACUUAACUAUUAAAUGUAUUGAAGGUUUGGUUCUGUUGAAGAUAGAUAUCCAAGUUUAACCGAGGGAGCAAACAUUAGUCGGACUCCACUCAACGCGUCCAGUUUAGGCCUUUUCUAAUGUCCUAAAGAAGACGUACUGCUGAAGUCUCUAUUUUAUAUCCCCGCACGAGAGGACUCUCUCUUUAGCGAAGAAGAAAAGGGGACGCACCAGUAACGCUUUCUUCGAUCGCACGGAGUUCUACAAUCGGUGGAUUUUGUGACGCAAGUCGCAUAAUGAGUCGUUCUAUUAAUAAACACUGUGAGUUUAUAUGUAAUCAAGGCAUGGAAAACACUCGAACUUGUAAGUAAUUGUAACUCUAUUUUUCUCUGAUUUUUAGUGGAUUAUAGGUGCUUACUCUUCCAGCUGCAUAGAUAUCGAUUUUUGGACUGAACCACGGAAAUCUCAGGUUUUUUUCAUUGUGUCUCAUUUAUUUUCUCGGUGAUUUUGCAUUAAUUAAUUACAAAUUUUGGUUAGUUUCCACAUUAUUUUAUAAUAAUUUAUUCAAUCUUCAGUCUUCAGUCUUCAAGAGAGAGAAAGUUUACGGAACUUCGCAUGAUGGAGUUAGUCAAUAAUUGAUUUGUGCAUAGAGAGAGGAGGUUUAUAAAUUUAGCUCAAACUGAAAGUGGAUCAUUGGACGAGAUGGGGAAGCAGCUAUUUCUUAUUCUCAGCUCUAUUCUCUUGUGGUGGUGGAGUUCAAUCACAAUCUCUGGAGCAUACUCACAAAACCAAACAGAUUGGCUCGCGUUAGCCUCCUUCAAAAAUGCAAUAUACAAAGACCCAUUUGGAGUCUUGAACUCUUGGAAUGAUUCUACCCAUCAUUGUGAGUGGCAAGGUGUUUUGUGCAGCAAAAGACAUCCCGGGAGGGUCACAUCUCUGGUCCUGAGAUCACAAGGCUUGGAUGACUUUCUAUCUCCUCACAUAGGUAACCUCUCUUUUAUGAGGGUCAUAUUUCUGCAGAACAACAGGUUUCAUGGCGAAAUCCCACCACAAAUUGGCAAUUUGCUUCGACUCAGUGUUCUUGUUCUUAGUAACAACUCAUUUGGUGGGCUGAUACCCUCCAAUCUUUCCCGCUGCUCGAACCUCGAGAAACUGAAUCUCAUAAAUAACCAGCUUGUGGGGGGAAUUCAUUCCGAUCUUGGUUCUUUAACAAGACUCAAAGGCUUGGGCUUGUUUCGGAACAGUCUUGUAGGUCCUAUUCCUCGUUCGAUUGGAAACCUCUCGUUGCUACGAGAGCUCUCGCUGGGAGAAAAUGCGUUAAGCGGAGAAAUACCUGAGGAAUUGUCCAGACUCAAGAGAUUGAUACUUUUCCAACUAUCUUCCAACAAACUAACCGGUGAGGUUCCAGCAGGGAUUUUAAACAUCUCUGACAUUAUAAUAUUCGAUGUUAGGUUGAACCAGUUGUCGGGAAGCUUUCUCAAUGAUGUUGGCACCACUUCUUCUCUCCGUUUACUUAGCGCCGGUGGUAACUUGUUCACCGGUAUGAUUCCGUCAAUGUUAACGAAUGCCACAGGUCUCGAGUCACUUGGCCUUUCCUACAACAAUUUCCAUGGGCCAAUACCAAAAAAUCUGGGAAGGCUAAAGGGCCUUUACUUGAUUACAAUGUCUGGUAACCACUUGCAGGAUGACUUGAGUUUCAUUUCUUCUUUAGUUAAUUGUUCCAACUUAGAAACUCUCGGGAUGAUGGAGAACUUGAUUCACGGAUCGUUGCCGAGAUCCUUCUUCAAUCUCUCCCCCAGCAUUGAUCGAAUUUCUAUGUCAGACAAUCGGAUCCAAGGAUCUAUUCCUUUAGCCCUCGGAAAUCUCUUCAACUUGUCUUUCUUGUGUUUACGUAAUAAUUUUCUAACUGAUUGUAUUCCUCAUUCCAUCGGAGCACUUUCCAACUUGCAGCAACUUUAUUUGGACGGGAACAUGUUUACUGGCGAGAUACCAUCUUCGAUUGGUAACAUUACGUCAUUGGGUAUCCUUGACCUUUCCUAUAACAUUUUCCAAGGCUACAUACCGCAGAGUCUCGGCAACUGCAAGCAACUAAUUGGGCUUGAUCUUUCGAACAAUAACCUAAUUGGCUCAGUUCCUGUCGAAAUCAUGGGUCUUUCUUCCUUGUCGAUCGCCUUCAGUUUAGCAAAUAAUAAUUUAAGUGGAUCUCUUCCAUUGCAAGUUGGAUCUUUAAAGAAUCUUGGCAUAUUAGAUCUGUCUUACAAUAGAUUGACCGGCUUAAUUCCGACGUCCAUUGGCGAGUGCUUGGUAUUGGAACGACUUCACUUAGAAGCUAAUUCUUUUCAUGGUCAAAUCCCCGAAGCUUUACGUCCAUUACGGGGUUUACUAGAGCUGGACCUUUCCAAUAAUAAUUUUUCUGGUCCAAUCCCGAUCUUUCUCGCAGGGCUCUCACUACUCAUGUACUUGAAUUUGUCCUUCAAUCAACUAGAAGGACAAGUUCCAGAGGGUGGAGUUUUUCUUAAUGCAAGUUCUGUAUCGAUUUAUGGAAAUACGAAACUUUGUGGAGGUGUUCUCGGUCUGAAGCUUCCUCUUUGCAAAUCACCAAGCUCUAAGAAGUCUUCUUCAACCAAGGCCAGAGUAAUAUAUGUGGUAGUUGGCAGUUUGUUAUGUUUAGCUUUGUUGCUUCUAUGUCUGUCUAUCUACUACCGCAAAAAGAAGCAAACGACAACCAAUGCCUCCACUUCAUUAUCUUUCGAGAACCAAUUCUUGAGGAUUUCUUAUGAAGAACUCCUGAGGGCGACUGACAGAUUCUCCGAGACCAAUUUGAUUGGUAAAGGGAGAUACGGCAUGGUUUAUAAGGGGAUUCUUGAUGGUGGUGCCAUGGUGGCGACGAAGGUGCUCAAUCUAACGCAAAGAGGUGCUUCGAGGAGCUUUAUCUCCGAAUGUCGAACUCUAGGAACCAUUAGACACUGAAACCUCGUAAAGAUACUAAGUGUCUGUUCGAGCGUGGACUUUCGAGGAAAUGACUUCAAAGCUCUAAUUUAUGAGUUCAUGGCUAAUGAGAGCUUGGAGCAGUGGCUGCACCCUAGGACUAUAGGACAAGAUGAUGAGUGUAGCAAAUCAAGAAAUCUUAGACUAGUGCAGAGGUUAAACAUUGCCAUCGACAUAGCUACUGCAAUCGAAUAUCUCCAUAAGGAUUGUUAUCCAGCAAUCGUUCAUGGAGAUUUGAAGCCAAGUAAUGUGCUUUUGGACAUUGACAAGGUGGCUCGAGUUGGAGAUUUCGGGCUUGCAAAGAUCAUUUCAACAAUGUCUAUUGAAACCACAAGAGUUCCGGACCAAGGUGGUUCAACUUCAACCGCAAUCAGAGGAUCCAUUGGCUAUGUGCCUCCUGAUAUGAAACUGUCAUAUUUUUCUCUAUUAGUUUUUAGUUGAUUGCGAUAGUAAUAUGAGAAUGCCAAAAGUUUGAAUAAACAAUGAUUCUUGAUGUGAUGUUAUGAUUUGUAUGCUCCGACAAUUCUCUCUCAAGACGCAAUUCCUCUUUCCCUUAUUAAUAACUUCCGCAUAAAAAGAAAACAUGUAUCUUUUUGUACGAAAAGAUUAAUAGUGGCUCGUUCUAAUUGUAAUUGAAAUUAAGAUGAGAAUAAACCAUCGUAAUUUUGAUCAAUGACUGGAAACUUUUUGGACAAAACUUGUGAAUCCAUAAUAGAUUAAGCAUAUUGUGUCAUCUCAUAUUUAUAUUUUCUUUUUAUAAUUUGUAUUUUGUCUCAUAUCACGUUCAUGCCAUUAAAAAGGAUUGCGAUUCUCUUUUGGUAUGUCAUGACUUAAGGUCUUGACUCUAAGUAAUUUUUCCUUUACGGCAGACCCUUUCAUGACCAAUAAUUUUAUAUUUGAAGAAUAUACUAGAUGACAUGACAUUUACACCAGAAACCGUUGGAGAAUACACUAAUUCACAACAUGAUGGGCUCUAUCCAACUUUCACUUUCCCUGAACUUCUUGGUUAGAGCAUAUUAAGAUAAAUUUACGCAUUUACAAGUAUAAAUCCAUCACCGUCAACAAAUCAUUCUAUGUCUCUUCUUUUUCCCCCACUAUGUUCAUUUUUUGCCUGUUCUUCUAAAAGAAAGUGUGGUAUAGGUAUUAAACAUAAUUUAUAUCAUGAAAAUGACGAGCCUCAUGUUGAUCCCAUAUGUUUCCAGUCAAAAGACCAACCAUUCGAAUUAAGUUAACACAUAAACUUCUGCUAAGGCCUUCACCCAACAUAUUUUCUUCUUUUUUUGUUUUCACCCGCACCCUACUAGAGGACAAAGCCACUCUUGAUGUUUAGGCAAUUUGUGGAGCAAACAUGUGACAACUUUGGUUGCACUUAGUAGUUUUGGAGAAGAAGAGUUCAUAUGAUGUUAACUGAUCAUUGGUGCACUUUAUAAAUUCUAAAAUCCCAUUUCUCUACUGUUGAUGCAUUUCUCAACGGUUGAUGUGCUUUAUAAGAGUUCACACGAUGGGCGCUAAACAUCAGCCAUAUACGGUAUACUAAACAAAAAUUAAACAAAGAGCAAUGAAAGAAAAAAAAAACCAGUAGGGGGCUUUGGGACCCUCUACCUUGCUCUAGCAGAGGAUUCUCUGGCCUCUGCCAUGCAUAGCGAGCCCAACUAUGAAGUGAGUGAGGUCUUGCAAGACAUUGCUCUAUAUUGGGCACGAUAGGCGCAAUCCACCACAGUUGUCCCCGGCAAGCUCUUGCAAAUUGAUAUCAAACAAAAUCUCAUGUGACUUAGAAGCUUUUUCUAAACAAUUAACUUCAAGAAAAAGUGAAUAUUCGUUCCCAUUAAUGUCUAGAUAAAAUUUUCAGAGUAUGGCAUGGGACACAAGGUUUCUACACUUGGGGAUGCAUACAGUUACGGCAUUCUGUUAUUGGAGAUGUUCACUGGAAAGAGACCCACUGAAGAGGCCUUUGGGCACCAUCUUAACCUUCACAACUUUGUCCGAAUGGCUCUUCCGGAUCAAGCAAUGGACAUCAUAGACUUAAGGCUUUGGAGUGAAGCUAGUGAUCGACAACAAGAGAUCAAGAUCAAAGAUUGCAUUAUCUCUGUAUUCGAAGUUGGAGUCGCAUGUUCGAUGGAGUCACUGCCAGAUCGGAUGGAAAUAUCCAAGGCUAUAAGGAAAUUACACUUGAUCAAGGUGAGUUAUGAAACCAAAGAGAGGAUGAUAGAUAUAUAGCUAAAUCAAUUUUCUUGUUUCAUCUUGGAACUUUUUCACUAGUAGAGAAAAUCAUCAUGUAAAGGUAGUGCUAGCAAAUUGACAUUAAUGUCUUUUAACUAGUCUGCCUACCCAUAUCUAUUACGUGUAUUUUUUUAUAAUUACACCAAUAUCUAUAUUUAAUAAUCAUGGAAAGUGGAUGUAUGGAGUUAAGUCUACCUAUGUUCACCAAGUAACCACAUAAAAUUUGAUGAAUUUGCUUAUUUGCCCAGUUCUCUUAAUUUUUUAUGCCUCUAUGGAUCGAUGCAUUGCUUAAUUAUCAUGGCUAGGCCAUUGCCCUUGCCUCUCCCUCUGCACAUGCUUGUAUACUAGAAUGUGACCUCACCGUGAGGUCACGAGCUCAAGGCCAACUCUUAAUGUCAUGCUUAACCGAGAGCCCGCGGUCAAUUAGAGACCAAGCUUGAUCGAAUCCAAAGGCAAGGAGUGGGAGGCAACCUCAUCACAAGAUCAUAAGGUAAGGCUAACUCUCAAUGUCGCUGUUGAGAGUGAACUCACUAUCAAUUGGAAGCCAUCCUUGAUAAAAUUUGGGCGACGUUGCCAAUGAAAUCAUGUUGCGGUCAUGUUGUGAACACCAACAGCCACCGUGUGUGGCCCUUACCUCUUCUCCAAACCUCCUUUUUUCAAUCAUUUUUUCUUUGCUAUGUCAUUGAAUUACAGAGUUUUUCUUUUUUCUUUCGUUUUGGUCGAUAGAGAUAAAUAGUUAACAAAGACAUAAAUGAGACAAGAUUAAAAAGAGAACAUGGAUGCAUAUUUGUUGCACUCGCAGGUGUGCUUGUCACACUGUAAUUAUUUUCAUCAAGUCUUCCCACUCAACUAGGCUUCUCUCUUUCCACCAUUAGCCACCGUCUCUAGCCAUUGUAGCCACCUAUCAUCACAGACCUUGAGACGACCUUCCAAUCUCAUCAUCGCCAACCACUUGAUUUGUAGAUGGCGAGAGAAGCUCAACGCGAGCUCUUGAAACCCACCAAGGGCAUAAACUUGAUGUCAUGGCCCGAUCAUCAAGCGUGUGCCCAUACCUCAGUGGUCGAUAAAAAAUUUGCGACUUCCCAGUACGAGUCGCCGACCCUUUCAUUUUAUUGCACAUGCGGAAGCGAAUAACAAUUCCCCUGAAAGUAACCAUCUCAGGAUAGAAAAGCAGGACAUCGGAUUCAAAAACAAACAUGCUUUUAAAUACACAUCGAGUCAAAUACAAAAGUCUACAGUCACAAGACUUCAAAUGAUUGACUCUAAAAAACAAAUUGUCCUAUCUGACCUACACUUCAGAUCACCUCAGCUCGGCUCCAGGUCUUCCACCCUACGGUCCUGAAAAAUAAAGCCUACGACAGGGUGAGAUAUAAAUCUCAGUGAGUUCACGCUCGAAACCCUGAUUAGAAGGGUAAUAUGCCUAGGGCAUCCUAAUCACAAAAUCAUACAAUCACAGAGACUUACCUUGUCUCGGAUCCUCCCUGCAGGUCAGCAUAGUUCAAAUCACAAUCAUGUGUAUAUAGCAAAUUCACAAACCAAUUUGGAACGUCCAAACUAAUCAUUACUCACACGAGCAAGAAUCACAAUUUAAUCACUGCUCACACGAGCAAGAACUACCGAUACACAUCAAAGAAAGAAUUACUGACACACGUCGAUCCAUCAAUUCAACUCAACAUGCAUUCCAAUUAAUUAAUUAUUACUACCCACAUGAGCAGUUUUACAUGACACACACCGGGGAAGAAUAAUAACUACCGACAUAUGCCGGGGUUAGGUAAUAUCCAUCGACACAUGCCGGGGUGUUGACACCUAAAGUUUGAUGACCCAUUUAGUCAUUUAUUGCAUUAAAAAAAUAGGGAUUAAUUUUAACCCCUAAAAAAAUAUAUUAGUUAAUUAAUUAAUUGCAUAGCAUAUAGUUUUAGGUGCAUUUACAUUCUUUGCGUUUUAUUGGAUCAGUGGUGAAUAGAUUUGGAUUAGUGGUUCUAAGCUUUAAUUUGGCAGACCGGACUAAGCCCACAAAGCAAGUAAAUUGGCCCAAGUCCGUUUUCUUUUAAUGAAAAAAAUUACCUAAAUUGAGAUUUGAAAUGAUAUUACGAUGGAUUUUUGGAAUUUAAGAAAAUUGGGUUGCAAUCUUAUCUUUAGGCGAUAAAAUCAGGAGAUGUGGAAAAAAAAAAGUUAUAUUGUGUGCGAAAAAGAAAUCUUUGUGGAUGUUGAUUUGAAAAGGAAAUUAAAACCCUAAUCUUCGGCCUAUAAAAAAGUUUUUCGCGUAGGGUUUCAAGAGGAGGCCACACAUUAGAAAUACACGGCCGCAUCCAGAGGCUUUUCUCUCGAUUGCUAGGUCAAAAGAAAAUUCUACGCAAAAGAAAAGUGAGAGGAAAAGUUUUCCCUUGGUCCAUUUGUUCCUUUGGAAACACAAAAGAAAAAUUGAGCAGGAGUUGUGUUUCCUUCUGCUGACAGUAGCAGAGAGGAAGAGACAGGAGAGAGGGACGUGUGCUGCAGAGAGGAGAGAGAACAGUAGGAAAAAAGAAAACAGAGAGCUGUUGUUCAUCUUCCUCACGGACUCCUUCCGUCGGCCGCACGCCGUUCCGCCCGUGACCGGUUGCUGCCUCGUCGACGUCUCCGCUGCACCCCGCCUCGCCUGGAGCCCGCGAGCACCCACGUCUGAGCCUCCUCCAAGCGAAGCCUGCACCGGAGCUGCGACCCGAAGCCGAAGGCAUCGCCCCCUGCUUCCACUCGGACUGACCCACGACGCCAUUGGAUGCUGAGUAUCUGACAACGCUGAGCAUGACCGAGCCAUUGUCCCGAGCUGCUAUCCAUGACGUCUCUUACUCUUCACUUGCUACGCUGCCAAGCCCAGCCCCAAUCCUAACGACGAGUUGUGGUACUGAUCAUCGGUACUGCUCAAAGAAUCCAUUCCAUGCCACGAGUUCAGUGACCGGAGACAAUGCAGCAGCCCUCUAUCUCAAGCCGUUGCUGUUGCAUCGUGACCCCGGACCAACGGUGUUCACGAUCCUUCCUAGUGACAACAAAACUUCUCUUUGUUUUGCAGGUUUCCCACAAGCGGGUAAGACUUUCAGAGCAUCCGAAAGUUGCCGCUACCGCUGAUCUUGGGACGCGGCAUUCAAGCAUCCGUUGCUACCCUCAUCACAUCCAAAACUCCUGGUAUUUGUGGAAGUCUCUAGUGAAUUGUUCUUAAUAGUUUUUAAUCCCAACCUUGAGCACAUCACCAGAAACCGUCUCAUCGUGCUAAGAAGCAUCAACCAUGAAUCAUCCACUCACGGUCAAAUGCAGAAGAAGCAAAAAUUUUUGAAAGCCACAAGACAACAGACAAUCCACAGAGAGAAAGAGGGCAUGAAGCAUUGAGACGCUAUUAGUGAGUGGAAGAAUAAAAAAUAGGAGUUAAAGAGGAAUUGUGAGUGGUGAUUUGUGGAGAUUGAUUCAUGCAAUUCUCACAUCUCAGACGCCGUUUUUCCGAGGCCAACAUCAACGAAGCCAGUCCUCGCCCACUCCGCAGCUUUCUGGUAUUUCAUCCAACGAUUCUAGUGGCCGCCGCAUCGGGCAUCAUCCACCACGAGCCAUCGCUGAUCCCAUCAUCCGACGAGUCCAAAUUUGGGAACGAUAUUACGAAAUAGGUAAAGAUAUUAUCCAAAUUUAAUUUGAUAAUUUCCUUACUUAAUUUAUUGAUAUUGCGUUUAAAUUCAAAUCUUCCGAUGAUGCAUCUAAUCCAAAUUUUCUCGAAAAUCUUUUUAAAUUAUGGAUUUAUUCCGUAAUUUCACAACGUGCAUAUGAUUGACAGUUCAAUUUCACGCUCGAAAUACGACUCGCAAUUGCACAGAAAAAUUGUCAAUCCGAUCUCACGCUCGAGAUACGAUUCGUGAUUUUGUUAAAAAUUGGCCAAUCCGAUCUCAUGCGCGAGAUACGAUUCGUCAAUUUAUUUCCCUAAAUUAAAUGGACAUGGUUGAUAUCUUGCUUGAUUUGGUGCCGUGCUUUCUUGAUGCCUCUAUUUGAUUGCUCCCGUAAAAGAAAAAACCCAAAAAUAUUUAUUUGAGUUAGAUUAGGUUCAUGUUAGAAUAUUACUUGUUUUAGGGUUAUUUUGCAUGUUUAGAAUAGGAAAUUUAUUUAUUUCAAAUUUCUUAAAUAAAAAUCCAAUAAAAAUGCGUUCAAUUAGGAUGUUAGUUUUUCUUUAAUCUAAAGUGCACGUUUAAUUAUUUGGCAAUUUUAAUUUCGAAUUUCAUAAAAGAAAAAGAAAAGGAAAAUAGAAUUAGGGCAUUCUUUGCACGUCAUUGCAUAUUGUGAUAGAUUGCAUGCUUAUUAAGAAAAUAAAAAAUCAUGUGCACGUCAUAUAACGUUAGGUUCAUGAAAUCCACGUCAUUUAGUGAUUGUUGCUAGGUUCAUUUAAUUAGAAAUUGCCCGUCAUUAAGAUUUAGGUCAUUUUGGUUAAUUUAGAUUGCAUAUUUAAUUAUUGCAUGUUUAUUAAGAAAACAUAAAAAGUUACUUUACCCAUGUCAUAUAGUUUAGGCUAUACUACCAUGUCAUAUCAUUUCAUGUUAGAUUAGAAGCAUUGCAUUGCAUAUGGAUUUGAUUCUCAUUAAUUAAGUGAAAAUGAAAAAAAGAAAUUGCGUGUUAAUUAGAAAUCAUAUCUAGGGUUGAUGAUUUGAAUUCUGAUCUAAUAACGCAGAUGCUUUCAUUGCUAUGAGGUAAGUCCUGCAAUUUAUUCAUUGCUUUUCUUGGGUGUUAAAUUAGUGGUUUGCACACCCGCAUGAUCGCAUCACAUGUUAGAAAAAUUAGAUUUAAAAUCAAUUCAAGCUGCCUGCAAAACAUUUUUCAAAAUAAAAGAAAAAGGUACCGAAAGGGCAUUAGAGAAAUCUAGUGUAACCAAGUCUCUGUACCCAUAUUCUCUGGUUCGUAGGAGUAAAGUAAAUCUCAUGUGACUUUACUUGGGUUUCUAAUCGACCCACAAAAAAUAGAUUAGUGGCGACUCCUAAUUGAAAAUCAAUUGCAUGUUAAGAAUUUGAACCUAAGUCGCGAAUUGGUAUGGGCUUGGGAGAGCCCAAAUUAAGUCAAGGCUUAAUAAUCCAUUAGCCAAGCUCUAGGUGGUUCACCCAAAAAAUUGGUCGCAAUAGCUUGGCGACUCCACUGGGGACUUGAGAUAAAACUCUUAAGAGACUUAGGCCAAUUUUCUUUUUGAAAAAAUAUUUUUGUUUGGCAGCGAGGAUCCCAGGUACGUCCCUAACCUUUAGAGUGUUAAAUGUUUUUGCAGGAUGGGAGGUAUAAGGGGAGUAGUGAUUCUUAACCCUUGUCUUGCAGGUUGGAGUUGAUGAUAAAUGUUUUGAAUUCAAAUUAUUGAAGUGUUGUUUGAUACAAACUGUUGUGCAUGCCUUGCAUUUGCACUACACUUUUGCACAUACAACUUGCCGCCAGACCUGGGCCACAUAGGAUCAUUUAGGAUGGUAUUGAGAUGGAUACUACUCCGACCGCAUGCUCGCGGUAUGAGUCGCCCAUCUUAAUCCCGAAGUUUCUUUCAUGGUGUCAAGAGUACCCACCUCAGUCCGCAUGCUCGCGACCUGGGUCGGCUCUUUGACCAAGUCGGAGUCAUGAGGACUCGACAUAGUCCACAAGCCCGUGGCUAGUUUGAUCAUCCUUGUGGCUCCACUUGUUAAGCCUUAUAUACUAGAAAUCGAGCCACUUACCAUGUGCAUGUUUAUGUGAUUGCUAUUGAUUUUCCUUAGUGAAGUAAGUCUUCUAUCCCUAUACCUUACAAUUUAUUUUGUCGUGUUUUUGGUUUGUCCAUGACAAUCUAGAUUAGUCAUUUAAUCUAAUUCCUUUGUCAAUUAAAAAUGAAAUGAAGAAAUUGCCAUGCAAUGAAUCAUUUGCAAAAAAAAAAAAAAACUUUGGAGAGUUUGUUUUCAAAUCAUGUCUAGGAAAUUUGGUCUUGUUAGGGUGUCUAUCUUUAUUUUCCUUGUCCAUUUUUAGGAAAUUCCCUUAUUGUACGAACUUUUCAUGAAUAAAUGAAAAAAAAAUGGAAAAAUCAAUUGGAUCAUUGUCAUGAAUUGACUUUCUAUUUACCUUCAUGCUUACAUGUUCCCGUUCAUUUGAAUUAGGUGAUUAUGGAACGAUCCCGCUCACCCAUCCGUUCACGAUCGAGAGCUAAAAUGACGGAUCAAAAAGAGCUUAUCUCGUCAAGCAAAAAUGCUACAAUCUAUCUUCAGUGAGAAAUUGCGACUCCAAGAAGAGAGCCAAGAAGACCUUUUGAAUCGUCUCAUUUUCCUGAGGUAGUCGAAUUUGAUGCCAUCAUGAAGAGGGUAGUGACAUAUCUAGAUGGAAGAAUAUUUGACUUGAAGGCUUUGCAUCACACAAGAUCAAGGAGGGUGAAGAAUUCCAGUACACAUGAUUCAUGGUUCUAAGUAAUUCAAUUUCCUCAUUUAAUUAGGGGCAUGCACCUUCCCCUGCGUGGGAAUUCUUAUCGCUUUUUAGGGAUUGGUUUCAAUUUCUUUAGUGCAUGAACAUCACAUUUUUCUUUCAAAUAUAUGUAAUUCGAUUGAUGAAUAUCAAUAAAAUUACGAUUUUUGUUUUGAGAACAUGAUGUGGUACACCAAACCAGCCCGGUGACGAUAUCCAACAAUGAAAAGAAAAUAUUAUCCAUGGAGAAAUUCUGAGGACUGGGCUUCUUCAUGCUUCCUCGUAAAAAAAAAAGAUAAAAAAAAAUCAUUUUUGAAGCCAUUUCUAAAAGCAUGCAUUAGGUUACCCUUGUUUGUUUUUCCAACCCAUUUACUUCAUGUCUCAGAGCAUAACAGAAAAGCAUUUGAAAGUAACGCGUCAAUUUCCAGUUAUAGUGGGCCCAUUGAUUUGGGAACGUACAUCUGAAGGAGAAAUAGGCAUGGGGGCAAAGGAUCAUUUCCUAACUGAUUGUGAUGACAUCUCCCAAGAGUGAAGAAGACAUUAAACACUACUUAUCCUCUUACUUGUCCCAAGCGAUUUCCUUGCAUAUCAAUAAGAAACUGCGGGCAAGUCAAAAGAAGAUCAUCUAGAUUCCAAAGUGUGACAUGUGGCACAUCUCAUUACAAUUUGUGUGAGAUGUCAUUCUCGAAAGCCAAAUGAAGUUUCUCAUUUCCAUGAGAGAAUGAUGGAAGAAGUCAAAAGAGGAUCAUCCAUCUUGGAUAAAAUAGAUGCAUUGCAUUCAUGAAUAUAAUUAAUUUUGGAAUUGACACUCUGUUCUUUUCCUUGCAGAUGACGAAUUAGAGCACUGAGAUUCUAGUAGUAACAUAACUGAGACAAAAUCUUGAUCCGAGCCAAAAUGAUUGUGCAAUUUGAAUUUAUUCUGAUAUUGCAUGGUAUCAUUUUCAUGCAUGUUCUUUUGCGCAAGGGAAAAAGUGGAUUUUCAGUCUUGAUUGAUAGGGAUUAUCUAAGGACACCCAAUUAUUGAGAUAGUCCCUUUGUAGGACAAUUCCUUGAUUGAAUGCUUGAAAUUUUCAUACUUAUGAGAGCAUGUUUUGUCUAUUUGAAAUCACAAAAGCUUUUCAUGCUUAAUGUUGUUGGGCUCUUUUGAAAAGAGAAUUUUCUAGCGGCCGCCGCAUCGGUUCAAGCAUCAUCCACCACGAGCCAUCGCUGAUCCCAUCAUCCGAUGAGUCCAAAUUUGGGAACGAUAUUACGAAAUAUGUAAAGAUAUUAUCCAAAUUUAAUUUGAUAAUUUCCUUACUUAAUUUAUUGAUAUUGCGUUUAAAUUCAAAUCUUCCGAUGAUGCAUCUAAUCCAAAUUUUCUCGAAAAUAUUUUUAAAUUAGCGAUUUAUUCCCUAAUUUCAUAACGUGCAUAUGAUUGACAAUCUGAUUUCAAGCUCAAAAUACGACUCGCAAUUGUACGGAAAAAUUGCCAAUCCGAUCUCACGCUCAAGAUACGAUUUGUGAUUUUGUUAAAAAUUGGUCAAUCCGAUCUCAUACGUGAGAUACAAUUCGUCAAUUUAUUUCCCUAAAUUAAAUCGACAUGGUUGAUAUCUUGCUUGAUUUGGUGCCGUGCUUUCUUGAUGCCUCUAUUUGAUUGCUCCCGCAAAAGAAAAAACCCAAAAAUAUUUAUUUGAGUUAGAUUAGGUUCUUGUUAGAAUAUUACUUGUUUUAGGGUUAUUUUGCAUGUUUAGAAUAGGAAAUUUAUUUAUUUCAAAUUCCUUAAAUAAAAAUCCAAAAAAAAAAUACGUUUAGUUAGGAUGUUAGUUUUUUCUUAAUCUAAAUUGCACGUUUAAUUAUUUGGCAAUUUUAAUUUCAAAUUUCAUAAAAGAAAAGGAAAAGGAAAAUAGAAUUAGGCAUUCUUUGCACAUCAUUGCAUAUUAUGAUAGAUUGCAUGCUUAUUAAGAAAAUAAAAAAUCAUGUACACGUCAUAUAACGUUAGGUUCAUGAAAUGCACGUCAUUUAGUGAUUGUUGCUAGGUUCAUUUAAUUAGAAAUUGCCCGUCAUUAAAAUUAGGUCAUUUUGGUUAAUUUAGAUUGCAUAUUUAAUUGUUGCAUGUUCAUUAAGAAAACAUAAAAAGUUACUUUACCCAUGUCAUAUAGUUUAGGCUAUACUACCAUGUCAUAUCAUUUCAUGUUAGAUUAGAAGCAUUGCAUUGCAUAUGGAUUUGAUUCUCAUUAAUUAAGUGAAAAUGAAAAAAAGAAAUUGCGUGUUAAUUAGAAAUCAUAUCUAGGGUUGAUGAUGUGAAUUCUAAUCUAACAACGCAGAUGCUUUCGUUACUAUGAGGUAAGUCCUAUAAUUUAUUCAUUGCUUUUCUUAGGUGUUAAAUUAGUGGUUUGCGCACUCGCAUGAUCGCAUCAUAUGUUAGAAAAAUUAGAUUUAAAAUCAAUUCAAGCUGCCUGCAAAACAUUUUUCAAAAUAAAAGAAAAAGGUACCAAAAGGGCAUUAGAGAAAUCUAGUGUAACCAAGUCCCCGUACCCAUAUUCUCUGGUUCGUAGGAGUAAAGUAAAUCUCAUGUGACUUUACUUGGGUUUUUAAUCGACCCACCAAAAAUAGAUUAGUGGCGACUCCUAGUUGAAAAUCAAUUGCAUAUUAAGAAUUUGAACCUAAGUCGCGAAUUAGUAUGGGUUUGGGAGAGCCCGAAUUAAGUCAAGGCUUAACAAUCCAUUAGCCAAACCCUAGGUGGUUCACCCGAAAAAUUGGUCGUGACACGGGGUUAGGUAAUAUUAACUUUUAAUGUCCACCGACACAUGUCACGCCCUAAUCCUCGGGCAUGCGCCCAUCCCUCACCUUGGUCGAUUAAAAAUUUGCGAUAUCCCAGGAUGUAUUGCCGACCCUUUCAUUUUCAUAUGCACAUGCGGAAGCAAUUAAAAAUCCCCAGACAAUAAAACAUUGGGAUAGAACAGUAGGACUAAAUUUCAAACUCUUAAAAACCUUCACUCUUAUAUACAAGGUGAACUAUAAAGUUCAAUUUACCUAAGCCAGUUUAAAAACAAGGUCUACAAGCAGAAGUGGGGUUCUACAAGCUAUGGGUCCCCGUCCUCCUCUUCAUCAUCCUCCACACUCCAAAUGGAGCCUUCAGCAAACUACACCGGGCUUUCGAGAUCUUCAAAAUCCAAGUCUACUGCAUCUAGGGACCUAAAAUGGUUAUUCAAUAACCAAUGAGACAACGUCUCAGCAAGUUCUACCCCCUAAGACCCGAUUAGUAAACUAAUACACCUUAGGGCUGCCUAUGCACAACAUAAGUCAGAGGACUUACCUUGGUCUCAGAUUCCACCUGCAUAUUAGCACAGAUCAAAUAGGCACCCAAGCAAUCACAUCACUGAUCGAAGCAUCAAUCAAAUCGACAUAGUCGAUUACAUCUCAAUCGAACCAUUCACUAGUCAUUUCCAUUCAAUCAAUCAAUUCACAACAUCAUAUCAAAGCAAUGAUCAAUCGACCUAGUCGAUUUCAUAUCAACAAGACCACUUUCGGUCAUUUCAACUAUUCCAACUCAAUUCCCAAUUAUGAAUCACGGUCCUUAGGACACAACUUAUCUAUAGGUGGUAAUCACGGCCCCACCAAGUAACUUUCUUAGAUUUAGUGGCUUUACGGUCCCACCUGACCCUUCCAAGAUUCAAUGGCUUUAUGGUUCCACCCGACCCUCUCAAGAUUCAAUGGCUUUAUGGUCCCACCCGACCUUUCCAAGAUUUAAUGGCUUUACGGUGCCACCCGACCCUCUCAAGAUCUAGUGGCUUUAUGGUCCCACCCGACCCUUUCAAGAUCUAGUGGCUUUAUGGUCCCACCCGACAUUUCCAAGAUUUAAUGGCUUUACGGUCCCACCCAACCCUUUCAAGAUCUAGUGGCUUUAUGGUCACACCUGACCCUUUCAAGAUCUAGUGGCUUUAUGGUGGCUUUAUGGUCCCACCCGACCCUUUCUACGAUGCCAUACUCUAUCACCAAGCCACGUGCAUUCUCCAACUCACUUUCGAUAUUGACAACCAAUACCCGACGGUUUCUCAAUCAAAGAAUUAAAAUCACAUCACUUAGGAAUAUACCCAAAAAUUCACAAUUAAUUUAAUUCGGCACGAUUCAAGCUCAAAUAAAUAAACGGAUUGCACCACGACAAUCAGCACAAAAUUCCGGUCACUAGCCAUCCCGGUUGAAUUUCCGAAAAAAAAAAUAAUAAUUAAUUAAUUUCGAAAAUUAAAUAAAUAAUUAUAAAAAAAAUCCAAUUUAGGUUCGUAAUGCCGAAUUGGACGCCGAGACGAGCCCAGAAAAUUACCGAGACUCGUUCCAUAAAUAACAUGGCAUGUCUACUUGCUAAUGUCUAUUUCUAACCACCUAACAUGCAUCAUUAAGUCUCUAAUUUAAUUGAUCUAAACUAAUCUAACCACCUAAUUGCAUUUAAUUAAAUCUAACCAACCCUAAGCAUAAUUAGCAAACUAAAAAGAAAGCAUUAGUGAGUAAAACUCACUUGAUUAAAAACGGGGACCAGGACACCGCGACGACGACGCGACGGCGGCCGAACUUGGGCCGACUUGCUUCACGGGCCCAGGAUGGGCUGAACUUGCUGGGCCUCGUUGAAACUAAAUUGAACUGGGCUUCAAGUUGUGAGCUUGAAGAUGGGCCGAAAACUGGGCUUGGGCUGCUGCGAACUGGGCCAAAUUCCAAUGGGCUAAACAGCUGGACUUUUGGGCUUCAAAUGGACUGAGAAUGGGCUGCUGGGUUCACUUGGGCUGAUAUUUAUUAAUUUGCGGGCUGAAUAAGAGAGCUUCAUGGGCUGUUGAACUGGGUCUAAAAUGCUGGACUGGGCUGCAACUUGAAUCGUUGAAGCAGAUGGGCCGUUGAUGCGAUCUGAUCCACGAGCGAAGAUGGGAGACAACGCGGCAAGAUCGAAGCAGCUGGCGUCGAGCGAAGACUUCGAUUGAUGGAGGAACACGCGGACGAUGUUGCUGCUAGGGAGUCUUCGAUCGUUGCUGGACACGCACAACCCCGAAAGAAAAAGAAGCCAGCUGGCGUCGGGCUUCGUGGGGGUGUGCUAGACAAGGCAACGGCGUGGCACAUGAAGCUGCUGGAGAUGAUGCAGCGAUUAACAAACCGACUGGUUUGACUGGGGAACAAAAGAUGGUGGAGGCGUGCUGGUAGAAACUGGGAGAGAUCUUCGGACGUGGCAGCUGUAGUUCCGGUGGCCACGAGCUGGAGAAGACCACGCGGAUGCUUACUCAAGUCUUCCGUGUUAAGGAGUUUGAUCGAGAGAGGGCAGCAAAGGAGAACUUGGUGGAUGUUGGGCUAAAAUCGUGAGGAUUGGGGGGUCAAAAGAAAUGGCUUCUUGUGUUGAUUGAGUUGACCGAAUAGCUUGCUGGCGUGAGAGUUCGAGGGGAUGAAGGGAAAGAAAUCAAGAGAGAGAGAGAGAGAUGGAGUUGCGGAGGGGGAGGUCGGCAAGUGUUGAAGAAGACCGAGGAUGGAGCUCACGAAAAUGGAGAAGUCUUGGACGGCAGCUGAGUGAGAGGGAAGAGAGAGAUGGAUAGAGAUGAGGUUGAGGAGCCCACAAGCCUUCAUUUUCCACACGAUUAUCCCCUUGAACCCUUCCUGGCCAAGUCUUCUUCCUUGGCUCACCUUAGGCCAACAAUGCACUCUCCAUAACAUCUCAAUUGGUCCAAAAAAUGCUAGGGGAAGGGGGGCUACGAAUUUUAAAAUCAUGGCUUCAAAUUGGACACUCAUCCCAUCUCAAUUUCAUCUCAAAUGGCCUCCACAAAAUCAAUUAACCUCUCAAGGCCUCAAUCUCAUCCUCUAUGUCUCCCCCAUCAUUUUCAAGCAUAAAUUCCGCCAUUAAACCAAUUUAGGUCCAAAAUAAUACUGUCCUCCCUUAGUUCCGAAUUUCACAUUUUGAGCUUCCAAUUUCUUCGACAAAUUCCCAAAUUGAGAUCCAAUCUCGAUGAAGAAAAAUUCCGAACAAUUUUCUAUAAAUCCCCAACACUCACUAGCUUGGCUUGAAAGUCCAAACUCCCUUAAAUUCGGUCCAUAUGAAUUUCUGUUAAUUUUCCAUGACGUCCGAACGAUUUUCCGUAAAAAAUCUCGGAAUCUCUGAAAAACCUUUUGAGACUAAGUCGACGUUCCUAGAAUUGAUCGUGACACUACAGAACUUUCCAUUUCUGAAAUCGGACUCGAAUUCACGGUUAAUUUCCAUUCGACGCGUUUUUAGCGUGACCUAAACUAUCGGGUAACUUUCAAAAAAUUUUAGUGCAAACGGUCGAUUUUCUUCAAGCCACAAUGAACCCACUCGACCCAUUGACGACUUUUGAUUGUCGUGAAAAUCUCGAGGAUUCAAAUACGGACAUAGGGUACCAAAACAAUAAGAAAAUCGGUCUAAUGCCGGUCAACGAGAAUUUUCUAAUUUAGUGGUGUCACCCAUGAUUAGACACACAUCUCAGUCGAACCGACCUAUCUCUGAUCUUGAAUCGAUUUUAUACUGUGCCGCAAUGGCCUCUAAAGAUAGACAUGGUCAAGAAGCCGAUCUCUAGUCGAAUUCUCAAGUCUAUUUGUCUUAAAAUCCUUAUUGGUUUCCCCAGAUAGUCUAGUUAUCUCAAGAAUGAUCAGUUCUGAGAACAACCCUAUAGACGCGUCAAUGAAAUGCCCGAUUUAUUCAAUUGAAAACAUGACUGAAAAUCUGGGAUGUCACAACACACGCUGGGAAUGGGUUCUCCUAACUUUUAACGUCUACCAACACACGUUGGGGAUGGGUUCUCUUAAGUUUCACACGAUUAUUAAGCAGUAUCUCUAGGUAUGUCACAAACCUACCUUAUAUCAUCAAAUGUGCAAUUUCCAGCAAGCAAAGCAUCAAGAACCAUCACAAAAUCAUAACCGGCCCUAACUGGUAGAAUAGGCCUACUCGCACGUCUCCAAGUUUAAAUCCAGAAAUCUAAUCAAACAAGUUCAAGAAAUUCCCAAAUUUGAAUAUGUUGUAAAGGACACACAAAAGAACAUUUUUUUAUGCAGACACCUUAACCCAGAUUCUUCUAGAUUCGGCCCAGUAAAUCACUCAAUCUAGUACAAAAAACUGUAUCCAUUUUCAGAAUUCUAUUUUACAAACUCAGUUUGGUUCGAGAUCCAAAACACGUCUGUUUGAUUAAAAAUUUGAUUAUGUUAAACUCAAAGAUGUGACAAACAACUUUUGUGAAGAAACCAUUUUGAAAUUCAAACCCUAAGAGUUGAUAAAAAUCCCUAGAAUCCAGAAAGGUCACCAGUUCCAGCAAAAACUGAGAUUCUGUUUGUAAAUGACGGAGUUGAUAUCUCUUUCUUUUGAACCCCUAAAAAUCUUGAAAAAAUAUAUAUUGUAUCUGAGGAUGUCUAAAACAUUUCUCAAGAAGACAUCAACCUCACAUUCGUAACACACUUCGGUCCACAAAAAUGGCAAACGGUGAGGAUCCAAAAACCAUAACUGUAGGAAUUUCACUAGAUUUGACUAAUCCAUCAUCAAUGAUACCAAUCUCACUAAUUAGAUUAACACUAAUCCAUUUUAAGGCUAAUCUAACCAUUCUAGAUUAUCACUAAUCCAUAUUUAAGCUAAUAUAAACAGCCCUUGAGCAUAAUUAAUCCACCAAGCAAGGUUUACUGAGUAAACUCACUUGUUCGACAAUCUGCUCAGAUCAAUACGACAAUGACGCGGCGGGGAGCGACAAACUCCAAAGCGGGUUUGCCAAACGGGGUGCGGAAGCGGUCCAAAGCGGGCCUCAAAGCUCCAAAACCCUUGCUGGUUUCUAGCUGUUGGUCUUUGUCGAAAAAGGGAGAACUGGUGGCUAGUUGAGUUGGAAACGAAGAGAAAGGGCUGCAACGGUGCUCGGCGGAACUUGGCAGGGCUUCACGGUGGCGGAGGGAGCUCUAGUGACGGCGAGACGAGCUUGACGACCUGUUGGUCGCAUGAACUGGAUGAGGACGACCCAGCUUUGGAUGACGAGAUGAGAACAGCUUGUGCGGGAUGCCCAGGCAAGCAUGGACGCACGAUGGCGGCUACUCGAGCUCCGGUGGGCAGCAGGGGUGUCCGGCGGCUUGUUGGCUGGCUUCUUAUGGGUUUGUGAGCUUCAAAUAGCAAAAUGGAGAGGGAGAGGGGGCUGGUCGACGGCAGCUAAGGGAGGGGAGAGAGAGGGAGGAAGGAGAAGAGAGGGGGCAAGGGGGGACCACUUGGUCUCUCCUAUCUCAAUUUGUCCCCUUGACUUGGCUCGUCUUGUUUGCUGUCUUCCACCACCAAUUUCCUGCUCUCAAACCCUUCUAGAAGCCCUUUUGAAAUAGUUCACAAGUCAUGGGUGUGGGGGCAUACGAAUUUCAAGUGAUUUCCCUCAAAUUGGGCACCAAAUCCUUCUUGAACCAACAUCAAUUGGUCCUAAAAAAUUCAACCAACAUAGCAACAAUCAAAUUGGCAUUUUUCCUCGCCAAUUGAACCCACUUGCAUCCUAAUUGCGUGAUAAAAACGGUCAUCUGAAUUUUCUAAACAAAAAUGACCCUACCUUGACUUUUUCUCAAAAAGUCUUGAUUUGCAUAAAAAUCUUUGGAGAUUGAGUCGACAUUCCUAAAAUAACUUAUGAUAUGACAUCACUUUUAAUUUUUGAAAUCAGAUUCAAAUUUGCGGUUAAUUUCAAUCUAACGCGAUUUUAUUGUGACCUAGGCUAUUGGGUAGCUUUCAAAAAAAAAUUAGUGCAAAUGACCCGUGGCCGAUUUUAUUCGAACCACAAUGUACCACUUCGACACAUUAGCAACUCUUAGUAGUCGUGAAAAUCUCAAGGUUUCAAUUACGAGCACAGGAUACCCAAAACGACAAAAAAUCGAUCUAAUGUCGAUCGAUGAGAAUUUUGCAAUCAUGUGGAAUUACCCACACAUUGAUCGCACAUCUCAGUCGAAUUGACCUAUCCCUGAUCUCUGGUCGAUUUUGACAAUGCCGUAAUGACCCUUGCAUACUAGUACGGUCGAGCAGUUGAUUUUUGGUCGAAUUCUCAAGUCUAUUGCAUUAAAAUCUCUUAAUGACUUCCCCAGAUAGUUUAGUUACCUCACGAGUGAUCGGCUUUGAGAAUAGCACUAUAAGCGCAUUGAUGAAAGGCCUGAUUUAUUCAAUUGAAAGCAAGACUGAAAAUCGAGGAUGUCACAACUCUUCCUCUCUUAUAAAAAUUUCGUCCUCGAAAUUUAAACCUUUACCAAUCUCAAUGAAAGGUGGGGGUAUCGUCUUUUCAUCGGGUUUCACUUUCUCACGUUGCUUCUUUAGUCUCGUGGUGUUGUUAGACCACUUUGACAAGGGGACCUUCUUGAUACACAGAAUCUGACAUUUCUGAACCACAAGCUGAACUGGGCUUUCCACGUACGACACUUUGUCGUCCAUGCCCAAUUCUUCCAGAUUUAGCACGUGGGUCGGGUUAAGCUCACACAUCCUCAACCUCGACACGUGAAAGACGUCAUGCACUUGCGCCUACUUCGACAGAAAUGCAAGACGAUAUGCUAGGAUCCCGAUUCCUUCUCUGGAAUCUCAAAGGGACCUACAUAUCUCGGUUUCAAUUUUCCCUCCUUGCUGAAGCGCAAGGUAUCCCUCAUUGGUGACACCUUCAGAAAGAUGUAAUCACCAAUUUGGAACUCUAAGGGCCUUUGAUGCUUAGCUAUACAACUUCUCUGGUACCUCUGAGCGAUCUUUAAUCCGUUUCUUAUCACGGAAACUGUAAUCAUUGACUGCUGAAUAGACUCUAGGCCUAUGAUCUCUCUCUUUCUCUGACCUCAUCUUAACAAACUGAAGUUCUGUACACUUUGCUCUGUCCUAUUUCAAAAGGAACCAUCUGACUGUUCUACUGAAACUAGGAAUCCUCGGGUCUACAUCUGAUAUAAAUUCAUCACUGGCACUCCAUGUAGACAAACUAUCUAACACGCAUACACUUCUAUAUGCCUAUUCAAAUCGAGAUCUUUUGAUACUACACUGAAGUGAGUCGGCUUCAUCAAUCUGUCGACCACUUACCAAAUGAAAUCAUUACCUCUUUGACUUCUUAGUGAGUUCAUCACAAAGUCCAUCAUGAUAUGCACUUAGUUCCACUCUGGGGUCUCGAGAGGUUGUAACAGUCCUCCCAGCUUACAAAGCUUUGCCUUGAUUUUAAUCUGAGCAUUCGGCUCAAUUCCGAGGAUGACUAUAAGAUUUGAAAUGUAGCCUACCUCAAAUUUGAAGACCGAAUUUCGAGCUUUCUUAAGUAAAGUCCAUUCCUUGACCACCAUCAGCGCAACUGAAGACUCCUGACUCAGCGCAUCAACUACCUCAUUCGCCUUCCCAGGGUGAUACUAAAUGUCACAAUCCUAGUCCUUCAGAACUUCUAAUUCACGACGCUGUCUCACAUUCAACUCCUUCCGAGAAAAUAAAUACUUGAGACUUUGAUGCUAUGUAAAGAUCUGGAAUCUUUUUCCCACAUAAAUAAUGUCUUCCAAUCUUUAGAGUGAAAAUAAUUGUUGCGAGUUCUAAGUUAUGCGUUGAGUAGUUCAGUUCAUGAGGUCUCAACUGAUGGCACGCGUAUGCAACAACUCUACCACGUUGCAUCAAGGCGCAACCCAGUCCUUUGAACGACGCAUCACUAUAGACCUCGUAUCCUCUAGGACUAGAUGGAAUGGUCAAUAGAGGUGCGAUAGUCAGCUUCUGCUUAAGCUCUUGGAAACUACACUCGUACUUGUCUGUCCACACAAACUUCUCUUCCUUCUUCAAUAGUCAAGUCAACUGCAAAGCUAAUGCUGGAAACCCUUCCAUGAACCUUCUGUAGUAUUCGGCUAAAUCCAAAAAGCUUCUGAUCUCUGACACUGACGUCAGUCUUGACCAAUUGAUAACUGCUUCGAUCUUCGUCGGGUCCACGAAGAUUUUUUCGCUUGAAAUCACGUGACCUAGGAAAGCACUUGUUGAACUUGACGUACAAUCCAUGAUCUCGCAAAGUCUCAAGUAUUGUCCUCAACUGUCUCUCGUGCUCCUCAACUGUCAUAUCCACGACAGUUCCCAAAUAACCUUGGCAACAAUUGUCUAGCAAACGGGUUGCCUCAAGUGACGAGAUUAAAGGGAUUGAGGGUACUCCUCGACUUCCAAUAAACUCGAAAUUUUCAUCUAUCUACGGAUUAAAUUGUAUCACAUUGCAGCAACAAUUCAUGACAACAAAAGCUCAUUGAGCCAAACCUUUUUAUAUAUGUAUCAAAGUUAUACAUAAGCGAACUAGUCAAGUACAACUAUAGUCGGUGCUUCUCCUUUCUAUGAUUUCAUUAUAACAACCGAGGUUCUAUAAAUUUAACCAAAAUUCCGCUGCGCCACUUUGAUAAAAUUGUUCUGAGGACACUGCCCUUCCUGUCCGGCACAUAACUCGAUUCAUCUUUGAGCUGGCGGCCUGUUCAAUCCACCAUGCAGUGCAUUCUACGGUGCAAUUCCUCGGUUUUGACCUAUCUGUGGCGGUGGCGGUAACUGUUGCAGUCCCAUCUGUCUUCGGGGACAAUUCCUAGCUAUGUGACCUUGCUGGCCUCAUUCAUAACAUGUACCCAUCUCAAAAUGGCAUGGGGUCGAUUCGUGUUGUUAUCCGCAGAAGUGACACAUGCCAUUCUAUCUUAGAGCUGACUUUCCGAUCCCACCCUUCCUAUUGAGUGGAAUAUGAUACAUUCCUCCAGACAUGGGUCUCUUCCCAAACCUAUUCCCAUCUCUGUUCGAUCCAAACCGUGACCCAUAUGUGGCAGCUCACUCAUUUAGACUUCUCUCUAACAGCUAGGCUCAAUUGUACACCUAGCGAUAGUCUUUUAGAUCCAACGGUACCAGUGAUUGUUUUAAUUCUAGCUAAAGGCCAUUCCUAAACCUUCGAGCUUUAUCCUCUAGAUCCUUGAUGAACCUUAGAGCAUACUAAGAGAGCUCUGCAAACUUGAUCUCGUAUUGGUCAACAGUCAUUGUCCCUUGACGGAGACGCUGGAAUUCUUUCAUUUUCUGUUCUCGGGCACUUCUCGAAAAUUAUUUGUCAUUGAAGGCUCUAAGGAAUGUGUCCCACAGGGAGACUAUUCCUCUCGGAAAUACUGUAUCUCUAACGGCUUUCCACCAGGUAUUUGCAUUACCCUGCAGUUGAUAUACUGUUAGGACAACUUUCUCCUCCUUAUUGCACCUCAGAAGUGCAAAAGCUUUGUCCAUAUCUUGAAUCCAAAGAGAUGCGGUCUCUGGUUCUCUAGUACCCGUGAACCUCAGCGGGUUCAGCUUCAGGAAUUGUUUCACCAACUUAUGGAUCGGCCACUCCCUAUCUACGAGUAUGUUCCCAGUUGGAACUUUGGCAAGUGUGGCGACAGGUGCGGCAGCGGCUGCGACCUCAGCAGCGACGGCAAUGACAGUAGUGCGGUAGCUUGAGCGGCGGCUGCAACGACGGCGGUAAAGGCGGCGACUUGGUUCUAGGCUUGUUGCCCCAUCAGAUCUCUCAUCGCCUCUAGCGGCUGCAUGAUCCCAACAGUUCCCGAAUUACCAGGUGCUACUACACCAGCACCGACUGGUGGCAAUGCUACGCCACUUGCGCUAGCUUGAGCUGGUGCUCUACCAUGACCUCCUCAGGUACUGACCCUCAUCAACGUCUUACCCCGAGUUACAGGACCAAUGGUACGCUUCCUAGGAGUCCUCUGCUCCCGAUCACUCAUAAUUUAGCAUUUCUGCAAAACUUGUUCCCAAUUCCAUACAGAAUUAGAAACUGAGUGAUCCACACAAACAAACAAUUCUACCAACCAGUUAUCAUAGACAUGCACCAGCAUGAAAUAAAGAUCAAUCUUACUAACUAUCCCAAGGACCUAUCGCACCUUAUCACUCCAUAGAAAAAACUAAGCUCUAAUACCACUUAAAUGGGGAUGUCACGUCCCGAUCCUCGAGCAAGUGCUCAUCUCUCAGUGGUCAAUAAAAAUUUUGCGACUUCCUAGGAUGAGUCACUGACCCUUUCAUUUUAUUUCACAUGCAGAAGCGAAUAACAAAUCCCCUGACAGUAACCAUCUUGGGAUAAAAAAGCAGGCGAUCAAAUUCAAAAACAAACAUGCUUUUAAAUACACAUCGAGUCAAAUACAAAAUUCUACAGUCACAAGACUUCAAAUGAUUGACUCUAAAAAAGAAACUAUCCUAUCUGACCUACACUUCAUAUCACCUCAGCUCGUCUCCAGGUCUUCCAUCCUACGAUCCUGAAAAAUGAAGCCCAUGAGAGGGUGAGAUAUAAAUCUCAGCGAGUUCACGCUAUAAACCCCAAUUAAGAGGGUAAUACAUCUAGGGCGUCUUAACCACACAAUCAUACAAUCACAAAAACUUACCUUGUCCCAGAUCCUCCUUGCAGAUCAGCACAGUUCAUAUCAAAAUCAUGUGUAUAUAGCAAAUUCACACACAAUUUAGAACGUCCAAACCAAUCAUUACGCACACGAGCAAGAAUCACAAUUUAAUCACUGCUCACACGAGCAAGAACUACUGAUACACAUCAAAGCAAGAAUUAACGACAUACGUCGAUCCAUCAAUUCAACUCAACAUGCGUUCCAAUUAAUUAAUUAAUACUACCCACAUGAGCAGUUUUACCCAACACACGCUAGGGAAGAAUAAUAACUACCGACACAUGCCGGACAAUAAUAAUAACUACCAACACACGCCAGGGUUAGGUAAUAUCCAUCAACACAAGCCAGGGAAGAAUAAUAUCUACCGACACACGCCGGGGUUAGGUAAUAUCCACCGAUACACGUCAGGGAACAAUAAUAACCAUCAACAAAUGCCGGGGUCAGAUAAUAUCCACCAACACAUGCCGGGGAAGAAUAAUAUCCAUAUUUAAGCCAAUCAAAAUAGCCCUUAAGCAUAAUUAACCUACUAAGCAAUGUUUAGUGAGUAAACUCACUUGUUCGACGAUCCGCUUAGAUCAAAACGAUGGGGACGCGGCAAGGAGCGACAAACUCCAAAGUGGGCUUGCCAAACGGAGUGCGGAAGCUGUCUAAAGCAGGCCUCAACACUCCAAAACCCUUGCUGGUUUCUAGCUGCUGAUCUUAGCUGAAAAAGGGAGAACUGGUGGCUAGUUGAGUUGGAAAUGAAGAGAAAGGACUGCAGCAGUGCUCUAUGGAGCUUGGCAAGGCUUCACAGUGGCGGAGGGAGCUCUAACGACGGCGAGAUGAGCUCAACAACUUGCUGGUCGCACGAACUAGACGAGGACGACGCAGCUCUGGAUGGCAAGACGGGAACGGCUUGCGUGGGACGCGCGAGCAAGCAUGGACAUGCGACAGCGGUUGCUUGGGCUUCGGUGGGCGGUAGGGGUGUCCGACUGCUUGUUGGCUAGCUUCUUCUGGGUUUGUGAGCUUCAAACAGCAAAAUAGAGAGGGAGAGGGGGUCGAUCAACAGUAGCUAGGGGGGAGGGAGGAACGAGAAGAGAGGGGGCAAAGAGGGACCACUUGGUCUCUCUUAUCUCAAUUUGUCCCUUGACUUGGCCCACCUUGUGUGCUGUCUUCCACCACCAAUUUCUAGCCCUCAAACCCUUCUAAAAGCCCUUUUGAAAUGGUCCACAAGUCAUGGGUGUGGGGGCAUACGAAUUUCAAGUGAUUUCCCUCAAAUUGGGCACCAAAUCCUUCUUGAACCAACAUCAAUUGGUCCCAAAAAAUUCAACCAACAUAACAACAAUCAAAUUGGCAUUUUUCCUCGCGAAUUGAACCUACUUGCAUCCUAAUUGCGCGAUCAAAAAUGGUCCUCUAAAUUUUUUGGACAAAAAGAACUCUACCUCGACUUUUUCCCAAAAAGUCUCGGUUUCAGAGAAAUCUUCAGAGACUAAGUCGACGUUCCCAAAGUGACUUGUGACAUGACAUAACUUUCAAUUUUUGAAAUCAAAUUCAAAUUCGCAGUUAAUCUCAAUCCAAUGCGAUUUUAUCAUGACCCGUGGUUGAUUUUCUUCAAACAACAAUGUACCACUUCGACACAUCGGCAACUCUCGGUGGUCGUAAAAAUCUCAAGGUUUCAAUUACGGGCACAAGGUACCCAAAACGACGGAAAAUCGGUCUAGUGCCGAUCAAUGAGAAUUUUGCAAUCAGCUGGAAUCACCCACACAUUGAUCACACAUCUCAAUCCAAUCGACCUAUCCCUGAUCUCUGAUCGAUUUGACAAUACCGUAAUGACCCUUGCAAACUAGCACAGUCGAGCAGUCGAUUUCUGGUCGAAUUCUCAAGUCCAUUUUAUUAAAAUCUCUUAAUGACUUCCCUAGAUAGUUUAGUUAGCUCACAAGUGAUUAGCUCUAAGAAUAGCACUAUAGAUACGUCAAUGAAAUGCCCGAUUUAUUCAAUUGAAAACUGGAUUGAAAAUCAAUGAUAUCAUACUUGACAUGUAGGCAAGCUCAGCCGCCCUUAAAUGAGAGAGAGAGAGAGAGAGAGAGAGAGAGAGAGAGAGAGAGAGAGAGAGAGAGAGAGAGAGAGAGUGUGUGUGUGUGUGUGUCAUGUCCCAAAUCUCCGAGUGCGUGAACAUCCCUCAAUGUUAGAUUAAAUUGCAAUGUCCUAGAACGCAUCGCUGACCCUUUUUUUUUUUCUCUUUCGGUUAAAUGUAAGUGAAAGCAAUUUAUAUAACCACCUAAUCAACGAGUAGAGAAUAGGGAUAGCAAGGCACAACAAAUAAUUUCCAAAAACAGCACAUUUAUUUAUCCACUUGUUAAUCCUAUGAAGUUUGAUAUUUACAAGUCUACCUCAAAAGACAACUUCCUAUUGACCUAUAGGCAAAAAAGGUCUGAAAGGGUGGGGGUUAGCUUAAGCUCUUCAAGGGUAGUAGUCGUGAAAUUUUCGGGGGUCACAGUCAGGUCCAUCCUCGGGGAGGAACUCCACCUCGGGUUCAUAGUCAAGGGGGUACUCCUCUGCCUUUGACUCAGACUUCGAAUCCACAAUGACACCAUCAGGGAUGUCAAUGUCCAUGAGGUCCCAGUCUUGUGUCCCCACACUCUCGACAAGUGGUCCAUCAAAACUAUGAGGUAGACCGGUAUGAACACCAUCCUCCUUAACAAACCAUGCCUUGAACCUGUGGGCACCUAGGCAAUCAACCCCUCAUCUCCCCAAUGGUCGUAACCACUAGCUUAUGGACACUGUUGGUCCCCGGAACGGGGUCAUAUGCGAGUCCUUGUGCAUGGGGACCCCAAAACAUACAAGGUAGCACUCCAUACUAAGGAUCUGAAAAAUAAUCAACAACAAAAGGGUGAGAUAAAAAUCUCAACGAGUUAGCAGCCUAAGCCUUGACGAGGACGCAAAUUCAUCUCGGAGGUAGCUUAAACGCGCACGAUAUACAAACUUACACCGCCUUGACACACCCAUGCACAUUAUUACAUCACAUAUGGCAAUAUCAUUGCAACAAGCAUAAAUAAUAAUUAUAACACAUUCCAUAAUAUCCAGGCACACUGCCAAACACACGUAUUUUGAUUAUAUGACCCUUUGAGCCACAGCCAACACAAGAGUCAGCGGUCUUCUGGCAUGACCAGGCAUUGUCCCGUCCCAUUGGGCAUGGCAUCGUCUAGAACCCCCCUUAGACGGCAUUUCCUAAGGAACAUCAAUAUGUCCUUAAUUGCGACUCAACAUCCCAACCCCUAUCAGGCAUUUGAUAAACAUCGGGCAUCACCCCCAAACUCCCGUUGGGUGAUGAGUUCUAUUAAGUGAUCACUUAAGCAUGCCAACAUUCAAGCCAAUUUUAUUUGCCAUCAAUCAGCCCAACGUAAAAGAAUACGUGCUCAAAUAACAAGUUUCACAAUUUUUACUCUUAAAAUUACGGUAAAAUAUUUACAUGUGGUCAUGUACUUAAAAUCAACCCGCUAAAUUUUACAUGUUUUCAUUUUAAAACCCCAUUGUCCCAUUUAACAUGUAAAAUAUGGCAUCCAAACAUGACACCUCAAAGUUUGCUAUUUUUUUACCGAGAAACUCUCUUUGGAAAAAAAAAAUAGCAUUUAAGAUGCAUGAGUUGAGCAAUCAAACAUCAUGACAUCACAAGCUCAAACAAUCAAAAUUAAGUAUAAAUUCAUCCAAUAAAACGAGUAUAAAAUUCUACUUAAUGACUAAUCUGUCAUUAAUUUUCUCUAAUCGCGAUUAAUUAAGCUAAUUGCGAUUAAUUAGGCUACCCACGGUUAAUCAAACUAACCAUGCUUUAUUAAUCUAACCGCGAUAAUUAAACUAACUAUGAUUAAUUAAGACUAACCAUCAUUGAUUAAUCUAACUGUAAUCAACUAAACUUAUAGCACUUAACUUUAAUAUGAACCAUCCUUAAUUAUAAUUAAGGCUAAACCAUACUUAUUUAUCAUUAAACACCAUUAGUCUAAACUAAACCUACCCCUAAACGCAAUGAACUACCUAAUCAAGAAUUAGGAGUUCACUCAUGAUUUUCUGAUGGCAACGGAUUCAUAGCGACGGCGGUGUGACGGUGUUGACACCUAAAUUUUUGCACAAUUUUUGGGUUAAUUUUUACUAAAAUAAAAAAAAAAACACAUGGCAUAUAGUUUAGAAGCAUUUUAUUUUCGUUUUUUUAUUUUAUUUUAGGCUGCCGGUGAAGGGAAGAUUUUUCACAUAUUCUGUUCAAACUUUUCAUAUUUANNNNNNNNNNNNNNNNNNNNNNNNNNNNNNNNNNNNNNNNNNNNNNNNNNNNNNNNNNNNNNNNNNNNNNNNNNNNNNNNNNNNNNNNNNNNNNNNNNNNUUUUAGGGGGGGCGGGAGGACGGGGAGAGAGAUAUUUUGAGAUUUUCUCUAAAAUCAUCAUUUCUCGCACCCACUUUCCUCAAAACUCUCUAGCCUAGCUCUUUACUCUCUUUAUUCUUUUUGUUUUCCUUUUUCUCUAAAGCCAAGAUUUUGGCUAAAAUUCACAACUUUGCCAUUGGGUCUAGUUCCCUUUCUGGCUUCUAAUUUUUGCCUGACAAUUCCUUUUUCGAAAAAUUUUAUACUUGCCGAUAAUUUGAUGAACAAUGAGGCAACAUCCAAUAAGUCAAUCUUGAAAUUCUUGAAAGUUCGAUACUCGAAAUCGAAUUAAAUUUUAUGGUUAAAAUCAAUUCAAUGCGACUUUAGUACAAUCUAAAUUAUUGGAUGGCUUUUAGGGGUUUUCAUGCAGUUGAACUGUGGUCGAUAAUUUUUUUUUUUUUGUGAAAAUAUGAUAUUUUUAAAGAAAUUCAAUUGAUGAAUUGUAAGGAAUCAACUUAUUGGUCUUUUAUCCACGUUUGUGCCUCCUCAAAUAGUGGAUGACCAUCAGUUGUCAUGUAAUCGCGAGGGUUCAAUUAUGUGCCUUGAGUACAAGAUCAAUAGGAAAUCAGUUUAUCGUCAUUCAACAUGAGUAUCAUAAUUGUACAAAACCACCUGCAAACCGAUUACGUACUUCUAUCGAAUCGAUUUAUAUUAGUUCGCUAAUUGACUUAGAACAUCGUAGAAUUGACCAUUGUCCAUCCUUGUGGUCAAGCGGUAGAUCCCUGAUUGAAUUCUCUAGUUUUUUGCAUUUUAACCAUUUUAUGAGUGAUCAGUUCGGGGUAAAAUAACUAUCAGUGCAUUGAUGAAAUAAUUGUUUCAUAUAUUUUGAACUGAGCCAAAUUUUGAGAUAUCAAAGAGAGAGAGAGAGAGAGAGAGAGAGAGAGAGAGAGCUAUACGAAAGUAGGGACAUCGACCGGCAUUGAAGCAAUAUGAGAGAGAGGGCGAACGGAGUGUGACACGAUCCCUUGUCAACACCAACAGUAAAUUGUGAAGCGAAGAAGGUCACUAUUUAUAUUGGUGGUGGAGAACAUUAAUGACAUAAGCCACGCAUGGUUGUAAGGAGGCUCGGCAAGGGGCGGAGACAAACUGGAGGCAGAAAAAAGAUUAGCGUUGUGUUCUUGAGGAGUGAUUGGGGAAGGUGUACAAUUAACAAGAGAGACUCAUGUCUUGAUCUAGUCAUUGGAGACAGCAGAUAAGUACACCAAUAGUACAAUGGAUCUGCAUCCAAUGACAUAGAUGUGGCGCAAAAUACAUAACAUCACAAUAUAGUGACGACAACGCUGAGCAAACAAAAUUGACUCACAGUAUGGAUGGAAUAGGCUAUAUUAGGGCAAAUGCUCGUGAGAUAUAUACUAAAUUGUAGGUUAACUAUCAAUAGUGUAACAAUUCACGGUAGAAUGCCAUCAGGAAGCUCAAGUUUGGCAUUAGGAUCAUAAUCAGAGGCGGCCUAAAAACAUCAUGAAUUGAGAUCAGAAGAGGAACAAUUUAAUGUUGAUAUCAAGUUGGAAUGUGAGAGAAUAUUGAAUUGUGUAUUGCUCGAUUGAAAAAUAUAUUACACUGGAGGGGUAUUUGUAUCUAGGAUGAUAUACACAAGGGAAGUAAUCUAUUAUGGGGUGUUUAACUCCAAACCAUCGGCAGAUCCAUGAAUCACUGCUUGUAAAAAGCCCUUCCCCUUAUAUCAUGAAGCAUAAAAGUCGAAAGAACACUUUGUUCUCAUGCAUCCUUUCAUUACAAAAGCAGAUAAUCAAUUGAUGAUCAAGAACACUUGAAUCUACAAAAGCCAUUUCAAACAUUGGCAAAAUAUUGCUGAUUUUCUAGUAAUAAUCUACUUAAAUUGCUCUUAUGAGCAACAUUUAUACAUCCAUAUUUUCCUAAACUAGCUCAUGAAUCACAUCAAGCUAGUCGUUUUUAUUUUCCUUUUAUUUUUUAUGUCACUCCUAUGAUGCAUAUAACAAUAGCCAUAGGUAAGCUUGUCACUCUAAAAGCCUUUCCUAGUAUGGAAGUUGUCCUUUAUAGUUGCUUGGAAGAUCGUAGUUGCACCCAAUGCACCACCACCCGUUGUUACACUGAACCUUAGCACACUCGACUCAAAUUGAGUCGUGCCAAACCAUCUAAGUGUAGUGCAAACAAUCGCACCCGCUCGCGCAAGUGUUGGUGUUGUAAUUGCAGUUCUGCUUCUCUGCGACCCACAAGCUAAUGGCAUAGGUGCCAGUGAACGUGCUGGUGCCCUUGGCAAGGUUCUUGCCAUAGGGUCCAUUGGAGUGCAUGAGGCUGCAAUCAUCGACCCGUUGGUUCACAUAGCUAUGGGUGUAGGCAGCAAGCGUGUUGUCCCAUGUCAUGUUCGCCACGCCAACUUGCUUCUAAGCGGCAUUGUGAGAGUGAAGAUAGUCUUGGGGUGAGUUUUGGACAUGAAUAGGUUGAAAGAGAGAAAUGAAGACAAGAGAGAUGAUCAUGGUUAGAGGAUUCAUGAUGCUCAAGGAAUUAGCUCAUGUUGGUUCAAGGUUAUAUUUUUUGUGAUCAGUUAUGCUAUUUAUAGAAAAAUAUUUUCAAGGCUUCAACUUACCAUGUGCAAUGAACUUAUCGGGGAACAUCCCCUUUGGACAGUGCAACUUUGCAUUCAAAUCCCAUUUGAUCUGAAAUGAUAAACUAGUAACUGGUGCAUGAGGAAGCAGUUUUGCAUGUUCUUCCUUACCUCAAAUGGAAGUAAAGUAAAAGGCUUAAAAGUUCUCACGAGAGAAAUACUGUGUACAAUACUCAUUUUAGCAUUAAAAGUUUUCACUGGAUCAUUUAAAUGCCUCCGACGAUCAAAAUAUAUACAUGACAUUUAUAAUUAAAAUUUUAAUAUGAGUUGACAUUUAAAAAAAAAAGUACCGGUUUCUAUGGCAUUGCCAUAUGUACAUUUCUCCGCGUCUCCCUCCACUUCAUUUGUUUUUUCUUUUUUUCUUUUUUUUCUUCUCUUUUCUCCCUUAUGCACCCUCAUUGCUUCACACUGUACAUGGACUUCUCAGCUACAACUCAUCAACGCUCACCCAUCACCACCCAAACCUACGAGCUUCGCCACAACCUCAACAAACAACACCAAGAAUCGAUGAACGACACCUGUGACGGGUUGGAGAGAAGGGGCGAGGAAUAACAUGGUUCAGAUCUGUGAGAAGAGUGUUGUUCAAUCAAGAUUGCUUGGUUUCAUCAAAUUAGAAAGCCACGAAGAACGUCCAGCAAUCAAUGAACGCCUAGGUUGGACGAAAAACCAAGAACAAGCACGCGAACCUCACCCAAACAUGUCAUCGAAAAUCUAAGGUACAACAACUGGAAAGCAUUCGGGCCGCAAAUUCAGACUAGAACCAAGCAUAAUCAGAAAACAACACUAGGACACAGAGAAAGGAAUGAGCAGGCCCAAAACGCAUGCAGACCGGGGCCGGUGAGCCUCGUUACGUCGAAUCGAUAAGACAGGGGAAAACAAGCUUGGGCGUAACUUGUGAAAGGAAAGUUGCCAGAAGCGAUUGCUAGGUAGAUCGGAACAAAACAGCUCCAGAAACCGCCUCGAGGGACUUGGCCGGUGAAGAAGGCAACACCAACCACGAUUCGAACUCGCCGAGAAUGGAUCCGACUGAUCCUCCGGUUUGCAGCUUUUCAGCGAAUCGACUCUGUUAACGGCGGAUUUUGAGGUGGUUUUGAUGAAUUGGCCAGACAAGAAGCCAGAGAGCAAUUCCCUGCUGUCCUUCCCUUUUCCCUCUGCAUCCCCUUUCUAUCAAUUGUUUAGCAAGAAAUUAAUUUUUCUUGCUGAACGAAGUCGUUUUGGGUCAUGCAGACAAGUGAAACUUGUUAGACGUCAUCGUUUUGAGCUUUUUAUGCUGAAUCAGGCCGCCCGCAAGCCACACGGUGGAAAAAGUAUCAAAAUUUUGUCACGUCAAAUUUCCAGCACUCGAGAUCAAAGUUGACACUUAAAUAAUUAUUUUUUAUUUAAGUGUCAAUUAAGUGAUCUAAAGAAAAAAAAAAUUGACAUUGAGGUGAGCAUCGUACAUAACUUUUGGCACUUUUAGUGUACUUCUCUCUCCUCCCACUCCUAGCAAUGGCCCCCAUCGAGACAUCGACGAGCUAUAACCAACCCUCGACACCUUGAUGCUGUUGAGAUUGCAGCGAGCAUCUAGAUCUGGAGGUGCAUCCUCCUUAUCUAGAGACUCAACCCCUCCACUCUAGAUCUAGAGGUAGCGAGAUCCGGAUCCAUCGCCCUCAGCAGGCAGGUGGUCGCCGUUGCCCUUUGAUUUAUUGCUUAACAUAUCAAUCUUCCAUAAAAAAAAAUAAAAAAAAAAGAUAAAAUAUAUGAAUCAUUCUUUAAUGUCUCUGCCAUUUUCCUUAUUUUAAGCUAUCUAACAGGUACAUGUACUUCUUUUUUGUCUCAAUUAAGUUAUCAUCCACUUGUUUUUAAAUUAAUACAAACAUGUUGUUUCUUUCCUCGAAUGGAAGUUAAGUAAAAGACUUAAAGCGAAGUUUGAAGUUUCAGCAAGUUUGAUGCAGUAAUCAAAGUAUAAUGUUAGACGUUAUUUGGAGUAAUGCUAAAGACAUUGAAAUUAGUGCAUGAAAUUAAAUUAUUAGGGGAUAUAAAAAACUUUAUCCAGGUGUGAUGAGCAAACAGGUCUCUCUCUCUACGCCAUUCAAAAGCCACCACCAACUCGUCAUCGUAUCCAUCUUUAAGUUCCACCAUCCACCUUCAACCAGACUUACGAUCUCCAACGUCCCCCACCUUAAAACAAUACGUCACUAUCCUCCCAUAGGAGAAAUACAUCAUAUAUAGAGAUGGCAAAAUGGGUCUUAGAUCCAUAUGACCCAUUUAAAUCAUAAAUGGGUCAUAUAUGAGUCACUUGUUUUUUGACAAAAAGUAGUUAGAUGGGUUUAACAAUUAAAAACUUUGAUAGGUGGGUCUUAAGUGGGUCUUAAAUAAAUUAGAUUUAUAACCCAUUUUGUGACAGCCCAAGCGACGGUGCAUAGGGAGAAGGGAUGGCAAUGCGUCCGCAUCUCGGUCCCUGGACGUGCGCAAGGAAAGGGAAGGGGUCCCUCUUUAGUCCCACAUCGCUUAGGGGGGAGUCCUAGGCUAGUUUAUAAGACUUAGGUCCCUCUAAUCUAUGUAACGUUUAAAGCCGUGAGGACUCAGUGUCCAAAGUGGACAAUAUUACACAGUGGGCCCGGGUCGUUACAAAUGGUAUCAGAGCUAACUCUUGACCGACCGUGUGUGAGGCCACAAUGAGGACACUAUGCUCCUAAGGGGUGGAGAGUGUGACAGCUCAAGUAACGGUGCGCGGGGAGGAGGGAUGGCAGUGUGUCCACACCUCGGUCCCCAGACGUGUGCAAGGAAGGCAAAUGCUCCUAAGGGGUGGAAAGUGUGACAGCCCAAGCGACGGUGCACGGGGAGGAGGGGGGAGUAGGGAUGGUGGUGCGUCCACGCCUCGGUUCCCAGACGUGCGCAGGGAAGGCGAAUGCUCCUAACAGGUGGAGAGUGUGACAGCCCAAGCAAUAGUGUGCGGGGAGGAAGGAUGGCGGUGCGUCCACGCCUCGGUCCCCAGACGUGCGCAGGGAAGGCGAAGGGAGUCCUAAGCUAAUUUAUAAGACUUGGGUCCCUCUAAUCUGUGUAACGUGUUUUAAAGUCAUGAGGACUCAGUGUCCAAAGCGAACAAUAUUACACAGUGGGGCCCGGGUCGUUACACAUUUUUAAGCAAAACCUCACAAUCUUUCUCUUCGCCUUCUAACUUUACAAAAAUAUUUUUUUUUGUAAUAUCUGCGAAGAGAAAUUCUGACUAAAAUAUAUAUGUGGCAUUUAUAAAUAAAAUUUUAAUAUGAGCUGGCAUUUAAAAAAAAAAGCCUACGUGGCAUUUUCAUUUGUACAUUUCUCCUCAUCUCCCUCCACGUCAUUUUUUUUUUCUUUUUUUCUAUUUGUUUCUUCUCUUUUCUCCCUUGUGCACCCUCACUACUUCACGUUGUAAAUGGACUCCUCGACCCCAACUUCAUCGACGCUCACCCAUCACCGCCCAAACCUCCGAGCUGCGCCACAACCUCAACAAACGACACCAAGAAUCAAUGAAUGAUAUGGUCCAGGCAAGGAACGAGAUGGUUCAGAUCUAUGAAAGGAGUCUUGUCCAGUCAAGAUCGCUUGGUUUCAUCGAAUUAGAAAGCCAUGAAGCAUAUCCAGCAAUCAAUGAAUGCCCAGGUUGGACAGAAAACCAAGAACUAGCGAGCGAACCUCUCCCAGACAUUUUAUCGAACACCUAAGGGUACAACAACCAGAAAGCAUUCAGGCGCUCCAAUUCAUGCCAGAACCAACCAUAACCAGAAAACAACACUAGGAAUACACAGAGAAAGGAAUGAGCAGGCUCAGAAUGCGCGAAACUGGGGCCAGCAAGCCCCAUUCCAUCUAUUCGACAAAACAGGGGAAAACGAGCUUAGGCGUAUCCUAUGAAAGGAAAGUUGCUGGACGCGAUUGCUAGGUAGAUCGGAACAAAAUUGGCUCUAGAAACCGCCUUGAGGGACUUGGCUGGUGAAAGAGGCAACACUAACCGCAAUUUGAACUCGUCGAGAAUGGAUCCAACCGAGCCUCUAGCUUGUAGUAGGGUUUUUCAAUGAAUCGGCUUCAUUAACAGCGGAUUUUGAGGUGGCUUUGAUGAAUUUCCCAGAUAAGAAGCCAGAGAGAAAUUCCCUGCUGUGCUCCCUUUUCCUGUUCAUCCCCUUUCCGUCGAUUGUUCAACAAGAAAUUGAUUUUUCUUGUCGGACAAAGUCGUUUUGGGUCAUGCAGGCAAGUGAAACUUCGUAAAUGAAGUCGAGCUUUUUAUGCUAAGUCAAACCUCUUGCGAGCCACGUCAGUAGAAAAAAUAUUAAAAUAUUACCAUACCAAAUUUCUAGCAUUCGAGAUUGGAAUUGAUACUUAAAUAAUUGUUUUAUUUUUUUAAAAGUGUCACAUGAGUGAAUUUUUUUUUUUUAAUUUGACACUAAAAUAAACGUUGUAUACAACUUUUGACACUUCUAGUGUACUUUUCCCUUCUCCCACUCCUUGCAAUGGCUGCCCUUGAGACAUCAACGAGUCCUAACCAGCCCUUGAAGCCUUGAUGCUAUCGAUGUUGCGGCAAGCGUGCAGAUCUGGAGGUGUACCCUCCUUAUCUAGAGACUCAAUCCCUUCACUCCAAGUCUAGAGGAAGUGGGAUCCGGAUCCGUCAUCCUCAGCGGGCAAGUGGUCACCAUUGCCCAUUGGUGUGGUAAUAUUUAAAAUAAGUCAGACAAGUGACACGAUCUCGUAGAAGCGACGGGCGAUGGAUACAUAAAUGGAGGCAACAUAUUGCUCAAUAAAUCAAUCUUCCAUAAAAAGAUAAAAUUUAUAAAUCAUUCAUUAGUGUCUCCGCCAUUUUCCUUAAUUUAAGCUAUCUGACAUGUACGGGUACUUCUCUUUUGUCUCAAUUAAGUUAUCAUCCAAUUGUUCUUUAAUGAAUCCACGCAAGAAAACCAUAUAAUUUGCGUUUAUUAUUUUAUGCAGCCACCUUUACGGUUUUCCAAUUGGCAUGGAUGCGAAGGGCACGCCCUCACAUCCCCACUUGCCAUUGAACGGUUGGAUGUGCAUCCUGUAUUAGUCUAUCACUCCAUGUAUAAGUCUUAUAAUAUAGAAAUUAUUAUAGUUGGAGAUAUGUAAUAAAUUGAAUCUGAAUUGUAGAAAAUGUUUGGGUCAUAUGUAAGUCACACCUAGAUCUUAUCAAAUUCGACAGUUGAAUAGCAUUAACAUCUUUACAAAGACCUAGCAAAUGACAUAAUACAUAUAGAUCAGGAUACUUUUCUCAAACAUUUAUGCACAUGUGCAAAGAGGCAGUACUAACUUUAUUCGAUAAUUUCCAAAGCCUCCACUUCAAGAUCCAUAAAACAAUAUUUAUCAUUUAGCAAUUGGUGUUUUCUUUUUUCCCUCACGGCAAAAGAUGACAAAAUGAAUGAAGACUGAUUCAUUGAGAAAAUACGAAAACGCAUAUUGUCUGAGUUGCUAAUAAAUCAUGGAAGUUAAGAAGCUCAUGAAAAAGUGGAGCCGAUUGACAAGAGAUGGUGUACCAAAAAAUUCAAUAUCUAGGGAGGAAAAUCCAAGAGUAUACAGAAGAAAAAAAACAAAAAGGAAGAAGACAAGCUCCUGCUGUCACGCCCCGAUCCUCGAGCGCGCGCUCAUCCCUCACUUGAUCGAUUAAUAGCGACAUCCCAGGACGCAUCGCUGAUCCUUUCAUUUUAAUACGCAUGCAAAAGCAUAUAAAAUAAUCCCUAGACAAUAAAACAAUGAGAUAGAAAAGUAUGGCCAUAUUUUUCAAACCUGAAAAACCACAACCACACUUUUAUACAAAGCAAACCUCAUAGUAUAUAUUGCAAUACUAUUACCAAGUUAGAUCUAUGACACAUCAUUACAACUUAGAGUUCACAAAAUAGGGUGGGGAGUUUCAAUCCUCAUCCGGGUCACACUCUGGAUCCUCUUCUGAAUCUUCCUCUGACUCCUCCUCCGGUUCCCCUUCAGGGUCCUCCUCCUACUCAACAAUCUCCCAUUCCUCUUCGCUCCAGCUGGAGUCCACGGGAGUAUCAGGGUCACCCUUGACCUUAGGGUUUUUUGCAUCGAGCACCACUCCGUUCUUGGGAUCUGCAGUCCCCUUUCCGAAUGCUGCCUCUAAGACGUACAAAAGCAUGUCACCUUCUGCUAUGGGACCCUCUCUUCGCCCAUCAUGGUAGUGACGAUACCACGACCGAUACUCGUGGGGUACCAAGCCGUCUCUACCGACAUCAACCUAGAUGUUGGACUUCACCAGUACAUAUUAUAAUCCUUUAGGGUGGGGGUUUAUCGGGAAGUGGUAUCCUAUCUCGGUGAUCCCUUCAAGUAUACCGAAAUGCAUGGGAGGACGAUGAGGUGGAGGUGCUGCCAUCUAGGGACCUAAAAUGUUGUCCUACAACAGAGUGAGACUAUGUCUCAGCAAGUUCUACCCCCUAAGACCCGAUUAGGAAGCCAAUACACUUUAGAGGCUGCCUAAGCACAACACGAAUCAGAGAGCUUACCUUGGCCUUAGUUCCAUCCUGCAAAUCAAUGUCAUUUACAGAUAACUCAAAUCACAACAACUAAUCAAUUCACAGUAUCAGAUCAAAUCAUUAAUUAAUCGACCUAGUCAAUUACAUGUCACCAUGACCUUCCCCCGGUCGAUACUUCAAUACUAUCUAUAAGUCCACCAUAAUAGGAAUGCUCGCUCUACGCUGAUAAAUAGUAUACUGCUCUCACUAAGCUGACAUAUCAAACCUUUGAGUUGAUAUAAUAUACUAAUAAUGCUCUCUCUAAGCUGAUCAUAAUACACUUGUUAAGUUGAUUAGGUAUACUGCUCUUGCUAAGCUGACAUAUCAGAGCCCGUAGGUUGAUAUAGCAUACUAGUAUACUGCUCACAAUCUAAGCUGACAUAUCACCUGUAAGCUGAUAUAGUAUACCAUCCCGACCAUUCAAUCAAUUCAUCAUUUUUAUCAUACCUGAUAAAAAUAAUCGUAUAUGGGUGCACGGUCGGCCUUAACCAAAAUAUAAUAAUUUCACUUUUUGAACAUCCAACCAGUUUCAAUAGCCCAUAAUAUAUUUUUGGCACUGUAAACUGACGCACGGUAAUUUUCCCAUUAAUUACCAAAAUUAAUUAAUUUAAGAAUAAAAUCCUAAAACUACAAUUAAUUCAAUUCAGCACAAUUUAAUGCUCAAAUAAAUAAACAGAUCACAUCAUCACGAUCUGCAUAAAAUUUCGAUCGUCAACUACCUCAGCCUAAUUUCUAGAAAUUAAAUAAUAAAUUAAAUAAUUACGAAAAAUAUUAAAUAAAUGAAAUAAAUCCAAUUUAGGCCCAUAAUGCCUAAUUAGACGCCGAAACGGAUUCAGAAAAUUUCCAAGAUUUGUUCAAUAAAUACUAUAGACUAUUCACUAGUUAAUAGCAUUAACCAUUUGCCUAACAUGCAUUGAUAAGGCACUAAUUUAAUUGCUCUACUCUAAUCUAUCCACCUAUUCAUACCUAAUUAAAUCUAAACAACCCCUAAGCAUCAUUAACCGACUAAGCAGGGAUUAGUGAGUAAAACCCACUUGUUUAACGAGUGGUUCGGUGCAAAACGACGGGAACGUAGCGGGACUCGACUUUCCUCAAGGCGGGCCUAGCAACCGAGGCUCGAGACUACCUCAAAACGGGCCUAGAACUUGCUGGAAAACCCACAAAAUCAGCCCCUCUUUUGAGUUGCAAAAUAGAGUAAACAAGCUAGUUAUUGCAAAGCAAGAUUGGUGGAGGCCGCUAGGGUGUUUGGCGGUUUGAACGGCGACUCCGGCUGGCUUCUUCAGCCACUCACGGUGACUAGCACAACUGGACAACGACCCUGGAUGCACAUACAAGGUUGCUGGACGAUGGUGAGGCGCGGCAAGGUGCGACAGUGCACGUGCGCGCGAGGAGGGCGAACCAUGGAGGCAGUGGCGUCGUGCGGCUCCAGUUGCUGCUAGAUGCUUCUAGCGACUUCCUCUGGCUCUUAGGGGUUCGAACAGUAAGGAUGGAGGGGAAGGAAGGCUGGCUGGUUGGCUUGGAGAGGAAGAGAGAGAGAGAGAGAGAUGGAGGCAAAAGGGGGAACACCAUGGCCAAUUUUUCCAAUGAAAUGUUCCCUUGACCCAUCCCUAGCCAAGGCUUCCUUCCUUGGCUGUGAUUCAGCCAACAAAGCUCCUAUCACAACCUUGAGGUGGUCCAUUUUGGCUAGGCAAGGGGAGAGCUACGAAUUUGCUUACCAUUUCCUCUAAUUGGACACUUAUUCCUACUUGUUUCAAUUUCAAUUGACCUCAAUAAAUUUAAUCAACUCAACAUCGGUCAUCUCGGAAUUUUUCCUCACCCAUACAAUCCACUUGAUUCUCAAAUUUGCGAUGAAAAACGGUCUCAGCCUUUUUCUAAACAAAAAAGGCACUGUGUCGACAUUCCUAGAAUUUAUUGUGACAUGAAAAAAUCUUUAAUUUCUGAAAUCGGACUCGAAUUUGCAAUUAAUUUCCAUUCGGCUUGUUUUUAGCGUAACCUAGGCUAUCAGGUAACUUUCAGAAACUUUUCAGUGUAAAUGACCCUUGGUCGAUUUUCUUCGAGCCACUAUGAACCCACUCAACACAUUGACGACUCUCGGUUGUCGUGAAAAUCUCGAGAAUUCAAAUACGGACACAGGGUAUCAAGAUGAUAGAUAAAUCAAUCUAGUGCCGGCUGAUGAGAAUUUUUCAAUUUAGUGGUGUCACCCACGAUUAGCCGAUCAAUCGAAUUGAUCUAUCUCUGAUCUCAAAUCCAUUUUUAACUGUGUCGUAAUGGCCUCUAAAGAUGGAUACGAUCGAGAAGCUGAUUCUUGAUCAAAUUCUCAAGUUUAUUGCAUUAAAAUUCCUUAAUGCCUUCCCCAGAUUAUCUAGUUAUCUCGAGAAUAAUCAACUUUGAGAACAGCCCUAUAAGCGCGUCAUUGAAAUGCCCGAUUUAUUCAAUAAAAAAUAGGACUGAAAAUCUGGGAUGUCACAACUCUUCCCUUCUUAUAAAAAUUUCGUCAUCGAAUUAAACCAUUAUAAACCUUCAUAAAAAAGAUGGGGGUACAACUGUCUCAUCAACUUUUUAGUCUCCCAUGUCGCUCCUUCAAUACUAUGAUGUUGCUAGGCCACUUUGACUAUCGGGAUGGUUUUUGUACGCAGAACUUGUUCUUUUCUGUCCAUGAUCUGAACCGAGCUUUCAACGUAUGACACACGGUUAUCCACAUCUAAUUCUUCAAAAUUAAGCAUGUGGGUCGAGUUAGGCUCAUCUUCCUCAACAUUAAUACGUGAAAGACGUCGUGCAUUUGCACCAAUCUCAGCGGCAACAUUAGACGAUACGCCAAGAUCCCAAUUCUCUCAAGAAUUUCAAAUGAACCUACGUACCUUGAACACAGUUUUCCUUUCUUCCCAAAGCGUGAAGUUGUAAGCAAAUUCUACCAGGUCUCCAGCGCUUAUUUGCGUAACUUUUCUGUCUAUUCUAAGUGGUCUUUAAUCUACCUCUGAUCACUGCCACGGUGUCUACUGACUGCUGGACCAACUCUGGGCAUAUAAUCUUUCUUUCCCCAAUUUCAUUCCAACACACUGGUGUUCUACACACUGCCAUACAAUGCUUCAAAGGGAGUCAUCUGUAUGCUCUGCUGAUAACUGUUGUUGUAGGCAAAUUCUACCAGGUGUAACUGAUCUUCCUAACUGCCUUUGAAGUCUAAUACGCAAACUCUCAGCAUGUCCUCGAGGGUUUGAAUUGUCCUCUCAGACAGGCCAUUCAUCUGAGGAUGAUAUGCCAUAUUGUAUUGAAGUUUGGUACCUAAGGCACUCUGUAAGCUCUUCCAAAAAGUGGUGGUAAACCUCAGGUCUUUAUCUGAAGUUAUUGUAACCAGCACUCCAUGCAUACGAGCCACCUGACGCAUGUACAAAUCUACGUGUCUAUCCAAACUAAGGUCCUUUUGAACUGUAAUGAAGUGAGCCAACUUUGUCAGUAUAUCGACUACUAUCCAUAUCGAAUCAUUUCCCCUCUGACUCCUCGGUAGUCCAGUCACAAAAUCCAUUGCGAUAUGCUCUCAUUUCCAUUCUGGGAUCUUAAGAGGUUGUAGAAGUCCUCCCAGCUUGCAAUGUUACACUUUAACCUGCUGAUAGGUCAAACACUUAGCGAAAUGCUUGGUGAUGUCUGCCUUCAAACCUAACCACCAAUAGUGUUGACGCAGAUUCUGAUAUAUCUUGGUACUACUAAGAUGGACGCUGUAACUGCUACGAUGCGGUUCUGACAAGAUAUCCUCUCUAAGCUCCACAUCAUCAAGUACAACUAAACGUCCUUGGAAUCUUAGUAUUCCUUCAUCAAAAAUCUAAAAGUCAGCCUUUCUUUUCUCAGUGUCCUCUUCUAGAAUUUUCUGCACAUAUGGAUCUAUCGGUUGAGUAACUUGAUUCUGUCCUAGACAUCCGGUUCAAUUCUAAUAGUAGUCAUAAAACUCGAAAGAUGGCCUAUCUCAAACUUGAAUACCGAAUCUCGAGCUCUCUCGAUUAGGUUCCACUUCUUCAUCAAUAUAUGAGCAACUGAAGACUUUUGACUCAAAGCAUCGCCGACCUUGUUUGCCUUUCCCAGGUGAUAUAAGAUAUCACUGUCGUAGUCCUUCAAUAAUUCCAUCCAUCAACGCUGUCUCAUGUUCAUCUCUUUCUAAGAGAACAGGUACUUGAGAUUUUGAUGGUCCUUGAAGAUCUGAAAUUUUUCUCCGCACAGAUAAUGUCUCCAAAUCUUCAGGGCAAAGAUAAUUGCUGCGAGUUCUAAGUCAUGCAUCGGAUAAUUAUGUUCAUGAGGUCUCAACUAAUGAGAGGUGUAUGUAACAACUCUACCAUAUUGCAUCAGCAUGCAACCCAAUCCUCUGAAUGACGCAUUACUAUAGAUCUCAAAUCCUCCAGGACUAGAUGGAAUCAUCAGCAUAGAUGCGAUAGUCAACUUUUCCUUCAGCUCUUGGAAACUACUCUUGCACUUGUCUCUCCAUACAAACUUUUCUUCUUUCUUCAAGAGUUUCGUCAGUGGCGACGCUGAAGAUGAGGACCCUUCCACAAACCUUCUGUAAUAACCUACCAAACCCAGAAAACUUCUGAUUUCUAUCACUGUAGUCGGUCUUGGCUAGUUGAUCACGGCUUCAAUCUUGCUCGGGUCCACAAAGAUUCAUUCACCUAAAAUCACGUGACCUAAGAAAGUAACACGAGUUAACCAAAACUCACACUUGCUAAACUUAGCGUACAACUAAUGGACCCUCAGUGUCUGCAGCACUAGUCUCAAAUAACUCUCAUGCUCUUCAUCACUCCUCGAAUACACUAGGUUAUCAUCAAUGAACAUGAUCAUGAACUGAUCUAGAUAUUCAUUGAAUAUACGGUUCAUUAAAUCCAUGAAGACGGUAGGAGCAUUCAUCAACCCAAAUGGUAUCACUGUGAACUCAUAGUGGCCAUACCAAAUACGAAAUGCUGACUUAGGAACGCCCUCCUUCUUAAUCUUCAGCUAAUGAUAUCCCGUCCUCAGGUCGAUCUUUGAAAAUAUCAACACUCCUUAUAAUUGAUCAAACAAGUCAUCAAUCCUUGGGAUUGAACACUUGUUUUUUAUCGUUACCUGAUUGAGUUGCCGAUAGUUGAUGCACAAACGCAACGAACCAUCUUUCUUUUUCACAAAUAGAACUAGUGCUCCCCAAGGUGAUGCACUGGGACGGAUGAAUCCCUUAUCCAAUAACUCUUGCAUCUGCACCUUCAGUUCUUUCAACUCAGAUAACGCCAUCCGGUAAGAAGCCUUAGAGAUUGGCUCUAUCCCGGGUGCUAACUCAAUUACGAACUCAAUUUCUCUCUCUGGUGGCAAUACUGGCAAUUUCUUUGGAAAGACAUCUGGAAAUUCUUGCACCAUAGCAAUGUCUUCCAUUUUCAGCUCCACAACUGUCAUAUCCAUGAUAGUUGCCAGGUAACCUUGACAACCCUUGUCUAACAGACAAGUUGCCUCUGGCGACGAGAUCAGGACAAUCGAGGGUCCUCCUUGAUUUCCGAUAAACUCGAAGCUCUUACCCUUUAACUGGUCAAACUGAAUCGCCUUAUGAUAGUAGUCCAUUAUAGCUCAUUGCUUGGUGAGCCAGUUCAUGCCAAUAAUUAAAUCAAAGCCAUACAUGGUUAGGACUAACAAGUCUACUUUCCCCACUCGUACACAAAUCGCUAACUUCCAACCAUGACAACCCAAAGAAGCAAUCACUUUAUUCUUCAAUGGUGUAGAUAUACAAACUACCGUCUCCAACAAUAUAGGACUUAAUCCUAACAGCUUAAGAUAUUAUUCGGCAAUAAAGGAAUGAGUUGCUCCUGAGUCAAAUAAAGCAUAAGUAAGAUGGUCGUUUAGCGAAACCAUACCUGUGAUCACGUCAGGCGUAGCCUUUGCCUGACCUUGAGUGAUGGCAUACACCAUGCCUUGAACUGGGGGUCUAAACUGUUAUCCUUACUAUGCGUUCAGAGGCGCAUACCCUCUGAUUUGUCCUAAUGGUGGCGGCGGCGGCAAUUACGCUUGUCCUUUUGGCCUUCUAGGAUAAUCUCUGGCCAUGUGACCUUGCUCGCCACAUUCAAAACAUGCCCCCGUCCUUCGGGGGCACUGAUUCACACCAUGUUGUCUUCCACAAAGGCAACAUAGGCCAUUCUGACUCGGCCUAGACUUUCCAACUCCACCCUUCCUAUUGGGUGGGAUCUGGAAUCUACCUCCAGGCAUGGGCCUCUUUCCCUGGUUCCUUCUCGACUUGAACUAAACCUCGGUCCAGACGAGGCAACUUGCUCGUUCAAACCUAUCUCUAUCAUCUGAGCUCGACGAUAGACUUCCUGAAAAUCUUUUAAAUCCAAUAAUAGUAGAGGUUGUUUCAAUUCAGAACGAAGACCACUUCUGAAUUUUUGGGCUUUCUCUUCAGGGUCUUCUAUCAACCUCGCAGCAUACUGUGACAAUUCUGUAAAUUUGACCCCAUAUUGGUCAACUGUCAUGCUCCCCUAGCGGAGACGUUGGAACUCCUCUAUCUUUUGCUCCCGGGCAGUACUCGAGAAGUACUGAUCAUUAAAAGCUUUGAGAAAUGUGUCCCACACCUGGACCACACCUUCCAAGAAUACAAUAUCCUUGGCGGCUCUCCACCAAAUGUUCGCAUUGCCUUGAAGUUGGUACACAACUAGUACCACCUUCUCCUCUUUGUUGCACAUCAAAAGUGUGAACGCUUUCUCAAGACCUUGAACCCAUAGUGAAGCGGCUUCAGGGUUUCCUUCACCAAUGAACCUCGGUGGGUUUAGCUUCAAGAACUACUUGACAAGCUUAUGGAUCGGCCUCUCUCUCUACACCACGACAUUCUCAGGCUGAACUUUGGCAGGCGCAACAACGGGUGCGGCGGCAAGUGUGGCCUUAGUGACGGCGGCAACGGCAACAGCAGUAGCAACCUGAGUGGCGGCUUCAACAGCAGUGGCUUGAUUCUAAGCCUGGUAAUCCAUUAUAUUCCCCAUGACUUCUAACACUCGCAUGGUCCCUUCGAUCCUGAGAUCAACAGCGGCUACUACGCCAACACCAAUAGGAGGUGGUGCUACUCCACUGGCACUGGCCUAUGCCGAUGCCCUAACUCUGCCUCCCUAGGUAUCGACCCUAGUCAGGGAUCUAACCCGAGCCGUAGGCCUAACAGUUCUCUUACUCGGAGUUCUCUGCUCCAGCUCGCUCAUGGUUUAGUCUUUUCUACUGAAACCUGUCUUCCAAAUCCACAAUGGAUUAGAAGAUGAGCGAUCCACACACAAUAAUCAAGUCUACCAAACAACUAUCAUGAACAUGCAUUAGCAUGAAUUUAAAUGUCUUUCCUACCACUAUCCCAUGAACCAUCGCACCUUAUCACUCCAAUCCCUAACCAUUACUCUGAUACCACUUAAAUGAGGAUGUCAGGCCCCAAUCCUCAAGUGCGUGCCCAUCCCUCACCUGGUUGAUUAAUAGCGACGUCCCAAUACGCAUCGCCGACUCUUUCAUUUUAAUACACAUGCGGAAGCAUAUAAAAUAAUCCCUAGACAAUAAAACAAUGAGAUUGAAAAGCAGGGCCAUAUUUUUCAAACCUGAAAAACCACAACCACACUUUUAUACAAAGCAAACCUCACAGUAUAUAUUACAAUAAUAUUACCAAGUCAAAUCUAUCACACAUCAUAUCAUAACUCAAAGUUCGCAAAAUAGAGUGGGGAUUUUAAUCUGCAUUCGGGUCAUACUCCAGAUCCUCCUCUGAAUCCUCCUCCGACGCCUCCUCCAUUUCCCUUUCAAGGUCGUCCUCCUGCUCAACAAUCUCCCCUUCCACUUUGCUCCAGUUGGAGUCCACAGGAGUAUCAGGGUCACCCUCGACCUUAGGGUCUUUGGCAUCGAGCACCGCUCCGUCCUUAGGAUCUGUAGUCCCCUUUCCAAAUGUUGCCUCUAAGACGUACUGUGACAUCCCGAUUUUUCUCAAUUUCAUUUUCAGUCAAUUGAGUUGGGCAAUUCAUUUGUGCAUGUAGUUCGUCUCUCAGAGUUGGCCACUCACGAGGGAACUGGUCUAUUGAGUGAAGUAAUUAAGGAAUUUUACCAUGUCAGACUUGGGGACUGAUCACCCUCGGGUCAGAUGCAAGAAAAUUUCCCCAAAAGCUACUCAGUGGAUUAGGCGAGCUGAAAUCGCACCAGAUUGAAUUCAACCGUAAAAAUUGAGAUUGAAUUUAGAAGUCGGAAGCUCGGUCAUGUCACACAUCUUAUUAGGAUCAUGGGAUAAUUUUUGUGGUUUUUAAUUGGAUUCAAUUAGAAGAUAAUUGAUAGAAGAAUUGAAGAAAUUGGGUGUACAAAAAUUCGGACCUCGGCGGAAAUAAUAUUGCACCCAUUGAAUGAUGUUGUGGAGGAUUUGAAUUAGUGGAAGAUGACAUGGGAUGAUGUCAUGGUGGUUGAGGCCAAGGGUGGAGAUCUUGACAAGUGGACGGUGGGGAUUGGCUCUUGAAAAGAUGACCAAUCAACAUCAUCUUCAACCUUGUAGGAGAGAGAGGGAAGAGAGAGGGGGAAACCAGUGAAGGGGGGGAGCUCGCCGUUCGGACAGCCGCCGUGUCCCCCGUUCGCCGCUCGCCGCCGCCGUGUGGCGCCACCGUCGCUGUCUCGCCCGACCGGGCAAGGACCCGCGCGCCCGCCUCGCCGCGCCGCUCCGCCCGUUUCCCCUCGUCUCGCCAGCCGCCUCAGCCGCCGUCCCGAGCUGCUCGUCGUCGCCAGUCGCCGCCGGAGGCCCGUCGGAGUCGCUGCCUGCACCGCCUAAGCCACCGUCGCCCUUCCCCGCCGGUUUCGGGCCUAACCGGCCGCUGUUUCGGCCCUCCUCUGCCGCGACCAGCAGCUGGUUUUUGUGGGUCUCGCAGCCCACUCAAGGCCGGUUUUGGACGUCUUCCCGGCCCCGGAAGCUAGGCCCGCCUUUGGAAAAGUUGAUCCCGGCGUCGCCCUCGUCGUUUUGGUCUAAGCGGCGAGUUAAUCAAGUGAGUUUACCUCACUAAACCUUGAUUAGAGUGUUAAUGAUGCCCUAAGUGUGUUUAGUUUAAAUUAAGUAAGUUUAGGUGGAUAGAUUAGUAUAUUUAAUUAUAAGUUUGAUUAAGAGAUUGGUUUAUAUUAAACUGUGUUUAAUUAAGGUUCAAAGGAGUUAUUUAAUGUUAAACCUUGAUGGGACAUAAUAGGAUUUUAGUUUUGAGUUAUUUAAAUUCUUCGAAAAUUCUAAAAAAUAUAAUAUUAUAUUAUAAUCCGAAAAAAAAAUUGAAAAUUUAUUUUUAAUCCUAUUUGCUCAGAAUUUUGUGCCGAUCGCUGCUGUGUGUUUAUAAGUUGAAUUUGAUGAGUAAAUGUUGCAAAUUGAAUGUUGAUUGUGAAAAAUGGGAAUUUUAUUCAAAAAUUCCCACGUGUCGGGUUUGAUACCGAAAUCGAAUUUGGAAGGGUCAAUAUUGAAAUUGGAGUAUGUGAGUGACAUAUAAAGCAUACAAGGGUCUAUUUUGAAUUGUCGAGUAUUGGUUGAAAGGCUUGGUCGCAGUAGUGGCGAGACCGACUGGACCUUUAUUAUUCUAGAAAUGCUGUCGAUAGAAGGACGUGGCUUGGUCGCAGUAGUGGCGAGACCGACUGGACCUUUAUUAUUCUAGAAAUGUUGUCGAUAGAACGACGUGGCUUGGUCGCAGUAGUGGCGAGACCGACUGGACCUUUAUUAUUCUAGAAAUGCUGUCGAUAGAAUGACGUGACUUGGUCGCAGUAGUGGCGAGACCGACUAGACCUUUAUUCUUCUAGAAAUGAUGUAAUGUUAGUAGAUAGCCGACCUGCGAGUAGGUUGUGCCCUUGUGUGGCAAUGGAUAAUAAUGACAUGGAAUGUUUGUUGUGAUUGUAGAAUUUAGUCAAAUUGAUUGUGUUUCAAUGGCUUACAUUCUUAUCAUUACUGGUGCUUGAGUGAUAUGAACUAUACUAACAUGCAGGAAGCCAAGAAGGCGAGGUAAGUCUUAUGUGCUGUGUGGCUAGACCAUUUUGGGGUGUAUUUGCUUUCUAAUAGGGGUUUAGGAGGGGUGAACUUGCUGAGACAAAGUCUCAUCCCGGUUUGGGGAAAAAUAUUACAGGACCGUAGAUGGCGAUACCCCGGAGAUGGAUGGCAUGCCGACGGAGGUGGACCAGACGAUAGAGAGUGCUCUUGACCCUUUUUGAUGCACAUAAACUCUGAACCAUUUUGGUGCAUAGUCUCUGGAUCCUGUUGGUAUAUGUAAACCUUGGUUUGAUGAUGAUGUGUGAAAGUAUGCUUGGUUUUGAAUUGAAUUCCCUGCUGUCCUAUCCCGUAUAUCUUUGUCAAGGGAUUUCUUAGCACGUUCCGCAUGCGUAUAAUAAUUUAAAUAAAUGAAAUUGGGGUCGGCGACACUACCUGGGAAUGUCGCAUUUACAUGACCAUGGCGGGUUGUUCACGUGUCUCGGGGUUCGGGGCGUGACAACCCUAUUUAAGUGGUAUCAGAGCAUGGGUAUGUAUGGAGUGAUAAGGGCGAUGAGUCAUGGGAUAGUUAGUAGGAAGAUUUUCCAUAUCCUAAUGCAUGUGGAUGUUAGUUGUUUGUUAGCUUGGUUGGAAGGUUACUCAAAUUCUAAUAUGGUAUUGGAAUUCGCCAAUAGGCAUCUAUAUUGAGCCUGUAGCAUGAGUGACCGAGAGCCGAGAGCUGCUAGGAAGAGAGCAGCAGGCCCCGUGUUUCGGGGUGGGUCUUCGUUGAGGGGUGACGCUCGUGGUGCCCUGAGAGGAGCGCAGGCCGAGACCAGUGCAGGUGGUAGUGCAGGUGGUACAGCUUUGCCGCCAGAUGGUGCAGCAGCCCCAGAUUUAUUGGGAUCAUGCAGAUGCUCGAGGCGAUGGGAGACAGGAUGGAUCAGCAAGCCGCUGCUAUCGCCACCGCCUUGAACACCGCCAAUGCCGCCAAUGCCGUUGCUACUGCCGCUGCAGCUGCCGCCGCACCGGUUGUCAAACCAGAAGAGGAAUUUGAGGAAAUUCCACCUGAGAAUGUAGCCGCUGAGAGGCCUAGGCAGAAAUUGGUACAGCACUUUCUGAGGUUGAAUCCACCAACAUUCACGGGAGUAGGAGAUCCUGAAGCUGCAGCAUUAUGGAUCCUGGAGUUAGAGAACGCAUUUGAGUUACUGUUGUGCACUGAAGCAGAAAAGGUCGUCCUGGCAGCCUAUCAGUUGAGGGGGACCGCAGCUACCUGGUGGAAGACUAACAAGAGGAUAGUGUUCCCUGAAGGUGUGGCUCCGAAGUGGAAUGCUUUUCUUGAAGCCUUCAAUGAGAAAUACUUUUCUGAUUGUGCCAAAGAGGAGAAGAUGGUAGAGUUUCAGCGCCUUCGUCAAGGUACCAUGUCAGUUGAUCAAUACGAAGCGAAGUUCGCCGAACUAUCACAGUAUGCCCUUGAGUUGGUCCAGCGACCGUCAGACCAAGCUCGAAGGUUUAGAGAUGGGUUCCGACCGGAGGUGAGGAGCUUGUUGGUACCCCUAGAUCUGAAGGAGUACAAUGACCUCUACAGGCGGGCACAGCUGAUCGAGAAAGACCAUAAUGAGAGAGCUGCUUCAUCUGGGUCGCGGUUUAAUUCAAACAGAGACGAUAAUCGGUUUGGGAAGAGGCCGAUGCCUGGAGGAAGGUACCCUGUUCUACCCAACAAGAAGGGUGGGAUAGGGAAGCCGGCACUGAGAUCGAAUGGUGUGUGUCGUCUAUGUGGAAGACGACAUGGUCCAGCCCCGUGUCCUCCUAGGACGGGCGCCUGUUAUGAGUGUGGCCAGCAGGGUCAUAUAGCCAGGUACUGCCCCAGGAAUCAGAUGGGACAGCGUCAGUUGCCGCCACCACCACCGUUGGGUCAGAACAGGGGAGUCGCGCCGCAGAUCAUGCCGCAGGGUGGAUUGAACCGACCUCCAGCUCAAGGAAGGGCUUAUGCGCUCACCAGAGGACAAGCGGAGGAUGCGCCUAAUGUGGUCACAGGUAUGGUCUUACUGAACGACCAUCCUGCUUAUGCUUUAUUUGAUCCUGGAGCUUCGCAUUUGUUUAUAGCUGAAAGAUUUGUUAAAUUGGUAGAAUUAAUUCCUAAAUUGUUAGAGUCUGUGGUUAGUAUAUCUACUCCGUUGAAAGAUAAAGUGUUAGCUACAGUAGGUUGCCUUGGUUGCAAGUUAGUGAUUGGUGAGCGAGAGGGGAGGAUAGACUUGAUAGUCUUAGCUAUGUAUGAUUUUGAUGUGAUAAUUGGCAUGGAUUGGCUCACCAAGCAACGGGCCAAGAUGGACUGUUAUCGCAAGGCGAUUCAGUUUAACCCAUUAGGUGGUGAGGGUUUCGAAUUCAUAGGGAGUCAGGGAGGACCCUCAAUCUCUUUAAUCUCAUCGCUCGAGGCAACUCGCUUACUAGACAAGGGCUGCCAAGGUUACCUAGCAACUGUAGUGGACAUGACAGUAGAGGAGUCGAAGAUAGAAGACAUUCCAGUGGUGCAAGAGUUCCCAGAUGUGUUCCCGAAAGAAUUACCGGGUUUGCCGCCGGAAAGAGAGGUAGAGUUUGUAAUUGAGUUAGCUCCUGGGACCGAGCCUAUCUCCAAAGCUCCUUACCGAAUGGCCUUGUUCGAGCUUAAGGAACUGAAGGUGCAAAUGCAAGAGUUAUUGGAUAAAGGAUUUAUACGUCCAAGUGCAUCACCUUAGGGAGCACCGGUGUUGUUUGUGAAGAAGAAGGAUGGUUCAUUAUGCUUGUGCAUCGAUUACCGACAACUCAACCAGGUGACAAUUAAGAACAAGUAUCCGUUGCCAAGGAUUGAUGAUUUGUUUGAUCAGCUUCAAGGAGCGUCGAUAUUUUCUAAGAUCGACUUGAGGACGGGGUAUCAUCAGCUAAGAAUCAAGAAGGAAGAUAUACCGAAGUCGGCGUUUCGCACUCGAUAUGGCCAUUACGAGUUUACUGUGAUGCCGUUUGGGUUGACGAAUGCCCCAGCUGCUUUCAUGGACCUGAUGAACCGGGUGUUCAGAGAGUAUUUAGAUCAGUUUGUAAUUGUUUUCAUCGACGACAUCCUGGUGUAUUCAAGGAGCACUGAGGACCAUGAAAGGCACUUAAGGGUAGUGCUUCAGACUUUGAGAGAUCACGAGUUGUACGCUAAGUUCAGUAAGUGCGAGUUUUGGCUAACUCGUGUGGCGUUCCUAGGUCAUGUUAUCUCUGGAGAAGGAAUCUCAGUGGACCCAGCCAAGAUUGAAGCAGUGAUCAAUUGGCCGAGACCGACUACAGUGACAGAGAUAAGAAGUUUUCUGGGUUUAGUGGGGUAUUACAGACGGUUUGUAGAAGGGUUUUCAAGGUUAGCAUCACCGAUGACGAGACUGUUGAAGAAGGAAGAAAAAUUCGUGUGGACAGAUAAGUGCGAGAGUAGUUUCCAAGAGCUUAAGCAUAAGCUAACUACCGCACCUGUGCUUACUAUUCCAGCUGGUCCGGGAGGGUUUGAGAUCUACAGUGAUGCGUCGUUUAAGGGAUUAGGUUGCGUGUUGAUGCAGCAUGGUAGGGUCGUUGCAUAUGCGUCCUGUCAAUUGAGACCUCACGAGUUGAAUUAUCCGACGCAUGACUUGGAGCUUGCGGCGAUCAUCUUUGCCCUAAAGAUUUGGAGGCAUUAUUUGUGCGGAGAAAGAUUCCAGAUCUUCACUGACCAUCAGAGUCUCAAGUACUUAUUCUUUCAAAAGGAGUUGAAUAUGAGACAGCGUCGAUGGAUGGAGCUCUUAAAGGACUAUGACUGUGAGAUUUUGUAUCAUCCUGGAAGGGCGAACAAGGUCGUCGAUGCAUUGAGUAGGAAGUCUUCUGUUGCACAGAUGGUACUCAAGGAAUGGAGUCUACUUGAGGGAGCACGAGAUUCGGAUUUCAAGUUUGAAGUAGGCCACCUUUCAAAUCUUAUGGCCACCCUCAGAAUUGAGCCAGAAGUGCAGGUUAGAAUCAGGACGCUUCAGCAGACAGAUCCGGAUAUUCAGAAAAUUGUACAAGAGGAUUCAGAGAAGAGGAAAGCUGACUUCCAGAUUUCUGAAGAUGGAACGUUGAAGUUCCAAGGACAAUUGGUUGUACCUGACGAUGUGGAGCUUAAGGAAGAGAUUUUAUCAGAAGCACAUUGUAGCAGUUACAGCAUCCAUCCUGGCAGUACCAAGAUGUAUCAGAAUCUGCGUCAACACUACUGGUGGUGUGGCAUGAAAGCGGAUAUCGCCAAGCAUGUCGCCAAGUGUUUGACGUGUCAGCAAGUGAAAGCUCAGCAUUGCAAACCAGGAGGACUUCUACAACCCCUUGAGAUCCCAGAGUGGAAAUGGGAGCAUAUCACGAUGGACUUCGUGACGGGACUACCAAGGAGCUAGAGAGGAAAUGAUUCGAUUUGGGUAGUAGUUGACAGACUGACAAAAUCGGCUCACUUCAUUGCAGUUUGAAGGGACUUGAGUUUGGAUAGACUCGCAGAUUUGUAUGUAGGUCAAAUAGUUCAUAUGCAUGGAGUGCCGGUUACAAUUACUUCAGACCGAGACCCGAGGUUCACCGCCGCUUUUUGGAAGAGCUUGCAAUCUGCUUUAGGAAAGAAACUGCAGUACAGUACGGCCUAUCACCCGCAGACUGAUGGCCAAUCUGAAAGGACAAUUCAGACUCUUGAGGACAUGCUGCGAGCUUGUGUCUUGGACUUCAAAGGAAGUUGGGAGGAACAGCUUCAUCUGGUCGAGUUUGCCUACAACAACAGUUAUCAGCAGAGUAUUCAGAUGGCUCCUUUUGAAGUGUUAUAUGGUAGAGCAUGCAGAACACCCGUGUGUUGGGAAGAGGUAGGAGAAAGAAAGAUCACCGGUCCAGAGUUAGUACAGCAGUCAGUGGAAGCAGUUGCAGUUAUCAGAGACAGACUAAAGACCGCUCAGAGCCGACAGAAAAGUUAUGCCGAUAAGCGUCGGAGGCCAUUGGAGUUCCAAGUUGGUGAGCACGUCUUCUUGAAGGUGUCACCGGUGAGAGGUACUUCCCGCUUUGGCAAAAAGGGGAAACUGAGUUCGAGGUACGUAGGUCCCUUCGAAAUUUUGGAAAGAAUAGGGACUCUAGCGUAUCGUCUUGCACUGCUGCCGAAGUUGUCAUAGGUGCACGACGUCUUCCACGUGUCGAUGUUGAGGAAGUAUGAACCUGACUCGACUCACGUUCUAAAUUUCGAGGAACUAGACGUGGACGACAAAGUGUCCUACGUCGAAAGCCCGAUUCAGAUUGUGGAUCGCAAGGAGCAAGUUCUGCGCAGCAGGACCAUCCCAAUGGUCAAAGUGGUCUGGCAACACCAUGGCACUGAAGGAGCAACUUGGGAGACUGAAGAGUUGAUGAGAGAAUUGUACCCCUACCUUUUUGCUUCAGAUGUGUAAUGAUUAAAUUUCGAGGACGAAAUUUUUAUAAGAGGGGAAGAGUUGUGACAUCCCGAUUUUUCUCAAUUUCAUUUUCAGUCAAUUGAGUUGGGCAAUUCAUCUGUGCAUGUAGUUCGUCUCUCAGAGUUGGCCACUCACGAGGGAACUGGUCUAUUGAGUGAAGUAAUUAAGGAAUUUUACCGUGUCAGACUUGGGGACUGAUCACCCUCGGGUCAGAUGCAAGAAAAUUUCCCCAAAAGCUACUCAGUGGAUUAGGCGAGCUGAAAUCGCACCAGAUUGAAUUCAAUCGUAAAAAUUGAGAUUGAAUUUAGAAGUCGGAAGCUCGGUCAUGUCACACAUCUUAUUAGAAUCAUGGGAUAAUUUUUGUGGUUUUUAAUUGGAUUCAAUUAGAAGAUAAUUGAUAGAAGAAUUUAAGAAAUUGGGUGUACAAAAAUUCGGACCUCAGCGGAAAUAAUAUUGCACCCAUUGAAUGAUGUUGUGGAGGAUUUGAAUUAGUGGAAGAUGACAUGGGAUGAUGUCAUGGUGGUUGAGGCCAAGGGUGGAGAUCUUGACAAGUGGACGGUGGGGAUUGGCUCUUGAAAAGAUGACCAAUCAACAUCAUCUUCAACCUUGGAGGAGAGAGAGGGAAGAGAGAGGGGGAAACUAGCGAAGGGGGGGAGCUUGCCGUUCGGACAGCCGCUGUGUCCCCCGUUCGCCGCUCGCCGCCGCCGUGUGGCGCCACCGUCGCUAUCUCGCCCGACCGUGCAAGGCCCCGCGCGCCCGCCUCGCCGCUCCGCCCGUUUCCCCUCGUCUCGCCAGCCGCCUCAGCCGCCGUCCCGAGCUUCUCGUCGUCGCCAGUCGCCGCCAGAGGCCCGUCGGAGUCGCUGCCUGCACCGCCUGAGCCACCGUCGCCCUUCCCUGCCGGUUUCGGGCCUAACCGGCCGCUGUUUCGGCCCUCCUCCGCCGCGACCAGCAGCUGGUUUUUGUGUGUCUCGCAGCCCACUCAAGGCCGGUUUUGGACGUCUUCCCGGCCCCGGAAGCUAGGCCCGCCUUUGGAAAAGUUGAUCCCGGCGUCGCCCUCGUCGUUUUGGUCUAAGCGGCGAGUUAAUCAAGUGAGUUUACCUCACUAAACCUUGAUUAGAGUGUUAAUGAUGCCCUAAGUAUGUUUAGUUUAAAUUAAGUAAGUUUAGGUGGAUAGGUUAGUAUAUUUAAUUAUAAGUUUGAUUAAGAGAUUGGUUUAUAUUAAAGUGUGUUUAAUUAAGGUUAAAAGGAGUUAUUUAAUGUUAAACCUUGAUGGGACAUAAUAGGAUUUUAGUUUUGAGUUAUUCAAAUUCUUCGAAAAUUCUGAAAAAUAUAAUAUUAUCUUAUAAUCCGAAAAAAAAUAAAAAAAAUAAAAAAAAUCGAAAUUUUAUUGUUAAUCCUAUUUGCUCAGAAUUUCGUGCCGAUCGCUUCUGUGUGUUUAUAAGUUGAAUUUGAUGAGUAAAUGGCAAAUUGAAUGUUGAUUGUGAAAAAUGGGAAUUUUAUUCAAAAAUUCCCACGUGUCGGGUUUGAUACCGAAAUCGAAUUUGGAAGGGUCAAUAUUGAAAUUGGAGUAUGUGAGUGACAUAUAAAGCGUACAAGGGUCGAUUUUGAAUUGUCGAGUAUUGGUUGAAAGGCUUGGUCGCAGUAGUGGCGAGACCGACUGGACCUUUAUUAUUCUAGAAAUGCUGUCGAUAGAGUGACGUCGCUUGGUCGCAGUAGUGGCGAGACCGACUGGACCUUUAUUAUUCUAGAAAUGCUGUCGAUAGAACGACGUGGCUUGGUCGCAGUAGUGGCGAGACCGACUGGACCUUUAUCAUUCUAGAAAUGCUGUCAAUAGAACGACGUGGCUUAGUCGCAGUAGUAGCGAGACCGACUAGACCUUUAUUCUUCUAGAAAUGCUGUAAUGUUAGUAGAUAGCCGACCUGCGAGUAGGUUGUGCCCUUGUGUGGCAAUGGAUAAUAAUGACAUGGAAUGUUUGCUGUGAUUGUAGAAUUUAGUCAAAUUGAUUGUGUUUCAAUGGCUUACAUUCUUAUCAUUACUGGUGCUUGAGUGAUAUGAAUUAUACUAACAUGCAGGAAGCCAAGAAGGCGAGGUAAGUCUUAUGUGCUGUGUGGCUAGACCAUUUUGGGGUGUAUUUGCUUUCUAAUAGGGGUUUAGGAGGGGUGAACUUGCUGAGACAAAGUCUCAUCCCGGUUUGGGGAAAAAUAUCACAGGACCGUAGAUAGCGAUACCCUGGAGAUGGAUGGCAUGCCGACGGAGGUGGACCAGAUGAUAGAGAGUGCUCUUGACCCUUUUUGAUGCACAUAAACUCUGAACCAUUUUGGUGCAUAGUCUCUGGAUCCUGUUGGUAUAUGUAAACCUUGGUUUGAUGAUGAUGUGUGAAAGUAUGCUUGGUUUUGAAUUGAAUUCCCUGCUGUCCUAUCCCGUAUAUCUUUGUCAAGGGAUUUCUUAGCACGUUCCACAUGCGUAUAAUAAUUUAAAUAAAUGAAAUUGGGGUCGGCGACACUACCUGGGAAUGUCGCAUUUACAUGACCAUGGCGGGUUAUUCACGUGUCUCGGGGUUCGGGGCGUGACACGUACAAAGGCACGUCACCUUCCACUAUGGGACCCUUUCUUCACCCAACAUGGUAGUGACAAUACCACGAUCGAUACUCGUGGGGUACCAAGCUGUCUCUACCCACAUCAACCCAAACAUUGGACUUCACUAGUACAUAUUAUAAUCCUUUAGGGUGGAGGUGGAUUGGGAAGUGGUAUCCUAUCUCAGUGAUCUCUUCGGGUAUACCAAAAUGCACGGGAGGACGAGGAGGUGGAGGUGCUGCCAUCUAGGGACCUAAAAUGAUGUCCCACAACGGGGUGCGACUACGUCUCAGCAAGCUCUAAUCACUAAGAUCCGAUUAUGAAGCCAAUACACUUUAGAGGUUGCCUAAGCACAACACUAGUUAAAGGACUUACCUUGGCCUCAAUUCCAUCCUGCAAAUCAAUGUCAUUUACAGAUGCCUCAAAUCACAAUAACAAAUCAAUUCACAGUAUCAGAUCAAAUCAUUGAUCAAUCGACCUAGUCAAUUACAUAUCACCACGACCUUCCCCCAAUCAAUACAUUCAAUACUAUCUAUAAGUCCACCAUAAUAGGAUUGCUCGCUCUAAGCUGAUAUAUAGAUAGUAUCAUGCACACUGAGCUAAUAAAUAGUCUACUGCUCUCGGUAAGCUGACAUCUCAAACCCUUGGGUUAAUAUAGUACACUAAUAAUGCUCUCUCUAAGCUGAUCAUAAUGCUCUCACUAAGAUGAUUAGGUAUAUUGCUCUCGCUAAGCUGACAUAUCAAAGCCCGUAGGUUGACAUAGCAUACCGAUAUACUGCUCACAAUCUAAGCUGACAUAUCGCCUGUAGGCUAAUAUAGUAUACCAUCCCAACCAUUGAAUGAAUUCAUCAUUUUUAUCAUACUCGAUAAAAAUAGCCGUGUGUAGGUAUACAGCCAGCCUUAACUGAAAUAUAAUAAUUUCACUUUUUGAACAUCCCACCAGUUUCAACAACCCAUAAUAUAUUUUUGGUGCUACAAACCGACGCCCGGUAAUUUUUCCAUUAAUUACCAAAAUUAAUUAAUUUAGAAAUAAAAUCCUAAAACUACAAUUAAUUUAAUUCAGCACAAUUUAACGCUUAAAAAAAUAAACAGAUCACAUCAUCACGAUCAGCAUAAAAAUUCGAUCGUCGGCUAGCCUAGCAUAAUUUCCGGAAAAUAAAUAAAUAAAUAAAUAAAUAUGAAAAAUAUUAAAUAAAUUCAAUAAAUCCAAUUUAGGUCCGUAAUACCUAAUUAGAUGCCGAAACGGAUUCGGAAAAUUUUCAAGAUUCGUUCAAUAAAUACUAUAAACUAUUCACUAGUUAAUAACAUUAACCAUUUGCCUAACAUGCGUUGAUAAGGCACUAACUUAAUUGCACUAGUCUAAUCUAUCCACCUAAUCACACUUACUUAAAUCUAAACAACGCCUCAGCAUAAUUAACUGACUAAGUAGGGAUUAGUGAGUAAAACGCACUUGUUUAACGAGCGGUUCAGUGCAAAACAAUGGAAACGUCGCGGGGCUCAACUUUCCUCAAGGUGGGCCUAGCAACUGAGGCUCAAGACUACCUCAAAACGAGCCUAGAGCUUGCUGGAAAACCCACAAAAUCAGCCUCUGUUUUGAGCUGGAAAACAGAGUAAACAAGCUGGUUAUGGUGAAGCAAGACUGGUGGAUGCGGUUAGGGUGUUCGGCGGUUUGAAUGGCGGCUUCGGCGAGCCUCCUAAUCCACUCACGGUGGCUGGCACGGCUAGACAAUGACCCUAGAUGCACAAACAAGGCUAUUGGACGACGGUGAGGCGCGUCAAGGCGCGACCGCGUACGUGCGCGCAAGGAUGGCGAACGAUGGAGGCGGUGGCGUCAUGCGGCUCCAGUGGCUGCUGGCUGCUUCUGGCGACUUCCUCUAGUUCCUAGGGGUUCAAACAACAAGGAUGGAGGGGAAGAAAGGCUGGCUGGUUGGCUUAGAGAGGAAGAGAGAGAGAGAGAAAUUGAGGCAAGAGAGGGGCCACCAUGGCCAAUUUUUCUAUUCAAAUGUUCUCGUGAUCCAUCCCUAGCCAAGGCUUCCUUCCUUGGCUAUGAUUCAGCCAACAAAGCUCCUCUCACAACCUUGAGGUGGUCCAUUUUUGCUAGGCAAGGGGGGAGCUACGAAUUUGCUUGCCAUUUCCUCUAAUUGGACACUUAUUCCUACUUGUUUCAAUCCCAACUGACCGCAAUAAAUUCAAUCAACUCAGUAUCGGUCAUCUCGGCAUUUUUCCUCACCUAUACAAUCCAUAUGAUUCUCAAAUUUGCAAUAAAAAAGGUCUUGGCCUUUUUCUGAACUUAAAGGCCCUAGGACGACUUUUCUAAAAAAGUCUCGGGUUGUAGAAAAAUCUUCUAAGACUAAGUCGACGUUCGUAGAAUUUAUUGUGACAUGACAGAAUCUUCAAUUUCUAAAAUCGAACUCGAAUUCGCAGUUAAUUUCCAUUCGGCGCGUUUUUAGCAUGACCUAGGCUACCGGGUAACUUUCAGAAAUUUUUCAAUGCAAAUGACCUGUGAUCAAUUUUCUUCGAACCACUAUGAACCCACUCGACACAUUAGCAACUCUCGAUUGUUGUGAAAAUCUCAAAAAUUUAAAUACGGACACAGGAUACCAAAACAACAGAUAAAUCAGUCUAAUCCCGGCUGACAAGAAUUUUUCAAUUUAGUGGUGUCACCCAUUAUUAGCCACACAUUUCAAUUGCACUGAUCUAUCUCUGAUCUCAAAUCGAUUUUUAAAUGUGCCGUAAUGGCCUCUAAAAAUGGAUAGGGUCGACAAGCCAAUUCCUGGUCGAAUUCUCAAAUCUAUUGCAUUAAAAUUCCUUAAUGGCUUCCCCAAAUAGUCUAGUUAUCUCGAGAGUGAUCAGCUCUGAGAACAGCCCUAUAGGCGCGUCGAUGAAAUGCCCGAUUUAUUCAAUAGAAAAUAUGACUAAAAAUCUGGGAUGUCACACCUGCUAUGCCAAAGUCUUUAGUUUUCCUUUGAAUGUACUUUCACUUUCGAAGCAAAGUCUAUCAAUUUCAACCUUAUUCUAUGCAGAAGCAAUCGCUAAACACCAUCCUGUUGGAGAACCGCUUUAAACACAAUCAACACUAGGGUUUCGAAUUCCCAAAGGAGUAUAGCAAAUCAGUAUGCAGAACGCAGCCAUUCAAUUUCAACAAUUGAGAAUCACAACUAUUAAAUGUACAAUGAGAAGGAAUUGAAGCGAGAAACCUGGAUACAAUGUGAGACAAGCACAAGAGAAGCAAUGGAGAGAGAGGUGAGCACGAACAGAGGCGAUUGAACAGAGGCAACACAACCAAAGGCAACUCAAUCGGAGAGAGGCGACUGGGGAUUCAACUUCGAGAAGUAAGAAUCAAAACUAGAAAAUGUACAACAAGAAGGAAUCAAAGUGAGAAACCUAGAUUCAAGGUGAGAGUAGCACAAGAGAAGUAACACAGAGAGAGGCGAGCAUGAGUAGAGGCAAUCGGACAGAGGCAACACAACUGGAGAGAGUUGACUGGACAAAGGUGAAGGUGAGCCGAGAAGAGACAAGAGGCAACCUUUGGGCUUAAGAGUGAAAAGAGAUGAGAGGCAAUUUUAGGGUUUUCUCUAAAAAAGAAGCCAUUUCUCAUUUUUGUUCCUAGGAAUAAGAAUUAGGUUUUUUUUUGCUUCUUGCUCCUACUCUAAAUCUAUUUCAAUUUAUUCCCUAGCCACUUUUCUAUUAUGGGGAAUAGAAAAAUUAACUAACGUUACCAAACAUAUUUCUGUUAUUUUUCUAUUCCGAAGAAUAAAAGAAUAGAAAAAUAGAAAAGUAGAAACAUUAACAAACGUAACCUAAGUGUCCAUUAGGAAAAUGAUUUGAGUAAUUUCUCAUUGACCAAAAUAUGUGUCAUUUUUCAUUAUAUUCUCAAUUUCUCCUUAAUCUAAAUCAAUUGUUUUAUUUGACAAUCAAUAUAUUGGAAACUUUGCAACGGCUUUAGAAGAUCAUGGUUACAUUGAAAAUUUUCUAAAAUUAGGAGGCAAUUUGUAAUGAUAUGAAAAUCUAGGGGAUAUAUUGCAAUUCUCCCGCAUUUGCUGGAAAUUUUUUUCCUAGGCACCACCUAGUCACGUAAGAGAACAUGACUUAAGUUUCUAACGAGAAUUUGGCUAGAGUCCACACAAGAGAGAACAUAAAAGGUAAUUUCAAAAUGCCAUGUUAAUAUUGAGAUAGAUAUAAGGGGUAAAUUGCCAUGAUUGCAAGAACACGGGGGCCACAAAUAUCCCGAGGAAUUCUAUUAUCGCUUUUAGAAUAGACUUGAUCCCACCAAAUUCCAGCCCAUGCCAAAAGAAGUGGAUGUACUACUAAUGGAUGUGAGAACUCAAAUCCUUAUUGAAUCCUAUUUUUCAAUGGGAAAAAUCCAAAAUGAAAUAUGUUCAAUCAAAACAUGUAGUGUGAAUUCUUAAUCUCUCUAAACAUCUUUGUCAACUCGAAAAUUCAAGAAUUUGAAUUGAUGUCCUUUCAUUGAUUCCUCCCAAAUUGCAUUAAUUUAUCCUAAGGAUUUCAUUUCAAUUGGAAUUUGGUUAUUUGCCACGUGCAAUGUUCCCCUACAUAGAGUCCAAUCUUAUUUUAUAUUUUUUGGUUGCGCAUGAUCUUGAAUCCUGGACAAGGGCCUUUCGCUCGAAGGCUGAUCCUAGCUCCUCCCCCCNNNNNNNNNNNNNNNNNNNNNNNNNNNNNNNNNNNNNNNNNNNNNNNNNNNNNNNNNNNNNNNNNNNNNNNNNNNNNNNNNNNNNNNNNNNNNNNNNNNNCCACUGUAUGGAAACAAAAAGAAGAGUAUGAAGAAAAUGAAAAAAAAAAAUAAAGAAAAAAACUAAUUAAAAGAUUCAAAAAAAUAAAAGGUAGAAAUGUUUAGUACUCAAUUGGUAUAAUUCAAAUGUUUAGAACUAAAUUGGUAGAAACACAAUAUAUAUAUAUAUAUAUAUAUAUAUAUAUAUAGAUAUGACUUUUUUAGGUAAUUUACCCAGAUUUAAUGCAAAUUGUUAAUACAUUUGGCAUUUCUAUAAUCUCAAUUAAGAGGGCACCAAAUAAUAUUUUCGGUGGUCUAAUUUUUUUAUUUGUUCAAAAGUAAUCAGCUCUAAUGAAGUGUAUUUGAUCAAGUCAAAUUCAGAUAUAUAUGUUUUCCCCUAUAUUUGAUGUUUUAUCUCAUGGAGCGUUCGUAUCAUAUGAAAUUGCAACUACCAGCUCUAAGAAUGGGAUAGGAUGAGGCCUUUUGACCAUAAUUGACGCGGGGAUUGGGACCAGGCGCCCCUUAUUCCCUCCAUCCUAGGGCUAGGGGUGAGCUCAACUAGCAAGUAAUUGCAUUAAAAGUUAAUUAAAAAAGAACGAUGCGAUAAUACAUUAGGAGAUAAUUUGAAUGGGAAAUACAAGUGUGAGGACUCAAAACAAGCUUGUGGGUUUCAUUCAAUCGACCAAUGGAAACUUCACAAAUCAUUUGAUAAAGAGGAUUUAAUGCAUAUUCCUAGUACAUUUAGCAUUUCUUUAACCUCAAUCAAGAAGGCACCAUAUAAUAUUUUCAGAAGUUAUCAUCAAAUUUUUAAUCGCAACCAAAAAUAAAUAUAUUACUCAUAGAUAUAAUAUUUUUGGAACGCGCUUUCCUACAAACAUGAGUUAAAAAAAUUGAGAUUGCAUCAAGCUUGACUACUUGAGCUUGAUGUUUCAGCUUUUGGUGCCUGACUUAUAAUUGACUUGGACUUUAAACCAAUUUCGUGUGAAAAGCCAAAAGAAACAAUCAAAAGCAAGGGAGAAAACUUUUACCAAAGACAUGACAGAUGUAAAAUGAAUUUUGUGGAAUGAGAAAAAAGAGUUUCAAAUUAACUUCACCUUUUAAUGAGUCUCAUGUUCAUAUAAAUAAUUGACGGAGGCACUUUUUGUCAAGGAUAUGAAAGCUUCGUUCGUACUCAAUCCUCUCGUGAUUGACGGUGAAUUAUAAGGCACCAAUUUGUUCAUUCUUCAGUCUUUGGUCUUCACUCCAUGGACUUCAUAGAAUACGAGGCACCAAUAUUGAUAUUGCUUUUUCUCCCCUCAACUUUAUAAAGGAGUGUCCUAUUGGACAAUCCUAUCUUAUAGAUUAGUAUUGAUAUACAAACCACAUGGCAGAUCAAAAGCGAAUAAUAAGCCAUAUUCGAUAAUUAAUGACAAUAUACCAUGUCACUUAUUACACCAAAUUUAUGAAACAUUCUUAGUGUUUUUGACAUUUCUUUUUCUUGUUUUGGUUGUAAACGUGAAAACUAGUGAGGCGUUGAUAAAUGAAUGACACCACUACAUGUACUAAGACUUUACUCGGAUGUUCUAAAUGAAAUGGUGUGUAGUGUGGUAUGCACCUAUGUCACCAAAUAAGUGUGGAAUCAGCAUUAUUAUGGAGUUUGUGAAAACGAGAAAAGAGAUAAAUUGAGCAAGAUCAAUUUAAGGAAAUUUACUUUUCUAUUCCUCCAUCAUUUCUUCUCAAAAUUGCACAAAGUGCUCUCACGCAUUACUGGGAGCCUCUAUUCAAAUUUGACUAACAAUCAUUGAAGCAAUCCAAAGAUGCAUUUAGCACUUUGCCUUUACAAGAUUCAAGAAAUAACUCCCAAGGGGUGGGACUUUGUCCCAAGUGAUACUUAGUUCUAGAGCUGAGGAAAAAAAAAGAUCUAUGCAAUGAGUUGGCUUAGAUCAGAUGGCCAACAUUUUCAUGUUCAAAGAGGUCUGACAUGACAUUUAGGACUCCCCCUAUCCUUCUUUGUUAUUACUCCCAACUUUUUUAUGGUGUUUCCUAUUAGAUGAUGCUAUGCUAUAUAUUAAUGUUUGAAUCGACAGCAUAGUGGAAGUGGAUCGUAAUUUUGUAAUUAUGUCGGGAGUUAUAGAAAUCGUCAGAAAUAAAACGAGGAACAAUAAAAAAAAAUGAUACCAGAAAUUUACGUGAUUCGAUCCGAAUAUCAGAACUUAUAUCCACAGGGAGAGCCAGCAAAAUAAUUUCACUAUAAAUCGGAGAAUUAUAAUAUUACAAUUAUUUAUAUAUUUAAGUGUUUUCCAGUCCUACUUUAUAUCCGACACACACGGUGUUUAACAACUCAGCUCAAUGGACUCAACUCUGCACAAACCUGUCUGAGCUCACGUCUCUCUUUCGAGCUCUUUAUUUUUGCUGCUUCUCGAGCUCCAGACGUCUUCUCCUUUAAUCGAUGGAAGGGAAGGACACAAAACAAAAAUUGUACUCCACAAAUGUCAACACCAUGCCGAUCUUUAAUGCGCCUCCGUGCAAUUAAUGAUAGCAUGUGUGAGCGUGAAGAAGAAUAGCUUCUGCCUUUCCUCAUUUAUCCACAACAAGACGAAAGAAGUUCACAAAAGAUGACCAAGAAGAGGGAGAGAGUUCGGCGCCUACAUGAUAGGCUUCUGAGGCAGCAAGUGCUGACCAACUUUUUCUACGAGAAAGCAUGCACAUGGCCAUGUGCAUGCAUUUAAUGACGUAGAAGAAAUUCAGACGAUCAACCCAUAAGCCUUAUUUCGUGCUGACAAAUGAGAAGAAUCCCAUGGAUUGUAGUCUUCAUUUCCAACGUGAAGCGCAGAUCGAAAGCGGUAUCCUCUCGGCUCCUAUCACACGCCAUUUCUCCUUAAAAGCUUUGUGGACGUUCUUUCUCGUUUUGGCAUGUAUAUCGUUUUGUACGUAUCGGGUAUCGUAUAUGAAUUCAAACUCGAGAUAUAAUUUAACAAUUAAUAUUAAUAUACUAAACCAAAUACUAGACUCUGAGUUUCGAUAACUAAUAACAAUAUGUCACGUCAAAUUCAUCAAACAAUCUUACCUUCUAACAUUUUUUUUUUCUUAUUUUUAUUGUAAAAUUGAGAGCAAGCAAGACUUUAAAAUAAGAGUAACACUACAUAAACUGAGACUUUACUAGAGUUUGUCAGUAAAUGAAAUGGGACACUAUGUGCUGUGCGGCAUGUGCGGCGUGUCGUCAAAUAAGAGUGGAAUCAGCGUUAUUUUGUAAAAUGGGGAGAAGUGAUAAAUGAGGCAAGUUCAAUUAAAGGAAAUUUUGUGGCAAAAAAAUUAAAGGAAAUUUUGUCAGCCCUCUAAUAUUCCGUGCAAUGUGUAAUAUGCUUUGUUGGCUAUACUUCUUGGCCAUACUGGUAAUGAAAAUGCAUGUAUUACCCUUAACAUCAGCAAUAUGAGGCGAGGUGACGUUUGAAUAAAAGGCAAAGUCGGAAGAAGGGAAAUAUCCCCAAACCUCUGCUCUGUUCUCCUUGUUUUCUUACAAAUCUUUCUCUUCUAGGUCUAGUGACAUUGGAAGGAUAAAAUUGCAAUUUUGAUCAUAUAAGAUGAGUUGGUUCAACAAGUCUGCUCUCUAUUUGUUAUUCAAAUCCUACGGAUGAGAAAGCUUUUCCAAGGCCAUGAAGCCUUUGAUUGAAGGCUAAUGAUAUUUUGGAGACCACCAAGCAGUUUCAUUUAAGGACUAAACAAGGAAAGGGCAUGCAUGCUAGGAUAACAUACAUGUCCCAAAUUUCAUUAGUCUUCCUCUUUUUUUACGGUUAUAUGCGUUGUUAGCAUAUUCCAUUUCACUUUUUUUAUUUUUCCAAUGGGGUAAUUGUCGUCAAUUACAUGCCAUUUAUGUUGAAAUAAGUUACAUGUUUGUAUCCUCUUCUUCUUCCCAAUCGUUAUUAGAUUGAUGGGAAAUAUGAGGCACCGGUUAUUAUAUUAUGGCUUGAGUUUGAACUUGGUACGAGACCCAACUCAUUUAAAGGAUUCUGAUUUGUUCAAAAUAUGGUGUUCCUUUUUAAUCAAUAUCAUAUUUGAUUGUGGGCGGUGCUACUUAACUAUUAAAUGUAUUGAAGGUUUGGUUCUGUUGAAGAUAAAUAUCCAAGUUUAACCGAGGGAGCAAACAUUAGUCGCACUCCACUCAACGCGUCCAGUUUUAGGCCUUUUCUAAUAUCCUGAAGAAGACGUACUGCUGAAGUCUCUAUUUUAUAUCCCCGCACGAGAGGACUCUCUUUAGCGAAGAAAAAAAGGGGACGCACCAGUAACGCUUUCUUUGAUCGCACGGAGUUUUGAAAACAGUGGAUUUUGUGACGUGAGUCGAUGAGUUUAGAUGUAAUCAAGGCAUAGAAGACACUCGAACUUGCGAGUAAUUGUAACUCUAUGGUUCUCCGAGUAUCGGUGGAUUAUAGCUGCUUGCUCUUCCAGUUGCGUAAAUAUCGAUUUUUAGACCGAAUCAUGUAAAUCUCAGAAGUUCUUUAUUAUUUCUCAUUUAUUUCUCUGUAAUUUCGCAUUAAUUCAUUAAUUACAAAAUUUGGUUAGUUUCCAUAUUAUUUCACAAGUCUUCGGUCUUCAGGAGAGAGAAAGUUCACAGAACUUCCCAUGAUGGAGUUAGUCAAUAAUUGAUUUGUGAGCAGAGUAAAAGUUUAUAAAUUCAGCUCAGACUGAAAGUGGAUCAGUGGAUCACUGGACGAGAUGGGGAAACAACUAUUUCUUAUUCUCAACUUUGUUCUCUUGUGGUGGUGGAGCUCAAUCACAAUCUCCGGAUCAUACUCGCAAAACCAAACAGAUCGGCUUGCAUUAGCCUCCUUCAAAAAUGCAAUACAUGAAGACCCGUUCGGAGUCUUGAGCUCUUGGAAUGAUUCUACCCAUCAUUGUGAGUGGCAAGGUGUUUUCUGCAGCAAAAGGCAUCCUGGGAGGGUCACGUCCCUAGUCCUAAGAUCGCAAGGCUUGGAAGGCUUCCUAUCUGCUCAUAUAGGUAACCUCUCUUUCCUAAGGGUCAUGGUUUUACAGAACAACAGCUUCCGUGGCGAAAUCCAACCACAGAUCGGCAACUUGUUUCGGCUCCGUAAUCUCGAUCUUAGUAACAACUCAUUUGGCGGGCCAAUACCCUCCAAUCUUUCCCACUGCUUGAACCUUGAGAUCCUGAAUCUCAUAGAUAACCAACUUGUGGGGGGAAUUCAUUUCGAUCUUGGUUCUUUAACAAGACUUAAACAAUUGCGCUUGUCUAAGAACAGUCUUGUAGGUCCUAUUCCUCGUUGGAUUGGAAACCUCUCGCAGCUACAACAGCUCUCCCUGGCAAUAAAUGAGUUGAGCGGAGAAAUACCCAAGGAAUUGUCCAAACUCAAGAGAUUGACACUUUUCCAACUACGUUCCAACAAACUAACCGGUGAGGUUCCAACAGGGAUUUUAAACAACUCUGACCUUUAUGCAUUCGGUGUUAGUCAUAACCAGUUGCGGGGAAGUUUUCUCAAUGAUGUCGGCACCGCUUCUCCUUCUCUCUACUUCCUUGGCGCCAGCUAUAACUUGUUCACCGGGAUGAUUCCGUCAACGUUAACGAAUGCCACAGGUCUUGAAAAUCUUAUACUUUUGAACAACAAUUUCCAUGGGCCAAUACCAAAAAAUCUGGGAAGUCUAAAGGGCCUUAAUGUGAUUGCAUUGGGUUCAAACCAGUGCAGAUGACUGAGUUUUAUUUCUUNNNNNNNNNNNNNNNNNNNNNNNNNNNNNNNNNNNNNNNNNNNNNNNNNNNNNNNNNNNNNNNNNNNNNNNNNNNNNNNNNNNNNNNNNNNNNNNNNNNNCAAUCUUUCCACCAGCAUGAAGGAAAUUUAUUUGUCAGGCAAUCAGAUCGAAGGAUCUAUUCCCUUAGCCCUCGGAAAUCUCUUCAACUUGUCUGUCUUGGAUUUGAGCCAUAAUUCUCUAACCGAUUGCAUUCCUCAUUCCAUCGGAACACUUUCCAACUUGGAGUAACUUCUUUUAAGUGGUAACAUGUUUACUAGAGAGAUAGCAUCUUCGAUUGGUAACAUUACGUCAUUAGGUCACCUUGACCUUUCCUCCAACAUUUUCCAAGGCUACAUACCGCAAAGUCUUGGCAACUGUAAGCAACUAAUUGAGCUUGAUCUUUCGAAUAAUGACCUAAUUGGCUUAGUUCCUGCCGAAAUCGUGGGCCUUUCUUCCUUGUCGAUCGCGUUGAGUUUAGCAAAUAAUAAUUUAAGCGGAUCUCUUCCAUUGCAAGUUGGAUCUUUAAAGAACCUUGGCAAAUUAGAUCUGUCUUACAAUAGACUGACCGGCUUAAUCCCGGCAUCCAUCAGUGAGUGCUUGGUAUUGGAGCGACUUCACUUAGAAGCUAAUUCAUUUCAUGGUCAAAUCCCUGAAGCUUUACGUCCAUUACGGGGUCUACAAGAGCUGGACCUUUCCAAUAAUAAUUUUUUUGGUCCAAUCCCAAGCUUUCUCGCAGAGCUCCCACUACUCGAGUACUUGAAUUUAUCCUUCAAUCAACUAGAAGGACGAGUUCUAGAGCGGGGAGUUUUUCUUAAUGCAAGUUCUGUAUCGAUUUAUGGAAAUACGAAACUCUGUGGAGGUGUUCCCAGUCUAAAGCUACCUCUCUGCAAAUCAUCAAGCUCUAAGAAGUCUUCUUCAACCAAGGCUAGAGUAAUAUAUGGGGUAGCUGGCAGUUUGUUAUGUUUAGCUUUGUUGCUCCUAUGUCUGUCUAUCUUUUACCACAAAAAGAAGCAGACGACAACCAUUGCCUCCACUUCAUUAUCUUUUGAGAACCAAUUCUUGAGGAUUUCUUAUGAAGAACUCCUGAGAGUGACUAAUAGAUUCUCUGAGACCAAUUCGAUUGGUAAAGGGAGAUACGGCACGGUUUUUAAGGGGAUUCUUGAUGGCGGUGCCAUGGUGGCAAUAAAGGUGCUCAAUCUAAUGCAAAGAGGUGCUUUGAGGAGUUUUAUCUCCGAAUGUCGAACUCUAGGAACCAUUAGACACCGAAACCUCGUGAAGAUAUUAAGUGUCUGUUCGGGCGUGGACUUUCGUGGCAAUGACUUCAAAGCUCUAAUAUAUGAGUUCAUGGCUAAUGAGAGCUUGGAGGAGUGGCUGCACCUUGGGACUAUGGGACGAGAUGAUGAGUGUAAUGAAUCAAGAAAUUUGAGCCUAGUGCAGAGGUUAAACAUCGCCAUCGACAUAGCUACUGCAAUCGAAUAUCUCCACAAGGGUUGUUAUCCAGCAAUCGUUCAUGGAGAUUUGAAGCCAAGUAAUGUGCUUUUGGACAAUGACAUGGUGGCUCGAGUUGGAGAUUUUGGGCUUGCAAAGAUCAUUUCAACAGUGUGUGUCGAAGCCACAGGAGUUCAAGACCAGGGUAGUUCAACUUCAACCGCAGUCAGAGGAUCCAUUGGCUAUGUGCCUCCUGGUAUGAAAUUGUCAUAUUUUCUCGAUUAUUUGUUAUUUGAUUGCGAUAGUAAUAUGAGAGUGCCAAAAGUUUGAAUAAACAAUGAUUCUUGACGUUAUGUUAUGUUUUGUAUGCUCAGACACCUCUUUCUCACAGCUCAAUUUCUCUUUCCCCUAUUAAUAGCAUCCGCAGAAAAAGAAAAUACAUAUCUUUUUGUACAAAAAGAUUACUAGUAGCUUGUCCUAAUCGUAUUUGAAACUAAGAUGAGAAUGAACCAUUGUAAUUUUGACCAAUGAGUGGAAAAUGUUUGGACAAAACUUGUGAAUCCAUGCGAACAAAUAGAUUAAGCAUAUUGAGUCAUCUCAUAUAAAUAUUUUCUUUCUAUAAUAAGUAUUUUGUCUCACAUAACGUUCAUGCCACUAAAAUGGAUUGCGAUUCUCUUUUGGUAUGUUAUGACUUAAGGUCUUGACAAUAAAUAAUUUUUCCUUCAUGGCAGACCCUUUCAUGACCUAUAAUUUAAUAUUUGAAAGAUAUAUUAGAUGACAUGACAUUUACGCUAGAAAUUAUUGGAGGAUACACUAAUUGACAACAUGAUGAACUCUAUCCAACUUUCACUUUCCCUAAACUUCUUGGUUAGAGCAUAUUAAGACAAAUUUAUGCAUUGACAAGUAUAAAUCCAUCACCGUCGACAAAUCACUCUAAGUCUCUUCUUUUUCCCCCACUGUGUUCGUUUUUUGCCUGUUCUUCUAGGCAAUUUUUCUUCUCGUCUUUGCAUAAAAGAAAGUAUGGUAUAGGUAUCAAACAAAAUCUGGAUCAUGAAAAUGACAAGCCCCACGUGGAUCUCACAUGUUUCCACUCAAAAAACCGGCGAUUCAAAUUUAGUUAACACAUAAACUUCUACCAAGGCCUUCAUCUAACAUAUUUUCUUCUUUUUCCUGUUUUCACCCGUACCUUACUAGAGGACAAAGCCACUCUUGAUGUUUAGGCAAUUUGUGUUGCAAACAUACGACAACUUUGGUUGCACUUAGUAGUUUUGGAGAAGAAGAGUUAUUAUGUUGUUAAUUGAUCUUUGGUGCACUUUAUAUAUUCUAAUAUCUCAUUUCUCUUCUGUUGAUGCACUUCUCAACGAUUGAUGCACUUUAUAAGAGUUCGUACGACAGGCACUAGACAUCAGCCAUGUACAGAAAACUAAACAAAAAUUAAAUAGGGAGAAAUGAAAGCUAAAAACCAGUAGGGGCUUUGGGACCCUUUGCCUUGCUCUGGCAGACGAUCCAUUGGCUUCUGCCGCGCAUGGCAAGCCCGACAGAGAAGUUAGUGAGGGCUUGCAAGGCAUCGCCUUAUGUUGGUAGCGAUUGGUGCGAGCCCUCACAACUAUCCUUGGCAAGCUCUUGCAAAUAGACAUCAAGCAAAAUCCCAUGUGAUUUAGGAACUUUUUCUAUACAAUUAAUUCAAGAAAAAGUGUCUAUUCAUUCCUAUCUAAUGUCUUGAUGAAAUUUGCAGAGUAUGGCAUGGGACACAAGGUUUCCACACUUGGAGAUGCAUAUAGUUACGGCAUUCUAUUAUUGGAGAUGUUCACUGGCAAAAGACCCACCGAAGAGGCCUUUGGGCACCAUCUUAACCUCCACAACUUCGUCCGAACGGCUCUUCCAGAUCGGGCAAUGGACAUCGUAGACUUAAGCCUUUUGAGUGAAGCUGGUGAUCGACAACAGGAGAUCAAAAUCAGAGAUUGCAUUUUCUCCAUAUUCGAAGUUGGAGUUGCAUGUUCGAUGGAAUCACCGCCGGAUCGGAUGGAUAUGACUGAGGCGAUCAGGAAAUUACACUUGAUCAAGGCAAGUUACGAAGCCAAAGAGAGGAGGAUAGGUAUGUAGUUAAAUCAAUUUUCUCAUUUCAUAUUGGAACUCCUUCACUAGUAGAGAAAAUCAUCUUGCAAAGGUAGCGCUAGCAAAUUGACAUGAACGUCUCCCUCACUAGCCUGCCUACCCACACCCAUUAUGUGUAAUUUUUUUAUAAUUACACCAAUAUCUAUAUUUAAUAAUCAUAGAAAGUGGAUGUAUGGAGUUAAAGUCUAUCUAUUUAUACCAAGUAACCGUGUAAAAGUUGAUGAAUUUUCUUAUUUGUUCGGUUCUCUUCAUUUCUGAUGCCAUUGUGGAUUGAUGCAUUGCUUAAUUACCAUGGCUGGGUCAUUGCCCUUGCCCCUCUCUCUCUGCACGCUUGUGUACUAAUAUGUGACCUCACUGUGAGGUCACAAGCUCAAGGUCAACUCUUAAUGUCAUGCUUAACUAAGAGCCCGCGGUCAAUUGGAGACCAAGCUUGAUCAAAUCCAAAAACAAGGAGAGGGAGGCAACCUCAUUAGAAGAUCAUGAACUCAAGGCCUACUCUUAAUGUCGCCAUUGAGAGUGAACUCACUGUCAAUUGGAAACCAUGCUUGAUCAAAUUUGGGUGACGUUACCAUCAAAAUUAUGUUGUGGUCAUGUUGCCGACACCAGCUGCCACCGUGUGUGACCCAUACCUCUUCUCCAGACCUCCUUUUCUUUUAUCUUUUUUAUUUGCUAUGUCAUCAAAUUACAAAGUUUUUAUUUUUACUUUUUUUUGGUUGAUAGAGAUAUAGUGUUAACAAAGGCAUAAAUGGGACAAGAUCAAAAAAGGGAACAUGGAUGCAUAUAUGUUGCACUUGUCAAUGUGCUUAUCACAUUGUCUAAUUAUCCUUGUCAAGUCUUCCCACUCAACCAACCCCGUCUCUUUCUUCACCAUUAGCCAUUGUCUCUGGCCGUUGCAGCCAAUUGUCAUCACAGUCGGCUCCCCCACGUCUCGCCGCUUUCUCCUUCGUGUCAUCCACAACCAUCUUUGCUCUCUCUAUUUGCUGACCCAACACUCUCCCUCACUCUCUCUCUUCCCUCACCACCAAAUCUCUGUGAGGUCUCGGCACUACCUUUGAUGACCUGAUCUGGCCAUGGCCUUGAGAUCUCACCAAGAUCUUAGUGGACAGGCCAGAUAAGGGGCAGGCGUCCCUAGAUCUGGAGACGACCCUCUAACCUCAUCACUGUCGACAACUUAAUCGUAUGACUAGGGGAGCUUGAUGCGAGGUCUUGAGACCAGCCAGAGGCUUGAUGCGAGGUCUUGAGACCAGCCAGAGGCAUGAAAUUGACGUUUAGGCAGCUCAGCCACCCUUAGAGAGAGAGAGAGAGAGAAAGAGAGAGAGAGAGAGAGAGAGAGAGAGAUUGGUGUUGGGAUUUUGAGAAGUAAUGGUGUAAGGAGUGAAAUUAAUAAAGAGAGAAUCGUGUCUUGGUUUGGUGUUGGAGACAACGGAUAGGUACCCAUGUCAUCAAAUAAGUGUGGAAUUAGGAUUAGAAUGGAGAUUGUCAAAAGAGGGAAAGAGAUAAAUUGAGCAAGAUCAAUUAAAAGAAAUUUAGUUUUCUAUUCCACCAUAAUUUCUUCUCAAAAUUACACAGUGCUCUCAACCAUCAUUAGGAGUUGCCAUUCAAGUUUGUCUGACAAUCGUUGAAGAAAUUCGAUGAUGCCUUCCAUAUAGACAAUCCAACAAAUCUAGAGAUGGCCCCAUGGAUUCACGACAUGCUUUUCACCAUUUAGCACUUUGCCUCUUUACAAGCUUCAAGAAAUAGCUCCCGAGGUGUAGGACUUUGUCCCACAUAACAUUUAGUUCUAGGGGUGGAAAAAAGAAGAAGAUCUAAAGAACAAUUUGGCCUAGAUCAUACGGCCGACUUUUUCAGGUUUGAAGUGGCCGAGGCUGAAAUUUAGGAUUCCUCCUUAUUCUUUUUCGAGCCAAUCCGCACCUUCAGCUUUAGCAUCUCCGGGAUCUCAGGACUAAUGUGGAUCGAACUGGUCAAAUUAUACAUUAAAACUAAAAAAUAUGAUCAUAAUCAAAAGAUUAAUAAUUAAUAAUAGAAGAUGUUUAAAAAUUACUCCAAACACUUGAAUAAACUCUUAAGUAAUUUAUAACAUUAACAUAUAAAAAAUGACUUUUGAGGCCCAAAAUAUAAUAACUAAUCUAUUUUUAAUUCAUAAAAAAUGAAACAAAAAUCCACUAAAAAUAUUAAACUAUAAUUUUUUCCCAAAAAAUAGGCUCUCUAGUCUCUCUUCUCCUCAUUGGUACCAUGGAUAGUGCGUUGUAUUAAACAGUGACAAAGAGGUCAGAUUGCUUUUCACAGAAUGAUCCAGAGCUUUAGCGAAUCAAUUAGAAUAUUUUAAUGCAAAAAUCAAUUGUAAUUUUCUUGAAUCCAAGUGCACGGGACGCAAUCUCUUUUCACGACAUGACUCAUGUACAUUUCUUUUGAGGGGCCAAAGGAAGUUCCCAAUGGCUUUGAUGACUUGAGCAGGAAAAGUAUUGGACUAGUUGCAUGAUGCGCACCGCGCUCAAGAACUAUAAAAAUGAUUUUUGUUUCAAUAAUCAUAAAGAUCCCGACACUCGCGCAUCACACCACGAUUAAAGAAAUUAAAAAUAAAAACUUUUUCUAUAAUAAAAGUGAGUUUUGCUUUCACAUUUCUAGAUUGAAAAGAUGCCCAAAAUCCAUUUCAUUCGACCAGAAAAAAGAAAUUGUUGGGUGACUUUUUCAUUCAAAAAGAGAUUAUGUGGAAAAUCUUGGCCUUUUGGAAAAGGAGAAAAAAGAAAGUUAUUAUACAAAAAGUUAGUUGAUUGGUCAUGUAAUGAUUUGAUCUUUGUGUUCAUAUUGACCAAGUAAAUAUUAUUAAACUGUGCUACAUUGCAAACUAUAAAUGGACAAUAAACCAUAUUUAAUAAUAAUAUGCCACAUUACUUACUAUACCAAAUAUAUAAAACAGUCUAAGUGUUGGACGUUCUCUUUCUUGUUUCUGUGGUCAAAGUGAAAACAAACCAAACCUUAAAAUAUGAAUAACACUACACGUACUAAGACUUUACUAAAUUAAAUGGCGUGCUAUCCCCGUGUGAUCAGUUAAGUGUGGAAUCAAAAUAGAAAUAAUAUUUGUAAAAAAGGGGAAAAUAUAAGUUUUAAAACAUGUCUGCACUUUUUAAAAGUCUUAGGAUUCAAUUGCACUUUGUUACCAAGUUUUAGGACUCAGUUACACAUUUCGAAAGCUUUAGAACUAAAUUGCACUUUCGUGAUAAAUUUUAGAACAUCCAAUGCACUUAUCCCUAAUUGAUCCUACCCCAUUCAUGUUUAUUUUCCUUUUUAAUAUAAUCGUCAGUUUGGUCGCCGACUUCACACCAAUUUGAUGGUAUGUCGCAAGCCACACAGCCGCCUUGUCAGUUAGUAAGAACUUUCUAGUAAAGUACCUUUGACAUUACUCUUGAAAUACUUGUAUCACUAUGCCCACUAAAACAUUACAUCUCUAGACACUUCAUAUGUUGAGGAAAUGCAGUGGGUUCAUGUCAAUUAGUUCUUAAUUGGGGUGGUUAAUUUCCACAUGGUACUUACAUAAUCUAAACUUAAUUGGACUCACAUGAGUCCAAUGGACAUACUACCUCGAUGAACACAUUGACCAAGAACUCUUGAGGUUUCCUAAUCAGAAUAUUUCUCAUAAACAAGUUCAAUAGUUUGUUAGGACUGUCAAUUAUCUUAGAACUUUCGUCCCAAAAGUCUCUAAAUUUUUGCACCCCUUGCAAAUAAACAUAUAACAAAAAGAAUUUUGAGGGCCAAAAUAAUUUUAUUUCAUAAAAACGAAAAAAUCCAAAAAAAAUUUGGGUAAAUAUAUUAAACUAUACUUUUUUCCCCAAAAAAAUAGGCUCUCUAGUCUCAUUGUCCCCUCGUCGGUACCAUGGGUAGUUUGUUGUAUUAAACAGAGCGAAGAGGUCAGAUUACUUUUCCCAGAAUGAUCCAAAGCAUCAGCAAAUCAAUCAGACCAUUCUAAUGUGAAAAUCACUUUUAGUUUUCUUGAAUCCAAGUGCACGGUACGCAAUCUCCUUUCAUUGAGGGGCCAAGGGAAAAUCCCAAAUGCUCUUUUGAUCACUCGAGCAAGAAAAGCAUUGGACUAAUGGCACGAUGUACCGCACUCGAGAAUUAUAAAAAUGAUUUUUGCUUCAAUAAUGAUAAAGAUCACGACACUCGCACCUCCCACCAUGAUUAUAGAAAUUAAAAAAUAUAUAUAUUACGUUUGCUGUUGUAAAAGUGACUUUUGCUUUCACAUUUCUAGAUUGAAAAGAUUCCAAAACCCAUUUCAUUCGAACAGAAAAACAAAUUUUAAAAAAAAAAAAUUUUGGAUGACUUUUCCAUUCAAAAAGAAAUUUGUGGAAAAUAUUUGCCUUUCAAAAAAGGAAACAAUGAGAUUUGAACAAUCUUUCAAAGAAAAAAACGAAUGCAGGGUCUCACAACCCCCUACCACGCACGGCGAGCCUGGUGAAAAACUCUUUUGAAGAACAAAAUCCCAUGUGAUUUUGGAAUUAUUUCUAUAUAAUUAUUUAUAAGAAAAAAGUACAUCGUGUAUUCCUAUUUAGUGCCUUCAUGAAAAUUUUCGGAGUGUAGCACUAGACACAAGGAUUAACAGUUGGGGAUGCAUACAGUUACGGCAUUUUGUUGUUGGAGGUGUUCACCAGAAAGAGCCUAACUGCGGAGGACUUUGGGCCCAUUUUUACCUGCAUAGCUUCGUCCAAAUGGCUCUUCCCAACUGAUUGAUGGAUGUCGUAGACUUGAGGCUUUUAAGUGAAGCUGGUGAUCAACAUCAGGAGAUUAGGAUCCGAGAUUGCACGAUUUCCAUGUUAGAAAUUGGAGUCUCAUGCUCAAUGAAAUCACCGCAAGACCGGAUGGAUGUGACCGAGGCAAUCAAGGAAUUAUAUUUGAUCAAGCCGAGUUACGAAACCAGAGAGUGACAUAUAGGCAUGUAGGAAAGUAAAUUUGUCGCUUUAUUUUAGAACUCUUUCACAGUGGCAUGGAUAUGCUCUAAGUAAUCCACCUACCCGUAUUUACAUAUCAUACAAGGUGGAUGUCUGUCAGCCAUUUAACCAUGUAAAAUUUGAAGAAUUUGCUUUCUGAACAGUUCUCUUCACUGGUGCCACUGUAUACCAUAUGAUCAAUACACUGCCUUGUUACCCAAAUUAUGUGGUCAAUUCAUUAUCAGCAAUUUAAUGGCAUGUUGCCAUUUUAUUUGGGAAAAUUAAAUGACGGGUUAAUAAUUUUGGGAGGUUGUUGAGUUGGUCAAAGGCUCGAUAUCAAACUAUACUGCUUACGAUAGCAAUUUUAGGAGGGUUCUGCUUGCUUAACACAAGUGUGAUUUAACCUUCACGGACCACUUCACUACCCAGCAAACUCCGUCUUGAAAGCAACUUGUGCAAAAGCCGUUAUGCGUUAGCUCAUUUGUUUUCUUGCUCGUUAGCAUUAACAUUUGAUUGCAGUUUAGCCUUGACAAAACAUAGAAAGGGCUUUUCUUGCUUGUUUGAGAUCAAAGUAGACUUUCUUCGGGAAAAUUGUCCAAAAAGUACUGAACUCAUUGCACUUUUACCAAUUUAUUCCUAAACUUUUCAAUUUUGUCAAUGGACUCAUAAACCUUUCAACAUUUUGCUAAUUGAGUCUAUCUGGCUACUUUUGGCUGGAAUUCACUGAUGUGGAUGCUAACCAUUUUACGUGAUACGGUUAGUGCCGACAAGGACCAAAUUUAUUAAUUUUUUAAUGUUUUUUCAAAAUUUUUUAUGUUUUUAAUUAUUUUUCUCUUUCAUUUUUCUCCUUUUCUUCCUUUGGCCGGUCGCCCAGCCUCCGACGAUCGGCUAGAGGCCAUGACCGAUGAGACUCAACCUUGCCGAGAUCUUGCUAGGGACGAGGUAGGGUGACCAACCAAAGGCCACCGGUUAGGGGCAGCCUCACUGGGAUCUGGCCAAGGGCAACCUCGCUUGGAUUGGGCGAGGCUCACCCUUGCCAAAGGCCAAUGAGGGUCAGUCUUCAUCUUUGACGAGGCCGACUUCACUAGCCUUUGACAAGAUUGACCCUCACUGGCCUUCGGAAAUUGAAUUCCAUUUGAUUGUUUAUCAUUUCUUUGUCAAAACAAAAAUUCAUCCUUUCCCCAGUUGGUGAAAUUUAAAGCCAAAAUAGUUUUUCAUCCUCAACUUGUUUGAUGGGUACAAUGGCUUCCAAAAUACUCUUUUGAAACCAAAUUCAUUAGAGGAGAACAUCCUUGUAGAUCUUCUUUCAAGACCUAAGGUGAAAAGAACCCCAGGAAGGAGAUUUGCCCAAUGUCCUCACUCAAAACCACAGCACUUUCCUUGUCAGACGGCAUUUUUCUCCAUGUAAUAACACUAAAUGAUAAACAUAUUGGAAGUGUGAAUACAUUGAAAAUUUGGGCCUCCUUCCUUCGUUGGAACUCUGGCUCCGACACAGUAGUACCUUGUUUGUAGAUAGAUUGUAGCUAGAAUUUCGGUAGUACAUAACAACUUGUAAGGAGCUCUUCUAUCUGAAUUUUUCCCCUAAUAAAUAAAGUCUCGUGAACUUGCCGUUUGGAGAGAAUAUUUGUAAUUUGUAAAUAUAGUCGAGCGUGUUUUUAAUUGAGUGAGAUCGAUUGAAGACACUGGAUGUAAUAAUGAGCUGGGCCAGCAACGAGAAGAACAUAAUAAAAUGCAUUCGAUGGAAUGUUCAGUCUUCGUCUCCAUGGACUUCUUAAUCCUCCCGUAGUAGACGGGGAACAUGAAGCACUAUUUGUCCUUUAUUUGGCUUUGUCUCCCUUUCUUCUUUAUUAUUACUCUCAACUUCUUUUAUGGCGUUUCCUAUUAGAUGAUGCUAUGCUAUAUAUUAAUAUUAAUAUACUAAACCGCAUAGCAGACUAUGAGUGGACUAUAAGUCAUAUUUGAUAAAUAAUAACAAUAUGUCACGUCAAAUUCAUAAAACAAUCUUAGUAUUUGACAUUUCUUUUUUCUUAUUUUUUUUGUAAAAUUGAAAGCAAGCAAGACGUUAAAAUAAGAGUAGCACUACAUGUAUUGAGACUUUACUAGAGUUUCUUGGUAAAUGAAAUGUGGCACUAUGUGCUGUGCGGCAUGUUGUCAAAUAAGAGCGGAAUCCGCAUUAGUUUGUAAAAGGGGGGAAAGUGAAAAAUUGGGCAAGUUUGAUUAAAGGAAAUUUUAUGGCAAAAAAAUUAAAGGAAAUUUUGUCAGCCCUCUAAUAUUCCAUGCUAUCUGUAAUAUGCUUUAUUGGCUAUACUUCUAGGCCAUACUGGUAAUGAAAAUGCAUGUAUAACCCUUAACAUAAGCUAUACGAGGCAAGGUAACGUUUGAAUAAAAGGCAAAGUCGGAAGAAGAGAAAUAUUCCCAAACCUCCGCUCUGUUCUCCUUGAUGUUAUUACAAAUCUUUCUCUUCUAGGUCUAGUGAUGUUGGAAGGAUAAAAUUCCAAUUUUGAUCAUAUAAGAAAGUUGGUCCAACAAGUAUGCUCUCCAUUUGUUAUUCAAAUCCUAUGGAUAAGAAAGCUUUCUCGAGACUGUAAAGCCUUAAGAUGAAGGCUAACGAUAUUUGGGGACCAUCAAGCAGUUUCAUUAAAGGACUAAAAGAGAAAAAGGCAUGCACGCCGGAAUAACAUACAUGUCCCGAAUUUCAUUAAUCUUCCUCUUAUUUUAUUGUUAUAUGCGUCAGUGUGUUCCAUUUCUCUUUUUUCAUUUUUCCUGUGGGGUAACUAUCAUCAGUUACAUGCAUUUUCUGUUGGGAUAGUGACAUGUCCCUAUCCCGUUCCUCUUCCCAAUCUUUACUAAAUUGAUGGGAAAUAUGAGGCACCAGAUGUUAAAUUAUGGUUUGAGUUUAAACUAGAUACGAGACCCAACUCAUUUAAAGGAUUUUGAUUUGUUUAAAAUAUGAUAUUCCCUGAUAAUCAGCAUCAAAUUUUGAUUUGUUGGGUGAUGCUACUUAACUAUUAUAUGUAUUGAAGGUUUGGUUCCAUUGAAGAUAAAUAUCCAAAUUUAACGGACGGAGCAAACAUUAAUCGGACUCAGCUCAAAGCGUACGGUUUUGGCCUUAUCUAAUAUCCCGAAGAAGACGUAUUGCUGAAGUCUCUAUUUUAUAUACCCGCACGAGAGGACUCUCUCUUUAGCCAAGAAAAAAAAGGGGACGUACCAGUGACGCUGUCUAUGUUCACACGAAGUUCUAAAAACGGUGGAUUUUGUGACGUCAGUCGCAUAAUGAGUUGUUCUAUUAAUAAACACUGUUAGUUUAGAUGUAAUCAAAGUGUGCGUGGAAAUCACUUGAACUUGCAAGUAAUUAUAACUCUAUGAUUCUCUGAUUAUCAGUGAAUUAUAGUUGCUUACUCUUCCAGUUGCAGAGGUAUUGAUUUUCAAACCGAACCACAGAAUUCUCAAGAGUUCUUCACUGUCUCUCGUUUAUUUUUCUGGUGUUGCAUUAAUUAAUUACAAAAUUUGGUUAGUUUCCACAUUAUUUCACAAUAAUUUAUUCAGUCUUCGGUCUUCAGUCUUCAAGAGAGAGAAAGCUUACGGAACUUCCAAUGAUGGAAUUAGUCAAUAAUUGAUUUGUGCAUAGAGCGGAGGUUUAUAAAUUCAGCUCAGACUCAAAAGUCGAUCACUGGACAAGAUGGGGAAACAAUUGUUUCUUAUUCUCAACUCUAUUAUCUUGAACUCUAUUAUCUUGUGGAGGUGGAGCUCAAUCACAAUUUGCAGAGCAUACUCGCAAAACCAAACGGAUCGGGUAGCGUUAGCCUUCUUCAAAAACGCAAUACAUGAAGACCCACUUGGAGUCUUGAGCUCUUGGAAUGAUUCUACUCAUCAUUGUGAGUGGCAAGGUGUUUUGUGCAGAAAAAGACAUCCUGGGAGGGUCACAUCCCUUGUCCUAAGAUCACAAGGCUUGAAAGGCUUCCUAUCGCCUUAUGUAGGUAACCUCUCUUUUCUGAGGGUUAUAAUUCUGCAAAACAAUAGCUUUCAUGGUGAAAUCCCACCACAGAUCGGCAACUUGCUUCGGCUUCGUGUUCUUUAUCUUAGUAACAACUCAUUUGGUGGGCUAAUACCCUCCAAUCUUUCCCGCUGCUCGAACCUCGAGAUCCUGAAUCUCGUAGAUAACCGACUUGUGGGGGGAAUUCAUUCUGAUCUUGGUUCUUUAACAAGACUUAAACUCUUGGGCUUGUCUACGAACAGUCUUGUAGGUCCUAUUCCUCAUUCGAUUGGAAACCUCUUGCUGCUACGACAACUCUCCCUGGCAAAUAAUGCGUUAAGCGGAGAAAUACCCGAGGAAUUGUCCAGACUCGAGAGAUUGAUACUUUUCCAACUAUCUUCCAACAAACUAAUCGGUGAGGUUCCAGCAGGGAUUUUAAACUUCUCUGACAUUACUAUAUUCAGUGUUGCUUAUAACCAGUUGUGGGGAAGCUUUCUCAAUGAUGUUGGCACCACUUCUCCUUCUCUCUAUUUCCUUAGCACCACCGAUAACUUGUUCACCGGGAUGAUUCCAUCAACGUUAACGAAUACCACAGGUCUUAGAGAGCUUUACCUUGACCACAACAAUUUCCAUGGGCCAAUACCGAAAAAUCUGGGAAGGCUAAAGGGCCUUUAUUUCAUUUCAUUUUGUUAUAACCACCUGCAGGAUGACUUGAGUUUUAUUUCUUCUUUAGUUAAUUGUUCCAACUUAAAUGCUAUUGCGGUGCGAGGGAACUUGAUUCACGGAUCGUUGCCGAAAUCCUUCUGCAAUCUCUCCACCAGCAUUCACCGAAUUGAUAUGCUAGAAAAUCAGAUCCAGGGAACUCUUCCUUCAGCCAUUGGAAAUCUCUUCAACCUGUCUGCGUUGGGUUUAUCGAAUAAUUUUUUAAUCAGUCGCAUUUCCGAUUCCAUCGGAGGACUUUACAAGUUGCAACAACUUGUUUUGGCUGGCAACAUGUUGACUGGAGAGAUACCGUCUUCAAUUGGUAACAUUACAUUGUUAAAUCUCCUUGACCUUUCCUUCAACAUUUUCCAAGGCUACAUACCGCAAAGUCUCGACAAUUGCAAGCAACUAAUUGGGCUUGAUCUUUCGAACAAUAACCUAAUUGGCUCAGCUCCUGUCGAAAUCCUAAGUCUUUCUUCCUUGACAAUCGUCCUUAGUAUAGCAAAUAACAAUUUAAGUGGAUCUCUUCCAUUGCAAGUUGGAUCUUUAAAGAAUCUUGGCAUAUUAGAUUUGUCUCACAACAGAUUGACUGGCUUUAUUCCAACGUCCAUCAGCGAGUGCUUGGUAUUGGAACUACUUCACUUAGAAGCUAAUUCUUUUCAUGGUCAAAUCCCCGAAGCUUUACGUCCAUUACGGGGUCUAUAGGAGCUGGACCUUUCCAAUAAUAACUUUUCUGGUCCAAUCCCGAGAUUUCUCGCAGGGCUUUCACUACUCGAGUACUUGAAUUUGUCCUUCAAUCAACUAGAAGGACAAGUUCCAGAGGGUGGAGUUUUUCUUAAUGCAAGUUCUGUAUCGAUUUAUGGAAAUACGGAACUCUGUGGAGGUGUUCCUAGUCUGAAGCUUCCUCUUUGCAAAUCAUCAAGCUCUAAGAAGUCUUCUUCAACCAAGGCUAUAGUAAUAUAUGUGGUAGCUGGUAGUUUGUCAUGUUUAGCUUUGUUGCUCCUAUGUCUGUCUAUCUUUUACCACAAAAAGAAGCAAACGACAACCAUUGCCUCCACUUCAUUAUCUUUUUCGAGAACCAAUUCUUAAGGAUUUCUUAUGAAGAACUCCUGAGAGCGACUAAUAGAUUCUCUGAGACCAAUUUAAUUGGUAAAGGGAGAUAUGGCACGGUUUAUAAGGGGAUUCUUGAUGGUGGUGCCACGGUGGCGAUAAAGGUGCUCAAUCUAAUGCAAAGAGGUGCUUCAAGGAGCUUUAUCUCCGAAUGUCAAACUCUAGGAACCAUUAGACACCGAAACCUCGUGAAGAUACUAAGUGUCUGUUUGAGCGUGGACUUUUGUGGCAAUGACUUCAAAGCUCUAAUAUAUGAGUUCAUGGCUAAUGAGAGCUUGGAGGAGUGGCUCCACCUUGGAACUAUAGGACGAGAUGACGAGCGUAGCGAAUCGAGAAAUUUGAGACUAGUGCAAAGAUUAAACAUCGCCAUCGACAUAGCUACCGCGAUGGAAUAUCUUCACAAGGGUUGCUAUCUAGCCAUCGUCCAUGGAGAUCUGAAGCCGAGUAAUGUGCUUCUGGACAACGACAUGAUGGUUCGAGUUGGAGAUUUCGGGCUUGCAAAGAUCAUUUCAACGGUGUCUACCAAAGUCAUAGGAGUUCAAGACCAGGGUAGUUCAACUUCAACCGCAGUCAGAGGAUCCAUUGGCUAUGUGCCUCCUGGUAUGAAACUGUCAUAUUUUCUUGAUUAGUUUUUAUUUGAUUGCGAUAGUAAUAUGUGAGUGCCAAAAGUUUAACUAAACAAUUAUUUUUGACGUUAUGUUAUGAUUCGUAUGCUCUAACACCUCUUUCUCACAACUCAAUUCCUCUUUCCAGUAUUAAUAGCUUCCGCAUAAAAAGAAAUACGUAUCUUUUUGUAUGAAAAGAUUAAUAGUAGCUUGCCCUAAUCAUAUUUUAAAUUAAGAUGAGAAUAAACCAUCGUAAAUUUUUAGACAAAACUUGUGAAUCCAUGUGAAUAAAUAGAUUAAGCAUAUUAAUUCAUAUUUUGUCUGAUAUAAAGUUCAUGCCAUUAACACAGAUUGCGAAUCUCUUUUGGAAUGUUAUGACUUAAGGUCUUAACAAUAAGUAAUUUUUCCUUUACAGCAGACCCUUUCAUGACCAAUAAUUUAAUAUUAGAAAAAUAUAUUAGAUGACAUGACAUUUAUGCCAGAAACCGUUGGAGGAUAAACUAGUUGACAACACGAUGGGCUCUACCCAACUAUCACUUUCCCUAAACUUAUUGGUCAGAGCAUAUUAAGACAAAUUUAUGCAUUUACAAGUAUAAAUCCAUCACCGUCAACAAAUCACUCUACGUCUCUUCUUUUCCCCCCACUGUGUUCAUUUUUUGCCUGUUUGUCUUGGCAUUUUCUUCUCAUCUUGCAUAAAAGAAAGUGUGGUAUAGGUAUUAAACAUAAUUUGUAUCAUGAAAAUGAUGAGCCUCACUUGGAUCCCAUAUGUUUCCAGUUAAAAAAACCAACUAUUCAAAUUCAAUUAACACAUAGACUUCUGCCAAGGCCUUCACCCAACAUAUUUUCUUCUUUUUCAAUUUUCACCCGUAUCCUACUAAGGGACAAAGCCACUUUUGAUGUUUAGGCAAUUUGCAUAGCAAACAUGUGACAACUUUGGUCACACCUAGUUGUUUUGGAGAAGAAGAGUUUAUAUGUUGUUAACUGACCUUUGGUGCACUUUAUGAAUUCUAAAAUCAUCUUUCUCUACUGUUGAUGCAUUUCUCAAUGGUUAAUGCAUUUUAUAAGAGUUCACACAAUAGGCGCUAAACAUCAGCCAUAUACAGUAAACUAAAUGAAAAUUAAACAUAGAGAAAUGAAAGCAAAAAACCAGUUGGGGGCUUUGGACCCUCUGCCUUGCUCCAGCAGAGGAUCCCUUGGCCUCUGCCAUGCAUAGCGGGCCUGAUUGUGAAGUGAGUGAGGACUUGCAAGCCAUCUCUCUAUGUUGGGUGUGAUAGGCGCGAUCCUUCACAAUUUUCUUUGGCAAGCUCUUGCAAAUGGACAUCAAGCAAAAUCCCAUGUGACUUAGAAGCUUUUUCUAAACAAUUGACUUCAAGAAAAAGUGUAUGUUUGUUCCUAUUAAUGUCUUGAUGAAAUUUUCAGAGUAUGGCAUGGGACACAAGGUUUCCACACUUGGGGAUGCAUACAGUUACGGCAUUCUAUUAUUGGAGAUGUUCACAGGAAAGAGACCCACUGAAGAGGCCUUUGGGCACCAUCUUAACCUCCACAACUUUGUCCGAAUGGCUCUUCCGAAUCGAGCAAUGGACAUUAUAGACUUAAGGCUUUUGAGUGAAGCUGGUGAUCAACAACAAGAGAUGAAAAUCAGAGAUUGCAUUAUCUCUGUAUUCGAAGUUGGAGUCGCAUGUUCGAUGGAAUCACCGCCGGAAUGGAUGGGCAUGACUGAGGCAAUAAGGAAAUUACACUUGAUCAAGGUGAGUUACGAAGCCAAAGAGAGGAUGAUAGGUAUGUAGCUAAAUCGGUUUUCUCAUUUCGUCUUGGAACUUUUUCACUAGUAGAGAAAAUCAUCGUGCAAAUGUAGUGCUAGCAAAGUUACAUGAAUGUCUCCCUAGCUAGUCUACCUACCCAUACUUAUUAUGUGUGUUUUUUUAUAAUUGCAUUUUAUAAUCGUGGAAAGUGGAUGUAUGGAGUUAAGUCCACCUAUUUCCACCAAGUAAUCAUGUAAAAUUUGAUGAAUUUGCUUAUUUGCCUGGUUCUCUUCAUUUCCGAUGCCAAUGUGGAUCGAUGCAUUGCUUAAUUAUCAUGGUUGGGCCAUUGCCCUUACCUCUCUCUGCGCAUGCUUGUGUAUUAGAAUGUGACCUCACCGUGAGGUCACGAGCUCAAGGCCAACUCUUAAUGUCGUGCUUAAACGAGAGCCCACGGUCAAUUGGAGAUCAAGCUUGAUCAAAUCCAAAGGCAAGGAGAGGGAGGCAACCUUAUCACAAGAUCAUGGGGUCAAGGUUAACUCUCGAUGUUGCUGUUGAGAGUGACCUCACUAUCAAUUGGAAGCCAUGCUUGAUUGAAUUUGGGCGAUGUUGCCGAUGAAAUUAUGUUGUGGUCAUGUUGCCAAUGCCAACAGCCAUCAUGUGAGACCCCCCUACCUCCUCUCCAAACCUCCUUUUCUUUUAUCUUUUUUCUUUGCUAUGGCAUCAAAUUACAGACUUUUUUUUUUUGGUCGAUAGAGAUAGAGAGUUAACAAAGACAUAAAUGGAACAUGAUCGAAAAGGGAACAUGGAUGCAUAUUUGUUGCACUUGUCGGGUGUGCUUACUACAAUGUCUAAUUAUCCUCAUCAAGUCUUCCCACUCAACCAACCCUCUCUCUUUCUUCACCAUUAGCCACCGUCUCCGGCCAUUGCAGCCACCUAUUAUCAUGGUUGCCUCCUCCACGUCUCACAACUUUCUCCUUCAUGUCAUCCAUGACCAUCAUUGCUUUCUCUAUUUGCUGACCCAAAACACUCUCUCUUUCACUGUCUCUUCUCUCACCGCCAAAUUUCUAAGGUCUCCAAACCACCAUUGAUGACCUAAUUUACCCAUUAUGGCCUUUAAGAUCUCAUGGAAAUCUCAAUGGACAGGCUAGAUUUAGGAGGCAUCCCCAAACCUUGAGAUGGCCUUUUGAUCUCAUCAUCGUCGACAACUUGAUUGUAGAUGACGAGAGGAGCUCAAAGCGAGGUCUUGAGACCCACCAAAGGCAUAAACUUGACACUCGGGCACUCUUCAAACCUCCUUUUUUUCAUUGCCAUGUCAUUUAAUGGAGAUACAAAGUUGACAAACACAUAAACAAGACAAGAUCAAAAAGGAAACAUGGACCUAUAUUUGUUGCACUUCUUAGUGUGCUCAUCACACUGUCUAAUAAUUUUUGUCAAGUCUUCCUACUCAAUCAACCCUCUCAUUCUUCACCAUUAGCCACCGUCUCCAGCCGUUAUGGCCACUUGUCAGCACCGUCACUCCUCCACAUCUCGCUGUUAUCUCCGUCGUGUCAUCCACGACCAUCUUUGUUUUCUCUAUUUGCAAACCGAAAACACUCUCUCCCUCACUCUGUCUCUUCUCUCACCACCAAAUCUCUAUAAGGUCUCGGCACCACCAUUGAUGACCUGAUCUGGCCAUGGCCUUUGAGAUCUCACCUCAAUCUCAAUGGACAGGCAGAUGGAUGUGGCAUCCCCAAAUCUUGAGAUGACCUUUUGAUUUGGUCAUUGUUGACAAAGUAAUUGUAAAUGAUGAGGGGAGCUCAACGCGAGGUCUUGAGUCCCGCCAAAGGCAUAAACUUGAUGUUCAAAUGAGCUCAUUUGUCUUUAUCCAAGAGAGGGAGAGAAAUAGCUACACAAAAGCAAGGAUGCCGACUAACAUUGAAGCAAUAGGGGAGAGAGAGCAAAUGGAGCAUGGCAUGACCCUUCAUAGGCACCAGCAUUGAAUGGCGGAGUGAGGAAGGUCAAGAAUGAUGAUGGCACUAGCGGCAUGUCAAUGACACAAGCCAUGUGUGGUUGUGGGAGCUCGAUAAGGGGGGAGAAAGAUGGGGAGAAGAAGAGAGAUUGGUGUUGGGAUUUUGAGGAGUGAUUGGGUAAGCUGUAAAAUCAAGAAGAGAGACUUGUGUUUUGAUCUUGUGUUAGAGACAGAAAAUAAUAAACCAAUGCAUACAAUGGAUCUACAUCCAAGAGACAUAAAUAGGGACGGUGAAGGACAUAAAAUACAAUGCCCUGGAUCUAGUAUAAAAUAGGUAACAUGAUGGCAUAAUUGGGAAAAUGAAAAUCAAUCAUAAACUGACUCAUAGCAUGGUCGAUCUAGGCUAUGUUAGAGUGAGUUACCAUAAAAGAUAUACUACAUUAUUGACCAACUGUCAAUGAAGUGUGACGUCUUACAAUAGCAUGCCAUCAACAAGCUCAAGUUUGGCAUUAAGAUCAACAAUAUCAGGGGGGCUGUAGGCUUCAUGGAUUGAGAUCAAAACAGGAACAAUCUAGCUAUAAUACCAAGUCAGUAUGUGAGGAAAUAUUGAAUUGUGCGUUGCUUUAUUGAAUAAUGUUUUACAUUAUAUGGGUACUUAUAUCCAGAAAAAUAAACACAAAUAGGGAAGCAAUCUAAUGAAGAAAUUAACUAACAUAGGAAUUAACGAUAAAACCAGAACAAAUUGAAACCAAUUACAAUCUGCAUUACAUCACAUAAUCUUGAACAUUACCUAACGAUUGAAAUUCAUCAUAACAAUCAACAUGUCUUUGCAGAAUUUUUCUAUGAAAGUUUGAGGUUGAAAUUGCUCUCGCAAGUUUGUUUGAUAGAUUAUAAACUUUUCUGUUUUUUUAACUUUUUUGGUCAAUAUAGUGGAGACAGUUGAGAUAAGUGGCCUUGGCUAUAUUUGUUAACAAAGUAAUGGGAGGAUGACCACAUCCUAUGGUAAAUCAAAAAAGAAAACAGUGCUCUCCUGCAAUUAGCUUACAAUUAGCUUACAAUUAGCCAACAACUAGCUAACAAUCAUCACAUGUGCCCUUCCUCUAGUGGCCUGGAGCAUAAAAUUUGAAAGAGCAAGAGUACUUGAAAUCUGCCAAAGCCAUUUCAAGCAGUUGCAGAUUACUUCUAAAUUGCUAGUAAUAAUCUGCUUAAGUUGCUUUUAUGCGCAACGUGUCAUGCAUCCAUAUUUUCCAAAACUAGCUAAUUCUAAUACUAAAAUAUAACAACCUAAUAAAUGCCUAUUUUUCCAACCGAUUUCCAGUUUUAUUUUCCAGAAUUUUUUAUUUUAUUAUAUUCGUUUUCUUAUCUUAUUCUCGGUCCCUCCUCUGAAUCAAAUUUUCACUGAGAUACUCCGUGAAUUUCAGUAUUACCUCAGACGGAGCAAUUGGUAACAAACAUGCUCAAUGAUGAAGAAAUCAUCAACAUACGGGUAAUUAGAACAACACUUUGGAUAGGCUUCAGAUCAAUUCAAUCUACACCCAAAAGAGGUGACCAGCAAAGGAAUGGUGAUGACAGCAAGUUCAAGGCACAGCAACAUGGUUAUUCAUUGAAAAAUCAUCACCAAUUCACCAUAACAAUCUCCUAAAUCAUCAUGCUGAGGUAAGAGAUCGUACUGAUGUAGCUUCAUCACACACCAGAGGGGUUUUGGUAGGACUGAAGAAAAGCAAAUGUUAAGCAAACCCUACUAAAAACUUAGUUUCACAAAUCGCGAGACAUUGAUUCCCCUAAAGCAAUCAAUAAUUCCCCAAAGAACUAUGGCUACUUCCUUCUUUUUAGGGGGAAUUAGAAAGAUACAACACCUCAAGCUUUCUAUAUACAAAUACAUCGUAAUACCUACUCAGGAUAGCAACAGAAGAGAGAGAGAGAGAGAGAGAGAGAGAAUAGGCCAAAGAAGGAUUCACCUGUACUGAAUUGAUCUUUCCUCACCAAAUUUACAUGGAUAUCCCCGUACUCGAACCUUUCAAGUUGAAAGCAAUGCGGAUACGGAAAGAGCAGGAGUUUCACCCAGUGAUGGAUAACUUCGAUUUCGUCCUCGCAGGGCCUUGAAACAUAGCAACAACAAAGAUGUGAACGGCGGACAGAAAAGAAGAAACACAUGUGAUGAAGGCAGCUAAAUGCAGAGAGAAGGAUAGAGAGUCCAUAAUUAUGAUUGCGACCUUGUCAAGUGCAGUCAGCGACCUUCCUGAGCUUCCAUUUUGAGAGACAAGCUCUCGGCAGAAUAUUCAGCGGAUUUCAGUAGACUCCGCUGCUCAUUCACAAGGGAGACAUGUCCAGUAAACAUAACAUUGUAAGCACUAGCAGAAAGGAUGACAAGUCUAAUCCAACAAGAAGAGAAUAACAAGUUUGAUCCAACAAUAAGCAUAUGAACAGCAGAAUCAACACGGUUCCACUUGAAUUUGGCAAACAUACUUCAGUAUUGAUUUAGUUUCAUAUAGGACUCAUGUGCAAGAAUGGACAACGACCAAUGUACCCACUGAUUAAAUGAGGACCGAAAUUCUUUACAAUCUCAAAGCAUGAAUAGCAAACAGAGAAGAUGUUAGCAUGUCACUGUGAAGAUUUAGGUAAAACAUACUCACUUCUUUACUCUUCACUCAUUUACACAUAUACAUGCACAAGCACUUCCCAAGCACCUCACUGCUCUCUGUUUUUCCUCAGGCUUUUUGAUGUUAGUUCAUGGCAAAGAACUAAUCCAUCCAAAGUAGGACCUUCCGGGCUCCCAAUAGAUUCAAGAGUAAGACAUCUCUCCUAUUUACCCCAGUCAGAAUUCACCAGUCCAUGUAUUUUGCAUGACAAACGGUUCUACCUUCCGAACAAAAUCGCAUUAUGAUGCAAGCCAAUAUGCGCAUCUGCCUCUUGAGAAAUUUUCUAUCCUAUCAUAUCAAUAUGAAAGCUUCCCCGGCCACUAUGACAAAUANNNNNNNNNNNNNNNNNNNNNNNNNNNNNNNNNNNNNNNNNNNNNNNNNNNNNNNNNNNNNNNNNNNNNNNNNNNNNNNNNNNNNNNNNNNNNNNNNNNNUCAAUUAGCCCACAAGUACAAAAUUGUUAAGCAUCGUUAAAGCAAAUACCAAAUUAAGACCACAGCACCAAUCAGCCAAGCAAGAGAAUUCACAACCAGCGAGCAUAAUCUCAAUCCGUUGAAUAUAAUCCGUCAGAUGCCAAAACCCUUGGGUAUAUGUAAGUCGACAUGCUUUGCUCACGAAUCUAUACUUGGCAUAACAUCAGAAUCAGAGACAACAUAUUUGGAUGGAUUUGAACAACAAUUCAAGUAGUCAUGGCAUGUGGAGAUCUUGGCCGUAGUCCAAAAUCACCGGAAACAGAGGAGCUGUAAGUGAGUCGAACAUGUACAUCAUGCAACAAUCAUUCCAGACACUAAAGCAUAAGAACGCUGCUCAAAAUCGUAUUCCGAAUUCGUUCAGGCGUUUUCACGAAUGUUUGAUGGUCAGUUCAAAAAUUAGAACACAGAGUCAUAAUCAAAGAGUCAAUUCCGAUAUAGACGAUUUCAAUGACAUCAGAACGUAUUUAAACUACUAACAGAUCCGCAAUCAUCAUUCUACUUUCACUCAUAACCUUAAUAACAAAUCUCGGAUUCAACUGAAUAAAACAGAGCAAUGACGUACAUCCCUCGGAGUCCGUCUUUGGCCAAGAACAGCCAAAGACGUCGUCACAGGUGAUCUGCGUCUGAGAAGAAGCUCCAGCAAAUAUCUCAGCUCGUCGGAUUUCACGGCCUGAAGAUUUGAAGAGGUCGGGGCCAUCGCGAGACAUGGAACCGCACCUUGCUUGCGUAGCAUCGCGCGCUGGUGAAAUAAAAAUGAAUAGAGAAGAGUAAUCAGGAGAAAAGGAAAAGAAGACAGUCGCCAUGGGGGUCGAAAAGAAAGAAAACAGAAGAGGGAGGGGUGACAAUAUUAUAAAAUAAAAAAGAAAGGAAACAGAAGUGGAUGUAUGGAGUCAAGUUUACGUAUUUCCACCAAGUAAUCAUGUAAAAUUUGAUGAAUUUGCUUAUUUGCCAUAUUCUCUUCAUUUCUGAUGUCUUUGUGGAUCUGCGUCUGAGAAGAAGCUCCAGCAAAUCUCAGUCCGUCUUUGCGUAGCAUCGCGCGCUGGUGAAAAGCCAACGUGCGAGUGCGUUGUAGACAUGGAAUCGGGAAGCAAACCUUCGGGUGUUCUGGGCGUGCUCAAAGGAAACAGCGAAGAGGUGAAAGGAAAAGGAAUAGAGAAGAGUAAUAAGGAGAAAAGGAAAAGAAGACAGUCGCCUGGGGGGUCGAAAAGAAAGAAAACAGAAGUGGAUGUAUGGAGUUAUGUUUACCUAUUUCCACCAAGUAAUUAUGUAAAAUUUGAUGAAUUUGCUCAUUUCUAAAGCCACUGUGGAUUGAUGCAUUUCUUAAUUACCAUGAUUAGGCCAUUAUCCUCGCCUUUCUCUCUCUCUCCGUGCUUGCUUGUGUACUAGAACGUGACCUCACUGUGAGGUCAUGAGCUCAUGGCCAACUCUUAAUGUCACACUUAACUGAGAGCCCGUAGUCAAUUGGAGACCAAGCUUGAUCAAAUCCAAAGACAAGGAAGGGGAGGCAACCUCAUCACAAGAUCAUGAGCUCAAGGCCAACUGUCAACGUUGCUAUGCCAACGAAAUUAUGUUGCCGUCAUGUUGCUGACACCGGCGGCCACCGUGUGUGGCCCCUACCUCCUCUCCAAGCCUCCUUCUCUUUAUCUUUUUUUCUUUGCCAUGUGAUCGAAUUACAGAGUUUUUCUUCUUCUUUUUUAUCAAUAGAGAUAUAGAGUUGACAAACACAUAAAUGAGACAAGAUCAAAAAGGAAACGCAGACACAUAUUUAUUGCACUUGUCGAUGGGUUAUCACAUUGUCUAAUAAUCCUGUCAAGUCUUCCCAGUCAACCAACUCUCUCUCUCUCUUUCUUCACAAUUUGCCACCAUCUCCGCCCAUUGUGGCCACCUACCAUUACCGCUGCCUCCUCCACGUCUCGCCACUUUCUCCAUCAUGUCAUCAUGGUCGCCCUUAAAUGAGAGAGGGAGAGAGAUAGCUACACGUGGUUGAACUGCCAGAAUCUCAGCUUUUGAGGUGGAUCUCGCGCUUCUUUUGGCGAUGUUUUGUACUUUUGAUUGUGCUUUGUGUUACAAAACUAACGGCGUUGUCGUCCCAGCAGAAGAUCACGGGCGUGGACCGCAAGUGUGUCCCACCCUCCUUUUUCUUAAUAUACACCUUCCUCGUCAUUAACCUCAUCACCGUCGCCACUGCUGUCACCGCCGUCGCCGCCUUAGGAGGGCCAGUAUGGCGUUGUCUGCAAAGAGGCCGUGAGGCCACCAUGUGGUGGAGAUACGUGACCCCUUGAAGAAGAUGCCGCUCCGACUCGGCACCUUCAGCACCCCGAGGAGGCUGCUCUCGCCAAUGACGAUGCCGCUGCCAGCCUCCGCGGCUCGAAUGCCAAGACCAACUUCCCUCCUCCUCCUCCCUCCGCUGCCUCCGCCCUCUCCCUCGCCCUCAAAUGACACAAGCCUCGCGUGGUUGUGGGGUGGGCUCCAUAAGGAGGGAAAAAGAUGGGGAGGAGAAGAGAGAGCGGUGUUGGGAUUUUGAGGAGUGAUUGGGUGAGGUAUAAAAUUAAUAACAGACUCAUGUUUUGAUCCGGUGGUGGAGACAGCAGAUAAGUAAAUUAACGUUACAAUGGAUCUACAUCCAAGAGACAUGAAUAGUGAUAGUGAAGGCGAUAAAAUACAAUGCCUUAGAUGUGGUAUAAAAUACAAAACGCGACGGCAUAGUGAGUAAAGUACGGAGCAAACAAAAACUAUCUCGCAAUAUGGACAACAUAGGCUAUAUUAGGCAAAUAUGUCCAUGAGAUAUAUACUAAACUGCUGAUCAACUGUCAAUAGCAUACGACAACUUGUAAUAGAAUGCUGUCAAGAAGCUCAAGUUCGGCAUCAGGAUCAAUAUCAACAUGGAUUGAGAUCAAAAUAGGAACAAUAUAAUGUUGAUAUGGAGUCAGAUAGUGAGAAUAUUGAAUUGUGUAUUGUGCAAUUGAAAAAGGGAAGUAAUCUAAUAUGGGAUAUUUAACUUCAAACCAUUGGCACAUCCAUGAAUCGCCACACGUAAAAAGCCCUUUCUCUUAUAUCGUGAAGCAUAAAAGCCGAAGGAACACUUACAAAGGUAUAUAUAACCACUUGAUGAUCAAGAACACUUUGAAUCUGCCAAAGCCAUUGCAAACAGUAGCAAAAUAUUGCUACUUUGCUUGUAAUAAUCUAUUUAAGUUGCUCUUAUGAGCAACAUGUUAUACAUCUAUAUUUUCCUAAACUAGCUCAUAAGUCAUAUUAAGCUAGUCGCUUUUAUUUUUCCUUUACUUUUAUAUAAUACCCUAUGAUGCGUAUAAUAAUAGGUCAUAAGUAAGCUUGUCACUCUAAAAGACUUUCCUAGUAUGGAAGUUCUCCUUCAUAGUUGCCUGGAGGAUCAUAGUUGCACACAACGUACCACCACCCGUUGUUACACUGAACCCUAGCGCACCCGACUCGGACCGAGUCACGCCAAACCAUCUGAGUGUAGUGCAAGCAGUCACACCCGCUCGAGCAAGUGUUGGUGUUGUAAUUGUAGUUUUGCUUCUCUGCGACCCACAAGCUAACGGCAUAGGUGCCAGUGAAUGUGCUAGUGCCCUUGGCAAGGUUCUCGCCGUAGGGCCCAUUGGAGUGCACAAGGCUGCAGUCGCCGACCCGUUGAUUUGCGUAGCUUUGGGCGUAGGUAGCAAGGGCGUUGUCCCAUGUCACAUUCGCCACACCAACUUGCUUCCGAGCGACAUUAUGAGAGUCAAGAUAGUCUUGGGGUGAGUUUUGGGCAUGACUAGGCUGAAAGAGAGAAAUGAAAACAAGAGAGAUGAUGAUGGUCAGAGAAUUCAUGAUGCUCAAGGAAUUAGCUGAUGUUGGUUCAAGGUGAUAUUUUUGGUGAUCAUUAGGCUAUUUAUAGAAAAAAAAAAAACAUGGAGAUUUUCAGGGCUUCAACUCAUUGUGUGCGAUGAACUUAUCCGGGACAUCUCCUUUGGACAGUUCAACUUUGCGUUAAAAUCCAGACUGAUCAAGAAAUGAUAAAAUUAGUAAAUGCGGCAUCUAGGUAAUUGGUUUUGCAUGUUCUUUCAUUCCUCAAAUGGAAGUAAAGUAAAAGGCUUUAGCAAAGUUUGAAGUUUCAGCAAGUUUGAUGCAGUAAUUAAAGUAUAAUGUUAGACGUUAUUUGGAGUAAUGCUAAAGACAUUGAGAUUAGUGCAUGAAAUUAAAUUAUUAGGGGAUCUAAAAAACUUUGUCCAAGUGUGAUGAACAAACAGGUCUUUCUCUCUCUCUCUCUACACCAUUCAAAAGCCACCACAACUCGUCAUCGUAUCCAUCUUCGUUUUUUAAGAUCAACUGUCCAUCUUCAACUAGACUUACGAUCUCCAGCAUCCCCCACCUUAAAACAAUACGUCACUAUCCUCUCAUAGGAGAAAUACAUCAAAGAUACCAAAAAUUUUGUAUAGCACUCACUUUAAUGUCAAUUUUUUUUGUCGAAUACUUAAAUAUCAAAUCUAAUAAAAAACGAUUACUUAAUUAUGUCUCCGGAGAGAAAUUCUGACUAAAAUAUAUAUGUGAAAUUUAUAAAUAAAAUUUUAAUAUGAGCUGGCAUUAAAAAAAAAAAAGUCUGUGGCAUUUCCAUGUGUACAUUUCUCCUCAUCUCCCUUCACGUCAUUUUUUUUUUCCUUUUUUCUUCUCUUUUCUCCCUUGUGCACCCUCACUACUUCACGUUGUAGAUGGACUCCUCGACCACAACUUCAUCGAGGCUCACCCAUCACCGCCCAAACCUCCGAGCUGCGCCACAACCUCAACAAACGACGCCAAGAAUCGAUGAAUGAUAUGGUCCAGGCAAGGAACGAGAUGGUUCAGAUCUAUGAAAGGAGUCCUGUUCAGUCAAGAUCGCUUGGUUUCAUCGAAUUAGAAAGCCAUGAAGCACGUCCAGCAAUCAAUGAAUGCCCAGGUUGGACAGAAAACCAAGAACAAGCGCGCGAACCUCUAACAGACAUUUCAUCGAACACCUAAGGGUACAACAACCAGAAAGCAUUCAGGCGCUCAAAUUCAUGCCAGAACCAACCAUAACCAGAAAUCAGCACUAGGAAUACACAGAGAAAGGAAUGAGCAGGCUCAGAACGCGCGAAGCUGGGGCCAGUGAGCCCCAUUCCAUCGAUUCGACAAAACAGGGGAAAACGAGCUUGGGCGUAUCCUGUGAAAGGAAAGUUGCCGGACGCGAUUGCUAGGUAGAUCGGAACAAAAUUGGCUCUAGAAACCGCCUCGAGGGACUUGGCCGGUGAAGGAGGCAACACCAACCGCAAUUUGAACUCGCCGAGAUUGGAUCCAACCGAGCCUCUAGUUUGUAGUCGGGUUUUUCAAUGAAUCGGCUUCAUUAACGGCGGAUUUUGAGGUGGCUUUGAUGAAUUUCCCAGAUAAGAAGCCAGAGAGAAAUUCCCUGCUGUGCUCCCUUUUCCCCAUUCAUCCCCUUUCCGUCGAUUGUUCAGCAAGAAAUUGAUUUUUCUUGUUGGACAAAGUCGUUUUGGGUCAUGCAGGCAAGUGAAACUUGUUAAAUGAAGUCGUUUUGAGCUUUUUAUGCUAAGUCAGACCACCGAUGAGCCACGUCAGUAGAAAAAAUAUAAAAAUAUUACCAUACUAAAUUUCUGGCAUUCGAGAUCGGAAUUGAUAUUUAAAUGAUCAUUUUACUUUUUUAAAAGUGACACUUGAGUUAUUUGAAAAAAAUAAAAUUAGCAUUAAAAUGAGCGUCGUAUAUAACCUUUGACACUUCUAAAAUACUUUUCCCCUCUCCAACUCCUUGCAAUGGCUGCCUUUGAGACGUCAAUGAGCCCUAUUCGGCCCUUGAGGCCUUGAUGCUAUCAAGGUUGCGGCAAGCGUCCAGAUCUGGAGGUGCAUCCUCCUUCUCUAGAGACUCAAUCCCUCCACUCCAAGUCUAGAGGAAGUGGUAUCUGGAUCCGUCUCCCUCAGCGGGCAAGUGGUCACUAGAGGUGGCAAAAUGGGUCAUGGACCCAUUUUGCACCCAUAUUUUUUAUAAAUGGGUCAAAUGUGGGUUAUGAAGUUGUAAUGGGCCAUAACCCACAUUCGACCCACUUUAAAUUCAGUUUUAUAUGGGUCAGAAAAUGGGUCACACGUUCUGACCCAUUUUCGACCCAUUUUCAAAACUUAAAACGUAAAAUCAUCUUAGUGAUUCAAUGACGUUCGACCCACCUCUGCUGCUCGCCUCCAGCGCUCCUCCGCUCGCCUCCACCACUCGCCGCCGCAGCUUGCCUUGACGGAGCUCGGGCGAGCCGUGAGCUCGCCGGCCGCGACCGAGCUCGGGCGAGCCUGGAUCGAGCGAGUCGCGAGCUCGCCGGCCAUGGGCGAGCUCGGGCUCGCCUGGAUCUGGCGAGCCGUGAGCUCACCAGCCGCGACGGAGCUCGAGCUCGCCUGUAUCGAGUGAGCCGCGAGCUCGCCGGCCGCGACGGAGCUCGGGCUCGCCUGGAUCGAGCGAGCCGCGAGCUCGCCGGCCAUGGCCGAGCUCAGGGUCGCCUGGAUCUGGCGAGCCGCGAGCUCGCCAACCGCGACGGAGCUCGAGCUAGCCUGUAUCGAGCGAGCCGCGAGCUCGCCGGCCGCGACAGAGCUCGGGCUCGUCUGGAUCGAGGGAGCCGCGAGCUCGCCAGCCAUGGCCGAGCUCAGGGUCGCCUGGAUCUGGCGAGCCGCGAGCUCGCCGGCCGCGACGGAGCUCGGACUCGCCUGGAUCGGCCGAGCCCCGAGCUCGCCGGCUGCGACGGAGCUCGGACUCGCCUGGAUCGGCCGAGCCCCGAGCUCACUGACCGCGACGAAGCUCGGCAGCUCGGGCUCGCCCAGACGGCGAAGCCUUGAUCUCGCCGGACUACGGCUUGGCCGGUCACCGUCGACGGAGUAACAAUGGAGAAGAAGGAGGAGAAAAAAGAAAGAAAAGAGAAAUAAGAAAAUAAGAAAAUAAAAUAAAUAAUAAUAACAAUAAUUUCAAAAAGUUUUAAAAUAAUAAAAAAGUCAAUUUUUUUAAUGAUAUUUGGUAGAUAGAUAUCCAUAUACAUACUGGAAAAGUACUUUUAGACUCGAUGCUAUUUAGAUUGAUAAAUAGAAAUUCAAAACAUCAUAAUGUAAUUUAUAACUUGAUGAACUAAAAUCAAUAAAUCAACCAAAAUAAAAAACAAUUAGGAUUAAGAGGCUAUGUAUUCUUGCAUUCAAGAAGAUUUGUUUUAAACAAAUAUUAUUUUCAUAUCAAUUAUUAGCUCAUCAAACUUUCUCUUAUUAAGAGUUCUUCAAAAGUAUUUUAAUUUAAAGGUUUUUCACAUUUUUUAUUUAUUUACUUUUUAAAUUUGGGAUUAAAAGGUUUUUCAUAUUUUUUAUUUUAUUUACUUUUUAAAUUUGGUGUGAAGUUUUUAUUUAAGUAAAUAAAUUGAGUUAAAUAUAAAUGUGUUUCGAUAAUAUGGGUCGGGUAUGAGUCGGGUAUGGGUCAGGUCAGAUAUGAGUCAUAAGAUUUACACUAUAAGAAUAUGGGUCAAAACGGGUUAAAUGGGUCAAAUAUGGGUCGACCCAUUUUCGACCCAACCCAUACCCGACCCGACCCACCCAUUUGCCACCUCUAGUGGUCACUAUUGCCCAUUGGUGUGGUAAUAUUUAAAAUAAGUCAGACAAGUGACACGAUCUCAACGGGCAAUGGAUACAUAAAUGGAGGCAACAUAUUGCUUAAUAAAUCAAUCUUCCAUAAAAAGAUAAAAUUUAUAAAUCAUUCAUUAGUGUCUCCGCCAUUUUCCUUAAUUUAAGCUAUCUGACAUGUACGGGUACUUCUCUUUUGUCUCAAUUAAGUUAUCAUCCAAUUGUUCUUUAAUGAAUCCAUGCAUUGAAACCAUAUAAUUUGCGUUUUUUAUUUUAUGCAGCUACCUUUACGGUUCUGCAAUUGGCAUGAAUGCGAAGGGCACGCCCUUACAUCCCCACUUGCCAUUGAACGGUUGGAUGCGCAUCCUGUAUUAGUCUAUCACCCCAUGUAUAAGUCUUAUAAUAUAGAAAUUAUUAUAGUUGGAGAUAUGUAAUAAAUUGAAUCUGAAUUGUAGAAAAUGUUUGGGUCAUAUGUAAGUCACACCUAGAUCUUAUCAAAUUCGACAGUUGAAUAGCAUUAACAUCUUUACAAAGACCCAGCAAAUGACAUAAUACAUAUAGGUCAGGAUACUUUUCUCAAACAUGUCUGCACAUGUGCAAAGCUCCAGUAGUAACCUUAUUCGAUAAUUUCCAAACCCUCCACUUCAAGAUCCAUAAAACAAUAUUUAUCAUUUAGCAAUUGGUUUUUUCUUUUUUCCUCACAGCAAAAGAUGACUAAAUGACUGAAGACUGAUUCAUUGAGAAAAUACUAAAACGCAUAUUGUCCGGGUUGUUAAUAAAUCAUGGAAGUUAAGAAGCUCAUGAAAAAGUGGAGCCGAUUGACAAGAGAUGGUGUACCAAAAAAUUCAAUAUCUAGGGAGGAAAAUCCAAGAGUAUACAGAAGAAAAAGAACAAAAAGGAAGAAGACAAGCUCAUGCUAUGCCAAAGUCUUCCAAGUUUUCCUUUGAAUGUACUUUCACUUUCGAAGCAAAUUCUAUCAAUUUCAACCUUAGUCUAUGCAGAAGCAAUCGGUAAACACAAUCACGUUGGAGAACCACUUUAAACACAAUCGACACUAGGGUUUCAAAUUCCCAAAGGAGCAGAGCAAAUCCGUAUGCAGAACGCAGCCAUUCAAGUUCAAGAAUUGUGAGUCACAACUAUUAAAUGUACAAUGAGAAGGAAUUGAAGCGAGAAACCUGGAUUCAAUGUGAGACAAACACGAGAGAAGCAAUGGAGAGAGAGGUGAGCACGAACAGAGGCGAUCGAACAGAGGAAACACAACCAGAGGCAACUCCACCGGAGAGAGACGACUGGACAAAGGAUUCAACUUCGAGAAGUAAGAAUCGAAACUUACAACAAGAAAGAAUUAAAGCGAGAAACCUGGAUUCAAGGCGAGAGUAGCACGAGAGAAGUAAUGCGGAGAGAGGCGAGAAUGAGCAGAGGCAAUCGGACAGAGGCGACACGACUGGAGAGAGUUGACUGGACAAAGGCGAAGGUGAGCUGAGAAGAAAUGAAAGGCAACCUUCAGGUUUAAGAGUGAAAAAGAGACGAGAGGCAAUUUCAGGGUUUUCUCUAAAAAAAAAGAAGCCGUUUCUCGUUUUUGUUCCUGGGAAUAGGAAUUAGUUUUUUUUUUUUUUUUCUACUUCUUGCUCAUACUCUAAAUCUAUUCUCUAGCCAUUUUCUAUUCUAGGGAAUAGAAAAAUUAACUAACGUUAUCAAACAGAUUUCUAUUAUUUUUUUAUUCCAGAGAACAAAAUAACAGAAAAAUAGAAAACUAGAAACGUUAACAAACGGAAACUAAGGGUCCAUUAGGAAAAUGAUUUUAGUACUCAUCGACCAAAAUAUGUGUCAUUUUUCAUUAAAUUUUCAAUUUCUACUUAAUCUAAAUUACUUGUUUUAUUUGACAAUCAAUAUAUCGGGCACUUUGCAAUGGCUUUAGAAGAUCAUGGGUUACAUUGCAAAUUUUCUAAAAUUAAGAGGCAAUUUGUAAUGAUAUGAAAAUCUAAGGGAUAUAUUGCAAUUCUCCCGCAUUUGCUGGAUUUUUUUUUUCCUUUGAGAUAGGCACCACCUAGUCCCGUAAGAGAACAUGACUAAAGAUUCUAGCGAGAAUUAGGCUAGAGUCCACGUAAGAGAGAACAUUAGAACUAAUUUCAAAAUGCCAUGUUAAUACUGAUAUAGAUAUAAGGGGCAAAUUCCCACGAUUGCAAGAACACGGGGGCUACAAAUAUCCCGAGGAAUUCUAGUAUCACUUUUGAGUAGAUUUGAUCCCACCAAAUUCUGGCCCAUGCCAAAAGAAGUGGACGUACUACUGAUGGAGGUGAGAACUUGAAUCCUUAUUGAAUCUUAUUUUUUAAUGGGAAUAAUCCAAAAUGGAAUGUGUUCAAUCAAAACAUGUAGUGUGAAUUUUUUAUCUCUCUAAACAUCUCUAUCAACUUGAAAAUUCAAGAAUUUGAAUUGAUGUCCUUUCAUUGAUUCCUCCUAAAUUGCAUUCAUUUUUUGGUUGGGCAUGAUCUUGAAUCCUGGACAAGGGCCUUUCAAUCUAAAGCCCGAUCUAGGCCCGCCCAGCCUGCAUAGUUAUUAUUAUUUUUUUAUUUGAUAGGCUGGACUAGGCCAUAAUGUUGGCCCAAUUGGAAGGCUUGGUCUAGCUUUUGCCCGCUCAUCAUGUUUCUUCCAGUAUGAUCGAGUCCUCGACAAGUUCAAGCAUAGCUCACCCAAUAUAUCGAGCCCAAUUAAGAUUAAUAUAUUCCAACUGAAGCUGAUUCGCUCUAAAAAGAGAAAACAUUUGCACUAUCGAAAAAUAACGAAAGAAUUAUCGAUUAAUCACACUAGAAAUCGCUGAUUCAUAUAAUAUUAAACUCAGAGGAUCACGUACGUGUCGAAAACCUUAAGAUGCAAUAACCACACGGUAUGUACUCCGGCAAACCAGUUUCAUAAAUAUUCGGCGGCACAAUUGAAUCAAAUGUGGAAGGAAAGAAGAAAAUGAGGUGAAAGAAUUGGAGAUGAUGUGUUAUGGAUCAGCUAGUUUAGUAUUUGGGAAGAAAGCACUCUCUGGGCAGGUUGUUUUCGAACCUUGCAUUGUCCUGGCAACAGUCAUAUAUCAUGUGAUGUCUCCUGACCCAUUUAAACCACCUCCUCGUUGUUCCACCAGUUUGUGGGGCUCUCCGCCCUGCAAGACCUCGGAUUGCCCUUCCAGACACAGGCGCCAACCUUGGAGUCCCCGAACGAGGCCACGAAGGGCCCUUCGACCAAUUGACCAUGUCGCGCUCACCUCGUGUCCCCCAGAUGUCGCCAUCCCCUAGGGUGGCUUUGACACCCAUCUGUUGCCACCUAGGGAACGUCCACCCACUUGUCCGCGUGGUUUCGGUACGUCUAAGUCGGGAUCGAAUCCAUAAAGAAACUGCAAAGAGGUUUCCAUCCAUUCUUUCACGGAUGAUCAGAUUUUUCGCGAAUUUAUUAACCCGCAGGUAAAUCCACUCUUCGUGGUUGUCGAACUAGUCAGCAAAUAGAUUGGUUUGGAGAAUGUACAGCUGCCCGGACACGUCGCUGAGGAACUUGAAAUCUAUCUCGUCCCGUUCAGCUAAUCGGACGUCAAUUGAAGUUUGAUCCCAAUUCAAAUCAACCAUCAAGGCACAGGCCAAUGCAAGGUAUUUUAUCUUUAUCCUUAUUUAUAUUAUUUGUCGAAUAUAAAGAUCACUUUAAAUAUACUAUCUUUUGUUUUCAAUUUUUAAAUUUGAAUUCAACUGGGGUUUGUACAGGAUUCUUCAUCAAGAAGCAGGUGUAUUGUGACACCCACUGAGGGUCGCCCCACCUUCUCAACAUCUAUAUUAUUGGUUGCUAACAAAACUGCAUUUAUUAUUUUAAUGUGCCGAUACCCGUACAACCCAACCUCCCAAUUUGGUGUGGUAUCUUUAUCGAGCCCCAUACCUAAUUCUACCCUUUAUGUGUUUAAUGUCCAAUGAUGCUGAGGUUUGCACGAGACCCAAAUGGAGCAAUUUAAGGACCUAUUCAAGUCUGAACUCAACAUAUAUACAUCUGCAGCAAAUAAUCAAUAACCUGCCCAUAGCAAUUUAAGGCUAGUAAACAAUGUAUUUAAUCAAUCAUAAUAUUGAGCUAAACUAUAAAUCUCACGCACCAAGUUUCAUCCCUGUUUUAAAGUCUAAACUACAGUUGAGAUUCAAUAACAUCAAAAUCAUGUUAAGAUUCAACCAUUUCAUUUUAUUCUGAACACGCCAGCUUUAUAUCUAGUAUUUCGAGAACAUAUUUAAUAUCACAACCUCUAUGUCUAUUAUACUAAUUUAGACAUUCAAACUAGUUUUUUCUUGAGAAAACAUAUGAGAAUAACCCCACUACUUAUACGUAAACGUAUUGAGGAUCAAUCCUAAGCAAAAUCAAGAAAUCUCAAUCACAAUUUGUCCAAUUUCAAAUCUGGAAAAUCUGGACACCAGCUAUAUCUCAUGAAAAACCACUUAAAACACCCUGAAAUUAAUUAGACUUCCCUCCAAACUUCAUCCACACAUAGUAUCCACUCUCUAGGAAUCAAAGAUAUUUUCAUACAUGGCUCUUGGUCGGCCAAUUUCUAGGAAUCAAAUAAACCAUAUAAAAUUGUUAUAUAUUAUUUAAUUUAUAUAGAUACACUUUUAUUUCUUCGGCAUUUACAUAAUUUAUGUGAAUAUGAGGUACUUUCCAAAUGUUCACUAAACGUUAUAUCUACAUGGUGCAACACGAAAAAAAAGCCUUGUUAUGCCAAAUGCCAACAGAUAUAUUCCUUUUAGCACAAUUGAAUAACAUCUUGAAUGGACAUUGACAUAUCACUAGGUGUCAAAAUAUUAGGAUAUUAUAGUUCCAGCCAGCAAACUUGUUAGUGAGUUGGCCUCACUAUACAUAAGCAAAUCACCAACCAAGUAAUCUACCAUCUCUUCUAGGGAUCAUAAAUGCUAUAAUAGUACAUCAAACAUAUUAUAGAAUUAGCCCCACUGAUAUAACCAAGCGGUCGAACAUAAAAGAUUCUAGAGCUGACCCUCAUAGAUUCAAGUUGUGGUUCCUUCCAUGUAGCACUUUACCCUUGCAAGGUUCAAAAAGUGGCUCCCAUGAGGUAACACUUUGUUAUACAUGGCACUUAGUUUUACAAGUGAGCUACAAAGACUGAAAGCUUGAGUUCGCCUAGACUAGGCUAGCCUGAAUUUUCGAGCUCAAAUAGGUCAGUGACGUGAUUUCAAGGACCAUUUAGGCUUUAACAUCUCUGGCUUGGAUUGGCCCGAACAAUUACUUUAAAUUAAAAUUUAAAAUAUAUUAAAUAAAAAUAUAAAAAGAAAUAGUAGAAAGUACAUUAUUUGUACUUAAAGCACUUCAACAAAGUCAAUAUAUAGAACAAAGUAAUUUUUUAGGCCAAAAAUAAUAACCAAUCUUUUUAAAGGAAAAUCAAGCUAGGCCUAAACCAGCUUAGAGCCAAAAAAGCAUUGAAGCUAGCCCUCUCGAUCCGUGCUUACUCCUACUUAGUUCAUACUUGCUAUUCCAUUUCACACAUGAUGAAUGCAUAUUAACACAUGAGAUCCGAUUUACAUGAAGAAUAUGAUAUACAAUUUACAAAUACUUAAGACAUUAAAAUCCAUAAACUCAAUCAACAACAUUUCUAUCUAAUUCAAGAAACACAAACUGAAUGCUGCACUAGCCUCUUUAGCAGUGGAUCGAUGCAUUGAUUAGUCAUGAGCCACAUGUAAAUUAAGAGCAUCCCAUGGGUCCACCAAUUAUAAAAACUAUUCCCGGCUAAGCUGAUAUGUAGGUGGCGUCCAAAACCUCGUGAUUGUGAAUGACUUAUCUUUAAACUAAAAUUGGGGACAUAAGUAUGAAUUAUGAAAUACUAUUUUAUAGCUAUUAGAAUAGCGUGGCGGCUGGACAUAUGGAUAGUGUAUAUAUUGAUUACUCAUUUGACAGAAUGGUGAGUCUUUUGUCUCUAUGGACUUGUUAAUCCUCACAUAAUUGACGAUGUAUAAAUAGACUAAACAAGUCCAUCACUGCUUAAUGAAGUCAAUGGGAUAUGAUGGAGGAAAACCACUUUGUUUAAUUGACGGAACAAGUCCCAUCAUUAUAUGGAACCUUUAAAAGUGUUUCCUAUUAGACUGUUAUGUUAUUUAUUGAUAUAGACUCGUCACAGUUGGAAAAUUCAUCCCUGAGGAUUUUAUGUACUUGGAUAUAACCACCUAAGAUAAAUUUUCAUGUCGUCUCAAAUUAUGAUGUUUAAAAAAUUAAGACACGAGAACACGCCAAAAUUUGCGGUCAAUGAAAUCUGAUUUAUAAGUUUUACACUUGUGAAGUCAAUUGUUGGAAUCGAUAUGAGUUUGUUGUAUAUGACUAAGUGGAUAAAAUGAUUAACCUAUAAUUUGGGAAAGUAUUUGUGAAAGCUCUAGAAAUCUUGACUGUGGAACGGCAUAAUAUAAGUCUGAAACUUUCAUAUGGAAAAUAGAAAAAUAAAAAAAGAUUUCAAGUCCGAACCAUUAACAAAUUCUGGUGGAUGAUGACGAUGUUUAUUCAUUUUAUUGGCAAAUCAUGGUUCUUACGUUCAUCAGCAGAACUGCAUGCAUGUUAAAAAAUUAAUAAUCAUCUUCGUCCUUCGUAUUUUAACAUUACAUUCAAUCUGCUUCAAUGAAAUUUUUUGAUGUAAAAUAAUUGAUAAAUUUUUUGAUGUAAAUUACGAGAGAACAUAAUUUAUAUUUAUGUCUUAAAAAGCCUAAUGAAAUUCCAAGUUUAAGACAGGAUAUAGAUAAACUAAUAGGAAACUACUACAUAUUAUUUAUCUAAGUGGAUAACUACUAAAAAAUUGAAACUAACGUAGUUAUUAAAAAAAAAAAAAAAAAGGACAAGGAAAUGAAGCCUACCACUGGCUAUCACUAUGACGACCAUCAUCUCCCUCCCUCCAAUCGACAGCCUCUUACAACCUCAACCAAGGCUAAUGCCAUAGAUCGAGCAAGAACUAGCUCUUCCUCCCGCCAUGCAUGUAAUAACCUUCCUUUUUAGAAGACAGAAUCGACCGCGCUUAAAAUAAACCCACUUAAUUAAUGAGACAACGUAUUACUAGUUUUCUUUUAUAUGCCCACCAUGCUCGUCCGCUAGACGAGACUUUAGACGAAGCUCAAGUGAUUAGAGCAUUAUUCAUAUGAUGCUCUAACUUUUAGAUGCAAAACAUUUAAUAAACUUUUAGAUGCGAUAACUUUUAGAAGCAAAACGUUUGAUAUGGACCAAAAAGAUUAAUGCGAAACACUUUAAUGUUUCAUAUGUACACAUCUAACUACCUCACGUGUUAUUCAAGCAGCUAUUGCAUGAUAAUUACCAUCAUUGAUGUACGUAAUUAGGUCCAAUCUCUCGGGAUGGUUGAAUCAAGCAUGGACUUCUUGUUAAACAUACGUGACAAAAUAUUUCAGCCAUGUCAGGUUCGUACUUUGUAUUCUCUAGGCCUCACACAAUGGGAGCUUGGGUGAAAAUCUAGAGUUUUCAACACCCGAUCAUCAAAUCUGAAAAUAGACCCAAAAAAAAAAAAAAAAUCCUACCAGACCGUUAUAGCGCAUUGUAAAAUUAUAAGUAUAGGAGAGAAAAACCAAUUCUUUGCAUCAUCUAUCGUUAUGGUUAUCUUAAAUUUCAGGCGUAAAGUUCAUGGUUUUUAAAUCCUCAUGAGUCAUGAAAAAAACAUACAUAGCUUUAAGGAGAAUUUAUGCAAUCUGUUCGAACUAAGGGGAUAGAGGGGCAUGUAUUUGUCCCCAAACUAUCAAUCUGUUUAUGUUGUCUCUUGAGUUCUCAAGUCAGUGGUUAACGUAAAAUCAGACAAAGUUCUGAGGACAUAACAAAGUGAAAGUUUAGGAUCGACGUUUAAAAGUUCAUAACAAAGUGCAUGUCACUUCCAAAAUUUAGAGGGCAUACAUAAUUUUUCCCUAAUUAAAAACAGAGAUAAAGGAUGUAAAGCAGAUAAUGAAAUUGUAAGGGGAGAAACUAUCAAAUGAGCGUGGCAUCGACACUAAAUUGAGCCAUAUUAUUGAAAAUGAUUGGUUUCAUGUUUGCAGGCCUCCCAUUGCACUCAUCAAAUUUGAUGAUUUAAAUUCAGUUUAGUACAUAUUGUUGAUACCUAAAUUUUAACAUCCCAUUUAGUAAUAUUGCAUAGUAAAUUAGGAAUCGACCUAGACCCCUAAAAAAAAUAUUAAGUUAAAUUGCAUAUAAACUUUUAGGAGCAUUUGUUAUUUAGUUUAUAUUUUUUAUUAUUAUAUUUGUAUUAGAUCGGUGAUGGAUGGGUUUGAAUCAAUGGUUCUUUGCUUGAAUUUAACGAGUUGGACUAAGUCCGCGGUGAAAGAGAAUGUGGCAAAGCCUGUCAUUCUUUAAUGGCUGAAAAUUAACUUUUGAGGAGAUUGCAAGAUUAGUUUAUUUUGAAAAAGAUUAAUAUUAUUCUUACAAUAUUCAUUUAAGAGCAUAGAAGGAAAAUUUGGCCAACGAAAAGAAAAAAAAAAGAAAGAAUGAAGUGGCGGUUAAUCUAAUUUUAUCUCCUGUAUAUUCAUGCAAUUUAAGGGAAAUAAAGAUAGAAAAAUAAGAGGAAAGUGUGCUAAGGCAGAAUCAGUCAACAUGGGCAUAUACAUAUGUAGAGUGAUAUGUCUCGUUUUGACGCGUCCUUGCUCGUGGCAAAAAGGAAGUUUUCAGAUGAGUAAUAUUGGAAAAUAAAAGGGAAUGAUGCAUGUGGGGGAUAUAUUUGGUGUCACUCUUUAGGCAACAUAUUUUUUGGUUAAUAAAAGAAACACCAACGCAAGAAAAGAGGUCUUCAAUCCUCAGUAGGCGUGAGCAGAAAGGAAGGAAAACAAAAUGAAAGUAAGGAGAUUGUAUCUUGACCGUACCAGACGUGAUUGGAAGGAGGAAAGAAAUUUUGUUUCUUCCUUUGGCGGGAUCUCUUUUUCCAGUCCGACACAGGCAAGGAAUAGACAACAGAGGGAGAGGAAAGGUAUAGAGAGUUGUCUCGGUCACACUCUCCGCUGUGUCAUCACCGUCGUCGCUGCUGCUGCUCGCUGUUUUGCUGAGCAUGACAAUGCCAAACCUGCCGCUGCAUGAAAACAACGAGCCGCUGCUCUUCAUCGCCCGAACACCAUGCGCCUGAGCUACUGCUGCUUAAGCUCACCACCGAUCUGCUGCUGUCCCGUGGAGUCCCGACGACGCUGUUGCUGCUGAUCAACUGCCUGCUGUGGUUGUCAGUGAGCCACGGAGACCCGAUCCUUGCUGCACGGAAAAGCCACGACCUUUACCACGACAAAGCUUUGAGCCGUUCCGAAGAAUUUCAAGGCGGUGUUCGAGUUCCUUUAAGCUUUGAGCCACUACCUGUUCACGUAAUUCCUUACGCUUGACCAACAUUCGACACCAGGGGAGGAAAUCGGGAACAGAGAGAGAUCCACUCACAUUGGUCACGUACAGAAUACGCCCGAGAAAGAGAUAACAAAAAAGGAGAUUUUGAUGUCCUUAUGCUCGGCGAGUUCUGAGUAUCAUUGUUAUCCAGGUUGCGGUGCUAUUAUUCUUCUUGCAGAUUGCUGGCCCUGUGCAUCUCCAUCAUUGCGAAUCACCACCAGUAAGCAUCACCGUGGUUGUCCAAAGCCGUGACCCGAGACACCCGCCCCCGGUCACACCGUGUAUCGUUGUGAACAGCCGUGCAACCACCGUUCAAACCCGCCGCUGUUCAAGUUGGAAACCAUAUCUUCAAAUUAGGUGACAAAUCCUAUCCAAAUUUCAAUUAUUAAUUACCUAAUUUGAAUAUAUUGUGAUCUUAAUUAGACGUCUUGAAGAUAUGCCAUAUACAAAAGAUUUUUGAAGUAUUCGUGUAUUAGGAUAAUUUCUUAAUUUUACAAUAUCCAAUGAUAAUAGUCUGAUUUUAUCUCUAUAGUUCCGGCCUUUCUAGGCAGGCAACAGUGGCAGUGGCAGACCUAUUCUCUGAGUCGGGCCAGGCUUUUAUGUCUAUGUUGGAGUCGUGGGAGCACCCCCUCCCGAUCCUUUCUCAAAAUUCCGAUUGUUUUUGCUGGUUGGAGGGCUCCUUGGGAUGGUUCACGGUAGCGAUGGUGUGGGAGGCCAUUAGGCAAAAGAAGCCUCGGGUCCAUUGGCAUGGCUUCAUCUAGAACGACUCCAUUACGCCAUGGUAUCAACUAAACGUUUGGCUUAUUGCCAAGCGUUGACCACCCACCCAAGCUCUAUUAUUGUCUUAUGGGAGGAUAGAUAGUGGCUCAUGUGCUUUUUGUAAUGACAUGCCUGAUUCGAUUGAUCAUCUAUUUUUUGGGUGUUACAUCACGGCUGGUAUUGCUUUCUUUUGGACGGCCAUGUGCAAUCUUUCGUGGCGUAACAAGUAUUGGGGGGAAAAUCUCCAUUGGGCCAUAACCUUGCUUUCGGGCAAGGAUUUUUAUAAAUGCAUUGUCUGCUUUUCCUUCGGUGCUCUUUGUCACAUUAUUUGGAAAAACAGGAACAACGUCCUUUUUAGACAGCAGCCUCUUGCCAUCCCGACCAUGAAGAACCACCAUUUUAAAAUUGUCAAAGACAAGACACUCACCUUCAGGAAUGUGGAGGAUACCGCAAGGAAUAGGAGGUUACAGAGAAGUUGGGAAAUUGACCCGGUUAUAUUCUCUUCGGGAGACCGUGAUCGCCUCCCUAAAUUGCAAGUGGUGCCGCCGAUUCGAGUGACGCGGCUCCUUAUUUCCCCUUCCAAGGUUGCUGAUGGCUGUUGCCGGGGCUGUGGGUGUGCCUUCUCCUUCCUUGACCGGCGUUUUCUUGCGUUGUUUUGGUUUGCGGUUGUUCAUGCCGUGUUGGUGAUUUGUACCUAGUGCUAGUGUGUUUCUAGUUUACCAUUUGUGGCUUCCUUUUACAUCUCAGCAUCCUUCCACUCAUAAUGAUUACUACUCAUUUUGAGUGUAAGUUAUUGGUGCCGUGAUCUCUUUUGUAUAGUUUGGUCAUUGCUCAAUAUAUUUCUUACUUUUACCAUUAAAAAAAAAAAAAGUCUGAUUUUAUCACGUGAAAAACUGGCCAAUCUAAUGCCCAAUAUACAAUUGGUUGAUUUUAUUUUUUUCCAAAUUUAGAUGGGUAUGGAUGAUAUCUUGGGCGAUAGAUGUUUGCCAUUGCUUGAUUUUAUUUUUAUUUUUUAUCUAAAAAAAAUCCAAAAAGAUUAGAUGCAAUUAAAGUAGAUUAUUUUUUAGGGGUCGAUUGCAUGUUUAUUUUGAUUAUUUUAUAAUUUCAAAUUUAAAUAAAAAAAUCACAUGCAUGUCAUGUAGAUUAAUUGCAUCAUGCCUACAUCAUCACUACUAUGUCAUUACUACGUGUCACGUGCGUCGUGUUGUGUGUCAUCUUGCCAUGUCAUUCAUCAUAUGCAAUGUCAUUUGCUACGUCAUUGUAUGUAGUGUCAUUGUGCCACACCAUAUGUCAUAUCAUCAUAUAUGUCACGUCAUUGCUUGCACGUCAUGUACUGAUCUAUAUGUUUAGGUCAUUUAAUUAAAAAAUCACCUGUCAUAAAAUUUUGCAUGUUAAGUUUAUUUAUUUUAGAAAUUCUAUGUCGAGGUUCAUCUAAUUAAAUUGCAUGUUAUGUAGACUAUUUUAAUUAGGACUGCAUGUCGAUUUUGCCUGUCAUUAAAAAUUGCAUGCUUAGGUUUGUAUACUUAGGAAAUUUUGUGUCAUGCUAGAAUAAUAUAUUUAAUCAUCAUUAGAAUUAGGAUAUUUAAAUAAGUUAUGUCACAUGUCAUGUUAGAUUAGUAGAAUGCGUUGCAUAAAACAUUAUCUUUAUUAAACAAGUUUAAAAAAAAACAUUUGAGAGAAAUAGCGUGUUAAUGAGAAAUCAUAUUUAGGUUGCUAAUGUCAUUUUCUAACUAACUACAUAUGCUUUCGUAGCUUCAAGGUGAGUAAUUCUUCCAUUUCCUUGCAAUUUAUUUAAUGCUUUGAUUGUUGAGUGUUAAAUAAUGGUUGCACACUUGCUUGAUCACCUCGCAUAUGAGUGAAUUAAAAUCAAUACAGACUGCCUAUAAUACAUUUUUCUGAAAUAAAAGAGAAAAUGUAUUAAAAGGGCAUUACAGAAAUCUAAGGUAAUCAAAUACUCGUACCCACAAUUUCUAGUUCAUAGAAGUAAAGUAAUUCUCCCGUCACUUUAUUUGGGUUUCUAGUCAAUCAACCGAAAAUAGAUUAAUGGCAACUUCACUUGUUAAGAACUUAAACCUUAAGUCGCAAAUUAAUAUGGGUUUAAUAGAGCUUGAGUUAACUUUAAGCUUAAUAAUUUAUUAGCCAAAUCCCUAGGUGAUGCACCCACUUUGGGGAGGUCGCAACACAUAAGUUAUAUAUAGUUAUUAUUUUCCGAUGGGAUAUAUUAUCAUUAUCAUCAAUAUCGCAUGGACUAUUUUCCACAAUUGAGGAGGACCAAACAAAGCAGGAAAAGAAUAAGAGAAAGAUAACAAAAACCACCAAUGCAUCCGGCGAUGCUGCUUGUCCCAUCGUUGACUUUUCUUCAUUCCCGCGAGCAAACAAAUUUUUUUUUUUCUUCUUCUAUUAAGACAUUUUUGCCGUUGACAUUUUGUAACAUAUUUGAAAUGUUAGGUUGAGCGGAGCUUUGCUCAAGCCUGACAACCAGAAGUGGGAGGUGAGCAGUCGGUUAUUAGGCUUGAGCUAAGCUCCCUCACCUUGCGGUGGUUUUGACAUCACCGUACCUCCCCUGGAUGCGAAAAGUUAUUAUAAUCCCCUAUUUGAUGGUAGCUAGUAUCAAAAUAUUAACACAUAGUCUAUCUUCCCACCAAUAGACCCCUUGAUUCUAACCCAAACUUUUCUUCUUGGGUGGAUAGGAGUACAAGAUGUGACAUUGUGGGGUCUCUUACCCCGCUUUCCUGUUUCUUCUCCCUUAAUAAUAAGGAAGUUAUGCCCGUUGAUGUUUUAUAACAUAUUUGAAAUGCUAGGCGGCAUCUAUCUCCGGCAUUUUGGCAACUAAACAAAUUGCAAUCCCACGCCUGCAAUCUACGUGUCCUAUGCCUCCAAUAUUUCGUCUUUUAAAUUCUAUUGCAUAUUCUUUUUCUUCCCUUCUUUUCUUCUAAAUAUGAUGAGGAACCGCAAAUUCCAAUCUAUAGAAUAUCUGACUAACCUCAAUAAUCAGAUAAGACAUGGAUCAAGACAUCAAACGAGCAACCCGAACAUGAGAUUAUUUAUACUAGUAACGUACGGAUUUGAGCUAAUGUCUUGCUUUUGAUCCACACCUUUGUGUCUAUUCUUUUGUCACUAAGCCAAAAUGAGGAAUUGCAUGUAAUCUUUUCUGCAAUCGAUUGUAAUGUUUUUCCUGAAAUGGCGGGUCUCCAUCAGUCGUGCCCUAAAGCAAGAAGUUUAAUUGUGACAUUAUUCCUGAAAUUGCAUAAAGCUACUUUAUUAUAAGUUCCAUUAGGUCAAUAAGUUACUGUCGUCUUUGUCGGUCGUGCCCUAGGACACUCCCGUUUUAGUUCUUAUUAAUUUGUAUUAACAUCAAAACACAUCAUCUAUAACUUUGGUUAAAAAAUUUUAGUGAUUGACUUAGGAAAAAGUGUCAAUUGAUGUUAUAAAUUAAUCGUAGACUUGAUCAUAAAUUUGACAACUCGCAGGUAUUCCGAUAAAAUGGGAGGUUUGACUGAAAAUUUUGCGCUUUUCGGCGGGCUCAAGCAAUGCAUUCUAGGGUCUUGUUAGUGAGUGCCCUAGGCCUAAGCAAUGGCUUUGAGGCUUGGCUUAGUUCGCCCAUUAAUUUAUUAAAAAUUACAUCGAUAAAAUAUUUAUUUUAGUUUAUCUACCUCAAAAUACAAACUUGGUAAAUAUUGAAAGUGAAAGUGGAAGUAAGGCUUAAAACAGAAGAAGAAAAGUAUUUCAUGACACAAUUAAAGUACAAUACCAAAAAAUUAUGGAAUUAUUAUCUAAUUAUGUUUCCAAUUUAUCUAUUUUUUAGCUCAGCUUUUUUUGCUUUAAAAAGCAAGACAUUCCCCAUGUGAUUGGGCCAAUGAAUUCAAGUGAGUGAGCUUGGUACUUGUCAAAACCCGCUGGAUUGGGUUUGGACAUGGCCCAUAAAAGCUCGAACCAAACUUGUUUAGUGAUAAGGUCUAAUUAAGUGUAUCUUGUCACACCAUUUUCAGGUAUGUUUUCCUCUGUAUCCGAUGAUUUAGUGUUCGUGUCAUAUGAAAGCGCCACUACCAGCCCUAAGAAAGGAUGGAAUAGGUCCUUGACCAUGGAAAAAGUACUUAAAAGUCAUAAACUUAUGGCAUUGAUAUCAAUUCAGUUAUAAACUUUUUAAUUAGACCGAUUUAGCCCAAAACUUUUUCACAUUAAUAUCAAUUUAGUCCAUCUGAUCAAUUUUACCCUUACGAUACUGAUGUGUGGUCAAUGAACGCUGACAUGGCAGUUGCCCCACUAGCUCGAAGGAACUCAUAUGUUUCAGAUUUCAAUUGCUGCCGCUACUUCCUUUCAAUUUAGCCAAAUUUUGACCUUUUGUUUAGUCCGAUUUCAAGGCCAACGUAAGGUCAAGGUGACGAAAUUUAGUAGGGCACAGUGGUGCCAGGAGUUCCUUCGAGCUUUGAGGGCCUUAAGAGUUCCGUCGCUCCAAAUCUUCUGUUGUGGGGCCGAGGUAUUAAAAAUUACCUUGUCUCUAAUCACUAGAUGCAAUGAAAUGAAUGCAAAAUCUGGUGGGGUCGGUGUUUUUUGAGGGAUCGAAUUUCACCGUUAUCGGUUAAUUUGAUUCCUAUUUUUUUAAUAUAAUAUUCAUGAUCAAUAAUUUUUUUUUUACUAUGAUGCUUCUAGUUUUCAAAUGCAGAGAAAUGAAAUACGGUCCAAGAUGCUGCAAAAUCAAUCAAUUUUUGGUUAGGGGUUGAAUUCUAGACUUAUCAGCGAACUUGGUCCCUAAUUUUUUUUUUUUUAAAGAAUUGCAAUAACGAUCUAUCAAUGAAAACUUAGAUGUCAACGACUUUAUAAAACAUCGUCAUUAAAAAAAAAAAUCCAAAUUUAUGAUGUUUUGUCGUUAGUCAUUACAGAUCAUCGUCAACCUUCAUAAAACAUUGUUUUAUAUACAUAUCGCAUUCCAAAAUUAGUGUUCCAAUAAUAAAACACCAAACUAGUGUUAAAUAAUGUACUGAUUUAGCAAUUGACCUCAAACCUGUCUCACUACCCAGCACCAAAAACUCGUUUACCUAACAUUAGAGUGAUCAAAUCCCUGAUUAUGUACAUGCCCGCUUGCUUCCCUAGGGACAUUCUUGACCAUCGACUAAGGACCUUCACUAAAUAUGCAUCUCAAAGUGGGGAAAUUAAUGCUAAUUUUUAGAACAACCUGUUUCAGUAAAUUAUGUACUUAUUAUACUUCAAGCUAAAAUAGAAUCAAGAAAUUUCCAGUUCGAUUUAUGAUACUCCAUUCAAUCCCUGACGGAUUUCCGUCACACGUUUCAGACAAAAAUAAUGACGCAUGUUGUUCUCCAACCUUUUAAACUUCAAUAUAUAGUGUUCUGCGCUAAAUUUCAAGUAUAACCCAAGAUGUGUCAUCUUAUUGGAAAACGACAUGCUCCUUUUGUCAAUCUAAACAUGUAGGAGAGGAAUGGUGCGAUCAUGAUAUCUCCUCGUAUUUUCAGCAAUUCUCAAAUAGAAAAACUCUGAUGUCCAAUCUUAUUUUUUCACAAAGUUUCAUACAAACACUAAGACUCCGUUCAUUUUAUGAAAAACAACUUCCACGAAAACCUUUCCUGGAUAAUUCAGCGUUCGGUUCACAGGAAAUAAAUUAGUGGAAAAAACAACUUUAAAAAUGAGGAAAAUAUUUUUCGCUUUUCAAAAAGUGGAAGACAUUUUCCAUCUCCUUUCUUUCACUUCUACACAAAGCACUUUGUUUUACCAAAUAUCUUUUCGUUUGUUUUUAUUUUUUUUGAAAAAGUUGAGAUUUUAAUUAUUAUUAAUUUUUUUAAUUUUCUUUUUUUCUUCUUCUUUAGCCGGUCAAGGGCCAUAGCGUGAGUCCACGAUUGGCUAUAGGAGAGCUCAAACGUUGCUAGAUUCCAAUGAAUUCAAGCCUUGCUAAAUCUGAGGAGGCCUAAGCUUGCUCAAGGUCACCAAGUGAGCUCGGGUCUUACCAAAUUCGGCAAGUUGGGAGGGACUCAAGCCUCACUUAAGAUCGCUAGAGGUCAAUGAGGCUCUGGCCACCUCAAGUGAGGCUUGAGGUUGCUUGUGACCAGUCGUUGACUAUCACCGUCGUUGGUGAUCGGUUGAGAAAGAAGAAAAAGAGAAAAAAGAGAAAAAGGAAAGAAUGAAAAGAAAAUUAAUUAAAAAAUUUAAAUUCUUUUGGUAAUUUUCCUCAAAAAAUCAAAUCAUAUAUUAAAUGGCGGAAAAUAUUUUCUAAUUUAUUUUCAAAUUUGAGCUGAAUAUCAAAAAAAUAUUAUCACUUUUUUAAAAAAUAACUUUUUAAAAAAUAUUUUUUAAAAACGUGACACCUUCCGCGAAAUUGACGGGUACUAACCAUUGUGUGAUUUCAUAGAGUCCAUCAUGUGCGCGCAGAUGUCAAAAUGAAUUGACAUAAAGGGCACCGUACUGAAGAAACUCCGGAACGAAAUCCUGAUCCACACGUUGAAGCUGUCCUCCUCGCCAAGCUUACUGCGUAAGCCUUCUCUCUCUUGGGCGUGUGGCUUCCUUUAGAAGCUGGGGACCGACUUUCCUGUCCACACGCAGUACGUCGGCGGAUCCCAGGGCUUUACGAUUCGGACAGCCAGUCUCCUCAUUUCUCGCUCUCUGCAACUGCUUCCUCGGAAGCGACAAGCACAUAACUCAAAAUUCUUUGUCUCGGUCGUGCGAGUUUUCUUCCUUUACAGAGAAGAAGACGCGUGUUGCAUACGUUCUCCAAACUUGAUUACCAUAUGAUUUCCCCUUUGAAGUAAUUAUUUUAGAUCGAGCUUCAUGAGAGUAAUUUAUCAGAUCUUUUUGUGGUGGGAAAACGACCAAGCCAGGGUUUGAUUUUUUUGAUUGAACAUAUGAAUGAAAGAAAAGGCGAAAAGUACAUAAAAAGUCCUAAAUUUAUGAUAUUAAUAAUAAUUCAGUCCUAAACCUUUUAAUUAAACAAAUUUAAUCCUAAUUUUUUUUACAUUUGUACAAAUUUAGCUCUUUCGGCCAAUUUUGACUGGCCUAUGUUGAAGUGGAUGUCAGCUGGUGUUGGCCAUAUGAACAACGUUGAUGUGAUAAUUUUUUAAUAAUUUUUUAUUUUUUUGAAUUUUUGUAUUAGUUUUUUGUUUUUCUUUUUUCUCUUAUUCCUCCUUGCAUUUCUUCUCCCUAUAGUGGCCGGCAAGGCUCCGACGAGCCUUGUCAGCCAUUGGGUGAUGGUUGCGAAGCCUUCACUCGCCACUAGGCGAUGGCAACGAAGUCCUCCCUAGUCGCCUCAUUCGCAAUCUUGGACAAGGUUGGAUGAGGCCUGCAACCCUCGUUGAUGGCAGGUGAGUGCUUCGCAACCCUCUCCUAGUGGCUGGCAAGUCUUGCCGGAGCCUUGCCAACCAUCACAGGGAGAAGGAACCUAAAGAGGAAGAAGAGAAAAAGAAAAAGAAAAAGAAAUUAAAAAGAAAUUAAAAACUUAAAAAAUUACUGAAAAUUUGCCUUGUAUGGCUGGUGUUGGUUGGCAUUUACAUUAGUGCUGAACAGCCAAAAUUAGUCGGAAAAAUUGAAUUGGUACUAAAGUAAAGAAACUUAUGACUAAAUUGAUCAAAUCAAAAUGUUUAAAACUAAAUUGACAUCGAGACUAAAUUGAGCCAUAUUAUUGAAAACAGUUGGUUCCAUGUUUGCAGGUCUCCCAUUGCACUCAUCAAAUUUGAUGAUUUAAAUUCAGUUUAGUACAUAUUGUUGAUACCUAAAUUUUAACAUCCCAUUUAGUAAUAUUGCAUAGUAAAUUAGGAAUUGACCUAGUCCCCUGAAAAAAAAAAUAUUAAGUUAAAUUGCAUAUAAACUUUAGGAGCAUUUGUUAUUUAGUUUAUAUUUUUUUAUUAUUAUAUUUGCAUUAGAUCGGUGAUGGAUGGGUUUGAAUCAAUGGUUCUUUGCUUGAAUUUAACGAGUUGGACUAAGUCCGCGGUGAAAGAGAAUGUGGCAAAGCCCGUCAUUCUUUAAUGGCUGAAAAUUAACUUUUGAGGAGUGUUGGAAGAUUGGUUUAAUUUGAAAAAGAUUGAUAUUAUUCUUACAGUAAUAAUUUAAGAGCAUAGGAGGAAAAUUUGGCCAACGAAAAGAAACAAAAGAAAGAAUGAAAUGGUGGUUAAUCUAAUUUUAUCUCUUCUGUAUAUUCAUGCAAUUUAAGGGAAAUAAAGAUAGAAAAAUAAGAGGAAAGUGUGCUAAGGCAGAAUCAGCCGACAUGGGCAUAUACAUAUAUAGAGUGAUAUGUCUCGUUUUGACGCGUCCAUGCUCGUGGCAGAAAGGAAGGUUUCAGAUGAGUAAUAUUGGAAAAUAAAAGGGAACGAUGCAUGUGGGGGAUAUAUUUGGUGUCACUCUUUAGGCAACAUAUUUUUUGGUUAAUAAAAGAAACACCAACGCAAGAAAAGAGGUCUUCAAUCCUCAGUAGGCGUGAGCAGAAAGGAAGGAAAACAAAUUGAAAGUAAGGAGAUUGUGUCUUGACCGUACCAGACGUGAUUGGAAGGAGGAAAGAAAUUUAGUUUCUUCCUCUGGCGGGGUCUCUUUUUCCAGUCCGACACAGGCAAGGAAUAGACAACAGAGGGAGAGGAAAGGUAUAGAGAGUUGUCUCGGCCACACUCUCCGCUGUGUCAUCACCGUCGUCGCUGCUGCUGCUCGCUGUUUUGCUGAGCGUGACAAUGCCAAACCCGCCACUGCAUGACAACAACGAGCCGCUACUCCUCAUCGCCCGAACACCAUGCGCCCGAGCUACUGCUGCUUAAGCUCACCACCGAUCUGCUGCUGUCCCGUGGAGUCCCGAUGACGCUUUUAUUGCCAAUCAACCGCCUGCUGUGGUUGUCAGUGAGCCACAGAGACCCGAUCCUUGUUGCACGGAAAAGCCACGACCUUUACCACGACAAAGCUUUGAGCCGUUCCGAAGAAUUUCAAGGCGGUGUUCGAGUUCCUCUAAGCUUUGAGCCACUACUUGUUCACGUGAUUCCUUACGCUUGACCAACAUUCGACACCUGAGGGGAGGAAAUCGGGAACAGAGAGAGAUCCACUCACAUUGGUCACGUACAGAAUACGCCCGAGAAAGAGAUAACAAAAAAGGAAAUUUUGAUGUUGUCAUGCUCGGCGAGUUCUGAGUGUCAUUGUUAUCCAGGUUGCUCUGCUAUUAUUCUUCUUGCAGAUUGCUGGCCUUGUGCAUCUCCAUCAUUGCGAAUCACCACCAGUAAGCAUCACCGCCGUUGUCCAAAGCCGUGACCCGAGACACCCGCCGCCGGUCACACCGUCUAUCGUUGUGAACAGCCACGCAACCACCGUUCAAACCCGCCGCUGUUCAAGUUGGAACCAUAUCUUCAAAUUAGGUGACAAAUCCUAUCCAAAUUUGAAUUAUUAAUUACCUAAUUUGAAUAUAUUGUGAUCUUAAUUAGACGUCUUUAAGAUAUGCCAUAAACAAAAGAUUUUUCAAGUAUUCGUGAAUUAGGAUAAUUUCUUAAUUUUACAAUAUGCAAUGAUCAAUAGUCUGAUUUUAUACCACCGGCCGUGGUGGCUCCGUUAGAUAAGAACUUCGCUGAUCCUUACCCAAAGGUGAGGAGUUCGAAACCUAGUGGCGGCACUUGGUGUCUUAUGCGGGAUGUCGGGGUGGUGGGUCCUUCGCUAGCGUCCCCCAGGUUUGCUCGGUCGGCUGCCGCUAUACGGGUUCUUGGGUUAUCAAAAAAAAAAAAAAAGUCUAAUUUUAUGGUCCAAAUACGACUCAUGAUCAUGUGAAAAACCCGCCAAUCUAAUCUCAUGCCCAAUAUAAAAUUGGUUGAUUUUACUUAUUUCCAAACUUAGAUGGGUAUGGAUGAUGUAUUGGGUGAUAGAUGUUUUCCAUUGCUUGAUUUGAUUUGAUUUGAUUUUUAUUUUUUAUCUAAAAAAUCAAAAAAAGAUUAGAUACAAUUAAAGUAGAUUAUUUUUUAGGGUCUGCAUGUUUAUUUUGAUUAUUUUAUAAUUUCAAAUUUAAAUAAAAAAUCACAUGCAUAUCAUGUAGAUUAAUUGCAUCAUGCCUACAUCAUUGCCACUAUGUCAUUACUACGUGUCACACGUGCAUCGUGUUGUGUGUCAUCUUACCAUAUCAUUCAUCAUAUGCGAUGUCGUUUUCUAUGUCAUUGUAUGCGGUGUCAUUGUGCCACACCGUAUGUCAUAUCAUCAUAUAUGUCACGUCAUUGCUUGCAUGUCAUGUACUGAUCUAUAUGUUUUGGUCAUUGGUAGAAAAAAAUGCACAACCCCUUGGGGUUAUCCUGCACUUGGAAGAAGAAGUAGAAAAAGGAAGAAAUUUAAUUAAAAAAUCACCUGUCAUAAAAUUUUGCAUGUUAAGUUUAUUUAUUUCAGAAAUUCUAUGUCGAGGUUCAUCUAAUUAAAUUGCAUGUUAUGUAGACUAGUUUAAUUAGGAGUGCAUGUCGAUUUUGCCUGUCAUUAAAAAGUGCAUGUUUAGGUUUGUAUACUUAGGAAAUUUUGUGUCGUGCUAGAAUAAUAUAUUUAAUCAUCAUUAGAAUUAGGAUAUUUAAAUAAGUUAUGUCAUAUGUCACGUUAGAUUAGUAGAAUGCAUUGCAUAAUGCAUUAUCGUCAUUAAACAAGUUUAAAAAAAAAACAUUUGAGGGAAAUUGCAUGUUAAUGAAAAAUUAUAUUUAGGUUGCUAAUGUCAUUUUCUAACUAACUACAUAUGCUUUAGUAGCUUCAAGGUGAGUAAUUCUUCCAUUUCCUUGCAAUUUAUUUAAUGCUUUGAUUGUUGAGUGUUAAAUAAUGGCUGCACAUUUGCUUGAUCACCUCGCAUGUGAGUGAAUUAAAAGCAAUACAAUCUGCUUAGGAUACAUUUUUCUGAAAUAAAAGAGUAAAUGUAUCGAAAGGGCAUUACAGAAAUCUAGGAUAAUCAAAUACUCGUACCCACAUUUUAUAUUUCAUAGAAGUAAAGUAAUUCUCCUAUCACUUUAUUUGGGUUUCUAAUCAAUCAACCGGAAAAUAGAUUAAUGGCAACUUCUAAUUAUAAAUUAUUUACUUGUUAGAACUAAACCCUAAGUCGCAAAUUAAUAUGGGUUUGAGAGAGCUUGAGUUAACUUUAAACUUAAUAAUUUAUUAGCCAAAUCCCUAGGUGAUACAUCCGCUUUGGGGAGAUCGUGACACAUACAUUAGAUAUAGUUAUUAUUUUCGGAUGGGAGAUAUUAUCAUUAUCAUCAUUGUCACGUGGACUAUUUUCCGCAAGUAAGGAGGACCAAACAAAGCAGGAAAAAUAUAAGAGAAAGAUAACAAAAACCAUCAAAUGCAUCCGGCGAUGCUGCUUGUCCCAUCGUUGACUUUUCUUCAUUCCCGCGAGCAAAGAAUUUUCCCCCUUUUUUUUUUUUUUUUGCUAUUAAGACAUUUUUGCCGUUGAUAUUUUGUAACAUAUUUGAAAUGUUAGGUUGAGCGGAGCUUUGCUCAAGCCUGACAACCAGAAGUGGGAGGUGUGGGAGGUGAGCAGUCGGUUAUUAGACUUGAGCUAAGCUCCCUCACCUUGCAGUGGUUUUGACAUCAUCGUACCUCCCUACACGUGAAAAGUUAUUAUACUCCCCUAUUUAAUGGUAGCUAGUAUUUCAAGCUUUUCUUCUCGAGUGGAUAGGAGUAUAAGAGGUGACAUAUAUGAAAUGCUAGGAGGCAUCUAUCUCCGGCAUUUUGGCGACUAAACAAAUUGCAAUCCCAUGCCUGCAAUCUACGUGUCCUAUGCCUCCAAUAUUUCGUCUUUUAAAUUCUAUUGCAUAUUCUUUUUCUUCCCUUCUUUUCUUCUAAAUAUGAUGAGGAACCGCAAAUUCCAAUCUAUAGAAUAUCCGACUAACCUCAAUAAUCAUAUAAGACAUGGAUCAAGACAUCAAACGAGCAACCCAAACAUGAGAUUAUUUAUACGAGUAACGUACAGAUUUGAGCUAAUAUCUUGCUUUUGAUCCACACCUUUGUGUCUAUUCUUUUGUCACUAAGCCAAAAUGAGGAAUUGCAUGUAAUAUUUUCUGCAAUCGAUUGUGAUGUUAUUCCUGAAAUGGCGGGUCUUCAUCGGUUGUGCCCUAAAGCAAGAAGUUUAACUGUGACAUUAUUCCUGAAAUUGCAUAAAGCUACUUCAUUAUAAGUUCCAUUAGGUCAAUAAUUUACUGUCAUCUUUGUCGGUCGUGCCCUAGGACACUCCCGUUUUAGUUCUUAUUAAUUUGUAUUAACAUCAAAACACAUCAUCUACAACUUUGGUUAAAAAAUUUUAGUGAUCGACUUAGGAAAAAAGUGUCAAUUGAUGUUAUAAAUUAAUCGUAGACUUGAUUAUAAGUUUGACGAUUUGCAGGUAUUUCGAUAAAAUGAGAGGUUUGAUUGAAAAUUUUGCGCUUUUCGGUGGGCUCAAGCAAUGCAUUCUAGGGCCUUGUUGGUGAGUGGCCUAGGCCUAAGCAAUGACUUUGAGGCUCGGCUUAGUUCGCCCAUUAAUUUAUUAAAAAUUACAUCGAUAAAAUAUUUAUUUUAGUUUAUCUACCUCAAAAUACAAACUUGGUAAAUAUUGAAAGUGAAAGUGAGGCUUAAAACAGAAGAAGAAAAGUAUUUCAUGGCACAAUUAAAGUACAAUACCAAAAAAUUGUGGAAUUAUUAUCUAAUUAUGUUUCCAUUUUAUCUAUUUUUUAGCUCAGCUUUUUUUGCUUUAAAAAGCAAGACAUUCCCCAUGUGAUUAGGCCAAUGAAUUCAAGUGAGUGAGCUUGGCACUUGUCAAAACCAGCUGGAUUGGGUUUGGACAUGGCCCUUAAAAGCUCGAACCAAACUUGUUCAGUGAUAAGGUCUAAUUAAGUGUAUCUUGUCACAUCAUUUCCAGAUGUGUUUUACUCUGUAUCCGAUGUUUUAGCGUUUGUGUCAUAUGAAAGCGCCACUACCUGAUAUGGCUAGUAUAAGUACCUAGAGGAGGGUGAAUAGGUAUAAAGUAUAAUUUCUUAUGAUAAUCGCACAAUACUAGAUAGUUGAUAGAAAUGAGACAAUUUUUCUCGUCAAUAAACAAACAACGAUCAAAAUAAGAUUGAGAAUAGGGAAGAGAAAAUUGAACACAAUGUUUAUAGUGGUUCGGCUUAUUUCAAGCCUACGUCCACUCUUCUGCACUGACAGCCCACUGGCUGGAUUCCACUAUGAACAAAGAGAUAUUACAGUACUGUUCUUCCUUGAUUUCUCGGUGUAGAAGAUCUACCACACUCCCUCAAGGUAUCACUAAGUAUAGACUCUCUUUGCGUGUACAGUUUCGCUCAAUAUGAAUCAACUAAUAAUCAAAGAGCUUUAGACUCUGGAAUUUCUCUAUCAAGCACACACUAGAACAACUGAAACGUCUUCCUUUUAUACUCAUUUAUGCCAUCAUACCCGUUGGCACUUACCAAAGGAAUUCUUUCAAUCUUCCCAUUGGACAGAAUCAAUUAAGAAGAUCAUUCGAGCUAUUAAAGGAACAUGUCGAUAGCCCAUCAAUCUUGUUCGCCCAUACAAUCAGGAUCUUGGUUUCCAAGAAUAGAACCUUCCAAGAAUAUUUCGUCAAUCAUCGGAUCUUCAAACGAUCUUGAUUUCAAAUCAAUAAUCCGUUAUAUCAAAUCCAGCCAAGAGAUCUUCUCCAGUCGAUAAGACCAAAUCCUUAACCAAACACUUUAGCUCCGGAUCACCUUCGUCGCUAGAUUAGAAACUAUCAAUGAGAAUAGUCUUGAGUCUUGAGUCUUGUGUGCUGAGUCUGGUGAUAUGAAAGUCUUUAGACUCUAAGUACAAGGGUCUGCACAGCUUUCAGACUAGACUGAUAGAAAAGUUUUGUCAGCUUCAAAACACUCUAGAGAGAUUUCUCCAACAAUCUCCCCCUUUUUGAUGGUGACAAAACUUUCCUGUAGAUUUGAACAACUUUGACCUGCAAAAACAUUACUCAAGCAAUAUGGAUAUCUCAUAAAGAUUAAUAACUCAACUAGACUCUGCAUCCACAGAAAAUAGGUUAGUCUUUCAUGAGUAAAGCCAUACAAUAACACUUGAUAUAAAUGCAACAGUCAAUUUCAAAUCCACACUCAAGUCACUCAAAUUCACCAAGUCCACCACACCUAAGUCAUACUCAAAAUAAAUAUCCAAACUAAAAUUAAAAACAAAUUCAAAGUCAAAUUUCAGUCUAAAAUUCAGUUCAAAGCUGGCAAUUCUCCCCCUUUUUGUCAUCAUUAAAAAGGUGAGAAAGAGUCAAGUCUGCUUGGGAACGCACACAAGCUGGAAAUCUCCCAUCGACUGUACGACGCCUUCCAGCCUCUUCAAGUCUUCCCGUAGACGUGCCACCUCUACUCCUUUGGCAUUUGCUUGAAUUUGAAUAGCGAGGUAUUGCAUUUGAUCUGACAAGGUAACGGAAGACGCUUGUCCAGCAUUCUUCAGGACUUGAAUUUCACAUUCCAAAGCAUAUAUUUGACCCUGUAUAUCCAGAAGAAGAUCAAGGAUACGACGAAAAUCUGCGGUAUUGUCCGUCUGCGUGCUAGCAUUUGCUCUAUCAGAUGGAGUAAAGGCAGACGAUGGAACUUCGGUGUAAUCGCGCAAAUUUGGCGUUGAGGUGUCAUGUCCUUUCUCAGGCAUUUGAGAAGCCUGAAUAUCUUCUGGAUUUGCUUGCAAGCGACUCACACCUUCACUAUGAAUAGGAUAUGGUGUAGUCCUUCCUUGCUCGCCAUCUCCCCUGUUUCUAAGGCCUCAAUUGGGGAAGAGUGAUGGUCAUGCUCGGCAGCAUCUUGAUUGCCUUUCUCUCCAGCUUCAUCUACUGACUUUUCUUUGACUGCUUCUUCUUCUUCUUCAACUUCUUUCUCCUCUUCUUCUUUUUCUUUCUCUUCUUUCUCCUCUGCUUCUCUCUGUUUUUGUUCCUCUGCUUCUUUUCCUUUCUCCUGUCGUUCCGUUGAUUCGGAUACAGAAUGACUGAGUCUUUUCAAUGCCAAGGCAGAGAUAGUGAGUUCAUCCUCUUCAUCUUCAUCCUCUAAGUUUAGAGCUCUUUUCUUUUUGGAUGGAGCAUCCAUGGGCUCCUUCCCUUUCCUUUUCGACGCAGAAGAGACUGGAUGAGAUUUAACUGGAGUUUUCACGUUGAACUUCUCCAUUGCCUUAUCAAGCUCUUUCAGAUGCAUUUUUGUCAGCAUUUUCAAACCCACCACCAUUUUGUCGCAUGUUCGAACACAGAGAGUCUGUGGAGGUUCAAUGUUCAAGUGUCUGAAGAUCUUGGUCACAAGACCUAAGUAAGGCAACUGGCCCUUGUCCUUCACCAUCGCUCUGUACAUGUGGAAGAGAAUGGUGUGAGGGAGAGAGAACUUCUUCCCUGAAUUGAUCGCGUACAUCAAUUUCGCCUCAGAGUUAGACACGUCUGUCUUGGAUGUUGAUUUUGGCCUGAGACAGUUGAUCACGAUUUUGUGCAGUAAGAUGUUGAUGGCAUGCAUUCUUGUGUAGGUAAUUCUCCCUUCUGUACUCCUGUCUUUGACGAGUUCCAGUGUGGUACGAGCGAUUGAAACCUUGAUCGGUUGAUAUCGUCCUCUUUCAACUCCAAUUAUGUCUGCCAACAUGUCCACAUCUACCACAUAGUCUUGGUCUCGAACAUUGAAGGAUAUUCUAUUCGCAUCUGAAAAGCUGAGAUUUGAAUAGAGAUAUGAUGUCAAUUGUGCAUAGCCGUCUGUGGUGUCAGAGCAAAAUUGCUCUAGUUGAAGCAGAUUGAACUUCUCCUUCAAGUUUACAUUGAUGGCAUCCAUAAAGUCAAAAUCAACGCUCCUAGAGUUUAUCACCCCACGUUUCAACAAUUUGAAAAAUAGAUCCUCCUGUUCCUUCGAUUUGAACAACUCCGUUCUUUUUCCCCUCACCUUCGCAGCAACACCCAUCCUAGGUUGGAAUUCACUAAACAGUUUAUCAUCGUCAUUCCCAUCAGUCGGAUUCAAUCCCCCCACACGAGGGUCACUUGGAAUGUUCGCAAGUGCUUCCUCAGCCUUUCCUUUGGGAGCAAUUCCCAAAUCCUCCAUCCGUCGCAAAAAGACAUACUCAUUUCCAUAUCCUUUGCCUUUAAGGAAAUCAUCUACAUAGUUCAGCGGUGUACCUGUGCUUUUCAAAGCACGAUAGAGCUUGUAAAUAAAAGAGGGUUUUUAGACUCUUACAGGAUAUGCUUCCUCGAUUAUUUCUUCCUGCAGUUGUUGUCCCACACCCUGUGGGGUAGAUGAUGGAGAUUGACGUGGUUAAGAGUGAAUAGGGCUCUGUCGCUGUCUCGGUAACUCUUCCUCCUUGGUGAGAUCGAAAUGGGUAGGACCCUCCCUCAUUCUCUGUGGUCCCCUGCUCGCGAUUCUUGAAGACUUUCUCGAAGAGGACAUCGUUUCUUGUCGUUGAAAGAUUCCUUGACUCGCUUUCCCAAGAAAAGAUGACAACUUUCUCGAAGAUGAACACGAAGUCGAGACAGGAUUGGGAGGAGAAUGCUUCUUUUUUUUUUUUUAGGGUUUUGGAGUUAAGCGAAGAAAACAAUUGACUGUAUAUAUAUAACCCAGUUAAAAAAGGAAAAAGCCAAUCGACAUAAAGGAAAGUGAACAGUCGUCCCUUUUUAAAAACGAUAACCUUUUUAAAUAGAGGUUAUCUUUUUGAAAAGGCAAGAUUCCGUUUUUCUUGGAAAUUAAAGAUAAUAUAAAUCAAAUAUAACUGAACGAAUGAUUGUACCUUUUCGAGAUUGAAUAUUAAAACAACUUACAGUCUAUAGCCGUGAAUGUCUGAGUCUGAGAGUCUGAGAGUCUUUAGACUUUGAUUUCCUCAAGCUUCAAAAUGUUGAGUCUGGAAUGGAUGAUAUCGAAUUGAUUCUUCUCCAAAGGCUUUGUGAAUAUAUCAGCUAGUUGGCUCUUUGACUGAACAAAUUGAAUCGAGAUUUCUCCAUUUUGAACAUGAUCUCUAAUGAAAUGAUGUCGAAUCUCUAUAUGCUUUGCCCUUGAGUGAAGGAUUCGAUUUUUAGUAAGAUUGAUUGCGCUGGUGUUGUCACAUCUAAUCUCAGUACAUGAGUCUUCAAUUCCAAAGUCUUGUAGCUGUUGUUUUAUCCACAGAAUUUGCGAACAACAACUUCCAAGAGCUACAUACUCUGCUUCUGUUGUAGAUAGAGCCACAGUGUUUUGUUUCCUUGAAAACCAAGACACUGUCCUGUUCCUAAGCGAUUGGCAAGUUCCCGAGGUGCUCUUUCUAUCAACUUUGCAACCGGCUAGAUCUGCGUCUGAAUAUCCAAGAAGAUUAAAGUCUCCCUUCUUAGGAUACCAAAGACCGAUGCUUGAAGAUGAAGCAACGUAUUUAAUAAUACGUUUCGCAGCACUGAGAUGAGAUUCUCUAGGGUCUGAUUGAAACCUAGCACAUAUGCAAACACUCAACAAAAUGUCAGGUCUAGAGGCAGUAAGAUAAAGAAGUGAAUCGAUGAUACUCCUGUACAGCUUUUGAUCAACUUUCUUCCCUUCUUCAUCUUUGUCUAUCUUCAAAGAACUUGACAUCGGUAUGUCGGUCUUUUUGCACUUUUCCAGUCCAAACCUUUUGACAAGAUCAUUAGCAUAUUUUUCUUGAUGAAUAAAAGUUCCUUCCUUCAAUUGUUUUACUUGAAGUCCAAGAAAGAAGGUUAACUCUCCCAUCAUACUCAUUUCAAACUCAUCCUGCAUAGACUUAGAGAAUUUCUUGCACAGACUUUCAUUAGAGGAUCCAAAAAUAAUAUCAUCCACAUAUAUUUGAACAAGUAAAAAGCUUUUGUUUUCCUUUUUGAUAAAUAGAGUAGUAUCUACUUUACCUUUGACAAAACCAUUAUGUAUUAAAAACUUACUUAGUCUGUCGUACCAAGCUCAAGGUGCUUGCUUUAAACCAUACAAGGCCUUUUUCAGUCUGAAGACUAAGUCUGGCUUCUUUAGGUCUUCAAACCCUGGUGGUUGUUCCACAUAAACUUCCUCAUGGAUAAAUCCAUUUAGGAAGGCACUUUUGACGUCCAUUUGGAAUAACUUGAAAUUUUUAUAACAAGCAAAAGCAAGCAAUAAUCGAAUAGCUUCUAACCUUGCUACUGGUGCGUUUGUCUCAUCAUAGUCUAUCCCUUCUUCUUGCGUAUAUCCCUUGGCUACGAGUCUUGCUUUGUUUCUUACGACUUUUCCUUUCUUAUUCAUCUUGUUCCUAAACACCUAUUUAGCUCCAAUAACAGUUUUACAUUUUGGUUUAGAUGUCAAUUCCCAGACAUCAUUAAUGUUGAACUGUCUAAGCUCUUCUUGCAUAGCUUCAAUCCAGCUUUCAUCAGAUAAAGCUUCUUCUAUGCUUUUUGGUUCAAUUUCAGAGAUGAGAGCCACAUCACUAGACUCUUCACGCCCUUUGGAUCUGGUGCGAAUUCCUUCAUUAAUUUCGCCAAUAAUGAGAUCUUUGGGAUGACUGGACUUAUGCUUCCAGUUACUGGUUGAUUUGUCUGAUUGAUGAUCUCUUUCUUUACUUGAAUCUUCACGAACAACUUGAUGCUAGUCUUCCAGAGUCUGAGAUGCUUCUUGAGUUGUAAGCUUUGAAGAGUCUGGAGCAGGUUCAGACUCUUCAUGUUGAGUCUGAUUGGAUUCAUUUUGCAUUGAAUCUUGAAAUUUGACAUUCAUCGAUUCCUCCACUGAUUGACUCUUCUUGUUAUAGACUCUGUAGGCUUUGCUUGAUGUAGAAUAUCCAAAGAAGAUGCAUUCAUNNNNNNNNNNNNNNNNNNNNNNNNNNNNNNNNNNNNNNNNNNNNNNNNNNNNNNNNNNNNNNNNNNNNNNNNNNNNNNNNNNNNNNNNNNNNNNNNNNNNNNNNNNNNNNNNNNNNNNNNNNNNNNNNNNNNNNNNNNNNNNNNNNNNNNNNNNNNNNNNNNNNNNNNNNNNNNNNNNNNNNNNNNNNNNNNNNNNNNNNNNNNNNNNNNNNNNNNNNNNNNNNNNNNNNNNNNNNNNNNNNNNNNNNNNNNNNNNNNNNNNNNNNNNNNNNNNNNNNNNNNNNNNNNNNNNNNNNNNNNNNNNNNNNNNNNNNNNNNNNNNNNNNNNNNNNNNNNNNNNNNNNNNNNNNNNNNNNNNNNNNNNNNNNNNNNNNNNNNNNNNNNNNNNNNNNNNNNNNNNNNNNNNNNNNNNNNNNNNNNNNNNNNNNNNNNNNNNNNNNNNNNNNNNNNNNNNNNNNNNNNNNNNNNNNNNNNNNNNNNNNNNNNNNNNNNNNNNNNNNNNNNNNNNNNNNNNNNNNNNNNNNNNNNNNNNNNNNNNNNNNNNNNNNNNNNNNNNNNNNNNNNNNNNNNNNNNNNNNNNNNNNNNNNNNNNNNNNNNNNNNNNNNNNNNNNNNNNNNNNNNNNNNNNNNNNNNNNNNNNNNNNNNNNNNNNNNNNNNNNNNNNNNNNNNNNNNNNNNNNNNNNNNNNNNNNNNNNNNNNNNNNNNNNNNNNNNNNNNNNNNNNNNNNNNNNNNNNNNNNNNNNNNNNNNNNNNNNNNNNNNNNNNNNNNNNNNNNNNNNNNNNNNNNNNNNNNNNNNNNNNNNNNNCACAUCCAAGAGAUAGAUAUUUCCAUGCCUUCGACCCAUGAAAGACUUAGUAGAGUCUUUACUGGUUCUAGAACAUAUUCCUUCUUGAAAGAAGAUCUUAAAACCAGUAUCACAUAGUUGGCUGAUGCUGAGAAGAUUGUAAUUGAGUCCUUCUACUAGGGAAACAUUACUUAUUGUGAGAUUUCCAAUUUUCACAGUUCCAAAUCCCACAAUUCUUCCUUUGUUGUUUCCUCCAAAUGAGACUUUUCUACCAUUUACUUAAAUGAGCUUUAUAAAGUAAUUUGAGUCUCCCGUCAUAUGUCUUGAGCAUCCACUGUCCAAAUACCAAUUUACCUUUUUCUUGAUGGAGACCUGCAUUUAAAAGAGAUUCUCAAGCUUUCUUUGGUACCCAUAUUUUCUUGGGUCCAUUAGUGUUAGUAAGAUAAACAAUAUUAGCCCAUGUUUUCUUAACAGGUUUCCAAACCAUAGGACACUUUUUCAAAGUGAUCCGGGCUAUUGCACUUUGAACACCUGAGGGCAUUUCGACCUACAGACUUUACAAAAACCUUCUUGAAAUGAUUUUUGUAGGCCUCUCUUGAGGGUCUUUGCUUAAUUCUUUCUUUUACUUUAGGAAAAUCAAUCAAGGGAAUAGUUUCCGCUGUCAUACCUAAACCAGACUUAUUGAAAUAAGGUCUUUGAGCUGAAAGAAUUUUUUCAAGUUUCUCGGACCCUAUUGAAAAUUUCUUUGAAAUAUUUGAUGAGUCAAUUUUUAAAAGAGCAUUUUCUUUCAAAAGAUUUUCUUCACUUUCUUUAAGAGUAGAAACAUUCAUGUCUAAACAUUUAAUUCUUUCUUUCAAAACGUUUUCCUGUUGUUUUAGAACAGAGUUUUCCUUUUUAAGUUCGGAAAUCCUUUUAAGAGAAGUCUUAAAACUAAAACACAGCUCAUCAAUAUACUUAGAAACCUUGACAGGAAUUUUAAAACUACUUACCUCAAAUUCACUGUCUGAGUCUGAUCCAGAGUUUGAGUCUGAGUUUGAUUGCACCAUCAGACACAAAUUGGCAUAUUCAUCAUCACUUUCUUCAUACUCUGUAUCACUCCAGGUUUCGACUUUGAGAGCCUUUCGAGACUUUUCAGCUUUUCCUUUCUUCUUCUUUAGAAGAGGACAGUUGGGUCUGAUGUGUCCUUUUUUUCUUACAUUCAAAGCAAACUACAUCUUUGUUUAAUUCAUCAUCAUCAACAGACUUGGUCUGUUGUCUUUGAAAGCUUUGUUUCUUUGAGUUGAAUCUUCUUCCUUUUCUAUUCAGCUUUCUGAAUCUUCUUAUCAUGAGAGCAAGCUCCUCAUCGUCCAUAUCAUCUUCAGAAUCUGUAACAUCAUAAUCAUCAUUUGAUUUUAAUGCAAUGGAUUUCUUACCUUUUGGAUCUUCGUCUUCGUUAAUUUGUUCCACUUCAUAAGACUGAAGAAUUCCAACCAGCUCGUCGACAGAUAGUGGCAUGAUUCUUUGCGUCUCUCUUAUUGAAGUCUUUAUGUGAUUCCAAUCCUUGGAGAGUCCACGCAGUAGCUUGUUUACCUUCAUGGGAUCAGAAAUUGGUUGUCCUUGAUUUUCAAGACGAUUUACAAUUUCUGUAAAACGGCUAAACAUGUCAGUUAUAGAUUCUCCAUGUCUCAUUUUGAAGGCUUCAUAUUGACCGAGAAGGAUGUUGAUUAUGGUCUCUUUCACUCGAUCAGUUCCUUCAUAGGUGAUAUGUAACCUAUCCCAGACUUCUUUUGCUGUAACACAAGGAGAUAUUAUGUUAUAUUCAGUAGGUGACAAGACACAAUAGAAAAAAUAUAUAGCUUUUGCAUCAAGAGUUUGUCUCUUGAUUAUCUCUUCCUGAGACAUUCCGCUGGUCUCAACAGUUUCUUUCCCUAUUUCUAAGACAGAUGCAACUUUAGGAGUGAUUCCUUUUUCUACAACGUCCCAUUCCAGAGGAUCCUUUGAUCGAAGAAAUGCUUUCAUUUUUUUUUUUCCAGAUGUUGCAGUCCUUUCCAUCAAAAUAAGGAGGUCUGGUAUUGCUUUGCCCUUCCACCAGCCUUGAAGCUAGCAUACUAGCCAUGGAUCUUUUACUCUAAAGUAAAACACUUCAAAUAAAGUGAGUACACGAGCUCUGAUACCAAUUGAUAUGGCUAGUAUAAGUACCUAGAGGGGGGUGAAUAGGUAUAAAGUGUAAUUUCUUAUGAUAAUCGCACAAUACUAGACAGUUGAUAGAAAUGAGACAAUUUUUCUCGUCAAUAAACAAACAACAAUCAAAAUAAGACUGAGAGUAGGGAAGAGAAAAUUGAACACAAGGUUUAUAGUGGUUCGGCUUAUUUCAAGCCUACGUCCACUCUUCUGCACUGACAGCUCACUGGCUAGAUUCCACUAUGAACAAAGAGAUAUUACAGUACUGUUCUUCCUUGAUUUCUCGGUGUAGAAGAUCUACCACACUCCCUCAAGGUAUCACUAAGUAUAGACUCUCUUUACGUGUACAGUUUCGCUCAAUAUGAAUCGACUAAUAAUCAAAGAGCUUCAGACUCUGGAAUUUCUCUAUCGAGCACACACUAGAACAACUGGAACGUCUUCCUUUUAUACUCCUUUAUGCCAUCAUACCCGUUGGCACUUACCAAAGGAAUUCUUUCAAUCUUCCCGUUGGACAGAAUCAAUUAAGAAGAUCAUUCGAGCUAUUAAAGGAACAUGUCGAUAGCCCAUCAAUCAUGUUCGCCCAUACAAUCAGGAUCUUGGUUUCCAAGAAUGGAACCUUCCAAGAAUAUUUCGUCAAUCAUCGGAUCUUCAAACGAUCUUGAUUUCGAAUAAAUAAUCCGUUAUAUCAAAUCCAGCCAAGAGAUCUUCUCCAGUCGAUAAGACCAAAUCCUUAACCAAACACUUUAGCUUUGGAUCGCCUUCGUCGCUAGAUUAGAAACUGUCAAUGAGAAUAGUCUUGAGUCUUGAGUCUUGUGUGCUGAGUCUGGUGAUCUGAACGUCUUUAGACUCUAAGUACAAGGGUCUGCACAGCUUUCAGACUAGACUGAUAUAAAUGUUUUAUUAGCUUCAAAACACUCUAGAGAGAUUUCUCCAACACUACCAGCCCUAAGAAAGAAUGGAAUAGGUCCCUUGAUCAUAAAGUCAUAAAUUUAUGGCAUUAAUAUCAAUUCAGUUAUAAAUCUUUUAAUUAGACCAAUUUAAUCUUAAACGUUUUCACAUUAAUGUUAAUUUAGUCCAUCCGAUCAAUUUUACCCUUGCGAUGCUGAUGUGUGGCCGAUGAACGCUAACAUGGCAAUUGCCCCACUAGCUCGAAGGAACUCCUUUGUUUCGGAUUUCAAUUGCAGCCGCUACUUCCUUUCAAUUUAGCCAAAUUUUGACCUUUUGUUUAGUCCGAUUUCAUGGCCAAUGUAAGGUCAAGGUGACGAGACUUAGUGGGGCACAGUGGUGCCAGGAGUUCCUUCGAGCUUUGAGGGCCUUAAGAGUUCCGUCGCUCCAAAUCUUCUGUUGUGGGGCCUGAGGUAUUAAAAAUUACCUUGUCUCUAAUCACUAGAUGCAAUGAAAUGAAUGCAAAAUCUGGUGGGGUCGGUGGUUUUUGAGGGAUCGAAUUUCACCGUUAUCGGUUAAUUUGAUUCCUAUUUUUUUUUUAUAUAAUAUUCAUGAUCAAUAAUUUUUUUUUUUACUAUGAUGCUUCUAGUUUUCGAAUGCAGAGAAAUGAAAUACGGUCCAAGAUGCUGCAAAAUCAAUCAAUUUUUGGUUAGGGGUUGAAUUCUAGACUUACCAGCGAACUUGGUCCCUAAUUUUAUUUUUUUUAAAGAAUUGCAAUAACGAUCUAUCCAUGAAAACUUAGAUGUCAAGGACUUUAUAAAACUUUGUCAUUAAAAAAAAUCCAAAUUUAUGAUGUUUAGUCGUUAGUCAUUACAGAUCAUCGUCAACCUUCAUAAAACAUUGUUUUAUAUACAUAUCGCAUUCCAAAAUUAGUGUUCUAAUAAUAAAACACCAAACUAUUGUUAAAUAAUGUACUGAUUUAGCAAUUGACCUCAAACCCGUCUCACUACCCAGCACCAAAAACUCGUUUACCUAACAUUAGAGUGAUCGGAUCCCUGAUUAUGUACAUGCCCGCUUGCUUCCCUAGGGACAUUCUUGACCAUCGACUAAGGACCUUCACUAAACAUGGAUCUCAAAGGGGGAAAAUUAAUGCUAAUUUUUAGAACAACCUGUUUCAGUAAAUUACAUACUUAUUAUACUUCAAGCUAAAAUAGAAUCAAGAAAUUCCAAGUUCGAUUUAUGAUACUCCAUUCAAUCCCUGAUAGAUUUCCGCCACACGUUUCAGAUAUAAAUAAUGACACAUGUUGUUCUCCAACCAUUUAAACUUCAAUAUAUAGUGUUCUGCGCUAAAUUUCAAGUAUAACCCAACAUGUGUCAACUUAUCGGAAAACGACGUGCUCCUUUUGUCAAUCUAAACAUGUAGGAGAGGAAUGGUGCGAUCAUGAUAUCUCCUCGUAUUUUCGGCAAUUCUCAAAUAGAAAAACUCUAACAUCCAAAUCUUAUUUAUUCAUGAAGUUUUGUACAAACACUAAGACUCUGUUCAUUUUACCGAAAAACAACUUCCACGAAAACCUUUCCCGGAUAAUUCAACGUUCGGUUCAUGAGAAAUAAAUUAGUUAAGACAUUAAUGGAAGAAACAACUUUAAAAAUGGGGAAAAUAUUUUUCGCUUUUCAAAAAGUGGAAGACAUUUUCCAUCUCCUUUCUUUCACCUCUACACCAAAGCACUUUUUUUUACCAAAUAUCUUUUCGUUUGUUUUUUUUUGAAAAAGUUGAUUUUUUAAUUAUUAUUAAUUUUUAUUUUAAAUUUUUUUUCUUUUCUUUUUUUCUUCUUCUUUAGCCAAUCAAGGGCCACAGCGUGAGUCUGCAAUUGGCUAUAGGAGAGCUCAAACCUCGUUAGAUUCCAAUGAGGUCAAGCCUUGCUAAAUCUGAGGAGGCCCAAGCUUGCUCAAGGCCACCAAGUGAGCUCGGGUCUUACCAAAUCCAGCAAGUUGGGAGGGACUCAAGCCUCACUUAAGAUCGCUAGAGGUUGAUGAGGCUCUGAUCACCUUAGGUGAGGCUUGAGGUUGCCUGUGACCAGUCGCCGACUAUCAACGUGGUUGGUGAUCGGUUGAGAAAGAAAAAAAAAAGAGAAAAGAGAAAAAGGAAAGAAUGAAAAGAAAAAUAAUAAAAAAAUUAAAUUCUUUUGGUAAUUUUCCUCAAAAAAUCAAAUCAUUUAUCAAAUCAUAUAUUAAAUGGUGGAAAAUAUUUUCUAAUUUAUUUUUAAAUUUGAGCUAAAUAUCAAAAAAUAUUAUCACUUUUUUGGAAAAUAACUUUUUUUAGAAGUACUUUUUUAAAAACGUGACAUCUUCCGCGAAAUUGACGGGUACUAAUCAUUGUGUGAUUUCGUAGAGUCUAUCAUGGGCGCGCAGAUGUCAAAAUGAAUCGACAUAAAGAGGACCGUACUGAAGAAACUCCGGAACGAAAUCCUGAUCCACACGUUGAAAUUGUCCUCCUCGCCAAGCUUACUGCAUAAGCCUUCUCUCUCUUGGGCGUGUGGCUUCCUUUGGAAGCUGAGGACCGACUUUCCUGUCCACACGCAGUACGUCGGCCGAUCCAAGGGCUCUGCGAUUCAGACAGCCAGUAUACUCCUCAUUUCCCGCCCUCUGCAACUGCUUCCUCGGAAGUGACAAGCACAUAACUCACAAUUCUUUGUCUCGGUCGGGCGAGUUCUCUUCCUUUACAGAGAAGAAGACGCGUUGCAUACGUUCUCAAAACUUGAUUACCAUAUGAUUUCCCCCUUUGAAGUAAUUAUUUUAGAUUGAGCUUCAUGAGAGUAAUUUAUCAGAUUUUUUGUGGUGGGAGAACGACCAAGCCAGGGUUUAAUUUUUCAAUUGAGCAUAUGAACGUAAGAAAAGGCAAACAGUACAUAAAAAGUCCUAAAUAAAUAUUAAUUCAAUUUUAAACAUUUUAAUUAGAUCAAUUUUUAUACAAAUUCAGCUCUUUCGGCCAAUUUUGACUAGCCUAUGCUGAAGUGGAUGUUAGCCGGUGUCAACCGUCUGGUUAACGUUGAUGUAAUAAUUUUUUAAUAAUUUUUAUUUUUUCGAAUUUUUGUAUUAUUUUUUUUUCUUUUUUCUCUUCUUCAUCCUUACGUUUCUUCUCCCUAUAGUGGUUGGCUAGGCUCCGAUGAGCCUCGCCAGCCACUGGGUGAUGGUUGCGAAGCCUUCACCCACCAUUAGGCGAUGGCAGCAAAGCCCUCUCGGGUUGCCUCAUUCGCGGCCUUGGGCAAUGUUGGAUGAGGUUCGCAACCCUCAUUGACGGCAGGUGAGGGCUUUGCAACCCUCACCUAGUGGCCGAUGAGCCUUGCCAGAGCCUUGCCAACCACCGCAGGGAGAAGGAACCUGAAGAGGAAGAAGAGAAAAAGAAAAAGAAAAAGAAAAAGAAAUUUAAAAUUUGCCUUGUAUGGCUAGCAUUGGUUGGCAUCUACAUUAGUGCCAGCCAGCCAAAAUUAGCCGGAAAAAUUGAAUUGGUACUAAAGUAAAGAAACUUAUAACUAAAUUGAUUAAAUCGAAAUAUUUAUGACUAAAUUGGUACCAAUGUCAUAAAUUUUAAAUUUUUUUGGUACUUUUCUCCCUUGACCAUAAUUGACUUGGGGAUUGGGAAUAGAUGCCCCUUAUUUCUUUUUCUUUUUCUCUUCUUCCUCCUUGGUGGAAAAUAUUUUCUAAUUUAUUUUCAAAUUUGAGCUGAAUAUCAGAAAACAUUAUCAUUUUUUUUAAAUAACUCUUAAAAAAUAUUUUUGAAAAACGUAGUAUCUUCCGGGAAAUUGACGGAGUCUGGCCGUUGUAUGAUUUCACUGAGUCAUGUGCGCGCAGAAGUCAAAAUGAAUCGACAUAAAGGGGACCGUACUGAAGAAACUUGGGAACGAAACGCUGAUCCACACGUUGAAGUUGUCGUCCUCACCAAGCUUACUGCAUAAGCCUUCUCUCUCCUGGGCGUGUGGCUUCCUUUGGAAGCUGAGGACCGACUUUCCCGUCCACACGCAGUACGUCGGCGGAUCCAAGGGCCCUGCGAUUCAGACAGCCAGUAUCCUCCUCAUUUCUCGCUCUCUGCAACUGCUUCCUUGGAAGCGACAAGCACAUAACUCACAAUUCUUUGUCUCGGGUGGGCCAGUUCUCCUCCUUUACAGAGAAGAAGACGCGUUGUUUGUACGUUCUCAAAACUUGAUUGCCAUGUGAUUUCACCCUCGCCUAAGUCUGGCUUCCCUCCGCCGGCCAUGGCGGAGGGAAGAGAGAAGGGAAAAAAAAAAGGAAGAAAAGAAAGAAAGGAGAAAAAAAGAAAAGACAAAAAUGUCAUUGAUGUGGUAAAUGGGUUACGGUUAGCAAAGUUUGAGAUUUUUCAUAUCACAAAAAAAAAAGUUUAGAGUAAAUUUGUCAUUUUUAGCAAAGUUUGAGAUUUUUAGUGAUCUUUUCCUUCAAAUAAAUAUCAGAACCCUCGCAUAUCACAUCAUGAUUAAAGAAAUUAAAAUUAAAGUACUUUUGCUUUGCUUUUCCAUUUCAAGAUUGAAAAGAUGCCAAAACCCAUAUCAUUCGACCGGGGGGGAAAAUUUGUUGGAUGACUUUCCCAUUCAAAAAGAUAUUUUGUGAAAAAUCUUUCCCUUUUGGGAGAAAAAGAAUAUUAAUAUACUGAAAAUGUUAAUUGAUUUGUGAUAAUGAUUUAACCUUCGUGUUCAUAUUUACAGAGUAAAUAUCAUUAAAUCAUUAAAUCAUUAAAUGAGGGUUUUAUUCAUUUUUCUAGAGGUCAUCCGGAGGAGGGUCAUUGUUAAUAUGAGGCACCAACUUGUCCUUUAUAUGUACCCUUCGGUUUUGUUAAUUAUUUUGUGUUAUCCCCACUUUCUUCUUUGUUAUUACCUUAAAUAUUACUUUUUCUUCCCUAAACUUUUUAGGAUGUUUCUUAAUCGACAAUGCUAUGUUAUAUAUAAAUUUAUGUGCUAUGCUACUUGGUAAACUAUAAAUGGACAAUAAGCCAUAUUCAAUAAUUCAUAACAAUAUGCCACAUAACUUAUUAUACCAAAUGUAUAAAACAGUUUUAAUGUUCUCUUUCUUGUUUCUGUGGUAGAAGUGAAAACAAGCCAAACGUUGGAAAUAUGAAUAACACUACAGGUAUUAAGACUUUACUCGCGUUUCCUACAGUAAAUAGCGAGCUAUGUGGCGUGCGCCAUGUAAUCAAUUAUGUGUACAAUCAACAUAUGAAUAAUCUUUGUAAAAAGGAAAAAACAUAAUUGGGGCAAGAUCAUUUAAAAGAAAUUUAGUUUUUCAUUUCGCCAUCAUCUCUUCUCAAAAUUACACAAAAAUCUUCUCGAGCAUUAUUUCCAACUGCCAUUAAAGUUUGUCUGACCAACGUUGAAACUAUUCGAAUGGUUUUUAAAUUGUUAUACCGAAAUGCAUUGUAAUUAUACCUUUUUCACGUUGAUCUUUACUAUGUCACCAUAUUUAUAUAAUUUUUAUUAACUUCGCCUUCACUAGAGUUAACGUUCACGCUGAACUUAAACCCAAGAAGAUAGAGAUUUAUCAUGUGACCCCAAAGACAUAUCAAAAUAGUUUAUUAUAAAUAAUAUAGUAUGAAAUUGAAAAUCUUGAAUCAUUUAGCAGUUGUCUGGAGAUGGUCUUCAAAGCGAAAUUUUGUUUGAUCAUCCUUAUAAAGUUCAAAUUUCUUCAUUACCUUUAUUUAUCUUUUCCUUUUCCACAAUCACUUCCGCAUUAUUCUUAUCUUAAGUGACGUCCGCCUCAUCAUAAUAUCUCUCAUUUUCGUCAUGCAAGAUUAAGUCACGCAUAGGUGAACCAAAUUGACAGAAAGAAAUAUGAUAUUUUAGGUCUGAUCAAUACUUAUGUUUUUGAAAAGCUCUAAUUCGUAUUAAUGGGUGGAUACGUAUUAAGUGCGACCUUUUAAAACUAGGUUAUAUUAUCACGAAAAGUGAUUUUUCGCAGACUUUGUGAAGAUUAUUUUGAACAACUGAUCUUUAACCAAAAUUGGAGAGUUGAUUAUGAAACGCAAUAAUAGAGGUUGAAAUAGCGUGGUGGUUGGGCAUAAUUUGAGGGUGGACAUAUUGAUAACACAUUUGAUGGAAUAUUCGGUCUUCGUCUCCAUGGACUUGUCAAUCCUCACGUAAUUGACGGGGUAUCAAUUGACUAGAUAAGUCCAUCAUUAUUUGGGAAAUAGCGUGGUGGUUGGGGAUAAUUUGAGGGUGGACAUAUUGAUAACACAUUGUAUGGAAUGUUCGGUCUUCGUCUCCAUGAACUUGUCAAUCCUCACGUAAUUGACGAGGUAUCAAUUGAUUAGAUAUGUCCAUCAUUAUUUGGGAAAUAGCGUGGUGGUUGGGGAUAAUUUGAGGGUGGACAUAUUGAUAACACAUUUGAUGGAAUAUUUGGUCUUUGUCUCCAUGGACUUGUCAAUCCUCAUGUAAUUGAUGAGGUAUCAAUUGACUAGAUAAGUCCAUCAUUAUCAAAAACAUCUUAUAUCUAUUGUAAUUGUGCCAAUUUAAUCAUAAACCUUUCUUCUUCUUCUUUUUUACAAUUCAGUCAUAAUUUUUUUUUUUUGCAUUUGUACUAGUUUAGUGCGUUCGGCCAAUUUUGGCCCGUCAGCAUUGACGUAAACGCCGAUUGGCACAAAUUGUCUGGCCAACGCUAAUGUGACAAUUUUUAAAUAAUAUUUUAUUUCUCUUGGAAUUUUUUUUAAAAAUUUUUUUCAUUUUGUUCCUACUCUUCUUUGUCUUUUUCCCAUAAUGGCCAACGAGGGUCACGAAGCCCUUGCUAACCAUUGGGCAAGGGCAGCCUUGCCAUGGCCUCACCGACCGCAAGCGAAAAUGGUCUCACCUAUGAUUGGGGAGGCCAUGGCCACCUUCGAACAGGCUAACAAGGCUACCCUUGCCUAUGGCUCCCAGGCCUUCGUGAGGCACCUCAUGGUCCCCCCCCCCUCCCUUCCCCUCUCUAUGUGUACCAAUGGUUGUUGGUCUUGAUUGAGCUUUGCUGCCACACUUCAAUUUUGAUUUGAGGCAAUCGUGCAAAGGCUUGGAGGCCGCGGGUGAAGGUGGCCAUGGCCUUGCAGCCAUGGAGAAGGCCGCUUUUGCCCGCAAUCGGCAAGGCCAUGGUGAGGCUAGCCUCACCCAAAUCUAGGCCAAGCCGCCUCACCCGUAGUCCCCAAGCCUCGCCUAGUGGAUAGUGAGCCCCACUAGCCAUUGUAUGGAGAAGAAAGAAGAGCAUGCAGAAAAUGAAAAAAAAAAUAACCAAUUAAAAGAUUCAAAAAAAUAAAAGGUAGAAAUGUUUAGUACUCAAUCGGUAUAAUUGAAAUGUUUAGAAUUGAAUUGGUAGAAACACAAUAGAUAUAUGACUUUUUAGGUAAUUUACCCCGAUUUAAUGCAAAUUGUUAAUACAUUUGGCAUUUCUACAACCUCAAUUAGGGCACCAAAUAAUAUUUUCGGUGGUCUAAUUUUUUUAUUUGUUCAAAAGUGAUCAGGUCUAAUUAAGUGUAUCUGAUCAAGUCAAAUUCAGAUAUAUAUGUUUUCCCCUAUAUUUGAUGUUUUAUCUCAUGGAGUGUUCGCGUCAUAUGAAAUUGCAACUGCCAGCUCUAAGAAUGGGAUAGGACGAGGCCUUUUGACCAUAAUUAACGCUGGGAUUGGGACUAGGCGCCCCUUAUUCCCUCCAUCCUAUGGCUAGGGGUGAGCUCAACUAGCAAGUAAUUGCAUUAAAAGUUAAUUAAAAAAGAACGAUGCGAUGAUACAUUAGGAGAUAAUUUGAAUGGGAAAUACAAGUGUGAGGACUCAAAACAAGCUUGUGGGUUUCAUUCAAUCGACCAAUGGAAACUUCACGAAUCAUUUGAUAAAGAGGAUUUAAUGCAUAUUCCUAGUACAUUUAGCAUUUCUUUAACCUCAAUCAAGAAGGCACCAUAUAAUAUUUUCAGAAGUUAUCAUCAAAUUUUUAAUCGCAACCAAAAAUAAAUAUAUUACUCAUAGAUAUAAUAUUUUUGGAACGCGCUUUCCUACAAACAUGAGUUAAAAAAAUUGAGAUUGCAUCAAGCUUGACUACUUGAGCUUGAUGUUUCAGCUUUUGGUGCCUGACUUAUAAUUGACUUGGACUUUAAACCAAUUUCGUGUGAAAAGCCAAAAGAAACAAUCAAAAGCAAGGGAGAAAACUUUUACCAAAGACAUGACAGAUGUAAAAGGAAUAUUGUGGAACGAGAGAAAAGAGUUUCAAAUUAACUUCACCUUUUAAUGAGUCUCAUGUUCAUAUAAAUAAUCGACGGAGGCACUUUUUGUCAAGGAUAUGAAAGCUUCAUUCGUACUCGAUCCUCUCGUGAUUGAUGGUGAAUUAUAAGGCACCAAUUUGUUCAUUCUUCAGUCUUUGGUCUUCAUCUCCAUGGACUUCAUAAAAUACAAGGCACCAAUAUUGAUAUUGCUUUUUCUCCCCUCAACUUUAUAAAGGAAUGCCCUAUUGGACAAUCCUAUCUUAUAGAUUAGUAUUGAUAUACCAAACCACAUGGCAAAUCAAAAGCGAAUAAUAAGCCAUAUUCGAUAAUUAACGACAAUAUGCCAUGUCACUUAUUACAAUAAAUUUAUGAAACAUUCUUCGUGUUUUUGACAUUUCUCUUUCUUGUUUUGGUUGUAAACGUGAAAACUAGUGAGGCGUUGAUAAAUGAAUGACACUACUACAUGUACUAAGACUUUACUCUAAUGUUCUAAAUGAAAUGGUGUGUAGUGUGGUAUGCACCUAUGUCACCAAAUAAGUGUGGAAUCAGCAUUACUAUGGAGUUUGUGAAAAGGAGAAAAGAGAUAAAUUGAGCAAGAUUAAUUUAAGGAUAUUUACUUUUCUAUUCCACCAUCAUUUCUUCUCAAAAUUGCACAAAGUGCUCUCACGCAUUACUGGGAGCCUCCAUUCAAAUUUGACUAACAAUCAUUGAAGCAAUCCAAUGAUGCAUAUAGCACUUUGCCUUUACAAGAUUCAAGAAAUAACUCCCAAGGGGUGGGACUUUGUCCCAAGCGAUACUUAGUUCUAGAGCUGAGGAAAAAAAAAAAAGAUCUAAGCAAUGAGUUGGCUUAGAUCAGAUGGCCAACAUUUUCAUGUUCAAAGAGGUUCGACAUGACAUUUAGGACUCCCCCUAUUCUUCUUUGUUAUUACUCCCAACUUUUUUAUGGUGUUUCCUAUUAGACGAUGCUAUGCUAUAUAUUAAUGUUUGAAUCGAUAGCACAACGGAAGCGGAUCGUAAUUUUGUAACUAUGUCGGGAGUUAUAGAAAUCGUCAGAAAUAAAACGAGGAACAAUAAAAAAAAAAAAAAAGGACACCGGAAAUUUAUGUGAUUCGAUCUGAAUAUCGGAAUCUACGUCCACGGGGAGAGCCAGCAAAAUAAUCCACUAUAAAUCGGAGAAUUACAAGAUUACAAUCACUUAUAUACUCAAAUGUUUCCCAACCCUACUUUAUACCCGAUACACACGGUGUUUAACAACUCAGCUCAAUGGACUCGACUCUGCACAAACCUCUUUGAGCUCACGUCUCUCUCUCUCCCGAGCUCUUUAUUUUCGCUGCUUCUCGAGCUCCAGACGUCUUCUCCUUUAAUCGGUGGAAGGGAAGGAAACAAAACAAAAAUUGUACUCCACAAAUGUCAACACCGUGCCGAUCUUCAAAGCAUGCGCCACCAUGCAAUUGAUGAUAGCGUGUGUGAGCGUAUGACCAUCAUGCACUGACACAAGAAGAAUAGCUUCUGCCUUCCCUCAUUUAUCCACAACAAGACGAAAGAAGUUCACAAAAGAUGACCAAGAAGAGGGAGAGAGUUCGGCGCCUACAUGAUAGGCUUCUGAGGCAGCAAGUGCUGACCAACUUUUUCUACGAGCAUGCAUGCACAUGGCCAUGUGCAUGCAUUUAAUGACGUAGAAGAAAUUCGGACGAUCAACCCAUAAGCCUUAUUUCGUGCCGACAAAUGAGAAGAAUCCAAUGGAUUGUAGCCUUCAUUUCCAACGUGAAGCGCAGAUCGAGGGCGGGAUCCUCUCGGCUCCUAUCACACGCCAUUUCUCCUUAAAAGCUUUGCGGACGUUCUUUCUCGUUUUGGCAUGUAUAUCGUUUUGUACAUAUCGGAUAUCGUAUAUGAAUUCAAACUUGAGACAUAAUUUAACAAUUAAUAUUAGUAUACUAAACCGAAUACCAGACUCUGAGUGAACUAUAAGUCAUAUUCGACAACUAAUAACAAUAUGUCACGUCAAAUUCAUCAAACAAUCUUACCAUCUAACAUUUUUUUUUCUUAUUUUUAUUGUAAAAUUGAGAGCAAGCAAGACUUUAAAAUAAGAGUAACACUACAUAAACUGAGACUUUACUAGAGUUUGUCGGUAAAUGAAAUGGGACAGCGAUAAAUGGGGCAUGUGCGGCGUGUCGUCAAAUAAGAGUGGAAUCAGCGUUAUUUUGUAUAAUGGGGAGAAGUGAUAAAUGGGGCAAGUUCAAUUAAAGGAAAUUUUGUGGCAAAAAAAUUAAAGGAAAUUUUGUCAGCCCUCUAAUAUUCCGUGCAAUGUGUAAUAUGCUUUGUUGGCUAUACUUCUUGGCCAUACUAGUAAUGAAAAUGCCUGUAUUACCCUUAACAUCAGCAAUAUGAGGCGAGGUGACGUUUGAAUAAAAGGCAAAGUCGGAAGAAGGGAAAUAUCCCCAAACCUCUCCUCUGUUCUCCUUGUUUUCUUACAAAUCUUUCUCUUCUAGGUCUAGUGACAUUGGAAGAAUAAAAUUGCAAUUUUGAUCAUAUAAGAUGAAUUGGUUCAACAAGUCUGCUCUCUAUUUGUUAUUCAAAUCCUACGGAUGAGAAAGCUUUUCCAAGGCCAUGAAGCCUUUGAUUGAAGGCUAAUGAUAUUUUGGAGACCACCAAGCAGUUUCAUUUAAGGACUAAACGAGGAAAGGGCAUGCAUGCUAGGAUAACAUACAUGUCCCAAAUUUCAUUAGUCUUCCUCUUUUUUUUUUUUUUUUUAACUGUUAUAUGCAUUGUUAGCAUAUUCCAUUUCACUUUUUUUUUUUAUUUUUCCAAUGGGGUAAUUGUCGUCAAUUACAUGCCAUUUAUGUUGAAAUAAGUUACAUGGCACUAUCCUAUUCCUCUUCCCAAUCCCCAAUCGCUAUUAAAUUGAUGGGAAAUAUGACGCACCAGUUAAUAAAUUAUAGCUUGAGUUUGAACUAGGUAUGAGACCCAACUCAUUUAAAGGAUUCUGAUUUGUUCAAAAUAUGGUGUUCCUUUUUAAUCAGUAUCAUAUUUUGAUUUGUUGGGCGGUGCUACUUAACUAUUAAAUGUAUUGAAGGUUUGGUUCUGUUGAAGAUAAAUAUCCAAGUUUAACCGAGGGAGCAAACAUUAGUCGGACUCCAUCAACGCGUCCAGUUUUAGGCCUUUUCUAAUAUCCUGAAGAAGACGUACUGCUGAAGUCUCUAUUUUAUAUCCCCGCACGAGAGGACUCUCUCUUUAGCGAAGAAAAAAAGGGGACGCACCAGUAACGCUUUCUUUGAUCGCACGGAGUUUUACAAUCGGUGGAUUUUGUGACGUGAGUCGAUGAGUUUAGAUUUAAUCGAGGCAUGGAAGACACUCGAACUUGCGAGUAAUUGUUGAUAUUGCUAGUAUAAACACCUAGAGGGGGGGUGAAUAGGCGCACAAACAAUUUUUGCCAAAUACGGAAGCAAUUCUUAACAAAAUGAAAUACGAUCGAGGUAGAGAAAGAGAAAUUGGAACACAGGAUUUAUAGUGGUUCGGCUUAUUCCAAACCUACGUCCACUCUUCCGCACUGACAGCCCACCGGCUGGAUUUCACUAUGAUCAAAAGAGAAGUUACAGCACAGCUUUGCCUUGAUUCCACAGUGUAGAUGUUCUACCACACCUUCUCAAGGUCUCUCACAAAUAUAGACUCUCUUUUGUAUACAAGUAUUCGCUCAAAGGAAUUAUCUAAACAAAUAGGAGCUUCAGACUUUGGAAUUCUUCUAUCGCGCACACCUCGAACAACUAAGAACGUCUUCCUUAUAUACUCCUUUAUGCCAUCAUACUCGUUGGCACUUACCAAAGGAAUUCCUCCAAUCUACCCGUUGGACGGAAUCAAUUAGGAAGAUUGUUCGAGCUAUUAAAGGAACGUGUUGAUAGCCCAUCAAUCCUGUUCGCCCAUACAAUCAGGAUCUCGGUUUCCAUAAGUAGAACCUUCCAAUAAUAUUUAGACAAUCAUCGAAUCUUCAGUCUUUGAAUCAAACUUGAUCAAUCAAAGGAUUCUGAUACGUCUUCUCCAGCCACGAGAUCUUCUCCAGAUGAUAAGGUCAAAUCCUGAACAAAACAUCCAGUUCUGGAUAACCUUUCUUCAACGGAUUAGAGACUGUCAAUGAGGAUAGACUUUGAAUCUUGAGUCUGGCUGUCCGGAAGUCUUCAGACUUUAACUAACAGAGUCUGCAGACCUUCAGACUAGACUGAUGGAAACGUUUUGUCAACUUCAAAACACUUCACGAGGAUUUCUCCAACAAUCUCCCCCUUUUUGAUGGUGACAAAACCUUCCUGCAGAUUUGGAUAAUUUUGUCCUGCAAAACAUUUCUCAAACACAUAUGCAUAUCUUAUAGAGAUGAAUGACUAAAAGAUUAACACUAGAAUCUGCACCCACAGAAAAUAGGUUAGUCUAUAUAAUAAAACCAUCCAUAAGAUAUCAAUACUUGUUAAUAGAAGCAGUCAAGUCCAAGUCUAGUUCAGUUCACAUCUAGACACAAAACAAAGUCAAAGUCUAUCAAAAACAGACAGUUAAACACAAUCCAACAAACAGUUAAAAAAAUGAUUGAAAGUUUUUUUUGAUCAAAUCAUGCAUCUCUCCCCCUUUUUGUCAUCAUUAAAAAGGAUGAGAUGAAGUCAAGAUUGCUUGGGAACGCGGACAAGCUGGAAAUCUUCCAUAGACUGAACGAUGCCUUCCAGCCUUUUGAAGUCUUCCUUUAGCUGUACAACCUCCUCACUCUUGGCAUUGGCCUGAUUCUGAAUAGAGAGGGCUUGCAUCUUAUCAUUCAAUGAACAGGAAGAAGCUUGACUUUUAUUCUUCAAACUUUGAACUUCGCAUCCCAAUGCAUAAAUUUGACCUCGCAUUUCCAAGAGAAUAUCCAUGAUUCUGCGAAAAUCUGCUCCAUUAUCAGUCUGAGUACUUGCUUCGGCUCGAUCUGGAGUAAAAGCAGACGAUGGUGGAUCAGCAUAAUCUCGCAGUUUUGGCGAUGAAGCUUCAUGACCUUCCUCUGGAAAUUGAGAUGCAUAAACAUCUUCUGGGUCUGCAGGUGAGCGACUGACUCCUUCACUUGCAUCAGGAAAUGAAGAUGUCACUCCUUUCUCCUGAUCUCCCCCUGUUUCCAUGCCUACAGGUGGAGAAGAGAUUUCCUCAGGUUCUCCUUCUUCCCUUCUUUCUUCUUCAGGUCUUUCUUCCUCUGCUUCUUGCUCUGUUUCUCUUUCUUCUUCUUCCUUCUCCUCUGCUUCUCUUUCUUCUUCUUCUUCCUCCUCUUCUGCUUCUUUCGUCUUUUGUUCCGAUUCUUUCUGUGGAACAGGACGACUUAAAUUCUUCAAAGCCAUUGCAGAGAUGGUGAUGUCGUCGUCAUCAUCUUCAUCCUCAACGAGGAGAGCUCUUCUUCUCUUUGAUGGAGCAGCCAUGGGCUCCUUCCCUUUUCUCUUAGCAGUAGAAGAGAGUUGAUGAGAUUUGGCAGGAGUCUUCUCCUUGAAUUUCUCCAAUUCCUUGCUCAGUUCCUUCAGACGCAUUUUGGUCACCAUUUUCAGUCCUACCACCAUAUGAUCGCAUGAUCGAACACAAAAGAUUUGCGGAGGCUGAAUAUUCAGAUGUCUGAAUAACUUCGUAACAAGGCUUGGGUAAGGAAGUUGACCUCUGUCCUUCAUCACUGCUCUAUACAUGUGAGACAUAACAGUAUGAGGGAGAGAAAACUUCUUUCCACAGAGGAUGGCAUACAUCAACUUUGCCUCAGAGCUUGAAACAUCAGUUUUGGAAGUUGAUUUCAGCCGAAGGCAAUUAAUCACAAUCUUGUGGAGCAAGAUGUUGAAUGCAUUCAUCCUUGAGUAGGUGAUCUUCUCAUCCGUUCUCAUGUCCUUCACCAGUUCAAGUGUGGCCCGAGCAAUGGAAACUUUGAUUGGUUGAUAUCUGCCUCUCUCAACUUCUAACACAUCUGCCAGCAUAUUCAUAUCCACAACAUAGUCUUGUUCUUUAACGCUGAAGGAGAAUCUAUUCGCAUCUAAAAAGCUAAGAUUCGAAUAGAAAUAGGCAGUCAAUUCAGCAUAAGCCUCAGUUGAGUCAGAGUAAAACUUUUCAAGUUGAAGAUAACUGAACUUUUCCCUUAAGUUCACUUUCACGGCAUCCAGAAAAUCAAAGUCCACACUCCUAGGGUUUAUUACCCCACGCUUCAGCAAUUUCGAAUACAGAUCUUUUUGUUCCUUUGAUCUGAACAAAUCUCCCCUUUUUCCUUGAAUUUCAGUCGCAAUACCCAUUUUCGGUUGAAAUAGACUGAACAGAUUGUCAUCGUCAUUCCCAUCUACAGGAUUCGGCCCCCAAUCACGAGGAUCACUUGGGAUAUUCGCAAGAGUUUCCUCAGCCACCCCUUUACGAGCGAUUCCCAAACUUUCCAUUUUUCGCAGAAAGAUAUACUCGUUCCUAUAUCCUUUUUCUUUAACAAAACUAUCAACAUAGUUCAAAGGAGUACGAAUUCCUUUUAAAGCACGAUAUAGCUUGUAAAUAAAAGCGGGCUUUUGAACUCUUACGGGGUCUACAUCCUCGACGAUUUCUUCCUGAUGCUGAUUAACAACGCCUUGAGGACUAGAUGGUGGAGAAUGACGCUGCUGAGAAUGUUGUGGGCUCGGUUGCUGAUCUGGAGUAACUUCAUCUUCAGUAAGAUCGAAGUGCGUAGGCCCCUCACUCAUUCUCUGUGGUCCCUUGCCUGCGAUUCUUGACGACUUUCGUGAAGAAGACAUCUUUCUCAGUGUUUGGGAGAUUCCUUGCUUGACUUUCCCAGAAAAGAUGACAACUUUUUGAAGAUUUAGCGAAGAAGACAAACGGGAAUGGAGGAUCGAUGCUUUCUAGGGUUUUUGAGAGAAAAGUGAAUAGAAAAGUGAAGAGAAAUUGACAGUGUUCGUUCGGUUAAAAAGAAGAGUAAACGAACCGUCACAAAGGAAAUAAAGAUAUGCCUUUUCAAAAUAACUGUCUUUAUCCGCAAAAAUAGCUAUUUCAAAAAUAACUUCCCUUUUGAAAAUGAAUCGAUGCAAUAUUUACGUUAAUUAAAUAUAGCAACAAUUUAAACAAGUCUGAUGAUCGUACCUUUUCAAGAUAAGAUUGGAGAGAGAAAGACUUACAGUCUGAAGGUCGAGACAAGACUGUAGAUAAAGUCUUGUAAGCCUGAGUCUGAAAGUCUUUAGACUUUGAUAUCCUCAUACCUCAAAAUGUUGAGUCUGGAACGGAUAGACUCAAAUUGAUUUUUCUCCAAAGGCUUUGUGAGUAUAUCAGCCAGCUGAUUCUUUGAGUCAACAAAUUGAAUUGAAAUAUCUCCAUUUUGAACAUGAUCUCUAAUAAAGUAAUGUCGAAUUUCUAUAUGCUUCGCUCUUGAGUGGAGAAUUGGAUUUUUGGUGAGGUUGAUAGCGCUAGUGUUGUCGCAAUUAAUCUCCGUGCAUGAGUCUUCAAUUUCAAAAUCUCUUAGCUGUUGUUUUAUCCAUAUAAUUUGCGAACAGCAGCUUCCAAGAGCUACAUACUCUGCUUCUGUUGUUGAAAGAGACACAGUGCUUUGUUUCCUUGAAAACCAAGACACUGUUCUGCUUCCAAGCAACUGGCAAGUUCCUGAAGUGCUCUUUCUAUCAACUCUGCAACCGGCCAGAUCUGCGUCUGAAUAUCCCAGAAGAUUAAAGUCUCCCUUCUUAGGAUACCAAAGACCGAUGCUUGAUGAUGAAGCGACGUAUUUAAUGAUGCGUUUCGCAGCACUGAGAUGAGAUUCUCUAGGAUCUGAUUGAAACCUAGCACAGAUGCAAACACUCAACAAAAUAUCAGGUCUAGAGGCACUAAGAUAAAGAAGUGAUCCAAUAAUGCUCCUGUAUAGCUUUUGAUCAACUUUCUUCCCUUCUUCAUCUUUGUCUAUCUUUAAAGAACUUGACAUUGGUAUGUCGGUCUUUUUGCACUUUUCCAGUCCAAACCUUUUGACAAGAUCAUUAACAUAUUUUUCUUGAUAAAUAAAAGUUCCUUCCUUCAAUUGUUUUACUUGAAGACCAAGAAAGAAUGUUAAUUCUCCCAUCAUACUCAUUUCAAACUCAUCCUGCAUAGACUUUGAAAAUUUCUUGCACAGACUUUCAUUAGAGGAUCCAAAAAUAAUAUCAUCCACAUAUAUUUGAACAAGUAAGAAACUUUUGUUUUCCUUCUUGAUAAAUAAAGUCGUAUCUACUUUACCUUUAACAAAACCAUUUUGUAUUAGGAACUUACUUAAUCUGUCGUACCAAGCCCGAGGUGCUUGCUUUAAACCAUACAAAGCCUUUUUCAGUCUAAAGACUGAGUCUGGCUUCUUUGGGUCUUCAAACCCUGGUGGUUGUUCCACAUAAACUUCCUCAUGGAUAAAUCCAUUUAGGAAAGCGCUUUUGACAUCCAUUUGGAAUAACCUGAAAUUCUUAUAACAAGCAAACGCAAGUAAUAGUCGAAUAGCUUCUAACCUUGCCACUGGAGCGUAAGUCUCAUCAUAGUCUAUUCCUUCUUCUUGCGUAUAUCCCUUGGCCACGAGUCUUGCUUUAUUUCGUACGACUUUUCCUUUCUCGUUCAUCUUGUUUCUGAACACCCAUUUAGCUCCAAUAACAGUUUUACCUUUUGGUUUGGAUGUCAAUUCCCAGACAUCAUUUAUGCUGAACUGUCUGAGCUCUUCUUGCAUAGCUUCAAUCCAGCUUUCAUCAGAUAAAGCUUCUUCUAUGCUCUUUGGUUCAAUUUCAGAAACGAGUGCCACAGCACUAGACUCUUCUCGCCUUUUGGAUCUGGUGCGAAUUCCUUCAUUAAUUUCACCAAUUAUAAGAUCUUUGGGAUGACUGGACUUAUGCUUCCAGUUACUUGUUGAUUUGUCUGGUUGAUGAUCUCUUUCUUUAUUUGGAUCUUCACUAACAACCUGAUGCUGGUUUUCCAGAGUUUGAGAUGCUUCUUGAGUUGUAGACUUUGGAGGGUCUGGAGUAGGUUCAGACUCUUCUUGAUGAGUCUGACUUGAUUCAUCUUGCGUUGAGUCUUAAAAUUUGACAUUCAUUGAUUCCUCUACAGACUGACUCUUCUUGUUAUAGACUCUGUAAGCUUUGCUUGAUGUAGAAUAUCCAAGGAAGAUACCUUCAUAUGAUCUUUCUUCAAACUUACCAAUUCGAUCUUUUGCAUUUUUCAAUAUAAAACAUUUAUAACCAAAUACAUGAAAGUAUGAAACAAUAGGCUUCUUUUCUUUGAAUAACUCAUAAGGGGUUUUCUGAAGAAUAGAUCUUAAGAAGACUCUAUUGAUAAUAUAGCAAGCUGUUAAAACAGCUUCAGCCCAAAAUCGAGAAGAAAUUUUACUUUCAAUUAAAAGAGUUCUAGCCAUUUCUUGAAGAUAUCUGUUCUUUCUUUCCACAACUCCAUUUUGUUGAGGAGUAUAUGGAGAGGAGAACACAUGCUUAAAGCCAGAUUCAUCACAGAAUUUUGUAAAAUCUUGAUUUUCAAAUUCACCUCCAUGAUCUGUUCUUAUACUAGAGAUAACACAACCUUUUUCAUUUUGAACCUUUUUAGCAAAUUUUUCAAAAUACAAAAAGGUUUCGGACUUACUUGAAAGGAAAUAUACCCAAGUAAAACGGGAAUAAUCAUCAACAAUUACUAGGCAAUACUUCUUACCCCCAAUACUCUGAGUUCUGGUUGGUCCGAAGAGAUCCAUAUGCAGCAACUGUAGUACAUGAUUAGUAGAGACAUAAUUUAUUGGCUUAAAAGAAUUUCUUACCUGCUUUCCCAGAAUACAUGGAGUGCAUGAAUCAGUCUUUUGGUAUGGCAAUUUGGGUAGACCUCGAACAAGCUGUUUUGAUGAGAUUUUGGCUAAUUGCUUCAUGUUGACAUGACCAAGCUUUUUGUGCCAUAAGCUUGCUUCGUCUUGAAUUGAGAUAAGACAUUGCGAUUCAUUUGGUUUCACAUCCAGAAGAUAUAUAUUUCCAUGUCUUCGACCCAUGAAAGACUGAGUAGAGUCUUUACUGAUUCCAGAACAUGUUCCUUCUUGAAAGAAGAUCUUGAAACCAGUAUCACACAAUUGACUAAUGCUGAGAAGAUUGUAAUUGAGUCCUUCCACUAAGGAAACAUUACUUAUUGUGAGAGUUCCAAUUUUCACGGUUCCAAAUCCCACAAUACUUUCUUUGCUGUUUCCUCCAAAUGAAACUUUUCCACCAUUUACUUGAGCAAGCUUUAUAAAGCAAUUUGAGUCUCCUGUCAUGUGUCUUGAGCAUCCACUGUCAAGAUACCACUUUACCUGUUUCUUGACGGAGACCUGCAUUUAAAAUAAAGUCUCAAGCUUUCUUUGGUACCCAAAUUUUCUUGGGUCCUUUGGUGUUAGUAAGAUAAACAGUAUUAGCCCAUACUUUCUUAACAGGUUUCCAUACCAUAGGACACUCUUUUUCAAAGUGAUCCGGACUAUUGCACUUAGAACAUCUGAGAGCAUUUCUACCUACAGGUUUUACAAAUACUUUCUUGAAGUGAUUUUUGUAAACCUCACUCGAAAGUCUUUUCUUAAUUCUUUCUUUUACUUUAGGAAAAUCAAUCAAGGGAAUUGUUUCUUCUGUCAUACCUAGACCAGACUUAUUGAAGUAAGGUCUUUGUGCUGAAAGAAUUUUCUCAAGUUUUUCAGACCCUAUUGAAAAUUUCUUUGAUAUAUUUGAUAAAUCUGUUUUUAAAAAAGCAUUUUCUUUUAAAAGAUUUUCUUCAUUUUCUUUAAGAUUGGAAACAGACACGUCUAGACUUUUAACUCUUUCUGCUAAAACAUUUUCUUUUUGUUUUAGAGCUGAGUUUUCUUUUUUCAGUUUGGAAAUUCUUUUGAGAGAAGUCUUAAGACUAAAGCAUAGAUCAUCAAUAUAUUUAGAAACUUUGACAGGAAUUUUAAAAUUACUUGCCUUAAAUUCACUGUCUAAGUCUGAUCUUGAGUCUGAUCCAGAGUCUGAGUCUGAUUGUGCCAUCAGACAUAGAUUGGCAUAUUCAUUAUCACUUUCUUCACACUCAGUAUCACUCCAGGUUUCAGCUUUGAGAGCUUUUCGAAAUUUUUCAGCUUUUCCUUUCUUCUUCUUCUUCAGAAGAGGACAGUUGGGUCUGAUGUGUCCCUUUUUCUUGCAUUCAAAGCAGACUACAUCUUUAUUUGGUUCCUCAUCAUCAACAGACUUGGUCUGCUGUCUUUGAAAGCUUUGUUUCUUUGAGUUGAACCUUCUUCCUUUUCUGUUUAGUUUUCUGAAUCUUCUUAUCAUGAGAGCAAGCUCCUCAUCGUCCAUAUCAUCUUCAGAAUCUGUAUCAUCAGAAUCAUCAUUUGAUUUUAAUGCAAUGGAUUUCUUACCUUUUGGAUCUUCAUCUUCAUUGAUUCUUUCCACUUCAUAGGACUGAAGAGUUCCAAUCAGCUCGUCAACAGAUAGUGGCAUAAUUCUCUGCGUCUCUCUUAUCGAAGUCUUUAUGUGAUUCCAAUCCCUGGAGAGUCCACGCAGUAGCUUGUUUACCUUCAUGGGAUCAGAAGUUGGUUGACCUUGAUUUUCAAGACCAUUCACAAUAUCUGUAAAACGACUAAACAUGUCAGAUAUUGAUUCUCCUGGUUUCAUUCUGAAGGCUUCGUAUUGACCGAGAAGAAUGUUGAUUCUUGUUUCCUUCACUCAAUCUGUUCCUUCAUAGGUGAUAUGCAAUCUGUCCCAAACUUCUUUUGCUGUACCACAAGAAGAUAUUCUAUUAUAUUCAGUUGGUGAUAAAGCACAAUAUAAGGAGUAAAUUGCUUUUGCAUCGAGUGUUUGUCUCUUGGUUAUUUCAUCCUGAGACAUUCUGCUGGAUUCUUCAGUUUCUUUUCCUCUUUCAGAGACUGAUGCAGUGGUAGGAGUAAUUCCUUUUUCUACAACGUCCCAUUCCAGAGGAUCCUUUGAUCGUAGGAAAGCUUUCAUCUUGUUCUUCCAGAUGUUGUAAUCCAUUCCAUCAAAGUAGGGUGGUCUGGUAUUGUUUUGCCCUUCCAUCAGCCCUGGUGCUAGCAUACUAGCCAUGGAUCUUUUACUAUGAAGUAAAACACUUCAAAUAAAGUAAGUACACAGGCUCUAAUACCAAUUGAUAUUGCUAGUAUAAACACCUAGAGGGGGGGUGAAUAGGCGCACAAACAAUUUUUGCCAAAUACGGAAGCAAUUCUUAACAAAAUGAAAUACGAUCGAGGUAAAGAAAGAGAAAUUGGAACACAGGAUUUAUAGUGGUUCGGCUUAUUCCAAGCCUACGUCCACUCUUCCGCACUGACAGCCCACCGGCUGGAUUUCACUAUGAUCAAAAGAGAAGUUACAGCACAGCUUUGCCUUGAUUCCACAGUGUAGAUGUUCUACCACACCUUCUCAAGGUCUCUCACAAAUAUAGACUCUCUUUUGUAUACAAGUAUUCGCUCAAAGGAAUUAUCUAAACAAAUAGGAGCUUCAGACUUUGGAAUUCUUCUAUCGCGCACACCUCGAACAACUAAGAACGUCUUCCUUAUAUACUCCUUUAUGCCAUCAUACCCGUUGGCACUUACCAAAGGAAUUCCUCCAAUCUACCCGUUGGACGGAAUCAAUUAGGAAGAUUGUUCGAGCUAUUAAAGGAACGUGUUGAUAGCCCAUCAAUCCUGUUCGCCCAUACAAUCAGGAUCUCGGUUUCCAUAAGUAGAAUCUUCCAAUAAUAUUUAGACAAUCAUCGAAUCUUCAGUCUUUGAAUCAAACUUGAUCAAUCAAAGGAUUCUGAUACGUCUUCUCCAGCCACGAGAUCUUCUCCAGAUGAUAAGGUCAAAUCCUGAACAAAACAUCCAGUUCUGGAUAACCUUUCUUCAACGGAUUAGAGACUGUCAAUGAGGAUAGACUUUGAAUCUUGAGUCUGGCAGUCCGGAAGUCUUCAGACUUUAACUAACAGAGUCUGCAGACCUUCAGACUAAACUGAUGGAAACGUUUUGUCAACUUCAAAACACUUCACGAGGAUUUCUCCAACAAUUGUAACUCUAUGGUUCUCCAAGUAUCGGUGGAUUAUAACCGCUUGCUCUUCUAGUUGGGUAAAUAUCGAUUUUUAGACCGAAUCAUGUAAAUCUCAGAAGUUCUUUAUUAUUUCUCAUUUAUUUUUCUGGUUAUUUCGCAUUAAUUAAUUAAUCACAAAAUUUGGUUAGUUUCCAUAUUAUUUCAUAAGUCUUCGGUCUUCGGUCUUCGGUCUUCAGGAGAGAGAAAGUUCACAUAACUUCCCAUGAUGGAGUUAGUCAAUAAUUGAUUUGUGCGCAGAGUAAAGGCUUAUAAAUUCAGCUCAGACUGAAAGUGGAUCACUGGAUCACUGGACGAGAUGGGGAAACAACUAUUUCUUAUUCUCAACUUUGUUCUCUUGUGGUGGUGGAGCUCAAUCACAAUCUCCGGAUCAUACUCGCAAAACCAAACAGAUCGGCUUGCGUUAGCCUCCUUCAAAAAUGCAAUACAUGAAGACCCGUUCGGAGUCUUGAGCUCUUGGAAUGAUUCUACCCAUCAUUGUGAGUGGCAAGGUGUUUUCUGCAGCAAAAGGCAUCCUGGGAGGGUCACGUCCCUAGUCCUAAGAUCACAAGGCUUGGAAGGCUUCCUAUCUGCUCAUAUAGGUAACCUCUCUUUCCUAAGGGUCAUGGUUUUACAGAACAACAGCUUCCAUGGCGAAAUCCAACCACAGAUUGGCAACUUGUUUCAGCUCCGUAAUCUCGAUCUUAGUAACAACUCAUUUCGUGGGCCAAUACCCUCCAAUCUUUCCCACCGCUUGAACCUUGAGAUCCUGAAUCUCAUAGAUAACCAACUUGUGUGGGGAAUUCAUUUCGAUCUUGGUUCUUUAACAAGACUUAAACAAUUGCUCUUGUCUAAGAACAGUCUUGUAGGUCCUAUUCCUCGUUGGAUUGGAAACCUCUCGCAGCUACAAGAGCUCUCCUUGGCAGAAAAUGAGUUGAGCGGAGAAAUACCCAAGGAAUUGUCCAGACUCAAGAGAUUGAUACUUUUCCAACUACGUUCCAACAAACUAACCGGUGAGGUUCCAACAGGGAUUUUAAACGUCUCUGACCUUCAUGUAUUCAGUGUUAGUCAUAACCAGUUGUGGGGAAUUUUUCUCAAUGAUGUCGGCACCGCUUCUCCUUCUCUCUACUUCCUUGGCGCCAGCUAUAACUUGUUCACCGGGAUGAUUCCGUCAACGUUAACGAAUGCCACAGGUCUUAAGAAUCUUAUACUUUUGAACAACAAUUUCCAUGGGCCAAUACCAAAAAAUCUGGGAAGUCUAAAGGGCCUUUAUGUGAUUGCAUUGGGUUUAAACCAGUUGCAGGAUGACUUGAGUUUUAUUUCUUCUUUAGCUAAUUGUUCCAACUUAAAAACUCUCGGGGUGGAAUGGAACUUAAUUCACGGAUCAUUGCCGAGAUCCUUCUCCAAUCUCUCCACCAUUAAGCGGAUAUCUAUGUCAGGCAAUCAUAUCAAAGGAUCUCUUCCUUUAGCCCUUGGAAAUCUCUUCAACUUGUCUUUCUUGGGUUUAAUUGAUAAUUUUCUAACUGAUUGUAUUCCUCAUUCCAUCGGAGCACUUUCCAACUUGCAGCAACUUCAUUUGAGCAGGAACAUGUUUACUGGAGAGAUACCAUCUUCGAUUGGUAACAUUACGUCAUUAGGUCUCCUUGACCUUUCCUCCAACAUUUUCCAAGGCUACAUACCGCAAAGUCUCGGCAACUGUAAGCAACUAAUUGAGCUUGAUUUUUCGAAUAAUAACCUAAUUGGCUCAGUUCCUGCCGAAAUCGUGGGCCUUUCUUCCUUGUCGAUCGCGUUGAGUUUAGCAAAUAAUAAUUUAAGUGGAUCUCUUCCAUUGCAAGUUGGAUCUUUAAAGAACCUUGGCAAAUUAGAUCUGUCUUACAAUAGACUGACCGGGUUAAUCCCGGCAUCCAUCAGCGAGUGCUUGGUAUUGGAGCGACUUCACUUAGAAGCUAAUUCUUUUCAUGGUCAAAUCCCCGAAGCUUUACGUCCAUUACGAGGUCUAAAAGAGCUGGACCUUUCCAAUAAUAAUUUUUCUGGUCCAAUCCCAAGCUUUCUCGCAGAGCUCCCACUACUCGAGUACUUGAAUUUGUCCUUCAAUCAACUAGAAGGACAAGUUCUAGAGCAUGGAGUUUUUCUUAAUGCAAGUUCUGUAUCGAUUUAUGGAAAUACAAAACUCUGUGGAGGUGUUCCCAGUCUGAAGCUACCUCUUUGCAAAUCAUCAAGCUCUAAGAAGUCUUCUUCAACCAAGGCUAGGGUAAUAUAUUGGGUUGCUGGCACUUUGUUAUGUUUAGCUUUGUUGCUCCUAUGUCUGGCUAUCUUUUACCACAAAAAGAAGCAGACGACAACCAUUGCCUCCACUUCAUUAUCUUUUGAGAACCAAUUCUUGAGGAUUUCUUAUGAAGAACUCCUGAGAGCGACUAAUAGAUUCUCCGAGACCAAUUCGAUUGGUAAAGGGAGAUAUGGCACAGUUUUUAAGGGGAUUCUUGAUGGCGGUGCCACGGUGGCAAUAAAGGUGCUCAAUCUAAUGCAAAGAGGUGCUUUGAGGAGUUUUAUCUCCGAAUGUCGAACUCUAGGAACCAUUAGACACCGAAACCUCGUGAAGAUACUAAGUGUCUGUUCGGGCGUGGACUUUCGUGGCAAUGACUUCAAAGCUCUAAUAUAUGAGUUCAUGGCUAAUGAGAGCUUGGAGGAGUGGCUGCACCUUGGGACUAUUGGAUGAGAUGAGUGUAACGAAUCAAGAAAUUUGAGACUAGUGCAAAGGUUAAACAUCGCCAUCGACAUAGCUACUGCGAUCAAAUAUCUCCACAAGGGUUGUUAUCCAGCAAUCGUUCAUGGAGAUUUGAAGCCAAGUAAUGUGCUUUUGGACAAUGACAUGGUGGCUCGAGUUGGAGAUUUUGGGCUUGCAAAGAUCAUUUCAACAGUGUGUGUUGAAGCCACAGGAGUUCAGGACCAAUGUAGUUCAACUUCAACCGCAGUCAAAGGAUCCAUUGGCUAUGUGCCUCCUGGUAUGAAAUUGUCAUAUUUUCUCGAUUAUUUGUUAUUUGAUUGCGAUAGUAAUAUGAGAGUGCCAAAAGUUUGAAUAAACAAUGAUUCUUAACGUUAUGUUAUAUUUUGUAUGCUCUGACACCUCUUUAUCACAGCUCAAUUUCUCUUUCCCCUAUUAAUAGCAUCCGCAGAAAAAGAAAAUAGAUAUCUUUUUGUACAAAAAGAUUACUAGUAGCUUGUCCUAAUCCUAUUUGAAAUUAAGAUGAGAAUGAACCAUUGUAAUUUUGACCAAUGAGUGGAAAAUGUUUGGACAAAACUUGUGAAUCCAUGCUAACAAAUAGAUUAAGCAUAUUGCGUCAUCUCAUAUUUAUAUUUUCUUUCUAUAAUAAGUAUUUUGUCUCACAUAACGUUCAUGCCACUAAAACGGAUUGCGAUUCUCUUUUGGUAUGUCAUGAUUUAAGGUCUUGACAAUAAAUAAUUUUUCCUUCAUGGCAGACCCUUUCAUGACCUAUAAUUUAAUAUUUGAAAGAUAUAUUAGAUGACAUGACAUUUACGCUAGAAAUUAUUAGAGGAUACACUAAUUGACAACAUGAUGAGCUCUAUCCAACUUUCACUUUCCCUAAACUUCUUGGUUAGAGCAUAUUAAGACAAAUUUACGCAUUGACAAGUAUAAAUCCAUCACCGUCGACAAAUCACUCUAAGUCUCUUCUUUUUCCCCCACUGUGUUCGUUUUUUGCCUAUUCUUCUAGGCAAUUUCUUCUCGUCUUUGCAUAAAAGAAAGUGUGGUAUAGGUAUUAAACAAAAUCUGGAUCAUGAAAAUGACAAGCCCCACGUGGAUCUCACAUGUUUCCACUCAAAAAACCGGAGAUUCAAAUUUAGUUAACACAUAAACUUCUACCAAGGCCUUCAUCUAACAUAUUUUCUUCUUUUCCUGUUUUCACCCGUACCUUACUAGAGGACAAAGCCACUCUUGAUGUUUAGGCAAUUUGUGUUGCAAACAUACGACAACUUUGGUUGCACUUAGUAGUUCUGGAGAAGAAGAGUUCAUAUGUUGUUAACUGAUCUUUGGUGCACUUUAUAUAUUCUAAAAUCUCAUUUCUCUACUGUUGAUGCAUUUCUCAACGGUUGAUGCACUUUAUAAGAGUUCGUACGACAGGCACUAGACAUCAGCCAUGUACAGAAAACUAAACAAAAAUUAAACAGGGAGAAAUGAAAGCUAAAAACCAGUAGGGGCUUUGGGACCCUUUGCCUUGCUCUGGCAGACGAUCCAUUGGCUUCUGCCGUGCAUGGCAAGCCCGACAGAGAAGUCAGUGAGGGCUUGCAAGGCAUCGCCUUAUGUUGGUAGCGAUUGGUGUGAGCCCUCACAACUGUCCUUGGCAAGCUCUUGCAAAUAGACAUCAAGCAAAAUCCCAUGUGAUUUAGGAACUUUUUCUAUACAAUUAAUUCAAGAAAAAGUGUCUAUUCAUUCCUAUUUAAUGUCUUGAUGAAAUUUGCAGAGUAUGGCAUGGGACACAAGGUUUCCACACUUGGGGAUGCAUAUAGUUACGGCAUUCUAUUAUUGGAGAUAUUCACUGGAAAAAGACCCACCGAAGAGGCCUUUGGGCACCAUCUUAACCUCCACAACUUCGUCCGAACGGCUCUUCCGGAUCGGGCAAUGGACAUCGUAGACUUAAGCCUUUUGAGUGAAGCUGGUGAUCAACAACAGGAGAUCAAGAUCAGAGAUUGCAUUUUCUCCAUAUUCGAAGUUGGAGUCGCAUGUUCGAUGGAAUCACCGCCGGAUCGGAUGGAUAUGACUGAGGCGAUCAGGAAAUUACACUUGAUCAAGGCAAGUUACGAAGCCAAAGAGAGGAGGAUAGGUAUGUAGUUAAAUCAAUUUUCUCAUUUCAUCUUGGAACUCCUUCACUAGUAGAGAAAAUCAUCUUGCAAAGGUAGUGCUAGCAAAUUGACAUGAACGUCUCCCUCACUAGCCUGCCUACCCAUACCCAUUAUGUGUAAUUUUUUAUAAUUACACCAAUAUCUAUAUUUAAUAAUCAUAGAAAGUGGAUGUAUGGAGUUAAAGUCUAUCUAUUUCCACCAAGUAACCGUGUAAAAGUUGAUGAAUUUUCUUAUUUGUUCGAUUCUCUUCAUUUCUGAUGCCAUUGUGGAUUGAUGCAUUGCUUAAUUACCAUGGCUGGGUCAUUGCCCUUGCCCCUCUCUCUCUGCACGCUUGUGUACUAAUAUGUGACCUCACUGUGAGGUCACAAGCUCAAGGUCAACUCUUAAUGUCAUGCUUAAGCGAGAGCCCGCGGUCAAUUGGAGACCAAGCUUGAUCAAAUCCAAAGACAAUGAGAGGGAGGCAACCUCAUCAGAAGAUCAUGAGCUGAUGGCCAACUCUUAAUGUCGCCAUUGAGAGUGAACUCACUGUCAAUUGGAAACCAUGCUUGAUCAAAUUUGGGUGACGUCACCAUCAAAAUUAUGUUGUGGUCGUGUUGCCAACACCGGCUGCCACUACGUGUGGCUCCUACCUUCUCUCCAAACCUCCUUUUCUUUUAUCUUUUUUAUUUGCUAUGUCAUCGAAUUACAGAGUUUUUAUUUUUACUUUUUUUUUUGGUUGAUAGAGAUAUAUAGUUUUUUUUAGCAAGGAUAGAGAUAUAGAGUUAACAAAGGCAUAAAUGGGACAAGAUCAAAAAGGAAACACGGAUGCAUAUAUGUUGCACUUGUCAAUGUGCUUAUUACAUUGUCUAAUUUUCCUCAUCAAGUCUUCCCACUCAACCAACCCCAUCUCUUUUUUCACCAUCAGCCACCGUCUCUGGCCGUUGCGGCCAAUUGUCAUCACAGUCGCCUCCCCCACGUCUCGCCACUUUCUCCUUUGUGUCAUCCACAACCAUCUUUGCUCUCUGUAUUUGCUGACCCAACACUCUCCCUCACUCUCUCUCUUCCCUCACCACCAAAUCUCUGUGAGGUCUCGGCACAACCAUUGAUGACCUGAUCUGGCCAUGGCCUUGAGAUCUCACCAAGAUCUUAGUGGACGGGCCACUGUCGACAACUUAAUCGUAAUGACUAGGGGAGCUUGAUGCGAGAUCACUGUCGACACUUAAUCGGCAUGAACUUGACGUUUAGGCAGUGAAAUUAAUAAGAGAGAAUCGUGUCUUGGUUUGGUGUUGGAGACAACGGAUAGAUACAUAAAUGGUACAAUGGAUCUACAUCCAAGGAACGUAAAUAGGGAUGGUGAAGGCCAUAAAAUACAAUGCCUUAGAUCUAGCAUAAAAUAUGUAACCAGACGGCAUAGUCACAAAAACACGAAGAAACAUAGACUAAUUCAUAAUAUGAAUGGCCUAGGCUAUUUUAGGCUACAUUACUGGCCAACUGUCAAUAGAGUGCGAGGUCUUACAAUAGCGUGUCAUCAAGAAGCUCAAGUUUGGCAUUAAGAUCACCAAUAUCAGGGGCGGUUGACUUCCUGGAUUGAGAUCAAAACAAGAACAAUAUAGUGAGAAAAUGUUGAAUUGUGUAUCGCUUUAAUGAACAAUGUAUUACAUUAUACAGGCAUAUGUAUCCAGAACAAUAAACACAAAACGAGAAGUAAGCUAAAUCAGGAUUUAAUAAAAACACCGGAAUCAAUUAUGACCAAUUACAAUCCACACAAAGUCACAUAAACUUGCACAUUUCCUAACUAUUGGAAUUCAUCAUAACAAUAAACAAGUGCUUUUAAAAAUUUCUCUAUGAAAGUUUGAGGUUGAAAUUACUCUCGCAAAUCUGUUCUAUAGAUUAGAAACUUUUUUUUUUUCACUUUUUUGGUCAAUAUAGUAGAGACUGUUGAGAUAAGUGGCCCUGGCUGUAUUAUUAACAAAGCAAUGGAAGGGUGACCACAUCCUAUGGUAAAUCAAAAAAGAAAACAGCGCUCUCCUGCAAUUGGCUUACGAUUAGCCAACAACUAGCUAACAAUCAUCACAUGAGCCCUUCCUCUAGUAGCAUGGAGCAUAAAAGUCGAAAGAGCAAGAAUACUUGAAAUCUGCCAAAGCCAUUUCAAGCGGUCGCAGAAUAUUGCUAAUCUGCUUAAGUUGCUUUUAUGCGCAACAUGUUAUGCAUCCAUAUUUUUCAAAACUAGCUAUUUCUAAUACUAAAAUCUAACAACCUAAUCAAGGCCUAUUUUUCUAACCAAUUUCCCAUUUUUAUUUUCCAGAAUUAUUUUCGUUUUCUUAUCUCAUUCUCGAUCCCUCCUCUGAAUCAAAUCUUCACUCAGAUACUCCAUGAAUUUCAGCAUCACUUCAGUCAAAGAAAUUGGUAACAAACAUGCCCAGUGAUUAAGAAAUUAUGAAAAUAAAAACACCACAUCGCGGGUAAGUAGAACAACACUUGGAUGGGCUUCGGAUCAAUUCAAUCUACACCCAAAAGAGAGUGACCAGCAAAGGAAUGGUGAUGACAGCCCAUAUCCAGCGAGUUCAAGGCACAGCAAAAUGGUUAUUUGUCGAAAAAAUUUCACCAAUUCACCUAACAAUCUCCUAAAUCAUCAUACAGGUUUAAAUGAUAAAAAUGACAUCACAAGAAGUCCAAAUUGAACUCCAAUUAGAUAAGCCAGCAAAUCCAAAUUUCAUUCCACCAUGGUCAAAUAUGCCAAAGGUUCUAUUUCUUUCAAAAUUGACAUGUGUUCUUAACGCCCAUUCAUUGCUCACUAAUUUUAUGAAAAGUACAUGCAAGUAUCGGCUAGAUGAAUAAACGUCCAGGCUGCAAAGAAGAAUACAAAACACACACUGCAAUUAUGAUUUAAUAUCAAAUCAAAACUUUGUUUAAUCCCUGGCUUCAAUCAAUCGAAUGAGUUUCUGUAUCCAUAAAGGUGCUGAGGUAACCGUUAAGCAAAGCCUACUAAAAACUUGGUUUCAAAUUCGCAAGAAAAGCAAAAAGAGAAUAGGAAAGCAGGAUUCGCCUGUACUGAAUUGAUCUUUCCUCACCAAAAUUUACGUGCAUAUACCCGUACUCAAACCUUUCAAGUUGAGAGCAAUGCGGAAAUGGAAAGAGCUAGGGUUUCUCCCAGUGCUGUCCAACUUUGACUUCGUCCUCCCAGGGCCUUGAAACACAGCAAUAACAAAGAUGUGAAUGACGGACAGAAAAGAAAACAUGUAAUGAAGACAACGAAAAGCAGAGAGAAGAUACAGAGUCCAUAUUAAUGACUGGGGCCUUGUCAAGUCCAGUCAGCGAGCUUCUCUGAACUUCUAUUUUGAGAGAUAAGCUCUCGGCAGCAUAUUCAGCAGAUUUCAGCGAAAACCAUUGCUCAUUCACAAGGGAGACGUGUCCAGUAAACAUAACAUUGUAAGCACUAGUAGAAAAAGAUGACAAGUCUAAUCCAACAAAAAGAGUAUAACAAGUUUAAACCAACAAUAAGCAUAUGAACAACAGAAUCAACACGGUUCCACUUGAAUUUGGCAAACAUACUUCAGUAUCGAUUUAGUUUCAUAUAGGACUCGUGUGCAAGAAUGGACAACGACCAAUGUACCACCGAUUAACUGAGGACCGAAAUUCUUUACAAUCUGAAAGCAUGAAUAGCAAACAGAGAAGAUGUUAGCAUGGCACUGUGAAGAUUUAGCUAAAAGAUACUCACUUCUUUACUCUUCACUCAUUAACACACAUACAUGCACAAGCACUCCCCAAGCACCUCACUGCUUUCUGUUUUUCCUCAGGCUUUUUUAUGUUAGUUCAUGGCAAAGAACUAAUCCAUCCAAGGUUGGACCUUCCAGGCUCUCUAUAGAUUCAAGAGUAAGACAUCUCUCCUAUUUACCCCACUCAGAAUUCACCAGUCCAUGUAUUUUUCACGACAAACGGAUUUACCUUCCGGACGAAAUCGCAUUAUGAUGCAAGCCAAUAGGCGCAUCUGGCUCUUGAGAAAUUUUCUAUCCUAUCAUAUCAAUAUGAAAGCUUCCCCGGCCACUAUGACGAAUAGCAAUCAGCGCAAUUGAGAAAUCCUCGAUUAGCCCACACAACAGCUCAAAGGAAAUUCACGAGUGUAAUCAAAUUCGCAAGUGCAUAAUUAUUAAGCAUCAUUAAAGCAAAUACCAAAUUAAGACCACAACACCAAUCAGCCGAGCAAAAGAAUACACAACCAGUGAGCAUAUUCUCAAUCCAGUGAAUACAAUCCGUCAGAUGCUAAAACCCUUGGGUAUACGUAAGUCGACAUGCUUUGCUAAGCGAUGAGGCUGAAAGAAAAAGGAAUAGAGAAGAGUAAUAAGGAGAAAAGGAAAAGAAGACAGUCGCCUGGGGGGUCGAAAAGAAAGAAAACAGAAGUGGAUGUAUGGAGUUAUGUUUACCUAUUUCCACCAAGUAAUUAUGUAAAAUUUGAUGAAUUUGCUUAUUUCUCCUAUUCUCUUCAUUUCUGAUUCCACUGUGGAUCGAUGCAUUGCUUAAUUACCAUGACUAGGCCAUUGCCCUCACCUUUCUUUCUCUCCGUGCUUGCUUGUGUACUAGAAGGUGACCUCACUGUGAGGAGGUCAUGAGCUCAUGGCCAACUCUUAAUGUCACACUUAACUGAGAGCCCGUAGUCAAUUGGAGACCAAGCUUGAUCAAAUCCAAAGNNNNNNNNNNNNNNNNNNNNNNNNNNNNNNNNNNNNNNNNNNNNNNNNNNNNNNNNNNNNNNNNNNNNNNNNNNNNNNNNNNNNNNNNNNNNNNNNNNNNNNNNNNNNNNNNNNNNNNNNNNNNNNNNNNNNNUCCAAGCCUCCUUUCUUUUAUCCUUUUUUCUUGCCAUGUGAUCGAAAUUACAGAGUUUUCUUCUUCUUUUUAUCAAUAGAGAUAUAGAGUUGACAAACACAUAAAUGAGACAAGAUCAAAAAGGAAACGCAGACACAUAUUUAUUGCACUUGUCGAUGGGUUAUCACAUUGUCUAAUAAUCCUGUCAAGUCUUCCCAGUCAACCAACUCUCUCUCUCUUUCUUCACAAUUUGCCACCAUCUCCGCCCAUUGUGGCCACCUAUCAUUACCGCUGCCUCCUCCACGUCUCGCCACUUUCUCCAUCAUGUCAUCAUGGUCGCCCUUAAAUGAGAGAGGGAGAGAGAUAGCUACACGUGGUUGAACUGCCAGAAUCUCAGCUUUUGAGGUGGAUCUCGCGCUUCUUUUGGCGAUGUUUUGUACUUUUGAUUGUGCUUUGUGUUACAAAACUAACGGCGUUGUCGUCCCAGCAGAAGAUCACGGGCGUGGACCGCAAGUGUGUCCCACCCUCCUUUUUCUUAAUAUACACCUUCCUCGUCAUUAACCUCAUCACCGUCGCCACUGCUGUCACCGCCGUCGCCGCCUUAGGAGGGCCAGUAUGGCGUUGUCUGCAAAGAGGCCGUGAGGCCACCAUGUGUUGGAGAUACGUGACCCCUUGAAGAAGAUGCCGCUCCGACUCGGCACCUUCAGCACCCCGAGGAGGCUGCUCUCGCCAAUGACGAUGCCGCUGGCAGCCUCCGCGGCUCGAAUGCCAAGACCAACUUCCCUCCUCCUCCUCCCUCCGCUGCCUCCGCCCUCUCCCUCGCCCUCAAAUGACACAAGCCUCGCGUGGUUGUGGGGUGGGCUCCAUAAGGAGGGAAAAAGAUGGGGAGGAGAAGAGAGAGCGGUGUUGGGAUUUUGAGGAGUGAUUGGGUGAGGUAUAAAAUUAAUAACAGACUCAUGGUUUGAUCUGGUGGUGGAGACAGCAGAUAAGUAAAUUAACGUUACAAUGGAUCUACAUCCAAGAGACAUGAAUAGUGAUAGUGAAGGCGAUAAAAUACAAUGCCUUAGAUGUGGUAUAAAAUACAUAACGCGACGGCAUAGUGAGUAAAGUACGGAGCAAACAAAAACUAUCUCGCAAUAUGGACAACAUAGGCUAUAUUAGGCAAAUGUCCAUGAGAUAUAUACUAAACUGCUGAUCAACUGUCAAUAGCAUACGACAACUUGUAAUAGAAUGCUGUCAAGAAGCUCAAGUUCGGCAUCAGGAUCAAUAUCAACUUGGAUUGAGAUCAAAAUAGGAACAAUAUAAUGUUGAUAUGGAGUCAGAUAGUGAGAAUAUUGAAUUGUGUAUUGUGCAAUUGAAAAAGGGAAGUAAUCUAAUAUGGGAUAUUUAACUCCAAACCAUUGGCACAUCCAUGAAUCGCCACACGUAAAAAGCCCUUCCUCUUAUAUCGUGAAGCAUAAAAGCCGAAGGAACACUUACAAAGGUAUAUAUAACCAGUUGAUGAUCAAGAACACUUUGAAUCUGCCAAAGCCAUUGCAAACAGUAGCAAAAUAUUGCUACUUUGCUUGUAAUAAUCUAUUUAAGUUGCUCUUAUGAGCAACAUGUUAUACAUCCAUAUUUUCCUAAACUAGCUCAUAAGUCAUAUUAAGCUAGUCGCUUUUAUUUUUCCUUUACUUUUUAUAUAAUACCCUAUGACGCGUAUAAUAAUAGGUCAUAAGUAAGCUUGUCACUCUAAAAGACUUUCCUAGUAUGGAAGUUCUCCUUCAUAGUUGCCUAGAGGAUCAUAGUUGCACACAACGUACCACCACCCGUUGUUACACUGAACCCUAGCGCACCCAACUCGGACCGAGUCACGCCAAACCAUCUGAGUGUAGUGCAAGCAGUCACACCCGCUCGAGCAAGUGUUGGUGUUGUACUUGUAGUUUUGCUUCUCUGCGACCCACAAGCUAACGGCAUAGGUGCUGGUGAAUGUGCUAGUGCCCUUGGCAAGGUUCUCGCCGUAGGGCCCAUUGGAGUGCACAAGGCUGCAGUCGCCGACCCGUUGAUUUGCGUAGCUUUGGGCGUAGGUAGCAAGGGCGUUGUCCCAUGUCACAUUCGCCACACCAACUUGCUUCCGAGCGACAUUAUGAGAGUCAAGAUAGUCUUGGGGUGAGUUUUGGGCAUGACUAGGUUGAAAGAGAGAAAUGAAAACAAGAGAGAUGAUGAUGGUCAGAGAAUUCAUGAUGCUCAAGGAAUUAGCUGAUGUUGGUUCAAGGUGACAUUUUUGGUGAUCAUUAGGCUAUUUAUAGAAAAAAAAAAAACAUGGAGAUUUUCAGGGCUUCAACUCAUUGUGUGCGAUGAACUUAUCCGGAACAUCUCCUUUUGGACAGUUCAACUUUGCGUUAAAAUCCAGACUGAUCAAGAAAUGAUAAAAUUAGUAAAUGCGGCAUCUAGGUAAUUGGUUUUGCAUGUUCUUUCUUUCCUCAAAUGGAAGUAAAGUAAAAGGCUUUAGCAAAGUUUGAAGUUUCAGCAAGUUUGAUGCAGUAAUUAAAGUAUAAUGUUAGACGUUAUUUGGAGUAAUGCUAAAGACAUUGAGAUUAGUGCAUGAAAUUAAAUUAUUAGGGGAUCUAAAAAACUUUGUCCAAGUGUGAUGAACAAGCAGGUCUUUCUCUCUCUCUCUCUACACCAUUCAAAAGCCACCACAACUCGUCAUCGUAUCCAUCUUCGUUUUUUAAGAUCCACUGUCCAUCUUCAACUAGACUUACGAUCUCCAGCGUCCCCCACCUUAAAACAAUACGUCACUAUCCUCUCAUAGGAGAAAUACAUCAAAGAUACCAAAAAUUAUGUAUAGCACUCACUUUAAUGUCAAAAAUUUUCGUCGAAUACUUAAAUAUCAAAUCUAACAAAAAACGAUUAAUUAUGUCUCCAGAGAGAAAUUCUGACUAAAAUAUAUAUGUGACAUUUAUAAAUAAAAUUUUAAUAUGAGCUGGGAUUUAAAAAAAAAAAAGUCUGUGGCAUUUCCAUGUGUACAUUUCUCCUCAUCUCCCUUCACGUCAUUUUUUUUUUUCCUUUUUUCUUCUCUUUUCUCCCUUGUGCACCCUCACUACUUCACGUUGUAAAUGGACUCCUCGACCACAACUUCAUCGAGGCUCACCCAUCACCGCCCAAACCUCCGAGCUGCGCCACAACCUCAACAAACGACGCCAAGAAUCGAUGAAUGAUAUGGUCCAGGCAAGGAACGAGAUGGUUCAGAUCUAUGAAAGGAGUCCUGUUCAGUCAAGAUCGCUUGGUUUCAUCGAAUUAGAAAGCCAUGAAGCACGUCCAGCAAUCAAUGAAUGCCCAGGUUGGACAGAAAACCAAGAACAAGCGCGCGAACCUCUCACAGACAUUUCAUCGAACACCUAAGGGUACAACAACCAGAAAGCAUUCAGGCGCUCAAAUUCAUGCCAGAACCAACCAUAACCAGAAAUCAGCACUAGGAAUACACAGAGAAAGGAAUGAGCAGGCUCAGAACGCGCGAAGCUGGGGCCAGUGAGCCCCAUUCCAUCGAUUCGACAAAACAGGGGAAAACGAGCUUGGGCGUAUCCUGUGAAAGGAAAGUUGCCGGACGCGAUUGCUAGGUAGAUCGGAACAAAAUUGGCUCUAGAAACCGCCUCGAGGGACUUGGCCGGUGAAGGAGGCAACACCAACCGCAAUUUGAACUCGCCGAGAUUGGAUCCAACCGAGCCUCUAGUUUGUAGUCGGGUUUUUCAAUGAAUCGGCUUCAUUAACGGCGGAUUUUGAGGUGGCUUUGAUGAAUUUCCCAGAUAAGAAGCCAGAGAGAAAUUCCCUGCUGUGCUCCCUUUUCCCCAUUCAUCCCCUUUCCGUCGAUUGUUCAGCAAGAAAUUGAUUUUUCUUGUUGGACAAAGUCGUUUUGGGUCAUGCAGGCAAGUGAAACUUGUUAAAUGAAGUCGUUUUGAGCUUUUUAUGCUAAGUCAGACCACCGAUGAGCCACGUCAGUAGAAAAAAUAUAAAAAUAUUACCAUACUAAAUUUCUGGCAUUCGAGAUCGGAAUUGAUAUUUAAAUGAUCAUUUUACUUUUUUAAAAGUGACACUUGAGUUAUUUGAAAAAAAUAAAAUUAGCAUUAAAAUGAGCGUCGUAUAUAACCUUUGACACUUCUAAAAUACUUUUCCCCUCUCCAACUCCUUGCAAUGGCUGCCUUUGAGACGUCAAUGAGCCCUAUUCGGCCCUUGAGGCCUUGAUGCUAUCAAGGUUGCGGCAAGCGUCCAGAUCUGGAGGUGCAUCCUCCUUCUCUAGAGACUCAAUCCCUCCACUCCAAGUCUAGAGGAAGUGGUAUCUGGAUCCAUCUCCCUCAGCGAGCAAGUGGUCACUAGAGGUGGCAAAAUGGGUCAUGGACCCAUUUUGCACCCAUAUUUUUUAUAAAUGGGUCAAAUGUGGGUUAUGAAGUUGUAAUGGGCCAUAACCCACAUUCGACCCACUUUAAAUUCAGUUUUAUAUGGGUCAGAAAAUGGGUCACACGUUCUGACCCAUUUUCGACCCAUUUUCAAAACUUAAAACGUAAAAUCAUCUUAGUGAUUCAAUGACGUUCGACCCACCUCUGCUGCUCGCCUCCAGCGCUCCUCCGCUCGCCUCCACCACUCGCCGCCGCAGCUUGCCUUGACGGAGCUCGGGCGAGCCGUGAGCUCGCCGGCCGCGACCGAGCUCGGGCGAGCCUGGAUCGAGCGAGUCGCGAGCUCGCCGGCCAUGGGCGAGCUCGGGCUCGCCUGGAUCUGGCGAGCCGUGAGCUCACCAGCCGCGACGGAGCUCGAGCUAGCCUGUAUCGAGCGAGCCGCGAGCUCGCCGGCCGCGACAGAGCUCGGGCUCGUCUGGAUCGAGGGAGCCGCGAGCUCGCCAGCCAUGGCCGAGCUCAGGGUCGCCUGGAUCUGGCGAGCCGCGAGCUCGCCGGCCGCGACGGAGCUCGGACUCGCCUGGAUCGGCCGAGCCCCGAGCUCGUCGGCUGCGACGGAGCUCGGACUCGCCUGGAUCGGCCGAGCCCCGAGCUCACUGACCGCGACGAAGCUCGGCAGCUCGGGCUCGCCCAAACGGCGAAGCCUUGAUCUCGCCGGACUACGGCUUGGCCGGUCACCGUCGACGGAGUAACAAUGGAGAAGAAGGAGGAGAAAAAAGAAAGAAAAGAGAAAUAAGAAAAUAAGAAAAUAAAAUAAAUAAUAAUAACAAUAAUUUCAAAAAGUUUUAAAAUAAUAAAAAAGUCAAUUUUUUUAAUGAUAUUUGGUAGAUAGAUAUCCAUAUACAUACUGGAAAAGUACUUUUAGACUCGAUGCUAUUUAGAUUGAUAAAUAGAAAUUCAAAACAUCAUAAUGUAAUUUAUAACUUGAUGAACUAAAAUCAAUAAAUCAACCAAAAUAAAAAACAAUUAGGAUUAAGAGGCUAUGUAUUCUUGCAUUCAAGAAGAUUUGUUUUAAACAAAUAUUAUUUUCAUAUCAAUUAUUAGCUCAUCAAACUUUCUCUUAUUAAGAGUUCUUCAAAAGUAUUUUAAUUUAAAGGUUUUUCACAUUUUUUAUUUAUUUACUUUUUAAAUUUGGGAUUAAAAGGUUUUUCAUAUUUUUUAUUUUAUUUACUUUUUAAAUUUGGUGUGAAGUUUUUAUUUAAGUAAAUAAAUUGAGUUAAAUAUAAAUGUGUUUCGAUAAUAUGGGUCGGGUAUGAGUCGGGUAUGGGUCAGGUCAGAUAUGAGUCAUAAGAUUUACACUAUAAGAAUAUGGGUCAAAACGGGUUAAAUGGGUCAAAUAUGGGUCGACCCAUUUUCGACCCAACCCAUACCCGACCCGACCCACCCAUUUGCCACCUCUAGUGGUCACUAUUGCCCAUUGGUGUGGUAAUAUUUAAAAUAAGUCAGACAAGUGACACGAUCUCAACGGGCAAUGGAUACAUAAAUGGAGGCAACAUAUUGCUUAAUAAAUCAAUCUUCCAUAAAAAAGAUAAAAUCUAUAAAUCAUUCUUAGUGUCUCUGCCAUUUUCCUUAAAUUAAGCUAUCUGACAUGUACAUGUACUUCUCUUUUGUCUCAAUUAAGUUAUCAUCCAAUUGUUCUUUAAUGAAUCCAUGCAUUGAAACCAUAUAAUUUGCGUUUUUUAUUUUAUGCAGCUACCUUUACGGUUCUGCAAUUGGCAUGAAUGCGAAGGGCACGCCCUUACAUCCCCACUUGCCAUUGAACGGUUGGAUGUGCAUCCUGUAUUAGUCUAUCACCCCAUAAAUAAGUCUUAUAAUAUAGAAAUUAUUAUGAGUUGGGGAUAUGUAAUAAAUUGAAUCUGAAUUGUAGAAAAUGUUUGGGUCAUAUGUAAGUCACACCUAGAUCUUAUCAAAUUCGACAGUUGAAUAGCAUUAACAUCUUUACAAAGACCCAGCAAAUGACAUAAUACAUAUAGGUCAGGAUACUUUUCUCAAACAUGUCUGCACAUGUGCAAAGCUCCAGUAGUAACCUUAUUCGAUAAUUUCCAAACCCUCCACUUCAAGAUCCAUAAAACAAUAUUUAUCAUUUAGCAAUUGGUUUUUUCUUUUUUCCUCACAGCAAAAGAUGACUAAAUGAAUGAAGACUGAUUCAUUGAGAAAAUACUAAAACGCAUAUUAUCCGGGUUGUUAAUAAAUCAUGGAAGUUAAGAAGCUCAUGAAAAAGUGGAGCCGAUUGACAAGAGAUGGUGUACCAAAAAAAUCAAUAUCUAGGGAGGAAAAUCCAAGAGUAUACAGAAGAAAAAGAACAAAAAGGAAGAAGACAAGUUCAUGCUAUGCCAAAGUCUUCCAAGUUUUCCUUUGAAUGUACUUUCACAAUCACGUUGGAGAACCACUUUAAACACAAUCGACACUAGGAUUUCAAAUUUCCAAAGGAGCAGAGCAAAUCCGUGUGCAGAACGCAGCCAUUCAACUUCAAGAAUUGAGAAUCACAACUAUUAAAUGUACAAUGAGAAGGAAUUGAAGCAAGAAACCUGGAUUCAAUGCAAGACAAGCACGACAGAAGCAACGGAGAGAGAGGUGAGCAUGAAUAGAGGCGAUCGAACAGAGGCAACACAACAAAGGCAACUCGACCGGAGAGAGGCGACUGGACAAAGGAUUCAAGUUCGAGAAGUAAGAAUCAAAACUAGAAAAUGUACAACAAGAAGGAAUUAAAGCGAGAAACCUGGAUUCAAGGCGAGAGUAGCACGAGAGAAGUAAUGCGGAGAGAGGCGAGAAUGAGCAGAGGCAAUCGGACAGAGGCGACACGACUGGAGAGAGUUGACUGGACAAAGGCGAAGGUGAGCUGAGAAGAAAUGAAAGGCAACCUUCAGGUUUAAGAGUGAAAAAGAGACGAGAGGCAAUUUCAGGGUUUUCUCUAAAAAAGAAGCAGUUUCUUGUUUUUGUUCCUGGGAAUAGGAAUUAGGUUUUUAUUUUUUUUAUUUUUUUACUUCUUGCUCAUACUCUAAAUCUAUUCUCUAGCCAUUUUUUAUUCUAGGAAAUAGAAAAAUUAAUUAACGUUAUCAAACAGAUUUCUAUUAUUUUUUUAUUCCGGAGAACAAAAUAACAGAAAAAUAGAAAACUAGAAAUGUUAACAAAUGGAAACUAAGGGUCCAUUAGGAAAAUGAUUUGAGUACUCAUCGACCAAAAUAUGUGUCAUUUUUCAUUAAAUUUUCAAUUUCUACUUAAUCUAAAUUACUUGUUUUAUUUGACAAUCAAUAUAUCGGGCACUUUGCAACGGCUUUAGAAGAUCAUGGGUUACAUUGCAAAUUUUCUAAAAUUAGGAGGCAAUUUGUAAUGAUAUGAAAAUCUAAGGGAUAUAUUGCAAUUCUCCCGCAUUUGCUGGAUUUUUUUUUAUUUGAUAGGCUGGACUGGGCCAUAAUGUUGGCCCAAUUGGAAGGCUCGGUCUAGCUCUUGCCCGCUCAUCAUGUUUCUUCCAGUAUGAUCGAGUCCUCGACAAGUUCAAGCAUAGCUCACCCAAUAUAUCGAGCCUAAUUAAGAUUAAAAUAUUCCAACUGAAGCUGAUUCACUCUAAAAAGAGAACAUUUGCACUGUCCAAAAUAUAACAAAAGAAUUAUUUAUCAAUCAUACACUGAAAAUCACUAAUUCAUAUAAUAUCAAACUCAAAGGAUCACGUACGUGCCGAAAAUCUUAGGGUGCAAUAACCACAUGCUAUGUGCUCUGGCAAACCAGUUUCAUAAAUAUUUCGGCGGCACAUUGAAUCAAAUGUGGAAGGAAAGAAGAAAAUGAGAUGAAAGAAUUGGAGAUGAUGUGUUAUGGAUCAGCUAGUUUAGUAUUUGGGAAGAGAGCACUCCUUGGGCAGGUUGUUUUGGAACCUUGCAUUGUCUCCUGACCCAUUUGAACCACCUCCUCGUUGUUCCACCAGUUUGUGGGCUCUCGGCCUGCAAAACCUCGGAUUGCCCUUCCAGACACAGGCGCCAAUCUUGUAGUCCCCGAACGAGGCCACGGAGGGCCCUUCGACCAAUCGACCAUGUCACGCUUACCUCGUGUCCCCCAGAUGUCGCCAUCCCCUAGGGUGGCUUUGACACCCAUCUGUUGCCACUUAGGGAACGCCCACCCACUUGUCCGCGUGGUUUCGGUACGUCCAAGUCGGGAUCGAAUCCAUAAAGAAACUGCAAAGAGUUUUCCAUCCAUUAUUUCACGGAUGAUCAGAUUUUUCACGCAUUUAUUAACCCGCAGGUAAAUCCGCUCUUCGCGGUUGUCGAACUAGUCAGCAAAUACAUUGGUUUGGAGAAUGUAAGGCUGCCCGGACACGUCGCUGAGGAACUCGAAGUCUAUCUCGUCCCGUUCAGCUAAUCGGACAUCCACUGAAGUUUGAUCCCAAUCCAAAUCAACCAUGGAGACACAAGCCAAUGCAAGGUAUUUUAUCUUUAACCUUAUUUGUAUUAUUUGUCGAAUAUAAAGAUUACUUUAAAUAUACUAUUUUUUAUUUUUCGUUUUUAAAUUUGAAUUCAACUGGGGUUUGUACAGGAUUCUUCAUCAAGAAGCAGGUGUAUUGUGACACCCACUGAGGACCGCCCCACCUUCUCAACACUUAUAUCAUUGGUUGCUAACAAAACUGCAUUUAUUACUUUAAUGUGCCAAUACCCGUACAACCCAGCUUCCCAAAUUUGGUGUGGUAUCUUUAUCGAGCUCCAUACCUAACUCUACCCUCUAUGUGUUUUAUGUCCAAGGAUGCUGAGGUUUGCACGAGACCCAAAUGGAGCAAUUUAAGGACCUACUCAAGUCUGAACUCAACAUAUAUACAUCUGUGGCAAAUAAUCAAUAACCUGCCCAUAGCAAUUUAAGGCUAGUAAAACAAUGUAUUUAAUCAAUCAUAAUAUUGAGCUAAACUAUAAAUCUUACAAUUGAGGUUCAUCCAUUCCCCUGUUUUAAAGUCUAAACUAAAGUUGAGAUUCAAUAACAUCAAAAUCAUGUUAAGAUUCAACCAUUUCAUUUUAUUCUGAACACGCCAGGUUUAUAUAUAGUAUUUCAAGAACAGAUUUAAUAUCACAACCUCUAUGUCUAUUAUACUAAUUUAGACAUUCAAACGAGUUUUUUCUUGAGAAAACAUAUGAGAAUAACCCCACUAUUUAUACGUCAACGUAUUGAGGAUCAAUCUUAAGUAAAAUCAAGAAAACUCAAUCACAAUUUGUCCAAUUUCAAAUCUGGAAAAUCUGGACACCAGCUAUAUCUCAUGAAAAACCACUUAAAACACCCUGAAAUUAAUUAGACUUCCCUCCAAACUUCAUCCACACAUGGUAUCCACUCUCUAGGAAUCAAAGAUAUGAUGGACUAAUAUAUUUUCAUACAUGGCUCUUGGUCGGCCAAUUUCUAGGAAUCAAAUAAACCAUAUAAAAUUGUUAUAUAUUAUUUAAUUUAUAGAUACACUUUUAUUUCUUCGGCAUUUACAUAAUUUAUGUGAACAUGAGGUACUUUCCAAAUGUCCACUAAACAUUAUAUCCACAUGGUGCAACCCAAAAAACAAGCCUUCUUAUGCCAAAUCCCAACAGAUAUAUUCCUUUUAUCACAAUUGAAUAACAUCUUGAAUGGACAUUGACAUAUCACUAGGUGUCAAAAUAUUAGGAUAUUAUAGUUCCAGCCAGCAAACUUGUUAGUGAGUUGGCCUCACUAUUACAUAAGCAAAUCACCAACCAAGUAAUCUACCAUCUCUUCUAGGGAUCAUAAGUCCUAUAAUAGUACAUCAAACAUAUUAUAGAAUUAGUCCCACUAAUGUAACCAAGCGGUCAAACAUAAAAGAUUCUAGAGCUGACCCUCAUAGAUUCAAGAUCUGGUUCCUUCCACAUAGCACUUUACCCUUGUGAGUUUCAAAAAGUGGCUCCCAUGAGGUAACACUUUGUUAUACAUGGCAAUUAGUUUUACAGAUGAGCUACAAAGACUAAAAGCUUGAGUUCGCUUGGACUAGGCUAGCCUGAAUUUUCGAGCUCAAAUAGGUCAGUGCCGUGAUUUCAAGGACCAUUUUAGGCUUUAACAUCUCUGGCCUGGAUUGGCCUGAACAAUUACUAUAAAUUAAAAUUUAAAAUAUAUAUUAAAUAAAAAUAUAAAAAGAAAUAGUAGAAAGUAUACUUAAAGCACUUUGUCACGACCCAAUUUUUCGGAUGUGAACUACCUAGGGUUUGGUUAAUGGAUUGUUAAGCCUAGAUUUAACUCGGACUCUCUCAAGCCCAUACCAAUUCGCAACUUUAGGUUCAAGUUCUUAACAUGCAAUUGAUUUUCAAUCAGGAGUCGCCACUAAUAUAUUUUUUGGUGAGUCGAUUAGAAACCCAAGUAAAGUAAUGAGAGAUUCACUUUACUCCUAUGAACCAUAGACUAUGGGUAUGGUGACUUGAUUACGUUAGAUUUCUCUAACGCCCUUUCGGUACCAUUUCCUUUAUUUUGAAAAAAAUGUUUUGCAGGCAACUUGAAUUGAUUUUAAACUAUCUCCCUAACAUGUGAGGUUAUCAUACAGGUGCGCAAACCACCAAUUUAACACCCAAGAAAGCAAUUAAAUAAUGCAGGACUUACCUCAAAGCAACGAAAGCAUCUGCAGUGUUAAAUUAAAAUCCACAUCAACAACCCUAGAUAUGAUUUCUAAUUAACACGCAAUUUCUUUUUUUGUUUUCACUUUUUAACGAGGCUAUAAUCCAUAUGCAAUGCAAUGCAAUGCUUUUAAUAUAAUAUGAAAUGAUAUGGCAUGGCAACAUGUCCUAAACUAUAUGAAUAAAAUUAAAAAAUUUAUGAUCUCUUAAUGAACAUGCAAUUGUUAAAUAUGCAAUCUAAAUUAACCAAAAUGAUUUAAUUCUAAUGACGUGCAAUGCAAUGCAAUGACGUACAAAAUGCAAUGCAAUGAUGUACAAAAUUAUUUCAACUAAAAUGACAUGCAACAUGCAAUUUAAUAUGAGGAGAAACGGUAGAUUUUGUUUUUUUCCCUUUUCUUCCUCUCUCCUCUGCUCUCCCUGUACCUCUCUGUGCACACUUUUACUUUUCCUUUUCAGCCUUUUUAUGAAGGAAAAAGAAACCUAGGGAAAGACCUCUUCUGUUCUUUUUCUUUCGACCAAGAGAAACGUAGAAAAGGCCCCCCCUUUUAACUUUUUCCGUGCACUCCUUAUAUAAGGAAAACAAAAUGCAAUCUUUUGUAAAUAUUUCAUCUCUUAUGAAAAUUGCUUAUAACCCUUACGAUCACAAAAAUCCUUUUCCUUAUCUCCCGAAUAUCUUCUACUGAUUUUUAAAGAUAAGAUUGCAAUCCGAUUUUCUUAAAUUCCAAAAAUCCUUAUUUCAAAUCUUAAUUUUAGAAAACGGGCUCGGGCCAAUUUGUAUUCUUCAUGGGCUUAGUCCAGCCUGUUAAUUUAAAACCCAAAACCACUAAUCGACCAAUCCGCCAUCGGUCCAGUAAAUGCAAAUAAAAAAUAAAUGCACCUACAACUAAAUGCUAUGCAAUUAAUUAAUAUUUUUUAGGGGUUAAAAUUAAUCCAUAAUUUCUUAAUGCGAUAAAUGACUAAACGGGUAGCCAAAAUUUAGGUGUCAACACACUUCAACAAAGUCAAUAUAUAAAACAAAGUAAUUUUUUGGGCCCAAAAUAAUAACCAAUCUUUUUAAAGGAAAAUCAAGCUAGCCCUAAACCGGCUUAGAGCCAAAAAAGCAUUGAAGCUAGCCCUCUCGAUCCAUGCUUACUCCUCCUACUUAGUUCAUACUUGUUAUUCCAUUUCACACAUGAUGAAUGCAUAUUAACACAUCAAAUCCGAUUUACAUGAAGAAUAUGAUAUACAAUUUACAAAUACUUAAAGACAUUAAAAUCCAUAAACUCAAUCAAUCAACAUUUCUAUCUAAUUCAAGAAACACAAACUGAAUGCUGCACUAGCCUCUUUAGCGGUGGAUCAUUGCAUUGAUUAGUCAUGAGCCACAUGUAAAUUAAGAGCAUCCCAUGGGUCCACCAAUUAUAAAAACUAUUCCCGGCUAAGCUUAUAUGUAGGUGGCGUCCAAAACCUCAUGAUUGUGAACGAUUUAUCUUUAAACUAAAAUUGGGGACAUAAGUAUGAAUUAUGAAAUACUAUUUAAUAGCUAUUAGAAUAGCGUGGCGGCUGGACAUAUGGAUAGUGUAUAUAUUGAUUACUCAUUUGAUAGAAUGGUGAGUCUUUUGUCUCUAUGGACUUGUUAAUCCGCACAUAAUUAACGAUGUAUAAAUAGACUAAACAAGUCCAUCACUGCUUAAUGAAGUCAAUAGGAUAUGAUGGAGGAAAACCACUUUGUUUAAUUGACGGAACAAGUCCCAUAAUUAUAUGGAACCUUUAAAAGUGUUUCCUAUUAGACAGCGUUAUGUUAUUUAUUGAUAUAGACUUGUCACAGUUGGAAAAGUCAUCCCUGAGGAUUUUAUGUACUUGGAUAUAAGCACCUACGAUAAAUUUUCAAGUUGUCUCAAAUUAUGAUGUUUAAAAAAUUAAGACACGAGAACACGCCAAAAUUUGCGGUCAAUGAAUUCUGAUUUAUAAGUUUUACACUUGUGAAGUCAAUUGUUGGAAUCGAUAUGAGUUUGUUGUAUAUGACUAAGUGGAUAAAAUGAUUAACCUAUAAUUUGGGAAAGUAUUGCGAAAGCUCUAGAAAUCUUGACUGUUGGGACGGCAUAAUACAAGUUUUUCAUCUGGAAAAUAGAAAAAUAAAAAAAGAGUUCAAGUCCGAACCAUUAACAAAUUCUGGUGGAAGAUGACAAUGUUUAUUCAUUUUAUUGGCAAAUCAUGGUUCUUACGUUCAGCAGAACUGCAUGCAUGUUAAAAAAAUUAAUAAUCAUCUUCGUCCUUCGUAUUUUAACAUUACAUUCAAUCUGCUUCAAUGAAAUUUUUUGAUGUAAAAUAAUUGAUAAAUUUUUUUUAUGUAAAUUACGAGAGAACAUACUUUAUAUUUAUGUCUAAAAAGGCCUAAUGAAAUUCCAAGUUUAAGACAGGAUAUAGAUAAACUAAUAGGAAACUACUACAUAUUAUUUAUCUAAGUGGAUAACCACUAAAAAAUUGAAACAAAUCCCCCGAUAUCCUAACGUAGUUAUUAAAAUAAAAAGACAAGGAAAUGAAGUCUACCGCUGGCUACCACAAUGACGACCAUCAUCUCCCUCCCUCCAAUUGACAGCCUCUUACAACCUCAACCCGGGCUAAUACCAUAGAUCGAGCAAGAACUACCUCUUCCUCCCGCCAUGCAUGUAAUAACCUUCCUUUUUUAGAAGACAGAAUCGACCGCGCUCAAAAUAAACCCACUUAAUUAAUGAGACAACUUAUUAGUAGUUUUCUUUUAUAUGCCUACCAUGCUCGUCCGCUAGACAAGACUUUAGACAAAGCUCAAGUGAUUAGAGCAUUAUUCAUAUGAUGCUCUAACUUUUAGAUGCAAAAUGUUUAAUAAACUUUUUGAUUCGAUAACUUUUAGAUGCAAAAUGUUUGAUAUGGACCAAAAAGAUUAAUGCGAAACACUUUAAUGUUUCAUAUGUACACAUCUAACUACCUCACGUGUUAUUCAACCAGCUAUUGCAUGAUAAUUACCAUCAUUGGUGUACGUAAUUAGGUCCAAUCUCUCGGGAUGGUUGAAUCAAACAUGGACUUCUUGUUAAACAUACGUGACAAAAUAUUUCAGCCAUGUCACGUUCGUACUUUGUAUUCUCUAGGCCUCACACAAUGGGAGCAUGGGUGAAAAUCUAGAGUUUUCGACACCUGAUCAUCAGAUCUGAAAAUAGACAAAAAAAAAAAAAAAUUCCUACUAGACCGUUAUAGUGCAUUGUAAAAUUAUAAGUAUAUGAGAGAAAAACCAAUUCUUCGCAUCAUCUAUCGUUAUGGUUAUCUUAAAUUUCAGGCGUAAAGUUCAUGGUUUUCAAAUCCUCAUGAAUCAUGAAAAAAACAUACAUAGCUUUAAGGAGAAUUUAUGCAAUCUGUUCGAACUAAGGGGAUAGAGGGGCAUGUAUUUGUCCCCAAACUAUCAAUCUGUUUAUGUUGUCUCUUGAGUUCUCAAGUCAGUGGUUAACGCAAAAUCAGACAAAGUUCUGAGGACAUAACAAAGUGAAAGUUUAGGAUCGACGUUUAAAAGUUCAUAACAAAGUGCAUGUCACUUCCAAAAUUUAGAGGGCUUACAUAAUUUUUCCUUAAUUAAAAACAGAGAUAAAGGAUGUAAAGCAGAUAAUGAAAUUGUAAGGGGAGAAACUAUCAAAUGAGCGUGGCAUCGACACUAAAUUGAGCCAUAUUAUUGAAAACGGUCCGUUCCAUGUUUGCAGGUCUCCCAUUGCACUCAUCAAAUUUGAUGAUUUAAAUUCAGUUUAGUACAUAUUGUUGAUACCUAAAUUUUAACAUCCCAUUUAGUAAUAUUGCAUAGUAAAUUAGGAAUUGACCUAGUCCCCUGAAAAAAGAUAUUAAGUUAAAUUGCAUAUAAACUUUAGGAGCAUUUGUUAUUUAGUUUAUAUUUUUUUAUUAUUAUAUUUGCAUUAGAUCGGUAAUGGAUGGGUUUGAAUCAAUGGUUCUUUGCUUGAAUUUAACGAGUUGGAAUAAGUCUGAGGUGAAAGAGAAUGUGGCAAAGCCCGUCAUUCUUUAAUGGCUGAAAAUUAACUUUUGAGGAGUGUUGGAAGAUUGGUUUAAUUUGAAAAAGAUUGAUAUUAUUCUUACAGUAAUAAUUUAAGAGCAUAGGAGGAAAAUUUGGCCAACGAAAAGAAACAAAAGAAAGAAUGAUUUGGUGCCGUGCUUUUAUAGACCUUCGUGGUCAAGAGGAAUCGUUCUUUAAGCAAAAAUCAAGGAUUAGAUGGCUGAAGGAAGGAGAUCGCAACACAAAAUUCUUCCACAACUGUGUUAAAGCUAGACAUCUCAAUAACCGUAUCCUCUCUGUCAAGGACACUGCAGGUACGGUGAUUUCGGAUCCUGAUUUGGUGCCUCAAGUUUUUCUAUCUUUCUUUUCGGAUCUGCUUGCUCCUAGAGUUGGCUUAGCAAAGCCAGAUAUUCAAGAGCUUACUUCUCUCAUUCGAAAGCCGUUAUCUGAUAGCCAGGUAUGUGCCCUAGCUUUGCCUGUCUCUGAUUUGGAAAUCAAGAGGACCUUGUUCUCACUUGCAAAGGGAAAAGCCCCCGGUCCAGAUGGUUUUACAGUAGAAUUCUUUAAAAGUAACUGGGGUAUCGUGGGCUCUUUAGUUACAGAGGCUGUGAAAGAUUUCUUUUCAGUAGGUUCUCUUCUUAAAGAAGUCAAUGCGACCAUCCUAACUUUAAUUCCCAAGGUGCCGAAUGCUUGUGAAGUUAACGACUUCAGACCGAUUGCUUGCUGCAACACUAUUUACAAACUUAUCACCAAGAUUUUGGCCAAUAGAAUUGCGCCUGUACUUCAGGAUAUUGUUAGUCCAUCCCAGAAUGCGUUUGUGAAGGGUAGAAGAAUAAGGGAUAAUAUCUUAUUGGCUCAAGAGCUAUUUGCAGGCUUCCACUUAGACCCAUACCUCCCAAGAUGUGCAGUCAAAGUGGAUUUUCGCAAGGCCUAUGACACUAUUGACUGGGAUUUCCUAGAGCUUACCCUUACUGCCUUCCGGUUUCCUCUGUGGAUUAUUAGCCGGAUCAUGGCUUGUGUACGCACACCCAGAUUCUCUAUCUCUAUUAAUGGGGAGCUUCAUGGUUUCUUCCCUGGAGGCAGAGGCCUUAGGCAGGGCAACCCAAUGUCACCUUAUCUAUUCACGUUGAUCAUGGAAAUCUUCUCAGGAAUUUUGAACCAAAGGUCUUCGGCUAAAGAGUUCAAAUAUUAUUGGAGAUGUAAGUCUCCCAAGCUCACUCAUCUGUUUUUUGCAGACGAUGUGUUCCUUUUUUGCCAAGCAGAUUGGAAAUCGGCUGUGAUCCUUAAAAGAAGCCUCGACAUCUUCUCUUCAUGGAGUGGUCUUAUCCCCAACAAAAAUAAGAGUGACAUCUUUCUUUCGGGAGGUGAUCCUGCUUUGUGCAAUAGAAUCCUCCAAGAAUUUGGCUUUCAGGAAGGUAAACUUCCGAUUUGAUAUCUUGGAGUGCCGAUCAUCUCUAAGAGGUUGACUAAGGCUGAUUGUACCCAGUUAAUUGAUCGCAUUACCGCGAGAGCCCGCUCCUGGUCCCACAGGUUCCUUUCUUUUGCUGGAAGACUUCAGCUCAUAAGGUCAGUGCUUCAUGCUAUUCAGACUUUUUAGGCUAGUGUAUUCACUUUGCCCUCUUCGGUUAUCUUGGGUAUUGAAAGCAUUCUUCGUAGAUUUCUUUAGAAAGGCACCUCCUUGGAUAAGGGAGGUGCCAAAGUCUCAUGGGCGGAAGUUUGUUUGCCUAAGGAGGAAGGGGGCUUGGGGAUUCGGUCUAUCAAGGACUGUAACAAAGCCUCAAUGCUGAAAUUUAUUUGGAUCCUCUUUACGAAUAAGGAAUCGCUGUGGUGCCGAUGGAUACACUCCAACUUUUUAAAGAAGCAUAACUUCCGGGUUGCCACUCAGCCUUCGGUUUGUUCCUGGAAUUGGAAGAAGAUCCUUCAUCUUCGGGGCUGUUGUAGACAAUCCUUUGAAUGGAAGGUCGGAGACGGCCGAUCUACAUCAUUGUGGUUCGAUAGCUGGUUGCCUUGUGGCCCUCUUCAUCUACAAGUUCCUCAAUCGUUUUUGUUGGACCCUGACGUUCCUACAAAGGCUACUGUGGCUUUUUUAUAUUCUUAUGCUGGUAGAUCCUGUAAGUCUCGGUUAGAGGAUUAUGGUUUCUCGCUUCCUCCUCAUUCGGUUGAUAACGAUCGUUUUGUGUGGCGUCAAGAUUCCUCGGGGGCCUUCUCCGUUGCUUCUGCUUGGAACGUCAUCAGAACUUCUAAAGCCAAAGCACCUUGGACUCUUUUUGUGUGGGAUAAGGAUGUUGCCCCUCGGUUUCAAUUCCUUUUGUGGCUUAUUACUAAAGACCGCUUGCCUACGCAGUCCCUUCUCCUCUCAUAUGGAAGGAUUGAGUACUCAGCUUGCACUUUUUGUAAUACUCAGCCAGACUCGACUAACCAUUUGUACUUUGAUUGCAAUAUCUCAACUACCAUUAUCUACUUUUGGGCAACUAGGUGCAAUUUGCCUUGGAGGAACGGUACUUGGGCGGAAAACCUUGCUUGGGCUAUGAAAUUCCUUGCGGGUAAGGACUUCUUUCAUAGGCUAUCCCGCUAUUCCUUUGGAGCUCUUUGCUACCUAAUUUGGAAGAAGAGAAAUGCCAUGAUUUUCCGUGGGGAAUCUCUUGAUAUCCCCGCUUUGAAGAAUCAUUUGAUAAAGAUGGUUAAAGAUAAAGCAAUUACCUACAAGGAUGUUCCUGACAAUCCAAGGAAUCGGCAUCUUCAAAGGGGUUGGAAUCUCGACCCUAGUAUCUUCACAUAAAGAUGGUUAAAGAUAAAGCAAUUACCUACAAGGAUGUUCCUGACAAUCCAAGGAAUCGGCAUCUUCAAAGGGGUUGGAAUCUCGACCCUAGUAUCUUCACGUAACCCCUUGGGUGUUAUCUUUGGAUCUUGCUCGUUCUCAUGUGCGGGUGUCUGGCUCCCGGAUUCCCUGGCGUCCUUUGAGUCCGGUGGUUGUUUCUGGUGGUUGUGUUGUGUUGUUUGUUUACUGCGUUCUUUCUUUCCUUGCCUCUUGAGGCUUUUGCGCGGUUCCCUUCCACUCUUUUGCACGCAGUGAGAGUGUAAGUUUUGGUGCCGCUUGUGUACAUUUGUCCUUUGUCUUUCAAUAUAUUCUUACCUUACCAAAAAAAAAAAAAAAGAAUGAAAUGGUGGUUAAUCUAAUUUUAUCUCUUCUGUAUAUUCAUGCAAUUUAAGGGAAAUAAAGAUAGAAAAAUAAGAGGAAAGUGUGCUAAGGCAGAAUCAGCGGACAUGGGCAUAUACAUAUAUAGCUAUAUGUCUCGUUUUGACGCGUCCAUGCUCGUGGCAGAAAGGAAGGUUUCAGAUGAGCAAUAUUGAAAAAUAAAAUGGAAUGAUGCAUGUGGGGGAUAUAUUUGGUGUCACUCUUUAGGCAACAUAUAUUUUGGUUAAUAAAAGAAACACAAACGCAAGAAAAGAGGUCUUCAAUCCUCAGUAGAAGUGAGCAGAAAGGAAGGAAAACAAAAUGAAAGUGAGAAGAUUGUGUCUUGACCGUACCAGACGUGAUUGGAAGGAGGAAAGAAAUUUUGUUUCUUCCUUUGGCGGGGUCUCUUUUUCCAUUCCGACACAGGCAAGGAAUAGACAAUAGAGGGAGAGGAAAUGUAUAGAGAGUUGUCUCGGCCACACUCUCCGCUGUGUCAUCACCGUCGUCGGUGCUGCUGCUCGCUGUUUUGCUGAGCAUGACAAUGCCAAACCUGCCGCUGCAUGACAACAACGAGCCGCUGCUCCUCAUCGCUCGAACACCAUGCGCCUGAGCUACUGCUGCUUAAGCUCACCACCGAUCUGCUGCUGUCCCAUGGAGUCCCGACGACGCUGUUGUUGCCGAUCAACUGCCUGCUGUGGUUGUCAGUGAGCCAGGGAGACCCGAUCCUUGCUGCACGGAAAAGCCACAACCUUUACCACGACAAACCUUUGAGCCGUUCCGAAGAAUUUCAAGGCGGUGUUCGAGUUCCUCUAAGCUUUGAGCCACUACCUGUUCACGUGAUUCCUUACGCUUGACCAACAUUCGACACAUGAGGGGAGGAAAUCGGGAACAAAGACAGAUCCACUCACAUUGGUCACGUACAGAAUACGCCCGAGAAAGAGAUAACAAAAAGGGAGAUUUUGAUGUCAUGCUCUGCGAGUUCUGAGUGUCAUUGUUAUCCAGGUUGCCGUGCUAUUAUUCUUCUCGUGCAACCACCGUUCAAACCCGCCGCUGUUCAAGUUGGAAACCAUAUCUUCAAAUUAGGUGACAAAUCCUAUCUAAAUUUGAAUUAUUAAUUACCUAAUUGGAAUAUAUUGUGAUCUUAAUUAGACGUCUUGAAGAUAUGCCAUAAACAAAAGAUUUUUCAAGUAUUUGUGAAUUAGGAUAAUUUCUUAAUUUUACAAUAUGCAAUGAUCAAUAGUCUGAUUUUAUGGUCCAAAUACGACUCGCGAUCAUGUGAAAAACUGGCCAAUCUAAUCUCAUGCCCAAUAUACAAUUGGUUGAUUUUACUUAUUUCCAAAUUUAGAUGGGUAUGGAUCAUAUCUUGAGUGAUAGAUGCUUUCCAUUGCUUGAUUUUAUUUGAUUUUACUUAUUUCCAAAUUGCUUGAUUUUAUUUUUAUUUUUUAUCUAAAAAAUCGAAAAAGAUUAGAUACAAUUAAAGUAGAUAUUUUUUAGGGUCUGCAUGUUUAUUUUGAUUAUUUUAUAAUUUCAAAUUUAAAUAAAAAAUCACAUGCAUAUCAUGUAGAUUAAUUGCAUCAUGCCUACAUCAUCGCCACUAUGUCAUUACUACAUGUCACGUGCAUCGUGUUGUGUGUCAUCUUACCAUGUCAUCGUAUGCGAUUUCAUUUGCUAUGUCAUUGUAUGCGGUGUCAUUGUGCCACACCAUAUGUCAUAUCAUCAUAUAUGUCACGUCAUUGCUUGCAUGUCAUGUACUGAUCUAUAUGUUUUGGUCAUUUAAUUAAAAAAUCACCUGUCAUAAAAUUUUGCAUGUUAAGUUUAUUUAUUUCGGAAAUUCUAUGUCGAGGUUCAUCUAAUUAAAUUGCAUGUUAUGUAGACUAGUUUAAUUAGGACCGAAUGUCGAUUUUGCCUAUCAUUAAAAAGUUGCAUGUUUAGGUUUGUAUACUUAGGAAAUAUUGUGUCACGCUAGAAUAAUAUAUUUAAUCGUCAUUAGAAUUAGGAUAUUUAAAUAAGUUAUGUCACAUGUCAUGUUAGAUUAGUAGAAUGCAUUGCAUAAAGCAUUAUCUUGAUUAAACAAGUUUAAAAAAAACAUUUGAGAGAAAUUGCAUGUUAAUCAGAAAUCAUAUUAGGUUGCUAAUGUCAUUUUCUAACUAACUACAUAUACUUUCGUAGCUUCAAGAUGAGUAAUUUUUCAAUUUCCUUGCAAUUUAUCUAAUGCUUUGAUUGUUGAGUGUUAAAUAAUGGUUGCACACUUGCUUCGCAUGUGAGUGAAUUACAAUCAAUACAAACUGCCUAUGAUAUAUUUUUCUAAAAUAGAAGAGAAAAUGUAUCGAAAGGGCAUUACAGAAAUCUAGGGUAAUCAAAUACUCGUACCCACAAUUUCUAGUUCAUAGAACUAAAGUAAUUCUCCCGUCACUUUAUUUGGGUUUCUAAUUAAUCAACCGAAAAUAGAUUAAUGGCAACUUCUACUUAUAAAUUAUUUACUUGUUAAGAACUUAAACCCUAAGUCGUAAAUUAAUAUGGAUAUGAUGGAGCUUGAGUUAACUUUAAGCUUAAUAAUUUAUUAGCCAAAUCCCUAGAUAGGGGUGAUCGGUUCCCGGUUCGGUUCGGUUCCAAGGUGGAACCGGGAACUGGACUGGGAAAACCGGUUCCCAAUUUUGGGAACUGUGGACCGGACCAUUGGUUCUGGUCCAGUCCGGUUCGGUCCAAUAGGAUCGGCACUUUCUUUUUUCACUAAAUAACGACCAUUCAUUAAAGAACAAUCAUGCUUCGGACUGAUCAAUCCAAUUCGGUUCCCGGACAAUCUAAUAAAACUACUCACACAUGUUUUCACAUGCAAAAUAUUCAAACUUCACUUGUGUGAAUAUUAAUCAUAAUUUAUGUGUUUCACUCUUAAUUUUAAGCAUAAAAGCCAUGAACAAUUUGAGUAUAAUCUGUGCUUGGCUUAGGUUUCACUCUUAAUUUUAAGUAUAAAAGCCAUGAACAAUUUGAGUAUAAUUUGUGCUUGGCUUAGAUUUUAUAGACAAUCUCUCUUCUAUACUUUGAAUAUUUAGUCGAUGUUAGACUCUUUGAGACUUGAAGUGCCUUGUCAUUUGCAAGUGAGGGGAGCAAGAGAGAGAGUGAGCAUGAGGAACUCCUAGAGCCUUAUCCCAAUCGAGGAGAAGAUAAAACUAACAAAUAAGUUUUUUAAGAGCUUUGGUGGUCUCUUGACCACAUAAGAGGUUGUUACCUUAAUUGCAAUUCCGAUUGCAACAAGUUUCAUAUAUAAUAUUCAUAUACUAUAUGUGUUUAUAUAUUAUAUGUAUAUAAAUUAUAUAUAAAAAAUUUCGUCUAGUCCAAUCAGUCUGGUUGGUCCGAUUCCCACUUUGGAAUCGAGAACCGGACCGCCGACCGUGGGAACCGCCCAAAACCGGCCGGUCCAGUUAAGUCCGGUCUGGUCCUAGUUCGGGCAGUUUCCGUUGCACACCCCUAUCCCUAGGUGAUGCACCCACUUUGGGGAGGUCGCGACACAUAAGUUAGAUAUAGUUAUUAUUUUCCGAUGGGAGAUAUUAUCAUUAUCAUCAGUAUCGCAUGGACUAUUUUCCGCAAUUAAGGAGGACCAAACAAAGCAGGAAAAGAAUAAGAGAAAGAUAACAAAAACCACCAAAUGCAUCCGGCGAUGCUGCUUGUCCCAUCGUUGACUUCUCUCUCUCUCUCUCUCUCUCUCUUUUAAGACAUUUUUUCCGUUGACAUUUUUGUUCAAGCCUGACAACCAGAAGUGGGAGGUGAGCAGUCGGUUAUUAGGCUUGAGCUAAGCUUCCUCACCUUGCGGUGGUUUUGACAUCACCGUACCUCCCCUGGACGCGAAAAGUUAUUAUAAUCCCCUAUUUGAUGGUAGCUAGUAUCAAAAUAUUAACACAUAGUCUAUCUUACCACCAAUAGACCCCUUGAUUCUAACCCAAGCUUUUCUUCUUGGGUGGAUAGGAAUACAAGAUGUGACAUUGCAGGGUCUCUCACCCCACUUUCCUGUUUCUUCUCCCUUAAUAAUAAGGAAGUUGUGCCGUUGAUGUUUUAUAACAUAUUUGAAAUGCUAGGCGGCAUCUAUCUCCGGCAUUUUGGCAACCAAACAAAUUGCAAUCCCAUGCCUGCAAUCUACGUGUCCUAUGCCUCCAAUAUUUCGUCUUUUAAAUUCUAUUGCAUAUUCUUUUUCUUCCCUUCUUUUCGUCUAAAUAUGAUGAGGAACCGCAAAUUCCAAUCUAUAGAAUAUCUGACUAACCUCAAUAAUCAGAUAAGACAUGGAUCAAGACAUCAAACAAGCAACCCGAACAUGAGAUUAUUUAUACUAGUAACUUACGGAUUUGAGCUAAUGUCUUGCUUUUGAUCCACACCUUUGGGUCUAUUCUUUUGUCACUAAGCCAAAAUGAGGAAUUGCAUGUAACCUUUUCUGCAAUCGAUUGUAAUGUUUUUUCCUGAAAUGGCGGGUCUCCAUCGGUCGUGCCCUAAAGCAAGAAGUUUAAUUGUGACAUUAUUCCUGAAAUUGCAUAAAGCCACUUUAUUAUAAGUUCCAUUAGGUCAAUAAGUUACUGUCGUCUUUGUCAGUCGUGCCCUAGGACACUCCCGUUUUAGUUCUUAUUAAUUUGUAUUAACAUCAAAACACAUCAUCUACAACUUUGGUUAAAAAAAUUUAGUGAUUGACUUAAGAAAAAAGUGUCAAUUGAUGUUAUAAAUUAAUCGUAAACAUGAUCAUAAGUUUGACAACUUACAGGUAUUCCUAUAAAAUGGGAGGUUUGACUGAAAAUUUUGCGCUUUUCGGCGGGCUCAAGCAAUGCAUUCUAGGGCCUUGUUAGUGAGUGCCCUAGGCCUAAGCAAUGGCUUUGAGGCUUGGCUUAGUUCGCCCAUUAAUUUAUUAAAAAUUACAUCGAUAAAAUAUUUAUUUUAGUUUAUCUACCUCAAAAUACAAACUUGGUAAAUAUUGAAAGUGAAAGUGGAAGUAAGGCUUAAAACAGAAGAAGAAAAGUAUUUCAUAACACAAUUAAAGUACAAUACCAAAAAAUUAUGGAAUUAUUAUCUAAUUAUGUUUCCAAUUUAUCUAUUUUUUAGCUCAGCUUUUUUUGCUUUAAAAAGCAAGACAUUCCCCAUGUGAUUGAGCCAAUGAAUUCAAGUGAGUGAGCUUGGUACUUGUCAAAACCCACUGGAUUGGGUUUGGACAUGGCCCAUAAAAGCUCGAACCAAACUUGUUCAGUGAUAAGGUCUAAUUAAGUGUAUCUUGUCACACCAUUUUCAGGUAUGUUUUCCUCUGUAUCCGAUGAUUUAGUGUUCGUGUCAUAUGAAAGCGCCACUACCAGCCCUAAGAAAGGAUGGAAUAGGUCCGUUGACCAUGUAAAAAGUACUUAAAAGUCAUAAACUUAUGGCAUUGAUAUCAAUUCAGUUAUAAACUUUUUAAUUAGAUCAAUUUAGUUCUAAAAUUUUUCACAUUAAUAUAAAUUUAGUCAAUCCGAUCAAUUUUACCCUUGCGAUGCUAAUGUGUGGCCAAUGAAUGCUGACAUGGCAAUUGCCCCACUAGCUCGAAGGAACUCCUUUGUUUUGGAUUUCAAUUGCAGCUGCUACUUCCUUUCAAUUUAGCCAAAUUUUGACCUUUUGUUUAGUCCGAUUUCAUGGCCAAUGUAAGGUUAAGGUGACGAGACUUAGUGGGCCACAGUGGCGCCAGGAGUUCCUUCGAGCUUUGAGGGCCUUAAGAGUUCCGUCACUCCAAAUCUUCUGUUGUGGGGCCUGAGGUAUUAAAAAUUACCUUGUCUCUAAUCACCAGAUGCAAUGAAAUGAAUGCAAAAUCUGGUGGGGUCGGUGUUUUUUGAGGGAUCGAAUUUCACCGUUAUCGGUUAAUUUGAUUCCUAUUGUUUUUUUUUAUAUAUAAUAUUCAUGAUCGUGGGCAUAUACAUAUAUAGAGUGAUAUGUCUCGUUUUGACGCGUCCAUGCUCGUGGCAGAAAGGAAGGUUUCAGAUGAGUAAUAUUGGAAAAUAAAAGGGAAUGAUGCAUGUGGGGGAUAUAUUUGGUGUCACUCUUUAGGCAACAUAUAUUUUGGUUAAUAAAAGAAACACCAACGCAAGAAAAGAGGUCUUCAAUCCUCAGUAGGCGUGAGCAGAAAGGAAGGAAAACAAAAUGAAAGUAAGGAGAUUGUGUCUUGACCGAACAGACGUGAUUGGAAGGAGGAAAGAAAUUUAGUUUCUUCCUUUGGCGGGGUCUCUUUUUCCAGUCCGACACAGGCAAGGAAUAGACAACAGAGGGAGAGGAAAGGUAUAGAGAGUUGUCUCGGCCACACUCUCCGCUGUGUCAUCACCGUCGUCGCUGCUGCUGCUGCUCGCUGUUUUUCUGAGCGUGACAAUGCCAAACCCGCCACUGCAUGACAACAACGAGCCGCUACUCCUCAUCGCCCGAACACCAUGCGCCCGAGCUACUGCUGCUUAAGCUCACCACCGAUCUGCUGCUGUCCCGUGGAGUCCCGAUGACGCUUUUAUUGCCAAUCAACCGCCUGCUGUGGUUGUCAGUGAGCCACAGAGACCCGAUCCUUGUUGCACGGAAAAGCCACGACCUUUACCACGACAAAGCUUUGAGCCGUUCCGAAGAAUUUCAAGGCGGUGUUCGAGUUCCUCUAAGCUUUGAGCCACUACCUGUUCACGUGAUUCCUUACGCUUGACCAACAUUCGACACCUGAGGGGAGGAAAUCGGGAACAGAGAGAGAUCCACUCACAUUGGUCACGUACAGAAUACGCCCGAGAAAGAGAUAACAAAAAAUGAAAUUUUGAUGUUGUCAUGCUCGGCGAGUUCUGAGUGUCAUUGUUAUCCAGGUUGCUCUGCUAUUAUUCUUCUUGCAUAUUGCUGGCCUUGUGCAUCUCCAUCAUUGCGAAUCACCACCAGUAAGCAUCACCGCGGUUGUCCAAAGCCGUGACCCGAGACACCCGCCGCCGGUCACACCGUCUAUCGUUGUGAACAGCCACGCAACCACCGUUCAAACCCGCCGCUGUUCAAGUUGGAACCAUAUCUUCAAAUUAGGUGACAAAUCCUAUCCAAAUUUGAAUUAUUAAUUACCUAAUUUAAAUAUAUUGUGAUCUUAAUUAGACGUCUUUAAGAUAUGCCAUAAACAAAAGAUUUUUCAAGUAUUCGUGAAUUAGGAUAAUUUCUUAAUUUUACAAUAUGCAAUGAUCAAUAGUCUGAUUUUAUACCACUGGCCGCAGUGGCUCCGUUGGAUAAGAACUUCGCUGAUCCUUACCCAAAGGUGAGGAGUUCGAAACCUAGUGGCGGCACUUGGUGUCUUACACGGGAUGUUGGGGUGGUGGGUCCUUAGCUAGCGUCCCCCUAGGUUUGCUUGGUCGGCUGCCACUAUAUAGGGUUUCUGGGUCAUAAAAAAAAAAAAAAAGUCUAAUUUUAUGGUCCAAAUACGACUCACGAUCAUGUGAAAAACCCGCCAAUCUAAUCUCAUGCCCAAUAUAAAAUUGGUUGAUUUUACUUAUUUCCAAAUUUAGAUGGGUAUGGAUGAUAUCUUGGGUGAUAGAUGUUUUCCAUUGCUUGAUUUUAUUUGAUUUGAUUUUUAUUUUUUAUCUAAAAAAUCGAAAAAUAUUAUAUACAAUUAAAGUAGAUUAUUUUUUAGGGUCUGCAUGUUUAUUUUGAUUAUUUUAUAAUUUCAAAUUUAAAUAAAAAAUCACAUGCAUAUCAUGUAGAUUAAUUGCAUCAUGCCUACAUCAUUGCCACUAUGUCAUUACUACGUGUCACGUGCACCGUGUUGUGUAUCAUCUUACCAUGUCAUUCAUUGUAUGUGAUGUCAUUUGCUAUGUCAUUGUAUGUGGUGUCAUUGUGCCACACCGUAUGUCAUAUCAUCAUAUAUGUCACGUCAUUGCUUGCAUGUCAUGUACUGAUCUAUAUGUUUUGGUCAUUUAAUUAAAAAAUCACCUGUCAUAAAAGUUUGCAUGUUAAGUUUAUUUAUUUCAGAAAUUAUAUGUCGAGGUUCAUCUAAUUAAAUUGCAUGUUAAGUUUAUUUAUUUCAGAAAUUAUAUGUCGAGGUUCAUCUAAUUAAAUUGCAUGUUAUGUAGACUAGUUUAAUUAGGAGUGCAUGUCAAUUUUGCCUGUCAUUAAAAAGUGCACGUUUAGGUUUGUAUACUUAGGAAAUUUUGUGUCGUGCUAGAAUAAUAUACUUAAUCAUCAUUAGAAUUAGGAUAUUUAAAUAAGUUAUGUCAUAUGUCACGUUAGAUUAGUAGAAUGCAUUGCAUAACGCAUUAUCUUCAUUAAACAAGUUUUAAAAAAAACAUUUGAGGGAAAUUGCAUGUUAAUGAGAAAUCAUAUUUAGGUUGCUAAUGUCAUUUUCUAACUAACUACAUAUGCUUUAGUAGCUUCAAGGUGAGUAAUUCUUCCAUUUCCUUGCAAUUUAUUUAAUACUUUGAUUGUUGAGUGUUAAAUAAUGGCUGCACAUUUGCUUGAUCACCUCGCAUGUGAGUGAAGUAAAAGCAAUACAAUCUGCUUACAAUACAUUUUUCUGAAAUAAAAGAGAAAAUGUAUUGAAAGGGCAUUACAGAAAUCUAGGAUAAUCAAAUACUCAUGCCCACAUUUUAUAUUUCAUAGAAGUAAAGUAAUUCUCCUAUCACUUUAUUUGGGUUUCUAUUAUUUGGGUUUCUAAUCAAUCAACCGGAAAUAGAUUAAUGGCAACUUCUAAUUAUAAAUUAUUUACUUGUUAGAACUUAAAUCCUAAGUCUCAAAUUAAUAUGGAUUUGAGAGAACUUGAGUUAACUUUAAACUUAAUAAUUUAUUAGCCAAAUCCCUAGGUGAUACAUCCGCUUUGGGGAGAUAGCGACACAUACAUUAGAUAUAGUUAUUAUUUUCGGAUGGGAGAUAUUAUCAUUAUCAUCAUUAUCACGUGGACUAUUUUCCGCAAGUAAGGAGGACCAAACAAAGCAGGAAAAAUAUAAGAGAAAGAUAACAAAAACCAUCAAAUGCAUCCGGCGAUGCUGCUUGUCCCAUCGUUGACUUUUCUUCAUUCCCGCGAGCAAAGAAUUUUCCCUUUUUUUUUUUUUUUUUUUUGCUAUUAAGACAUUUUUGCCGUUGAUAUUUUGUAACAUAUUUGAAAUGUUAGGUUGAGCGGAGCUUUGCUCAAGCCUGACAACCAGAAGUGGGAGGUGUGGGAGGUGAGCAGUCGGUUAUUAGACUUGAGCUAAGCUCCCUCACCUUGCAGUGGUUUUGACAUCAUGGUACCUCCCUACACGUGAAAAGUUAUUAUACUCCCCUAUUUAAUGGUAGCUAGUAUUUCAAGCUUUUCUUCUCGAGUGGAUAGAAGUAUAAGAAGUGACAUUGCAGGGUCUCUCACCCCGCUCUCUUGUUUCUUCUCCCUUAAUAAUAAGGAAGUUAUGCCAUUGAUGUUUUAUAACAUAUAUGAAAUGCUAGGCGGCAUCUAUCUCCGGCAUUUUGGCGACUAAACAAAUUGCAAUCCCACGCCUGCAAUUUACGUGUCCUAUGCCUCCAAUAUUUCGUCUUUUAAAUUCUAUUGCAUAUUCUUUUUCUUCCCUUCUUUUCUUCUAAAUAUGAUGAGGAACCGCAAAUUCCAACCUAUGGAAUAUCCGACUGACCUCAAUAAUCAUAUAAGACAUGGAUCAAGACAUCAAACGAGCAACCCAAACAUGAGAUUAUUUAUACGAGUAACGUACAGAUUUGAGCUAAUAUCUUGCUUUUGAUCCACACCUUUGUGUCUAUUCUUUUGUCACUAAAGCCAAAAUGAGGAAUUGCAUGUAAUAUUUUCUGCAAUCGAUUGUGAUGUUAUUCCUGAAACGGCGGGUCUUCAUCGGUUGUGCCCUAAAGCAAGAAGUUUAACUGUGACAUUAUUCCUGAAAUUGCAUAAAGCUACUUCAUUAUAAGUUCCAUUAGGUCAAUAAUUUACUGUCAUCUUUGUCGGCCGUGCCCUAGGACACUCCCAUUUUAGUUCUUAUUAAUUUGUAUUAACAUCAAAACACAUCAUCUACAACUUUGGUUAAAAAAUUUUAGUGAUCGACUUAGGAAAAAAGUGUCAAUUGAUGUUAUAAAUUAAUCGUAGACUUGAUUAUAAGUUUGACGAUUUGCAGGUAUUCCGAUAAAAUGAGAGGUUUGAUUGAAAAUUUUGCGCUUUUCGGCGGGCUCAAGCAAUGCAUUCUAGGGCCUUGUUGGUGAGUGGCCUAGGCCUAAGCAAUGGCUUUGAGGCUCGGCUUAGUUCGCCUAUUAAUUUAUUAAAAAUUACAUCGAUAAAAUAUUUAUUUUAGUUUAUCUACCUCAAAAUACAAACUUGGUAAAUAUUGAAAGCGAAAGUGAAAGUGAGGCUUAAAACAGAAGAAGAAAAGUAUUUCAUGACACAAUUAAAGUUCAAGACCAAAAAAUUAUGGAAUUAUUAUCUAAUUAUGUUUCCAUUUUAUCUAUUUUUUAGCUCAGCUUUUUUUGCUUUAAAAAGCAAGACAUUCCCCAUGUGAUUGGGCCAAUGAAUUCAAGUGAGUGAGCUUGGUACUUGUCAAAACCCGCUGGAUUGGGUUUGGACAUGGCCCAUAAAAGCUCGAACCAAACUUGUUCAGUGAUAAGGUCUAAUUAAGUGUAUCUCGUCACGUCAUUUUCAGAUAUGUUUUCCUCUGUGUCCGAUUUUCUAGCGUCCGGGUCAUAUGCAAGCGCCACUACCAGCCCUAAUAAAGGAUGGAAUAGGUCCCUUGACCAUGGAAAAAGUACUUAAAAAUCAUAAACUUAUGGCAUUGAUAUCAAUUCAGUUAUAAACCUUUUAAUUAGACCAAUUUUGUCCUAAAUUUUUUCACAUUAAUAUCAAUUUAGUCCAUCCGAUCAGUUUUACCCUUGCGAUGCUGAUGUGUGGCCAAUGAACGCUGACAUAGCAGUUGCCCCACUAGCUUGAAGUAACUCAUUUGUUUUAGAUUUCAAUUGCAGCCGCUACUUCCUUUCAAUCUAGCCAAAUUUUGACCUUUUGUUUAGUCUGAUUUCAUGGCCAAUGUAAGGUCAAGGUGACGAGACUUAGUGGGGCACAGUGGUGCCAGGAGUUCCUUCGAGCUUUGAGGGCCUUAAGAGUUCCGUCGCUCCAAAUCUUCUGUUGUGGGGCCUGAGGUAUUAAAAAUUACCUUGUCUCUAAUCACUAGAUGCAAUGAAAUGAAUGCAAAAUCUGGUGGGGUCGGUGGUUUUUGAGGGAUCGAAUUUCACCGUUAUCGGUUAAUUUGAUUCCUAUUUUUAUUUAUAUAAUAUUCAUGAUCAAUUUUUUUUUUUUUUUACUAUGAUGCUUCUAGUUUUCGAAUGCAGAGAAAUGAAAUACGGUCCAAGAUGCUGCAAAAUCAAUCAAUUUUUGGUUAGGGGUUGAAUUCUAGACUUAUCAGCGAACUUGGUCCCUAAUUUUUUAUUUUUAAAGAAUUGCAAUAACGAUCUAUCCAUGAAAACUUAGAUGUCAACGACUUUAUAAAACUUUGUCAUUAAAAAAAAUCAAAAUUUAUGAUGUUUAGUCGUUAGUCAUUACAGAUCAUCGUCAACCUUCAUAAAACAUUGUUUUAUAUACAUAUCACAUUCCAAAAUCAGUGUUCCAAUAAUAAAACACCAAACUAGUGUUAAAUAAUGUACUGAUUUAGCAAUUGACCUCAAACCCGUCUCACUACCCAGCACCAAAAACUCGUUUACCUAACAUUAGAGUGAUCGGAUCCCUGAUUAUGUACAUGCCUUCUCGCUUUUCUAGGGACAUUCUUGACCAUCGACUAAGGACCUUCACUAAAUAUGGAUCUCAAAGUGGGGAAAUUAAUGCUAAUUUUUAGAACAACCUGUUUCAAUAAAUUAUAUACUUAUUAUACUUCAAGCUAAAAUAGAAUCAAGAAAUUCCAAGUUCGAUUUAUGAUACUCCAUUCAAUCCUUGACGGAUUUCUGUCACACGUUUCAGAUAUAAAUAAUGAUGCAUGUUGUUCUCCAACCUUUUAAACUUCAAUAUAUAGUGUUUUGCGCUAAAUUUCAAGUAUAACCCAACAUGUGUCAACUUAUUGGAAAACGACAUGCUCUUUUUGUCAAUCUAAACAUGUAGGAGAGGAAUGGUGCGAUCAUGAUAUCUCCUUGUAUUUUCAGUAAUUCUCAAAUAGAAAAACUCUGACGUCCAAUCUUAUUUAUUCAUGAAGUUUCAUACAAACACUAAGACUCAGUUCAUUUUACGGAAAACAACUUCCAUGAAAACCUUUCCUGGAUAAUUCAGUGUUCAGUUCGCGGGAAAUAAAUUAGUUAAGACGCUAAUGGAAGAAACAACUUUAAAAAUGGGGAAAAUAUUUUUCGCUUUUCAGAAAGUGGAAGACAUUUUCCAUCUCCUUUCUUUCACUUCUACACCAAGCACUUUUUUUUUUUUACCAAAUAUCUUUUCAUCUGUUUUUAUUUUUUUUGAAAAAGUUGAGUUUUUAAUUAUUUUUAAUUGUUAUUUUUUUUCUUCUUCUUUAGCCGGUCGAGGGCCACAACGUGAGUCCACGAUUGGCUAUAGGAGAGCUCAAACCUUGCUAGAUUCCAAUGAGGUCGAGCCUUGCUAAAUCUGAGGAGGCCCAAGCUUGCUCAGGGCCACCUAAGAUUGCUAGAGGUCAAUGAGGCUUUGGCCACCUCAGGUGAGGCUUGAGGUUGCUUGUGACCAGUCGUUGACUAUCAUCGUGGUUGGCAAUCGGUAGAGAAAGAAGAAAAAGAGAAAAAUGAGAAAAAUGAAAGAAUGAAAAGAAAAAUAAUUAAAAUUUUUAAAUUCUUUUAGUAAUUUUCCUCAAAAAAUCAAAUCAUAUAUUAAAUGGCAGAAAAUAUUUUCAAAUUUAUUUUCAAAUUUGAGCUGAAUAUAAAAAAAAAAUAUUGUCAAUUUUUUUAGAAAAUAACGUUUUUAAAAAUAUAUUUUAAAAACGUGACAUCUUCCUUGAAACUGACGGUACUAACAAUUGUGUGAUUUCAUAGAGUCUAUCAUGUGCGCGCAAAUGUCAAAAUGAAUUGACAUAAUAGGGACCGUACUGAAGAAACUCCGGAACGAAACCCUGAUCCACACGUUGAAGUUAUCCUCCUCGCCAAGCUUACAGCAUAAGCCUUCUCUCUGUUGGGGGUGUGGCUUCCUUUAGAAGCUGGGGACCGACUUUCCUGUCCACACGCAGUACGUCGGCAGAUCCAAGGGCUCUGCGAUUCAGACAGCCAGGGUAUACUCCUCAUUUCCCGCCCUCUGUAACUGCUUCCUCGGAAGUGACAAGCACAUAACUCACAAUUCUUUGUCUCGGUCGGGCGAGUUCUCUUCCUUUACAGAGAAGAAGACGCGUUGCAUACGUUCUCAAAACUUGAUUUCCAUAUGAUUUCCCCUUUGAAGUAAUUAUUUUAGAUUGAGCUUCAUGAGAGUAAUUUAUCAGAUUUUUUGUGGUGGGAAAACGACCAAGCCAGGGUUUAAUUUUUCAAUUGAGCAUAUGAACGUAAGAAAAGGCAAAAAGUACAUAAAAAGUUCUAAAUAUUAAUUCAAUUUUAAACAUUUUAAUUAGAUCAAUUUAGUCAUAAACUUUUCUACAUUUAUACAAAUUCAGCUCUUUCGGCCAAUUUUGACUGGCCUAUUCUGAAGUGGAUGUUAGCCGGUGUCAAUCGUUUGGUUAACGUUGAUGUAAUAAUUUUUCAAUUAUUUAUAUUUUUUCGAAUUUUUGUAUUAAUUUUUUUUCUUUUUUCUCUUCUUCAUCCUUACGUAUCUUCUCCCUAUAGUGGCUGGCUAGGCUCCGAUGAGCCUCGCCAGCCAUUGGGUGAUGGUUGCGAAGCCUUCACCCACCAUUAGGCGAUGGCAGCAAAGCCCUCCCGGGUUGCCUCAUUCACGACCUUGGGCAAUGUUGGAUGAGGCUCGCAACCCUCAUUGAUGGCAGGUGAGGGCUUUGCAACCCUCACCUAGUGGCCAAUGAGCCUUGUCGGAGCCUUGCCAACCACCGCAGGGAGAAGGAACCUGAAGAAGAAGAAGAGAAAAAGAAAAAGAAAAAAAAUUAAAAAAAAAUUAAAAACUUAAAAAAAAAAAAAAUUGCCUUGUAUGGCUAGCAUUGGUUAGCAUCUACAUUAAUACCAGCCAGCUAAAAUUAGCCGGAAAAAUUGAAUUGGUACUAAAGUGAAGAAACUUAUAACUAAAUUGAUUAAAUCGAAAUAUUUAUACUAAAUUGGUACCAAUGUCAUAAAUUUUAAAAAAAAAUUGGUACUUUUCUCCCUUGAUCAUAAUUGACUUGGGGAUUGGGAAUAGAUGCCCCUUAUUUCUUUUUCUUUUUCUCUUCUUCCUCCUUGGUGGAAAAUAUUUUCUAAUUUAUUUUCAAAUUUAAGCUGAAUAUUAAAAAAAAUUAUCAUUUUUUGAAAAAUAACUCUUUAAAAAAUAUUUUUUGAGAAAGGUAGUAUCUUCCGGGAAAUUGACGGAGUCUAACCGUUGUAUGAUUUCACUGAGUCUAUCAUGUGCGCGCAGAAGUCAAAAUGAAGCGACAUAAAGGGAGCCGUACUGAAGAAACUUGGGAACGAAACGCUGAUCCACACGUUGAAGUUGUCCUCCUCACCAAGCUUACUGCAUAAGCCUUCUCUCUCUUGGGCGUGUGGCUUCCUUUGGAAGCUGAGGACCGACUUUCCCGUCCACACGCAGUACGUCGGCGGAUCCAAGGGCCCUGCGAUUCAGACAGCCAGUCUCCUCCUCAUUUGUCGCUCUCUGCAAUUGCUUCCUUGGAAGCGACAAGCACAUAACUCACAAUUCUUUGUCUCGGGUGGGCCAGUUUUCCUCCUUUACAGAGAAGAAGACGCGUUGUGUACGUUCUCAAAACUUGAUUGCCAUGUGAUUUCACCUAUGAAGUAAUUAUUUUAGAUUGAGCUUCACGAAAGGAAUUUAUCAGAUCUUUUUGUGGUGGGAAAACGACCGAGCCUUUGUUUAAGUUUUCAAUUGAGCAUAUGAACGUAAGAAAAAACAAAAAGUACCAAUUUUGACUGGCUGGUGCCGACAUGGAUUCUAGUCAGUGAACGCUGAUAUUGUAAUUUUUAAAUAAUUUUUAAUUUUUUUUCUAAUUUUUGCAUUAAAUUUUUCUUUUUUCUUUUCCUUUUCUUUUUUCUCUUCUUUCUCCUUGGGUUUCUUCUCUCUAUAGUGGCUGGAGAGGCUUGUAAUUUUUAAAUAAUUUUUAUUUUUUUCUAAUUUUUGUAUUAAUUUUUUCUUUUUCCUUUCCCUUUUAUUUUUCUUUUUUCUCUUCUUCCUCCUUGGGUUUAUUCUCCUUAUAAUGGCCAAAAAGGCUUUGACGAGCCUUGAUUGGGUCAGGCAGGGCCUCCCUCACCCAAUCUGGCGAGGGCAGCCUGCCCUCGCCGGUGCCCAACGUUGGUGAGGGCGGCCCUAGCUAGCCCAAGCAAGGGCGACCCUCGCCUAACGCAACCAAGAGCCGCCCUCGCCUAAGUCUGGCUUCCCUCCGCCGGCCAUGGCGAAGGGAAGAGAAAAUGGAAAAAAAAAGAAAAAUAGAAAAAAUAAGACAAAAAUGCCAUUGAUGCGGUAAAUGUGUUAUGGUUAGCAAAGUUUGGGAUUUAUUUUUCGUAUCACAAAAAAAAAAUGGGGCAAAUUUGUCAUUUUUGGCAAAGUUUGAGAUUUUUUAUAAUCUUUUCCGUCAAAUAAAUAUCAGAAUCCUCGCACAUCACAUCAUCAUUGUUAAUAUGAGGCACCAACUUGUCCUUUAUAUGGACCCUUCGGUUUUGUUAAUUAUUUUGUGUUAUCCCGACUUUCUUCUUUGUUAUUACCUUAAAUAUUACUUUUUCUUCCCUAAACUAUUUAGGAUGUUUCUUAAUCGACAAUGCUAUGUUAUAUAUAAAUUUAUGUGCUAUGCUACUUGGCAAACUAUAAAUGGACAAUAAGCCAUAUUCAAUAAUUUAUAACAAUAUGCCACAUAACUUAUUAUGCCAAAUGUAUAAAACAGUUUUAAUGUUCUCUUUCUUGUUUCUGUGGUAGAAGUGAAAACAAGCCAAACGUUGGAAAUAUGAAUAACACUACAGGUAUUAAGACUUUACUCGCGUUUCCUACAGUAAAUAGCGAGCUAUGUGGCUUGCGCCAUGUAAUCAAUUAUGUGUAGAAUCAACAUAGGAAUAAUCUUUGUAAAAAGGAAAAAAAAAACAUAAUUGGGGCAAAAUCAUUUAAAAGAAAUUUAGUUUUUUAUUUCGCCAUCAUCUCUUCUCAAAAUUACACAAAAAUCUUCAAGCAUUAUUUCCAACUGCCAUUAAAGUUUGUCUGACCAACGUUGAAACUAUUCGAAUGAUUUAUAAAUUGGUAUACCGAAAUGCAUUGUAAUUAUACUUUUUUCACGUUGUUCUUUACUACUUCACCAUAUUUAUAUAAUUUUUAUUAACUUCGCCUUCACUAGAGUUAACGUUCACGCUGAACUUAAACCCAAGAAGAUAGAGAUUUAUCAUGUGACCCCAAAGACAUAUCAAAAUAGUUCAUUAUAAAUAAUAUAGUAUGAAAUUGAAAAUCUUGAAUCAUUUAGCAGUUGUAUGUAGAUAGUCUUCAAAACGAAAUUUUGUUUGAUCAUCCUUAUAAAGUUCAAAUUUUUCAAUACCUUUAUUUCUCUUUUCCUUUUCCACAAUCACUUCCGCAUUAUUCUUAUCUUAAGUGACGUCCACCUCAUCAUAAUAUCUCUCAUUUUCGUCAUGCAAGAUUAAGUCACGCAUAGGUGAACCAAAUUGACAGAAAGAAAUAUGAUAUUUUAGGUCUGAUCAAUACUUAUGUUUUUGAAAAGCUCUAAUCGUAUUAAUGGGUGGAUACGUAUUAAGUGCGACCUUUUAAAACUAGGUUAUAUUAUCACGAAAAGUGAUUUUUCGCAGACUUUGUGAAGAUUAUUUUGAACAACUUAUCUUUAACCAAAAUUGGAGAGUUGAUUAUGAAACGCAAUAAUAGAGGUUGAAAUAGCGUGGUGGUUGGGCAUUUGAGGGUGGACAUAUUGGUAACACAUUUGAUGGAAUAUUCGGUCUUCGUCUCCAUGGACUUGUCAAUCCUCACGUAAUUGACGGGGUAUCAAUUGACUAGAUAUGUCCAUCAUUAUUUGGGAAAUAGGGUGGUGGUUGGGCAUAAUUUGAGGGUGGACAUAUUGGUAACACAUUUGAUGGAAUAUUCGGUCUUCGUCUCCAUGGACUUGUCAAUCCUCACGUAAUUGACGGGGUAUCAAUUGACUAGAUAAGUCCAUCAUUAUUUGGGAAAUAGGGUGGUGGUUGGGCAUAAUUUGAGGGUGGACAUAUUGAUAACACAUUUGAUGGAAUAUUCGGUCUUCGUCUCCAUGGACUUGUCAAUCCUCACGUAAUUGACAAGGUAUCAAUUGAUUAGAUAUGUCCAUCAUUAUUUGGGAAAUAGCGUGGUGGUUGGGGAUAAUUUGAGGGUGGACAUAUUGAUAACACAUUUGAUGGAAUGUUCGGUCUUCGUCUCCAUGAACUUGUCAAUCCUCACUUAAUUGACGAGGUAUCACUUGAUUAGAUAUGUCCAUCAUUAUUUGGGAAAUAGCGUGGUGGUUGGGGAUAAUUUGAGGGUGGAAUGUUUUAUGGAAUGUUUGGUCUUCGUCUCCAUGGACUUGUCAAUCCUCACGUAAUUGAUGAGGUGUCAAUUGACUAGAUAAGUCCAUCAUUAUCCAAAAAGUCUUAUAUCUAUUGUAGUUGUGUCAAUUUAAUAAUAAAUCUUUAUUAUUAUUUUUUUUUACAAUUCAAUCUUCUUCUUUUUUGCAUUUGUACUAGUUUAGUGCAUUCGGCCAAUUUUGGCCUGUUGGCGUUGACGUAGAUGCCGAUUGGCACAAAUCGUCUGNNNNNNNNNNNNNNNNNNNNNNNNNNNNNNNNNNNNNNNNNNNNNNNNNNNNNNNNNNNNNNNNNNNNNNNNNNNNNNNNNNNNNNNNNNNNNNNNNNNNCAUUUUGAUUUGUCUACUCUCUGUUCUUUUCCCAUAGUGCACGAGGGUCACGAGCCUGCUACAUGGGCAAGGGCACCUUGCCAUGGCUCAUUGGCUUAAGCGAAAAUGGUCUCGCCUGUGAUUGGGGAGGCCAUGGCCACUUCGAACAGGCUAGCAAGGCUACCCUUGCCUAUGGCUCCCAAGCCUUUGUGAGGCACCUCAUGGUCCUCCCCACCCCCCUUCCCCUCUCUAUGUGUACCAAUGGUUGUUGGUCUUGAUUGAGCUUUGCUGCCACACUUCAAUUUUGAUUUGAGGCGGUCAUGCAAAGGCUUGGAGGCUGUGGGUGAAGGUGGCCAUGGCCUUGCAGCCAUGGAGAAGGCCACCUUUGCCCGCGGUCGGCAAGGCCAUGGUGAGGCUAGCCUCACCCAAAUCUAGGCAAACCCGCCUCACCCGCAGUCCCCAAGCCUUGCCUAGUGGCUAGUGAGCCCCACUAGCCAUUGUAUGGAAAGAAGAGUAUGAAGAAAAUGAAAAAAAAAGAAAGAAAAAAAACUAAUUAAAAGAUUCAAAAAAAUAAAAGGUAGAAAUGUUUAGUACUCAAUCGGUAUAAUUGAAAUGUUUAGAACUGAAUUGAUAGAAACACAAUAGAUAUAUGAAGUUUUAGGUAAUUUAUUUGGAUUUUAUGCAAAUUGUUAAUAUAGUUGGCAUUUCUAUAACCUCAAUUAAGAGGGCACCAAAUAAUUUUUUCGAUGGUCUAAUUUUUUUAUUUCUUCAAAAGUGAUUAGUUCUAAUGAAGUGUAUCUGAUCAAGUCAAAUUCAUAUAUAUAUGUUUUCCCCUAUAUUUGAUGUUUUAUCUCAUGGAGUGUUUGUGUCAUAUGAAAUUGCAACUACCAGGUCUAAGAAUGGGAUAGGACGAGGCCUUUUGACCAUAAUUAACGCGGGGAUUGGGACCAGGCGCCCCUUAUUCCCUCCAUCCUAGGGCUAGGGGUGAGCUCAACUAGCAAGUAAUUGCAUUAAAAGUUAAUUAAAAAAGAACGAUGCGAUAAUACAUUAGGAGAUAAUUUGAAUGGGAAAUACAAGUGUGAGGACUCAAAACAAGCUUGUGGGUUUCAUUCAAUCGACCAAUGGAAACUUCACAAAUCAUUUGAUAAAGAGGAUUUAAUGCAUGUUCCUAGUACAUUUAGCAUUUCUUUAACCUCAAUCAAGAAGGCACCAUAUAAUAUUUUCAGAAGUUAUCAUCAAAUUUUUAAUCGCAACCAAAAAUAAAUAUAUUACUCAUAGAUAUAAUAUUUUUGGAACGCGCUUUCCUACAAACAUGAGUUAAAAAAAUUGAGAUUGCAUCAAGCUUGACUACUUGAGCUUGAUGUUUCAGCUUUUGGUGCCUGACUUAUUAUUGACUUGGACUUUAAACUAAUUUCGUGUGAAAAGCCAAAAGAAACAAUCAAAAGCAAGGGAGAAAACGUUUACCAAAGACAUGACAGAUGUAAAAGGAAUUUUGUGGAACGAGAGAAAAGAGUUUCAAAUUAACUUCACCUUUUAAUGAGUCUCAUGUUCAUAUAAAUAAUCGACGGAGGCACUUUUUGUCAAGGAUAUGAAAGCUUCAUUCGUACUCAAUCCUCUUGUGAUUGACGGUGAAUUAUAAGGCACCAAUUUGUUCAUUCUUCAGUCUUUGGUCUUCAUCUCCAUGGACUUCAUGGAAUACGAGGCACCAAUAUUGGUAUUGCUUUUUCUCCCCUCAACUUUAUAAAGGAGUGUCCUAUUGGACAAUCCUAUCUUAUAGAUUAGUAUUGAUAUACCAACAUGGCAGAUCAAAAGCAAAUAAUAAGCCGUAUUCGAUAAUUAAUGACAAUAUGCCAUGUCACUUAUUACACCAAAUUUAUGAAACAUUCUUAGUGUUUUUGACAUUUCUUUUUCUUGUUUUGGUUGUAAACGUGAAAACUAGUGAGACGUUGAUAAAUGAAUGACACCACUACAUGUACUAAGACUUUACUCGAAUGUUCUAAAUGAAAUGGUGUGUAGUGUGGUAUGCACCUAUGUCACCAAAUAAGUGUGGAAUCAGUAUUACUAUGGAGUUUGUGAAAAUGAGAAAAGAGAUAAAUUGAGCAAGAUCAAUUUAAGCAAAUUUACUUUUCUAUUCCACCAUCAUUUCUUCUCAAAAUUGCACAAAGUGCUCUCACGCGUUACUGGGAGCCUCCAUUCAAAUUUGACUAACAAUCAUUGAAGCAAUCCAAAGAUGCAUAUAGCACUUUGCCUUUACAAGAUUCAAGAAAUAACUCCCAAGGGUGGGACUUUGUCCCAAGUGAUACUUAGUUCUAGAGCUGAGGGAAAAAAAAAAAAAAUCUAAGCAAUGAGUUGGCUUAGAUCAGAUGGCCAACAUUUUCAUGUUCAAAGAGGUCCGACAUGACAUUUAAGACUCCCCCUAUCCUUCUUUGUUAUUACUCCCAACUUUUUUUUAUGGCGUUUCCUAUUAGAUGAUGCUAUGUUAUAUAUUAAUGUUUGAAUCGACGGCACAGUGGAAGCGGAUCGUAAUUUUGUAAUUAUGUCGGGAGUUAUAGAAAUUGUCAGAAAUAAAAUGAAGAACAAUAAUAAUAAUAAUAAAAAAGGAUACCAGAAAUUUACGUAAUUCGAUCCGAAUAUCAUAACUAACGUCCACAGGGAGAGCCAACAAAUAAUCCACUAUAAAUCAGAGAAUUACAAUAUUACGAUCAUUUAUAUAUUCAAGUGUUUUUCAAACCUACUUUAUACCCAAUAUACACGGUGUUUAACAACUCAGCUCAAUGGACUCAACUCUGCACAAACCUCUCUGAGCUCACGUCUCUCUCUCGAGCUCUUUAUUUUUGCUGCUUCUCGAGCUCCGGACGUCUUCUCCUUUAAUCGAUGGAAGGGAAGGAAACAAAACAAAAAUUGUACUCCACAAAUGUCAACACCGUGCCGAUCUUCAAAGCAUGCGCCUCCGUGCAAUUAAUGAUAGCGUGUGUGAGCGUAUGACCAUCAUGCCCUGACAGAAGAAGAAUAGCUUCUGCCUUCCCUCAUUUAUCCACGACAAGACGAAAGAAGUUCACAAAAGAUGACCAAGAAGAGGGAGAGAGUUCGGCGCCUACAUGAUAGGCUUCUGAGGCAGCAAGUGCUGACCAACUUUUUCUACGAGCAUGCAUGCACAUGGCCAUGUGCAUGCAUUUAAUGACGUAGAAGAAAUUCGGACGAUCAACCCAUAAGCCUUAUUUCGUGCUGACAAAUGAGAAGAAUCCCAUGGAUUGUAGCCUUCAUUUCCAACGCGAAGCGCAGAUCGAGGGCGGGAUCCUCUCGGCUCCUAUCACACGCCAUUUCUCCUUAAAAGCUUUGCGGACGUUCUUUCUCGUUUUGGCAUGUAUAUCGUUUUGUACGUAUCGAAUAUCAUAUAUGAAUUCAAACUCGAGACAUAAUUUAACAAUUAAUAUUAGUAUACUAAACCGAAUACUAGACUCUAAGUGAACUAUAAGUCAUAUUCGACAACUAAUAACAAUAUGUCACGUCAAAUUCAUCAAACAAUCUAACCAUCUAACAUUUUUUUUUCUUAUUUUUAUUGUAAAAUUGAGAGCAAGCAAGACUUUAAAAUAAGAGUAACACUACAUAAACUGAGACUUUACUAGAGUUUGUCGGUAAAUGAAAUGGGACACUAUGUGCUGUGCGGCAUGUGCCGCGUGUCGUCAAAUAAGAGUGGAAUCAGCGAUAUUUUGUAAAAUGGGGAGAAGUGAUAAAUGGGGCAAGUUCAAUUAAAGGAAAUUUUGUGGCAAAAAAAUUAAAGGAAAUUUUGUCAGCCCUCUAAUAUUCCGUGCAAUGUGUAAUAUGCUUUGUUGGCUAUACUUCUUGGCCAUACUGGUAAUGAAAAUGCAUGUAUUACCCUUAACAUCAGCAAUAUGAGGCGAGGUGACGUUUGAAUAAAAGGCAAAGUCGGAAGAAGGGAAAUAUCCCCAAACCUCUCCUCUGUUCUCCUUGUUUUCUUACAAAUCUUUCUCUUCUAGGUCUAGUGACAUUGGAAGGAUAAAAUUGCAAUUUUGAUCAUAUAAGAUGAGUUGGUUCAACAAGUCUGCUCUCUAUUUGUUAUUCAAAUCCUACGGAUGAGAAAGCUUUUCCAAGGCCAUGAAGCCUUUAAUUGAAGGCUAAUGAUAUUUUGGAGACCACCAAGCAGUUUCAUUUAAGGACUAAACAAGGAAAGGGCAUGCAUGCUAGGAUAACAUACAUGUCCCAAAUUUCAUUAGUCUUCCUCUUUUUUUACGGUUAUAUGCGUUGUUAGCAUAUUCCAUUUCACUUUUUUUAUUUUUCCAAUGGGGUAAUUGUCGUCAAUUACAUGCCGUUUAUGUUGAAAUAAGUUACGUGUUUGUAUCCUCUUCUUCUUCCCAAUCGUUAUUAGAUUGAUGGGAAAUAUGAGGCACCGGUUAUUAAAUUAUGGCUUGAGUUUGAACUUGGUACGAGACCCAACUCAUUUAAAGGAUUCUGAUUUGUUCAAAAUAUGGUGUUCCUUUUUAAUCAAUAUCAUAUUUUGAUUUGUUGGGCGGUGCUACUUAACUAUUAAAUGUAUUGAAGGUUUGGUUCUGUUGAAGAUAAAUAUCCAAGUUUAACCGAGGGAGCAAACAUUAGUCGCACUCCACUCAACGCGUCCAGUUUUAGGCCUUUUCUAAUAUCCUGAAGAAGACGUACUGCUGAAGUCUCUAUUUUAUAUCCCCGCACAAGAGGACUCUCUUUAGCGAAGAAAAAAAGGGGACGCACCAGUAACGCUUUCUUUGAUCGCACGGAGUUUUGAAAACGGUGGAUUUUGUGACGUGAGUCGAUGAUAGAUUUAAUCAAGGCAUGGAAGACACUCGAACUUGCGAGUAAUUGUAACUCUAUGGUUCUCCGAGUAUCGGUGGAUUAUAGCUGCUUGCUCUUCCAGUUGCGUAAAUAUCGAUUUUUAGACCGAAUCAUGUAAAUCUCAGAAGUUCUUUAUUAUUGCUCAUUUAUUUAUCUGGUAAUUUUGCAUUAAUUCAUUAAUUACAAUCAUUAAUUACAAAAUUUGGUUAGUUUCCAUAUUAUUUCACAAGUCUUCGGUCUUCAGGAGAGAGAAAGUUCACAGAACUUCCCAUGAUGGAGUUAGUCAAUAAUUGAUUUGUGCGCAGAGUAAAUGUUUAUAAAUUCAGCUCAGACUGAAAGUGGAUCAGUGGAUCACUGGACGAGAUGGGGAAACAACUAUUUCUUAUUCUCAACUUUGUUCUCUUGUGGUGGUGGAGCUCAAUCACAAUCUCCGGAUCAUACUCACAAAACCAAACAGAUCGGCUUGCGUUAGCCUCCUUCAAAAAUGCAAUACAUGAAGACCCGUUCGGAGUCUUGAGCUCUUGGAAUGAUUCUACCCAUCAUUGUGAGUGGCAAGGUGUUUUCUGCAGCAAAAGGCAUCCUGGGAGGGUCACGUCCCUAGUCCUAAGAUCGCAAGGCUUGGAAGGCUUCCUAUCUGCUCAUAUAGGUAACCUCUCUUUCCUAAGGGUCAUGGUUUUACAGAACAACAGCUUCCGUGGCGAAAUCCAACCACAGAUCGGCAACUUGUUUCGGCUCCGUAAUCUCGAUCUUAGUAACAACUCAUUUGGCGGGCCAAUACCCUCCAAUCUUUCCCACUGCUUGAACCUUGAAAUCCUGAAUCUCAUAGAUAACCAACUUGUGUGGGGAAUUCAUUUCGAUCUUGGUUCUUUAACAAGACUUAAACAAUUGCUCUUGUCUAAGAACAGUCUUGGAGGUCCUAUUCCUCGUUGGAUUGGAAACCUCUCGCAGCUACAAGAGCUCUCCCUGGCAAUAAAUGAGUUGAGCGGAGAAAUACCCAAGGAAUUGUCCAAACUCAAGAGAUUGACACUUUUCCAACUACGUUCCAACAAUCUAACCGGUGAGGUUCCAACAGGGAUUUUAAACAUCUCUAACCUUCAUGUAUUCAGUGUUAGUCAUAACCAGUUGCAGGGAAGUUUUCUCAAUGAUGUCGGCAUCACUUCUCCUUCUCUCUGCUACUUUGUUGCCAGCUAUAACUUGUUCACCGGGAUGAUUCCAUCAACGUUAACGAAUGCCACAGGUCUUGAAUAUCUUGUACUUUUGAACAACAAUUUCCAUGGGCCAAUACCGAAAAAUCUGGGAAGGCUAAAGGGCCUUUAUGUGAUUGCAUUGGGUUCAAACCAGUUGCAGAAUGACUUGAGUUUUAUUUCUUCUUUAGCUAAUUGUUCCAACUUAAAAACUCUCGGGGUGGAAGGGAACUUAAUUCACGGAUCAUUGCCAAGAUCCUUCUCCAAUCUCUCCACCAGCAUGAAGGAAAUUGCUUUGUCAAACAAUCAGAUCCAAGGAUCUAUUCCCUUAGCCCUCGAAAAUCUCUUCAACUUGUUUGCCUUGGAUUUGAGCAAUAAUAAUCUAACUGAUCGCAUUCCUCAUUCCAUCGGAAUACUUUCCAACUUGGAGCGACUUCUUUUAAGCGGUAACAUGUUUACUAGAGAGAUACCAUCUUCGAUUGGUAACAUUACGUCAUUAGGUCGCCUUGACCUUUCCUCCAACAUUUUCCAAGGCUACAUACCGCAAAGUCUUCGCAACUGUAAGCAACUAAUUGAGCUUGAUCUUUCGAAUAAUAACCUAACUGGCUCAGUUCUUGCCGAAAUCGUGGGCCUUUCUUCCUUGUCGAUCACGUUGAGUCUAGCAAAUAAUAAUUUAAGCGGAUCUCUUCCAUUGCAAGUUGGAUCUUUAAAGAACCUUGGCAAAUUAGAUCUGUCUUACAAUAGACUGACUGGCUUAAUCCCGGCAUCCAUCAGUGAGUGCUUGGUAUUGGAGCGACUUCACUUAGAAGCUAAUUCAUUUCAUGGUCAAAUCCCCGAAGCUUUACGUCCAUUACGGGGUCUACAAGAGCUGGACCUUUCCAAUAAUAAUUUUUUUGGUCCAAUCCCAAGCUUUCUCGCAGAGCUCCCACUACUCGAGUACUUGAAUUUAUCCUUCAAUCAACUAGAAGGACGAGUUCCAGAGCUUGGAGUUUUUCUUAAUGCAAGUUCUGUAUCGAUUUAUGGAAAUACGAAACUCUGUGGAGGUGUUCCCAGUCUGAAGCUACCUCUUUGCAAAUCAUCAAGCUCUAAGAAGUCUUCUUCAACCAAGGCUAGAGUAAUAUAUGGGGUAGCUGGCAGUUUGUUAUGUUUAGCUUUGUUGCUCCUAUGUCUGUCUAUCUUUUACCACAAAAAGAAGCAGACGACAACCAUUGCCUCCACUUCAUUAUCUUUCGAGAACCAAUUCUUGAGGAUUUCUUACGAAGAACUCCUGAGAGUGACUAAUAGAUUCUACGAGACCAAUUCGAUUGGUAAAGGGAGAUACGGCACGGUUUUUAAGGGGAUUCUUGAUGGCGGUGCCACGGUGGCAAUAAAGGUGCUCAAUCUAAUGCAAAGAGGUGCUUUGAGGAGUUUUAUCUCCGAAUGUCGAACUCUAGGAACCAUUAGACACCGAAACCUCGUGAAGAUACUAAGUGUCUGUUCGGGCGUGGACUUUCGUGGCAAUGACUUCAAAGCUCUAAUAUAUGAGUUCAUGGCUAAUGAGAGCUUGGAGGAGUGGCUGCACCUUGGGACUAUGGGACGAGAUGAUGAGUGUAAUGAAUCAAGAAAUUUGAGCCUAGUGCAGAGGUUAAACAUCGCCAUUGACAUAGCUACUGCGAUCGAAUAUCUCCACAAGGGUUGUUAUCCAGCAAUCGUUCAUGGAGAUUUGAAGCCAAGUAAUGUGCUUUUGGACAAUGACAUGGUGGCUCGAGUUGGAGAUUUUGGGCUUGCAAAGAUCAUUUCAACAGUGUGUGUCGAAGCCACAGGAGUUCAGGACCAGGGUAGUUCAACUUCAACCGCAGUCAGAGGAUCCAUUGGCUAUGUGCCGCCUGGUAUGAAAUUGUCAUAUUUUCUCGAUUAUUUGUUAUUUGAUUGCGAUAGUAACAUGAGAGUGCCAAAAGUUUGAAUAAACAAUGAUUCUUGACGUUAUGUUAUGUUUUGUAUGCUCAGACACCUCUUUCUCACAGCUCAAUUUCUCUUUCCCCUAUUAAUAGCAUCCGCAGAAAAAGAAAAUACAUAUCUUUUUGUACAAAAAGAUUACUAGUAGCUUGUCCUAAUCGUAUUUGAAACUAAGAUGAGAAUGAACAAUUGUAAUUUUGACCAAUGAGUGGAAAAUGUUUGGACAAAACUUGUGAAUCCAUGCGAACAAAUAGAUUAAGCAUAUUGAGUCAUCUCAUAUAAAUAUUUUCUUUCUAUAAUAAGUAUUUUGUCUCACAUAACGUUCAUGCCACUAAAAUGGAUUGCGAUUCUCUUUUGGUAUGUUAUGACUUAAGGUCUUGACAAUAAAUAAUUUUUCCUUCAUGGCAUACCCUUUCAUGACCUAUAAUUUAAUAUUUGAAAGGUAUAUUAGAUGACAUGACAUUUAUGCUAGAAAUUAUUGGAGGAUACACUAAUUGACAACAUGAUGAGCUCUAUCCAACUUUCACUUUCCCUAAACUUCUUGGUUAGAGCAUAUUAAGACAAAUUUACGCAUUUACAAGUAUAAAUCCAUCACCGUCGACAAAUCACUCUAAGUCUCUUCUUUUUCCCCCACCAUGUUCGUUUUUUGCCUGUUCUUCUAGGCAAUUUCUUCUCGUCUUUGCAUAAAAGAAAGUGUGGUAUAGGUAUUAAACAAAAUCUAGAUCAUGAAAAUAACAAGCCCCACAUGGAUCUCACAUGUUUCCACUCAAAAACCGGCGAUUCAAAUUUAGUUAACACAUAAACUUCUACCAAGGCCAUCAUCUAACAUAUUUUCUUCUUUUCCUGUUUUCACCCGUACCUUACUAGAGGACAAAGCCACUCUUGAUGUUUAGGCAAUUUGUGUUACAAACAUACGACAACUUUGGUUGCACUUAGUAGUUUUGGAGAAGAAGAGUUCAUAUGUUGUUAACUGAUCUUUGGUGCACUUUAUAUAUUCUAAUAUCUCAUUUCUCUUCUGUUGAUGCACUUCUCAACGAUUGAUGCACUUUAUAAGAGUUCGUACGACAGGCACUAGACAUCAGCCAUGUACAGAAAACUAAACAAAAAUUAAACAGGGAGAAAUGAAAGCUAAAAACCAGUAGGGGCUUUGGGACCCUUUGCCUUGCUCUGGCAGACGAUCCAUUGGCUUCUGCCGCGCAUGGCAAGCCCGACAGAGAAGUUAGUGAGGGCUUGCAAGGCAUCGCCUUAUGUUGGUAGCGAUUGGUGCGAGCCCUCACAACUGUCCUUGGCAAGCUCUUGCAAAUAGACAUCAAGCAAAAUCCCAUGUGAUUUAGGAACUUUUUCUAUACAAUUAAUUCAAGAAAAAGUGUCUAUUCAUUCCUAUCUAAUGUCUUGAUGAAAUUUGCAGAGUAUGGCAUGGGACACAAGGUUUCCACACUUGGGGAUGCAUAUAGUUACGGCAUUCUAUUAUUGGAGAUGUUCACUGGCAAAAGACCCAUCGAAGAGGCCUUUGGGCACCAUCUUAACCUCCACAACUUCGUCCGAACGGCUCUUCCGGAUCGGGCAAUGGACAUCGUAGACUUAAGCCUUUUGAGUGAAGCUGGUGAUCGACAACAGGAGAUCAAAAUCAGAGAUUGCAUUUUCUCCAUAUUCGAAGUUGGAGUUGCAUGUUCGAUGGAAUCACCGCCGGAUCGGAUGGAUAUGACUGAGGUGAUCAGGAAAUUACACUUGAUCAAGGCAAGUUACGAAGCCAAAGAGAGGAGGAUAGGUAUGUAGUUAAAUCAAUUUUCUCAUUUCAUAUUGGAACUCCUUCACUAGUAGAGAAAAUCAUCUUGCAAAGGUAGCGCUAGCAAAUUGACAUGAACGUCUCCCUCACUAGCCUGCCUACCCACACCCAUUAUGUGUAAUUUUUUUAUAAUUACACCAAUAUCUAUAUUUAAUAAUCAUAGAAAGUGGAUGUAUGGAGUUAAAAUCUAUCUAUUUAUACCAAGUAACCGUGUAAAAGUUGAUGAAUUUUCUUAUUUGUUCGGUUCUCUUCAUUUCUGAUGCCAUUGUGGAUUGAUGCAUUGCUUAAUUACCAUGGCUGGGUCAUUGCCCUUGCCCCUCUCUCUCUGCACGCUUGUGUACUAAUAUGUGACCUCACUGUGAGGUCACAAGCUCAAGGUCAACUCUUAAUGUCAUGCUUAACUAAGAGCCCGCGGUCAAUUGGAGACCAAGCUUGAUCAAAUCCAAAGACAAGGAGAGGGAGGCAACCUCAUUAGAAGAUCAUGAACUCAAGGCCAACUCUUAAUGUCGCCAUUGAGAGUGAACUCACUGUCAAUUGGAAACCAUGCUUGAUCAAAUUUGGGUGACGUCACCAUCAAAAUUAUGUUGUGGUCAUGUUGCCGACACCGGCUGCCACCGUGUGUGACCCAUACCUCUUCUCCAAACCUCCUUUUCUUUUAUCUUUUUUAUUUGCUAUGUCAUCAAAUUCGAAGUUUUUAUUUUUACUUUUUUUUGGUUGAUAGAGAUAGUGUUAACAAAGGCAUAAAUGGGACAAGAUCAAAAAGGGAACAUGGAUGCAUAUAUGUUGCACUUGUCAAUGUGCUUAUUACAUUGUCUAAUUAUCCUUGUCAAGUCUUCCCACUCAACCAACCCCAUCUCUUUCUUCACCAUUAGCCACCGUCUCUGACCGUUGUAGCCAAUUGUCAUCACAGUCGCCUCCCCCAUGUCUCGCCACUUUCUCCUUCGUGUCAUCCACAACCAUCUUUGCUCUCUCUAUUUGCUGACCCAACACUCUCCCUCACUCUCUCUCUUCCCUCAACACCAAAUCUCUGUGAGGUCUCGGCACUACCAUUGAUGACCUGAUCUGGCCAUGGCCUUGAGAUCUCACCAAGAUCUUAGUGGACAGGCCAGAUAAGGGGCAGGCGUCCCCAGAUCUGGAGACGACCCUCUAACCUCAUCACUGUCGACAACUUAAUCGUAUGACUAGGGGAGCUUGAUGCGAGGUCUUGAGACCAGCCAGAGGCAUGAAAUUGACGUUUAGGCAGCUCAGCCACCCUUAGAGAGAGAGAGAGAGAGAGAGAGAGAGAGAGAGAGAGAGAGAGAGAGAGAGAGAGAGAGAGAUUGGUGUUGGGAUUUUGAGAAGUAAUGGUGUAAGGAGUGAAAUUAAUGAAGAGAGAAUCGUGUCUUGGUUUGGUGUUGGAGACAACGGAUAGGUACAUAAAUGGUACAAUGGAUCUGCAUCCAAGGGACAUAAAUAGCGAUGAUGAAGGCCAUAAAAUACAAUGCCUUAGAUCUAGCAUAAAAUAUGUAACCAGACGGCAUAGUCACAAAAACACAAAGCAAACAUAGACUAAUUCAUAAUAUGAACGGCCUAGGCUAUUUUAGGCUACAUUACUAGCCAACUGUCAAUAGACUACGAGGUCUUACAAUAGCGUGCCAUCAAGAAGCUCAAGUUUGGCAUUAAGAUCACCAAUAUCAGGGGGCGGUAGACUUCCUGGAUUGAGAUCAAAACAAGAACAAUAUAGUGAGAAAAUGUUGAAUUGUGUAUUGCUUUAAUGAACAAUGUAUUACAUUAUACAGGCACUUGUAUCUAGAACAAUAAACACAAAACGAGAAGUAAGCUAAAUCAGGAUUUAAUAAAAACACCGGAAUCAAUUAUGACCAAUUACAAUCCACACAAAGUCACAUAAACUUGCACAUUUCCUAACGAUUGGAAUUCAUCAUAACAAUAAACAAGAGCUUUUAAGAAUUUCUCUAUGAGAGUUUGAGGUUGAAAUUACUCUCGCAAAUUUGUUCUAUAGAUUAGAAACCUUUUUUUUUUUCACUUUUGGUCAAUAUAGUAAAGAGUGUUGAGAUAAGUGGCCUUGGCUAUAUUAUUAACAAAGCAAUGCAAGGGUGACCACAUCCUACGGUAAAUCAAAAAAGAAAACAGCGCUCUCCUGUAAUUAGCUUACGAUUAGCCAACAACUAGCUAACAAUCAUCACAUGAGCCCUUCCUCUAGUAGCAUAUAGCAUAAAAGUCGAAAGAGCAAGAGUACUUGAAAUCUGCCAAAGCCAUUUCAAGCAGUCGCAGAAUAUUGCUAAUCUGCUUAAGUUGCUUUUAAGCGCAACAUGUUAUGCAUCCAUAUUUUUCAAAACUAGCUAUUGCUAAUACUAAAAUCUAACAACCUAAUCAAGGCCUAUUUUUCUAACCAACUUUCCAUUUUUAUUUUCCAGAAUUAUUUUCGUUUUCUUAUCUUAUUCUUGAUCCCUCCUCUGAAUCAAAUCUUCACUCAGAUACUCCAUGAAUUUCAGCAUCACCUCAGUCAAAGCAAUUGGUAACAAACAUGCCCAGUGAUUAAGAAAUUAUGAAAAUAAAAACACCACAUCGCGGGUAACUAGAACAACACUUGGAUGGGCUUCGGAUCAAUUCAAUCUACACCCAAAAGAGAGUGACCAGCAAAGGAAUGGUGAUGACAGCCCAUAUCCGGCGAGUUCAAGGCACAGCAAAAUGGUUAUUUGUUGAAAAAAUUUCACCAAUUCCCUAACAAUCUCCUAAAUCAUCAUACAUGUUCAAAUGAUAAAAAUGACAUCACAAGAAGUCCAAAUUGAACUCCAACUAGAUAAGCCAGCAAAUCCAAAUUUCAUUCCACUAUGAUCAAAUAUGCCAAUGGUUCUAUUUCUUUCAAAAUUGACAUGUGUUCUUAACACCCAUUCAUUGCCCACUAAUUUUAUGAAAAGUACAUGCAAGUAUCGGCUAUAUGACUAAACGUCCAGGCUGCAAAGCCGAAUACAAAACACACACUCCAAUUAUGAUUUAAUAUCAAAUCAAAACUUCGUUUAAUCCCUGGCUUCAAUCAAUCGAAUGAGUUUCUGUAUCCAUAAAGGUGCUGAGGUAACCAUUAAGCAAAGCUUACUAAAAACUUGGUUUCAAAUUCGCAAGAAAAGCAAAAAGAGAAAAUGAGGAGAGAGAGAGAGAGAGAGAGAGAGAGAGAGAGAGAGAGAAUAGGAAAGAAGGAUUCACCUGUACUGAAUUGAUCUUUCCUCACCAAAUUUACGUGCAUAUACCCGUACUCAAACCUUUCAAGUUAAGAGCAAUGCGGAUAUGGAAAGAGCUAGAGUUUCUCCCAGUGCUGUCCAACUUCGACUUCGUCCUCCCAGGGCCUUGAAACACAGCAAUAACAAAGAUGUGAAUGACAGACAGAAAAGAAAAAACACAUGUAAUAGAGACAACGAAAAGCAGAGAGAAGAUAGAGAGUUCAUAUUAAUGAUCGUGGCCUCGUCAAGUCCAGUCAACGAGCUUCUCUGAACUUUUAUCUUGAGAGAUAAGUUAUCGGCAGCAUAUUCAGCAGAUUUCAGCGAAAACCAUUGCUCAUUCACAAGGGAGAUAUGUCCAGUAAACAUAACAUUGUAAGCACUAGCAGAAAAAGAUGACAAGUCUAAUCCAACAAAAAGAGUAUAACAAGUUUAAACCAACAAUAAGCAUAUGAACAACAGAAUCAACACGGUUCCACUCGAAUUUGGCAAACAUACUUCAGUAUCGAUUUAGUUUCAUAUAGGACUCAUGUGCAAGAAUGGACAUCGACCAAUGUACCACUGAUUAAAUGAGGACUGAAAUUCUUUACAAUCUCAAAGCAUGAAUAGCAAACAGAGAAGAUGUUAGCAUGGCACUGUGAAGAUUUAGCUAAAAGAUACUUACUUCUUUACUCUUCACUCAUUUACACAUAUACAUGCACAAGCACUCCCCAAGCAACUCACUGCUCUCUGUUUUCUCUCAGGCUUUUUGAUGUUAGUUCAUGGCAAAGAACUAAUCCAUCCGAGGUAGGACCUUCCGGGCUCUCAAUAGAUUCAAGAGUAAGACAUCUCUCCUAUUUACGCCAGUCAGAAUUCACCAGUCCAUGUAUUUUGCACGACAAACGGUUCUACCUUCCGGACAAAAUUGCAUUAUGAUGCAAGCCAAUAUGCGCAUCUGCCUCUUGAGAAAUUUUCUAUCCUAUCAUAUCAAUAUGAAAGCUUCCCCGGCCACUAUGAUGAAUAGCAAUCAGCGCAAUUGAGAAAUACUCGAUUAGCCCACACAACAGCUCAAAGGAAAUUCACGAGUGUAAUCAAAUUCGCAAGUGCAUAAUUAUUAAGCAUCGUUAAAGCAAAUACAAAAUUAAGACCACAACACCAAUCAGCUGAGCAAGAGAAUACACAACCAGCAAGCAUAAUCUCAAUCCGGCGGAUAUAAUCCAUCAGAUGCCAAAACGAACUCAUGACCCCUUGGGUAUACGUAAGUCUAACAUGCUUUGCUCAUCUAGAUAUUUGAUUAACACGAAUCUAUACUUGGCAUAACAUCAGAAUCAGAGACAACAUAUUUGGAUGGAUUUGAACAACAAUUCAAGUAGUCAUGGCUCAUGGAGAUCUUGGCCGUAGUCUAAAAUCACUGGAAACAGAGGAGCUGUAAGUGAGUCGAACAUGUACGUUACACAACAAUCAUUCCAGACACUAAAGCAUAAGAACGCUUCUCAAAAUCGUAUUCCGAAUUCGUUCAGGCAUUUUAGCGAAUUUUGGUGAUCAGUUCAAAAAUUAGAACACAGAGUCAUAAUCAAAGAGUCAAUUCCGAUAUAGACAACUUCAAUGACAUCAGGACGUACUUAAACUACUAACAGAUCCGCAAUCAUCAUUCUACUUUCGCUCAUAACCUUAAUAACAAAUCUGGGAUUCAACUGAAUAAAACAGAGCAAUGACGUACAUCCCUCGGAGUCCGUCUUUGGCCAAGAACAGCCAAAGACGUCGUCACAGGUGAUCCGCGUCUGAGAAGAAGCUCCAGCAAAUCUCUCAGCUCGUCGGACUUCACGGGCUGAAGAUUUGAAGAGGUCGGGGCCAUCGCGAGACAUGGAACCGCACUUUGCUUGCAUAGCAUCGCGCGCUGGUGAAAAUCCAACGUGCGAGUGUGUUGUAGACAUGGAAUCGGGAAGCAAACUACGGGUGUCCUGGGCGUGCCCAAAGGAAACAGCGAUGAGGCUGAAAGAAAAAGGAAUAGAGAAGAGUAAUAAGGAGAAAAGGAAAAGAAGACAGUCGCCUGGGGGGUCGAAAAGAAAGAAAACAGAAGUGGAUGUAUGGAGUUAUGUUUACCUAUUUCCACCGAGUAAUCAUGUAAAAUUUGAUGAAUUUGCUUAUUUGUCCUAUUCUCUUCAUUUCUGAUGCCACUGUGGAUUGAUGCAUUGCUUAAUUACCAUGAUUAGGCCAUUGCUCUCGCCUUUCUCUCUCUCUCUCUACUUGCUUAUGCACUAGAAAGUGACCUCACUGUGAGGUCACGAGCUCAUGACCAACUCUUAAUGUCACACUUAACUGAGAGGCCGCCGUCAAUUGGAGACCAAGCUUUGAUCAAAUCCAAAAAUAAGGAAAGGGAGACAACCUCAUCACAAGAUCAUGAGCUCAAGGCCAACUCUCGAUAUUGCUGUUGAAAGUGACCUCACUAUCAAUUGGAAGCCAUGCUUAAUCGAAUUUGGGUGUCGUUGCCAAUGAAAUUAUGUUGCGGUCAUGUUGCCGACACCGGCAGCCACCGUGUGUGGCCCCUACCUCCUCUCCAAUCCUCCUUUUCUUUAUCUUUUUCCUUUGCCAUGUCAUCAAAUUAUAGAGUUUUUCUUCUUCUUAUUUUUUGUCAAUAGACAUACAGAGUUGACAAACACAUAAAUGGGACAAGAUCAAAAAGGAAACACAGACGCAUAUUUUUUGCACUCGUUGGUGUGUUAUCACAUUGUCUAAUAAUCCUUGUCAAGUCAUCCCACUCAACCAACCCUCUCUCUUUCUUUACAAUUUUCCACCAUCUCCACCCAUUACAGCCACCUAUCAUCAACGUUGCCUCCUCCAUGUCUCACCACUUUCUUCGUCGUGUCAUCACGUCACCCUUAAAUGAGAGAGGGAGAGAGAUAGCUACACAAAAACAAGGACAAUGACCAACAUUGAAGCGAUAGGGGUGAGAGAGCGAACGGAGCGUGACAUGACCCCUCAUAAGCACCGGCAGUAAAUGGUGAAGCGAGGAAGGUCAAGAUUGAUGGUGGCACCAAAGGCAUGUCAAUGACACAAGCCGGUUGUGGUUUGUGGGUGCUCCAAAGGGGGGAGUAAAUGGUGGAGCGAGGAAGGUCAAGAUUGAUGGUGGCACUAGAGGCAUGUCAAUGACACAAGCCGCGCGCGGUUGUGGGGGCUCCACAAGGGGGGAGAAAGAUGGGGAGGAGAAGAGAGAGUGUUGUUGGGAUUUUGAGGAGUAUUGGGUAAGGCGUGAAAUUAAUAAGAGACUCAUGUCUUGAUCUAGUGUUGGAGAUAGUGGAUAAGUAAAUCAAUGUUACAAUAGAUCUACAUCCAAGAGACAUGAAUAGUGACAGUGAAGGCGAUAAAAUACAAUGCCUUAGAUGUGGCAUAAAGUACGUAACACGACGGCAUAGUGAGUAAAGCGUGGAGCAAACAAAAACUAGCUAACAAUAUGGACAACAUAGGCUUUAUUAGGGCAAAUGUCCAUGAAAUAUAUACUAAAUUGCUGAUCAACUGUCAAUAGAUUACAACAACUAGCAAUAGAAUGCCAUCAAGAAGCUCAAGUUUGGCAUUAGGAUCAAUAUCAACAUGGGUUGAGAUCAAAAUAGGAACAAUCUAAUGAUGAUAUCGAGUCAGAAUGUGAGAGUAUAUUAAAUUGUAUGUUGUUCAAUUGAAAAAGGAAAGUAAUCUAAUAUGGGAUAUCUAACUCCAAACCAUUGGCACAUCCAUGAAUCGCCACAUGUAAAAAGCCCUUCCUCUUAUAUCAUGAAGUGUAAAAGCCGAAAGAACACUUACAAAGGUAUAUGUAAUAAGUUGGUGAUCAAGAACACUUUGAAUCUGCCAAAGCCAUUGCAAACAGUCGCAAAAUAUUGCUAGUUUGCUUGUAAUAAUCUGUUUAAGUUGCUCUCAUGAGCAACAUGCUUUUGCUCUAAGGCCCGAUCUAGGCCCGCCCAAUGUGCAUAGUUAUUAUAAUUUUUUUUCUUGAUGGGCUGGAGUGGGCCAUAAUGUUCGCCCAAUUGGAAGGCCCAGUCUAGCUCUUGCCCGCUCAUCAUGUCUCUUCAAGUAUAAUUGAGUCAUCGACAAGUUCAAGCAUAGCUCACCCAACUUAUUGAGCCUAACUAAGAUUAGCAUAUUCCAACCGAAGUUGAUUCAAUCUAAAAAGAGAAAACAUUUGCACUGUCAAAAAUAUAAUGAAAGAAUUAUCAAUCAAUCAUACACUAGAAAUCGCUUAUUAAUAUAACAUCAAACUUAGAGGAUUACAUAUGUGCUAAAAAUCUUAGGAUGCGAGCACGCUAUGUACUCUAGCAAACCAAUUUCAUAAAUAUGUCAGCAGCACGAUUGAAUCAAAUGUGGAUGGAAAGAACAAAAUGAGAUAAAAGAAUUGGAGAUGAUGUGUUAUGGAUCAGCUAGUUUAGUAUUUGGGAAGAGAGCACUCCUUGGGCAGGUUGUUUUGGAACCUUGCAUUGUCCUGGCAAUAGACAUAUAUCAUGUGAUGUCUCCCGACCCAUUUGAACCACCUCCUCCUUGUUCCACCAGUUUGUGGGGCUCUCCGCCCUGCAAAACCUCGGAUUGCCCUUCCAGACACAAGCGUCGAUCUUGUAGUCCCCGAACGUGGCCACGAAGGGCCCUUCGACCAAUUGACCAUGUCACGCUCACCCCGUGUCCCCCAGAUGUCGCCAGACUGUCAUGGUCUGCCUUUGAUACAUGAUGUCAGCUUCCACAUCCUCGAUAUCGAGGAUCACCACCUCCAUUUGUACCAGUAGACUGAAUCGAGUCGGGAGCUGACUCAUACUCACUAGCCUGAAAAAGGUGGAACAACAAUAAAUGAAUUUAAGAACUCAAUAAGUAAAUCACCUAAACCUCGUAUAGACAAAUGCCUUAUUUCGGAAAUCUACGAACUUGAUGCCCACUUGUAGAUGUCAAAUUAAUAACAAAACCUUUGCUUUGCCUUAACUAUAAGCAUGAGGGAAACUCUUCCUCUACCUAAACAUUCGUCCUAUCAAGAAUCUAUAAGAUAUCUCAUGCCCAUAAAAAUUCUAAAUAUGCCGAUUGAUAACUUCAAUAACAUACACGUGUUUCUUGGGUAUAAUGCAAUCAAUUGCCAAUAAUAUUCCCACGUGCCAAAUGUUAGUUUCUAAAAUAUUACCAUGGCCUUUUGAGACUCAAAUAAUGACUUCCAAAACAUCCUCGUGUUCUCACAUCACAACUAACGCCAAUUAUAACAUGCACGUACCUUUCAAGUCACUAAAAAUGACAAUUAAAUUUUGCACGUGUCUCACACACAACAAAUAAUGCCAUAUCAAAUAUGCACAGGACAUAUAACAACUUUCAAAGUAUUCACAUAACACUCAAAUGCCCCGCCCACAUUUAGCGCCUUGAGAAUCAUAUAAUACCCCAUAAUAUUAUGCUAUCUUAGGUCCAAUUAUUAUACAUACAUAGCCAAAGAACCUAUGGCUCUUCCGAAAUUAUCCAAGGCAUCAUCCUGCCCCAUCGAGCAUGGCAUCCAAACUCCAUCGGACAUCGUUAUGAUAAAACACUCCCAUGAAUGGUAUUCGAACUCCCUUGGGCAUCCGAAAUCCAUCAGGUAUUGCCCCGACUUCCACCAGUGAUGGGUUUUUCAUGUGACCACAUGGAUUAAGCACACAACCGAUUAUUAUCUUCCUCUUUAGCCCAAUGUAUGAAUGCCUCAAUGACGUACCAAGUGAAGUGUGUCUCAUGGCCUAUCGAAACUACUUCAAUAAAAUAUGCUUAGCACGAAACGAGAAUUGACCUAGGUCCUAUUUAGAUAAACAACGAUACACCUCAAUACCGCUAAUCUAAGAGAGAGACUAGACCUGACGUGCUUCCACACAUGUUCAAGGACCAUCGCAAGUCUCACCUCAAAGACUCGAGGUGACUUCAUGCAUCGACCAUGUAUAUGAGGACUACCUCAAAUGAACAUAAAACUUUGCCCUCGAUAUUGCUCAACAAUACAUAAAACAAGAACAUCCAAUAAUAACAAGGUUUUCAAAUAACUCAACAUAGGUUAUGACAUAACCAGCUUACACAAUGGAACAACGGCUUUUUGAAACCAAACCCGAACAUGAACAUAAACAGAUCGUUUCCAAUAGCAAUAACAAACCGAGCAACCUUAACAAUAACUUAAGCUUUCUUUAUUUACCUUAAACCUAAUAAACCAAUCAAACUCAUGAGCAAACCAUGUAAAAUUAAUACAUGGUUCUAACCUCUCUAUGAUAGCUUGAUCCUAACUCCUAAUACAAGCAAAACCAACCUAAAUUCAAGCCACGUAACAUUACGGCCUAGCCGGCGUUUACGAAAUUUACUUACAAACACUUGAGACACAGACGGAACCGAACGACAGACGAUUUGAGCUCAUGGCGGCAAUGAGGGUGCGACAUGAGAUGAUAGGCAGCUCAAGACAACGAGUGGUAGUGCAAUGGCAUAAGACGACAGUGGCGGCAGUGCAGCGACAUAAAGGAGAGAAAGAGGGAGAGAGAGAGAGAGAGAGAGAGAAGAGAGGGUCAACCAAAGGGGAGAAAGGGAGAGAAAUGAGAGCAAACGAAGAACUUGGGUAAGAAGGAGAUGGAAGAGAGAAAAUUUUAAUCUAAGCAUUAAUGGCAAGCUCAAUUAUUGUCCUAAGCCACUAAUGACUUCUUGGCUUGAAGAGCAAGAAUGGUUCUCCACCACACAAAUGCCCAAGCUUGCAUUUCAAGCUUCAAUGCUCUGGUUGCAAGAGAACUAGUCUAGUUAUCCUAACUAGAUUAUUCCUUCUCCUAUUUCCUUCUUAAUGGGCACCUAUCCUCUUUGCAUAGUGUGACAUCCUAGUUUUCAAGUUCUGUCUUGGAUUGAAUAAGUUGGGCUUUUCAUCGACACGCCUAUAGUUCUUUGCUCGUAGUUGGCUACUCACGAGUUAACUAACCUAUCAAGUGAAGCCGUUAAGGGAUUUUAAUGCAAUAAACUUGAUAAUUCGACCAGGAAUCGGCUGUUCGACCGUGCUAGUCUACAAGGGUCACUAUGGCAUUGUUAAAAUUGAUUAGGGAUCAAGGAUAGGUCGACUCGAUUGAGAUGUAUGAUCAAAGUAUGGGUGAUUCCACCUGAUUCCAAAAUUAUCGUCGAUCGGCACUAGACCGAUUUUUUGUCGUUUUCGGUACUCUGUGCCCAUAUUUGAAACCUUGAGAUUUUCACAAUAACCUAGAGUCGCCAAUGUGUCGAAGAUGUACGUUGUGACUCGAAACAAAUCGAUCACGGGUCAAUUGCACAAAAAAUUCCAGAAAGCUACCCGGUAGGCUAGGUCACGCUAAAAUUGUGCCAAAUUGAAAUUAACCGCAAAUUUGAAUCCGAUUUCAGAAAUUGAAAGUUCUGUAAUGUCAUGAUGUAUUUUAGGACCAUUGACUCAUCAUUCAAAGAUUUUUCUGAAAACUGAGAUUUUUGGCGAAAAUGCAAAAUAUGACCGUUUUUGUCCGGAAAAUUCAAUGACCAUUUUUUAUCGUGUUUUUGGGACGCAAGUUGGUUCCAUUGGCGAGGAAAAAUGUCAAUUUGGUCAAGGACCCCUUGGUGGAAUUUUGGGGAAUCGAAUUGAGUCCAAUUGGAGAGAAAUUGGUAUAAUUUGGGGGAAAUUGAGUGCAAAUUUUAGUAGCCCCCCUUGGUCCUCAACUUUUGGACCACUUCAUUAGCUUGCAAGAGAAGCUUGGUGGCUGCAAAAGAGCCAUGGAUGACAGCCAAGGGCUGGUGGGGCCUCUUCAAGGGACAAGAGGAUAGAUUGGAAGCCAAAAGGGUCCCUCCAAGCUUGUGUUGUCCCCUAUCUUCUUCCCUCAGUUGCUUUCUCCAUUAGAGAGUGUUUUGUGAGCUUCCAAAGUGCAGAGAAAACCUCAGCCUCCUCCCCCUUGCCGUCGAGUAGCCCGCCAAGGCCGCCGGAGCCCCAUCGUGCCGCGUCAUGCCCCCGUGUGAGCCUACGCCCCUAUCGAAUCACCCUUCCAGUUUUGUUGCCGUGUCGUCUCCCUCGAGCCUCUUCAAGCCGUCGCCGUUCAAGCUCGCCACCACCGCCGUUUAGCCUCGCCUAUCCUCUUAUUCGCCUACCUGGUCAUUGGCCCUCCUUAGCUUGCCGUUUCAACCGUCAGUUCCCCCUCCUUCAGUCCAAGUAGAAACUGAACCAACAAGGAUUCGUGGGCCUUCGAGGCCCAUUUUGGACCCCUUCCGGGCCUUGCUUGGUGCCGCCACUUGGAGUUUGUUGUCUGUCUCCGCUUUGCUGUCAUCGUGGACUCAUCGGAUUUCAAAACCGGUGAGUUUACUCACUAAACUCUGCUUAUGGAGUUAAUUAUACUUAAGUAUUGAUUAGUUUAUGCUAAUUAAGGUUUAGGUGGUUAGUUAGAAUGGAUUACUGAUUUAACUACUCGUUUAUGCAUGUUAGGUUAUUAGAUCGACUUAAUUAGCAACUAGAUAUGUUGUAUUAUUUACCUAGAUAGGUUUGGAAAUUUUUUGGGCCCGUUUCAGUAUUUAAUUAGGCUUUUCCGGCCUAAGUUGCAUUUAUUGGUAUUUAUUUAAUUAAUUUUAGUAUUUAUUUAAUUAUUUAUUAUUUUCCGAAAAUUAUACCAGGAUAGCCGAUAAUCGGAAUUUCGUGCUGAUCGCAAUGGUAUAAUUGGUUUAUUUAAUUGAGUGUUGAUUUGUGCAAAUUGAGUGAGAUUUAUAAUUUUGGGUAUUUAUUCCAAAAUUAGGUAUUUUCAAUAUUUAAUUAGAAAAUACAAUACCGAGCAUCGGUUUACAACACCAAAAAUGUGUUUAUAGACUAUUAUAAUUAGUGGGAUUCUAUAAAUAAAUAAAUAAAAGAUAUUGUAUUUUGGUUAAUGUCAACCGUGUACCCACACAAGAUUAUUUUCACCAGGUACUAUAAAGAUGGUAGAUUUUCAGUGAAUGAGAACAAUAUACUAUAUCAGCCUGCAGGCUUUGAUAUAUCAGCUUCGGUGAGCAGUAUACUCUAUUAGCUUUGGUGAGCAAUUGUAAGUAUCGCACAGCUUUGGUGAACAAUAUAAAUAUAUAACAACUUCGGUGAGCAUUAUUAUAUAUCUAUUGUCAGCUUUGGUGAGCUAUACCAUAUAAUUUCAACUUAGGGUGAGCUGAAUUGGUUGAAUUUUAUAGAUAGUAUUGAUGGUAUGGAAUCGAGUGGAUGGAUUGAUGAAUGGUUUGAUUUGAAUUGAAGUAAUUCGUUGAAUAUAUGAAUCAUACUGACUUGCAGGAAGGAACUGAGGUAAAGGUAAGUCCUCUGUCUUGUGUGUGCAUAGAUAGUCUUUUGGCGUAUUUCCUUCCUAGUCGGGGUUUAAGGGGUAGACUUGCUGAGACGUUGUCUCACCCCAUCGUGGGUUAAUAUUUUCAGGUUCUUAGAUAGCGGAUCCUCUAGAAUGUCAUGGUCGUCCCAUAAGGGUCACCGAGUGAGUUUAUACCUAUUCCGAUCCCGGAAGCUUUUGGGUUUAUGAAUUGGUAGUGACCAUUGUCUGGGUCGAAGAGCGUCUACAUUAUGUGUUCCCUAAUCGAUUCAGAGCUUGGUUCCGAUACGGACCCAACGGUUUCCAGGUGGGUCCUCUCAGGUGUUUUGAAAUUUCCACAAGGAUAAUUGAUGCCUCUCUAUGGGAAAGUGCUGUGGACCCUCCCGAUGGUGUGGUGGAGAACCCGACGUCCCGUUCGAAUCCCGUGAAGAUUGAAGAAUCGACGAACGAGUCUGACUAGAUAGUCAUAGGAUGAGAGUGCUAGUAUGAACAAAAUAAAGGAGUUAGGGAAGAGAAUAAGAACACGAGAUUUAUAGUGGUUCGGCUUAAUCCAAGCCUACGUCCACUCUCCCACGAUAACAGCCUUCUUGGCUGGAUUCCACUAUGCAAUCAACAAGAGAUUACAACUCCGAGUGCAAAUACUUAGUAGAUCACACUAUCUCACUAAGUCACUCUCUUGGUAUUUCUCUCACGAUUACAAACGUUUAAGCUCUCAAGAGACAAGUAUAUGAUCUAAAGUCGCUCAGACUUUGGAAUUAUAAAUUCUACGCUCCGUCUCUUACUUGCUCAUCGGUCCAUGAUCUCCUUAAAUACUCCUCCACUUCCAAACUACCGUUGGACAGUAUCCCGGAGAAUCGUCUUCCAAUAUACCCAUUGGACAGCUCUGUAUCUUAGAAGAUUUGGUAGCCGUUGAGUGACAAAGGUAAAAUCCCAAAUUGAUUCCGAUCGCCCAUACAAACGAAAUCUUGGUUUCCAUAAGUAAAGCUUCUUCGUAUAGAAAGAUCUUGUCUUCAACAUCCAAUUGUCAAUCAAAUAGAUUGAGUCAAUCAAAUCAAUCUUGAUGUGGAAUCCAAACCAGAUCACUAGCCGUUGUAUGAUUGGGCUUGAGUUACGAUUCAUCGAAUCUGGAUGUAAAGUCUGAGUCUUUAGACUUUACGAUAUAAGUCUUGAGACUUUACAAUCUGGGUCUGUAGACUUUACAAUAUGAGUCUGUAGACUUUACAAUCUGAGUCUGAACAUAUCUGCUUCUGAACAGAUUUAGCUUUAAGGUCUGUACCCAGUUCAGCUUCAGCAUAGAGUCUGUCUUCUGGUUCAUCAUUCACGUUCAGUCUGGAAUUUGUCAGAGUGAACAGACUUCUGAUGUAGAACAGACUUUGACACUAAAGUCUGGCAGUCUUCAGACUUUGAGUCUUGAGUCUAACAGUCUUCAGACUUUGAGUCUAGAGUCUAACAGUCUUCAGACUUUGAGUCUUGAGUCUGGCAGUCUUCAGACUUUGAUAAUAUCCUCUACAUGUUCUAACAUCUGCAUGGCCUAUUACUCAACCAUCAAAUAUGUUAGUAGCCUUUGAUUUAUUUUGUCAUCUUCAAAACAUCAUAAGGGAUUUCCCUAACAUAGGACAGAUCGUUUUGAGGAUCGACCCUUUGUAGACUUUUGUGAAUAUAGACUAGCCUUGUAAAUGACUGCUGUGUAUAAAAGUGUGUUGUGGUUUUCAAAAUUUGUGGCCCUGUUUUAUUCCAUUCCAUUUUUGAGUUGUCUGGGAUUUAUUUAUUCACUUCCGCAUGUGCAUUAAAAUGAAUGGGUCGGCAACAUGUCCUGGGACGUUACAAAUUAAUCGACCACCGAGGGAUGGGCAUGCGCUCGAGGAUUGGGGCGUGACACAUAGUCCCCCUAAAUUUUUGUCUAACCUCAAUUUAAUCUCAAGAAGCUAAGUUAGUUUCACCUCUAGGGUUAUUAAGGUCUAUGUCCAAAAAUUACCACAUGUUUCCAAUCAAUGCACUAAUGUACUAACUUCCAAAAUUCUAAGAAUAGGUUUAAGCCUUGCAAGACAACUUGUCUCACAAGUUUAUUCGAUUUAGGCGUGUAAAGGGGGGAGUCUCAUUGGCUUCUAAAUUCACUCUCAAUAAAUCUAAAUUUAAGAGGACAAGAUAUAAUUAAAAGAGUUGUAUAAUUGUUGUAUUGACAGGACAAGAAUAACUUAAGAUCACCUACGAUUGACACCCGUAGUCAGACCGGGUUUGUGACUAAGUUUUGUUCGGAAAUGGCCCUAAUGUGACCUACGCUAAUUAAGCGGCAUUGAUAUGGUUAGACCUAAACUAAGUUUGACGUCUAUCUGGGGUUCUAUGCGUGACCUAUGUUUAAGCCUGGUUGGUCCAUGAAUGACUUUCAACAGUUAUGUAAUCAUGUAGAAUCAAUUGACUUACCUUUGUUCAUGACCAUGUGGAAUCGAAUAAGGGUCGUUCACAAACGGUAUAACGACCAUGCAUAGUCACCUGCGACUGGUAUAUACUUGAGCUGAAUCAAUCUAUAUCUAUCCAAUGAUUGACUUGUGACGACACAUUGUCGUCCACAUCGAUCCUUAUGGUCAAACGGUCCUUUCAUGUUCGAACACUCUAGUCUAACUUAACUUGAUCCAGAGUUGCCUUACCCUAAUCAAUUAGUUGGCUCAUAAACAAUCCCUAAGAUUGACUCACAACAUAUUCUCGUUAUGGAAUUAAAAUUGGACAUGGCCUAAACUACAUGACAUGCAUAUGAUAUUUUUGGUGUUCUUAUUAAAAUUCGCAACUAGAAGUAAAUUAACAUAUGAAUACACCUAAAGUGAGAUGUUAUCUAAUUUAAGUUAAGAAAUGGACUCACUUAAAUCCCGUCUUAUCUUGGAAAUUUAUCUCAACAUGUAAUUCUAUUUUUAAAAAAAAAAAAAGCUAUCUACUCUAGAUAUUAUCUAAACACGCAUUUAAAUUGAAAUAGGAAAAUGUCUAUCUAGUCCUAUCAUGCAAUUUGAAUGAUAUGAUAUGCCAUGCAAUCUUUUCUUGAAUUUUUUUUUUCAUUGAAGCUAGCAAUUCUAGCUAAACAAAAUUUCAAACAUAGCAAAAUCCAUUGUUUCAUGUCUUAGAUUAAUGGAUAUCAUAAUCUUGAUAGGGCACUUACUUAGAAUCAAACAUUAAAAAAAAUUAAAAAAUGAUCCAUCAUCUCACGGCUCAAAUGAUAGAUUAUCACAAUCUUAGUCAACGUAAUUAUCCAAUAAUAAGUUGAAAUAAUUAAACAAAUGAUCCAAUAUCUUUAUGGAUCAAAUUAGUACUUAAACCAACUUUAUCAAUAAGCCUUAAUUGGAUAUGCCUAAUAUCUCAAAUAUCAUAUCGGAUAGCAAUUAAUCCAAAUUGAGUAAUGAAAUAUUUCAAUUUAAUUGGAUAAAGCUUGUUACCUAAUUUGAUCGGACCGGAUCUCGACUUGCGGAUAGGUCUCAGCAGUUGUAUCUCACGGUGUGGCGCUUGGUCGACUAUGUGCUUGACAAGAGGGCCACGGUAGAUGAUCCGCCGAUGAUGCUCAGCCUGCAAAAAAAUUAAAAUCAAAGCGCCGCGGCCGAGCUUUGGAGCAAAGUCGGAUAACUCGCUGGCUGCCUCACGGUACAUCAACUCCACGGGUUAGUGUGAUUUUUGUUUGAAGGACACCAUAAGUCCUGAAGUUCACUCAUAAGCGACUCACCAUAAGUCCUGCAAGAGAAACACGAGGCAAAAUUGUUAAUCGGCUGUGAUGAUGGGGCGUGCUGCAAGCGCAAGAAAUAGUCCGAAUUUGUCGAUGGGGCUCGCUGGACUCAACAACAAAAGCCACUUCAAUGUGGCUGCAAGAGAGACCGUCGCGUGCCUUCAAGAGCGACUCAAGGGCAGCUUAGUGCGAUGCUGCUCUGAGGGCUGGAGUCGCGGGAGCCGACGUCAUGGCGGUAAAGAUCAGGACGGCGGCUCGUCAUCUCAGUCCAACACGGGGUACGGCGUCGCGGCUUAAAUGAGGGAAGCGUUGUAGCAAGCGGGAGCGCAACGCUACGGUGGGAGGACUCACGAAGCCGAGACUACGAGGAAAAGACCUCGCUCUCCCUCUAUUCUCUCUCCAGAUUCUUUUGUGUACCCAGUGUUGACCGAGAGAGAGAGAGAGAGAGAGAGAGAGAGGGCCCUCCCUCCUAUUUGACGAAGCAAAGGCCUAUCUUUUUGUCUUCUUAUCCCUUUUCUUACGGACGUGUGUUGCUCUUCUUUUGUGUUCUCAUUAUGCGGACUUUCAGAACCUGCAGGAAGAACAAAAGACAUUUUCUCUCCCUCUCGCAAUGGUGGCCGUGUAUUCUCUAUUGUCUCCCCUCUUCUCUUGCAAUCCACACUUGUUUUUACAAUGCCCCAAAUAUUUUCUUCCUUUAUUUCAUCAACCAAAUAUUCUUUGUUUUGCUGAUUGUAUCUCGUCUCAGAUCACUCUUUUCUUUUUGUCUAAUCAAGCUUUGAUUUUCCCGAAAUUCCAAAUCUUGCAAAGAUGCUUGCCAAAUGUCUACGAGCGUGCAAUAUCUCCUUUGUAUGCUUGCCUUAAUCGACAAUAAAUGGAUAUUUCUUCUUUCUUGUGCUUUUUAUUUCUUAAUCUUUGGCCAAAUAUUCUCUUCAGAUUUCCACCAUUUUGUUUUUAGUCAAUCUUCCAUCAUUAUCCUUCUCUUGCCAAAUUCGCACGUAUUCAGCCCAUGUUUCCUCUUUGCUGUCUUUCCUUGGCCGAGAAUAUGCUCUCUUGAUUUCAAAAGUUUCCAAUUUUAUAUACUCAUGUGUGGCACAAGUAAUUUUCGGCCACAUGGGGUAUUCAAUGGGCUUGAAUUUCAUGCUUCCUUGGGCUCAGUCUAAUUAUUUACCUUACAGGGUUAAUUAGUCCCAUAAGCUUAGAACUGUUUACCACCCGCCACCAAUCCAAUGCAAAUGCAAUUUUAUGGGCCUAUUGCUAUUGAAAUGCUCCUAAAAAUCUAUAUGCAAUUGUAAUAUUUUUUUGCAUAGGGACAAGGGAUGAUCCUUGAUUUUCUAUGCAAUGAAUGACUAAAUGGGUUGCCAAAAUUUAGGUGUUAAUAACCUAGCAAAAAUCCAAGUCAAAGCCCAAGUUCAUACCAAACCAAUACUUCUAUCUUCUAAAGUAAAUAGGCUAUCCAAAUACUUUUCUAACACAACCCACAUGUGCAUUCAUCAGUAGAUGGUAUAUAAAUAAAAUCAUAGAAAAAUUACCAAAUUAAAAAUUUGUAGGCAAAAAAGUCAAAAAGAAGACCUAAAACUUUAUCAAAUAAAACAAAACAAAUUAAAACAUUGAAAUAAUAAUUCAUCUCUCUUACAAUUCUACAACUCUAAUGUCCAGCAGCAAGCUACCUCGCCACCGGAUCUUUGCUUUAGUCAAGCCAUCGUCCAGCCCUUAUGGUGGCUGGACCAUUGCCAUUGCCAUAGCCUCUAAAUUGCGCUCUUGCCAAGAUGUAGUAUAAAAGUCGAAAGAACACGCUGUUAUCAAGCAUUCUAUCAUUACAACAAGCGGAGAAUCAGUUGAUAAUCGAGAGUAUUUGAAAUCUGCCAAUGCCAUUUCAAACGGUCGCAGAAUAUUGCAUAUUCUUUAAACAGUCGCAGAAUAUUGCAGAUUCUCUUGUGAUAAUCUGCUUAUGAUGCUUUUCGCGCAUAAUUUCAUUCAUACACAUUUUCCAAAACUAGCUCAUACGUCAUAUCAAAGCGAGUCGCUAUUUUUUUCCCUUUAUUUUUUUCACGCCCUUUAACUAAUAUAAUAAUGGGUCGCAAUCCGCAAGUAAGCUGACGACUUUUUUUUUUUUUUUUGAUCGGUAGCUAACGACUUUAUAAGCCUUUCUUAGUAUGGAAGUUUUCAUACUUGCCUGAAGGGUCGUAGUUGCACAUAACAUACUACCGACUAUCGUUACACUUAACCCUAGUACAACCGACUUGGACCUAUUCGGGCCAACCAUCUGAGUGUAGUAUAAGUAGUCGCAUGUACUCGCGCCAGUUUUGGUGUUGUAAUUGUAGUAUUGCUUCUCCACGACCCACAACUUCACAGCGUAGGUGCCCAUGAACGUGCCUGUGCCCCUGGCGAGGUUCUUGCUGUAGGGCCCAUUGGAGUGUAAGGGGCUACAGUCUCUGACUUGUUGGUUUGCGUAGCUCUAGGUGUAGGCGGCAACAAUAUUAACCCAUGUCAUGUUCACCACGCUAACUUACUUUUGGGCAUCAUCGUGAGAGUUGAGAUAGCCUUGGGGUGAGUUUUGGGCAUGAGUAGGUUGAAAGAAAGAAAUGGAGACAAGAGAGAUGAUGAAAUUUAGAGAAUUCAUGACACUUAAGGAAUUAGUAAUUCCUAAAACAAAUUCGACACUAAAUCGAACCCCUAAAACGAAUGCGGAAGACGAGCCCAAAAACAAACAUGUAUCACCGAUCAAAGAUAUACCACGGAAUCGAGCGUACCUUAUUGUUCACAGAUUAAACACCAACGUUGAUUUGAGGAAGAAAAACUGAUCCCGUUCUAUCGAGGAGCGUGCUGUUGCUAUUAGGGGGAGAAAAACAGAGCGUACGGUUUCUUUCUAUGUUCUUUUUUUCUUUUUCUUUUUUUGAGGGAGAGAGAGUGAAAAGACAUACGUACAUCUAAAGGGGUGUGAUCCCUUUUUUCUUUUCUCUUUUAUAUCUUCUCCAAGAGACGUAACUCUUCAAUGUAAUACGUUCUCCCAAAAGUCAUAACACCUGGUAUCUAAACAACGCAACAUUUCACAUCGCAUCCGUUCCUCCAUGGGCCCUUAUCUUGGGGGCCAGGCUUUUAGGCCCAACAUGGGCGAACGGGCUCACUUAGGCCCAUCAACAUAUAAAUAAAACCAUCAUCUCCCACUCGCACAUGGUGGGCCGAACAAGAUCCUCUUUACCUCUCUACAACAUUUAUACCAGUGAAUAAUCCAUGCGACCAGCAUACUUUGAGAGUUUGUUGCUAUACAUCUAUUAGGAAUAUAUAGUAGCUCAUAAUGGGCAUCACCCUUUGAGUAUAUUUAGUAUGCAGUACCCUAGAUCAAUCGAUCACACUUGUAUCUCUCUCUUGAUCUCUUUUUAAUCUUUGAUAUAUUGUAUUCACAAUUACGAUUAUCCCAAAGACAGUCAUAAUUGGUCGACUAGUGAAUACAAAACUUAGAAUGUGAUUCUCCAUUUUUUAUCUUCCUCUUUCCUUUAAACUCUCAAUUUCAGUUCAGCUUGCUUUUCUAGAAAUGUCCCAUCAGAUCGAAUCAAUUCAUGAUCAUUGGCAACAUCCUAAGAUAGCAAACACUAAAUAGAAAUCUUGAGAAUAAGUAAGAGUCAUGAGGGCACUAAAUUGAGGAACUCUUUUCCUCAAGAGUCUCACACGGCAUAAAAGUUGAGAUUAAAUUUUGCCAUUCUUUUUGGCCGUCUCAUGCAUACGUAGUAUGAAAUACGUAUUACGGUAUUAACUCCUUUCCCAUGGAGCGUAUGUCUACACCAUCAAUACCGUACAGAUGAUAGUUCAGACAUACAUAAUAUCUAACUUGAGUUCACAUAUCUACUCAUUCACAGAAUUCAUCAGAACUCACAUCUGGCAUCAUAGACAGAUAAAGUAAAAUAUGUGGGUUAUUUUACUUUCGGACAUAGUAAAUAUUAUGUCAUCAUCUUAAUACUCAGUUAAGGUGACUUAUGUAUUUUAAGCUUGAGCUCUCGAUUAUCACCUAGAUAAUAAGCUUAAAAACUGUCUCAUCUCUAUUUAUUACACAGUAAAUAGAGGCGAUUACCCAUGUGAGUGGGCUAAUAUUUUAUCUGUCCGACAUACUUUAUCAACUUAAUAUAAUGCACUGAGCAUUAAGAUGCAUAAACGUCAAAUAAAGAUUUAUAGGCAUUAAUGAUGAAAAAACAAAAUCAUCAAAUGUGAACACUUAUGGAAAUUAUAAUAUUCAGUACAUUAGCCUUUACGCAGUCUUAGAGAUUUUACAUUACCACAAAACACAUCUCUAGGUAUUGGCUUUGUCAUAGGAUCUUCUACUAUUUUAUGUGUAGAUAUGUACUGUAAGUUCACAUCUUUUCGUGCAAUCAUAUCAUUGACAAAAUUAUACUUGGUAUCUAUAUGUUUGGUCUUGUCAUGAUAUUUUGGAUCUUUGGUGUACGUUAUAACUGCUUGGCUAUCACAGUUAACCAAUAAUGGAUUUGCAGCAUACCCAAUAACACCUAAAUGAUUCAAAAAUAUCUUAAGCCAAACACCUUCUUGUACUGCUGCUGAUAAUGCCAUGAACUCAGCCUCCAUCUUGGAUAAGGCUAUACACGUUUACUUCUUACUGCUCCAAGAUAUGGCGCCAUUAUUCAGUAAGAAAGUAAAACCAGAGGUAGAUUUUCUUUCAUCUAAAUCUCCUCCCCAAUCAGCAUCCGAAUAGCCUUUAAGUCGCAGAUCCUUUCCUUGGUAAUUCAACUUGUAAUCGGCAGUUCCCUUCAAAUACCUCAGUAUUCUUUUAACGGCUUUCCAAUGUGCUUGACUUGGAUUAGAAUGGUAUCUACUCACCAUUCCAACUGCCAAACAUAUGUCAGGUCUUGUACAUAUCAUAGUGUACAUCAAGCUCUCAAUAGCACUAGCAUAAGGAAUAUGUUUCAUUUGUUCCUUCUCUUGUGGAGUCCUUGGACAUAGUCUAUGGCUCAAUCCUUCAUAAUCAAUUCCUUUCUGUUAAUUAUACUCCUUCGCCACAAGGCGAGCCUUAUACAUUUCUAUCGAGCCAUCAGCUUUACGCUUUAUUUUGAGAACCCACUUGUUCCCAAUAGCUUUGCAUCCUUUUGGAAGAUCAACCAGUUUCCAAACAUGGUUUGACUUCAUUGACUCCAUCUCCUCUUCCAUUGCAUGUAUCCAUUUUUCCUUACUAGGGCAAUUUAGAGUCUCAUUAACAUUUCUUGGCUCAUCCUCAUCUUGUGGAGCAACUAUGAAAGUUUCCCCUUCAAUGUCAAAACGUCAACAGGGAAUACUUUUGCGACUUGUUCACCGUAUGGGAGAUUGUACACUUUGCACAUCAUUCCCCAUCAUGCUCCCACUCGAAUUAGAUAAUGACGAUAUCAUCUCAUCAUGUGGUUGUAAUUGAGAGUGAAUUGAAUUAAAUUCAUCACUUCUCAUGUUACUCCCACUUGGACGAACUCCAUUAAGUUCAUUAUCUUGAUCCAAGGUUUCAAAUAGGGAGUAAUCCUCACAUAUUUCGCAUUUCUUAAGAAAUUCAUUCUCUAAGAAUGUGACAUCCCGUGAUUCGAAUUAAGUUAUACUUCCACUUUCUUGCUCACCUAUGAACACAUACCCUUUCGACUAUUCAGAAUAUUUUAUGAAAAUACUCUUCUUUCCUCUGGGACCCAAUUUCCCAAACUUGUGAGAGGGCUCAUGAGUAUAGGCAGCACAACUCCAUAACUUAAGGAAACUUAAGUCCGGUUUUUUGCCUGUCCAUAACUCAUAUGGAGUGGAAGUAACUGAUUUGGAAAGCACUCGGUUAAGUAUAUAUGCAGCAAUUAACAAUGCAUCACUCCAAAAAAUGAUAAGUAAGUUAGCAUGCACCAAUCAUGGAUCUAACCAUUUCCAAUAGGAUUCUGUUCCUUCUCUCUGCAUCACCAUUUUGUUGAGGAGUAUAUGGAAUAGACAACUGUCUUUCUAUUCAUUUUUCAUCACAUAAUUUUCUGAACUCAUCAGAUAAAUAUUCUCGACCUCAAUCGGAUCUCAAUACUUUUAUUUUCUUGUCUAAUUGAUUUUCUACCAAGUUCAUAAAUCUUUUGAAACAACUCAAUGCUUCAGAUUUAUGAGAAAUCAAAUAGACAUAUCCGAAGUGAGUAUAAUCAUCUAUAAAUGUGAUGAAAUAAACAGUCUCAUGCCUUCCUCUCACAUUCAUCGGACCACAGACGUCAGAAUGGAUUAAUUGCAAAGGAAAUUAAGCUCUUUUACCCUUUCCAAAUGAUUUUCUUGUCGUUUUCCCUGCUAGGCAAUGCUCACAUAUGGGUAAAUCGACUUUUUCAAUAUUGCCUAACAAGCCCUAUUUGGCUAGUCUAUUCAUACGUUGUUGGCCAAUGUGACCAUGUCUAGCAUGCCACACACUCACAUCAUUAUCAUAUGAAUUAGAAGACGUAAAAAAGGAAUAACAAAUGUUGGCAUUACUAUAGUCAACCUUUAAUACAAUAAAACCAUCUAGAAAAUAAUCACAACCAUAGUAAUUUGUACCCAAAUACAAAUCCACACCACUAUUAUGGAAGUUCAUAUUAAAACCAAGUUUAACCAACACUAAAACAGACAUUGAAUUCCGACGAAUCUCUGGAGCAUACAGCACAUCAUGCAGGAACAGAGUGCGUCCAUCACACAUGUUCAAUUGACAGAUGCCAAUUCCUUUUACUUCUGCUCUAGAGUUGUUUCCUACAUAGAUCCACUUAGUUCCAGUCGGUACUCGUCGGAAUUCCACAAAGAAUUCUCUAUCUUUCGCUACGUGGUCUGUCACUCAUGAAUCCACAAUCCACAAAGGAUUAGACUCAAUUAAAAAUACAGAACUCGACACAUAAGCAAAGUUUUGAAAAGUACAAGGAGUGUAUACCUUCUUUGGCUCACGACAGUCGUGAGCAUAGUGACCCUUCUUGUCACAAUUGUAACACUUCACCCUCGUCAGCUUUUUCAUUCAAGGACGUUUUCCUCUUUCAUGUUGGUCAAGCUUCGGUUUCUUCCCUGAAGAACUUGCUCCCUUGCCUUUCCUCUUAUCGAACCAGUUAGAAUGUUUGCGCGUGAAGCUCGUAGCUCCAUGUGAGCUAGAACCAGCAUGAUAAAUUUCAGCUUCCGGCUUAGCCGCCAAGAGGCGGUCCUAUUCCAGCUCAAGAUGACGCACUGCAUCAUCAAAGGUUUUAAUAUUUUCAUUAUGGAUUAGGUGCACCUUCAUAUGCUCCCAACUCUGAGGCAAGGAACGAAUCACUACUUGCACUUGCUGCUCAACAGUCAGGACAUGGCCUGCAUAUUUCAACUCAUUAAUCAUGUUUGACAUCUUUCUAAGGUGUUGCUUCAUGGUCUGAUCAUGAGGCUUCUUAUAAGAGUCAAACCUAAUAGUGAGCUACCUCAGUCUGGUCACCGAAAUAUGACCAAAUCUUGCUACCAAUGCUUCCCACAUUUCCUUGGCAUUCUCAAAAUGCCUAAACUCUCGUAUGACGUCAUUUUCCAUGCUACUCAGCAACGUAAUGCGAGCAAGAGAGUUCUUUCUUUUCCAAGCAGCAAAUGCAUCAUUAUCUCUCUUAUGCUGUGCAAUGUUUCCUUCUUUAGGUUCUACUAUGGUUAGGUUAAGAGCUUCCAGUGUCUCUUGCUCUUCCAUCACAUAUUGGAUUUUCCAUGUGUCAUAUUUCAUAGUUAUCGCCAUUGAGCUUCUCACUUUUGUUUAGCUCAGCGACAAUGCUCUUUGUGGUUGAAGCCAUUUGAUCUGAACAUAUUAGACAUAUAUGUACGAAUUAUUAAUGCCUAUCAUUUUUUUUUUUGGUAAAAUUAUUAAUGCUUAUCAUUUAUGCAUCCAUUUUGCACAAAACCAUCAUAUUAAUGAAUAAUUUCAAAUAAGGUUUCAGAAUCAAAUGGUCACUAUGUUCCCAAUUAUCAUCCAAAAUCCUAACUUAGAGUUAUUAUUAAUAUAACAUUCUAUGCAAAAUAAAUUCUUUGAAAUUACAAAAAUUUCUAUGAACUACCCACAGCAGUUAAUAAUAAUAGAAAGUAAAUGAUAUUUGAUAUCAAACAAUGAUAUAGUAAUAAUUGUCUUACAUAAUACAACUAACAUAUCAGUUGCCACACCAACAACAACUAGGUAGAAAACAUUACAUAAGAUGUCCACAAAGAACACUAAAUAAAGACCAGCCAAAAACAUCUAACACCAAGUCAACAUACGAACUGGGAAAAAUCCUCUUUUGUUCAACUUUUUGAUCUUUUCCCUUAUAACAAUCCAGUAAUAAUCAUCUAUAAAAGCCAUCACAAUUUUCCUAUACGAAACAGCUCUAUUGACUUCCCACAAGCGAUUCAACACUCCUUGCCAUUCUUGUGGAAGAGUGUUUAUGAAAAAUCGCACCAUCUCAGACUAUGGCAUGGGACGACCAUUCCAUACGACCUUUUGUAUCUUCCCGUUGACUUCAAGAACAUGAUCAAUUAAUUCGCCUCUCUCCCAUCGAUAAUCAGUCAACUCGGCUAUCAACCUAAAAAGUCUUUCCUUUUGUUUAUCGGUAAUUACGCGGAUAGGUGUGCGCAACCUAAGGAGAGGCAUUGUUCCUGCAACAAAUGCAGAACAAAUAAGGAUUUACAUAUAAUCCACAUAGACUUAAUUGGAAAAAGAAACACUUUUUUUUUUAAACGGUCAACAGUUAACGGUCGUGGUCAAUGGUUACGGUCAACGGUCAACGGUCACGGUCAUCGGUCAGCCGGGUCGGAGUCAACGGGCAGUCGGGUCGGACCGGACGGGCCGGGUCAGGCUGGUCGAACUGAUCGGGCCGAUCGGACAAACCGACCGGCACGUGCCACGCUCGUGCCUGGCUGACGUCACGAUGACAUCAGCCGACGCGUGCGUGGCACGCGCCUGCACUCCGCGCGUGCAUCACACGCACCUGGAUCGAAACGGCGUGUGCGACGCACGCGCUUACGAGGGACUAAGUCGGCGUGUGCAACGCACGCGCCAAUAACCCCCGUUCGUUCCGGCUACGCGUGGCGGCGCGUCUGACGGCCUCCGGCUGCGAUCCGCCACUCGUUUUUCUUGUAUCAACGAGGGCUUUGAUCCUACGCUUUUAGAAAAAAAAAUUUUGACUUAUAGAAAAUCAAAAAACAGGACAAACAGAAUCGGGUCUCGGGUUUUUCUAUCCCCGAUCGAUCGGCAACGGCUUUUCUCGAAUUUUCAAUAAAAAGAUAAUUCAUAAACAUGAAAAAAAAGGGUUAGGAAACAUGAACUGGGGCUUUGAUACCAAUGUUGGGAAUUACUAAUUCUCUAAAACGGAUUCGACACUAAAUCGAACCCCUAAAACGAAUGCGGAAGACGAGCCUAGAAACAAACAUGUAUGACCGAUCAAAGACACACCACGGAAUCGAGUGUACCUUAUUGUCCACAGAUUAAAUACCAACGUUGAUUUGAGAAAGAAAAACUGAUCCCGUUCUACCGAGAAGCAUGCUAUUGCUAUUAGGGGGAGAAAAACAGAGCGUACUGUUUCUUUCUAUGUUCUUCUUCUUCUUUUUUUUCUUCUUUUUUGAGGGAGAGAGAGAGUGAAAAGAUGUACGUACAUCUAAAGGGGUGUGAUCCCUUUUUUCUUUCUCUUUUACGUCUUCUCCAAGAGACGUAACUCUUCAACGUAAUACGUUCCCCCAAAAGUCAUAACCCCUGGUAUCUAAACAACGCAACCUUUCACAUCGCAUCCGUUCUUCCAUGGGCCCCUAUCUUGCGGGCCGGGCUUUUAGGCCCAACAUGGGCGGACGGGCUCACUUAGGCCCAUCAACAUAUAAAUAAAACCAUCAGUUAUCAUUGGACUAUUUAUAAAAUAUAUAUAUAUAUAUAUAUAUAUAUAUAUAUAUAUAUGAAGAUUUUGGGGGCUUCAACUUAUCAUGUGCAAUGAACUUAUCAGGGAACGUCUCCUCUGGACAAUACAACUUUGCAUUCAAAUUUAGUUUGUUCAUGAAAUGACAAAAUUAGUAAACUAAGUGGUGCAUGGAGGGAAUUGGCUUUGCUUGUUCUUUCUUUCCUCAAAUGGAAGUCAACCAAAAGGCUUUAGUGAAAUUUGAAAUUUGAGCAAGUUUGAUAUGAUAAAUUAAGAAUAAUGUUAGACAUUAUUUGGAGUAAUGCUAAAGACAUUGAGAUUAGUGCAUGAAAUUAGAUUAUUAGGUGAUGUAUAUAAAAUUUAGCCAGGUAUUAAGAACAUACAAGUCUUAUUCGAGCACCCAAAAGGGGAUGUUGAUCAUUUGUCCCGUGUACAAGUCGUCUGAGAGUCGGUCCGGAAAGUACUGCUGCGAGUCGGGCAACCCCCUUCUCUGUAAUUUGACCUGCUCAGACUCGCCUCUCGGCCGCACGAUCCCACCUCAGACACUGCCUAUGUCAUCCUCACCCGUCGCUUGCCUAUUACAUGAUCAUGCCAGCUGUCCAUGUCAGUUGAGUGUUCAUCCCCCAAUAUCAACUCUCACAAAUUCAGACACAACUCCCGCUUCUCCCUCUCCCACGAAACUAUUAAUAUGGCCGACAUACCGACAGCACAAGUCUGAAAUUGCACGGAUGCGCAGGGCCUGCCCUCACAUCACUAUUCAUCAUUGAACGGUUGGAUGUGUCGGGUAUCUAUAUUAAGUGCAGGACCUCGUGCCAAACUGAAUCUAAGAUGAUGAAUCCCACUUAUCAAUAAAUAGUUUUUCACGUACCUCUACAGUGAAAAUGAUGGAAUCUUUUUUUCAAAAAAAUAAAAUAAAAUGACAAUCUGGAUUAACUAGGUAGCACGGACACAGCGACACGGACACGCGACACGACACGACACGACAUGCGACACGUUAUUUUUCAAAAAGUAGAGAAUUUUGACACGUUCCAACACGUUAUAUAUUAAAUGAAUAUUUUUAUUUUUAAUUAAUUUAAUUCAAAUUCAGUAUUUUAAUUUUUCGAAAUUAUAUUUUAAUCUCAUUUAUUUAUUUUUCCAUUAAAAAAAAUCUCCACUAAGGUCCACCCCACCCUCUUCUAGUUCUUUCCCUCAUCCAUUUCCCCCCUCCCCCAAAAUGUAUUUUUCUUUACCUCCCCACCAUCGUUCGUUUCCCCCCACCCCCAAAUUUAUUUUUCUUUCCCUCCCCUUCACUGACAGACAGGCUGUCCCUGUCUCUUCCCCUCCCCCAAUACGCAAUGGCCCAUCAAAAACCCGUCCCUAUCUCUUCCCCUCCCCCAAUACGCGAUGGCCCAUCAAAAACCCUAGCUCUGCACGACCCUUCCUCUUCUUGUUCCUCGUUGCUCGCUACUCACCGCACAAACCCCUUUCCUUGCCGCUUGCCGCUCACCACUCGUUGCCUCUCGCCGCUCGUCGCCUCUCACCGCUCGCCGCACGACUACCUUCCUCUCCUCUUCCUCCAAAUUAAUUUUUUUCAUCAAAAACUCUAAAUUGGUAUAUUUUUGACAAAUUUAUCUCAAACUGGUAUACUUAUGACAAAUUUAUUCUCUAUUAAUUUCCGUUAAACUUUAUUCUUAAAUUACUAAAUUGGAUAACAAGUGACACUUGACUGGUGUACCAGUUUGGAAUUUAAUUUUAUGUUCACCACAAUUAUAAAAUUUACCAAUUUGAGAUUUUUGGGGAUCAAAUAAAUUAAGUUUAGAGUAAAUUUAUCAUAAGUGUAUCAAUUUAUGAUUUUUUUUUCUGAUCAUUUGGGGUAAAUUUGUCACAUGUGUAUCAAUUUAAGGUUUUUCAUGUUCAAAAAAUUAGUCUUUGAUAAAUUUGUCACAUAUAUACCACUUUGGGAUUUUUUAGGACAUUAACCCUUAAAUAUUUAUAUACUAGAUUUAUCAAAUACUUACUCUUUAUAAUAGCUAGCUCUUCCAUUCUCUCUCCUUUAUCACUAUCUCUCUACCUCUGCCCCACACUCCAAUCGUGUCCCACUGCUGCCGUGCUCAAUUCCACCAUUGCUAUCGCUUCUAACGCAACGGAAACAAUGAUCACAUGAAUAGCAAUUCAUAACAUGAGUAAAACUCGUAAAUGUAUAUCCAAAGCGUACACUCCCAAAAUGUAUGUGUGUGAACUUUCUCAAUUUCUUGUACUUCCAAUUCAAAAUACUGUAGCUAAAAACCCUAAUGAAAUUCUAAGUUUCAAAUAAGAAAUAGACAUAUCAAUAAGAAAAUCCAUCCUACUAAACCUCAAAUGUCUAAAUGGAUAAUUACUCAAAAUUGAAAUAAAUCAUGUGAUAUCCUAACGGAAUUUCUAAAUCGAAAACAUACGUCCAGCGUCAUUCUACUGUCCUAGGAGAAAAACUUGACUCCAACAUGUUGGACGAGCUGCAUCAAUCGCCCACAAUUGUUAAAUAGCUUGACUCGAAUUUUAAAACGACAAAGGUAUGAUUUUUCAUAUCAACGUCGUCACUAUUUCUUUUGAACUGCCCUUCUGAGAAUUGAAAGUUUCCCCUGGGUCAUCGAUAUACGGUGGGACAAAAUCAUUCUUCAGCCGAAAUUCCCCAAGUUCAAAUCUCUUUUAAGAAAAGCUUAACCCUAGGUAAUUUUCUUCAUAACGUCCAGCAAUAAUCCGGUCACCCGAAUUAAUAGAUUUUAACCGGUAAUCAACUCAACAAGAAUUCUUCUGGAACUUUCUCUCCAUUAUUUUAAAGAUAAUUCUCAUUAGAAAAAAUCAUUUUCUAAUUCAGAAUCUUUUACCUUUCAAAUUGAAAUUACAAAACUUUAGUCACUCUGCAUUGCCGGAGCAGGUUUAUCGAAUGGUUGGCCAUGGGCUCGACAUUCCACCAGCGCUGCUUCAUUAACGCAAGCCGGUUUUCUCUUUAACCCACGAGCGGGGACCGAGAAGUCAUCAUGUUUGGCUUUCCAACUGAAUAAUCGCCGCAUUUGGUCACCGUUCUAUGCUUGUUGAGAUACACUAAUCAUAUUGUCGUAAAGCCUACAUCUCCGAAUCUUCGUUUGCAUGAUGGUUGUCUCCAAAGCCUUAAUGCUAAACACCUGUAUGUUUUUAUGCCUACCACGGUCGUCCCUAGACAAGAGUUUAGACAAAGCUCAAGCAAUUAUACCAUUAUUCAUAUGAUGUCUAGUUUUUAGAUGCGCUAACUUUUCUAUGCAAAACAUUUAAUAUGGACCUAAAAGUUCAAUGCGAAAUAUCUGAAUGUUUUAUAUGUACACAUCCAUCUUUCUCAUGUAUUAUUCGACCAGCUGUUGCAUCAUCAGCAUCAUUGAUGUACGUAAUUAAGCCCAAUCUCUUAGGAUGGUUGAAUCAAGCAUGGCCUUCUCGUUAAACACAUGUGGCCUAAUGUUUCAGCUGUGUUAGGUUUGUACUACUUUGUAUUCUCUAGGCCUCACAUAAUGGGAGCUCGGGUGAAAAUCUAGAGUUUUAGAUGCCCAGAGAUCAAAUCUGAAAAUAGCCAAAAAAAAAUAUCCCUCCACACCGUUAGAAUGCAUUAUAGAAUUAUAAUUACAAGGGGGGAAAACCAAUACUUUGCAUCAUCUACUGUCAUGGUUAUCUUAAUUUUCAGGUGUGAAGUUCACGGUUUUUAAAGAUUCAUGAGUCAAAAAAAUAAAUGUACAUAACUUAGAGGAGAAUUUAUGCAAUCUUUUCAAACUAAGGGGAUAGAGGGCAUGCAUAUGUCCCCAAACUAUCAAUUUGUAUAUGUUAUCUUUUGAGUUCUAAAAGCAGACAAAUUUUUUAGGACAUAACAAAGUGGAAGUUUAGGAUCGACAAUUGAAAGUUCAUAAAAAAGAAUUGCUAUUUAGUAUUCUUAAUGGAGACUUUGUUGUAUUUUGGAGAAAAUUUGCUAGUAAUUAUUAACAACGUUAUGGGACAAAUAAUUCUUUUAAAAAAGUGAUAUCAUACCUACUUCAUUGGUCUUCCUGAUCGUUCAUCAUAUUUUUCUCAAUAGGACAACAAACUAUCAUGUUGAAAUAAUGCCCCUUUAUGAUGAGGCAAGAGCUUUAGAUGCACCAAAAUUAAAUAAUGUCAUGUGAAUGGUGAAGGCAAUUCCCUUCACCGAAGAAAAGUUGAUCUCUUUCAAAAAUUAUUUCUUCUUCUUUUUUUUCUCGCGAUUUCUGAUUUUCAAGUGAAGGAAUUUUGAUCCUUGAUCUAACAUCCUCAGCUCCAAGCUCCCAAGCAUAUCAUCAUCCCUAUCAAGCCCCACAUCACAUCGUGAAAGGGAAGCUAUGUAUGAUCUCUAUGGCGCAUUUCUCUCUUGAGUUCAUCCUAUUACAUCUUUCAAUCGAUUCUAGUACAUAACAAUGGCCAUGUCGACCAUAUAAUGAUACAUUUUAUUCAUUAAGCUUGUUGGGAAUAACGGAUCCUCAAAAACCGGAUUCAACACUAAAUCGAACCCCUAAAACGAAUACGGAAGACAAGCCCGGGAAAACAACACGUAUCACCGAUCCUAAAGCACACCACGAAUUCGAGCGUACCUUAUUAGCCACAGAUUAAACACCAACGCCGAUAAGAGGAAGAGAAUUCGGUCAUGUUCGAUCCGAUGACGUCAAUUUGCCUUGAAGGGAAAACGGGGUCGCGUUUAGCGUUUUCUUUAUUUUGGAGGGAGAGAGGGAGAGAAUACGUACGCUACUUUUUUUUUGCCAAAAGGUGCGUUCUCCCUCUCUCUCAUCCCUUUUAUACCUCCCUCCAUCCACGGGCCCUAUUCCUGUGGGCCGGGCUUUUAGGCCCAACAUGGGCGGACAGGCCUUAAGCCCAUCACUAAUAAAACCAUCAUCUCCCACUCGCACAUGGUGGGCCGAACAGGAUUCUCUUUACCUCUCUUCAACAUUCAUACCGGUGAAUAAUCCGUGCGACCAGCAUACUUUGAGAGCUCGUUGCUAUACAUCUGUUAGGAAUAUAUAGCAGCUCAUAACGGGCAUCACACUCUGAGUAGAUUUAGUAUGCAGUACCCUAGAUCGAUCGAUCACAUUUAUAUCUCUCUUGAUCUCUUUUAAACAAUGAUAUAUAUAUUGUAUUCACAAUUAUGAUUAUCCCAAAGACAGUUAUAAUUGGUUAACCAGUGAAUACAAAACUACAAUAUGAUUCUCUAAAAUCGAUCUUCCUCUUCCCUUCAAACUCUCAAUUUCAAUUCAGUUUGCUUUUCUAGAAAUGUCCCAUUAGAUCAAAUCAGCUCAUGACCAUUGGCAACAUCCUAAGAUAGCAAACACUUAAUAGAAAUAUUGAGAAUAAGUAAGAGUCCUGAGGGAACUAAAAAUUGAGGAACUCUUUUCCUCAAGAGUCUCACACGGCACAAAAGUUUAGAUCAAACUUUUUGCCACUCUUAUUGGUCGUCUCAUGCAUACGUAGUAUGAAAUACGUAUUACAGUAUUAACUCCUUUCCCAUGGAGCGUAUGUCUACACCUUCAAUACCGUACAGAUGAUAGUUCAGACAUACCCAAUGUCUAACUUGAGUUCACGUAUCUACUCAUUCACAAAAUUCAUCAGAACUCACAUCUGGUAUCAUAGACAAAUAAAGUAAAAUAUGUGGGUUAUUUUACUUUUGGACAUAGUAAAUAUUAUGUCCUCAUCUUAACACCCAGUUAAGGCGACAAAUAUAUUUUUAAGCUUGAGCUCUCGAUUAUCACUUAGAUAAUAAGCUUAAAAACAGUCUCAUCUCUAUUUAUCACACAGUAAACAGAUGCAAUUACCCGUGUGAGUAGGCUAAUCUUUUAUCUGUCCGACAUACUUCCUUAACUUAAAAUAAUGCACUGAGCAUUAAGAUGCAUAAAGAUCAAACAAAGAUUCAUAGGCAUUAAUGAUGAAAACACAAAUUCAUCAAAUGUGAACACUUAGGGAAAAUACAAUAUUCAGUACAUCAGCCUCUACGCAAUCCUAGAGAUUUCAUAUGGCCACAAAGCACAAUUCUAGGUAUUGGCUUUGUCAUAGAAUCUGCUACCAUUUUAUGCGUAAUAUGUACUGUAAGUUCACAUCUUUUCGUGCAAUCAUAUCUUUGACAAAAUUAUACUUGGUAUCUAUAUGUUUGGUCUUGCCAUGAUAUUUUGGAUCUUUGGUGUACGCUUUUGCUGCUUGGCUAUCACAGUUAACCACUAACGAAUCUGCAGCACUUCCAAUAACACCUAAAUGAUCCAAUAAUCUCUUAAGCCAAACAUCUUCUUAUACUGCUGCUGAUAAUGCCAUGAACUCAGCUUCCAUCGUGGACAAGGUUAUACACGUUUGUUUCUUAUUGCUCCAACAUAUGGUGCCAUUAUUCGGUAAGAAAACAAAUCCAGAGGUAGAUUUCCUUUCAUCUAAAUCUCCUCUCCAAUCAGCAUAAAAAUAGCCUUAGAGUCGCAGAUCCUUUCUUUAAUAACUCAGCGUAUUAUCAGCAGUCCCCUUUAGAUACCUCAGUAUUCUCUUAACGGCUUUCCAAUGUGCUUGACCUGGAUUGGAUUGGUAACUACUCACCAUUCCAACUGCAAAAACAUAUGACAGGUCUUGUACACAUCAUAGCGUACAUCAAGCUUCCAACAGCACUAGCAUAAGGAACAUGUUUCAUUUGUUCCUUCUCUUGUGGAGUCAUUGGACACAGUCUAUGGCUCAAUCAUUCACCUUUUGCAAUAGGAGUGUCUAUGGGUUUACAAUCUUGCAUACGAAAUCGUUCAAGAACCUUAUGUAUAUAUGUUUCUUGCGAAAGAUAUAACGAUCUCUUCGAACGAUCUCUUGAAAUCUUAACUCCAAGAAUGUAUGCAACCUUACCCAUAUCUUUCAUCUCAAAGUUGGAAGAUAACCAACUCUUGACAGUAUUAACAAACUCCAUAUUGUUUCCGGUAAUUAGUAUAUCAUCAACAUAUAAUGAUACGAUCACAAAUUGAUCUUUGGAUCUUUUGAUAUAUACACAAUGAUCCUCGUCAAUCAUUGUAAAAUCAUAUGCCAUUAUGGCAUUAUGAAAACGUAUAUAUCAUUGUCGUGACGACUGCUUAAGGCCAUAUAUCGAUCUCAAAAGUCGACAUACCUUUCCUUUUUGGCCUUUCACUAUGAAACCAGCAGGUUGUUCCAUAUAUAUUUCUUCCUCUAAUUCUCCAUUGAGGAAAGCAGUCUUUACAUCCAUCUUAUGUAACUCAAGAUCCAUACUAGCCACUAUUGCUAGAAUAAUGCGAAUUGAGGUAAAUCUUACUACAGGAGAAAAUGUAUCUUCAUAAUCAAUUCCUUCCUGUUGAUUAUACCCCUUCGCCACAAGGCGAGCCUUAUGCAUUUCUAUCGAGCCAUCAGCCUUUCACUUUAUUUUGAAAACUCACUUGUUCCCAAUAGCUUUGUGUCCUUUUGGAAGAUCAACCAGUUCCCAGACUUGGUUUGAUUUCAUUGACUCCAUUUCCUCUUCCAUUGCAUGAAUCCAUUUUUCCUUACUAGGGCAAUUCAGAGCCUCAUUAAUAUUUCUUGGCUCAUCCUCAUCUUGUGGAGCAACCAUAAAAGUUUCCCAUUCAAUGUCAAAACGUCGACGGGGAACACUUUGGCGACUUGUUCGCCGUAUGAGAGAUUGUACACUUAGCACAUCAUUCCCCAUUAUGCUCCCACUAGGAUUAGAUAAUGAUGACGUCGUCUCAUCAUGUGGUUGCAAUUGAGAAUGAGUUGAAUUCAAUUCACCACUUCUCAUAUUACUCCCACUUGGACGAACUCCACUAAUAUCAUUAUCUUUAUCCAAGGUUUCAAAUAGGGAGUAAUCCUCACCUAUUUCGCCCUUCUUAGGAAAUUCAUCCACUAAGAAUGUGACAUCCCGUGAUUCAAAUUCAGUUAUACUCCCACUUUCCUGCUCACCUAUGAACACAUACCCUUUCGAGUGUUCUGAGUAUCUCAUGAAAAUACUUUUAUUUCCUUUGGGACCCAAUUUCCCAAACUUGUGAGAGGACUCAUGAGUAUAGGUAGCACAACCCUAUAGCUUAAGAAAACUUAAGUCCGGUCUUCUACCUGUCCAUAACUCAUAUAGAGUGGAAAUAACUGAUUUGGAAGGCACCAAGUUAAGUAUAUAGGCGGCAGUUAACAACGCAUCACUCCAAAAAGUGAUAGGUAAGUUAGCAUGCGCCAUCAUGGACCUAACCAUUUCCAAUAGGGUUCUGUUUCUUCUUUCUGCAACACCACUUUGUUGAGGAGUAUAUGGAAUAGACAACUGUCUUUCUAUUCCUUUUUCAUCACAUAAUUUUCUGAACUCAUCAGAUAAAUAUUCUCGACCUCGAUCAGAUCUCAAUGUUUUUAUUUUCUUGUCUAAUUGAUUUUCUACCAAGUUCAUAAACCUUUUGAAACAACUUAAUGCUUCAUAUUUAUGAGAAAUAAAAUAGACAUAUCCAAAUCGAGUAUAAUCAUCUAUAAAAGUGAUGAAAUAAACAGCCACAUGCCUUCUUCUCACAUUCAUUGAACCAUAGACGUUAGAAUGGAUUAAAUGCAGAGGAAAUUCAGCUCUUUUAUCUUUUCUAUAUGGUUUCCUUAUCGUUUUCCCUACUAGGCAAUGCUUACAUAUGGGCAAAUCGACUUUUUCAAUGCUGCCCAACAAGCCCUCUUUGGCUAGUCUAUUCAUACAUUGUUGGCCAAUAUGACCAAGUCUAGCAUGCCACAUAAUCACAUCAUUAUCAUAUGAAGUAGAAGACGUGAAAAGGGAAAAAAAAAAUAUUGACAUCACCACAGUCAACAUUUAAUACAAUAAAACCAUCCAGAAAGUGACCACAAUCAUAGUAGUUUGUAUCUAAAUACAAAUCUACACGGCUAUUAUGGAAGUUCACACUAAAACCAAGCUUAACCAACAUAAAAAAAAAUAGACACUUAAAUUUCGACGAAUCUCCGGAGCAUAUAGGAACAAAGUGCGUCCACCACGCAUGUUCAGUUGGCAGGUGCCAAUUCCUUUACUUAAGCUCUGGAGUUGUUUCCCACAUAGAUACACUUAGUUCUAGUCGGUAUCGUCGGAAUUCCACGAAGGAUUCUCUAUCCUUCGCUACAUGGUCUGUUGCUUCUGAAUCUAUAGUCCACAAAGGAUUGGAUUCAGCCAAUAAUGUAGAACUUGACACAUAAGCAAAGUUUUCAAAUGUACAAGAGGUGUUUACCUUUUUCGGCUCACAACAGUUGCGAGCAUAGUGACCUUUCUUGUCACAAUUGUAACACCUCACCCUUGACAUUUUCUUCACUUGAGGACGUUUUCCUCUCUUGUGUUGGUCAACUCUUAAUUUCUUGCAAUAAGGACUUGAUCCUUUGCAUUCCCACAUAUUGAACGAAUCAAUACGCUUGCGCUUAGAGCUCAAAGCCCUUUCUGAGCUAGAACCAGCAUUGCAAAUGUCUAUUUUCGGCUCAAAUGCCGUUAGGCGGUCCUCUGCCAGCUCAAGGCGGCGCACGGCACCCUCAAGAUCUUCCAUAACAUGGUCAAGAGCUUCUAGUGCUUCUUGCUUUUCCAGCAUAUAUUGAAUCUUCAUAUUCAAUAUUUCACAAUUGUUGCCGUUCAUAUCAGCAAUUACGUUCUUAGUUGCUGAAACCAUCGAUCUGAACACAUCAGACAUAUAUGCACGAAUAAUUAAUGCCUAUCAUUUAUGCAUCCACUUUGCACAGACCCAUUAUAUCAAUGAACAAUUUCAAGUAAGGUUUCAGAAUCAAAAUGUCACUAUGUUUCCAAUCAUCCUCCAAAAAUCCUAACUCAAAAUUAUUAUUAAUAUAAUUGUCUUAUGCAAAAUAAAUUCUAUGAAGUUACAAAAACUUCUAUGAACUACCCACAGUAGUCAACAAUAACAAAAAGCAAAUAAUAUUCGACAUCCAAAAGAAUAACAAUGUUUUCACAUAAUACAACUAUACAUUACACUAAGCAAUAUAUACAGAGGAAAAAUAUCAACAUAGAAAGAGAUAUUCACAUCAAAAACAUCUCAAACUAAUCUAAGAAAUAAAUAAGGAAUGUCUCUUCUAAUCUAUCAGUCAAAAUAUCUGAAAAAUUUGAAGGCACAUUUGCCAACCAUGGAAAAACUUUUGGAGAGCUUUCAUGUCGCCUCCAAGGCGCAUUCACUCUGCGUCAUGUGGCGCUCAAUCUAAGGGUUGAAGUUUUAGUCAACUCAAUACUAUAAUACUCUCUAACAAAAGCUACCACUAGCCUUCCAUAACCUGGGACCACGUUGACCUCCCAUAGCCGAUCUAACACUGCUUGCCAUUCAGGUGGAAGAGUGUUCAUCAAAGCUGGAACCUUUUCAAAAUCCGGCAUAAGAUAACCAUUUCAGAUGAUUUCCUGUAUCAUCUGAUUGACCCUAACCACAUGUGAUACUAAAUCACCAUCAUGCCACCGAUAAUUAGCUAACUCUAUCAUCAGCCUUUUAAGUCUUGCAUUUCCCUCGUCCGUUCUCGGGAUUGCAGGUAUCCUUGCAUAACGCACCAUAGUUCCUGCAACAAAUGCAGAACUAAAAAUGGAGUACUUAUAAUCCAUAAUGUACAUAAGGGAAAAUACAUAAUUUUCCAUGAUUCAUGCAGCAAAUGCAGAAUAAACAAUGGAUUACUUAUAACUCACAUAGGCAUGAUUGAAAAAGAAACAAAUUCUUUUUUUUUUUUUUUGGGGUCAACGGUCCACGGUCGACGGUCGACGGUCGCCGGGUCAACGGGCGGCGGGUCGGGUUGGUUGGACCGGUCGGGACUGUCGGACCGGUCGGACCGGUCGGGACGGUCGGACAAGUCGGGCCGGGUCGGACGAACCGACCGGCACGUGCCGCAUGCGUGCGCGGGCUGACGUCACGCAGACGUGAGCCGGCAUGUGCGUGGCAUGCGCCAGGCUUCCGCUCAUGUCGGGUCGGGUCGGGUCGUCGGCCGGUAAUCGACCGGCCAAUGGUCGUCGACGAUGACGUCAUCGGUGACGUCAGCACGCGUCGGUUCGCCGACCGGCGCGUGCCGGUUCGCCGGCCGGUGGCGCGCACGUGCCGGUUCGCCGACCGGCGCGUGUGGCGCACGCGCUAGCCGAGCCAGUGCUUUAGGCGCGUGGCACCCACGCGCAACGGCUUCUGGUUGCGCGUGUGGGCGCGUCCAGCGUCUCCCAGCGACGCACGACCCGUCGAUGGACUCGUCUCGACGAGCUCUUUCAUCCUAUGUUUUCAGAAAUCGAUUUCGACUUACAGAAACUCAAAAAAAUGGACGAACAGUGCUUGGGUGUCGGGAUUUCUCGCCCCGAUCCGUGUCAGCCGAAUAUUUUCGCGAAAAAUCAAUCAAAAAACAUCAAAGGGAUCGGGAAAACAUGAACUAGGGCUCUGAUACCAAUGUUAGGAAUAACGGAUCCCCAAAAACUGGAUUCGACACUAAAUCGAACCCCUAAAACGAAUGCGGAAGACAAGCCCGGGAAAAUAACACGUAUCACCGAUCCUAAAGCACACCAAGGAUUCGAGCGUACCUUGUUAGCCACAGAUUAAACACCAACGCCGAUAAGAGGAAGAGAAUUCGGUCCUGUUCGAUCCGAUGACGUCAAUUUGCCUUGAAGGGAAAACGGGGUCGCCUUUAGCGUUUUCUUUAUUUUGGAGGGAGAGAGGGAGAGAAUACGUACGCUACUUUUUUUUGCCAAAAGGUGCGUUCUCCCUCUCUCUCUCUCAUCCCUUUUAUACCUCCCUCCAUCCACGGGCCCUAUUCCUGUGGGCCGGGCUUUUAGGCCCAACAUGGGCAGACAGACCUUAAGCCUAUCACUAAUAAAACUAUCAAAGCUGAUAAGAGUUAAGAAAGAGAAUUGGGAUAAGACCCACGAAGGAAUUCUCACCAUAGAAUCUAGGUUGAGUUCCUUAAAAAAUGCAGUCCAUUAAAUCAGAUAAAAAUAUAUAAGAAUACGGGACAGGUAGAGUUUAAUUUUCGGGACUAGGCGGUAAUUCGUCGAUAUUUUUUUUAUAUAUUGAUGAAUUGACCAAGCAAGUAUAUCAGCUCUAAUUAAUGAACAAAGUGUUAGUAAGCUUUUGCCCAAAUAACAAAUUAGGUGUCAAUGGUCAAGUUGCCUAAUUUUGUAUUCCAUUUCAAUCCAUCUUAUCUAUUGCAGCCUAGUAUAUUACUUAGAAAGGUCAGACUCAUCAUAGCUGAAAAAUCCUUACCCGCUAUAAUUUACCUCAAAUAAAUUUUCAUUUUAUCUCGAAUCACGUUGUUUUAAUACUAAGACACAAGAACACACCAAAAUUUGCAGUCAGUGAAUUCAAAUUUACGAGUUUUAUGCUUGCAGAUUCAGUCACCGGAAUCGAUACGAUGUUGUUGUAUAUAACUUGGCGGAUGAAAUGAUUAAGCUAUACUUUGGGAAAGUAUUGCGAAAGCUCUAGAAAUACGAACUGUUGGGACGGUGCAAUACAAAUUAGAUACCUUUAUUUGGAAAUUUACAGAAAGAAAAAGAGCUCACAAUCCGAGCUCGUUAACAAAUCCCAGUAGAUGACGAUGAUUUUGGUAGAUCUAGGCUCUAACAUUCAUCGGCAGUAUUGCGCAUGCAUGUUAAAAACCAAUAAGGAAGUUUUAACAUUAUAUUUAGUCUUUUUCAAUGAAGUCGUUUGGGACAGAAGUUGGGGCGUCACGACCCAGCACUAGUCACCAGUGAGCCAAGUUCAUCUACGGACAGGCCGAUUGUGAUUACCUUACCAAUGUUGCUAGUCGAGGUAGAAGUAAACUCCAAACAUUUACUUCCUAUUUCGAAGAGAAAAUCAUUCUUUUACACUAGAAGUUCUGAUUUUUUUUCUUCACAAGUCACAAAAUCUGCGCUUCGCAUAGGCAUACCUGGAUAUAAAUGUUUUAUCUGCAUAUAUUGGUAUUUUUACAAGUUACCUUUAUCCGUGUUAGCAUGUAAGCGUAGUUACUUAAAAUCUCGACAACGUUGGUACUUGUGUUAUUUUUCCCAAUGUGUUGGGUCUAUAUCAAUGCAUAAAUACUAUUAAAAAAAAAAAACACUUACGACUUACGAUCCUUAAAAACCGAGCUUCUGAAGGAAGAAAUUGAAUCUAGUUCUUCAAGAUACAAGUCAGCAACACACACCUAUAUCCAGCACAUAUUGAGAAGCAAUUCUCCAUGAAAACAAGCUUGAAUCAAGCUGGAACUUGUUGAUUCUCACCUCAAUUGAUGAACUAAUUCGUCAUACCAAAAGCAUCAUCUUCUUGCAUAAACAUGACAAAUCAAGCUUCAUCUCCAUGGAAACCCCAAAAUCAUCUUCUCGAUUUGUCCCUCUUUACUCCGUCCCCUUCUUUCUAUUUUUAUUUUUCCUUUUUCUUCUCUCUCCCUUGUCUUGCUUGUCUCCACUACAACAAGGAGACCCAAUUAGAUUAGCCACCUUAAUGAAUCAGUAAAUCCAAUUAACUAUCCAGGUGCCCAAGAUAGACUUUAAAACCAAGAUAUAAUGGACUAACGUAUUUAGAUGCUUCAUUCGCCACUUUCUAGAAAUCAAAGAAACCGUGUAAAAUUGUUAUUCAUUAUUCAAUUUAUGGAUCCACUUUUAUUUCUUGAGCAUUUACAUAAUUUACGUAAAUAUGAGGCACUUUUCAAAUGUUCGCUAAACAUUAUAUUUACAUGGAACCACGAAAUCAACCGGUCUUAUCCCAAGUUGCAAAAAUAUUCCUUAUUGUCAUAACCUCAUAAUGUCUCAUAUGAAUGUCCACAUGUCACUAGGUGUCAAAAUUUCAGCCUACAAACACUAUUAAUGAGUUACCCUCAAUGUUGAGCAAACAAAUUAUCGACGAACAAGUAAUUGCCCACCUCUUCUUGGUCGGCCACUUUAUAGGAAUCAAAGAAAGCAUAUAACAGCAGUAUUAGUUAUUAAUUUAUAAAUACACUUCUAAUUCUCGGUCACUUUUUUUAUUUGUAUAAAUAUGAGGCACUUUCCGAGAUUCAAGAGAUGACUAUCAUGACGUAGCACUUUUUCCAAUGUGGCAUUUAAUUAUAGGUGUAAGCGAUAAAGACCGAAAGCCCAAAUUGGACCGGCUAGAAUAGGCCCCCAUGGGAUUUCGGGCUCCCUCUUUUUUCAGGCCAGUCCGAGCCUUCAAGCUUGAGAUGCUCAAGCCUAAAAUGGCCCAUCUCCAAAUUAAUUUUUUAACAAUAGACUAUGCAAUAUAGGUAUAAAAUCUAAAAACUUUAGAAAGUUUGUUAUUUAUGUUCAAAAUAGUUUAAUAAAGUCAUGAACGAGUUCAAAAUAGUUAGAUAAUAAAGUGAUUUUUUAGGCAAAAAAUAUAUUUAUUUAUUUAUUUUAAGUCCAGAAACAGAAAAAUUUUGGCUAGGCCUGAGGGGAUGUUUGAGAGGACAUUUGUUACAACAUUGAAAAGAAAAAUAACAAUAUAAGAAGUUAAAUUUUGUUUAAUUGAUCCUACCCUUUUAUGUUUAAUUCCCAUUUUAAUAUAAUCUUUAGAUUGAUUACUGACUUCACACCUUUUUUAUGAUAUGGCCAAGCCAUGCAGCCACCGUGUCAUUUAGUAAGAAAUUUACAUGUAACAUUACUCUUGAAAUACUUGUCUGACUAUGCCCACUGAAACAUUGCAUUUCUAGACACUUGACAAGUUGGGGCAACAUUUUAAAAUGCAAUGGGUGUUCAUGCCAAUCUGGUGCAUCAUAGUUCUCAACUGGGGUGGUUAAUUUUCACGUGAGACUAAUGGACAUACUCCCCUAGUGAUCGUAUUGGCCAAGAACUCUUGAAUUUUCUUGAUUGGAAUAUUUCUCAUAAUUAGGUUCAAUAGUCUCUUAAAAUUGUUAAUUAUCCUAGAGAUUUCACCGCAAAAGCCUUUUUUUAUGCAUCGUUUACAAAAGCUCUUGAAGAAGAAUCCACUCCAAUGGAAAAGAGAGCAUACCGGUGCAGUUGUGGUGCUAAAAGAGAAAUUGAUGCAUCUUCCCCCACUGUCAGUUCCUUUUAAUGGCAAGCGAAUCUUGUGAAUUGAUGAUAGUGAAAAGUUUUGGACAGUAAUUUUGCUUGAAGAAGUCAAGGAAAGAGAUACAUCUAUGAACAAAAGAGCGGACGGUUUUCACCUGUUGAACUUCACUACCACUCUACAUUCAAAGAAACUUUAGCCGUCAAAUAUGAAAUAAAGGAAUUCGAAUUCAAUAUGAUUGGUUAUCAUUUCUCUAUCAAAUAUAUAUAUAUAUAUAUAUAUAUAUAUAUAUAUAUAUAUCUGUCCUUUCCCCAUCCAAAAUGAAGUUUAAAGCCAAACUAUUUUCUCAUCCUCAACUUAUUUGAUGCGUAGAAUAGUUUUCCAAAUAUUCUUUUGAAACCAAACCCAUUAAAUGAGAGAAGAACCUCCUCGUAAAUCUUCUCUGAAGACCCAAAGACUUCUCAUCCUUUUACAUGUUCACUUUUGACCGAUUGUGAAUUGAUAGCAUAAGGGAAGGGUGAAAAGAGCCCCAUCAGGGUGAUAUGCCCAAUGUCCUCCUUGAAAACCACAAUACUUUCCUCGUCAGACAAUAUUUUUCUACAAGUCAAGGAAAGAGAUACGUCUAUGAACAAAAGAGCAGACGGUUUUCACCUGCUAAACUUCACUGCCACUCUACAUUCAAAGAAACUUUAGCCAUCAAAUAUGAAAUAAAGAAAUUCGAAUUCAAUAUGAUUGGUUAUCAUUUCUCUAUCAAAAAAAAAAAAAUUGUCCUUUCCCCAUCCAAAAUGAAGUUUAAAGCCAAACUAGUUUCUCAUCCUCAACUUAUUUGAUUGGUAGAAUAGUUUUCCAAAUAUUCUUUUGAAACCAAACCCAUUAAAGGAGAGAAGAACCUCCUUGUAAAUCUUCUCUGAAGACCCAAAGACUUCUCAUCCUUUUACAUGUUCACUUUUGACCGAUUGUGAAUUGAUAGCGUAAGGGAAGGGUGAAAAGAGCCACAUUAGGGUGAUAUGCCCAAUGUCCUCCUUGAAAACCACAAUAUGUUCCUCGUCAGACAACAUUUUUCUACAAGUCAAGGAAAGAGAUACAUCUAUGACAAAAGAGCGGACGGUUUUCACCUGCUGAACUUCACUACCACUCUACAUUCAAAGAAACUUUAGCCGUCAAAUAUGAAAUAAAGGAAUUUGAAUUCAAUAUGAUUGGUUAUCAUUUCUCUGUCAAAAAGAAAAAAAAAUCUAUCCCUUCCCCAUCCAAAAUAAAGUUUAAAGCCAAACUAGUUUCUCAUCCUCAACUUAUUUGAUGGGUAGAAUAGUUUUCCAAAUAUUCUUUUGAAACCAAACCCAUUAAAGGAGAGAAGAACCUCCUUGUAAAUCUUCUCUGAAGACCCAAAGACUUUUCAUCCUUUUACGUGUUCACUUUUGACCGAUUGUGAAUUGAUAGCGUAAGGGAAGGGUGAAAAGAGCCCCAUUAGGGUGAUAUGCCCAAUGUCCUCCUUGAAAACCACAAUACUUUCCUCGUCAGACAACAUUUUUCUACAAGUCAAGGAAAGAGAUACAUCUAUGAACAAAAGAGCGGACGGUUUUCACCUGCUGACUUUCACUACCACUUUACAUUCAAAGAAACUUUAGCCGUCAAAUAUGAAAUAAAGUAAUUUGAAUUCAAUAUGAUUGGUUAUCAUUUCUCUGUCAAAAAAAAAAAAAUCUAUCCGUUCCCCAUCCAAAAUGAAGUUUAAAGCCAAACUAGUUUCUCAUCCUCAACUUAUUUGAUGGGUAGAAUAGUUUUCCAAAUAUUCUUUUGAAACCAAACCCAUUAAAGGAGAGAAGAACCUCCUUGUAAAUCUUCUCUGAAGACCCAAAGACUUCUCAUCCUUUUACAUGUUCACUUUUGACGGAUUGUGAAUUGAUAGUGUAAGGGAAGGGUGAAAAGAGCCCCAUCAGCGUGAUAUGCCCAAUGUCUUCCUUGAAAAUCACAAUACUUUCCUCGUCAUACGACAUUUUUCUACAUGUGAUAAUAAUAAAUGCUAAACAUAUUGUAACUGUGAAUGCAUUGAAAAUUUGGGCCUCCUUCCUUCAUUGGAAAUCUGGCUUCUUCACAAAUAGAGUGUUUGUAGAUAGCUUGUAGCUAGAAUUUUUGUAGUACAUAACACCUUGUAAGGAGCACUUCUAUCUAAUUUUUCCCCUAAUAAAUACAAUCUCAUAAACUUGUCCCUUGAAGAGGAUAUUUGUACUUUGCAAGUAUAGCCAGGCAUGUUUUCAAUUGAAUGAGAUCAAUUGAAUACACUAUAUCUCAUAAUGAGCUAGGGCAGCAAUGACAAAAAUAACAUAAAAUGCAGUUGAUGGAAUGUUUAGUCUUCAUCUCCAUGGACUUCUCAAUCCCUCCCAUAAUUGACGGAAAACAUGAGGCACCAAUUCGUCCAGUCUUUGACCUUCAGUUUGUCAAUUUGUCCUUUUUUGGAUUUUGUCCUCCCUUUCUUUUCUUUUUUUAUCACCUUAAAUAUUAGUGUACAAAACCACAUAGCAAACUACGAGUGGAUAAUAAAUCAUAUUUAAUGCAUCUUCCGUCGUUGCCUGAUCUUUAUGAUGGCAAGCGAAUCUUGCGAAAUUGAUGAUAGUGAAAAGCAUUGGACAAUAAUUUUGCUCGAAAAAGUCAAGGAAAGAGAUACAUCUGUGAACAUAAGAGCAGAGGGUUUUCACUUGCCGAACUUCACUACCACUCAACGUUCAAAGAACAUUAGCCUUCAAAUAUGAAAUAAAGGAAUUCGAGUUCAAUAUAAUUGGUUAACAUUUCUUUGCCUGAAAAAAAAAAGAAGAAGAAAAAGGCCAUCCUUUCCCCAUCCCAAAUGAAGUUUAAACCCAAAUUAGUUUCUUAUCCUCAACUUGUUUGAUGGUUAGAAUGGUUUUCAAAGUACUCUUUUGAAAUCAAACACAUUAAAGAAGAAAAAACAUCUUCAUAUAUCUUCUUUCAAGAACCAAAGACUUCUCAUCCUUUUAUAGGUUCGCUUUUGACCAAUUGCAAAUUAGUAUCGAGAGGGAAGGGUGAAAAUAACUCCAUUGGAGAGAUUAGCCCUAUGUCCUUAUUGAAAUCCAGAAUACUUUCCUUGUUAGACAACAUUUUUCUACAUGUAAUAACAAUAAACACUAAACAUAUUGUAAAUGUAAAUGCAUUGAAAAUCUGGGCCUCCUUCCUUCAUUAGGACUUUGGCUCCUGCACAAUAGUACCGUGUUUGUAGAUAGAUUGUAACUAGAAUUUGGCUAGUACAUAACACCUUGUAAGGAGUAGUUCUAUCUUAAUUUUUCCCUAAUAUAUAGAAUCUCAUGAACUUGUCGCUUGAAGAGAAUAUUUGUACUUUGCAAGUAUAGCUGGGCGUGUUUUCAAUUGAAUACAUUGGAUGUGAUAAUGAGCUAGGGCUAGCAACAAAAAGAACAUGAUAAAACACAUUUGAUGGAACAUGAGGCACCAAUUCAUGAGGAGUUAAGAUAUAUGAAAGUUAUGACAUUCAAGUGGUCGAAAAAAAGUUUAUGACACUAAAGUGAUCGUCAUACCAAAGUUUUGGUACUUAUAAUGUUCUUUCCCAACAAAGUUUGUUAAAAAGGGAAAAGAGAGGGGCAACUUUAAUAAAAUGAGAUAUAGUUUUCUAUUCCCUUGUCAUUCCUUCUCAAGAUUACAUGAAAGUCCUCUCAAGCAUUAUUACAAGCUGCCAUUGAAUUUUUGCUGGAGAAUCGUCGAAGCUAAUCAAAUAGUUUUUAACUUGUCAUAACAAAAUAUAUUGUAAUUAUACAUUUCUCACAUUGAUCUUCAUUAUUUCACCCACAGUUAUUUUAUUUUUAUUAAUUCGAUUUCACUAGAGUCAAAAUUCUCGCUAAAAUAAGAUCCAUGAAGAUGGAGAUUUGUCAAUGUAACCUCCUGAGAUUAAUUUCAUUUGACUUUUGUAUGCUUAAUAGAUUGUUGGACCCCUUCUAUCAUUUGGUAGUUGCAUGUAGAUCUUCUUGAAAACUAAAAUUUGUUUGAUCAUCCUUAUAAAGUUCGAAUAUGUUCAAUUCCUUUAUGGCCCCUUUACUUCUUGUGCUUGCAUUCAAAAGAUGUUCAGAGCAUACUUCAGUGUCAGCUUGAGACGAACUCGAGAGGAGAUCUGUUACAACAUUGGAAAGAAAGAUAAACAUAAUGAGAAGCUAAUUUCUUAUACUUGAUCUUACCCCGUUUAUUUCUUUUUUCCCUUUUUCACAAUCUUUAGUUUCCUCUCUCACAAUCUCUUCCACAUCAUCCUUAUCUUAAAUGGAGUCCAAAAAUUAAGUUACAUACUGGUGAAGCAAAUUGACCUCAAAUAAGAUAUUUCAGAUCUAAUUCAUAUUUAUGUUUUUGAAAAGGUUUGAUCAUAAUAAGUGCGACAUUUUAAAACUAAGCUAUAUUGUCACGAAAAGUGAUUUUUUGCAGAUUUUGUGAAGAUUAUUCUGAACAACUUAUCUUGAACCAAAAUAGAAGAAAUGAACAAGUAACACUAUUUAAUAGUCGCUAAAGUAGCAUGGGCAUAAUUUGAGAGGGGACACAUUGAAUACGCAUUUGAUGGAAUGUUCGGUGAUCGUCUCAAUGUGCUUGUCAGUCCUCACGUAAUUGAUGGGUUACUAAUUGACUAAACAAGUUCAUCACUGUUUAAUAAAAAGUGAUAGGAUAUGAUGGAGAAAAGCCACUUUUCUGUAAUUUUUUUGAAAAAAUUCAAAUGUUAAUUAAAACUAUGUACAUAUAUACAUGUAUGUGUAUAUAUAUGUAUAUAUGUUAGGGCAACAUUUUAAAAUGCACUGGAUUCAUGUCAAUCUAAUGCAUCAUAGUUCUCAACUGGGGUUGUUAAAUUCAAUGUGAGAUUUACAUAAUCUAAAUUUAAUUAGACUCAUAUGAGUUCAAUGGACAUAUUACCAUAGUGGUCCUAUUGGCCAAGAAGUCUGAGAGUUUCUUGAUUAGAAUAUUUCUCAUAGGGAAGUUCAACAAUUUCUUAGGAUUGUCAAUCAUCUUAGAGAUUCCGUACCAAAAGCCUCUAAAUUUAUGCAUGCAUUGCAAUAAGCUCUUGAAGAGGAAUCCACUCCCAUGGGAAAGAGAGCAUAUCAAUGCAAUUGAGGUGUCAAAGGAGAAGUUGUUGUAUCUUCCCCCAUUGCAAGUUCCUUCUGAUGGCAAGCGAAUCUUGGGAUCUGAUGAUAGUGAAAAGUAUUGGAUUGUAGUUCUGCUUGAAGAAAUUGAUGAAAGAGAUAUAUCUGUGAACAUAAGAGGAAACGGUUUUCACCCGCCGAACUUCACUACCACUCUAUAUUGAAAGGAACCUUAGCCAUUAAUUAUGAAAUUAAGGAAAUAAAAUUCCAUCUUAUUGUUUAGCAUUUCUUUGUCAAAAUAAGAAGUCAUCCUUUCCCCAUAUGAUGAAGUUUAAAGCCAAAAUAGUUUCUUAUCCUCAAUUUGUUCGAUGGUUAUUAUGAUUUUCAAAACACUCUUUUGAAAUCAAACACAUUAAAGUAGAGAAGAACAUCCUUGUAGAUCUUCUUUCAAGACACAAAGACUUCUCAUCCUUGCACAUAUUCACAUUUGACUGAUCGUGAAUAAGUACCGUGAAGGAAGGGUGAAACGAACUCCAUGAGGGUGAUAUGCCCAAUGUCCUCCUUGAAAACCACGAUACUUUCCUCAUUUGAUGACAUUUUCUACAUGUAAUAAUAGUAGAUGCUAAACAUAUUGUAAGUGUGAAUGCAUUGAAAAUUUGGGCCUCCUUCCUUCGUUGGAACUUUGGCUUCUUCACAGUAGUAGCGUGUUUGUAGGUAGAUUGUAGCUAGAAUUUCGGUAGUACAUAACACCUUGUAAGGAGCACUUUCUAUCUGAAAUUUUUCCCCUAAUAAAUAAAAUCUCGUGAACUUGCCGUUUCAAGAGAAUAUUUGUGAUUUGUAAGUAUAGUCGGGCGUGUUUUCAAUUGAAUGAGAUCGAUUGAAGACACUGGAUAUAAUAAUGAGUUGGGGCCCAACAAGAAGAGCAUAAUAAAAUGCAUUUGAUGGAAUGUUCAGUCUUCGUCUCCUUGGACUUCUCAAUCCUCCCGUAGUUGACAGGGAACAUGAAGCACUAAUUUGUCCUUUAUUUGGUUUUGUCCUCCCUUUCUUCUUUGUUGUUACUCUCAACUUUUUUAUGGUGUUUCCCAUUAGAUGAUGCUAUGCUAUAUGUUAAUAUUAGUAUACUAAACCGCACAGCAGACUAUGAGUGUACUAUAAGUCAUAUUCGAUAACUAAUAACAAUAUGUCAUGUCAAAUUCAUAAAACAAUCUUAGCAUCGACAUUUUUUUUUUUAUCGUAAAAUUGAAAGCUAGCAAGACACUAAAAUAAGAGAAGCACUACAUGUACUGAGACUUUACUUGAGUUUCUCAGUAAAUGAAAUGGUGCACUGUGCUGUACAGCAUGUUGUCAAAUAAGAGUGGAAUCGACGUUAGUUUGUAAAAAGGGGAAAAGUGAUAAAUGGGGCAAGUUCAAUUAAAGGAAAUUUUGUGGCAAAAAUAUUAAAGGAAAUUUUGCCAGCCUUCUAAUAUUCAGUGCAAUCUGUAAUAUGCUUUGUUGGCUAUACUUCUUGGCCAUACUGAUAAUUAAAAUGCCUGUAUAACCCUUAACAUCAGCUAUAUGAGGCGAGGUGACGUUUGAAUAAAAGGCAAAGUCGGAAGAAGGGAAUUAUUCCCAAACCUCCGCUCUGUUCUCCUUGAUUUCUUACCGAUCUUUCUCUUCUAGGUCUAGUGACAUUGGAAGGAUAAAAUUGCAAUUUUGAUCAUAUAAGAUGAGUUGGUUCGACAAGUCUGCUCUCUAUUUGUUAUUCAAAUCCUACGGAUGAGAAAGCUUUUCCAAGGCCAUGAAGCCUUUGGUUGAAGGCUAAUGAUAUUUUGGAGACCAUCAAGCAGUUUCAUUUAAGGACUAAAAGAGGAAAGGGCAUGCGUGCUAGGAUAACAUACAUGUCCCAAAUUUCAUUAGUCUUCCUCUUGUUUUAUGGUUAUAUGCAUUGUUAGCUUAUUCCAUUUCUCUUUUUUUUUUUCCUAUGGGGUAAUUGUCGUCAAUUACAUGUCAUUUCUGUUGAAAUAAGUUACAUGUCCCUAUCCUAUUCCUCUUCCCAAUCGUUAUUAAAUUGAUGGGAAAUAUGAGGCACCGGUUAUUAAAUUAUGGCUUGAGUUUGAACUAGGUACGAGAUCCAACUCAUUUAAAGGAUUCUGAUUUCAAAAUAUGGUGUUCCUUUUUAAUCAGUAUCAUAUUUUGAUUUGUUGGGCGGUGCUACUUAACUAUUAAAUGUAUUUAAGGUUUGGUUCUGUUGAAGAUAAAUAUCCAAGUUUAACCGAGGGAGCAAACAUUAGUCGGACGCCACUCAACGCGUACAGUUUUAGGCCUUUUCUAAUAUCCUGAAGAAGACGUACUGCUGAAGUCUCUAUUUUAUAUCCCCGCGCGAGAGGACUCUCUCUUUAGCGAAGAAAAGAAGGGGACGCACCAGUAACGCUUUCUUUGAUCGCACGGAGUUCUACAAUCGGUGGAUUUUGUGACGCGAGUGCAUAAUGAGUCGUUCUAUUAAUAAACACUGUGAGUUUAGAUGUAAUCAACUCGUGGAAAACACUUGAACUUGCAAGUAAUUGUAACUCUAUUUUUCUCCGAUUUUUAGUGGAUUAUAGCUGCUUACUCUCCUAGCUGCAUAGAUAUCGAUUUUCGGACUGAAUCACAAAAAUCUCAAGAGUUCUUCAUUGUUUCUCAUUUAUUUUCUCUGCGAUUUCGCAUUAAUUAAUUACAAAAUUUGGUUAGUUUCCACAUUAUUUUAUAAUAAUUUAUUCAAUCUUCAGUCUUCAGUCUUCAGUCUUCAGGAGAGAGAAAGUUUACGGAACUUCCCAUGAUGGAGUUAGUCAAUAAUUGAUUUGUGCAUAGAGAGAGGAGGUUUAUAAAUUCAGCUCAGACUGAAAGUGGAUCACUGAACGAGAUGGGGAAGCACCUAUUUCUUAUUCUCAACUCUAUUCUCUUGUGGUGGUGGAGCUCAAUCACAAUCUCCAAAGCAUACUCACAAAACCAAACGGAUCGGUUCGCGUUAGCCUUCUUAAAAAACGCAAUACACAAAGACCCAUUUGGGGUCUUGAGCUCUUGGAAUGAUUCUACUCAUCAUUGUGAGUGGCAAGGUGUUUUGUGCAGCAAAAGACAUCUUGGGAGGGUCACAUCUCUGGUCCUGAGAUCACAAGGCUUGGAUGGCUUUCUAUCUCCUCAUGUAGGUAACCUCUCUUUUCUGAGGGUCAUAUUUCUGCAGAACAACAGCUUCCACGGCGAAAUCCCACCACAGAUCAGCAACUUGCUUCGGCUACAUGUUCUUAUUCUUAGUAACAACUCAUUUGGUGGGCCGAUACCCUCCAAUCUUUCCCGUUGCUUGAACCUCGAGAACCUGAAUCUCAUAGAUAACCAACUUGUGGGGAGAAUUCAUUCCGAUCUUGGUUCUUUAACAAGACUUAAACUCUUGGGCUUGUCUCGAAACAGACUUGUAGGUCCUAUUUCUCGUUCGAUUGGAAACCUCUCACUGCUACAACAGCUCUCCCUG
rnacentral:lncRNA from 1 species